rnacentral:lncRNA from 1 species
UUUUCAGCAUGUAAUUGUUGUAUGGUUGUGUUUAGAUCAUUAUUGGUCCAAAGCAAUCGAUCCUCUGUCUCUCCAUACCAGACAUUUACUCUUGGAGGCGUGAUUGAUUCUCCUGUAGUAAAAAUCUUCAUCUUGGGACAACCAAUCACAUGCAAAUCUUGUAAAGAUGGGUAUUUGAAGGUGUAAUUGGCAGAGCAAAAACUUGUGAGGCUAUCUAAAUCAAACAGUUCCAACGUCUUCAAUUUGCGGAAAACAAUCUCUUCUUUUUCAACUCCAUCUUUGUCAUUUGUUACCACCUCUGUCAUUGCUCUGCAUCCAUAUAUUUCUAUUGCUACGAGUCGCACCAGAGUUUUUGCUGUGGAGGAUGUUACCAAGUGUAUCAAUUCCUUGCAACCGAAAGCUACAAGUUUUGUUAGGUUCCGAAAAGAUACCGAUGAUGAUGGCAAUAGAAUUAACAGACUUUGACAAUGAAUUACUUUUAGAAUUUCAAGAUACUGAAAAAUGGGGCCAAGUUUGGAGUCUUGUUUGCACAGCUGCUCCAGAUGAUAGUGCCAGUACAGCUGUAAUUCUUUUAUCAUUGCCAACUUCCCCGCAUGUUUCUCUAAGCAUCCUUCCAUCGAAAAUAGCUCUUCGUGGGAUGGAAAAAAAAGCAGUGAGAGCAUUUCGAGAUUGUGAAAUCUCUCAAGUACGUUCCAGAUUGGAAAACAAGCUGAGUCAUCUGCAGCAAUCUCUAGCUGUCUAAGACUGCCAAAAAGGUGUUGUGGGAAAUCGGCCUGCAAAAUCAUCUUCACAUCUUUUCCACUUAGUGAUAGUUCCUUCAAGUUGGGUACGAUCUGAUCAUCAUUAAUCAUAAUAACUAAUGAGGUCAAUUGAUGAUCUAUGGUAACACGCAGUGACUUUAUAGUAUUUGUUUUAUAUUAUAUGUUAAAAAAAAUUGAAUUAUUGAUAAAAUUUAUUUUGUAUGUUAAUUUUAGAGGUAAAGCAAGAAAUUAGGGAAAAAUAGUUGAUUUAUAUUGGCUCAAAAUUAUUUUAUUGCACAAUAAUAAAUUACUAAUUUAUUUUGUAAGUUCUUCUAAAUGGAAAGACUGAGGAUUCUUUUAUAAAUGCUAUACCUAAAAAAGUUCAUAUAAUUAUGAAUCUACCAUAUUGAUCCCUUAGUCUAGACUAGCAAAGAUUAUUGUAUAAUAAAAGUUUUUUAAUUUAUUGAGUAUUAAAUGAUUUUUUAUAUGUUAAUUUUAGAGGUAAAAAAGAAAUUAGGGAAAAAAGGUUGAUUUAUACUGACUCGAAAUUAUUUUAUUGCACAAUAAUAAAUUACUAAUUUAUUUUGUAAGUUCUUCUAUAUGGAAAGACUCAAGAUUCUUUUACAAAUGCUAAACCUAAAAAAGUUUAUAUAAUUAUUAAUCUACCACAUUGAUCCGUUAGUCUAGACUAGCAAAGAUUAUUGUAUAAUAAAAGUUUUCAAUUUAUUGAGCAUUAAUUUAUCGAUAUUUUGUCAUAUUUUUCAAAGUUAAAAAUAAGCAAUAGAUAAAAAAUCUAGAAAAUGGCUUCAUACCUUUUCCAAUGGCAAUAGGGGCUGUUGUGCAGGAAUACCAAGUUGAUCAUUCCCAUUAUUCUGCGAUAAAUCUGCAGCGAAUAUCUUUAAUUUGUCACAACCAUACACUACAAGAGUUUCUAGUGCGGGCCAUUCCCAAGUAUGCAUUCCAGGGUACAAAAAUCUAAGUUUUGGUAGAUCAUGGAGCAUCAAAGUGGUGAGCUGUGGAAAGACAAAAUGAGGGAUCACUUGAUCUGCUCUGUUUUCAGAAAUGAUCUCCUGUAAAUCCUCACAGGAGCGUAUUUCUAGGCGUUGGAGCUGCUUAAGGCUUCCGAUCAUAGACGCUGAAAAUAUGUAUUUCAGUUUGUGACACCACCACACAACUAAUCGUGUUAAACUUUGAAAGUGAGGAAACAUGGCCGCCGGAAUUUGAUUGUAGUGCCAAAUCUUGUCGACAUUAAUAUCAGAUAUCUCCAAAGCCUCCAAGUUAGGCAACGCAACCUAAAAAAAUAAGAAUUUCUCGUUAGAUCCAAUAUCCAUAUGGGAAGCACUUGUUGAAAUUUUCUUCUUUGAUUACAAAUUAAUGCAAGUCCGAAUCAAUUUCCAACUGACAGCUGAGAAUGCAUUCUAAUUCAUACUACUUGUUAAGAGCUCAAUUAGUGAGCGCGUGAGAUUCUUUUUAUCCUUUUUUCCAUUUUCUUUCAAAUCUUUAAAUGAUUUAAUUAUUUUCCACGUAUGACAUCAAAACAGAACGCAUGAUAGAAUAAAGUCUGUUAUAUAUAUAUAUAUAUAGAAAAUGUUAGCCUACGCACCUUCUCGUUGAAAAGCAGAGUUGAAAUGUCCAAAGUGAUUUCGCUGGAGCAAUACAUAGUCGUCGAUUCCUCUUGUGACACUUGUCUGUUCGGUGAUGCAGAAGGAGUCUCCACCUCACGGCGGCAAAAACUUGUAACCUCUGGAAGAUUUCCCACACUCAAAGAUCUUAAUUGAGCAAACUCUAUCUUCUCAAUUGCAUUAUCAACUUCUUCCCCAAUUGCAAAAAUCUCUUUCAUCUUGCUGCAAUUAAUAACUGCAAUUCUCUCAAGUCUUGGAAGGCAUUUUGCAGUAGAGAGCCAAAAGAUAUUACUCAACUUAUCACAAUUAUAUGCUUCUACGGUUUUGAGUUCGUUGAAAGACUCUACUUUGAGCCGAUCAACACAUAUCCUCUCCAUGUUGAUCAAAUUGUGAAGGAUAAGUGACUCCAAAAGAGGAAAGGCAUCACAAGCGACCAUCUCCCUUGAAUCGACGAUGCAAAAGAAGUCUGGAUUAUUUUGAACCCAGAGAAUCUUCAAUUGUGAAAAGCCCUCCGUGUCCAAAUUGAAAAGAACAUUCUCGAUGCCUUGCAGCUUGUCCAACCAUAAGCAUUCAACGUUAUUGAUGCCCUGCAAUUUCAUGGAGCAAAUGUCCAUAAAAUCAAGCUUGAGCUUCAAUGCUCUUGAAAUCUUACGAUCUCUGUCGAUCAAAAAGUGCUGCCGACUUUUAAACCAAUUUUGUCCAGCAAUCAUGGGAUGUGUGAAUAACCCAUUUCCAAUAUGUAUUUUGAACCUUUCGAGCUUUCUGGCCAAAAAGCCUUCUGGUAACAUACUCUCAUUUUUUACAUCAAUUUCUAGAGUGGUUAGCCGAGGUAAAUGCAUCAAUUCAUCAAGGCUAGCAUUACUUCUUUUGCUGUUGGCUCUUUCAACCUCCCAUUCAAUGGAGCAAUUACCCAUAUACAAUUCUUCUAAUCGGAUUAAGCUUGAUAUGACAUUUGGGGCAAUAACUUUCAGACGGAAACAGUCUGUUAAAUCUAACAGCCUUAGCUUAGUCAGUUGACCCAGUGCUUUAGGCAACUCUACAAUAUCAGAUUCCAAAAAGCUGAGGAUUUCUAGAUUUUCCAACUUUCCAAUAAUGGCUAUGUCUAUGCCUCCCAAAAUGCUUUGAUUAAGACAGAGUGCCUGAAGAUUUACUAUAAGACCAAUUGAAGAUGGCAAUGACAAUAACCGCAUUCCAGUAAAAUCCAAAACCCGAAGCUUUUUCGUGCUUUUGAAGAACUUCUCAGGAAUAUUAGGCACAGCAAAAGAGUUCUUGGGAGACAUGACUAGAAGUUCAAGUUGUAGAGAUUCGGACCCUUCAGGAAUGUCAUUAAUAAUACUAUCUUUUAAAGAAAUUGCAAGAUAUUUUUUUAAUUCAUCUGCAUUUGGCCAUUUCCAAUCAUCCUCAUUUCUCACCACAAAUCCAAUUUUGUCACGACAUGCAAUUGAAAUGGCAACAUCGCGAACAACGUCGUGCAUAGAAAAGUAUUUACUGCCACCAUCCUCAAGCAACAAACAAGAGUCCCUUAGUUGAUGGACCCAUGCAUCUAAUUUGUUAUGUGCAUCUUCUAGCUUAUGGACACUUUUAAAUACACCCAAGCCCAUGCUAUAUUUGAACAAGUCCAUAAUACACCCAAGCCCAUGCUAUAUUUGAACAAGUCCAUAAUUGGUGCUGGCUCACCUGUUAAGUACUUGUAACUCAGCUCAAUUGUUGAGUAUGCCUCUGCUGGUACUCCUUCGUCGAAGCUUGCCUCUGAAGGCGUUUGGAGUUCUUGCAAGGCAUUCUUCCACACAGGCAGCUCUUUUUUUCUCAGUGCCUUUGCUACUGUGGUUAGGGCAAUAGGCAAACCUCCGCAUGCCUUGGCUACACUUGUUGCUGUAGAUUCUAAUUCACGAUUUUCCACAUAAUCACCUGCCAUUAUCUUGAACAAUCUCCAGGCUUCUUGUUCAUUUAAAAUGCCAAUCGAGAAGUUUUUUUCAGAUUCCAUCCUUAACAGCACAUCGAGAUCUCAUGUUGUGAAUAAUAAUUUGCAUCCUCUGUGCUCAACUCCAAAAGGAAUUCCAAUAGUCCCCAAAUCAAGAGGUUUCCAGAUGUUAUCCAGAAUCACAAGGAUCUUCUUCUCAUUCUUCAAUCUUUCAUAUAGUCUACUAGCUCUUCUAGACUCAGCUUCCUCGGACAACUGUAGGCCUAACGUUUCCGCAAUGUCCUCUUGGACCUUUUUUAUGUCUGGACUUUGGGUAACCUCCGAAAAAGCCACCAUAUCGUAAAGCUUGUCUUCAAUGGCUCGCCUUGCAAACUCCUUCACCAGUGUCGUCUUUCCAAUGCCGCCCAUGCCGUAGACCCCAAUGAUGCCGACAUCAACAUCGAUCAAUGCAUUUUGUAUGGCCUUCAAAGUAGAAAGUCUUGAUUCGAAGGCCUCGCAGCCUUUGUGAGACUUGAGCCAUAUAUCCUCCGGAAUGGUACGGUAGGAAAUUCUAUCAUCAAAUUUCCUAGCUUCUUCUUUGAGUUCAACAAUGGCCUUCACCUUUGUUUCUGCUUCCUUGCUAAGCUGAUAGCCGGACUUCAAAUUAGGACACAAGCCCAUGAGACAUCGUUUAUUUGUUGUCUCCUCAUCGUCAAUGAAUUUGGCUGACUGCUCAAUGGUGUUGUUCGCACGAACCAGCCACUUCUCAACCUUCUCUUCAAUCUUUUCCCCUUUUCUUUCAGCCUCAGAAACCCUGUGCUGAAUGCUUCUCCUUUCAUCCUUGAGCUUGUCUAUUUCUGCCUUGAGAUUCUCAACGUUGGCUUUAUAGUUACGCAAAUAACCAAAUCGGCGUUCUGUUGGAGGAGCCAAGCACUUCAAAAAUUCUAAAACAACAGUAACAAUGCUUUCCACCAUCCUGGAUCCCUUUUUUUUUUUUUUUUCAAAGUUCUGACAAGAAAAUAGACAACGAGCGAAACACAGAGAGAGUGAAAAAAAGAAAAAACGAAACAACGAAGAUGGACAGUUUAUCCGGUUGUGGAAGCGGAGAAAUGAAAGAAAGAGUAAAAGCUGUUAUGGAUCUGGUGAGAAGAUGGAAACAAGGAAAAGGUUUCUAGUUCGAGAACUGAUUGAAUUAAUAUAAGGAAUGAUUUAGAUAAUAGAGGCGAAGGGAACCAAUCAGAAUAACUGAAGUAUUGACCAGCAGAAAGACGGAAAAAAUAUUGACUGGUAAUAGAGAUGGAAAAAAUGAAGAUAUCUUGACACGGUAGAAGUACAAAGGGUAGAUAUGGAACCAAACAGAGACAACAGCAGACCACAACAAGAUUGGGAAUGGAGAGAAACUAAUUAACAAAGACUGGAGAUUACAACAAAACAGAUGCCAAGAGAAAACUUGAUCCAGUGAAAUUCAAGAGAGCUGACAACAAAAACUGAUACUACUUGAUUGGGAAUUGAAGGCAAAGAGUAGGAGCUGACGAAUACGGGGAUCAAGAGGGAAAAACUGCUUGCUCGUAAAACUACUUUCAAGCGAAUCUGAUAAAAUUAUUUCAAUACUGGUGGGCGACUCCCUUUUAAACUGCAGAAGGAGAAAAAAGAAAUGUUCUGAAUUUCAAUGUAUUAAUUUUUAUCCUAAUUUAUGUUGAGACUCGUAAUCUCGUCUCAAUGAUUAAUUAGUAGAUAAUCUUUCUAACAAGUAUGUGAUGAAUAGAUAUAUUUCUUGACUAUUAGUAGGUUAGAUAUAUUUUAGCAUAGGAAUGAUAGUACAAGUUGUGUCAUAUUAGAAUACAAAUUUGACCUAAAAAUAUUGUUCUAUGACCUUUUAAUUAUUUGUCAGUUAAUAAUUAAGUCAUAUAAAAAAAAAAAAUCUGAAUUAGUCUUUAAGUAUUAUAAAUAUUUCUUGAUUUUUAAUUAUAAUAUCAUUAUUUAAAAAUAAUUGCUUGACUUACAUAGUAAGUCAAUAAAAUAUCUAACAAUAGUUGUCAUAAAACAUGUGAUCCUCAAUCAAUGAAAUAUCUAACAAUAUCAUCACCUAAAGUUUGAGAUAUGUGAUCCUUAUUCCACUGCGUCAAUUACACUCCAGUACAAUGCUGCCAUCAUUAUCAAACAGUCGACAUCCACCAGUUCUAAUUGCCAAAACUUAGAACUAAACAGUAGCUCGGUCAGAAAAUCAAACGCCAGUACCGGUCAAAUGACCGAUAAAAAUAUAAAGAAAUAAAAAUUUUAAAGUUUUACUUUAUUGCUUUUUUAAUCUUAUUACUAUUUCUCGUUGCACUUAUAAAGAAACCAAAGCUUUAAGAGAAAUCGGCCAAAUCACGAAGAUUGAAGAGUAAAUCUAUGGUUUUAUAUUUAUAUUUUUAUUUUUAGAUAAUAGAUAUUAUUUUGAUGAAUUUUUAAUAUUAGAAUAAUGUUAGGAAUUUCGAUAGUAGAAUUCUAACUUGAGACCCAAUUGUUAUGUGUCAUUUUUUUAUUAGAUAAUAAAUUUCAUAACUAAUAAAAUUAAUAUUUCGAUUAUCUAAUAAAUGACUAUCAUAUCAGCUGAGACUCAAUUAUUGGGAUCCUUAACAUUGCUCUUAGUAUUAAAUUGGACAUCUUAGCUAAAUUAGAUUAAUUUUUAUAUCAUAACUUUGUAAGUGUAUAAUUACUCAUUAAAUUAACAAAAUUAUUUUAAAAUAUUUAGUUAGAAAAAUAAAUUAUAUUCUUUUUAUUUCAAAUAAUCUAUAAGUUAACUCAAAACAUAAUCAAGCUGAGAAUUAAAAUAAUGCCACUGUAUGAGAGGAUUUUUAUUUUUUUUCCCGAAGUUUCACUAGGAAAUUAUUGAUAUAUAGCUUUAUUCGGAUCAUCUCAGUUCAAACGACAAAUAAUUGAAAGACUAAACUAAAUAGACCAGCCAACAACUUUGUACAGCAGAGUUCAAAAAUUAAGGUCAUGAUAUUGAGGUGUUCUGUCCUGAAACAUACGGCAUAGUGACAAAAUAAAAACUAUUAGUCUUUAGUAAGAUAUGACUUUUAAAUAAUAAUUUUCACAAAAAUACAAAGAAUAUUUAUGAAGUACUUCUAUAAUGAAGUACUUCUAUAGUGAGGAGACCCUCGCUUUGUUAAAGUGAAAAUAUCAAUAAUAUACAAGAAACAUACAUUUUAACACAUUAAGAAUUGUAUCUUUUUAAUCUAUUGGUGUAUUGAAAUAUGUGUUAUUUAAUUUGUUAGUGAUAUCAUCACUUUGUUAAAAUAAGGAUGUCAGAACCAUUAUAUAUAAGAAAGUAAAUAUAUUUUUGUACGGUAUAAUAGUGUAAUAACAUCACCCGAGUAUAUCAUAUAGAGUAAUAGUUUUUGGAACUUUAAUAAAGUUCAAGAUUAUAGAAUGAAUGAUUUAUAUAUAUUUUAAAUUUUUUAUCAUAAAGUGGAGGACAAAAGUAACAUAUUUUUCAAAUUAUAAUAAAUAGAUAUUUUAAUUUAACAUCGUGAUUUCUCCUAACUAGAGUAGUAAAUACGACCUAGGAGGUACAUUCAAAGCAUUUCAUAAGUUAAUUGUUAAUAAUAAAUGAUACAUGCAGCUCCAAUCAUCAUUUUACGGCGAGUAAUUUCCAGUUAUAAAUAGAUAUUACUCCCUUCCCAGCAAUUUUUGAUGGCAAUUUAUUGGGAUCAAAAUCAACAUUGAAUAGUCAAAAUAUUAAUGGCCAUGAUGCUUAUUCCAAUGUGAGUAGUUCACAGUGGGUACUGCACAUGAUGCUUGUUUCUCCUUUUGCAUCUAUUUUUGUUGUUAACAUUAAUUUCAAUAGCAGCUCGUUAUUAUGUAUACAACAUUUCAAAGUUAAUCCAAAAAAAAAAAGACAAAAAUUAGUUCAGCUGACUAAAUUUGAAAGCAUGGAUUUGCCGUCGAUUAAAAAUCGUUUUGUAGGGAAAAAUUUUGGAUUGCAAUUUUCAUACAAUACAUAGAAUUAUCAUAAUCUAUAAAUUAGGGCUCGUUUGGUAUUGUUUUUGAAUUUAUAUUUUUUGAGAAUAAAAAUGAAAAUGAAAAUGGUGUUUUGCAGUUGCUGUAUUUUGAAUUUAAAUAUGCGUCUGGUAUCAUUUUCUGUAUCCUAUAUUUUAAAACUGAAAACAAUAAUAUGCGUUUGGUAGACACAGUUGAAAAUGAUAAAACAAAAAAUAUGUGUUUGGUAAUACUUUUUUCAAAAACAGUUUUUACUAAGCAUUUACAUUAUAUUUGUAGUCAUAAAAUAAUUAUUUAGCUAAUACAUACAUAAAUACAACAAAAUAAUUUAAACAAAUUUAUUAUUAAAAAAUUACAUGAUGAUAAAGUUUUAAAAUUAACAUUAAUUAAAGAAAAGUUUGAUAAUAAACUGAAAGCAUGCAUGGUAUGAACUAGAGUUAGUGCAAUUUAACAUGAAGCUUGCUCGUGCAAAAUUAUUUUAUAUAGCAUUUGCAGUUUCAAUUUCCAAUUCCAAGGUUCUGAUUCCAUGCUCCCAAACACAACAAUAAAUGUAAAUCCAAUUACACAUCUUCUUGGAACAACUUUUUGUGAAGUAAGUGCCAUUUUUUUUUUUAAGAAUAUUCAUUCUGAAAACACAUUAGACACGGAAUUAGAAAGCUGUUUAACUGCUUUCUAGAAACAAUAUUUGCUCUGCCAAAAGAAAAAAAAAAACUACUUCACAUUGACUCACCAAUCCACUCCUCCACUUUCAAUCAUAAAUUCCACAAUAAUCAAUAAUCAUCAGCACUAGCAGGAAAAUUACAUUACACGUUCAGCAACUCACAUAACAAAGAUUCCCAAGCAAAUUAAAACCCAAUGAAUGCCAAAUUCGAUUGUACGCAAUCCAAAGAUUUGUUGUAUAUACAACAAAACACUUAACUGCAACUGCAUCGAAGAAGGAGAGUGUCCUUCUGAUUGUUAUCCUCUGUUUGUAUAUCCAAAAUUCAUGGCCCCGACGCUUACUUCCUCUGUUAAGUAUAUAAGUUGAAGCUGCUGAGCUGACUGAAGAUGUUGUGAGCUGCUGAGCUGGAUUAGGUGGUUAUAUGGUUGAUUAAGUUGUAACGAUUUGUCCAGCUGGCAUGUUAUGAUUGGAAGAUGAAAUGGUUUGUUAAUUCGGCAGCUUUGAGCUCUGUUUCUGUUAUCAGUUUUCAGUGUAACUAUAAAUAAUAGUCAACACGAUUACAAUGUAUGAUUUUCAGAUUUUAAUCAAUAAGAAUUUCUCUCAGUUAAAGUUCUCUUUCUCUUUCUCUUAUGCCAAACACUCUUAUUAAUUCUAAUAUGGUAUCAGAGCCAUCAACUAUGUCUGGAUCUAAUCAUAUAGCUUCCUCUUCACUCUCAUUUCAUUUUGUUCAACCUGUAAAGCUCGACAGAUCAAACUAUCUAGUUUGGAAGGCUCAAGUGAGAACAUCAAUCAUUGCUAAUGGACUCGAAAGCUUCAUCAAUGGUGAGAAUGUGUGUCCAGAACGCUAUCUCGUGGAAUCAACUCAAGAAUCUCGAAGAUCUGGAGCUGAAGCUUCACAAAAACAAGAAAAUCCAGAUUAUGCUUUAUGGAUGAAAACCGAUAAACUUCUGCAGAGCUGGAUGCUAUCAUCAAUGGUGGAUAACGUUUUAAUCAUGGUGAUCAACUGCGAAACAUCACUUGAGCUCUGGGAGAUGCUUGCCGAAAUCUUCAUGUCACAAUCUAAAGCAAGGUAUCUACCUUUGAAGAUGCAAAUUCAAUCAACAAAGAAAGGAUCACUUUCAGUAAGUGAUUAUUUUAAUAAGAUGAAAAAAAUUGCUGAUAGUUUGGCCAUUGGAGGUAAUCCAGUCACUUCAAAUGAAUUGAUUAUGCAUUUGCUUACUGGAUUGGAUGAUAACUAUGAAUCUUUAGUUACAAAUAUACUUACUAGACUGGAAAAAGAGAAACUCACUAUUGAGGAGGUGUAUUCUAUGAUGCUUAGUCAUGAAACUAGGUUGGAAAUGAACAAAGGAAAAUAUCACAAUGAACCUCAGCAUGAAAUGACAGCAAAUUUUGCUCAGAAAAGUCAAGGAUACAAUAGAUCUGGAUAUAAUCAGAAGAAUACAGGUGCUGGUAAUUCAGGUGGUUAUGAUAACAGUCAGAAUAGCAAUACAGGUCCUGGAAGAGAUGUUGUAUGUCAAAUUUGUUUCAUCCCAGGUCAUGUAGCUUAUAAGUGUAAACACAGGUUCAAUCAGGGCUUUAUUCCUAGAAACAGAGGUUUUGAUGCUUUUAGGCCAAGAGGUGGAGGUCAGAAUUAUAGAGGACCUCCUGGAAAUAAUCAAAAUUAUUUUGGCAGAGGUUAUGGGUACAAUGCUUCUGGUUUUGGGUCUGGAUUCAGGUCUAACUUUCCUAGACAAGCUGGACCUUACUUUGGUUAUGUUGCCUAUCAGAAUCCAGGUGUCAUGAAUUCUCAAGGUGUUUUUGAUUUUCAAGGUGUAAAUGGUGCAUAUAAUGGGGUUCAAACAGCAAGCAUGUAUGCUGGAAAUGUUGGUAUUCCUCACAAUGUACAUCCCUCUGCACAAUUGGCAAAUUACAGCAGUGUAGCUGAUCCAGCUUGGUAUCUUGACUCUGGAGCAACUAAUCACAUUGCUCAAGAUGCAGGUAUGCUAUUUAAAUACUCAACUUACCGUGGCUGUGAGAAACUGCAUGUAGGAAAUGGUAUGGGAUUGCCUAUUCACAAUGUUGGAUCUGUUGCUAUUAAAACCCUGUCUACAAAACCUAUUUACCUGAAUCAUGUUUUACAUGUACCCUCAAUUACUAAAAACCUUAUCAGUGUUUCCAAAUUGCUUGCUGAUAACAAUGUUUUCAUUGAGUUUUACAAUCAUGUCUGUUUUGUUAAGGACAAGAACUCAAGGAUCACAUUGCUCAAGGGGAUUGCUAGAGGAGGUCUUUAUCAAGUUCCAAGUUUGAAUGCAGUCUGUGAUAACUCAAGUUCUGUUGUUCCAGUGUUCAACUCUUCAGAGUCUGUUUUUAAUCCAAUAAAUCAAUUGUCAGUAGUUCCAGUGUCUAUGUUUACACAAUUGAAUUCCCUUGAUACUGAGACUUAUCCUCUUAUGCUUGUAAAUAAUCCUCAAAUCAAUAAAAAUGCCUCUGUAGCUCCUUUUGCUUCGUGUAAUAAGACUGUUGAUUAUAACUUGUUGCACAAAAGAAUGGGUCAUCCAACAACUCAUGCCUUAAAACAAAUCAUGAAGUGCCUGGAUUCAACCUUUGUUCUUUCCAAAAACUCAAAACCACAGUUUUGUGAUGCCUGUCAACUAGGCAAGUGUCAUAUGCAGCAUUUUCCUUCAAUAGAAACAUCAACCACUCAGCCCCUUGAAUUGUUACAUGCUGAUCUCUGGGGACCAGCUCCCAUUACCUCCUCCCAAGGAUACUCCUACUAUCUAUCUAUCCUUGAUGACUAUACCCGAUACACUUGGAUAUUUCCCCUUACAGCAAAAUCCAAAACUCUAUCAGCCUUUAUUGACUUCAAAAACAUGAUAGAAAAUUGUCUAAACUUGAGAAUCAAGUGCUUACAAACUGAUUGGGGUGGGGAGUUCAGGCCUUUUGUGUCAUAUCUCUCUGAACAAGGCAUACAAUUUAGACAUCCAUGCCCUUAUAUACAUCACCAAAAUGGGAAAAUAGAGAGAAAACAUAGACAUAUUGUUGAAACAGGUCUCACACUUCUUGCCCAAGCUCACUUGCCACUCAAAUUCUGGUGGAAUGCAUUUCAUACAGCCACCUAUCUCAUUAACAGACUUCCUACACCUAUUCUCAACAAUAAAUCACCAUUUGAAAAAUUAUUUCACAAGCUCCCAGAUUAUACAAUGAUGAAAAUUUUUGGCUGCUCUUGUUACCCUUAUCUUAGACCUUAUAAUCAUCAUAAGCUUCAGUUUAGAAGUGAAAGAUGUGUCUUUCUUGGCUAUAGCUCACUUCACAAAGGAUAUCAAUGUCUUCAUCCUUCUGGAAGAGUCUAUAUAAGUAAUCAUGUCACCUUUGAUGAAUCAUCUUUUCCCUUCCAAUCAGCUGACAAGUUCUCUACAAAGUCAUGUUCUGAUUCUUUACAUGAGUCUACUUCUUCAAAUCCUCUUGUCUCAUUCACAUUAUCACAGACUGCUGAACAACUUGAUAGAUCUCUCUCUCAAUCUACACCUCCAGCAACUGAUUUACCAUCAACUUCAAACCUGUCCAGUUCAGAAAAUCAUUUGUUGUCUCAUACUCCUAGUCCUAUAAAUCAGCAAUCAUCUUCUCAACCUCUUCAUCACCUAUCUCCACCUUCACAACCCAUAAUUGGUCAUCCUAUGACUACCCGAUCCAAAAUGGGAAUAUUCAAACCAAAAAAGGCCUAUCUAGUUGAAUGUAAUCCUAAGCCAACAGAACCACUUACAGUUUCAGCUGCUCUAAAUGAUCCAAAGUGGCUUCAAGCAAUGCAAGAAGAAUAUCAAGCCUUAGUUAAAAAUCAGACCUGGACACUUGUUCAGCCGACAUCUCCUGUCAAAGUUGUAGGAAACAAAUGGUAUUUAGAAUUAAACACAAUGCAGAUGGUAGUGUCUCAAGGUACAAAGCCAGACUUGUAGCAAAGGGUUUCCAUCAAACUCAAGGCAUUGAUUAUAAUGAGACUUUUAGUCCAGUGGUGAAGGCUUCUACAGUUAAACUUAUUUUGAGCUUGGCUGUUCUUAAUCACUGGUCAUUGAGACAAGUUGACAUAAAUAAUGCCUUCCUCCAUGGUUAUCUUACUGAAGAAGUGUAUAUGCAGCAGCCUGAAGGCUUUGUGGAUCCAGCUAAACCUACUCACAUCUGUAAACUGCAGAAGGCAUUAUAUGGUCUCAAACAAGCUCCUAGAGCUUGGUUUGAUAGAUUAAAAACAGUGUUAACUACUCAAUGGGGUUUCAAGAAUUCCAAGUCUGAUAAUUCUCUGUUUUUUCAGAGGACUCAAGGUCAUCUCUUGCUGGUAUUAGUUUAUGUGGAUGAUAUCAUUGUAACAGGUUCAGAUUCUAUUCAGAUUCAGCAAGUUAUCAAUAAUCUGCAGUCAACUUUUGCUCUUAAAGAUCUUGGAGAACUGCAUUAUUUUCUUGGUAUUCAGGUCACCAAAUCUGAAACAGGCUUACAUCUCUCUCAGACAAAGUAUAUAGCUGAUCUCCUCAACAAAGUUAAGAUGCACGACUGUACCCCUUGCUCUACUCCAAUGGCUGCCAAUGUUCCACUUACCAAAACUGACAGUGAAUCAUUUACUGAUGCAACUUUGUAUAGAAGCACAAUUGGAGCUCUUCAGUAUGCUACCUUGACCAGACCUGAGAUAGCAUUUCCUGUCAACAAGCUCAGCCAGUUUCUAGCUGCACCAACAAAUAAUCACUGGCAAGCAUGCAAAAGGAUCCUUAGAUAUCUAAAAGGUACAAUGCACAUGGGAUUACAAUAUUCAAAUCAAGGUCCCUUACACAUAGAUUGCUUCAGUGAUGCAGACUGGGCAGCUGAUAGGGAUGACAGAAAAUCGAUUGCUGGAUAUUGUGUUUAUUUUGGUCCUAAUCUGGUUUCUUGGUGUUCAAAGAAACAAGGAGUGGUGUCCAGGUCCAGCACUGAAUCAGAGUAUCGAGCUUUAGCAAUGGCUGCAUCUGAGGUUUUAUGGCUUAAGUCCUUGUUGACUGAAAUUGGUAUUUCUCUUGUCUCUACUCCUGUCAUUUGGUGUGAUAACCAAAGUGCUGCUGCUUUAGCAAGCAAUCCAAAAUUUCACUCUCGAACUAAACACAUAGAACUUGAUGUGCAUUUCUUGCGUGAAAAGAUUGCUAAUAAGAGCUUUGAAGUUAGUUAUGUUCCUAGUUCCCAUAACUCAGCUGAUAUCCUCACCAAAGCUUUAGCCUAUCAUCCUUUUCAUUAUUUGAGAGACAAGCUCACCCUGACUUCACCAGGUUGAGCUUGAGGGGGGAUGUUAAGUAUAUAAGUUGAAGCUGCUGAGCUGACUGAAGAUGUUGUGAGCUGCUGAGCUGGAUUAGGUGGUUAUAUGGUUGAUUAAGUUGUAACGAUUUGUCCAGCUGGCAUGUUAUGAUUGGAAGAUGAAAUGGUUUGUUAAUUCGGCAGCUUUGAGCUCUGUUUCUGUUAUCAGUUUUCAGUGUAACUAUAAAUAAUAGUCAACACGAUUACAAUGUAUGAUUUUCAGAUUUUAAUCAAUAAGAAUUUCUCUCAGUUAAAGUUCUCUUUCUCUUUCUCUUAUGCCAAACACUCUUAUUAAUUCUAAUAUCCUCCAAUUCAUUUCUGCUCAAUACAACACCCCGUUCAAGGCUCAUCGUCAAGAACCCAAGAUUCAGUGUGUUUGCCAAGAAAGUUGGACCGUUCCCUCCAUUUCAGCUUGGCAAGUCGAAGGAUGAGAAUUCAUCUGAUGAAAGCUCAAAUGGUGAUUCCGGCAAUUCCAAUCCUUUUCGCUUCAACUUUGGUGAGGUGAGGGAUGUGACAUCUUUGAUCCUAGUUGUGAGCAGCCCUAGAACUGGGCUGUCAUUUGGAACUGGGCAGGCCGGCGUUCGUAUUUUACGGCACACCAAAGGACAGCCGCGGUAGAGACGAAGUUGCAGCGGCGGCAGAGAAAAUGUUGUUUGAGGGAGAAAAGGAGAAAGCACUGCUGCCGUGACUAGAUCGAGGAUAGCCGUGGGGGGGGGGGGGUUGACCAGAUCGAGAACGAUGAGAGGGGGGAGAAGGUUGCUGCCGAAGAGAAUGGGUUUUGUUUCUUAAUCUAUUUUUGAGUUUAGUUUGUAAUAUUUAGGAAACAUGUUAAACACGUUUUCAUGUUUGUAGUUAUAACACUAGAUCUGAAUUUGUUAUUUCGUGAUUUGUUUUUUGAAUCCAUCCCACCAAACAUAUAUUAUGUUUGUAUUAUGAAAACAAAAAUGAAAACAAUGGGUAAAAAACGCUACCAAACGGGCCCUUAUUUUUUUGCUUUUCUGUGGUAGUAAGUCCGACUCCUUAGUGACAAUUUAAAUUGAAAAAAUAAAAUCAUAAAUUAGAAUUAUUUGAUAAGAAUUAAAAUAAUUGAUAAAAAUUUGAGAGGAGCAAUUUUGGAAGAUUCGAUUUCUAAUAGAAAGGGUGAAUUUUACAGCCUUCGGUGAGGAAUCCAAAAUGCACAAUUUGAUGAAAAUUAAAUUUCAAUAGAAAUUGAAUUCCCAUUUAUUAGUGAAAACCAAACAACAGAAAAGUGAAAGGAAUUUGAAUUCAUUUCCUUCCUCUCCUCCCUCCAACUAAACACCAUCGAAAUCCAAAGGUAUGGAUUGGGAUUCCAUAUUGAUCAGAAUGGGAUUUGUCCAUAUUAGUAGGACCAAUUUUAAAAGCAGUCGGAGUUUCGAAGUUUAAGAUUGAAAUUGUCCAAUUAAUCACAAUUGUUGAUUUGGGACUAGAUAAGAAUUUAUCUUGGAACUCCAAUUCUCCAAAAAAAAUACGCUAGCUUCGCCACUGCACUAGGGACAUAUUAAUCAGGUGGGUUAUAUUACAACCAGAGGAUUUAAAUUUGAUUUAAGAUAUGUGGGGUCUGCUUUUGGAUUUAGAAAAUUUGCUCAUUAAGAGUUGAACCCAAGUGACCUACCGUUAGAUUAGAUUAAUAGUGAUUUCUUGUAGUAAAUAUUUGUGAAUUUGAAAUAUGUGAAUUCUAUCCUGGUGAUACAAAACAAGCUUCUUGUACACGAGAACUAUUUAUUUUUAUGAUUUGGAAACCAAUCUAUAAAGAUGAAUUAAGUUGGCAUAAUGGUACAAAGCAGCUUUAAUUUUUCAAUAAAUUCAAAAGUUGGCAAGUUGGUUGUGAUUAUUAUCUUUUCUUUUUUACUAUUUAAACUACAAUUAAUUGAAUCCAAAGACUAAAGGGUUGGAUCGAGAAGAAACUAAUUUUAAGUAGACAUUCCGGCGAAAAUCACUCCCAUGAUCGAGACACUCAUGCAAUCAAUACAAAAAUGGACACAAAAAUUGUCUACUUAAGUUUGGUUGAAUGAUUUUAAAAAUAGUUUUAUUUGUUUCACACUCGAAUUUGGAUUUUGAAAAAGAGUGGGAGUUAAAAAUUGAUUUACACUUUAUCAAUUACUCUAUUUUAAAAAGAAAUAAAUAUUAAAAAAAAUAAAAACAUUAAUUUCUUGUUUGUUUGUACUUACCAUUGUAGGAUAAAUAAAGUGGUUGACAAAAAUUAUAUAUCUUAAAAAUAAAUUCUAGAUUUAUAACUAAUGUAUAAUGAUUUCAAUUCACAUGUUUCAAUCCCAAAUAAAUUCUCCUUUGGUUAUUUGAAUCUUAGCGCGGUAAGAUUUCAUUCUCUUAUAUGCAUUUGUGUAAACUUCUCCCUUUACCUUUAUCAUUUUAUCAACUUUAUUGAUUGCCAAUCAACUUUAGGGUUUAGGCAUGAAUCACACAAGGGAAUGAUAUUGUGGCAAUUUUUUCCCCCUUCUUUUUUCUUUUUGAAAAAAAAAAUUAUUUAUAGCUUUGCUUUGAUGGGUAGAAGACUAGAAGACCAAUUAAUUUCUUUUUGUUGCGUGGUGAUAAUAAUGAUGGAAAUUGCUAUGUACGCGUUGGUGAUUGCAUUGCUAGUCACAUAUUGCUUCCCAUCAUGGAGACAAAGGGGACCCCUCUAUCAAAGCUAGCUGUUGAAAUAUCAUACCCAAAAUCACAUGAAUUCAAAGGUUGAAUGGGAAAACGAUCUUGCUCCUUUGUAUGUUUUAUUUUAUUUAAAGACUUAUUGUUUCCCAUAAGAGAUAAGCUUGGAUCUAUCUUUCCUUUUAAUCAUUUUAGCCUCCAACUCCCAUCUUUUUCAAAAGUUUCGUUUAGCCCAUUUUGAAUGGCAAGGUAAGCUUCAAUUAACGCAACAAGUUCAAGUGAUUCCCGUCAAUAUUCGAUUGCAUGUAUGUAGCUUUGAGUGCUCGAAUUUAUUUUAUUUAUUAGUUGUUAUCACUUAUCAUUUUCUUUUUAAUAAUGAGAUUUGGGCAUUUUCUUUUUAAUAAUGAGAUUCGGGUCCCUGGAUGGUGAUUAGCCAACAGUCUAGUUAUGAGAAAUUAAUGUCUUAAUUACAAUGACAAAAAAGGCAAGUGGGGAUCUCAUUUGCCAUUAGGUAACACAACAUCUUCAGCAUUGGAGCUUUUCUUCCUUUCUCUCCUUCUUUCUUUCUUUCUCAAAAUAAUUGAAAAUCUAAUGCAAUACAAUUAAAUUGAUCAACGAUCUAAUUUAAUCAAUACAUUAUAUUAAGAUAUUUAAAAUAAAAUCGGUUCAAAUGGAAUGAGAAGUUCUACUAAAAAAAUAACAACAUUUAUUCCUUAUUAUUAUUAUUCGAAUUCAAAUAACCUUGGAUUCCAAACGCAUUCAAGACUAGCCAGGCUGCAUAUCCAAGAAGAAAACCAAAUCAAAACUUUAGCCACAAACAUAUACGUGUGUGUGUAUGUGUGUGUGUAUAUUUGUGUGUGUGUGUGUGUGUGUGUGUGUAUAGAGAGAGAGAGAGAGAGUUCUUUCACUAGGUUCAUUUGCGUGAAACUUUUUGAUCAUUUAGGUUUAAGACUAUAUCAUAUAUCCUAUUGCACGAACAUUGAUUAAUAUGAAUGAGUCAAACCCACUAAGCUUGCAACAAAAUCUUUUCAUAGUUACUAGAGAAUAUUUAUAUUUUUUUCAAACAUUAAUAAAAUUAUUGAAUUGCUUUAUUUAUAGUACGUAUACAAUUAAUAGUGUAUGGAUUUUUUUAAUCUAUUGGUGUAUUGAAAUAUGUGUUAUUUAGUUUGUUAGUGAUAUAAUCACUUUGUUAAAAUGAGAAUGUCGUUACUAGAGAAUCAUUAUAUAUACAUAUAUAAAGUGCUUCUAUCCAAGACCUAGACUUUAUUAAAAUUUAAGAAAGCAAAUAUAUUUUAUAUGGUAUAAUAGUGUAAUAACAUCACACUAUUAUAUCAUAUAGAGUAAUAGUUUUUUGGAACUUUAAUAAAAUUCAAGAUUAUAGAAUGAAUGAUUUAUAUAAAUUAGAAUUUUUUUAUCAUAAAUGGAGGAGAAAAUUAACAUAUUUUCAAAUUAUAAUAAGUAUUUAUCAAAUAAUUUAACAUUGCAAUUUCUCCUAACUAGUAUAGUAAAUAAUACGACCUAGGAGGUACAUUCAAAGCAUUUCAUAAGUUAGUUGUUAAUAAUAAAUGAUAUAUGCAGCUCCAAUUAAUCAUCAUUGUACGGUGAAUAAUUUCCAGUUAUAAAUAGAUAUUACUCCCUUCCCAGCAAUUUUUGAUGGCUUAAUUUUGUGGGAUCAAAAUCAACAUUGAAUGUCAAAAUGUUAAUGGCCAAACAGACCAGCUGCCAACAACUUAUUCCAAUGUGAGUAGUUCACGGUGGGUACUGCACAUGAUGCUUGUUUCUCCUUUUGCAUCUAUUUUUGUUGUUAACAUUAAUUUCAAUAGCAGCUCGUUAAUCCCAAUUGUUGAUUUGGGACUAGAUAAGAAUUUAUCUUGGAACUCCAAUUCUCCCAAUUAUUUUAGUUGACAAUAUGUUUAACAUUAUUUUUUCAGUAAUGCUACACAUCCCAAAUUUCUUAUCCCAAAAAGUUAUCCCAAAUGAUGUGUCAUUAAUUGAGUGGUUGAUAAUUAUUUACAAUAUCCAAGUGAAUUAAUUGUAUUAUCUCACCAACCAAUUGAUAAAUGCCACAUCAUUUGGGAUAACUUUUUGGGAUAAAAAAUUUGGGAUGUGUAGCAUUAUUGUUAUUUUUUUUAACAUUAUUAAUUGCAUAUUAUUUAAUUAUCAAUAUAUAAUAUUCUUUAAUUUUCUAAUUUUAUAGGAUUAGACACAAAAUUGAUUAUACCUUUUGAAAUUUAAGGGUUAUGUCAAUUGAAUAGAAAACUUGGAGUUAAACUUGUGGAUGUUUUUGUUGAUUAUCAAUUUAUGCAUGGAUUUUUGUACGUUUAUUUGGUUUAUUAUUAUUACUUUUAAACAUUUUUAUUGGUUUGAUUUAGGGUCAGUUUGGUAAUCCUAUAGCUUUUAAAAUAAUUACAGUUAGCUAUGAUGUAGAAAUUGAUCAAUCGUCAAGAGAAUCAGCUGAACAUUUAGUAAAAUUUAUUUUUAAAAGUACUUUUAGUUUUAAAAGUGUCGCAUGUGUUUCGUAAAUCUUAUUGUUAAACUGGUGCAAAAAUGUAAAUGACUGAAUUGGACAUAAUGCUAAAUAAAAUUUAUUUAUACAUUUAUAAACACGUAUAUAAAAUAUUUUUAUUACGUACAUAUAAUUAUUGAUAACUAAAAUAAAUAUUUUAUAUUAUUAAAUUUUAUUCUCUAUUUUGUUAUCUCAAUAUAAUUGGUAAUAGUAAUAAUCUCUUUAAAGUUAAUCAUUUUAUUUCUUAAUUAAUAAAGAUAAUUUUGAAUUUUUAUUAUAUAAUGAGGAUAUGUAAAUAAAUAUAUAGAAUUUGAUUAAAUAUAAAAGUGAUUCUCAAAAUCAGAUUUUGAAAAUUUAUUCAUUCCAUACUUUUUCAAAAUCUACUAUACAAUGAGAUGAUUUUGCCAAAAGUAAUUACUAAAAAUUAGUUUUUAAUUUUUAAAAUUACUUUUGAACUUCCCAAAAAUAAUCCUAACGGACCUUUUUAUUUGGGUGGUGUUAGAACUUGUGACUUUUGGAUCUUUUAGUUUUUAUUGGUUUGAUACAAUUGUUACCUAAAAAUUAAUUGUAUCUUAAACCCAAACUUCUUCUUCUUCUUUUUGACUAACAAAAUAAAAAAACAAUAGUGAACACAUUCUUUAAUAAACAAUAAGUAAUAACUAAAAUCGUGUUAAAUUUCUUAAAAAUUUUCUUUCACGGUCUGCUAAAUAUUUUUAUUAGUAUUUUGAUUAAAUAAAAAUAAUUGAUUUAAUUUUUUUAAAGAAACUUAUUAGGUUCAUGUAAAGAUGUUUUUGUUAUUUUAAAAAGUGUAGAAAGUACUCCUAAAAAAAAGUGUGGAAAGUAAAACUUAAUUUUUUAAAUUUAUUAGCUUACUGCAUAAAUAAUUGAGUGUUCAUAAUGAUUUUUAAAGUAUAGAUAGUCGGACCCUAAUAUUUUUAAUAUGGAAAUUUUGCUAAUAUGUUAAUGAGAAUUAAAAAGAUAAUUAAGGGAGGCAAUUGAGACAUUCAGGAUAGUUAGGAUGGGACAUGAUUGUGAGCGGUUAGAUAUUGGUCCUAAUUUUGAUCACAAAUAUAUAAACAGGACGAGUUUAUCUCUACUUACAUUCCAUUUGAUAAUUAAGAUGAGAGUGGAAUCGUCAAAUCCCAAAUCAUCCCGGACCCUUGCCAUCAAAGGUACCCUCACUAAUAAUAUCUAAAGAAAAAUCUACAUCUAUUUCAUACUUUUUUUUAAUGGAAAGAGCCCUCAUGGGGCUUGAAAUGGUAUCCUAAAUAAUAUUGAGAAUAUCAGGUCAUGAUUGGGUUUGUGACAAACAAAUACUACAUAGUUGGGAUACGUAGUUAUAAUGUCCCAAUUUAUGUAGUAUCUAUCAUUUAAUGCACAUAUAAAGUAUUAAUCAGCUUAAUUAAUUUAUAAAAUCUAAAUCUAAUUAAUAAGUGACACAUAAAAGCCAAGUGCAAUAUAUGCAAGUCAUGUUUGUCGAUCAUUACAAAGCUGGCUCUUGAAAACAAGCAAGAAAGCUUAAUUAAGAACUUAAAACAAAAAGAAAUUUAGAUUGAGAACAGUCAAGCCUUAUUUUUUUCAAGGAUGGAGCUUAUAAAUCUUCAAGUACCAACAUAUGCUUGGCCCAAUUAUUGUUAUUAAAAAUUCAAUAUAUAUAUAUAAGUAUGACAUAGCAAAAAUUUGAUGGUACAUAUGUCGGAAUAUACUAGUUCAUGGAUGCAUUUGAUUAUUGUUUCCAUAAAUUUGAACCAGGAAGGAUAACACGAUAAAAUUUGAUUUUAUGGUAUGGUUGAUUUCAUAUCUCAUGCACUCAUUUCUUAAGAUAAUCAAAUUUUCUCUGGCAUCUUUUGCAACUGUGGAAAUAUCAAUUAUGAUCAAUCAAAACGAUUUCAAAACCUCUCAACGAGACAUAUUUAUAAUACAAUGUUGUGAAAAUUACACCAAAUUUUAAUUUAUUAUAUAUUAUUAUCCAACGAGCACACAAAAAUGAAUUCGUACAAAUAGAGUUUACCAUGUACUACAAGAAACUAGGGUAUAAGUGACCCCUAAUGUGAAUGCAAAAGAAGCCAUUAUGUAUAUCACUAACUCCUAGGCUCUAGCUUUGUACCCCGACUUGCUUUUGUUACCCUUUAUGUGACGGCCACACCGCUAUCACAUAUGUUAGUUACUACCCGCGUGACGGUAAAGAGCCGUUCGGUAUAUUACUAUUUUAUAAUUUUAAAUUUAAAACUAUUCGCUGGACUCCGUGUUACUAGCCACCAUCGUAAGCCUAACUGGUUGCCGGCGAACUGCGUAAAACACUGGCCAUCUUCUUUUUCAUCGUCUUCUCCCUUCAUCUUUUGAGGUAAGCUUGUGAUUAUGUGUUUCUUCUCUUACUUAGCUUGUAAUUAUAGACUUUGAUUUUUUUUUAAUUGGCAUUGUAGCCGUUAUUGUCAAUUUUUGUCCCGCCAGCAAUAUAUUUUUAUUGCUUCAAGUUGAAGCCCCUGUUUUCUUGUUCCAUUGGUGAGUUUGCUCACUCAAAUUAAUUUUGUUCUGCGGAAUUUGCAACGUUCAAAUGGAUUCGUUUGAAUUACUAUUGAAUUUAGCUUUAAUUUCAACAUCCAUUCUAAUGUUUUGCUAUUAGAUUUACUUUAAUUUUAUGUUUAAAGCUUCUACAGUGAAUAGCGGAGCUUGGGUUUUAGUUUCAUUUUCUAGAUAACUUGUUUAUCCUGUAUGCUCACCAAGUGCUUGUUAUAUUGUCUGAUAAGUUAUAAACAUUGCUGAUUUUAUAUUAAUAAUGUUACGUUGUAUUUUCAGAAAUUAUAAUACAAAAGUUUUUGCAAUGGCGUGCAUCUACAAACUGAAUUGACUUGUAGAAUAAGAGCUCGGAGUAGUGUUAUGUUCUUGAAUAAUUGAAAGUUCAUAUUGUGUAAGAGCAUGUAGAUGUAAAGCAUCAUUACCAUUUCUACAAAGUGCUUUCAUUCUGUUCAUAUGCUCUUCUUGAACUUUGAAAGGUGCCUCGUUCAAGUCCUAGCUAUAACUACUAGCUUUGAUUAAUUAAGUUCCUAUACUAGCUGAAACAGAUUUAUUUAAUUAAUUAAUUGUGUAUGUACUAAUUAUAUUGAAAGUAUAUGAAUUUUUUUUUAACAUGAAUGACUUCUAAAUGACUUAAAAACCUAAAGGAUGUGUGAAAUAAUGCUCAUUUCACUUGAAUGAGCCCAUUAAUACUUUUAUGUCUAUGAUUUUCAAUAUUGGCUAAAGCAUUUCAGUUAAGUGGUUUACCUAACAGAGAAAAAAAUUUAAUAGAAAACUUCAGAGUUCUAACAGAAAUAUAGUUCACUAUGCAGAUAUAGUUAUUUUACGGUAUACAAAUCAAGUUGUCCUAAUCUCAAUGCCCCAUGACCGAUUUUAUUUUAUAUAGUCAUUAAUUUUUGCCAUGGUUUUUUGUGUUUAUGAGUUUGAAAUAGUGGGAUUUGGUGUACCUUAGCAUCUUUUGAAAAUUCUCUUUAAGUGUGGCCAACAGAAAUAUACAUAUAAUCAAGUUUCUUAAUCGUGUAUAUUAGUUUUGGGUAUGAAUGUUCCUAUUGUAGUUCUAGGCAAAGCUUCUUCGUUUUGGUCUUCAGAUUUCCAGUAGGUUAAGUUAAUCAACUAUCAUAACUGGCUAGCUAGUUAUUGUCUGCCUUGGCGCCAUUACCCAGGCCAUUAUAUUGCAUAGCAUAAGGAAUAGUGAUUAGGUGAUUAUUAGUGAUUUGUUGAGCUUAUUAUUGACCAAACAAACAUAUUCGCCUUUGCCCACAACUUAGUUUGAUUAGUUAUUAGACCACAAAGAGCCUUGAUCUAUUCAUUGGCUUUAUUAUUUUUAUUUGGUUUUUCUUUCAACAAUAUUGUUGAUUUCUUAUAAAAAUAUUCAUUGGUUUUUAAACACCUAAUCAUUGGCUAUAUGAAGCUAAUUAAAAAUGAGGCUUUGGAUCAAUUUCUUCUAACAAGAUACAAAUGAGCAUAACCUUUCUCCUCUAAGUAAAUUUUUUUAAUAUCCUUGAUUUGUAAGGAUCUGGAGACCUGAAAUCCUCUAGAUGUUUUUUAACAUUGUCAAUAUUCUUUUUAUUCUGAAAAGGAAAUAAAAGGUUUUAUCUUUCAUACCCUAAUAGUAAGCUGGCCUUGUCUUAACAUGGCUUCCCGAGGAUUUGCAAGAUUCAUAGUUCCCCCAACCACCACCCCCCCCCCCCUCCCACCAAAAAAAAAAGAAAGAAGGAAGAUUUUCCAAGAUUCACUACCAGGUUUUUUUUUAAUUUAUUAAUUGUGUGUACGUACUAGUUAUAUGUUGAAAGAAUAGGAAGAAGUAUUUCAACAUGAAUGACUUAAAACUUAUUGCUCAGUAAACAUAAUCUGCAUCAGUGCGAAAAUGUAUUUAUCGUUUGUAUUUUUUAUGGUUUUGCUUAAGAAAUGAUAUGUGAAAUAAUGCUACAUUGUAUCAGGAAUAAAUUGAAGAGAUUUAUGAUAUUUAUGUGUUAUUCAAAUUUCAGAUUCAAUUUUAAACUUUUGAUACGUGCAUUGAAAGCUUAGACUUGUUUAAGAAAUUAUUAAUAGACACAUGUUUUAUUAGUGUCAUCUUUGGAUGAUAGUGAGGAUCAUAUGUCUAUUAAUAAUUCUUGAAUUGUCCAAGCUUGGACAGUUUGGGAAUGCAUAGUUCUCUCUGGUAGCUAGUAGCUGAAGUUUUUUUCCCACGUAAAAAUGGGUUUUUCGGUAGCUGCUCCUCGUGUUCUCUGGGUACGUACUAGGUGAAUGGGUGUCAUGUGUUGUUUUGGCAUAACGCAUAAACACUUAUAUAGCUACGUCGUGAGCUUGGAGAAUUAUAGGGAGAUGGUGCUGAAAUUUUUAUAAACGUAGAAGAAAACUUUAGGUACUUGAGAUUGAAGAAACUUAUGCAUUCUUGAGUGGGAUAUGUAGGAUUUAUCACUUACCUUUGGUAAAUAGGAAGGGAAUGUUGACUCCUUGAAAUAUGCCCAAACCCAUGGAGUAUCUAAAUAAGUCUGAAAACCAAACACUGUUACCUACUAGACGACAAAGCAGAAAAAUUUUCUUGACUUGCUCACCUUUUAAAUAAUUGAAACUCAGCUCAAUACUUGAAUAAGUCUCUGCAGGCACCCCUUCGAAGUUUACCAUUGAAGGCUCUCGCAAGGCAUUCUUCCAUUCAUGGAGACUCUUGUUUCUCAGUGCCCUCGCUACAGUAGUCAACGCAUGGGCAAACCUCCACAUGCCUUAGCCACAUUAAUUGCUGUAGACUUGAACUUACAACUUUCAACAUCAUCACCAUUCAUUAUCUUAAACAAUCGCCAGGCUUCUUGUUCAGUUAGAUUGCCAAUCAAAAAGUUAUCUUUGGAGCCCAUACUUAAAAGCACAUUAUUAUCUCUUGCUGUCAGCAAUAGUCUGAUAGGUCCCGAUCAAAUACAGAAAAGCAGUGCCUGAUAUUCGUUCAAUUUAUGGUAUGAACAACCAGUAUUUGUUUUGACUAAUUUCCUUCCUUUUAAUCGUCAUGGUUGCUGCUUAUUUAUCCAGAUAAACAUAAAGUAUACUACUGAUUUGUAGCCUAAAACCUUGGCUCAAAUCCAGCCAAAUCAAAUCAAUAUUAACAACUAGAUAAAAACAAAACAGAAAAUAAAUUAACUUGAUUCUUGGCAACAACUUUGAUGUAGUCUUUUUGUUAGAGUACAAUUUAUGCACUAGUUUUGCAUUAUUUACUUCCUUUAAUAUCGAUGUUUUGCACUUAAUAAUAAUGAUUAACUUGUGUUUUAUUUUUGUAGGUGCAAUUCUAUUGAUUGGUGCUAAAAUUGAGCUACAAGAUGAUAUUUGAGGAUCAUUGAUUUCUUGGAGAAAUUAUGAGCUUCAGAAAAACUGUGUUGAUAAGGUGUGGGCACGUGCCGUCAACUGCGGACCUACAGUUUUUAGUUUAACGUAUUUUAUAUUUUUGGUUAUUUUUGUAAUUAUGAAUUUAAUAUUUAGAUAAUACUUUAGAUAUCAGUAUUUUAUUGUAAAAAGAACUUUAGAGGAGAAGAGGGAGAAGAGAAUUUAAGGGAGGAAUGUAUUGUGAAAAGGAGAGAUUUUUGAAAAGAGAAAAACCCUAGAUCUAAAUUUUUCUCUUUUCUCUAUGAGGAACUAAACCUAUUAUUCUGGUUGAAGGUUAAUGAAGGUUUGAUUCAUCACUACUGUGAGAUCUUUCUUAUGCUUUAAUUAUUUUAUUAUUUUUUGGGUAUUUGUUUAUUCUCUGAAUUAUUGUCAUGAUUAUGUUUGUUAAUUAGAUAAUUGACCACUAUUUAAUUAUCAACUUAAUAUGUUGUCAAUUAAAUGAUUUAUCGUAUGAAGAUUUUAAUGUUUGUGACAAAUAGCAUAGCAGUGCAUUGUGUUAUGAGAAUAAACAAUCUAAUUUAAAUGAACCAUUGUAUGCGUUUAUUUAUUAGAAUUUGGGUCUCUCUGGAUUUUCAGGCUGUCAAUUGAUUAAAUCCUAUGAUCGUAUCUAGGUUGUCUAUUGAUUAGGGAAAUAACCAACGGUCGUACUUUGGUUAUCGAUUAGUUAAGAAGAGAUUGACUAUUAGAGGGUCUCAGUAGCUAUAACCGAUCUAUUCAUAAGUAGUAGUGAUUUAUAAUUGAAUCAAUGAUCAGUAAUCAAAUCAAGCUGAGUUAAUUCCUUCAACCAGAGCUUUUUCCAAUUUGAAUUAAAAUUUUAAUUUGCAUUCUUGUUAUUUUUAUUUGAUUUUUAUUAUUGUCAACAAUCCCCCCAUUUUGCAAUUUACUUUUUAAAAGAAUUUAAAUAAUUACCGAUCUCUGUGGACACGACCUUACUCAAUCACUAUACAUAAUUUAUUUAGAGUAGGUAUUUAUUUUUACUGGCUUCGACAACCAUCACUUUUACUUCAAUAUCAAUUCCUCACGUGCUCUUAUUCCAACUAACUCGCAUGAAAGUGUUAUGUGGGAGAUCAAUUGCAUGGCUUGCAUGGGCAUGGUUUGCAUGGUCAAACAAAGUCCACAAGCUUGCUGCUUGGCUUUGAAACUCUAGCUGAUCUCCUUGGUUGUCUAUCAAAGUCUACAUCCUUUAUGAUUAUUUCCAAAAAGAAUUCCAACGGUCUCCAAAUCAAGAUGUUUCCAGAUAUUAUCUAGAAUCACAAGAAUCUUAUUCUCACUCUUCAAUCGUUCAUUCAGCUUGCUAGCUCUUCUAUAUUCAGCUUCAUGGGACAACUCCAGACCUAACUUCUCUGUAAUUUCCCCUUGAAUCUUUUUUUAUCUCUGGAGUUUAUGAAACCUCUGAUAAAACCACCCGAUAAAACAACUUCUUUUCCCUGGCUUGCCUAGCAAACUCCUUCACCAGUGUGGUCUUUCCAAUGCCGCCGAUGCCGUACACCCCAAUAAUGCUGACAUUCGCCUCAGUCAAUGCAUUUUUUAUAGAUUGCAAAGUAGAAAGUCUUGAUUCGAAGGCCUCGUAACCAUUGCUAGAGUUAAGCCAUAUCUGCUCCGGAAUGGUACCGUGGGAAACAGUAUCAAACUUCUUAACUUCUUCUCCAAGUUCAAUAAUGGCCUUCACCUCCGUCUCUGCUUUCUUGCUAAGCUGAUAGCGACUCUUCCAAAUAGGACUCAAGCCCUUGACACAGCGCUUAUUCGUUGACUCCUCAUCUUCAAUGAAUUUGGCUGCCCGGUCAAUGAUGCCGUUCGUACUUCGCACUAACCAGCCACUUUUCAACCUUCUCUUCAAUCUCUUCCCCUUUUUCUUUCGCCUCUGAAACCCUGCGCUGAAUGCUCGUACGUUCAACCUUCAACUUCUCCAUUUCCGCCUUGAUAUUCUCAAAGUUGGCAUUGUAGUUCCGCUUUCGCAAAUAAACAAGUUGGCGUGCAGUUGGAGGAGCCAAGCAUUUUACAAGUUCCAAGACGAUAGUCACAAUGAUUUCCAGCAUCUCGAAGCCUGACAAAAACGUAGAAGCGAAGAAGGCCAAAGGAAAGUAAAAACAAAGAGACAGCGAUAGGACAAGCAAUUGUGUUUUUCAGAUGAGAUGAAGGAAACAAGAAAAGGGUUUCUAUCACGACGUAAAGAGCUAAAAGAGCUGAUGGGUACAGAAUUAGAAAUGAGACUGAGGAGUGAACAAAGCUAAAUAAUAACAGAACAAGAACAAUGACGAAUAGAAGAAACAGUACCAAAGAGCCGUUUAGAUGAUUAGAAUGAAACUAAGCGACUGGAAAGAGUGGAUAGUAGACUAAAGAGAAAGUGAUUGAUUAUUUUAGGAGGCCAAUUAACGUAAUGACAGAUCCGGUUUCGAUGUUUGUAAUUUGAAUAUGAGGUAAAUCGAUUCUUUGUCGAGCCAGUCAAAUACAAACCCAAAUUAGUAAAACACGAGCCGGCAACUUUUACUCACACAAAAGCCAAUAAUAUAUUGGGAUCACGCAACAUUGCAAUAAAGUUAUCAUCAAGUUGUAGCCUUCUUAUUCAAUCAAUUAUAGCAUUAUCUCUAGCUCUGUAUUUUUUUUAAAAAAUAUUAUUCAAAAGAUGUCUGUCAUUAAUUUUUCAAUGAUUAAAAUUAUAAUUUUUGUUUAAUAUAUAUAACGUAAAAUUUUAAAAGAAUCAGACAUGCAUUAGGGUAAAAAAUAAAAAAUAUGGAGGUAGCUUUUAACUAGGUAAUUGGCUCAACUAUGGAUCAGUGUGAGAUCACUAUUUUUCUUAUAAAAAAAAAAAAUUCCAGCCAAACAAUUGUCGCAAAAUUUUAAUAUAAAUUACAAAAAAAAGACAAUAUUUUCUAAAAUCAUAGCAAUAAUUUAUAUUUUGAAUACCUGUAAAUAAACCACUUAGACAAUAUUCAGUAUGUGUAUAUGUAUGUAUGUAUGUAUGUAUGUAUGUAUGUAUGUACGACCAAUAUAACAGUUCAAAUUCCUCGAGAAGUAAUAAUAGGAUGCAUCUGACAAACCUCUUAAUACCAUGAUGAAAUUGAAUGGUCUUCAUACAUGCUUGGCAGAGCUCUAACAUCUGUUUUGUGGGGAAUGGUGGCUGACCGCUGUGGUCGAAAGCCUGUAAUAAUAAUAGGAUGCAUCACAGUGUUAGUGACCUCUAUUUUCAAAUGAUCAAGCUUGAAAUUGAUGAUAUUUUGGCAAUUUCUGGGUUUCUUAUUUGUCUUAAAAUGCUCACAGGGUUAUUUUUAACACUCUCUUUGGGCUUAGUGUUAGUUUCUGGAUGGCCAUAGCUACAAGGUUUCUCCUUGGGGCUUUGAAUGGUUUACUUGGACCAAUUAAGGUAUUGAUUGGGGGUAUUUGUUGAUAAUUCCAAUUUAACUCCUGUAAAUAUUUGUACUCAAACUUCUCUUGCACCACCAGGCAUAUGCAUGUGAAAUAUUGCGCGAUCAACACAAAACUUUAGGACUGUCAACGGUGAGCUUAUCAGUUCGUGAAUGAUUGCAAAGUUCUUGAGAAAAUUUUAUAGCAUCAUUUACCUUGAGAACUACGAUAUAAUUUCAGCUCAGUACAGCAUGGGGCACAGGAUUGAUUAUUGGCCCUGCAGUGGGUGGCUUUUUGGCCCAGGUUCGGCAAUUUUUACUUGAUUAUUAUGCGCUUUUUUUUUUUUUUGAAUUUUUAGUAGUUUGGCUUGAUAAAUAUUAUUCUUAUAUAUAUUCGUGGAUAAUUUUGCAAUCCAGCCAGCAGAGAAAUAUCCAAAGGCAUUUUCCAAAGAAUCUAUGUUUGGAAAGUAAGUGAAUUUUUACUGCCAUUAGCCUUAUCUUUUUCUGUAAUACUUUCAAUAUGAUGGUAUUUUGAAAAACAAAUUUAUGCAGGUUUCCUUACUUCCUUCCCUGUCUCUGUAUGUCACUCUUUGCUUUUGCGGUAACUAUUGCUUCUUGCUGGAUUCCGGUACGUAGCCUUUAGCUCUCUUUUCAAGCUGAAUUGUACAUGUAAUAGCAACUCUCCCAUAACUUCAAAUUUUCUUAUGGGUGAGACUAUAAAAUAUAACUUUCGCUUCUCUUAUAAUGACUACAUUGACACCAUCACAUGCUUUUUGAUGCAGGAGACAUUGCACAAACACAAUGAAGAUGGUGUAUCACUUGAUGUAUCAUGUGAUGCUUUGGAAUCCGCCUGUGGGUCCAAUGCAGAAUUUAAACAAGAUGAAGGAAGUGAGGAGGCCACUGCUAAGAAAAGCCUCAUGAAGAAUUGGCCCUUUAUUUCUUCUACUAUUGUUUAUUGUGUUUUCUCGCUUCAUGAUAUCGCUUACACCGAGGUAUAAACAUCUCUACCUGAGUUUGAUUGUUUAUAUAUAUAUAUAUAUAUAUAUAUAUAUAUAUAUAUAUUCUACUUUAUUAUGACAUAAAAAUGUUCCAAUCCAAAAUCUAAACUAUUUUAAUGUUCGGAAAAGUUAUUGUUGAUGCCGAAAUCUGGAUGAGUUGGUCAAAUCUCAGAUCCCUGCAUCAGCAUUAAAUUUGUUUGGUGGGAAGCUGAUGAUUAGUUAGCACCAUGAGCAGAUUUUCUAUGAGCAGAUGUUCUGUGAGCAAACAACCCAUGAGCAGACGAUCCAUGAGCAGAGAACCCAUGAGCAGACAAUCCAUGAGCAGACGAUCCAUGAACAGAGAACCCAUGAGCAGACAAUCCAUGAGCAGACAACCCAUGAGCAGACAAUCCAUGAGCAGACGAUCCAUGAGCAGAGAACUCAUGAGCAGACAAUCCAUGAGCAGAUAACCCGUGAGCAGACGAUCCAUGAGCAGAGAACCCAUGAGCAGACAAUCCAUGAGCAGAUAACCUGUGAGCCUGUGAACACAACCAACAGUCAGGAGGUGCCGGAAGUUUUUCCGGCGAGAACUCUCCGACGCUCAAGUCAGCGAUUCGGGUCUUACUUGGAAAAACCCAUACCACAAUUCAUGUGGCUUAAUUAUGAUUGCUUUAAACAAAAAGCUUUUAAGUAAAUUUAAAGGAAAAAAAUUCACAAUAAUCAAUCUUAAAGAAAUCACAGGCGAAAGAGAAAUUUCUCAGUAGUAGAGGAAGAAAAAGGUCCAAUGGGUUCAGUUGCUUAGAGAGAGAGAGAGAGAGAGAGAGAGAGCUAGAAGAAUCCCCCCUUAGGGUUUUUAUAUGAAAAUAUAGCGGUUUUUAUCCUCUCCCAUAGGAUUCUCAAGAAAACUACUAAUUUUCAGCCCACUAAGAAUAUGGUCCCUAAUAUUUCGGAGAAAAUGUUUUGACUGAAUCGUGUUUUCUGGUAACUUCCUAGUCGAGGUGACCAAUAACAUCCUGGUCGAGGUGAUGUGCUUGAGGUCACCACAUAUUAUUCUGGUCGAGGUCAUCACAUAUUAUCCUGGUCGAGGUGAUCAAUAAUAUCCUGGUCGAGGUGAUCUGCUCGAGGUCACUACAUAUUAUUCUGGUCGAGGUGAUCUGCUUGAGGUGACCAAUAACAUCCUGGUCGAGGUGACCAAUAAUAUCCUGGUCGAGGUGAUCUGCUCGAGGUCACCACAUAUUAUUCUGGUCGAUGUGAACUAUAAUAUCCUGGUCGAGAUGAUCUGCUCAACCAGUUAUUAAGCCACAUGGUUUAAUAGUCCAAUGACCAAUGGCUUUCCCGAACUUGAAUAAAGUCCAGGAUCCUGGAUCAGAUCGCUUUCUGUUAGAUAUUUGCAAAGUUAUCUCUUAACUUCUACCUGAAACAGAGGGUGCUAUUGCUGUUGAUGGGAUUGUUUUGAGUUUUAUACAUAAAGAAGACAUAUGGCUAUUACUGAUCCUAAGAAUUUCUUAUCUAUGUAAUUUUUUUAAAUCAUAAUAUUGCAACUAUUCUGUUAGAUAUUUUCACUGUGGGCUAUCAGCCCGUGGAAGUACGGGGGUCUGAGUUACUCAACCGAAAAUGCUGGCCAAGUUCUUGCCAUCUCAGGUGCAAAACCAAUACUCUUGUUGCCCAUUUAUACUUAUUACGAAACUGAAAAUGUUACUCGUUCCUCUUAACUUCUUUUCUCAUGCAUCAACCCCACAAAACUGCUUAUUGAUUGUCCUCAACUCCUCAUUUUGAACUUACUGCAGGAUUCAGCCUCCUUGUUUUUCAACUUACUCUAUACCCUUACGUUGAGAGGAUGAUCGGGCCAAUAAUAAUAACACGCAUUGCAGGGGUAAAAUUUUGAACAAACCAUGUGGCAUUUAGAUCAUUUGAUAGUUUGUUUCAAACAUAUUUGUUUAUAAAAUACUUUUCUUCAUGGAUUUGGUGACGUAAUUUUCUAUGUAUAUACAGGUUUUAUCGAUACCGCUUUUGACAAGUUACACUUACAUAGCAAUGUUAUCUGGGUUCAGCCUUGCCUUAUUGAUAAACUGUGCUUCUGUGAUGAAGAAUGUUUUAUCUGUAAGUGGAUAUCCUAAUCAUUGAUCCAUAUACUUAGGUUAUAUUACCCAUUAGCAAGAAUGUAUAAAAAUUAUUUUAUAUCUUCUUUAUCAGAAAUGUUGUAAUUCUCUUUCACUUUUCCUGAAUUAUAACAUCAGGUGUCUAUAAUGACUGGAUUGUUCCUUCUGCAAAACAGAGCAGUGGUAAAUAUAUUUUCUUUUGUUUGUUUAGUACAUUUCCAUGCUUUCAGCUUUUUCAUGCUUUGUAUGUGUCAAAAGUUUAAAUUAUUUUUUUGGUUUAUGGUAUAAUAACAGGAACAGCAUUAUACCAUAAUGGACUUGCUAUGACUGUGGUGUCGCUUACCAAAACUGCCGGUCCAGCUGUAGGAGGUGCUCUGUAAGUGUCCUAUUGAUUUUGUAAAAUUAUAUGUAAAUGAUGUUAUAAUUUUUUUUCAUUAAUUGGGGUUCUGGCAGAUUUUCUUAGUCACAAAAGCGUCAAGGUGCUGGUUUCCUCCCAGGUAUGAAUUUACUAAUGAAAUUUCUCACUAGUAUGUGAAUUACUUGGUGCUAAUUAACUUAAUCAGCUGCUUAAACUAAAGUGCAGGUAACCAGAUGAUUUUCUUCAUUCUGAAUUUGGUUGAGGCACUUGGAGUAAUAUUGACAUUCAAACCGUUUCUGAUUCAACGUGCCACAUGAGUAGAGAAAAGAUGCACCUGUUGAAAUAUUAAAAUACAUAUCUAGCAAAUUAAAGUUUUCAAAAUCUAUCAGGAAUUUGAUUAUUUGUGUGGUUGCCACUCGCCAUAUUUUGUGUUACUGUUCUAACGGCUUAAAUAUGAAAAUGGUUGUUGGUGCUCACAAAUUGAUUGCUGGUAACAUUAAUUGCUCAAUAUUUAUCUCUGUUGAUGUUUCAACUUAUUCAUUGUCAGUAAUACCACAAUUUAUCUUCACAAUGAUUCUAUCUAGAAAGAAAUUUUCAUAUCAAGUAAAAUAUUGAAGCCAUAAAGAGUCUUAUUCAAGAGCCUUAAUUAAGUACUAAAGUUUUCUGCCAUGAUUUCAAUGGUAACACAUUCGGAGCUUUUACUCCAGGGGCUUCACAGAAGAGAGACCUGAUGGAACCAGGCAUUAGAAUUUAUGAUGACGGAAAAUUGGACGUUGAGAUUGAAAAUAUAGAGAAACACAAGUUUUUGAAAAGUCUGAAAUUUUAUUAAUAGAUAGGUCUGAAUAACAAAAUUUGGAUUUUGGACCCUCUUUAUACUAAUUCUAAAUAUUACGAAUUUACCAAAAUAAGCAAACCUAAAAUAUUAUUAUAUAAUAACAUUCUUCUAAUAAAAAUAAAAUAAAUCGUACUUAAAUCUUAUAUUUGUAGAAAAAAAAUAAAAAUCUUGAAAAUAAUAAGAAAAAUAAGAAAAUAUCUUAAACUUGUAAAAUAACUAUGAAACAAAUAGAAUUUCUAGCUGGACCACGAGACCAAUACAAUGUUAUAGUAAUAGAUUAAUGAUAUAUUAUACGCCCUAGAUAGAUAUCUAUAACUCAAGUUAUGAUCUCAGAGCGAUAUCCUACUCAUCAUAUGCAACCAUUGGUUGCAUCAACUUUGUUCCAAAAUUAACAAGAAACCAACCGACGCAUUGCAAAUAAUUUAGAUGAAACGAUGAAAUAAACUUAGAGAUCAAACAAAAUGAAAUGAAAACGAUUGUUACCUCGGACCUUGUUCUUCAAAUUUGACAACACCAUGUAAUAAAUUAAAAAGCCUAUGGGAUCAGAACAUAUCGUACUGCUGAAAAUAAAUUAUGUCAUUCAUUAAUUUGAAGUAAAAUUUGUAAAUUUAGGUACUUGCACAUAGAGAUUUGCAAGGGGAGCGAGAGAUUCAAUAGCGGCAAUUUAAUUUGACAGGACUUUCAUUGAAUAAUGAAAUUAAAAACUAACGAUUAAUGAAUUUUUUAUAUUCUCUUAAAUCUAGUGGAAAUGUCAGCUCUAAAUAGGACAGUUUCAAGAAUCUUUAUCUGAAAGCGUAAUUUGCAAAGCAGAAACUUGUGAGACUAUCUAAAUCACACAGACUCGACGUCUUCAAUUUGCUGAAAACAAUCUCUUGUUUUGAAAUUAAAUUUGGUGCUCCAUCUUCUUCUCCGUCACCUAUUAACACCUCUGUCAAACACCUCUGUCAUUGGCCUGCAUCCAGUUACCUUCAUUGAUACGAGCCGCACUCGACUUUCUGCUGUAGUGGAUGGAUGUUACAAUUCUUUGCAAUGGAAAACCACCAGUUCUGUUAGAUUCCCAAAAGUUACAGAUGAUCAUGGGAAUAGACUUAAAAGAUUUUUACAAGCAUUAAUAUAGCCUUAGAAUUUCAAGAUAUUGAAAAUGGAGUCCAGUUUGGAGUUGCUUCAGAUGAUUAAGUCUGGACAGGAUUAACCAUUUUAUCAGCGCCAACUUCCUCCCUUGUUUCUACCAGUAUCCGGCUUCAUUUGAGAAUAUCUCUUUGUAUGAGCUAUAAACCCAGUAGGAGAUAUUCCCAAAAAAAAAAAAAAAAAAAAAAAAAAAAGACCUUAUUUCAAAUGAUGCACAGAAGAAGAGUUACCUGAAUCUUCAUGAGUAUCCAGACAUUCUACAAUCACAGAGUAAAGAAUUUUAAUAGGAACAACAGAGAAAAUACUGUUCUUCUGCACUUCUCAUAAAACUAGACCAGAUUAGUCCCUUUCUUGGUAUCCAACGUUUUCAAACAAUAUUUCCACAAUAUAGUUUUUCAUAGCGAAGAGUUUUGCUUUGAUGGCUUAAGGAUUUGUUCCAGGCAUAAUGCUCUGAUUAGAUUUUGUUUAUUUUUAAUUUUUUUUAAUUUUUUUAUCCGAUGAAUGAUUUUCAGCUGUUCUUAAUUAUGUGUUCAUAGGGAAGAGCAUUUUCUAAGUACUUCCUUUGCCUUCUAAGUUUCCAAAGAAAGAUAGGUGUGAAGCAAACCAAACCAAAUGAACAAACAGAGCACAAGCUAAAAUAACAGAACAGCAAUGAUGAAAACAAAUAAUUGGCGAAGAAAGAUAGGAAAAAAGUACGCACGAUUUCAUGGAAUUAUAAAAUAUGAAGGCUUUUAAUGAAAUUUUAUCAUAAAAAGUAUGCAAGGAAUUAUACAAUUUUAGAAAACAAGGGAAACUCUCCAAAAAAAAAAUAAAAUUAAACUAGACUGAAAGACAUUCAAUGAUGCAAAAUCUGUCCAUAAAAGUCUGAACGAAUCAUUAAAAUGGCAUUCCAAAUUUAACAGUAAAUCGAGUGACCCAUUCUAAAUAAUUCAGAUGAAAUUGCGAAAGAAGCCAUGAGAUCAAAUAAAUGAAAUAAAAAUUAAUUACCAGUUGAGACUUUCUUCUAAAAAUUCACAACUCCCAAGUCAUAAGAAGCCUAUGAAAUUAGUACCGGGUGGAGAACGACGACGGCACCGCCAACAGCUGAAAAUAAAAUUCUUAUUCAUCAAUUUAAACUUUUACUUUAAACAAAUAUCUUAUCUAUAUUGUAUUUUAAAAAGCAAAUUUUAUAAAAAUUUAUCAUGGGAGAUAGAGAGUAAUAUGUAUAUCCGUACCUUCUCAGCAUGUAAUUGUUGUAUGGUUGCGUUUAGAUCAUUAUUAGCCCAGCACCGUUGAUCCGCUGUCUCUCCAUACCAGACGUAUACUCCCGGAGGCGUGAUUGAUUCUCCUGUAGUGAAAAUCUUCAUCUUGGGACAACAAAUCACCCCCAACUCUUGCAAAGAUGGGAAUUCAAAGGUGUAAUUGGCAGAGCAGAAACUUGUGAGGCUGUCUAAAUCACACAGUUCCAACGUCUUCAAUUUGCGGAAAACAAUCUCUUCUUUUUCAACCCCGUCUUUGUCAUUUAUUACCACCUCUGUCAUUGCUCUGCAUCCGUAUACACCAAGUGAUACGAGUCGCACUAGAGUUUUUGCUGUGGAGGAUGUUACCAAGUGCAUCAAUUCCUUGCAACCGCUAGCUACAAGUUUUGUUAGGUUCCCAAAAGAUACCGAUGAUGAUGGCAAUAGAAUUAACAGACUUUGACAAUGAUAUACUUUUAGAAUUUCAAGAUACUGAAAAAUGGGGCCAAGUUUGGAGUCUUGUUUGCACAGCUGCUUCAGAUGAUAGUGCCGGUACAGCUCUAAUUCUUUUAUCGUUGCCAACUUCCCCACAUGUUUCUCUAAGCAUCCUUCCAUCGAAAAUACCUCUUCGUGGAAUGAAAAAUUAAACAGUGUGAGUAUUUCGAGAUUGUGAAAUCUCUCAAGUACGUUCCAGAUUGGAAAACCAGCUGAGUCAUCUUCAGCAAUCACUAGUCGUUUAAGACUGCCAAAAAGGUGUUGUGGGAAAUCGGCCUGCAAAAUCAUCUUCGCGUCUUUUCCGCUUAGUGAUAGUUCCGUCAAGUUGGGUAAGAUCUGAUCAUCAUCAAUCAUAAUAACUGACAAGGUCAAUUGGUGUUCUCUCAAAUGAUUUUGAGUAAUCCAAUCACAUGCAGUGACUUUAUAGUAUUUGUUUUAUAUUAUAUUUUACAAAAACAAAUUGAAUUAUUGAUAAAUUUUAUUAAAUGAUUUUUUAUAUAUUAAUUUUAGAGGUAAAAAAGAAAUUAGGGAAAAAAAGAAAUUAUUUUAUUGCACGAUAAUAAAUUACUAAUUUAUUUUGUAAGUUCUUCUAUAGGAAAGACUAAGGAUUCUUUUAUAAAUGCUAUACCUAAAAAAGUUCAUAUAAUUAUUAAUCUACCACAUUGAUCCCUUAGUCUAGACUAGCAAAGAUUAUUGUAUAAUAAAAGUUUUCAAUUUAUUGAGUAUUAAUUUAUCAUUGCUUUGUCAUAUUUUUCAAAGUUAAAAAUAAGUUAUUGAUAAAAAAAAUCUAGAAAAUGGCUUCAUACCUUUUCCAACGGCAAUGGGGGCUGUUGUACAGGAAUACCAAGUUGAUCAUUCUCAUUUUUCUGCAAUAAAUCUGCAGCGAAUAUCUUUAAUUUGUCACAGCGAUACACAAAAAGCAUUUCAAGCGCAAGCCAUUCCGGAGUAUGCAUUCCAGGGUACAAACAUCUAAGUUUUGGUAGAUCUUGGAGUCUCAGAGUGGUGAGCUGUGGAAAGACAAAAUAAGGGAUCACUUGAUCUGCUCUGUUUUCAGAAAUGAUCUCCUGUAAAUCCUUACAGUCUCGUAUAUCUAGGUGUUGGAGCUGCUUGAGGCUUCCGAUCAUAGACGCUGAAAAUAUGUAUUUUAAUUUGUGACAACGCCACACAAUCAAUCUUGUUAAACUUUGAAAGUGAGGAAACACGGCCGCCGGAAUUUGAUUGUAGUGCCAAAUCUUGUCGACAUUAAUUUCAGAUAUCUCCAAAGCCUCCAAGUUAGGCAACGCAACCUAAAAAAAUAAGAAUUUCUCGUUAGAUCCAAUAUCUAUAGGGGAAGCACUUGUUGAAAUUUUCUUCUUUGAUUACAAAUUAAUCAAGUCUGAAUCAAUUUCCAACUGACAGCUGAGUAUGCAUUCUAAUUCAUACUACUUGUUAAGAGCUCAAUUAGUGAGCGCGUGAGAUUCUUUUUAUCCUUUUUCCAUUUUCUUUCAAUUCUUUAAAUGAUUUAAUUAUAUAUAUAUAAAGAAAAUGUUAGCCUACGCACCUUCUCGUUGAAAAGCAGAGUUGAAGUAUCCAAAGUGAUUUCGCUGGAGCAAUACGUAGUCGUCGAUUCCUCUUGCGACACUUGUCUGUUCGGUGAUGCUGAAGGAGUCUCCACCUCACGGCGGCAAAAACUUGUAACCUCUGGAAGAUUCCCCAGACUCAAAGAUCUUAAUUGAACAAACUCUAUCUUCUCAAUUGCAUUAUCAACUUCUUCCCCAAUUGCAAAAAUCUCUUUCAUCUUGCUGCAAUUAAUAACUGCAAUUCUCUCAAGUCUUGGAAGGCAUUUUGAAGUAGAGAGCCAAAAGAUAUUACUCAACUUAUCACAAUUAUAUACUUCUACAUUUUUGAGUUCGUUGAAAGACUCUACUUUGAGCCGAUCAACACAUAUCCUCUCCAUGUUGAUCAAAUUGUGAAGGGCAAGUGACUCCAAAAGAGGAAAGGCAUCACAAGCGACCAUCUCCCUUGAAUCGACGAUACAAAAGAAGUCAGGAUUAUUUUGGACGCAGAGGACCUUCAAUUGUGAAAAGCCCUCCGUGUCCAAAUUGAAAAGAACAUUCUCGAUGCCUUGCAGCUUGUCCAACCGUAAGUAUUCAACGUUAUUGAUGCCCUGCAAUUUCAUGGAGCAAAUGUCCAUAAAAUCAAGCUUGAGCUCCAAUUCUCUUGAAAUCUUGCGAUUACUGUCGAUCAAAAAGUGCAGCUGACUUUUAAACCAAUGUUGUCCAAAAAGCAUGGGAUGCAUGAAUAACCCAUUUCCAAUAGAUAUUUUGAACCUUUCGAGCUUUCUGGCCAAAAAGCCUGCUGGUAACAUACUCUCAUUUUUAACAUCAAUUUCUAGAGUGGUUAGCCAACGUAAAUGCAUCAAUUCGUCAAGGCUAGCAUUACUUCUUUUGCUGUUGGCUCUUUCAACCUCCCAUUCAAUGGAGCAAUUACACAUAUACAAUUCUUCUAAUCGGAUUAAGCUUGAUAUGACAUUUGGAGCAAUAACUUUUAGAUGGAAACAGUCUGUUAAAUCUAACAGCCUUAGCUUAGUCAGUUGACCUAGUGCUUUGGGCAAUUGCACCGUAUCAGACCGCACGAAGCUGAGGAUUUCUAGAUUUUCCAACUUUCCAAUAAUGGCUAUGUCGAUGUCUCUCAAAAUGCUUUCAUCAAGACAAAGUGUUUUAAGUUUUACUAAGAGAUCAAUUGAAGAAGGCAAUGAAAAUAACUGCAUUCCAGUAAAAUCUACAACUUUAAGCUUUCUCAUCCCUACAAAAAAAUUUUCAGGAAUACUCACUUCAAGAGAAGAAUCUUCGGGAGACAUGCACAAGAACUCAAGUUGUGGACAUUCCAAUGCAUUGGGAAGCUCAUGAAUGCAACAAUAUCUUAUAGAGAUUGCAUAGCAUUUUUUUAGUGAUUCCUUAUCUGGCAACUCCCACACAUCCUCGUUUUCCACCACAAAUACAUGUUGGUCUCGGCAUGCAAUUGAUCUGGCGACAUCGCGAACAACAUCAUGCAUUGAAAUUAGUUUAUUGCUAUCACCCUCAAGCAACAAACAAGAGUCUCUAAGUUCAUGUACCAACGCAUAUAACUUGUUUCGUGCAUCUUCCAUCUUAUUGACUCCUUGAAAUAUACCCAAACCUAUGGAGUAUUUAAGCAAUUUCAAAGUAGGGAUACUGUUACCCAUUAGACUGCAGAGCUGAAAAAGUUCCUUGAGUUGCCCACCUUUUAAAUACUUGAAACUCAGUUCAAUACUUGAAUAAGUCUCUGCAGACACUCCUUCGAAGUUUACCAUUGAAGGCGUUCGGAGUUCUCGCAAGGAAUUCUUCCAUUCAUGCAGACUCUUGCCUCUCAAUGCCUUUGCUACUGUAGUCAAGGCAAUGGGCAAACCUCCACAUGCCCUGGCGACGUCUAUUGCUGUAGAUUUCAACUCACGAUUUUCAACAUCAUCACCGGCCAUCAUCUUAAACAAUCUCCCGGCUUCUUCUUCAUUUAAAUUGUUUAUCAAAAAGUUGUCUUCAGAUCCCAUUUUCAAGAGGACACUACGAUCUCUUGUCGUCAGCAGUAGUUUGCAUCCUUUAUGAUCUUCUCCAAAAGGAAUUCCAACGGUCUCCAAAUCAAGGUGUUUCCAGAUGUUAUCCAGAAUCACAAGGAUCUUCUUCUCAUUUCUCAAUCGCUCACAUAGCCUACUAGCUCUUCUAGAUUCAACUUCCUCGUGCAACUCCAGGCCCAACUUCUCGGCAAUUUCCUGUUGAAUCUUUUUUAUGUCUGGAGUUUGCGAAACCUCUGAAAAGACCACCAUAUCAAAGAGCUUGUCUUCCAUAGCUUGCCUGGCGACCUUCUUCACCAGUGUCGUCUUUCCAACGCCGCCCAUGCCGUACACCCCAAUGAUGCUGACAUCAACAUCGAUCAAUGCAUUUUGUAUGGCCUUCAAAGUAGAAAGUCUUGAUUCGAAGGCCUCGUAGCCUUUGUGAGACUUGAGCCAUAUAUCCUCCGGAACGGUACGGUAGGAAAUUCUAUCAUCAAAUCUCCCAGCUUCUUCUCGGAGUUUAAAAAGGGCCUCCUUCUCUGUUUCUGCUUUCUUUCCAUGCUGAUAGCGAGUAAUCCAAUUUGGAAACAGCCCCAUGAGACAUCGUUCAUUUGCUUUCUCUUCGUCUUGAAUGAAUUUGGCUGCCUCCUCAAUGCUCUUGUUCGCAUUAACCAGCCAUUUCUCAACCUUCUCUUCAAUCUUUUCACCUUUUCUUUCAGCCUCAGAAACUCUGCGCUGAAUGCUUUCUCUUUCAUCCUUGAGCCUAUCGAGUUCUGCCUUGAGAUUCUCAAAGUUGGCAGCGGAGUUAUACCAAUAACUAAAUUCGCGUUGUGCGUGAGGAGACAAGCAGUUCACAACUCCUGGAACAAUGCUUUUCAAAAUGUCCAUUUUUUAUUUUUUGGGGAAGUGAACGAAAUAGAAAUAGAACAGGGUCAACGGCCGCGCAAUUGAUAAUCAAGCAGAAGCAAAACAAGGCAAAGUUGAAAAAAGAAAUGAUAUUUGUACAAAACAAGGGAAAAUCAGUGUAACAGAAGAGAAUCAAAGUGUUUUUGAGAUCAGACAAUUGAAUCAAGAAAAGGGUUGCUUGAUCCAAUGAAAAUGCGAAGAGCUGAUGGCAAAAGGGAACAAAGCUAAAUAAGAAAACGGCUAGCACGAGCAGCGACCACGAUGAACAGAAGCAAAGUGUGUAUGAGAUCAAAAGACGAAAAUCAGGAGAGGUUUUCUUGACUGAGAAUUGAAGGCAAAGAGUAGGAGCUGACGAUUACGGGGAUCAAGAGGGAAAAACUGCUUGCUUGUAAAACUACUUUCAAGCGAAUCUGAUAAAAUUAUUUCAGUACUAGUGGGCGACUCCAUUUUAAACUGCUGAAGGAAAAAAAAAAUUAUGAAUUUCAAUAUAUUAAUUUUUAUCCUAAUUUAUGUUGAGGCUCGUAAUCUCGUCUCAAUGAUUAAUUAGUAGAUAAUCUUUCUAACAAAUAUGUGUUGAAUAGAUAUAUUUCUUGACUAUUAGUAGGUUAGAUAUAUUUUAGCAUAGGAAUGAAAGUACAAGUUGUGUCGUAUCAGAAUAAAAAUUUGACCUAAAAAUAUUGUUUUAUGAGUCCAGCUAUCUUGCAACAGUUGUAAUGUGCCACUUAUUUUUGUUUUAUGUGACGUUACAUUUCAUUUAAUACCUUACUUUCUUUCUUAUUUACAUUUUAUUUAUAAGUUUAUAUGUUUUAGCUAGUGACAUUUUAAAAUGUAAUUUUAUUUUAUUUAAUAUUAUUUAUUUUUUUACAUUUAUUUAUAAUUUUGUAUGCUUUCGCUGGUAACUUUUAUAAAAUGUAAUUUUAUUUUAUUUAACAUUAUUUAUCUUUAUAAAAAAGAAUAAAUAUAAUAAUAAGCCUAUGACUAAAUAAUAUUAAAUAAAAUAAAUAAUAUUAAAAAAUUUAAAUUAAAUAAAUAAUAUUAAAAUUUUAACUUAAAUAAAAUAAAUAAUAUUAAAAUUUAACUUAAAUAAAAUAAAUAAUAUUAAAAAUGAUAUUAUUUUUAAGACACUAUUGAUUUUUUAAUAUUAUUCAGUUUUUAAAGAAUAAAUAUAAUUAUAAGCCUAUGACUAAGUAAAAAUAAUAUUAAUUUUAACAGUCAUUAUUGAUUAUUUUAUUUUACUUAAUAUUAUUUAUUUUUUAAAAUAAUAAAUAUAAUAAUAAGCCAAUGAUUAAAUAAAACAAAAAUAAAAAUAAUAUUUAUUUUUAAAGCGCCCUAAUGAUUAUUUUAUUUUAUUUAAUGUUAUUUAGUUUUUUGAAAGAAUAAAUAUAAUAAUAAGUAUAUGACUAAAUAAUAUUAAAUAAAAUGGAAUAAAUAAUAUUAAAUAAUAUUUAUUUAUUCUUUUAAAUAAAAUAUAUAAUAUUAAAAAUAAUAUUUAUUUUUUAAUACUCACUACUAAUUAAACAAUAUAAAUUGUAAACAAUCCGGACUUAUGUGUUAAAAUUUUAAACUCUUUAACUUGUUUGUGUCUUUAAUAAAUAUCAAGGAGUGUAAUGUUAAUAUUUAAAUGAACAAAUCUCUACCAUUGAAACCACCUUUUCAUUAAAUCUAAUGAUAAAAAACUGAAAUUAAGAAAAGUCAAAAUUUGGUGGUACCUUGCAACUGUUGUAAGGUAGCUGAGUCCUGUUCUAUAACCUUUUAAUUAUUUGUCAGCUAAUAAUUAAGUAAUAUAAAAAAAUUAAUAAUCGGAAUUACUCUUUUAAAUAUUAUAAAUAUUUAUUUAUUUUUUAAUUAUAAUAUCAUUAUUUAAAAAUAAUUGCUUGACUUACAUUAGUAACAUUACGAUUGUGGUAAAGCAUGUGAUUCUCAUCCAAUAUCCAUUAUUUGUGAUCCUUAAUCAAUAAAAUAUCUGACAAUAUCUUCGCCAAAAGUUUGAGACAUGUGAUCUUUAUUCCACUGCGUCAAUUACACUCCAGUCCCAUGCUGCCAUCAUUAUCGAACAGUCGAUAUCCAACACUUGCACGAAGAUUCCAAGAAGUUGCGUGGCUGCCGACAUUUAGAUGCUAAGCCUUGUUGUGUCGAAGAUACACAAAACAGAGCAGUCCGGGCAAUUGCCAAAACUUAGAACUAAACAGUAGCUUAGUCAAAAAAAUCAAAUGCCAGCACCGCUAAAAUGAUCGAUAAAAAUAUAAAGAAACCAAAGCUUUAAAAGAAAUCAGCCAAAUCAGGAAGAUUGAAAAGUAAAUCUAUGGCUUUAGAUUUUUAUUUUAUUUUUUUAGAUAAUAGAUAUUAUUUUGAUGAAUUUUUAAUAUUAGAAUAAUGCUAGGAAUUUCGAUAGUAGAAUUCUAAUUUGAGACCCAAUUGUUAUGUGUUAUUUUUUUUAUUAGAUAAUGAAUUUCAUAAUUAGUAAAAUUAAUAUCAAAGUCCAAAGUUAUUGGGAUGAUAACUUUUUUUUGAUAGACUGAUAUAUUACAAUGAGAGCUCUACUGAUAUUUACAAUAAAAAAUGAAACUCUCCUCAAUAAUUCUAUUACAGCACAGCCUGAAUAUUAAGCCUUACUUAAAGUUGGAGGGAGAUCCAUUUUAUCCCAAUACAAAAAGACAAAUAAACUCUUAUUGUACAGAAAAGUUGAAUCUCAGUGCUGUGACUCAGUAUGCAUGCGCCCAACAACCUUGUGAUGAUAACUUAUAAUCGUCAAACUAGCAUAAGGACCUUAUUUUUCAUUCACAAAUAAAUAAAUGAUGUGACUUAACGGUUGGCGGGGUCCCUUGUGCCAUUUGUGCAUUUCACUAAAGGUCCGCCUAAGUUAUACAUUUAACGUAACUUACCGUCAGCCUGUGAAAUUUUAUAUAACCCCCCAUAUUCUAUGUUAUUUAUAUUUUAUUCAUGAAUAUUAUAAACUUUUUGAAAUAUAAAAUUUCGUUUAACCCCUUAUACUCAAUUUUAUUUUAUUAAAACCCUAGAGUAUGAAUUUGCCCCUAUAAUUUUAAAUUUUCCAAAUAACCUCCAUUAUUUAAAAAAUAUAAUUAUUGUUAAAUGAAUUAUAAUUAUAAUUGUUAUUUUAUUAUAAUCAUAAAUAUUUUUUAAAUAGAUUAUUUUUAUUAUUAAUACAAGAAUAAAAAACAUUAUAAUUAAUUAAUCUAUUAACAAUAAUUAAUAAUAUUUUUAUUAAAUUGUUAAUAAUAAUAAUAAUUAAUGAUUAUCUAACUAUUUCACAGUCUGACCGUAAGUUACAAAAUCAUAAAAACUAAAAGUUUUUAAAUAUUUACUUAAGGUAAAAUAAUAAUAAUGACAAUAAUAUUACUUAAAACAAAAAAAUCUGUAAACUUUAAUAAUGUUGAUGAUGAUGAUGUUGACAACAUUAAUAAUAAUAUAAUAAUUAGAAUAAUAAAUUUUAAUAAUAUUACUAUUAAUAAAAUAAUAAUAAUAAUUAAAAUGAUAAAGUUAAUAUAUUUUAAUAAUAGUAAUAAAAUUAAUAAAUAAAAAUAACUUAAUUAAAGUAAUUGUAACAAUUAAAAUAAUAAAAUUAAUUAAUUUUAUAAUAAUAAUAAUAUUAAUUAAUGACAGCAAUAAUAAUGCAUAAUAAUUAAAAUAAUAAAUAAUAAAUUUUAAUGAUAAUAAUAAUAAUAAUAAUAAAGUUAAUAUAUUUUAAUAAUAGUAAUAAAAUUAAUAAAUAAUAAUAACUUAAUUAAAGUAAUUGUAACAAUUAAAAUAAUAAAAUUAAUUAAUUUUAUAAUAAUAAUAAUAUUAAUUAAUGACAGCAAUAAUAAUGCAUAAUAAUUAAAAUAAUAAAUAAUAAAUUUUAAUGAUAAUAAUAAUAAUAAUAAUAAUAAAGUUAAUAUAUUUUAAUAAUAGUAAUAAAAUUAAUAAAUAAUAAUAACUUAAUUAAAGUAAUUGUAACAAUUAAAAUAAUAAAAUUAAUUAAUUUCAUAAUAAUAAUAAUUAAUGACAGCAAUAAUAAUGCAUAAUAAUUAAAAUAAUAAAUAAUAAAUUUUAAUGAUAAUAAUAAUUAAUAAUGAGUAAAAUAAGUAAUUUCAUAAUAAUAUUAAUAAUGAUGACAUUUAUGGUAGUAAUAAUAAUACAUGACAAUAAUUAAAAUAUUAAAAUUAAAUAAUUUUAAUAAUAUUACUAUUAAUAAAAUAAUAAUAACAAUAAUUAAUAAUGAUUAAAAUAAUAAAGCCAAUAUAUUUUUAAUAAUAGUAAUAAAAUUAAUAAUUAAUAAUGACUUAAUUAAAGUAAUUGUAACAAUAAAAUAAUAAAAUUAAUUAAUUUCAUAAUAAUAAUAAUAAUUAAUGACAGUAAUAAUUAGGGGUGGGCAAAAAAACCGUGGUCUUAAAAACACCGAACCGAACCGGCGGUUUUUUCGAAUUUGGAUCGGUUUUUAUUUUAAAAAAAACCGAAAUAUAUCAUUUGUAAAAAAAAACCGAAAUGUCGGUUCGGUAUUCGGUUCACUCAGCUGAACCGAAAAACCGAAUUAAUUUUAUAUUUUAUUCAAAUCGACAUGUGUUAAAUUUUUUUUUAUAAAUCCAAAUAUUGAGUCGAAAAUGCCUAAAGUUGAUGUUGAUAUUCAUGAAGAUGGGAGAAUGUUGUUGGCAUUUGUUUGCAAUUUUUUUUUUUGGGUGAAGAUGGGAGAAUGUUGUUGGCGUUUGUUUCUAAAUUUUCUUUUUAUUUUGUGUUGUAAGUUGUAAUUGUUGUUAUUUUUAUUUGUCUUUACAACAUUAUGAUUAUGUUUAUGUAGAUGGAGUAUUGGAGUUUGGUUAUGUAUUUUGAAAUUUUAAUAUUUCAUAUUUUGUGAGUACCUUAUUAGUAGUUAAUAAGAUAUUAGUGAUAAAAUGUGUUUUGAAUACUUUGUAUUUAUUGUUAAUAUUUGUAAUGAAAUUAGGAUGAACUAAUUGUUGAAAACAAUUAUUACAUUUAUGAGGUCCAAUGGGCUAAAAAUUUGAAAUUUUAAAAUAGGCCCAAUAGACCUAGAACCAAAAAACCGAACCGAACCGAACCGAUCCGAAAAGAUCCGUUUGAGUUCGGUUCUUAUUCGGUUCUUUUUAUAAAAUAACCGAUUUAAAUCGGUUCUACUUAAUUUCGAUCCGAACCGAACCAAACCGAACCGAACCGUGCCCACCCCUAGUAAUAAUACAUAAUAAUUAAAAUAAUAAAAUAAUAAAUUUUAAUGAUAAUAAUAAUAUUAUUAUUAAUAUUAAUAAUGAUGACAUUUAUGGUAGUAAUAAUAAUACAUGACAAUAAUUAAAAUAUUAAAAUUAAUAAUUUUAAUAAUAUUACUAUUAAUAAAAUAAUAAUAACAAUAAUUAAUCAUGAUUAAAAUAAUAAAGUUAAUAUAUUUAAUAAUAGUAAUAAAAUUAAUAAAAUAAUAAUAAUGACUUAAUUAAAGUAAUUGUAACAAUAAAAUAAUAAAAUAAAUUAAUUUCAUAAUAAUAAUAACUAAUGACAGUAAUAAUAAUACAUAAUAAUUAAAAUAAUAAAAUAAUAAAUUUUAAUGAUAAUAAUAAUAUUAAUAAUGAUGACAUUUAUGGUAGUAAUAAUAAUACAUGACAAUAAUUAAAAUAAUAAAUUUUAAUAAUAAUAACAAUAAUAUUAAUAUAAUAAUAAUGAAAUUUAUAAAUAUUAAUAAUAGUAACAGUUAAAUUUUUUUAAAAUCCAUUUUUAUCCCAAAAGAGGACUCAUAUAUAAAAAAUUGUAACUUCUAGUGUCUAUUCAACUUUUUUAUAAAAUAUAGGUAUUGAGAUGUAAUUAAUUGAAAAAGACAAAAUUGAGUAGUACGGUGCAACCGUUGCACCAUAGUUUCAUCCAAUUUGAAAUCUUGGAAAACCCUUUAAUCAAUCUCUUAGUAGUAGGCUUUGGUAGCUUGGUUUGAUUAUGAUUUAUAAUCAUUUGAUAAUAAAGUCAGAGGAUGUAUUAAUAUAAAAUUUAUUUAUUGGUGUUGAAGAUAAUUAUCUCAUUAAUAAUAGUAUAAAAAGUUAAAUACUAAGAAACACAUAGCAGUAGUUAAUUGGUGUCAUAUGAUUGGGAUUCAGGGAUAUAAUUUUAUAUCAUAACUUUGUAAGUGUAUAAUUACUCAUUAAAUUAACAAAAUUAUUUAAAAAUAUUUAGUUAGAAAAAAUAAAUUAUAUUCUUUUUAUUUCAAAUAAUCUAUAAGUUAACUCAAAACAUAAUCAAGCUGAAAAUAAAAAUAAUGCUACUGUAUGACAUGAUUUUUAUUUUUUCUCGAAGUUUCACUAGGAAAUUAUUGAUAUACAGCUUUAUUCAAAUCAUCUCAGUUCAAACGACAAAUAAUUGAAAGACUAAGCUAAAUAGACCAGCCAACAACUUUGUACAGCAGAGUUCAAUAAUUAACGUCAUGGUAUUGAGGUGUUAUGUCUUGAAAAGUACAGCAUAGUAAUAAAAUAAAAGUUAUUAGUUUUUAGGAAAAUAUGACUUUUAAAUAAUAAUUUUCACAAAAAUAUAAAGAAUAUUUAUAAAGUACUUCUAUAGUGAGGAGACCCCACUUUGUUAAAGUGAAAAUAUUAAUAAUACAAAAUAUAUAGAUUUUAACAUAUUAAAAACUGUAUUUUUUUUAAUCUAUUGGUGUAUUGAAAUAUGCGUUUUUUAGUUAGAUAUAUCAUCACUUUGUUAAAAUGAGAAUGUUGUCACUAGACAAUAAUCAUAUAUACAUAUAUAUAUAAAGUGCUUCUCUCCAAGACCUAGACUUUAUUAAAAUUUAAGAAAGUAAAUAUAUUUUAUAUGGUAUAAUAGUGUAAUAACAUCACACUAUUAUAUCAUGUAGAGUAAUAGUUUUUCUAACUUUAAUAAAAUUCAAGAUUAUAGAAUGAAUGAUUUAUAUAUAUUAUAAAUUUUUUAUCAUAAAGUGGAGGACAAAAUUAACAUAUUUUUCAAAUUAUAAUAAAUAUUUAUCAAAUAAUUUAACUUCGUAAUUUCUCCUAACUAGUAUAGUAAAUACAACCUCGGAGGUACAUUCAAAGCAUUUCAUAAGUUUGUUGUUAACAAUAAAUGAUACAUGCAGCUCCAACCAUCAUUGUACGGUGAGUAAUUUCAAUAGAUUUUUUAUGGCUUAAUUUACUAGGAUCAUAAUGAACAUUGAAUGUCAAAAUAUUAAUGGCCAAACAGACCAGCUGCCAACGACUUAUUCCAAUGUGAAUAUUUCACAGUGGGUACUGCACAUGAUGCUUGUUUCUCCUUUUGCAUCUAUUUUUUUUUUAACACUAAUUUCAAUAGCAGCUCGUCAUGUAUGCAAUAUUUCAAAGUUAAUCAAAAAAAAAAAACAAAAAUUAGUUCAGCUGACUAAAUUAUUUUUUUUCUUUUCUGUGGUAGUAAGUCCGACUCCUUAGUGACAAUUUAAAUUGAAAAAAUAAAAUCAUAAAUAAGAAUUAUUUGAUAAUAAUUAAAAUAAUUGAUAAAAAUUUGAUUGGAGCAAUUUUGGAAGAUUCGAUUUCUAAUAGAAAGGGAAUUUGAAUUUUACAGCCUUCGGUGAGGAAUCCAAAAUGCACAAUUUGAUGAAAAUUAAAUUUCAAUAGAAAUUGAAUUCCCAUUUAUUAGUGAAAACCAAACAACAGGAAAGUGAAAGGAAUUUGAAUUCAUUUCCUUCCUCUCCUCCCUCCAACUAAACACCAUCGAAAUCCAAAGGUAUGGAUUGGGAUUCCAUAUUGAUCAGAAUGGGAUUUGUCCAUAUUAUUAGGACCAAUUUUAAAAGCAGUCCGAGUUUCAAAGUUUAAGAUUGAAAUUAAUCACAAUUGUUGAUUUGGGACUAGAUAAGAAUUUAUCUUGGAACUCCAAUUCUCCCAAUUAUUUUAGUUGACAAUAUGUUUAACAUUAUUUUUUUAAACAUUAUUAAUUGCAUAUUAUUUAAUUAUCAAUAUAUAAUAUUCUUUAAUUUUCUAAUUUUAUAGGAUUAGACACAAAAUUGAUUAUACCUUUUGAAAUUUAAGGGUUAUGUCAAUUGAAUAGAAAACUUGGAGUUAAACUUUUGGAUGUUUUUGUUGAUUAUCAAUUUAUGCAUGAAUUUUUGUACGUUUACUCUGGUUUAUUAUUAUUACUUUAAAACAUUUUUAUUGGUUUGAUUUAGGGUCAUUUUGGUAAUCUUGUAGCUUAAAAAUACUUUUAGUUAUAAAAACAGUCGUAUGUGUUUCGUAAAUCUUAUUGUUAAACUGGUGCAAUAAUAUAAAUGAUUGUGAGGGGUUUGAGAUUGGUCCUAAUUUUGAUCACAAAUAUAUAAACAGGACGAGUUUAUCCAUACUUACAUUCCAUUUGAUAAUUAAGAUGAGAGUAGAAUGGUCAAAUCCCAAAUCAUCUCGGACCAUUGCCACCAAAGGUACUCUCACUAAUAAUAUCUAAAGUAAAAUCUACACCUAUUUCAUACCUUUUUUUUUUAUUUAACGGAAGGAGCCCUCAUGGGGCUUGAAAUGGUAUCCUAAAUAAUAUUAAGAAUAUCAUGUCGUGGUUGGUUUCGUGACAAAUAAAUAUUACAUGGUUGGGAUGCAUAGUUACUAGUGUCCCAAUUUAUAGGGGUGGGCAAAUUACCCGAUCCGACUCGACCCGACCCGAAAAAUUUCAGGUUCGGAUCGGAUGGGGUUGUGCAGAAAACCCGAUCGGAUCAAAACAAUGAAACCCGAUCGGGUUAUGAUCGGAUUGGGUUCGAUCCGAUCCGAAACCCGAUCGGGUUGCUAUAAAAAAAAAAAACUAAACCUAAAGCAAACAGCCACACACACGCAGCACACACAAAUCACAAUUCCCAUUUUCACAACACACGGUUACUUACACAAACACUCACAACUCUCCUCAAUCCCCAAUCUCAUUACACAAUCCCCAAUCUCAAUACACAAAACACAUACACAGUCACCCCCAACGGCGUUGGGCCAACGCCAAGCCGCCAACGGAGGUCGCUGCACAAGUCACAGCCUCACCCGCAUCUCCAUGGCCGAUUUGCCGCGCGUCUCCAUGCCCGAUUUGCUGCAAGUGCCGCCAAUAUGCUACUACGCGUCCGUCGGUCUGCUGCUACAAGUGCCGCGGCCACCGAUCUACUGCAAGUGCCGCGAAUCUGCUGCAAGGUGCUUCUGCUGCUCCAAUCCUUCAACCCGAGCUUCUCACCUUUGACUUUGAAUCUUGAGUUUUCACGCUUUUUUUAAGCUUUUUUUUUUAAAGAUUUGAAUUGAUGGUGCAUAUGGUUAAAUUAAACAAUUAAUAUUUAGUAUUUAAUUGUUGUAAUUAUGUGUUUUUAAAUGGUAGUAACAAAAUCAAGGAAAUUGGUCAACCCGAUCCUACCCGAUUUCAACCUGAAUUCACAACCCGACCUGACCCAAUCCGAAUAUAAAUCGGAUCGGAUCGGGUCGGAUGGGAAGUUCGGGUUGUAUUCGGAUUAAUUUUUGUUAAACCCGAACAACCCGAAAUCUGAUCGGGUUGAUCCGAACCCGACCCGACCCGAACCCGGUUUUGCCCACUCCUACCAAUUUAUGUAGUAUUUAUCAUUUAGUGCACAUGCACAGUAUUAAUCAGCUUAACUAAUUUAUAAAAUUUAAAUCUAAUUAAUAAGUGACGCAUAAAUGCCAAGUGCAUUACAUGCAAAUCAUGUUUUUCGAUCACUACAAAACUGGCUCUUGAAAACAAGCAAGAAAGCUUAAUUAAGAACUUAAAACAAAAAGAAUUAGAUUGAGAACAAUCAAGCCUUAUUUUUUCAAGGAUGGAGCUUAUAAAUCUUCAAGUACCAACAUACGCUUGGCCCAAUUGUUGUUAUUAAAAUUUCAAUAUACAUAUAUAAGUAUGAUAUAGCAAAAAUUUGAUGGUACAUAUGUCGGAAUAUACUAGUUCAUGGGUGCAUUUGAUUAUUGUUUCCAUAAAUUUGAACCAGGAAGAAUGAAACGAUAAAAUUUGAUUUUAUGGUAUGGUUGAUUUCAUAUCUCAUGCACUCAUUUCUUAAGAUAAUCAAAUUUUCUCUGGCAUCUUUUGCAACUGUCGAAAUAACAAUUAUGAUCAAUCAAACGAUUUCAAAACCUUUCAACGAGACAUAUUUCUAAUACAAUAUUGUGAAAAUUACACUAAAAUUUUAAUUUAUUAUAUAUUAUUAUCCAACGAGCACACAAAAAUGAUUUCGUACAAAUCUAAAAUACUGAGCAAUUUUCAAAUAGAAUUUACCAUGUACUACAAGAAAAUAGGGUAUAUGUGACCCCUAAUGUGAAUGCAAAAGCAGCCAUUACGCAUAUCACUAACUUCUAACUCUGUAACCCCGAGUUGCUUUUGUUACCCUUUAUGUGACGGCCACACUGCUGUCACAUAUGUUACGAACUGCGUGACGGUGAAGAGCCGUUCGGUAUACUAAUAUUUUAGAAUUUUAAAUUUAUUUCCAGUUAGAAAAGUAUUCGCUGGAGUCCGUGUUACUGGCCACCAUCGUAAACAUAACUGGUUGCCAGCGAACGGCGUAAAACGCCGGGCAUCUUCUUCUUCAUCGUAUUCUCCCUUCAUCUUUUGAGGUAAGCUUGUGAUUAUGAGUUUCUUCUCUUACUUAACUUGUAAUUAUAGACUUUGAUUUUUUUUAAUUCGUAUUGUAGCCGUUAUUGUCAAUUUUUGUCCCGCCAGCAAUAUUUUUUUAUUCGUACAAGUUGAAGCCCCUGCGUUCUUGUUCCAUUGGUGAGUUUGCUCACUCAAAUUAAUUUUGUUCUGCGGAAUUUACAAAGUUCAAAUGGAUUCAUUUGAAUUACUAUUGAAUUUAGCUUUAAUUCCAACAUCCAUUCUAAUGUUUUGCUAUUAGAUUUAGUUUAAUUUUAUGUUUAAAGCAUCUACAAUGAAUAGCGGAGCUUGGGUUUUAGUUUCAUUUUCUAGAUAACUUGUUUUGGUUUAUCUUGUAUGCUCACCAAGUGCUUGUUAUAUUGUCUGAUAAGUUAUAUACAUUGCUGAUUCUAUAUUAAUAAUGUUAUGUUCUAUUUUCAGAAAUUAUAAUACAAAAGCUUUUACAAUGGCGUGCAUCUACAAACUGGAUUGACUCGUAGAAUAAGAGCUUGGAGUAGUGUUAUGUUCUUGAAUAAAUGAAAGUUCAUAUUGUGUAAAGCAUCAUUAUCAUUUCUACAAAGUGCUUUCAUUCUGUUCAGAUGCUCUUCUUGAACUUUGAAAGGUGCCUCGUUCAAGUCCUAGCUAUAACUACUAGCUUUGAUUAAUUAAGUUCCUAUACUAGCUGAAACAGAUUUAUUUAAUUAAUUAAUUGUGUAUGUACUAAUUAUAUUGAAAGUAUAUGAAUUUUUUUUUUUUUUAACAUGAAUGACUUCUAAAUGACUUAAAAUCCUAAAGGAUGUGUAAAAUAAUGCUCAUUUCACUUGAAUGAGCCUAUUAAUACUUUUAUGUCUAUGAUUGUCAAUAUUGGCUUAAGCAUUUCAGUUAAGUGGUUUACCUAACAGAGAAAAAAAUUUAAUAGAAAACUUCAGAGUUCUAACAGAAAUAUAGUUCACUAUGCAGAUAUAGUUAUUUUACGGUAUACAAAUCAAGUUGUCCUAAUCUCAAUGUCCUAUGACCGAUUUUAUUUUAUAUAGUCAUUAAUUUUUUCCUUGGUUUUUUGUGUUUAUGAGUAUGAAAUAGUGGGAUUUGGUGUACCUUAGCAUCUUUUGAAAAUUCUCUUUCAGUGUGGCCAACAGAAAUAUACAUAUAAUCAAGUUUCUUAAUCGUGUAUAUUAGUUUUGGGUAUGAAUGUUCCUAUUCUAGUUCUAGGCAAAGCUUCUUCGUUUUGGUCUUCGGAUUUCCAGUAGGUUAAGUUAAUCAACUAUCAUAACUGGCUAGCUAGUUAUUUUCUGCCUUGGCGCCAUUACCCAGGCCAUUAUAUUGCAUAGCAUAAAGAAUAGUGAUUAGGUGAUUAUUAGUGAUUUGUUGAGCUUAUUUUCGACCAAACAAACAUAUUCGCCUUUGCCCACAACUUAGUUUGAUUAGUUAUUAGACCAUAAAGAGCCUUGAUCUAUUCAUUGGCUUUAUUAUUUUUAUUUGGUUUUUCUUUCAACAAUAUUGUUGAUUUCUUAUAAAAAUAUUCAUUGGUUUUUAAACACCUAGUCAUUGGCUGUAUGAAGCAAAUUAAAACUGAGGCUUUGGAUCAAUUUCUUCUAACAAGAUACAAAUGAGCAUAACCUUUCUCCUCUAAGUAAUUUUUUUUAAUAUCCUUGAUUUGUAAGGAUCUGGAGGCCUGAAAUCCUCUAGAUUUUUUUUAACACUGUCAAUGUCCUUUUUAUUCUGAAAAGGAAAUAAAAGGUUUUAUCUUUCAUACCCUAAUAGUAAGCUGGCCUUGUCUUAACAUGGCUUCCCGAGGAUUUGCAAGAUUCAUAGCGCCCCCAACCCCCCCCCCCCCCCCCCCCCCCCCACAAAAAAAAGGAAGAUUUUGCAAGAUUCACCACCAGGUUAUUUAUUUAUUUAUUAAUUGUGUGUACGUACUAGUUAUAUGUUGAAAGAAUAGGAAGAAGUAUUUCAACAUGAAUGACUUAAAACUUAUUGCUCAGUAAACAUAAUCUGCAUCAGUACGAAAAUGUAUUUAUCAUUUGUAUUUUUUUAUGGUUUUGCUUAAGAAAUGAUAUGUGAAAUAAUGCUACAUGCCUACAUUGUAUCAGGAAUAACUUGAAAAGAUUUAUGAUAUUUAUGUGUUAUUCAAAUUUCAGAUUCAAUUUUAAACUUUUGAUACGUGCAUUAAAAGCUUAGACUUGUUUAAGAAAUUAUUAAUAGACACAUGUUUUAUUAGUGUCAUAUUUGGAUGAUAGUGAGGAUCAUAUGUCUAUUAAUAAUUCUUGAAUUGUCCGGGCUUGGACAGUUUGGGAAUGCAUACUUCUCUCUGGUAGCUAGUAGCUGAAGUUUCUUCCCACGUAAAAAUGGGUUUUUCAGUAGCUGCUCCUCGUGUUCUCUGGGAACGUACUAGGUGAAUGGGUGUUGUGUUGUUUUGGCAUAACGCAUAAACACUUAUAUAGCUAUGUCGCGUGCUUGGAGAAUUAUAGGGAGAUGGUGCUGAAAUUUUUAUAAAUGUAGAAUAAAACUUUAGGUACUUGAGAUUGAAAAAACUUACGCAUUCUUGAGUGGGAUAUGUAGGAUUACUUACGGUUGGUAAAUAUGAAGGGAAUGUUGGAUAUAUUGAGGGUAGUGUAGGAGCUGAGUUGGAUGAAUGUAAUUGGUGAUGAUUUUGCUGAGUUGACCUUGGUUUUGAGCUUGUAAUUUUGUUUGUAAAUGGAGUGCUAUCUCCAAUGUUGGUUUAUAAAAAUGUUUCAGGACUUGCUGACCUAAUUUUUUGUUUCUAGGUUACAGGCUUUAUAUAUCUGUAAUUGAUAGCCAAGUGAAGUUCUCAGCACUUGGCAAGGAUAUUUCUUUACAGAAGGUAUUGGAAACUGUUUUUUACAUUAAUUAUCGUUGAUUAUAUACUUUGAUUGUCACAUCUUUUUCUCUGAUUCUUGUGGCUUUGUUUGCUUUCAUAUAUGUAAAUUCUAAUGAAAUUAACCAUAAAAUUGUAAAAUGAUCUUUUUAUUAUAUUGCAAAACUGUGCACACACGAAAAUAUCUUGUUUAGUAGUAGAAAUGAAGAACUAAUUUUUUUAGCGCAUUAAAAGGAGAUAGUCAUGGACAAGUGUUGGGUUGGUUUGCCAAAUAGAUAUCCAAGUCAUAUACUGAUGGCGUUGAAAAAUUUAUAGAUUUUGUAUUUGAGAAUGUUGUUGGUGGUACAAGAAUUUAUUGUCCUUCUUGAUAAGUGUUGUAAUCUAUAUUUCGUUAUAAGGGAAGUGGCUGAUGAUGAUAUGGUUGGAAUGAUACAGUACAUCACGUAAUCAAAUGUUCAAGUUACACGCAGCAUUGUUAUGAACUAUCAGUGGCAACUUGUCUGGGUGGAGUAUUAAAGGUAAAUAAGCAUGUCUUGUUUGCCAACAAAGCACUGGAUCUAAUUGGUUGAUACAUAGUAGAAAAUUUUGUCACGUGGGUCACCGUCGAUUUUUCCCAACAAAUCAUAGGUUUCGAAAAUAUAGUGUCUUUGAAUAAAACUAGAGAGUAGGGACAAACACCUUCUCAGUUGUCUGGAACUGAAGUGAAAAAGCAGUUUAAUAUAUUUACUGAGUAUAAGAUUGAAGACUUGAAAAGAGAAGAACGAAUAAAAUGAGAGAAAUGAUAAGAUUACUUGGAAGAAGAACAGAAAUAUUUCUUAAGAUUACUUGGAAGAGAAAUGAUGUGGAAGAUGGCUAUAAAAGAUAAAAGGAAAGGCUUAAAAAGAAAAGCCAUGCCUGUCAAAAACAAAAAAACAAUGGCAGCGUCAAAUUUAUAACACAAAUCAAAACGGUGCGUUUGAGAGUGUAUAAAAUACAUUUAGAGUGGGAGUUGUGUUGUUGCUUGAAGGCAGAAUGUUUGUGAGAUAUUUGUCGGCGAAGCCGAAACCAAAGAUGAAGCCCAUCAAAAGCAUUUAUAGUGUAAAAAGUAUAUUGUGGAAAUGUCUGGUCGGUAAUACAACUAUUUCUUAUAGUGUAAAUGAUACACUAAUUUGAAUUUAUAUGCUUUUAUGAUUAUUUGAUUAUCAAGUGGUGAUCAUAUGUGAUGAUAAACUUAGGUAGUACCUUUAUAUUUAUUGCCUUAGUUUUCUAAGCGUUCACAUUUUGAUGAGUAAAUUAAGGAUUUCUAGAUGAAGUACAUAAUUAGAUUAAUGCUAAGGAACUGAAGUUUGAUCAACUGAAAACGAAAAUAAUAAUGAAGGUAAUUAAGAAAAUGAACAAUACAGAAGCGGUCCUUAUUAGGACUUCUAGAUUUUCUCUUGGGCUUCCUUAUUAUUGUUAAAAAAUGACACGAAGAAGAGUUUAAAAAUCUGGCCCUGAUGCCUGGUAGCCCUCCAACAUAUGAAGCACUAGAUGUUUUAAUGAGAAAAUGACAAGACCAUUUAUCAAAUUUCUUGUGGAUAUAAAUACAUACACAUAGACGAGACCAACCUCCUCAAAUGAGAAUCAGAGUGAUUACAAGACCUUGCAAUGGGACGAUAACACACCAUCAAAUCUCAAAAUACAAUAGAAAUUCAUGACACAUGUAUAAUAAAAGACCUCUCAUUGAGUUCUAUAUAUUGAGAAUAAAAAUGUUAUAAUACAUACAAAGAGCUUAGCUAGAAUAAAAUGUCUUUGAACUUGCGAUGAUCAAAUAAAGGAAACAGACAGGUUGUAACUCAUACUAUCACAAGAAGAUCACGAAGAUGGAAAUGGGAACCCCUCAGAAUGGAAAUUUUGAAUAGAGGAAAAAAGAAAAACGACCUUAUUCACAGAAGAAGAGUGACUUAAAUCUUCAUCAGUAUCCAGACAUUCUGCAAUCACAGAGUAGAGAAAUUUUAACCAGAACAGCAGAAAAAAUAUUAUGAAUAUGCUAUAGACCAAUAUACUUGUUCAUAGCUAACGUUUGAUGGUUUAAGGAUUUGUUCUGGGAAUAAUGGGCUGAUUACUUUUUUUUUUUAUUUUAAUUUUUUUGAAUCCAAUGAAUGAUAUUCAGCUGUGAAUUAUGUGUUCAUAGGGAAGAACAUUUUCUAAGUACUUUCCUUGCCUUCUAACUUUCCGAAAAGCAAACCCAAUAAACAAACAGAGCACAAACUAAAAUAAAAGAACAGCAAUGAUGACAAUAAAUAAUUGGCAAAGAAAAAAAGGAAAAAGUAUGCACGUUUUCAAUGAAUUAUAAAAUAUGAAGGCUUUUAAUGAAAUUUUAUCAUAAAAAGUAUGCAAGGAAUUAUAAAAUUUUAGAAAACAAGGGGAGCUCUAAAAAAAAAAUGAAAAACUCAAAUUAAAGUAGACUAAAAAGACAUUCAACUAUGCAAAAUCUGUCCAUAAAAGUCUGAAAGGAUCAUUAAAAUUGCAUUGCAAAUUUAACAGUAAACCGAGGGACCCAUUCUAAAUAAUUCAGAUGAAAUUGCGAAACAAGCCAUGGGAUUAAAUAAAUGAAAUAAAAAUUAAUUACCAGUUGAGACUUUCUUCUAAAAAUUUGCAACUCCAAGUCAUAAGAAGCCUAUGAAAUUAGUCGUACUGCGUAGAGUAUGACGACGACACCGCCAACAGCUGAAAGUAAAAUUCUUAUUCAUCAAAUAUCUUAUCUAUAUUGUAUUUAAGAAAGCAAAUUUUGUAAAAAAUUAUCAUGGGAGAUAGAGAGUAAUAUGUAUAUACGUACCUUCUCAGCAUGUAAUUGUUGUAUGGUUGUGUUUAGAUCAUUAUUAGCCCAACGCCGUUGAUUCGAUGUCUCUCCAUAGCAGACGUUUACUCUUAGAGGCGUGAUUGAUUCUCCUGUAGUGAAAGUCUUCAUCUUGGGACAACCAAUCACCCACAACUCUUGCAAAGAUGGGAAUUUGAAGGUGUAAUUGGCAGAGCAGAAACUUGUGAGGCUAUCUAAAUCAAACAGUUGCAACGUCUUCAAUUUGCAGAAAACAAUCUCUUCUUUUUCAACUCCAUCUUUGUCAUUUAUUACCACCUCUGUCAUUGCUCUGCAUCCAUAUACUUGCACUUUGACCAGUCGCACUAGAGUUUUUGCUGUGGAGGAUGUUACUAAGUGUAUCAAUUCCUUGCAACCGAAAGCUACAAGUUUUGCUAGGUUCCGAAAAGAUACCGAUGAUGAUGGCAAUAGAAUUAACAGACUUUGACUAUGAUAUACUCCUAGAAUUUCAAGAUACUGAAAAAUGGGGCCAAGUUUGGAAUCUUGUUUGCACAGCUGCUUCAGAUGAUAGGGCCGGUACAGCUUUAAUUCUUUUAUCAUUGCCAACUUCCCCAAAUGUUUCUCCAAGCAUCCUUCCUUCGAAAAUACCUCUUCGUCGAAUGAAAAAAAAGACAGUGUGAGUAUUUCGAGAUUGUGAAAUCUCUCCAGUACGUUCCAGAUUGGAAAACAAGCUGUGUCAUCUGCAGCAAUCUCUAGUUCUCUAAGACUGCCAAAAAGGUGUUGUGGGAAAUCGGCCUGCAAAAUCAUCUUCACAUCUUUUCCACUUAGUGAUAGUUCCUUCAAGUUGGGUACGAUCUGAUCAUCAUCAAUCAUAAUAACUAAUGAGGUCAAUUGAUGAUCUACGGUCACACGCAGUGACUUUAUAAUAUUUGUUUUAUAUUAUAUUUAAAAAAAAUUGAAUUAUUGAUAAAAUUUAUUUUAUAUGUUAAUUUUAGAGGUAAAAAAGAAAUUAGGGAAAAAGGUUGAUUUAUACUGGCUCGAAAUUAUUUUAUUGCACAAUAAUAAAUUACUAAUUUAUUUUGUAAGUUCUUCUAUAUGGAAAGACUAAGGAUUCUUUUAUAAAUGCUCUACCAAAAAAAGUUCAUAUAAUUAUUAAUCUACCACAUUGAUCUCUUAAUCUAGACUAACAAAGAUUAUUGUAUAAUAAAAGUUUUCAAUUUAUUGAGUAUUAAUUUAUCGAUGCUUUGCCAUAUUUUUCAAAGUUAAAAAUAAGCUGUAGACAAAAAAUCUAGAAAAUGGCUUCAUACCUUUUCCAACGGCAAUGGGGGCUGUUGUGCAGGAAUGCCAAGUUGAUCGUUCUCAUUAUUCUGCGAUAAAUCUUCAGUGAAUAUCUUUAAUUUGUCACAACGAUGCACUGAAAGAAUUUCUAGCGCGGGCCAUUCCGAAGUAUGCAUUCCAGGGUACAAACAUCUAAGUUUUGGUAGACCUUGGAGUCUCAAAGUGGUGAGCUGUGGAAAGACAAAAUAAGGGAUCACUUCAUCUGCUCUGUUCUCAGAAAUCCUCACAGAAGCGUACUUCUAGGUGUUGGAGCUGCUUGAGGUUUCCGAUCAUAGACGCUGAAAAUAUGUAUUUCAGUUUGUCACAGUACCACACAACUAAUCGUGUUAAACUUUGAAAGUGAGGAAACACGGCCGCCGGAAUUUGAUUGUAGUGCCAAAUCUUGUCGACAUUAAUUGCAGAUAUCUCCAAAGCCUCCAAGUUAGGCAACGCAACCUAAAAAAAUAAGAAUUUCUCGUUAGAUCCAUCCAUAUGGGAAGCACUUGUUGAAAUUUUCUUCUUUGAUUACAAAAUAAUGCAAGUCAGAAUCAAUUUCCAACUGACAGCUGAGAAUGCAUUCUAAUUCAUACUACUUGUUAAGAGCUUAAUUAGUGAGCGCGUGAGAUUCUUUUUAUCCUUUUUUUCCAUUUUCUUUCAAUUCUUUAAAUGAUGUAUUUAUUUUCCACGUAUGACAUCAAAAGAGAACGUAUGAUAGAAUAAAGUCUGUUAUAUAUAUAUAUAUAUAUAUAUAUAAAGAAAAUGUUAGCCUACGCACCUUCUCGUUGAAAAGCAGAGUUGAAAUAUCCAAAGUGAUUUCGCUGGAGCAAAACAUAGUCGUCGAUUCGUGUUGUGACACUUGUCUGUUCGGUGAUGCUGAAGGAGUCUCCACCUCACAGCAAAAACUUGUAACCUCUGGAAGAUUCCCCAGACUCAAAGAUCUUAAUUGAGCAAACUCUAUCUUCUCAAUUGCAUUAUCAACUUCUUCCCCAAUUGCAAAAAUCUCUUUCAUCUUGCUGCAAUUAAUAACUGCAAUUCUCUCAAGUCUUGGAAGGCAUUUUGUAGUACAGAGCCAAAAGAUAUUACUCAAUUUAUCACAAUUAUAUGCUUCUAUGUUUUUGAGUUUGUUGAAAGACUCUACUUUGAGCCGAUCAAUACAUAUCCUCUCCAUGUUGAUCAAAUUGUGAAUGGUAAGUGACUCCAAAAGAGGAAAGGCAUCACAAGCGACCAUCUCCCUUGAAUCGACGAUACAAAAGACGUCAGGAUUAUUUUGAACCCAGAGAAGCUUCAAUUGUGAAAAGCCCUCCGUGUCCAAAUUGAAAAGAACAUUCUCGAUGCCUUGCAGCUUGUCCAACCAUAAGUAUUCAACGUUAUUGAUGCCCUGCAAUUUCAUGGAGCAAAUGUCCAUAAAAUCAAGCUUGAGCUUCAAUGAUCUUAAACUCUUGCGAUCACUGUUGAUCGAAAAGCGCGGCCGACUUUUAAACCAAUGUUGUCCAACACUCAUGGGAUGCAUGAAUAACCCAUUUCCAAUAGAUAUUUUGAACCUUUCGAGCUUUCUGGCCAAAAAACCUUCUGGUAAAAUAUUGUCACUUUUAACGUCAAUUUCUAGAGUGGUUAGCCGAGGUAAAUGCAUCAAUUCGUCAAGGCUAGCAUUACUUCUUUUGCUGUUGGCUCUUUCAACCUCCCAUUCAAUGAAGCAAUUACCCAUAUACAGCUCUUCUAGUCGAGUUAAGCUUGAUAUGAGAUUGGGCGCAAUAACUUUCAGUUGGAAACAAUUUGUUAAAUCUAACAAUCUCAACUUAUUCAAUUGACCUAGUUCUUCGGGCAACUGCAUAAUAUCAGACUUCAAAAAGCUAAGGACUUCUAGAUUCUUCAACUUCCCAAUGAUUGCUAUGUCCCCCAACGCACUUUGAUCCAGACAUAGUGUGUGAAGAUUUGGUAGAAGAUCAAUUGAAGAUGGAAAAGAAGAAAACUGCAUUCGAGUAAAAUCUAGAACUCUAAGCUUUUUCAUCCCUACAAAAAAGUUCUCAGGAAUAUUGAUUUCAAGAGAAGAAUAUUUGAUAGAGAUAAAUAAAAAUUCAAGGUUUGGGCAUUCUAAUCCUUCAGGAAAUUCACGAUUACUAUUAUUUCUUAAAGAGAUCGCAUUGCAUUUUCGAAGUGCAUCCUCAUCUGGCCAGUCCCACACAUCCUUAUUUCUCACCAAAAACACAUGUUGGUGGCGGCAUGCAAUUGAUAUUGCGACAUCACGAACAACAUCAUGCAUUGAAAAUUCUUCAUUGCUCUCACCCUCAAGCAACAAACAAGAGUGUCUAAGUUCAUGGACCAAUGCAUAUAAUUUGUCUCGCGCAUCUUCCAUCUUAUUGACUCCUUUAAAUAUACCCAAACCCAUGGAGUACUUAAACAAGUCCGAAGUAAGAAUACGGUUAUCCAUUAGACUACAGAGCAGAAAAAUUUUCUUGAGUUGCUCACCUUUUAAAUGGUUGAAACUCAGCUCAAUACUUGAAUAAGUCUCUGCAGAUACUCCUUCGAAGUUUACCAUUGAAGGCGUUUGGAGUUCUCUCAAGGAAUUCUUCCAUUCAUGCAGACUCUUGCCUCUCAGUGCCUUUGCUACUGUAGUCAAGGCAAUGGGCAAACCUCCACAUGCCCUGGCGACGUCUAUUGCUGUAGAUUUCAACUCACGAUUUUCAACAUCAUCACCGGCCAUCAUCUUAAACAAUCUCCAGGUUCUUCUUCAUUUAAAUUGUUAAUCAAGAAGUUGUCUUUAGAUCCCAUUUUUAAGAGGACGCCACGAUCUCUUGCUGUCAGCAGUAGUUUGCAGCCUUUAUGAUCUUCUCCAAAAGGAAUUCCAACUGUCUCCAAGUCAAGGUGCUUCCAGAUGUUAUCUAAAACCACAAGGAUCUUCUUCUCAUUUCUCAAUCGCUCAAAUAGUCUACAUGCUCUUCUAGAUUCAACUUCCUCGUGCAACUCCAGGCCCAACUUCUCGGCAAUUUCCUGUUGAAUCCUUUUUAUGUCUGGAAUUUGGGAAACCUCUGAAAAGACCACCAUAUCAAAGAGCUCGUCUUCCAUAGCUUGCCUGGCGACCUUCUUCACCAGUGUCGUCUUUCCAGUGCCGCCCAUGCCGUACACCCCAAUGAUGCUGACACUAACAUCGAUCAAUGCUUUUUUUAUAGCCUCCAAAGUAGAACGUCUUGAUUCGAAGGCCUCGUAGCCUUUGUGAGACUUGAGCCAAAUCUCCUUCGGAAUGGUACGGUAGGAAAUUCUAUCAUCAAAUCUCCCAGCUUCUUCUCGGAGUUCGACAAGCGCCUUUACCUCUGCCUCUGCUUUCCUGCUAAGCUGAUAGCGGGUCUUCAGAUUAGGACACAGACCCUUGAGACAUCGCUUAUUUGUUGCCUCCUCGUCGUCAAUGAAUUUGUCUGCAUGGUCAAUGAUCUUGUUCGCAUUAACCAGCCAUUUCUCAACCUCCUCUUCAAUCUUUUCUCCUUUUCUUUCAGCCUCUGAAACUCUGCGCUGAAUGCUCCUACUUUUAUCCUUGAGAUUCUCGAUUUCAGCCUUGAGAUUCUCAAAGUUGGCAUUGGAGCUACGCAAAUAACGAAGUUGUUGUUGUGUUGGAGGAGCCAAGCAUUCUGCAACUUCUAAAACGACAGUAACAAUGCAUUCCAACACCUUCAAUCUUUUUUUUUUUUUGGGAGGGGGGGGUUGUGGGAGGAUGGAUUGAUCUGAAGUGAAAGAAACAGAAAAAGAACAGGGGAAACGACUGGACAAUUGUUAAUCAAUGAAGAAUAAACUUCAUAAUAAAGUAGCAUUAGAGUACUAGACAAGCUCACCACGUUUAAGCUAAGCGGAGAAUAGACUUCAUCAACAACGCUUUCGUGAAUAUGCGUUGCAUUACAACGCUCCAAUGUGAUCCUCAUCCAAUACCCAUUAUUUGUGAUCCUUAUUCCACUGCGUCAAUUACACUCCAGUCCAAUGCUACCAUCAUUAUCGAACAGUCGAUAUCCAACACUUGCACGAAGAUUCCAAGAAGUUGCGUGGCUGCUGACUUUUAAAUGCUAAGCCUUAUUGUGUCCAUGAUACACCAAAUAGAGCAGUCCCGGGUAAUUGCCAAAACUUAGAACUAAACAGUAGCUCAGGUCAGAAAAUCAAAUGGAGUGAUGAUAAGAAGCUGAGGCACACCAAUCGAUUGCCUAAGCCUAGCAGCAGAUUGGAGGAAUAUGCAUGGACACAUGCGGCUCGACGUCCACGCCAUGCAACACGUGCAUGAGUAGUGUAAGGCACGUGAGAAUUGAUUUGCUAUUAAUUGGGAGCUGGAUAAUUGAUGAUUUGGAGCUGACCUUUUCAAAAGUUGUUGCUGAUUUGGAAAGGAUCUCACGCAUGAGUUGUUCUUUUCUUUGAUUUGAUAUUUAUUCCAAAAUAAUAAAAACUUGUUUAAAUCAAUAUUAACAACUUGAUCUUGUAAGCUUUGAUUAAGCCUAACUACACGCUACAAAGCAUAAUAAUUAGUUUUGCAUUACAACUAUAAAUAAGCUCCAUCAGUGAAUAAAAUCAUCAUCAGACUUUUAUCCAAACACUACUAGCAAUUGUGGUAGUUCUCACUUUAAGAAGAACAAAUUAUUCACUUAUUAUUUCUACUAAUUCUGACUGGGACCUAUUAGGAUGAAACCAUAAAAUUUGAUUUUAUUGUAUGGUUGAUUUCAUAUCUCUUGCAGCCAUUUCUUAAGAUAAUCAAAUUUUCUCUGGCAUCUUUUGCAACUGUGGAAAUAUCAAUUAUGAUCAAUCAAAACGAUUUCAAAACUUUUCAAUGAGACAUAUUUAUAACACAAUAUUGUGAAAAUUACAACAAAAAUUUUAUUUAUUAUAUAUUAUUAUCCAACGAGUACACACAAAUGAAUUCGUACAAAUCUAAAAUACUUAGCAAUUUUCAAAUAGAAUUUACCAUGUACUACAAGAAAAUAUGGUAUAUGUGACCCCUAGAAGGCAAAAGCAGCCAUUACGUAUAUCACUAACUUUGUAACCCCGAUACCUUUUAUGUGACGGCCACACUGCGGUCACAUAUGUUACUAACCACGUGACGGUAAAGAGCCGUUCGGUAUGCUACUAUUCGCUGGACUCCGUGUUACUAGCCACCAUCGUAAACCUAACUGGUUGCCGGCGAACGGCGUAAAACACUGGCCAUCUUCUUCUUCAUCGUAUUCUCCCUUCAUCUUUUGAGUUAAGCUUGUGAUUAUAAGUUUCUUCUCUUACUUAGCUUGUAAUUAUAGAUUUUGAUUUUUUUUUUUAAUUCGUAUUGUAGCCGUUAUUGUCAAUUUUUGUCCCGCCAGCAAUAUUUUUUUAUUCCUACAAGUUGAAGCCCCUGUGUUCUUGUUCCAUUGGUGAGUUUGCUCACUCAAAUUAAUUUUGUUCUGCAGAAUUUACAAAGUUCAAAUGGAUUCAUUUGAAUUACUAUUGAAUUUAGAUUUAAUUCCAACAUCCAUUCUAAUGUUUUGCUAUUAUAUUUAGUUUAAUUUUAUGUUUAAAGCUUCUACAAUGAAUAGCGGAGCUUGGGUUUUAGUUUCAUUUUCUAGAUAACUUGUUUUAGUUUAUCUUGUAUGCUCACCAAGUGCUUGUUAUAUUGUCUGAUAAGUAAUAUACAUUGCUGAUUCUAUAUUAGUAAUGGUACGUUCUAUUUUCAGAAAUUAUAAUACAAAAGUUUUUAUAAUGGCGUAAAUGAAAGUUCAUAUUGUGUAAGAGCAUGUAGAUGUAAAGCAUCAUUACCAUUUCUACAAAGUGCUUUCAUUCUGUUCAGAUGCUCUUCUUGAACUUUGAAAGGUGCCUCGUUCAAGUCCUAGCUAUAACUACUAGCUUUGAUAAAUUAAGUUCCUAUAUUAGCUGAAACAGAUUUAUUUAAUUAAUUAAUUGUGCAUGUACUAAUUAUAUUGAAAGUAUAUGAAUUUUUUUUUUUUUAACAUGAAUGACUUCUAAAUGACUUAAAAACCUAAAGGAUGUGUGAAAUAAUGCUCAUUUCACUUGAAUGAGCCUAUUAAUACUUUUAUGUCUAUGAUUGUCAAUAUUGACUUAAGCAUUUCAGUUAAAGUGGUUUUCCUAGCAGAGGAAAAAAUUUUAAUAGAAAAACUUCAGAGUUCUAACAGAAAUAUAGUUCACUAUGCAGAUUUACGGUAUACAAAUCAAGUUGUCCUAAUCUCAAUGUCCUAUGACUGAUUUUAUUUGAUAUAGUCAUUAAUUUUUGCCAUGGUCUUUUGUGUUUAUGAGUAUGAAAUAGUGGGAUUUGGUGUACCUUAGCAUCUUUUGAAAAUUCUCUUUAAGUGUGGCCAACAGACAUAUCCGUAUAAUCAAGUUUCUUAAUCGUGUAUAUCAGUUUUGGGUAUGAAUGUUCCUAUUCUAGUUCUAGGCAAAGCUUAUUCGUUUUGGUCUUCAGAUUUCCAGUAGGUUAAGUUAAUCAACUAUCAUAACUGGCUAGCUAGUUAUUGUCUGCCUUGGCGCCAUUACCCAGGCCAUUAUAUUGCAUAGCAUAAGGAAUAGUGAUUAGGUGAUUAUUAGUGAUUUGUUGAGCUUAUUAAUGACCAAACAAACAUAUUCGCCUUUGUCCACCACUUAGUUUGAUUAGUUAUUAGACCAUAAAGAGCCUUGAGCUAUUCAUUGGCUUUAUUAUUUUUAUUUGGUUUUUCUUUCAGCAAUAUUGUUGAUUUCUUAUAAAAAUAUUCAUUGGUUUUUAAAAACCUAAUCAUUGGCUAUAUGAAGCUAAUUAAAACUGAGGCUUUGGAUCAAUUUCUUCUAACAAGAUACAAAUGAGCAUAACCUAUCUCCUCUAAGUAAAUUUUUUUAAUAUCCUUGAUUUGUAAGGAUCUGGAGGCCUGAAAUCCUCAAGAUUUUUUUUUUUAACACUGUUGAUGUUCUUUUUAUUCUGAAAAGGAAAUAAAAGGUUUUAUCUUUCAUACCCUAAUAGUAAGCUGGCCUUGUCUUAACAUGGCCUCCCGAGGAUUUGCAAGAUUCAUAGUGCCCCCCAACCCCCAAAAAAAAAAAAAAACACAAAUAGGAAGAUUUUGCAAGAUUCACCACCAGGUUUUUUUUAAUUUAUUAAUUGUGCGUACGUACUAGUUAUAUGUUGAAAAAAUAGGAAGAAGUAUUUCAACAUGAAUGACUUAAAACUUAUUGCUCAGUAAACAGAAUCUGCAUCAGUGCGAAAAUGUAUUUAUCGUUUGAUUUUUUAUGGUUUUGCUUAAGAAAUGAUAUGUGAAAUAAUGUUACAUUGUAUCAGGAAUAAAUUGAAGAGAUUUAUGAUAUUUAUGUGUUAUUCAAAUUUCAGAUUCAAUUUUAAACUUUUGAUACGUGCAUUGAAAGCUUAGACUUGUUUUAAGAAAUUAUUAAUAGACACAUGUUUUAUUAGUGUCAUCCUUGGAUGAUAGUGAGGAUCGUAUGUCUAUUAAUAAUUCUUGAAUUGUCCAGGCUUGGACAGUUUGGGAAUGCAUAGUUCUCUCUGGUAGCUAGUGGCUGAAGUUUUUUUCCCACGUAAAAAUGGGUUUUUCGGUAGCUGCUCCUCGUGUUCUCUGGGUACGUACUAGGUGGAUGGGUGUCAUGUGUUGUUUUGGCAAAACGCAUAAACACGUAUAUAGCUAUGUCUAGUGCUUGGAGAAUUAUUAGGGAGAUGGUGCCGAAAUUUUUAUAAACGUAGAAGAAAACUUUCGGUACUUGAGAUUGAAGAAACUUAUGUAUUCUUGAGUGGGAUAUGUAGGAUUACUUACCUUUUGUAAAUAUGAAGGGAAUGUUGGAUAUAUUGAGGAUAGUGUAGGAGCUGAGUUGGAUGAAUGUAAUUGGUGAUGAUUUUGCUGAGCUGACCUUGGUUUUGAGCUUGUAAAUGGAGUGCUAUCUCCAGUGUUGGUUUAUAAAUAUGUUUCAGGACUUGCUGACCUAAUUUUUUGUUUCUAGGUUACAGGCUUUAUAUAUCUGUAAUUGAUGGCCAAGUGAAGUUCUCAGCACUUGGCGAGGAUAUUUCUUUACAGAAGGUAUUGGAAACUGUUUUUCACAUUAAUUAUUGUUGUACUUGUAUAUAUACUUUGAUUUUCACAUUUGUUGUACUUGUAUAUAUACUUUGAUUUUCACAUCUUUUUCUCUGAUUCUUGUGGCUUUGCUUGCUUUCAUGUAUGUAAAUUCUAAUGAAAUUAACCAUAAAAUUGUAAAAUGAUCUUUUUAUUAUAUUGCAAGACUGUGCUCACACGAAAAUAUCUUGUUUAGUAGUAGAAAUUAGGGGUGGGUCAAAGCGGGUUCGGGUCGGGUUCAGGUCAACCCGAUCAAGUUUUUUGGGUCGGGUGAAAAUUAACCCGAAUUCAACCCGAAUUACUGACCCGACGGGAACCGACCCGAAUUAAUUCGGGUCGGGUCGGGUCAGUAAUUCGGGUUGAAUUCGGGUUAAAUUGGGUUCGGGUUUAAAUCGGGUCGGGUCAUUCGGGUCAUUUCGGGUUGGUUCGGGUCAAAUCCGGUUAAUGCACUUUUUAGCUCUUUUUUUUUCCUAUUUUUGUAGUUUUAGGGUGUUUUAAAACAUUUUCUUAAUUGUAAUCCUUUUUACUAAUUUUCAACCAAAAAAAGAAAAGAAAAUAUUAUGAAAUCAAAUGAAUAAAGUUAAAAUGCAAGAAUAUGAUUAUUUGCCUAUUGUCUUGGAAGGGAUUAGGAUUAUUAUUUGCUCAACCAACAAAGUCCAAACCUAAUAAAAGUUAAAAUUAAUAGUUUAAUACAAACUUACAAAAUCUAAAGUUAAUAGGCUAUUACAAACUUACAAAAUCUAAAGUUAAUAGGCUAUUAGUCUCCAUUCAAAGCACAAUUUCUAAAUACUAGUCUUUGAAAGUUUGAAAUAUAAAAUCAAAAAAUUUAAACAUAAUUAAAUUUUUCGGAAACAUAAUUAAAGUGUCCAAGCAUCUGAAUAUACAAAAUAAUAAUUAAUAAUCAUUAAUUCAAAAAUAAUCUAAUUGGUAAUUUCAAUUCAAAUUGUUCAUAUCCAUAAAUCAAAAGCAAGAAAUUCAUGAUUAAAUAAUUAAUUUAUAAUAUCCAAUUACCCAUUUCCCAUAAUAAUAUGAUAUUAUUUGUCUAUCUAUGUCCUAAUUCUUAUUAUAAACCCUUUAAUUUCAAGUCCAAAUUGAUUAACAUACAGUAAAAUAUUAAUUGAAUUAAUUAAUUUUUUAAGGUUGAAGGUUUAAAGCGAUUGCACAAGUGCACAUAAUCACAUAACACAAUAACACAUUAUAAUUAGAAAAUAUAUGUAACAUCAUAUUUAAUUUUAAUAUUUAAUCUAUCUACCUAAUCUCCUAAUUUAUUCAUUAAAAAAAAUUAUUAAUUGUUAUUAACAAUUAUUAACAAUUAUCAAUUAACAUUGAUAUAAAUCUUAAUAAUUAACAAAAUUUUUGUUAUUUAUUAACAAUUAAUAAAAAUUUAUUCAUAACAAAAUCAUAAAAACAUCAAUUUUUUUGAUUUUAUUACUAACAUUUAAAAAUACAUAAUUACAAAUUUACAACAAUUAAACAAUAAUCAAUUACAUAAUAAAUAACCAAUUAAGCAAUAACUAAGAAGCAUAUAUAACUAUAUAAUAUACCAUGAAAGAUUGAAAUUGAAACUUGAAAGUGAAACUUGAAAGUCAAAGCUUCAAAUCGGUUCGGGUGAGAGUGGGAGAAACUCGAGUCGGGUUGGUCCGGUUGGAACUUGGAAGCUUCGGCCUUGGGCUUGGAGGCUUGGAGCAGCAGAUCGGCCGACGGUGGAACACGGCAGGCGGCAGCAGAUCGAGGCAACAGAUCACGGCUGUAGGAAGUGGGCAGAUCGAGGCAGCAGAUCACUGCAGCAAGAAGUGGGCAGAUCGCAGCAGCAGGAUGUGGGCAGCAGAUCGCGGCAGUGGGCACUAGGCAGCAGAUCGCGACGUGGCUGAUUGGCUAUGGCCUGUGUGCGUGAGUGGCUGCUAUGUGUGCUCUAUGUUCCGUGGAGACUGGAGAGUGGAGUGGUUGUGGUGUGGCGGUUGGCCUGUGUGUGUGACUGUGUGUGAGGCCGUGAGUCCGUGACUUGUGAGUGUGUGAGUUGUGAAUCUUGUGACUUUGUGUGUGAGAGUUGAGACUUAGACUAUGAAUUCACAGUUGUGAUUCUGUGCGUGUGACUGUGAGUGAGUGGUUGUGGUGUGUGUAAUCUGUUUUUUUUUUUAGGUGACCCGAUUGGGUAUUCUGGUUCGGGUGACCCGAUCGGGUUAACUUUUUCACCCGAUCGGGUUUUAGUAACAACCCGAUCCGACCCGAACCUGAAAUUUUUCGGAUCGGGUCGGGUAAAAUGCCCACCCCUGGUAGAAAUCAAGAACUAAAAUGAUUUAUUUAACUAAUAUUUGUAGCGCAUUAAAAGGAGACAGUCAUGGACAAGUGUUGGGUUGGUUUGCCAAAUAGAAAUCCAAGUCAUAUACUGAUGGGUAGGGGUGGGCAUAAACCCACAACCCAUGGGUUUACCCAAACCCAAACCAAAUUAAAUGGUUUGGGUUGGGUAAAUUAUGAAAAUGGGUUAGAUGUGGGUUUUAUAUAGAAAACCAUUUCAUUAUGGGUUGGGUAUGGUUUACCCAUGUGUUAUGAAUAAAACCCCAACACUCAAAUUUUUCAAAUGAAAUAAAUGAAAACAAAAUAAAUGAACACAAAUAGGUAAAAUAUUUUAUUAUUUAUCUUAUAAUAAAUUUUUAUUUGUCAUUCAAGUUUUCUUAUAAUAAUUUUUUUAUCAUUUUACUAAUAUUUUUCUUAUAUAUUUAUUAUAAGAAAAUUUUCACAAAAUAAAUAAGUAUAAAAAAAAUUUAUUAUUAAUUUUUUUGUUCAUAUCAAAAUAUAUAUUUCUUAUUUUUAAUGCUUUAUUUUUUAUUUAGUUUCUAUUCAUGUGAUUAAGUAUAAAAAAAUUUUAUUAUUAAUUUUUUUGUUCAUAUCAAAACAUAUAUUUCUUAUUUUUAAUGCUUUAUUUUUUAUUUAGUUUCUAUUCAUGUGAUUUAUUUAAUUUAUAAUAAAUAUAAAUAAAAGAGUAGUUGAAAAUAAGGGUAAUAUUGUAAACUUAUGCUAUUAGAGGGGUUUUUGGCCAUUAUAAAAACAUAAGGGGGAAAAAUGAUAUAUCUCCCUAAAUUUAUGCAUAUAAGUAGACAACAUAACGCAAAACUACCAAAACGAUAAAUAAAAUCAAAUAUUGCAUAAUUAAAUAAAUAAUAAGUGGCAAAAUUUAUUAUUAGAUUGUUAAUGUCAUGUUUGUGAAAGUUUAUUAUUAAAGUGUAUGUUCUUAUUUAUUGAGAAAUAAUAAUUUUUGUGUGUUAAACUUUAUUUUAAUUUUCUAGUAUUCUUUAAUUUAAGGAUUAAGUUAUUGUAAAAUUUAUAAUUUUUAUCCACUAUAUUUUUUUAUAUUUUAAUAUCAAUUUAAUAAUUAAUAACAAUUAAUAAUUAUUAUAAUUUUGAUAUAAUUAAAUUUUAUUAAAAUAAAAAUUAUUUUGAUAAUAAAAUUCAAACCAAACCCAAACCAAACCCAAAUGAUUUGGUUUGGGUUGGUUUGGAUUGGAUCUUAAUUUUUAUGGUUUGGUUUGGGUUGACUUAAAAUCCAACCCAAACCAACCCAUGCCCACCCCUACUGAUGGGGUUGAAAAAUUUAUAGAUUUUACAUUUGAGAAUGUUGUUGGUGGCACAAGAAUUUAUUGUCCUUUUAAGAAGUGUUGUAAUCUAUAUUUCGUUAUAAGGGAAGUGGCUGAUGAUGAUAUGGUUGGAAUGAUACACUGCAUCACGUAAUCAAAUGUUCAAGUUACACGCAACAUUGUUAUGGACUAUCAGUCAACUUUCUAGCAUUGCCAACUUGUCUGGGUGGAGUAUUAAAGGUAAAUAAGCAAUUAAGCAUGUCUUGUUUGCCAGCAAAACACUAGAUCUAAUACAUAGUAGAAAAUUUUGUCACAUGGAUCACCGUCGAUUUUUACCAACAAAUCAUAGGUUUCGAAAAUAUAGUGUCUUUUGAUAAAACUAGAGAGUAGGGCAAAGCACCCUCUCGAUUGUCUGGAACUGAAGUGAAAAAGCAGUUUAAUAUACUUACUGAGUAUAAGAUUGAAGACUUCAAAAGAGGAAAACGAAUAAAAUGAGAGAAAUGAUAAGAUUACUUGGAAGAAGAACAACAUUUUUUAUGAACUACCGUAUUCACCAUGAUCUUGAUAUCAUGCACUGUUUUAAUUUUUGUUAUGAAUUCAGAUCAAAAGUUUAAUGUGAUCAAAAUUUCUUAAAAAAAGUGAAAACGACUCCUCCUAAUAAUAUGGAAGAUGGCUAUAAAAGAUAAAAGGAAAGGCUUAAAAGGAAAAGCCAUGCCCGUCAAAAAAAAAAAAUGGCAGCGUCAAAUUUAUAACAAAAAUAAAAACGGUGCGUUUGAGAGUGUAAAAAAUACAUUUAGUGGGAGUUGUGUUGUUGCUUGAAGGCAGAUUGUUUGUGAGAUUUUUGUCAACGAAGCCAAAACCAAAGAUGAAUUACGAGGGUUAUGUUUGCCAUAGUCAAGGAACACUGUCCUCUCACCGUUGCCGAAACUUGGGAACGCGUCAAGGCGUGUGUAUCUGUUAAAUUGAAUUUCAACCGUUUGAUCUGUAAUUAUAAUUAAUCCAAUCAAUCUGACAGUGAUCACUGAUCAUAAUUCUAGUAGUUGUUUUACAAAUUCAGCAAGCUGGAGCAAGCGGAUUGACGGGCAAAAGCUGUCAAAUAAGGUGUCCAUCUAGAUGGUAUAAAGCAGCCAUCUAGAUGGUCAGCACAAUUUUGUUCAAAGAAGACGAAGAAGAAUUUGGCAGCAGUAAAUUUGGAAUGAAGAAAAUGGAAAAAGAAGAAGUUUGAAGAAGAAAAAGGGGAACGAUUUUGACAAGAAAAAAAAUUAAUUAUUAUUUUAAUAGCCAAUUUUGGCUAUAUAAAGGGAGCUCUUCAUUUAGUUUUCAGCAUCUAAUUUUGUAGAGAGAGUUGAGAGUUGUGAGAAGUGAUUCUUGCAAGAGCAAAGAAUUUUGUGUACUUAGUGAUUUGAGAGUUUGGGUGUAUUGGGAUUUUGGGUAGUGAGCUAAAAUACUACAAUACUUGUAACUCCUUUUCACUAGUAAAAUAUUUCUUUUUGUUUUUGCCUAUGGACGUAGGCUAAAAGCUGAACCACGUAAUUUCUGGUGUCCUCUAUUGUGCUUGUUCUUUAUUUUCUUACAAUUUCAUUUUAGCUGCGAUCCUGCUUCACCCACCAAUUUCCUAACAGUGGUAUCAGAGCUAUUGGUUGUAUUUUUGGAGUCGGGUACUAUUCACGUAAGGGUACUAUUCACAUAUACGGUACUAUUCACGUGUACGAUGCUGUUCACGUAUACGGUACUAUUCACGUAUCCGGUACUAUUCAUGUAAAACGGUGGGAGCGAUCCAAGAAUUUUACGGUGUUAAGCAGGGAAUAGUGGUGUGAGUAAAACAACUGUGUGGUUUUGUACAUGUCUAGGAAAGUUCCGUCACAAAGGUGAUAACAGCUUAAGGAGUUUGGGUUUUAAGUGGGAUCUUUGUGACCCCUCCAGUUUUUCCUAGGAACUUUCUUAGUGUGCAUAUUCACACAUACUCACAACUAUUCAAGGUGAUACACUAGUUUGUGUACAAUAUUUAUCAACAAAAUGGCGACAAAGUAUGAAAUUGAGAAAUUUAACGGAAAUAACUUUUCGUUGUGGAAAAUUAAGAUGAAAGCUGUAUUGAGGAAAAAUAAUUGCUUGGCAGGAAUUGGAGAAAGGCCCAUGGAGAUAACUGAUGACAAGUGGAACGAGAUAGAUGGCACCGCCAUUUCAGAUCUACACUUGGCACUUGUAGAUGGAGUAUUAUCCAGUGUGGCAGAGAAAAAUACAGCGAAGGAAAUAUGGAAUACUCUUACAAAAUUGUACGAGGCCAAGUCACUACACAACAAAAUCUUCUUGAAGAGGAAACUCUAUACUCUUCGAAUGACGGAAUCUACAAUGGUAACCAACCACAUCAACACCUUGAAGACUCUAUUUUUACAACUCACAACGUUGGGUCAUAAUAUAGAGAAGAAUGAACGUGCAGAGCUUCUACUUCAAAGUCUACCAGAUUCGUAUGAUCAGCUCAUCAUCAACCUGACGAAGAACAAUCUAGUGGACAGUCUAGUUUUCGACGAUAUUGCAGCCUCCAUAUUAAAUGAGGAGAGCAGGCGAAAAAAUAAGGAAAACAGACAAGCAAGUUCGCAGCAAGCGGAGGCGCUAUCGGUGACGAGAAGGAGAUCAACGGAACGUGGCCCCAGUGGGAGUCAAAAUCAUGGUAGAUCAAAAUCCAUAAGUAAGAAGAAUGUUAAAUGCUACAACUGUGGUAAGAAAGGGUACGUCAAAAAGGAGUGUUGGAGUAACCAGAAGAGAAGAGAGGGUAAAGAACCUGAGUCAUCAAAUGCUCAGGGGUGUGUAGCAAGUACCUCAGAUGAUGUCGAAAUUCUCUACAGCGAAGCAACAACUGUUUCAGAAGGCAGAAAAUGACUUUCUGAUGUCUGGCUUAUAGACUCAGGAGCUACCUGGCACAUGACCUCUCGGAGAGAGUGGUUCCACACAUAUGAACCUAUCUCAGGAGGAUCUGUAUAUAUAGGUAAUGAUCAUGCCUUGGAGAUCGCUGGUAUUGGUACUAUCAAAAUAAAAAUGUUUGAUGGUACAAUUCGCACAAUUGGGGAGGUACGACAUGUCAACGGCCUGAAGAAAAAUCUUUUGUCUUUGGGACAAAUGGAUAGUCAUGGGUAUAAAACUCAUGUGGAGAAUGGAAUUAUGAAGAUCGUUAAAGGAGCGCUUGUAUUGAUGAAGGCAGAAAAGAUCGGUGCUAAUCUAUUCAUGUUUAAAGGAGAAACACUACAGGAGGCUGAUGCGUGUGUCGCAUCAAAUGGAGAAGAGUCAACGAUGAUGUGGCAUCUCAAACUUGGUCACGUGUCAGAAUAAGGCUUGAAGAUUCUCUCUGAGCGAAAAUUGCUUCCGGGGCUCAAAUCGGUAAGUUUACCAUUUUGCGAGCAUUAUGUUACAAGUAAGCAGCAUAGAUUAAAAUUCAGUAGAUCUAUUGCUAGAAGUAAAUGCAUUCUAGACUUGAUUCAUUCUAAUGUUUGGGAAUCACCGGAUAUAUCCAUGGGAGAUGCAAAGUACAUGGUGACUUUCAUUGAUGAUUAUUCCAGAAGAUGUUGGGUGUAUCCAAUUAAGAAAAAGUCAGAUGUAUUUCCAGUGUUUAAAGAAUACAAAGCGCGGGUGGAACUUGAAUUUGGUAAAAAAUCAAGUGCUUGAGGACGGAUAAUGGUGGAGAGUAUACAGACGGCGAGUUUCUUGCUUUCUGUAAGUAAGAAGGUAUCCAGAGGCAGUUCACGGUGGCAUACACUCCUCAACAAAAUGGAGUGGCAGAGCGGAUGAACAGAACUCUUACAGAAAGAAUAAGAGCUAUGUUGAGGAUUGCUGGUCUACCCAAUUCAUUCUGGGCAGAAGCAGCCAAAAUUGCUUGUUAUAUAGUAAAUCGAUCGCCAUCUACAGCUAUUGGGCUGAAGACAGUGAUGGAGAUGUGGACUGGAAAGCCAGCUGAUUAUUCCUACCUACAUGCAUUUGGAUGUCUUGUGUACGUAAUGUACAAUGUCCAAGAAAGAACAAAACUAGAUGCAAAAUCUAGAAGAUGUAUCUUCUUGGGAUAUGCUGAUGGAGUAAAGGGGUAUCGUUUGUGGGACCCCACUGCCCACAAAAUCGUCAUCAGCAGAGAUGUUAUUUUUGUAGAAGAUCAACUGCAAAUGAAAGAUGGAGGUGAUGGCACUGUAAAAGAAAAGUCAGAGACUGUGCCAGUAUAUGUGAAAAAUAAUCUAGAAGAUUCAGAUUCUUCUGAAGCAGCACCAGAGCACGAGGAAUAAGAACCAGUCGAGUCUGAGGCUCCAGAAGUUCGUCGGUCAACUCGUGAGAGACGACCACCAACGUGGCACUCGGAGUAUGUCACAGAGAUCAAUGUUGCAUACUAUGUCACAGAGAUCAACGUUGCAUACUGUCUUCUAACAGAGGAUGGAGAGCCUUCAACUUUCCAUGAAACUUUAAACAACUCAGAUGUUGCUUUGUGGAUGACGGCAAUGCAGGAAAAAAUUGAAGCUCUACACAAGAACAAGACAUGGAAACUUGUACCACUACCACGUGGAAGAAAAGCCGUUGGUAACAAAUGGGUCUACAAGAUCAAACGUGAUGGCAAUGACCAAGUGGAGCGGUAUCGUGCAAGAUUGGUGGUGAAAGGAUAUGCUCAGAAAGAAGGUAUUGACUUCAACGAGAUAUUUUCUCCGCUGGUUCGACUCACAACAGUCAGAGUAGUUUUGGCGAUGUGUGCUACAUUUGACUUACAUAUAGAGCAGUUAGAUGUGAAAACUGCAUUUCUUCAUGGAGAACUUAAAGAAAAAAUAUAUAUGCUCCAACCAGAAGGUUUUGCAGAAACAGGAAAGGAGAACUUGGUUUGCAGGUUGAACAAAUCUCUAUGCGGUCUCAAACAGGUGCCGAGGUGUUGGUAUAAGAGAUUUGAUUCCUUCAUCAUGAGCCUUGGAUACAACAGACUCAGUUUAGACCAUUGUGCAUAUUACAAGAGGUUUGAAGAUAAUGAUUUCAUUAUUUUGCUGUUGUAUGUGGAUGACAUGUUGGUAGCAGGUCCCAACAAAGAUCGAGUCCAAGAAUUAAAGGCACAGUUGGCUAGAGAGUUUGAAAUGAAGGACUUGGGACCAGCAAACAAGCUUCUAGGGAUGCAAAUUUACCGAGACAGAAAUAGCAGGAAGAUUUGGCUUUCGCAGAAGAAUUACUUGAAGAAAAUCUUGCGGCGCUUCAACAUGCAAGAUUAUAAGUCAAUUUCUACCUCACUUCCUGUUAAUUUCAAAUUAUCCUCAAGUAUGUGUCCUACCAAUGAAGCAGAGAGGAGGGAGAUGUCUCGAGUACCAUAUGCAUCAGCAGUGGGAAGUUUGAUGUUCGCUAUGAUAUGUACUAGACCGGACAUUGCACAAGCAGUGGGAGUAAUCAGUCGAUACAUGGCAAAUCCUGGUGGAGAGCAUUGGAUAGCUGUAAAGAGGAUUCUGAGAUACAUCAGAGGAACCUCAGAUGUUGUAUUAUGUUAUGGAGGAUCAGAGUUUACUGUCAGCAGCUAUGUGGAUUCAGAUUUUGCAGGAGACCUUGAUAAAAGAAAAUCUACUACUGGUUAUGUGUUUACACUUGCGGGAGCAGCUGUAAGCUGGGUUUCGAAACUGCAGACUGUUGUGGCUUUAUCUACAACAGAAGCAGAAUACAUGGCAGCUACACAAGCUUGCAAGGAAGCUAUUUGGAUACAAAGGUUAUUGAAGGAGCUCGGGCACAAACAACAGAAAAUUCCUGUGUUUUGUGACAGUCAGAGUGCCUUGCACAUUGCAAGGAAUCCAACCUUUCAUUCCAGGACAAAGCACAUAGGAGUUCAGUAUCACUUCGUUCGAGAAGUAGUGGAAGAUGGAAGUGUAGAUUUACAGAAAAUCCAUACGAAGGAGAACCUAGCAGAUAUUUUGACCAAGCCGAUAAAUACUGAUAAAUUUGUCUAGAGUAGAUCCUCUUGUGGCCUAGCAGAAACGUAGACAACAUGAUUAUGGCGAAGCAGAAAGGAUGGUGUGGAAAUUAAUUAAUUCUCAUUUAAAUCUCCAAGUGGGAGAAAUGUCAAAUAAGGUGGCCAUCUAGAUGGUAUAAAGCAGCCAUCUAGAUUGUCAGCACAAUUUUGUUCAAAGAAGAAGCAGAAGAAUUUGGCAGCAGUAAAUUUGGAAUGAAGAAAAUGGAAAAAGAAGAAGUUUGAAGAAGAAAAGGGGGAACGAUUUUGACAAGAAAAAAAAUUAAUUAUUAUUUUAAUAGCCAAUUUUGGCUAUAAAAAGAGAGCUCUUCAUUUGGUUUUUAGCAUCCAAUUUUGUAGAGAGAGUUGAGAGUUAUGAGAAAUGAUUCUUGCAAGAGCAAAGAAUUUCGUGUGCUUAGUGAUUUGAGAGUUUGGGUGUAUUGGGGUUUUGGGUAGUGAGGUAAAAUACUACAAUACUUGUAACUCCUUUUCACUAGUAAAAUAUUUCCUUCUGUUUUCGCCCGUGGACGUAGGCUAAAAGCUGAACCACGUAAUUUCUGAUAUCUCUAUUGUGCUUGUUCUUUAUUUUCUUACAAUUUCAUUUUAGCUGCGGUCCUACUUCACCCACUAAUUUCCUAACAAAAGCCACAUGAAGAUUGUGUGUGUUGAGAUGGAAGAGGGAGAGACAAAAGCUUAGGCUCGUCUGCAAUCACGUAGGCCCUCAUAAGUGAAUCCUGUACACAACUUGGUUCACCAAACCCAACAACUUGAAGCUGCCUUAACCUUGUAGUGAAACGGUGAUGAUGGAAGCCCCUCAGCAAGUCAGCAUGUAAACUUUUCAACAGCGACACAGCUCUUAUUCCAGAGGCCGCACAAAAGAGCGACCUGAAUCCUUUUCAAAACUUUCAAAUUUUUAUCAAGUAAAGCUUUCAAAAUUUCUCAACAAAUUGAUUAUUUGGUGUGGUUGCCACAUUUUGUGCAACUGCUAUUCGUUUUCGAGUACAAAUUCCUUGCCUUCUAAGUUAGGGAAGAUAGAUGUGAAGCAAACAGGGAAACAGAACAAACAGGGCAAAAAUUAAAAUAACAGAACAGCAAUGAUGGCAAUCAACAAACUAAUAGCAAUAUUGCAUUUGAUUCUUUAGACCAAUUGUUCAUUCUCUCAGCAUUCUUCAAUAGUUUUUGAAAAUUAGAUGUGAAGCAAACAAAAUAAAACAAAUUUAGACAACAGAAGCCCUGUAUUCAGCAUCAUAUAUAUACCUUGAAUACCUAAUAUAAUAAAUUUCACAUCUAAAAUACUAGAAAUUUCAAACAGUACCAGCAAUAGAAUAAUGACAACGACAACAAUAACAGAAAAUUAUAAGAUUGCUGAUAAAAUUUCAUUUGCAUGGAUGUCUGACAAAAUUUCUAUGAUUUAAUGUGCUUUCAUGCAUGCAAAUCCUAACGUUUCUGUGAUCACAAAAUGAAACUGAAGAUAAAUCAGAACAACUACCAAACCUUUGGCUGAAAAUUCAGAAGAAUUUAUAUUCAAAAUGUCAAAAUAAACUGGAAAUUUAUUUCACAUAUUACAAGAAGCAGUGCAGACCAAUGGUAAAUUGAUACAUCGUUUUUGAACUUAAUAGCGGCGGGUUAAUGUAACACUUUCAAAGCUGCAUGUAGUGAUACAGUAGAGUGAAUACCCUCAGAAUGUAAGCUUAACUUCAAAGGACGGAGCACGAGUUUCACAGAAAAGUAGCUCUUAUUUCUGAUGCUGCAAACACAGAGAAGUGACCUCAAUCUUCUUCAUAUUUAUUUUGAAAAAUUUUCAUAUAACCUGACUAACCGAGAUUAAUUUUGUGGUAAUGUAUUGGGUCAUUAUUUUUUAUGUUCUUACUGUGAUCACUUUAGGAAAAAACUAAUUUCUCAAUGUGAAAUGGCCCAUAAAAAUUAUUCUCAUUUAAAAACUAAAUUUGACAGACCCCUCGAUUAAAACAGGGGAAAAAAAAAAAAGAUCUGAAGGCUUUCCACAUGAAAAUGUUGUCACUUUGAAUGAUAUUUUCAAGGAGAAUAAAAUUCCUUUUCUAAAAAUAAAAUACCUUAUUCUUCAAAUUGACAGCUCGCCAAGUACUGAAGGCGUAUGAGAUCAGUACUGCGACGAGUAAGGAGACGAACCCUCCAACAGCUGAAAAUAAAAUUCGCAUUCAUGAAUUUAAAUUAAAAUUCAUAUUAUGAAAUUAAAACUAAUGAUUAAUGAAUUUUCGAGGAAUUUAAUAAGAUUCUCAUAUAUAAACGUGAUUAAAAAUUCACUCAUUAAUAACAAAUAUUCUAACAGUUACCCGUACCUUUUCUUGAUGUAAUUGUUGUAUGAUUGUGUUAAGGUCAUUAUUAGACCAACGCACUUUGUCCUCACUCCUUCCGUACCGGACGUUUACUCUCAGAGGCGUGGUUGAUUCUCCUUUGGUGAAAAUCUUCAUCUUGGGACAACCAAUCACCGACAAAUCUUGCAAACAUGGGAAUUUGAAGGUGUAAUUGGCAGAGGAGAAGCUUGUGAGACUAUCUAAAUCAAACAGGGACAAUGUAAUCAAUUUGCUGAAAACAAUCUCUUCUUUUAUAUUUGCUGUUUCAUCUUCGUCACAUACUACGACUUCUGUCAUUGCUGUGCAUCCAAAUACCUUCAAUGAUAAGAGUCGCUCCAGACUUUUUGCUGUGGAGCAUGUUCCUAAGUUCAUCAAUUUCUUGCAAGCAAAAGCUUGCAGAUGUGCGAGAUUCCGAAAAGAUACCGAUGAUGAUGGCAAUAGACUUAACAGAUUUUGACAGUGAUAUGCUCUUAGAAUUUCAAGAUGUUGAAAAAUGAAGUCCAGCUGUUUGGAGUCACGUUUCCACAGUUGCUGCAGACGAUUAAGUCUGGUCAGGUUUAACUUUUUUAUCAGUGCCAACUUCCUCCCAUGUUUCUCCAAAUAUCCUUCAUUUGAAAAUACCACUUCAUACGAACAAUCCGACAGGAAGAGAAGUUUCAGAUUGUUAAACCUCUCAAGUAAACCAAGUUGAAAGCAAGCUAAGUCAUCAUCCCCAACAUGUAGUAGUUUAAGACUGCCAAAGAGGUGUUGUGGGAAAUCGCCUUGCAAAAUCAUCGUGAUGUCUUUUCCACUUAAUGCCAGUUCCUCCAAGUUGGGUAAGAUCUGAUCAUCAUCGAGCUCAAAUUAUUAACUUAGCACAUUGAUCCAUAAUUCAAGACUGGCAAAAUUCAUUGUGUAAUCAAAGUUUUCAAUGAUCUAACUAAUAUAUAUAUAUAUAUAUAUAUAUUCCUUCUCUAAUGCGGACAUCCUCAUUUUUUUUUCUUGUGGACCAAUUUUUAGACCCCAUGGUUUAAAAAAGUUAAUUUUUAACUCUCUAAAACCGCAUGGCUUCAUAAUUCAUUAAAAAACUAACUCUCUUAAACCGUACGGUUUAAAAGCGUGUCCACAUUAAAAAAAAUACGAACCCCCCACACCUGAGAAUGAUUAUAUAUAUAUAUAUACACACGCUCUUAAACUGUGGGAUUUGAAAGCUUCUCCGCAUGAAAAAAGUAAAAAAUAAGGGCAUUCCCACUUGAAAAAAACUCCAUAUAGGUAUUUAUUAAACCUGUGAGUGAGGAACAACAAAGAUAAUUGAUAAAAAAAAUCUAAAAUUUGGUUUCAUACCUUCUUGAACGAGAGCAGGGGUUGUUGUGCCGGAAUACCAAAUUGAUCAUUCUCGUUAUUCUGGGACAACGUUAUUUUAUCACAAUUACAGGCCUCCAAAUGUUUUAGUGCUGGCCAUUCUGAAGUAUGCAUUCCAGGGUAUAAACAUCUGAGUUCUGGUAGACCUUCGAGAUUCAGAGUGGUCACUUGUGGAAAGACAAAAUAUGGGGUCACUUGAUCUGCUCUGUCUUUGGAGAUGAUCUCUUGUAAACCCAUACAUAUCCGUAUCUCCAGGUGUUGGAGGUGCUUAAGGCUUUGGAUCAUAGAAGCUGAAAAUAUGUAUUUUAAUUUGUCACAGCCCCACACUAUCAAUCGUGUCAAACUUUGAAAGUAAGUAAUCAUGGCCGCAAGUUGAUUGUCAUUCCAAAUCUCGUCGACAUUAAUAGCAUUCAGCUCCAAAGCCUCCAAAUUUGGCAACACUACCUAAAGAUAAUUUUCUCUUUAGAUCCAAUAUCCGUAUGGAAAGCACUUGUUUUGACACAAUAUCCAUAUAAGAAGCACCUAAUUAAGAGCUUAAUUAGCGAGUGUAUGAGACUUUUUUUUUUUUUUUCAAAUUAGAGUGCAUGAUAGAACUAAAGAAAAAAAAAGAAGCAUUAGCCUACGUACCUUCUCGUUGAAAAGCAGAGUUGACGUUUCCGAACUGAUCUCGUUGGAACUGGCUGUCAAUUCCUCUUGCGACUCUUGUCUGUUUGGUGAUGUGGAAGGAGUCUUCACUUCACCGCAAAACCUUGUAACCUUUGGAAGCUUUCCCAGACUCAAAGAUCUUAAUUGAACAAACUCUAUCUUCUCAUCAACAUCAACAUCAGCUUCUCCUCCAGUUGCAAAAAUCUCUUCCAUGCUGCUGCAAUUGAUAACUGCAAUCCUCUCCAGUCUUGGAAGGCAUUUUGUACUACUAGAGAGCCAGAAGAUAUUACUCAACUCAUCACAAUUUUCUACUUUUAUGGUUUUGAGUUCAUUGAAGGACUCUAUUUUGAGUCGAUCAAUACAUAUCCUCUCCGUAUUGAUCAAAUUGUGAAGAGUAAGGGACUCCAAAAGAGGAAAGGCGACACAUGGUUCUCUCUCCAUUGAAUCGACGAUACACAGGAAGUCUGGAUUAUUUUGAACAUGGAGAUGCUUCAAUUGUGAAAAGCCCUCAGUGUCCAAUUCUAAAACCACAUUCUUGAUUCCUUGCAACUUAUCCAAACAUAAGUAUUCAACGUUAUUGAUGAGCUGCAACUUCUCGGAGCAAAUGGCCAUAGAAUCAAGCUUGAGCUUCAAUGUUCUUAAACUCUCAUGAUUACUGAUCAUAAAGUGCUGCCGACUUUCAAACCAAUCAUUCUCAAUAACCAGGGUAGAGUCGAAUGAUGCAUCUCCUAUUGAUAUAUCAAACCUUUCCAGCUUUUUGGAAAAAAACCCAUCCGGUAAAAUGCUAUCAUUUUUAACAUCUAUUUCUAAAGUGGUCAAUCGCCUCAAAUGCAUCAAUUCGUCGAGGGUGGCAUUACUUCUUUCACUAUUGGCCUUUUCAACUUCCCAUUCAACAGGGGAAUUACCCAUAUACAGUUCUUCCAAUCGAGUGAAGCUUGAUAAGACGUUGGGCACAAUAAAUUUUAGUUGCAAACAAUCUGUUAAAUCUAACAGCCUUAACUUAGUCAGUUGACCUAGUUCGCCAGGCAACCGUACAAUAUCAGAAUUUAAAAAGCUAAGGAUUUCUAGAUUCUUCAACUUUCCAAUUAUGGCUAUGUCUCCCAACAUGCUUUGAUCUAGACAGAGUGUUUGAAGAUUUGCUAGAAGACCGAUUGAAGAUGGCAAUGAAAAUAAUCGCAUUCGUGUCAAAUCUAUAACUCGAAGCGUUUUCAUCCCUUUGAAAAUGUUGUCAGGAAUAUUGACCUCAACAAAAGUGUUUUGGGAAAUAUGUAAAAAUUCAAGUUGCAGACAUUCAAAUUCCUCAGAAACUUCAUGAAUGCUACUAUUUAAUAAAGAGAUUGCAGAGCAUUUUUUAAGUGCAUCCUCAUCAGGCCACUCCCACACAACCUCAUUUCUCACCAAGAAAACAUGUUGGUCUCGACAUGCAAUUGAUACGACAACAUCGUAGACAACAUCAUGCAUGGAAAAUUGUUCACUGCUAUCACCCUCAAGCAAUAAACAAGAGUCUCUAAGUUCAUGGACCAAUGCAUAUAAUUUGUUUCGUGCAUCUACCAUCCUGUUGACUCCUUGAAAUAUGCCCAAACCCAUGGAGUAUUUAAACAAGUCUGUAAACCAAAAACUGUUACCUAUUAGACUGCAGAGCAGAAAAAUUUUCUUGAGUUGCUCACCUUUUAAAUACUUGAAACUCAGUUCAAUACUUGAAUAAGUCUCUGCAGGCACACCUUCGAAGUUUACCACUGAAGGCGUUUGGAGUUCUCGCAAGGCAUUCUUCCACUCAUGCAGACUCUUGUUUCUCAGUGCCCUCGCUACUGUAGUCAAGGCAAUGGGCAAACCUCCACAUGCCUGGGCUACAUUAAUUGCUGUAGACUUGAACUUACAAUUUUCAAGAUCAUCACUAUUCAUUAUCUUAAACAAUCUCCAAGCUUCUUCUUCAUUUAGAUUGCCAAUCAAGAAGUUAUCUUUGGAGCCCAUACUUAAUAGCACAUUAUUGUCUCUUGCUGUCAGCAGUAGUCUACAUCCUUUAUGAUCAUUUCCAAAGGGAAUUCCAACCGUCUCCAAAUCAACAUGUUUCCAGAUAUUAUCUAGAAUCACAAGAAUCUUAUUCUCAUUCUUCAGUCGUUCAUACAGCCUGCUAGCUCUUCUAUAUUCAGCUUCAUCGGACAACUACAGACCUAACUUCUCUGCAAUUUCCCCUUGAAUCUUUUUUAUGUCUGGAGUUUGUGAAACCUCUGAAAAAACCACCCGAUCAAACAGCUUGUCUUCCCUGGCUUGCCUAGCAAACUCCUUCACCAGUGUCGUCUUUCCAAUGCCGCCCAUGCCGUACACCCCAAUAAUGCUGACAUUCACAUCAGUCAACGCAUUUUGUAUGGACUUCAAAGUAGAAACUCUUGAUUCGAAGGCCUCGUAACCUUUGUUCGACUUAAGCCAUAUCUCCUCCGGAGUGGUACGGUGGGAAACGAUAUCAAACUUCUUAACUUCUUCUCCAAGUUCAACAAGGGCCUUCACCUCUGUCUCUGCUUUCUUGCUAAGCUGAUAGCGGGUCUUCAAAUUAGGACACAAGCCCUUGAGACAGCGCUUAUUUGUUGACUCUUCAUCUUCAACGAAUUUGGUUGCCCGGUCAAUGAUGCCGUUAGCAUUAACCAGCCACUUCUCAACCUUCUCUUCAAUCUCUUCCCCUUUUUCUUUCGCCUCUGAAACUCUGCGCUGAAUGCUCGUACGUUCAACCUUCAACUUCUCCAUUUCCGCCUUGAGAUUCUCAAGGUUGGCAUUGUAGUUCCGCUUGCGCAAAUAAACAAGUUUGCGUUCUGUUGGAGGAGCCAAGCAUUUUACAAGUUCCAAAACGAGAGUAACAAUGAUUUCCAGCAUCUUGAAUCCUGACAACAAUGUAGAAAUGAAGAAGGCCAAAGGACAGUAAGAACAGAGAGACAACGAUACGACAAGCAGUUAUGGAGCUAAAAAUAACUAACAAACAAACAGAAGCAAAGUGUUUUUCGAAUGAGAAGAAGGAAGCAAGAAAAGGGUUUCUAUUUAGAUUAAGAAUGAAUGUAAAGAAGUGACAAAGAUGUCACAUAAUGUAAUUAAGUACAGAAUAAGAAAUGAUUAAGAGAGUGGGGGAGCUAAUAAGACUGUGGAGUGAGCAAACGUAAAUAAAUUUUUCUUAACCUAUUGUCACACGCGUAUGACAAAUAAUAUAAUUAAUUUUAUAUUUUUAUUCAAUAACUAUUAAUUAUAGUUUUUUAAAAUUAUUAAAAAAAUAAUUAGGUACUGAAUUUAAAUCCUAUCCUAAAUGGUUAGAUAAAAAUAAGGGAAUGAAAAGAGUAAUGGUAAAUUAAUAAGAAGGUGUGAUUGAUUAAUUUAUGAGGCCAAUUAACGAAACGACAGAUCUAGUUUCCAUGUUUGUAAUUUAAGUGUAUGAGUACGAGGUGAACCAACUCUUUGUCGAGUCAAGCAAAUAGAAAGAGAAAUUACUAAAAUAAGAACCAGCAACUUUCACUCACACAUGAGCUAAUAAUGUAUUGAGAUUGGGCAGAGUAAUAUAAAACCUUAAAACUAGUAUAAUAAAUUUGUCAUCAAGUUUUAGCCUUCUUCUUCAACCAAUUACAGCACUAUCUUGAGCUCUGAGUUUCUUUUUUUAAAUUAUUCAAAAGAUCUCUGUCAUUAGUUUUUCAAUGAUAAAAAUUAUAUUUUUAUGUCAUAAAAUAUAAAAUUUAAAAAAAAAUGAAACAUAUAUUAUAGGUCUGUUUGAGAUUAUUUUUAAAGGCUCAAAAGUCAUUUUUUAAAGUUAAAUGUUAAUUUUGGUAUUUGGUAAAAUUUUUAAAAAUCGCCUUUGGUAAAAUCACUUAUCCCACAACAAAUUUCGGAAAGUAAAAAAGGAAUAGUUUGUCAAAAUCUAAUUUUGAUAACCAGUUUUAUACUUAAUAUAAUUCUAUAUACAACCUUAUAUAUAUUAUAAAAAUAAAAAAUUAUCCUUAUUAUUUAGGAAAUAAAAUUAUUAAUUUUAAAGAUAUUUUAACAAUUACAUUGAGAUAACAAAAUAAAAAUAAAAUUAAUAAUAUAAAAUAUUUAUUUCUGUUAUCAAUUAUUAUAUGUACAAGAUAAAAUUUUUUUUAUAUACAUGUUUAUAAAUGUAUAAAUAAAUUUUGUUUAGCAUUAUGUUCAAUUCGGUCAUUUACAUUAAUAGCACUUUUAGAAGUAAAUUUUCCUAAAUGUUUAACUGAUUAUCUUUACAGUGAUUAUUUCCACAACAUAACUACCAGAAAUUAUUGUAAAAGAUACAACAUUACCAAAAAAAUAUUGAGGUACAUUUUAAUUAAGUAAUUGACUUAAUUAUGAAUCAAUUUAUUAUUUUCAUCUGUGUUAUCUAAACCAGUUCAUUAAUGAGAUCACUCUUUUCCUUAAAUAAAAAUAUUCCUGCCAAACAAUUGUUAACAAAAUUUCAAAUAUAAAUUACAAACAACAAAAUUUUCUAAAGUCAUAACAAUUAUUUAUGUUCUAAAUACAUGUAACUAAACCACAUUGAAAGUUGUCAAAACACGAGGACCUAUUGUUAGUAAAAUUAUUUCUCAAGCAAAUGCAGUGACGGAUUUGGUUUCAUGUUUCACCCUCAAUAACUUAAUUUUCAUAUCUAACAAAUCAUUCAUAUUAUUAACAAUAUCAUCACCAACCAUAAUCUACCUAAACAUACAUAUAACUAUAUACAUACCGAAUCAGGAAAACAAUGAAGGCUACACGUAUCCGGCUCUACAAUUCCUUGUUGGUACCCUUGUGCUUCUAAAAUAAUCGACCAAUUAUAAAAAUUAGCUUUGGCGCAACUUUACCCCUUUUUUUUGGAAAACUUAACUAUAAAUAAAGUAUACAAAUCUCUAAAUUAACUUCGUUCCCAUGAAAUUCAGCAUAAAUAGAAAUAGAAUUAUAGAAACCUUACUACCUUUUAUGAGAAAUCCAACUCAUAUAUUUGAGGCCUCUCUCUCUAAACACGCGCUUCCUCUCUCUGUAGACUUUCCACCUUUGAAUUUUCCUUCACUAAGUCUACCUAAAUGAAUUUAGCAUUCUCCCAGUUUCUUUAGCAUUUUUUCUCCGUGAAAAUAGGUGAAAAAGAGAAAGUGGUUUGAUUAUUUUAAUGUAUGACAGAUCUGGUUUCCAUCUCUGUAAUUUAAGUUUGUCAAAACGAGGUGAUCAACUCUUUGUCGAGUCAGUCAAAUAUAAAAGACAAAUUACUAAACCAAGCAGAGCCCAAAAAAAAAAAUAUUUCCAAUUAAAUAAUCAUCAAGUCUUUUUCAAUUAAAUUAGGGAGUGCAGAACAACUGUCGAGAGAUAAUCAUUGUUUAUGGAGCCAUAUUAUAUUUUCGAUUAAAAUAGGUGCGCGUGAACAAUUGGCAGAAUUCGUAUAAAUUGUUGUCAGGUCUAUUAUAAUUAACAAGCGGAAUGGCCAAUGGAUGAAGAACCACUGUAAUUUCGUUUAUGAAUUCAAAAUGCUAAAGAAACUGGACAUCAACGCUACACGUGAGUCUGCGGCCCUUGCCCCAGUGUCUUUCAGGCGUUACUCGGGGUAGUUGAUAUACUGACGGCCCCUUUAUCAAUUAAUAAUCGAAAUAGAUUAAAAUAUGAAUGGAUUGGAAUGGAAUGACUUGGAAUUAAAAUAUGGAAUGACGAUUAGAUUAAUUAAUUUAUUUAAAUUGAGAAAUUAGAAUCAUAAUAAAUUAUAUUGUUAUUGAUGUAUUUGUUUUAUCUUAAAAUUGCGAUGAGUUGUUACAAAUUACUAAUAUGCCUUUGAUUUUGUAUUAUGAUAAUUAUUAUUUAUUAUAACAUUUGUCAUAUAAUAAUAAUAAUAAUAACAACAACAACAAUUAAUAUUGAAAAAUUUUUAUUGUUAAUAAUAAAUAGGCAAUUAUCCACCGACCAUGUGAUCUUUUGGACGUUUUAAAAAAUAUACAAACACUUUUUUCUUUGCAGAAAUCCACCUGAAAUUUACAAAGUGUUUCAAUUGUUCACUGUCAUCUAAAUUUUGUUAGAAUUUUCUUGACGUUGUAAGGAUAAAAUUGUUAUUUUUACCUUGACUUCCAAAGAGGAUGUCUUUCAAACAUGAUGAAAAUAAAAAAAAAGGAUAAAAAAUUAUCUGUCAACUAUCUGAUCUUUUAGCCAUUAUACAAAAUAUUAAAAAAAUAUGCGAACAUUUUUUAUUUUUUUCAACAAUCCAUCUGAUAGUUAUGAAGUGCAUUAGUGCUCCACUACUAUCAUAACCCUUUAAAAAUAUCGCUUAAACACGAGAACCUAUUGCCUAAAAUUAUUUUUCAAGAAAAUGUAACUACAGAUUUGGUUUUGAUCUUCAUGACUUUUAAGUGUACAAGAACAAGAUGAACGAACCUUUGUCGAGUUGAUGAAUUAAGAUAAAUCAAUUACAAAUCGAGAACAAACUUACGGGUGACAUUUUAGUAUUAAGCAAACUAUAAUUGAUCAUUCAAUGAUAGGCUUAUUUUCAAUUAAAUUAGAGUAAAGAUAGACAUUCCAAAUUUUUUCUCUCAAAUUUAAUCCUAGAUAAUGUGUUAUUAAUUGAGUGCUUGGUAAUUCUUUCAAGAUCUAAGUGAAUUAAUUAUAUUAUCUCUCCAACCAAUUGAUGAAUAUUAUAUUAUUUGAGAUAAUUUUUUUUUAUCUCAAAUCCCAGCAAAGAAAACAGAACAAACGGAGCAAAAAUAUUUUUAGAAACCUAAAAUAACAAAAAAAAACUUUUUCUUGUUUUUCUUAUUUUCCACUGUUAAACUUCAAAAUGAACAACUUUAUUCUACCAUCUCUCAAAUAAUAAUAAUAACAACAAUGUCAUCAUCAUCAAUAAUAAUAAUAAUAUAUUAACUUUGUAGGAUGGAGCUCUCGCAAAUCUUCAAGACACAAAAUGUGCUUGACCCCAUUGUUGUUAUUAUAAUUUCAAAAUCAUCUGUAUUAUAUAAUAUUAGGGAAUAUGACAUAGCAAAAUUGAUGGUACAUAUGUUGCAAUAUACUUGUUCAUGUGGCGACACAUUGAAGUAAAGCACAAGCAAAACAACGAAAAAUGUAACGGGAGAGCUCUCAUUAUGUAGAUUUUCAAUAGAAGUAAUGCAAAUUUCACAAGGGCAAUGUCCUUAUUUCGAAUGCUGCACCUGAGGAAUGACUUGAAUCUUCUUUAGAACUCAAGCAUUCUGUAAUCAUAGAGUAUAACAUUUCAACAAAAAUAUUAUAUAGGUCGUUCCUUUAUAUAUUUUCUGGGUACACAUACAGAAAUAUUAUUUUAGGUACAUUUCUCACAAUAAAGCCUGCCCAAUCUAGCAUUUUCGUAAGUUGGGUUUCUUAUUUACAUGUUUUUUCCAUUGGUUAAUUAUCACAAACCUCCACUGAGAUUUAGCAUGUUUUUAGUUUGAUAGAUUGUAUUCGCGUAUUCUCAAAUACCUUUUAGUUUACCACUUCGUAUAAAUUAAGUUGGUGAGGAUAAAAUCAUAAAAGUACACAUUAAUGAUAAAAAAAUUCAAGUAAACUUGAAAUUUUCAAGGGGUAAUUUUUCGGGACCUCCCCUGAGAUUCGGUGUAUUAAAAAUCUCAUAGAAAGUAUUCAUGUAAUUAUAAGAACCUCCCCUGACGUUAGUACACAGUUAACUUGACUGUUAGUGGACUGAUAAAAAGUCAAAAAUGCCAUUGGCUACAAAAAUGAGUGCAACAAUUUGGAGUUAAAUAGUAAACACGGAGCACUAAAAAGUCUAUAAUAAUCAUGGAAAAAAAUCAUUGACAUUUACAUAAUAUAAAAAAAAAGUAAAAUAUAAAUUAAGAAAAUCAACAAAAUUGUCAACGUAUAGAAUAUUUACAGCAGCAGUGGCUAUAAAUACAACCGUCGUCAAAUUAAAAUAUCACCAUUAGUAAACUACUUCAAUAAGACAAUAAACCAUGAUUCACUCUUCAAAGCAUUCAAAAUACACAACCCGCACAAUAGAAUCACAUACGCACACCUGCUAAUGAAAUAUAAGAACAAACAGGAAAUUGAACUGACAUGGCUAAGAUACUCCUUCCCCAUAGCUAUUAGAAAGAUAAUGAGCGAUUUAUGAAUCAUGAUGCUUGCUUUACUUUCUGGCAGUGUUAGCUUCAAAUUCAAUGAUAGUAAAUGAACAAUGGUUCAUUCAUUAUGAAAGUAAGUGUAAAGCUAGGAAUUUAUAAUAUUCAGAUGUUGGAAUUGAAAAAAUAUUCCUUAAUCGUUUCAAUUGAAGCCAAGGAAGAAAAGAAAUGAGUCUUCUUUUUUCAGGAGACAAGCCAUAUGAAGAAGGCAGACCAGAGCAUAAGAACGAAUGCUACUGCCACAGUAAAAGCCUGGAUCAAUGGGUAAUGGUACCUGCCAUGUCAAUUUCAAGACAAACAAAAAUCAAUUAUCAUCCCCAGACCACAACACCACCAAACCAACCUUUUGAAUCUAAAAUAACAAGUUAAUAAAUCAAAGAUUUCAAUUCAUUUAAGUUUGAAAUCAACUAAAAUAGAAAAAAAAAACCCAAUUUCUUUUUUGUUCAAUAUAACUCAUUCAGCAUCUUCUUCAACACAUUUUUAUCAUUCUUCAUCAUCACAACAAUAAAAAGAAAAAAAAAACAUUGAGUCCAACAUGCAAGUUUUUUUUUGGGAAACUAACCGUUUUUAGGUUCCAAUUCUAGUAGUCUUAAACAGUAGCCGCCGACGAAAUUCGCUUGGCGACACCCUUUUGCCACCAUUGCAGCUUGUCAUGUUCAUACUCAGCUUAAAAUUACUUGAAGGCAGCAGGGAUUUUAUAGUUACAAAAGUUUCUUCAGAGCUUUUCAAGCUUGAAAAUGGCUGAGAGUUUCAUUUAAUGAGAGAGAAAAUGGAGUUUUCAUUCAUCUUAGAUAAAUUGAAGAUAAUUUGUAUUGUGGGUAAUAAAUUGAUUGUCAAUGCCUAAAUUUGGGUCAUCGACACAACUUUGGAAUUUUUUUUAUUUUUCUUUGAUUUUUAUUAUGAAACUACUAAUUUACCCUCAUAUACUAACAUAUAUGAAAUGGCAUACUAACGUCAGUUAUGUCAAGCAGCUCCCUGUAAUUACGUGAAUAUUUUCCAUGAGACUGUCAAUACACAAAAUUUCAGGGGAAAUCCCUAAACAUUACCUAAUUUUUAAGUUGUGUUCUGAAAUUGGUCUCAACUUUGUAAUGUGUAAUGCCCACAAAAAAAGAAAAGGAAAAAUGGUCAUCUCUUUCCUCCAUUCGAACUGAAGCCAUGAAACGCAAUAUCCCUUUCAUCUUCUCUCUAAUGCUUUGAUUAAAAAACUUGCUUACGAACGGGAGACCAUGACACUGAAUCCGAAGACAGAAAUACCUGAGAUGACUGAUUCACGCCGGCGAUGUGGAAGAAUACCGACCAGUGACUUUCGCCGUCGACCCACAAACAAUCCCAGUGUUUUCGAGCCGCCAAUGAGGUAUGAAUAAGAUUAUUUCCGUGCGUGUCAGUUUUGUAAGGAGAUUUGAUUAAAAAAAAGAAUAAUGGGUCUCGAAAUUUUUUUGAGUAUUUCUGUUGCUUAAAUUUUUUUCCAUCGAUUAAUGUUAGUUGUAGGUGAAUGAUUGUUGCAAACGCAUGUUCGCUUGUGAUUGAUUGAAAAUGACUUGUUAUUUGUUAUGCUGCCAUGUGACUCAUUGAAAAUGCCUCUGAAAUUUUUUUAUUUGUUUAAGGUACUGAUUCUGAUUAUUGAACAGGGAUUCAUGCUAGUUUUUAUUAAAUUAAAGAUGAGAUUAUUUUUUAAGAGAUCUACCAAACCUUCUCUACUAUAGAUUUGGCAUCUGACAUACCUGGUUCGCUGGAGAUAAUUGUUUAUAUAGUCAUUGCUGCUCGUAUUAAUCAGGAACAUUGAUUAGCAAUGUACUGGAAUAGAGAUUGGUAUAAUUUUGGAAAAUUAGUCGUAGAUGCAACCUGAUUAUGGUCUCAAAUAGUGUGAUCUGUCAAUUCCGUUUGCUCUAGCCUAACAACCUUGAAUCUGAGCUAUGCCACUAUACAAAGUCCUGACCUAAUCAAGCUUGUUAGCCAAUGUCCAAAAUUGCAGUGUCUUUAGAUAAGCCCUGUCUUACUUGUUUGAGUUAUAAAUGAAAAUUGAAGUGUCUUUGGAUAAUCACGCUGAAUGUUCAAGUUAUUGAAGAGAAGGGACCCCCAGAUUCAAGGCCGGAGCUCCCUGUUGAGAAGCUUUACAUAUAUGGGAUUGUCGCUGGGCGGAGGAUCGAUAUGCCCGGUUUUGUUUGGAAUAGGGAUGAAGAUUUUGCAUUGAGGCUUUCUUGAUAGAUCAUUCUGCAAAUCAAGCUCCAUGUACCUAUCUUCAGACUCUUGGAUAUGUAUAAAGCAGGUGCAUGCUCUAUAUGUUACUCAUUGUAUCACGAUUAUUUUUCUAUUGCUUAAAAUAAUUGCAGUCCUUGAUGUAGUUGGAGACAACUUAUGGAGGGUAUACAGAGGCUCGAGAGUUUGAUUGCCAUUCAUUUGACACUUGGCUGAGCUACAGCAUACCAACUAGUGAUUAAUAAAGAGAAGGUAUGAAGGUCCUGUUGCUGGUGGUAUUAUCAAUCAGAAUUGUUAUUUUACUUAGUCAUAGUUACCAUGUAUAAGAUUCGUAGACUUUUUGCAUGUUUAUGCAUUCGCAUCAUCUUUUUGUUAAGCUAGAGAUGGUUGAUUUGUGUACUCAUUUGUAUCACUUGUAGCCCUUGAGGAAUAAAAUUUAAAAUUUUGUUGCAUCUCCUGUACUAAAUACUAAUUUUGUUUGCUUUAUGUAUGGGAAAUGGUUCAUUAUCUUAUUUCUUUGAUGUGUAUAGUGUUACACUGUCUAAAGUUGAAAAGUAUUUCUAUCACUUGUGUAAAAAACAAACAAUUUUUUUUUCACUCUUCUUAUAUUGAAUAAAAGAGGGACACCAAGAUCUUCACCAAGAUUGAACGAAAUUUGAUGCAGAAAGCAUAGCAAUUAGGCCAGUGCAAAAUAGCUUCCUUCUGAUUCUCUGAUAUUUGACUUAAAUCUUUUGUUUGUUUCAUUCAUCAAAGUCAUUUUGGAAAGUAGCAGGCGUGAUUUGAUAUUUUCAUUGUAUUCACAUCCGUUGGCACCAAAACAAACAUGCUGGUACUAACCAACAAUUUUUUAUUUUUAGUGUACAAAUUAGUUUUUUUAAGACAAAUAAGCUGGUACUAACCAACAAUAUUUUAUUUUCAGUAUACAAAUUAUUAUUUUUUUUUCUAAAUUAGGGGUAUUAAGAAAAGGUAUGCAAGCACCAGGGGAGGUAUUUGAAAAUAUACAAAUACAAUCUAUCAAACUGAGAAUACACCAAACCGGCAGGUUUCUGAUAAAUCCUUUUUUUCUUUUUCCUCCAUUCACUAUAGGUUCAAUUUAGACGCUGUUGACCAAACAGAAGGUUUGGGUUGGUAAACGCACUGGUGUUAAUGCCAACAACCCAAGGCGCUUCAUGGUCCUCUGGGCCGAAAUAGCGUAAUUAUUAAUUCUCCUCCAGUGAAAAUCUUCAUCUUGGGACAAAUACUUACGAAUUGACAUUAUAGCUGUGGAAAUUUGGAGGUGUAAUAACCGGAAAAGUAAAAAUCUUAAGAGACUUUUUAAAUAAAAAAGAUACAACACCUUCAAUUUGCUAAAAGUAAUGGUAUCAUUUCUUGUACGGAUAAUGGAUGAUUAGAUUUUGUUUUUUGUUAUCCGACGAAGGAUAUUCAGUUGUUCUUUAUGUGUUCACAGGCAAGAGCAUGAGCAUAUUCAUGGUUUCAUAUAUGCUUCUUGCAUUUUCUAAUUAAGUACUCUCUUUCCUUGCCUUCUUAGUUUUGAAAGAAAGAUGUGAAGCAAAGCAAACCCAGUGAAAUAUACAGAGAAACAGAACCAUCAGAGGAAAAACUAAAUAACAGAACCACAAUUGAACCAAACAAAAUCAAAUAAACCGAGGCAACGGAUACCCUGAAUCAGGCAUCCCUUUUUCUCGAAAGAAAAUAUGUUUGCAUGGGUGGGAACCUAAUAAUUACUCAAGAGUUGGAGUUGGAAAGAUUUGGUAUUCAUAUCUUCACAAUUCAUAAGCUUUAAUGCAGAAUCGACAGCUUUAUAUUAAUUUAUUCAACCAAAAACGAUAAAGUAGGAAAACCACAAUAAUCCACCAACUUUUGCUACUUUUAGGAAUAAUUUUUGGUCAACUUUCAAAAAGUGAGAUGACGAUCUUUGAGUUGAUAAAUCUUGGCCUGCUGCUUAGUACCCUUCCAACAUAUAAAGUACUAGAUGUUUAGCUGAGAAAAUGACGAGAUCAUUUAUCAAAUUUCUUGCGCAUAUAUACAUAUAUAUACAAGAAAUAAGAAUCAGAGUGAUUAUAAGACCUUUGCAAUGAGGCAAUAAAUACAUCAUCAAAUCUAAAAAUACACAAGAAAUUCGUGACGUAUAUAUAACAAUAGACCUCUCAUUGAGUCAUAGAUAUUGAGAAUAAAAUGUCAAAAUGCAUACAAAGAGCUUAUACAGAAAAUGAAUUUACACACAUUUAGAAUAAACUGUCUUUGAACUUCCGAUGGUCAAACAAAGGAAACAGACAGGAAAUGACACACACUAUCAUAUAUGUAGGGACACGAUGAAGUAAAUCACAUGAAGAUGGAAACGGAACCCCUCACAACAUAAAAUUUGAAUAAAGGGGGAAAAAAAGGCUUCAUUUCAAAUGUUGCACAGAAGAAGAGUGACUUGAAUCUCCAUCAGUAUCCAGACAUUCUACAAACACAGUGCUGAGAAUUUUAACAAGAAUAACAGACAAAAUAUUGUGCUUCUAUAUUUUUCACAGAACUAGACCAAAUCAGUUCCCUUUUUGGUUUGUGAAAACUUGAUAUUUUUGAAAAUUCUAUCCAAUGCUUUCAAACAAUAUUUCCACAAUAUAGUUGUUCAUAGCUAACCUUUGAUGGUGUAAGGAUUUGUUGUAGGCAUAAUGGGCUAAUUAUAUAUAUAUAUAUAUAUUUUACCCGCUGAAUGAUAUUCAGCUUCCAAGUUUCCAAAGAACAAACAGAGCAGAAACAAAUAUAACGGAACAGCAAUGAUGACGAUAAAUGAUUGGCAAAGAAAGAAAGAAAAAAGUUCGCAUGAUUUCAAGGAAUUAUAAUAUCUGAAGACAUUCAACAUGCAAGUGUUGCCCCUUUUAAUGAAAUUUCAUCAUAAAAUGCUUGCAAGGAAUUAUAAAAUUUUAGAGAACAAGCGAAUUCUCAAACAAAAUACUCAAAUUAAAUUAAAUUAGACCAAAAGACAAUCAAUGACGCAAAAUCUGCCCAUAAAAGCCUGAACGAAUCAUGAAAAGUGCAUUCCAUAUUGACAGUAAACCAAGUGACCCAUUCUAAACAAUUGAGAUGAAAUUGUGAAACAACCCACGAGAUCAAAUAAAUAAAAUAAGAAUUAAUUACCAGCUGGGACUUUCUUCUUCAAAUUCGUAACUCCAAGUCAUAAGAAGGCUAUGAAAUUAGUCGUAAUCCACAGAGUAUGACGACGACCCCGCCAACAGCUGAAAAUAAAAUUCUUAUUCAUCAAUUUAAACUAACUUUAUAACAAAUAUCUUAUCGAUAUUUUAUUUAAAAAGAAAAAGCAAAUUUUGUAAAAUUUUUCUAUGGGAGAUAGAGAGUAACAUGUAUAUCCGUACCUUCUCAGCAUGUAAUUGUUGUAUGGUCGUGUUAAGAUCAUUAUUAGCCCAACGCCGUUGAUCCGCUGUCUCUCCAUAGCAGACGUUUACUCUUAGAGUCGUGAUUGAUUCUCCUGUAGUGAAAAUCUUCAUCUUGGGACAACCAAUCACCCACAAAUCUUGCAAAGAUGGGAAUUUGAAGGUGUAAUUGGCAGAGCAGAAACUUGUGAGGCUGUCUAAAUCACGCAGGUCCAACGCCUUCAAUUUGGGGAAAACAAUCUCUUCUUUUUCAACCCCGUCUUUGUCAUUUAUUACCACGUCUGACAUUGCUCUGCAUCCGUAUACACAAAGUGAUACGAGUCGCACUAGAGUUUUUGCUGUGGAGGAUGUUACUAAGUGUAUCAAUUUCUUGCAAUCGAAAGCUACAAGUUUUGUUAGGUUCCCAAAAGAUACCGACGAUGAUGGCAAUAGAAUUAACAGACUUUGACAAUGAUAUACUUUUAGAAUUUCAAGAUGCUGAAAAAUGGGGCCAAGUUUGGAAUCUUGUUUGCACAGCUGCUUCAGAUGAUAGUGCCGAUGCAGCUUUAAUUCUUUUAUCAUUGCCAACUUCCCCACAUGUUUCUCUAAGCUUCGAGAUUGUGAAAUCUCUCCAGUACGUUCCAGAUUGGAAAACCAGCUGAGUCAUCUGCAGCAAUCUCUAGUUCUCUAAGACUGCCAAAAAGGUGUUGUGGGAAAUCGGCCUGCAAAAUCAUCUUCACAUCUUUUCCACUUAGUGAUAGUUCCUUCAAGUUGGGUACGAUCUGAUCAUCAUCAAUCAUAAUAACUAAUGAGGUCAAUUGAUGAUCUACGGUCACACACAGUGACUUUAUAGUAUUUGUUUUAUAUUAUAUUUUUAAAAAAAUUGAAUUAUUGAUAAAAUUUAUUUUAUAUGUUAAUUUUAGAGGUAAAAAAGAAAUUAGAGAAAAAGGUUGAUUUAUACUGGCUCGAAAUUAUUUUAUUGCACAAUAAUAAAUUACUAAUUUAUUUUGUAAGUUCUUCUAUAUGGAAAGACUAAGGAUUUUUUUAUAAAUGCUAUACCAAAAAAAGUUCAUAUAAUUAUUAAUCUACCACAUUGAUCUCUUAAUCUAGACUAGCAAAGAUUAUUGUAUAAUAAAAGUUUUCAAUUUAUUGAGUAUUAAUUUAUCGAUGCUUUGUCAUAUUUUUCAAAGUUAAAAAUAAGCUAUAGACAAAAAAUCUAGAAAAUGGUUUCAUACCUUUUCCAACGGCAAUGGGGGCUGUUGUGCAGGAAUGCCAAGUUGAUCAUUCUGCGAUAAAUCUGCAGUGAAUAUCUUUAAUUUGUCACAAAAAUACACAAAAAGAAUUUCUAGCGCGGGCCAUUCCGAAGUAUGCAUUCCAGGGUACAAACAUCUAAGUUUUGGUAGACCUUCGAGUCUCAGAGUGGUGAGCUGUGGAAAGACAAAAUAAGGGAUAACUUCAUCUGCUCUGUUCUCAGAAAUGAUCUCCUGGAAAUCCUCACAGAAGCGUACUUCUAGGUGUUGGAGCUGCUUAAGGCUUCCGAUCAUAGACGCUGAAAAUAUGUAUUUUAAUUUGUUACAACGCCACACAAUCAAUCGUGUUAAAUUUUGAAAGCGAGGAAACAUGACCGGAAGAUGAUUGUAGUGCCAAAUCUUGUCGACAUUAAUUGCAGAUAUCUCCAAAGCCUCCAAGUUGGGCAACGCAACCUAAAAAAAUAAGAAUUUCUCGUUAGAUCCAAUAUCCAAAUGGGAAGCACUUGUUGAAAUUUUCUUCUUUGAUUACAAAUUAAUGCAAGUCUGAAUCAAUUUCCAACUGACAGCUGAGUAUGCAUUCUAAUUCAUACUACUUGUUAAGAGCUCAAUUAGUGAGCGCGUGAGAUUCUUUUUAUCCUUUUUUCCAUUUUCUUUCAAUUCUUUAAAUGAUUUAAUUAUUUCCACGUAUGACGUCAAAAGAGAACGUUAUAUAUGAAUAAAAUCUGUUAUAUAUGAAGAAAAUGUUAGCCUACGCACCUUCUCGUUGAAAAGCAGAGUUGAAGUAUCCAAAGUGAUUUCGCUGGAGCAAUACGUAGUCGUCGAUUCCUCUUGCGACGCUGGUCUGUUCGGUGAUGCUGAAGGAGUCUUUACUUCACGGCAGAAAUUUGUAACCUCUGGAAGAUUCCCCAGACUCAAAGAUCUUAAUUGAGCAAACUCUAUCUUCUCAAUUGCAUUAUCAACUUCAUCCCCAAUUGAAAAAAUUUCUUUCAUCUUGCUGCAAUUAAUAACUGCAAUUCUCUCAAGUCUUGGAAGGCAUUUUGUAGUGGAGAGCCAAAAGAUAUUGCUUAACUUAUCACAAUUAUAUGCUUCUACGGUUUUGAGUUUGUUGAAAGACUCUACUUUGAGCCGAUCAAUACAUAUCCUCUCCAUGUUGAUCAAAUUGUGAAGGAUAAGUGACUCCAAAAGAGGAAAGGCAUCACAAGCGACCAUCGCCCUUGAAUCGACGAUGCAAAAGAAGUCAGGAUUAUUUUGAACCCAGAGAAGCUUCAAUUGUGAAAAGCCCUCCGUGUCCAAAUUGAAAAGAACAUCCUCGAUGCCUUGCAGCUUGUCCAACCAUAAGUAUUCAACGUUAUUGAUGCCCUGCAAUUUCAUGGAGCAAAUGUUCAUAAAAUCAAGCUUGAGCUUCAAUGCUCUUAAUCUCUUCCGAUCACUGUUGAUCGAAAAGUGCAGCUGACUUUUGAACCAAUUUUGUCUAACACUCUUGGGAGGCAUGAACGACUCAUUUGCAAUAGAUAUUUUGAACCUUUCGAGCUUUCUGGCCAAAAAACCUUCUGGUAAAAUACUGUCAUUUUUAACGUCAAUUUCUAGAGUGGUUAGCCGAGGUAAAUGCAUCAAUUCGUCAAGGCUAGCAUUACUUCUUUUGCUGUUGGCUCUUUCAACCUCCCAUUCAAUGAAGCAAUUACCCAUAUACAGCUCUUCUAGUCGAGUUAAGCUUGCAUGAGAUUGGGCGCAAUAACUUUUAGAUGGAAACAAUUGGGUUAAAUCUAACAAUCUCAACUUAUUCAAUUGACCUAGUUCUUCUGGCAACUGCAUAAUAUCAGACAUCAAAAAGCUAAGGACUUCUAGAUUCUUCAACUUCCCAAUGAUUGCUAUGUCGCCCAACGCACUUUGAUCCAGACAUAGUGGUGUGGAAGAUUUACUAGAAGAUCAAUUGAAGGAUGGAAAAGAAGGACAAUAACCGCAUUCCAGUAAAANNNNNNNNNNNNNNNNNNNNNNNNNNNNNNNNNNNNNNNNNNNNNNNNNNNNNNNNNNNNNNNNNNNNNNNNNNNNNNNNNNNNNNNNNNNNNNNNNNNNNNNNNNNNNNNNNNNNNNNNNNNNNNNNNNNNNNNNNNNNNNNNNNNNNNNNNNNNNNNNNNNNNNNNNNNNNNNNNNNNNNNNNNNNNNNNNNNNNNNNNNNNNNNNNNNNNNNNNNNNNNNNNNNNNNNNNNNNNNNNNNNNNNNNNNNNNNNNNNNNNNNNNNNNNNNNNNNNNNNNNNNNNNNNNNNNNNNNNNNNNNNNNNNNNNNNNNNNNNNNNNNNNNNNNNNNNNNNNNNNNNNNNNNNNNNNNNNNNNNNNNNNNNNNNNNNNNNNNNNNNNNNNNNNNNNNNNNNNNNNNNNNNNNNNNNNNNNNNNNNNNNNNNNNNNNNNNNNNNNNNNNNNNNNNNNNNNNNNNNNNNNNNNNNNNNNNNNNNNNNNNNNNNNNNNNNNNNNNNNNNNNNNNNNNNNNNNNNNNNNNNNNNNNNNNNNNNNNNNNNNNNNNNNNNNNNNNNNNNNNNNNNNNNNNNNNNNNNNNNNNNNNNNNNNNNNNNNNNNNNNNNNNNNNNNNNNNNNNNNNNNNNNNNNNNNNNNNNNNNNNNNNNNNNNNNNNNNNNNNNNNNNNNNNNNNNNNNNNNNNNNNNNNNNNNNNNNNNNNNNNNNNNNNNNNNNNNNNNNNNNNNNNNNNNNNNNNNNNNNNNNNNNNNNNNNNNNNNNNNNNNNNNNNNNNNNNNNNNNNNNNNNNNNNNNNNNNNNNNNNNNNNNNNNNNNNNNNNNNNNNNNNNNNNNNNNNNNNNNNNNNNNNNNNNNNNNNNNNNNNNNNNNNNNNNNNNNNNNNNNNNNNNNNNNNNNNNNNNNNNNNNNNNNNNNNNNNNNNNNNNNNNNNNNNNNNNNNNNNNNNNNNNNNNNNNNNNNNNNNNNNNNNNNNNNNNNNNNNNNNNNNNNNNNNNNNNNNNNNNNNNNNNNNNNNNNNNNNNNNNNNNNNNNNNNNNNNNNNNNNNNNNNNNNNNNNNNNNNNNNNNNNNNNNNNNNNNNNNNNNNNNNNNNNNNNNNNNNNNNNNNNNNNNNNNNNNNNNNNNNNNNNNNNNNNNNNNNNNNNNNNNNNNNNNNNNNNNNNNNNNNNNNNNNNNNNNNNNNNNNNNNNNNNNNNNNNNNNNNNNNNNNNNNNNNNNNNNNNNNNNNNNNNNNNNNNNNNNNNNNNNNNNNNNNNNNNNNNNNNNNNNNNNNNNNNNNNNNNNNNNNNNNNNNNNNNNNNNNNNNNNNNNNNNNNNNNNNNNNNNNNNNNNNNNNNNNNNNNNNNNNNNNNNNNNNNNNNNNNNNNNNNNNNNNNNNNNNNNNNNNNNNNNNNNNNNNNNNNNNNNNNNNNNNNNNNNNNNNNNNNNNNNNNNNNNNNNNNNNNNNNNNNNNNNNNNNNNNNNNNNNNNNNNNNNNNNNNNNNNNNNNNNAUGCUUCUCCUUUCAUCCUUGAGCUUGUCUAUUUCUGCCUUGAGAUUCUCAACGUUGGCUUUAUAGUUACGCAAAUAACCAAAUCGGCGUUCUAUUGGAGGAGCCAAGCAUUUCAAAAAUUGUAAAACAACAGUAACAAUGCUUUCCACCAUCCUGGAUCCUUUUUUUUUUUUUUCAAAGUUCUGACAAGAAAAUAAACAAGGAGCGAAACACAGAGAGAGUGAAAAAAAAAAAAGCGAAACAACGAAGAUGGACAGUUUAUCCGGUUCUGGAAGCGGAGAAAUGAAAGAAAGAGUAAAAGCUGUUAUGGAUCUGGUGAGAAGAUGGAAACAAGGAAAAGGUUUCUAGUUCGAGAACUGAUUGAGUUAAUAUAAGGAAUGAUUUAGAUAAUAGAGGCAAAGGGAACCAAUCAAAAUAACUGAAGUAUUGUGCAGAAGAAAGACGGAAAAAAUAGACUGGUAAUAGAGAUGGAAAAAAUGAAGAUAUCUUGACACGGUAGAAGUACAAAGGGUAGAUAUGGAACCAAACAGAGACAACAGCAGGCCACAACAAGAUUGGGAAUGGAGAGAAACUAAUUAACGAAGACUGGAGAUUACAACAAAACAGAUGCCAAGAGAAAACUUGAUCCUGUGAAAUUCAAGUUAGCUGACGAAUACGGGGAUCAAGAGGGAAAAACUGCUUGCUCGUAAAACUACUUUCAAGCGAAUCUGAUAAAAUUAAUUUUUAAACUGCAGAACAGGUAGAAUAUCAGAUUGAUUAAUUUAAGAAACCCUUGCUUCAGUUUUAAGUAAGAUCUUUUUUUUUUUUUUUAUAAUUUCUCCGAAUGCUCUUUCAAUGGAAGGCAUAUGAUCAUUUUGUAUUCAGUAUACAAAGAUUAAAGAUGAUCCUUUUUCUAAUUUAUUAAUUAAAUAAGGUUCUCUGACAUCUUCUUGCAUGAGUUGUCCCCCUGGUUUGUUAUCAUCUUAUGAAAUUCUCGCAUGCCCGAUUUUCUUUUAUUAAAUUAUAUAUUAAAGUUUUCAAUGAUGAAAUUAAUCGUCAUCAUGUGCCGGCAUGCAUGUAUUGGUUGAUGUCACGUUUUGCAAGUAUGCUGGAUAAAAUUAAUUUUCAAAAUUAAUUAAUAAAAUGUAACGUAAGUUGUUGAAAGAAACUUCAUAUUUAUCCUGAAGCAUUCAACUCAGUUCUUUUACUCUAUGAUAAAUGUAUUUUAAAAAUUACCAAUAAUUGAGAAUAAAAUAAGGACAAAACAUUAAAAAUCGAACACAACUCAUGUUUUACUUGAGUUUUAUAUUUAUGCUGAUACAUACUUUGGACACAUUCUUUGGAAAAGACAUUGACAUUGGCGUGCAUCAUCAAAUUUGUUAGUGAAAAACCAUAAUUAUAUAUUACUACAUUUACAAAUUUUGUAUAAAAGGUUUUAAAGGUUUGCUACAUAGACCUCUAAAAAUUCCAGAAAUGAUUAUAUAUACCUUUUUACAAUUAUAUCAUUUGGUUAUAAUCAAAUUUUUUACAAUAAAUACAAAUAACAUAUUAAGAUAACUAUGAGUAGCAAAAUAGUAUUUCAAAUAUGAAAACAUAUUAAAUGCAUAUAAUUAAUAAAGUAAGAAAUAUAAAGAGUAAACUAUUAUCUAUAUGUCCAGCCAGAUUUAUUAAUACUAAUCCAUUAACCCAAAGAUUGACUUUAAAAUUCAUACUAUACAUAAUAUUCACAUAAUACAACAUAAUUUUUUUAAAUUAAUUAUUUUGAAUGUUAAAUAUAACUAUUUUUUUAAUUUAUCUUCUAUGAAUUCAAAUAUCCCCUUUAAACUGCAGAAGGAGAAAAAAGAAAUGUUCUGAAUUUCAAUGUAUUAAUUUUAACCUAAUUUAGUUGAGACUCGUAAUCUCGUCUCAAUGAUUAAUUAGUAGAUAAUCUUUCUAAUAAAUAUAUGUUGAAUAGAUAUAUUUCUUGACUAUUAAUAGGUUAGAUAUAUUUUAGCAUAGGAAUGAAAGUACAAGUUGUGUCAUAUUACCAGGAAAGUGUAUCAAUUUCUUGCAAUCGAAAGCUACAAGUUCUGUUAGGUUCCCAAAAGAUACCGAUGAUGAUGGCAAUAGAAUUAACAGACUUUGACAAUAAUAUACUCUUAGAAUUUCAAGAUACUGAAAAAUGGGGCCAAGUUUGGAGUCUUGUUUGCACGGCUGCUUCAGAUGAUAGUGCCGGUACAGCUUUAAUUCUUUCCCACAUGUUUCUCUAAGCAUCCUUCCUUCGAAAAUUCCUCUUCGUUGAAUGAAAAAUAAACCAGUGCGAGUAUUUCGAGAUUGUGAAAUCUCUCCAGUACGUUCCAGAUUGGAAAACAAGCUGAGUCAUCUCCAAAAAUCUCUAGUUGUUUAAGACUGCCAAAAACGUGUUGUGGGAAAUCGGCCUGCAAAAUCAUCUUCACAUCUUUUCCACUUAGUGAUAGUUCCUUCAAGUUGGGUACGAUCUGAUCAUCAUCAAUCAUAAUAACUAAUGAGGUCAAUUGAUGUUCUUUCAAAUGAUUUUGAGUAAUCCAAUCACAAGCAGUGACUUUAUAGUAUUUAUUUUAUAUUAAUUUUACCCCUAAAAAAAUUGAAUUAGUGAUAAAAUUCAUUAUAUGAUUUUUUUUAUAUGUUAGUUUUAGAGGUAAUAAAGAAAUUAGGGAAAAAAUGAAAUUAUUUAUGCAUGANNNNNNNNNNNNNNNNNNNNNNNNNNNNNNNNNNNNNNNNNNNNNNNNNNNNNNNNNNNNNNNNNNNNNNNNNNNNNNNNNNNNNNNNNNNNNNNNNNNNNNNNNNNNNNNNNNNNNNNNNNNNNNNNNNNNNNNNNNNNNNNNNNNNNNNNNNNNNNNNNNNNNNNNNNNNNNNNNNNAAGUAUUAAUUUAUCGAUGCUUUGUCAUAUUUUUCAAACUUAAAAGUAAGCUAUGAAAAAAAAAUCUAGAAAAUGGUUUCAUACCUUUAUAUAUAUAUAUAAAGAAAAUGUAAGCUUACGCACCUUCUCGUUGAAAAGCAGGGUUGAAGUAUCCAAAGUGAUUUCGCUGGAGCCAUACAUAGUCGUCGAUUCCUCUUGCGACACUGGUCUGUUUGGUGAUGCUGAAGGAGUCUUCACUUCACGGCAGAAACUUGUAACCUCUGGAAGAUUCCCCAGGCUCAAAGAUCUUAAUUGAGCAAACUCUAUCUUCUCAAUUGCAUUAUCAACUUCUUCCCCAAUUGCAAAAAUCUCUUUCAUCUUGCUGCAAUUAACAACUGCAAUUCUCUCAAGUCUUGGAAGGCAUUUUGUUGUAGAGAGCCAAAAGAUAUUGCUUAACUUAUCACAAUUAUAUGCUUCUACGGUUUUGAGUUUGUUGAAAGACUCUACUUUGAGCCGAUCAAUACAUAUCCUCUCCAUGUUGAUCAAAUUGUGAAGGAUAAGUGACUCCAAAAGAGGAAAGGCAUCACAAGCGACCAUCGCCCUUGAAUCGACGAUGCAAAAGAAGUCAGGAUUAUUUUGAACCCAGAGAAGCUUCAAUUGUGAAAAGCCCUCCGUGUCCAAAUUGAAAAGAACAUCCUCGAUGCCUUGCAGCUUGUCCAACCAUAAGUAUUCAACGUUAUUGAUGCCCUGCAAUUUCAUGGAGCAAAUGUUCAUAAAAUCAAGCUUGAGCUUCAAUGCUCUUAAUCUCUUCCGAUCACUGUUGAUCGAAAAGUGCAGCUGACUUUUGAACCAAUUUUGUCUAACACUCUUGGGAGGCAUGAACGACUCAUUUGCAAUAGAUAUUUUGAACCUUUCGAGCUUUCUGGCCAAAAAACCUUCUGGUAAAAUACUGUCAUUUUUAACGUCAAUUUCUAGAGUGGUUAGCCGAGGUAAAUGCAUCAAUUCGUCAAGGCUAGCAUUACUUCUUUUGCUGUUGGCUCUUUCAACCUCCCAUUCAAUGAAGCAAUUACCCAUAUACAGCUCUUCUAGUCGAGUUAAGCUUGAUAUGAGAUUGGGCGCAAUAACUUUUAGAUGGAAACAAUUGGUUAAAUCUAACAAUCUCAACUUAUUCAAUUGACCUAGUUCUUCUGGCAACUGCAUAAUAUCAGACAUCAAAAAGCUAAGGACUUCUAGAUUCUUCAACUUCCCAAUGAUUGCUAUGUCGCCCAACGCACUUUGAUCCAGACAUAGUGUGUGAAGAUUUACUAGAAGAUCAAUUGAAGAUGGAAAAGAAGAAACCUGCAUUCGGGUAAAAUCCAGAACUCUAAGCUUUUUCAUCCCUACAAAAAAGUUCUCAGGAAUAUUGAUUUCAAGAGAAGAAUCUUUGAGAGAGAUAAAUAAAAGUUCAAGGUUUGGGCAUUCUAAUCCUUCAGGAAAUUCACGAUUACUAUUAUUUAUUAAAGAGAUAGCAUUGCAUUUUCGUAGUGCAUCCUCAUCUGGCCAGUCCCACACAUCCUCAUCAUUUCUCACCGAAAACACGUGUUGGUGGCGGCAUGCAAUUGAUAUUGCGACAUCGCAAACAACAUCAUGCAUUGAAAAUCGUUCAUUGCUAUCACCCUCAAGCAACAAACAAGAGUCUCUAAGUUCAUGGACCAAUGCAUAUAAUUUGUCUCGUGCAUCUUCCAUCUUAUUGACUCCUUUAAAUAUACCCAAACCCAUGGAGUACUUGAACAAGUCCGAAGUAUUAUGGCUCUCCAUUAGACUACAGAGCAGAAAAAUUUUCUUGAGUUGCUCACCUUUUAAAUGGUUGAAACUGAGCUCAAUACUUGAAUAAGUCUCUGCAGAUACCCCUUCGAAGUUUACCAUUGAAGGCGUUUGGAGUUCUCGCAAGGAAUUCUUCCAUUCAUGCAGACUCUUGCCUCUCAGUGCCUUUGCUACUGUAGUCAAGGCAAUGGGCAAACCUCCACAUGCCCUGGCGACGUCUAUUGCUGUAGAUUUCAACUCACGAUUUUCAACAUCAUCACCGGCCAUCAUCUUAAACAAUCUCCAGGCUUCUUCUUCAUUUAAAUUGUUUAUCAAAAAGUUGUCUUUAGAACCCAUUUUUAAGAGGACACUACGAUCUCUUGCCGUUAGCAGUAGUUUGCAGCCUUUAUGAUCUUCUCCAAAAGGAAUUCCAACUGUCUCCAAAUCAAGGUGUUUCCAAAUGUUAUCUAAAACCACAAGGAUCUUCUUGUGAUUUCUCAAUCGCUCAAAUAGUCUACUUGCUCUUCUAGAUUCAACUUCCUCGUGCAGCUCCAGGCCCAACUUCUCGGCAAUUUCCUGUUGAAUCUUUUUUAUGUCUGGAGUUUGGGAAACCUCUGAAAAGACCACCAUAUCAAAGAGCUUGUCUUCCAUAGCUUGCCUGGCGACCUUCUUCACCAGUGUCGUCUUUCCAAUGCCGCCCAUGCCGUACACCCCAAUGAUGCUGACAUUAACAUCGAUCAAUGCUUUUUUUAUAGCCUCAAAAGUAGAACGUCUUGAUUCGAAGGCCUCGUAGCCUUUGUGAGACUUGAGCCAAAUCUCCUCCGGAAUGGUACGGUAGGAAAUUCUAUCAUCAAAUCUCCCAGCUUCUUCUCGGAGUUUAAAAAGGGCCUCCUUCUCUGUUUCUGCUUUCUUUCCAUGCUGAUAGCGAGUAAUCCAAUUAGGAAACAGCCCCAUGAGACAUCGUUCAUUUGCUUUCUCUUCGUCGAAAAUGAAUUUGGCUGCCUCCUUAAUGCUCUUGUUCGCAUUAACCAGCCAUUUCUCAACCUUCUCUUCAAUCUUUUCACUUUUUCUUUCAGCCUCAGAAACUCUGCGCUGAAUGCUUUCUCUUUCAUCCUUGAGCCUAUCGAGUUCUUCCUUGAGAUUCUCAAAGUUGGCAGCGGAGUUAUACCAAUAACUAAAUUCGCGUUGUGCGUGAGGAGACAAGCAGUUUACAACUCCUGGAACAAUGCUUUUCAAAAUGUCCAUUCUUUUUUUUUUUUUGGGGGAAGGGAACGAAAUAGAAAUAGAACAGGGUCAACGGCUGUGCAAUUGAUAAUCAAGUAGAAGCAAAACAAGGCAAAAUUGAAAAAAGAAAUUAUAUUUGUACAAAACAAGGAGAAAAUCAGUGUAACAGAUUGAGCGUGGGCGACUCCUUUUUAAACCGCAGAAGGAAAAAAAAAUUAUUCUGAAUUUCAAUAUAUUAAUUUUUAUGCUAAUUUAUGUUGAGAUUCGUAAUCUCGUCUCAAUGAUUAAUUAGUAGAUAAUCUUUCUAACAAAUAUGUGUUGAAUAGAUAUAUUUCUUGACUAUUAGAAGGUUAGAUAUAUUUUAGCAUAGGAAUGAAAGUACCAAGUUGUGUCAUAUUAGAAUAAAAAUUUGAGCUGAAAAUAUUGUUAUAUGACCUUUUAAUUAUUUGUCAGCAAAUAAUUAAUUCAUAUAAAAAAAUUAAUAAUCUGAAUUAGUCUUUAAGUAUUAUAAAUAUUUUUUUAUUUUUAAUUAUAAUAUCAUUAUUUAAAAAUAAUUGCUUGACUUAUAUUAGUAACAUUACGAUUGUCAUAAAACAUGUGAUCCUCAUCCAAUAUCCAUUAUUUGUGAUCCUUAAUCAAUAAAAUAUCUAACACUCCAGUCCAAUGCUGCCGUCAUUAUCGAACGGUCGAUAUCCAACACUCGCACGAAGAUUCCAAGAAGUUGCGUGGCUGCCGACUUUUAGAUGCAAAGCCUCAUUGUGUCGAUGUUACACAAAAGAGAGCAGUCCGGGUAAUUGCCAAAACUUAGAACUAAACAGUAGCUUAGUCAGAAAAUCAAAUGCCAGUACCGUUAAAAUGACCGAUAAAAAUAUAAAGAAACCAAAGCUUUAAAAGAAAUCAGCCAAAUCACGAAGAUUGAAGAGUAAAUCUAUGGUUUUAGAUUUUUAUUUUAUUUUUUUAGAUAAUAGAUAUUAUUUUGAUGAAUUUUUAAUAUUAGAAUAAUGUUAGGAAUUUCGAUAGUAGAAUUCUAACUUGAGAUCCAAUUGUUAUGUAUCAUUUUUUUAUUGGAUAAUGAAUUUCAUAACUAGUAAAAUUAAUAUUUUGAUCAUCUAAUAAAGGACUAUCAUAUCAGUUGAGACUCAAUUAUUGGGAUCCUUAACAUUGCUCUUAGUAUUAAAUUGGACAUCUUAGCUAAAUCAAAUUAAAAAUCAAAUUAGAUUUUAGGCUUUUAUCCAACAUCUCUUUUUUUUUUUUUUGGGUCUAUUUGAAGUGAACGAAAUAAAAAUACAACAGGUUCAACAACUGGGCAAUUGAUGGUCAAGUAGAAGCAAAUCAAGGCUAAAUGGGAAAGAGAAAUGAUAUUUGUGCAAAACAAGGAGAAAAUCAGUGUAACUGAAGAGAAUCAAAGUGCUUUUGAGAUCAAAAAUUGAGGCAAGNNNNNNNNNNNNNNNNNNNNNNNNNNNNNNNNNNNNNNNNNNNNNNNNNNNNNNNNNNNNNNNNNNNNNNNNNNNNNNNNNNNNNNNNNNNNNNNNNNNNAGAAGCUUAAUUAAGAACUUAAAACAAAAGAAUUAGAUUGAGAACAGUCAAGCCUUAUUUUUUCAAGGAUGGAGCUUAUAAAUCUUCAAGUACCAACAUACGCUUGGCCCAAUUGUUGUUAUUAAAAUUUCAAUAUACAUAUAUAAGUAUGAUAUAGGAAAAAUUUGAUGGUACAUAUGUCGGAAUAUACUAGUUCAUGGGUGCAUUUGAUUAUUGUUUCCAUAAAUUUGAACCAGGAAGGACGACACGAUAAAAUUUGAUUUUAUGGUAUGGUUGAUUUCAUAGCUCAUGCACUCAUUUCUUAAGAUAAUCAAAUUUUCUCUGGCAUCUUUUUCAACUGUCGAAAUAUCAAUUAUGAUCAAUCAAAACGAUUUCAAAACCUUUCAUCGAGACAUAUUUUUAAUACAAUAUUGUGAAAAUUACACUAAAAAUUUAAUUUAUUAUAUAUUAUUAUCCAACGAGCACACAAAAAUGAUUUCGUACAAAUCUAAAAUACUAAGCAAUUUUCAAAUAGAAUUUACCAUGUACUAAUAGAAUUUACCAUGUACUACAAGAAAAUAGGGUAUAUGUGACCCCUACUGUGAAUGCAAAAGCAGCCAUUACGCAUAACCCCGAGUUGCUUUUGUUACCCUUUAUGUGACGGCCACACUGCUGUCACAUAUGUUACGAACCGCGUGACGGUGAAGAGCCGUUCGGUAUACUAAUAUUUUAGAAUUUUAAAUUUAUUUCCAGUUAGAAAACUAUUCGCUGGACUCCGUGUUGCUGGCCACCAUCGUAAACAUAACUGGUUGCCAGCGAACGGCGUAAAACGCCGGCCAUCUUCUUCUUCAUUGUAUUCUCCCUUCAUCUUUUUAGGUAAGCUUGUGAUUAUGAGUUUCUUCUCUUACUUAGCUUGUAAUUAUAGAUUUUGAUUUUUUUUAAUUCGUAUUGUAGCCGUUAUUGUCAAUUUUUGUCCCGCCAGCAAUAUUUUUUUAUUCCUACAAGUUGAAGCCCCUGUGUUCUUGUUCCAUUGGUGAGUUUGCUCACUCAAAUUAAUUUUGUUCUGCGGAAUUUACAAAGUUCAAAUGGAUUCAUUUGAAUUACUAUUGAAUUUAGCUUUAAUUUCAACAUCCAUUCUAAUGUUUUGCAAUUAGAUUUAAUUUAAUUUUAUGUUUAAAGCUUCUACAAUGAAUAGCGGAGCUUGGGUUUUAGUUUCAUUUUCUGGAUAACUUGUUUUAGUUUAUCUUGUAUGCUCACCAAAUGCUUGUUAUAUUGUCUGAUAAGUUAUAUACAUUGCUGAUUCUACAUUAAUAAUGUUACGUUGUAUUUUCAGAAAUUAUAAUACAAAAGUUUUUGCAAUGGCGUGCAUCUACAAACUGAAUUGACUUGUAGAAUAAGAGCUCGGAGUAGUGUUAUGUUCUUGAAUAAUUGAAAGUUCAUAUUGUGUAAGAGCAUGCAGAUGUAAAGCAUCAUUACCAUUUCUACAAAGUGCUUUCAUUCUGUUCAUAUGCUCUUCUUGAACUUUGAAAGGUGCCUCGUUCAAGUCCUAGCUAUAACUACUAGCUUUGAUUAAUUAAGUUCCUAUACUAGCUGAAACAGAUUUAUUUAAUUAAUUAAUUGUGUAUGUACUAAUUAUAUUGAAAGUAUAUGAAUUUUUUUUUUAACAUGAAUGACUUCUAAAUGACUUAAAAACCUAAAGGAUGUGUGAAACAAUGCUCAUUUCAUUUGAAUGAGCCCAUUAAUACUUUUAUGUCUAUGAUUUUCAAUAUUGGCUAAAGCAUUUCAGUUAAGUGGUUUACCUAACAGAGAAAAAAAUUUAAUAGAAAACUUCAGAGUUCUAACAGAAAUAUAGUUCACUAUGCAGAUAUAGUUAUUUUACGGUAUACAAAUCAAGUUGUCCUAAUCUCAAUGUCCUAUGACCGAUUUUAUUUUAUAUAGUCAUUAAUUUUUUCCUUGGUUUUUUGUGUUUAUGAGUAUGAAAUAGUGGGAUUUGGUGUACCUUAGCAUCUUUUGAAAAUUCUCUUUCAGUGUGGCCAACAGAAAUAUACAUAUAAUCAAGUUUCUUAAUCGUGUAUAUUAGUUUUGGGUAUGAAUGUUCCUAUUCUAGUUCUAGGCAAAGCUUCUUCGUUUUGGUCUUCAGAUUUCCAGUAGGUUAAGUUAAUCAACUAUCAUAACUGGCUAGCUAGUUAUUGUCUGCCUUGGCGCCAUUACCCAGGCCAUUAUAUUGCAUAGCAUAAGGAAUAGUGAUUAGGUGAUUAUUAGUGAUUUGUUGAGCUUAUUAUCGACCAAACAAACAUAUUCGCCUUUGCCCACAACUUAGUUUGAUUAGUUAUUAGACCAUAAAGAGCCUUGAUCUAUUCAUUGGCUUUAUUAUUUUUAUUUGGUUUUUCUUUCAACAAUAUUGUUGAUUUCUUAUAAAAAUAUUCAUUGGUUUUUAAACACCUAAUCAUUGGCUAUAUGAAGCUAAUUAAAACUGAGGCUUUGGAUCAAUUUCUUCUAACAAGAUACAAAUGAGCAUUAACCUAUCUCCUAUGAGUAAAUUUUUUUAAUAUCCUUGAUUUGUAAGGAUCUGGAGGCCUGAAAUCCUCUAGAUUUUUUUUAACACUGUCAAUGUUCUUUUUAUUCUGAGAAGGAAAUAAAAGGUUUUAUCUUUCAUACCCAAAUAGUAAGCUGGCCUUGUCUUAACAUGGCCUCCCGAGGACUUGCAAGAUUCAUAGUGCCCCCCACCCCAAAAAAUAAAAAUAAAAAACACAAAUAGGAAGAUUUUGCAAGAUUCACCACCAGGUUUUUUUUAAUUUGUUAAUUGUGUGUACGUGCUAGUUAUAUGUUGAAAGAAUAGGAAGAAGUAUUUCAACAUGAAUGACUUAAAACUUAUUGCUCAGUAAACAUAAUCUGCAUGUAUUUAUCGUUUGUAUUUUUUAUGGUUUUGCUAAAGAAAUGAUAUGUGAAAUAAUGCUACAUUGCAUCAGGAAUAAAUUGAAGAGAUUUAUGAUAUUUAUGUGUUAUUCAAAUUUCAGAUUCAAUUUUAAACUUUUGAUACGUGCAUUGAAAGCUUAGACUUGUUUAAGAAAUUAUUAAUAGACACAUGUUUUUAUUAGUGUCAUCUUUGGAUGAUAGUGAGGAUCAUAUGUCUAUUAAUAAUUCUUGAAUUGUCCAGGCUUGGACAGUUUGGGAAUGCAUAGUUCACUCUGGUAGCUAGUAGCUGAAGUUUUUUCCCACGUAAAAAUGGGUUUUUCAGUAGCUGCUCCUCGUGUUCUCUGGGUACGUACUAGGUGAAUGGGUGUCAUGUGUUGUUUUGGCAUAACGCAUAAACACUUAUAUAGCUAUGUCGUGUGCUUGGAGAAUUAUAGGGAGAUGGUGCCGAAAUUUUUAUAAACGUGGAAGAAAACUUUAGGUACUUGAGAUUGAAGAAACUUAUGCAUUCUUGAGUGGGAUAUGUAGGAUUACUUACCUUUUGUAAAUAUGAAGGGAAUGUUGGAUAUAUUGGGGAUAGUGUAGGAGCUGAGUUGGAUGAAUGUAAUUGGUGAUGAUUUUGCUGAGCUGACCUUGGUUUUGAGCUUGUAAUUUUGUUUGUAAAUGGAGUGCUAUCUCCAAUGUUGGUUUAUAAAUAUGUUUCAGGACUUGCUGACCUAAUUUUUUGUUUCUAGGUUACAGGCUUUAUAUAUCUGUAAUUGAUGGCGAAGUGAAGUUCCCAGCACUUGGCGAGGAUGUUUCUUUACAGAAGGUAUUGGAAACUGUUUUUUACAUUAAUUAUUGUUGUAUAUAUACUUUGAUUUUCACAUCUUUUUCUCUGAUUCUUGUGGCUUUGCUUGCUUUCAUAUAUGUAAAUUCUAAUGAAAUUAACCAUAAAAUUGUAAAAUGAUCUUUUUAUUAUAUUGCAAAACUGUGCACACACGAAAAUAUAUUGUUUAGUAGUAGAAAUGAAGAACUAAAAUGAUUUACUUAACUAAUUUUUGUAGCGCAUUAAAAGGAGAUAGUCAUGGACAAGUGUUGGGUUGGUUUGCCAAAUAGAUAUCCAAGUCAUAUACUGAUGGGGAUGAAAAAUUUAUAGAUUUUGCAUUUGAGAAUGUUGUUGGUGGUACAAGAAUUUAAUAUCCUUUUAAGAAGUGUUGUAAUCUAUAUUUCGUUAUAAGGAAAGUGGCUGAUGAUGAUAUGGUUGGAAUGAUACAAUGCAUCACGUAAUCAAAUGUUCAAGUUACACGCAGCAUUGUUAUGGACUAUCAGUGACUUUCUAGCAUUGCCAACUUGUCUGGGUGGAGUAUUAAAGGUAAAUAAGCAUGUCUUGUUUGCCAACAAAACACUAGAUCUAAUUGGUUGAUACAUAGUAGAAAAUUUUGUCACGUGGGUCACCGUCGAUUUUUACCAACAAAUCAUAGGUUUCCAAAAUAUAGUGUCUUUUGAUAAAACUAGAGAGUAGGGACCAGCACAUUCUCGGUUGUCUGGAUCUGAAGUGAAAAAGCAGUUUAAUAUACUUACUGAGUAUAAGAUUGAAGACUUGAAAAGAGGAGAAUGAAUAAAAUGAGAGAAAUGAUAAGAUUACUUGGAAGAAGAAAAGCAUAUUUUAUGAACUACCGUGUUGGGAGUUCAAUUUGAUUCAUCAUAAUCUUGAUCUCAUGGGCUGUUUUGAUUUUUGUUAUGAACUCAGAUCAAAAGUUUAAUGUGAUCAAAAUUUCUUAAAAAUAGUGAAAACGACUCCUCCUAAUAAUAUGGAAGAUGGCUAUAAAAGAUAAAAGGAAAGGCUUAAAAAGAAAAGCCAUGCCUGUCAAAAAAAAAAAAAAUCAACAAAAAUCAAAACGGUGCGUUUGAGAGUGUAUAAAAUACAUUUAGAGUGGGAGUUGUGUUGUUGCUUGAAGGCAGAAAGAUAUUUGUCGACGAAGCCAAAACCAAAGAUGAAGCCCAUAAAGCUCAAAACUCCACCGGAGCAAAUUCAGACAAUUACGAGGGUUAUGUUUGACAUAGUCAAGGAAGACGGUCCUCUCACCGUUGCAGAAACUUGGGAACGCGUCAAGGUGUGUGUAUCUGUUAAAUUGAAUUUCAACCGUUUGAUCUGUAAUUAUAAUUAAUCCAAUCGAUCUGACCGCGAUCACUGACCAUAAUACUAGUAGUUGUUUUACAUUUUCAGCAGGCUAGAGCGGGUGGAUUGACGGGCAAAAGCUCAGGCUCGUCUGCAAUCACAUGGGCCCUCAUAAGCAAAUCCUGUACACAACUUGGUUCACUAAACCCAACAACUUGAAGCAGCCAAAAUCAGGGAAUGAUCCUUCUCCGUCACAACCCUAGCUGCCUUAACCUUGUAGUGACACGGUGAAGAUGGAAGCCCCUCAGCAUGUAAACUUUUCAACAGCGACAGAGCUCUUAUUCCAGAGGCUGCACAGAAGAGCGACCUGAAUCCUCUUCAAAAUGUUUGUGAGAUAUUUGUCGACGAAGCCGAAACCAAAGAUGAAACCCAUAGAUCUCAAAAACUCCACCGGAGCAAACUCAGAGUUACGAGGGUUAUGUUAAAUUGAUUAUUAAUAUAAUAAAAAUAACAAUUCUCCAUAUGUUAUUUCUUAUUAAUUCUUAUAUAUAAAUUAAAUUGAUAAUUUCUUAAAAAUAACAAUUCUCCAUAUAUAAAUUAAAUUUAUUUUAAUUUAAUAUAUGUUAUUUUUAUAUUAAAUAUAUGUUAUUUUUAUUAUAUUAGUAAUCAAUUUAAUUUAUUUUUAUUCUUGAGUAAUGGAUUAAAUUUAUUUAGUUUGAAGAGAAAAUUUGACAAAAAUUAAAUGGAAAAAUUGGAUAAUGAAGUUAUAUUCAUAAUUUUAUUAAUAAUAUAGGAAUAAAUUGAACAAUGAACAAUUAUUUUUUAAUAUGCUAUAAGGGUAUAAUGGUAAAAUUAUAAUUUACUGUUAACAAAUGGGGGUCUCAGUGUCUUUUUUGAAACAUUAGGGGGUUUUGUGUCCCUUAUUCAAACGUUGGGGGUCUCUAUGUCCUUUUCCCAAAAAUUUAUAAACUGGAAAUUUAUAAUAAUCUAACUUAUUCUCGUUACUAUUAAAAAAUAAGUAAACAUAUCAAUAACAAUAUAGUUUAUUAUGAUUAUAAUUCAUUCAAUUAAAAUAAAUAAUUUAUUCUUAUUUCUAUUCUCUAUUCUAAUUUCAGUAAAUUUUGAUUUUAGUUUAUUUUAAUUAUUGAUUAGUUGUAAACUUAACUGGAAAUUUAUUGCAUAUAUUACGAGAAGCAGUACACACCAAUGGUAAAUUGAUACAUCGUUUUUGAGCUUAAGAUAGUCAAAUGAAAGAAACACAACGUAGGGUUCAUGAAACACUUUCAAAGCUGCUGAUGACUUAAAGUGAAUAACCUCAGCAUGUAAACUUAACUUCAAAGGACGGAGCACAAGUUUCACAGAAAAACAGCUCUUAUUUCUGAUGCUGCGAACACAGAGGAGUGACCUCAAUCUUCUUCAUCACUUGGGAAUUCUGCAAUUAUAGAGCACGACAUUGAGCAUGAACUAGAAAAAAUAUUUAUUUUCUACAAUUUUCAUAUAAUAAUUCAUAUGUUUUUACUGUCAUCACUUUAGAAAAAACUAAUUUCUCAAUGUGAAAUGGCCCAUAAAAAGUAUUCUCAUUUAAAAACUAAAUUUGACAAACCCCUCGAUUAAAGCAGGGGAGAGAAAAAAAAAAAAAAAGAUCUGAAGGCUUUCCAUGAAAAUGUUGUCACUUUGGAUGAUAUUUUCAAGGGAUUUCAUUCUAAAAAUAAAAUACCUGGGACCUUAUUCUUCAAAUUGACAGCUCGCCCAGUACUAAACGCGUAUGAGAUCAGUACUGGGACAAGUAACGAGACGACCCCUCCAACAGCUGAAAAUAAAAUUCGCAUUCAUCAAUUUAAAUUGAAAUUCAUAUUAUGAAAUUAAAACUAAUGAUUAAUGAAUUUUCAAGGAAUUUAAUAAGAUUCUCAUAUAUAAACGUGAUAAAAAAUUCACUCAUCAAUAACAAAUAUUCUAACAUUUUGUUGAUGUAAUUGUUGUAUGGUUGUGUUAAGGUCAUUAUUAGACCAACGCAGUUUGUCAUCACUCAUUCCGUACCAGACGUUUACUCUCGGAGGCGUGAUUGAUUCUCCUUUGGUGAAAAUCUUCAUCUUCGGACAACCAAUCACAGUAAGAUAUUCCAAAGAUGGGAAUUUGAAGGCGUAAUUGCCAGAGGAGAAGCUUGUGAGACUAUCUAAAUCAAACAGGGACAACGUAGUCAGUUUGCUGAAAACAAUCUCUUCUUUUAAAUAUGCUGUUUCAUUUCAAGACUGGCAAAAUUCAUUGUGUAAUCAAAGUUUUCAAUGAUCCAACUAAUAUAUAUAUAUAUAUGUAUGUAUAUUCCUUCUCUAGUGCAGACAUUCUCAUUUUUUUUUUUCAUGUGGACCAGUUUUUAGAUCCCCUGGUUUAAAAGAGUUAGUUUUUAACUCUUUAAAACCGCAUGGCUUCAUAAUUUAUUUAAAAACUAACUCUCUUAAACCGCACGGUUUAAAAGCGUGUCCACAUUAAAAAAAAAUACGGACCCCCACACCUGAGAAUGAUUAUAUAUAUAUAUAUAUAUAUAUAUAUACACACACGCUCUUAAACCGUGGGAUUUGAAAGCUUCUCCGCAUGAAGAAAGUAAAAAAUAAGGGCAUUCCCACUAGAAACAAACUCCAUAUAGGUAUUUAUUAAACCUCCUGAUCUGUGAGUGAGGAACAACAAAUAUAAUUGAUAAAAAAAAUCUAAAAUUUGGUUUCAUACCUUCUUGAACGAGAACAGGGGUUGUUGUGCCGGAAUACCAAAUUGAUCAUUCUCGUUAUUCUGGGACAACGUUAUUUUAUCACAAUUACAGGCCUCCAAUGUUUUUUAGUGCUGGCCAUUCUGAAGUAUGCAUUCCAGGGUAUAAACAUCUGAGUUCUGGUAGACCUUCGAGAUUCAGAGUGGUCACUUGUGGAAAGACAAAAUAUGGGGUCACUUGAUCUGCUCUGUCUUUGGAGAUGAUCUCUUGUAAACCCAUACAUAUCCGUAUCUCCAGGUGUUGGAGGUGCUCAAGGCUUUGGAUCAUAGAAGCUGAAAAUAUGUAUUUUAAUUUGUCACAGCCCCACACUAUCAAUCGUGUCAAACUUUGAAAGCCGCAAGUUGAUUGUCAUGCAAAAUCUCGUCGACAUUAAUAGCAUUCAGCUCCAAAGCCUCCAAAUUUGGCAACACUACCUGAAGAUAAUUUUCUCUUUAGAUCCAAUAUCCGUAUGGAAAGCACUUGUUUUGACACAAUAUCCAUAUAAGAAGCACUUAAUUAAGAGCUUAAUUAGCGAGUGUAUGAGACUUUUUUUUUUCAAAUGCCAGUGCAUGAUAGAACUAAAAAAAAAAAAGAAGCAUUAGCCUACGUACCUUCUCGUUGAAAAGCAGAGUUGACGUUUCCGAACUGAUCUCGUUGGAACUGGCUGUCAAUUCCUCUUGCGACUCUUGUCUGUUUGGUGAUGUGGAAGAAGUCUUCACUUCACCGCAAAACCUUGUAACCUUUGGAAGCUUUCCCAGACUCAAAGAUCUUAAUUGACCAAACUCUAUCUUCCCAUCAACAUCAACAUCAGCUUCUCCUCCAGUUGCAAAAAUCUCUUCCAUGCUGCUGCAAUUGAUAACUGCAAUCCUCUCCAGUCUUGGAAGGCAUUUUGUACUACUAGAGAGCCAGAAGAUAUUACUCAACUCAUCACAAUUUUCUACUUUUAUGGUUUUGAGUUCAUUGAAGGACUCUAUUUUGAGUCGAUCAAUACAUAUCCUCUCCAUAUUGAUCAAAUUUUGAAGAGUAUGGGACUCCAAAAGAGGAAAGGCGACACAUGGUUCUCUCUCCAUUGAAUCGACGAUACACAGGAAGUCUGGAUUAUUUUGAACAUGGAGAUGCUUCAAUUGUGAAAAGCCCUCAGUGUCCAAUUCUAAAACAACAUUCUUGAUUCCUUGCAACUUAUCCAAACAUAAGUAUUCAACGUUAUUGAUGCGCUGCAACUUCUCGGAGCAAAUGGCCAUAGAAUCAAGCUUGAGCUUCAAUGUUCUUAAACUCUCAUGAUUACUGAUCAUAAAGUGCUGCCGACUUUCAAACCAAUCAUUAUGCUGAAAUCUGCUCGCCCUUGGACCGACCAGAUUCUGUCACCAACGUUUGUGUUAUCAACUGUCACUCGAACCACUGGGGUUGGAAUCGCCCUUCCCUCUCUCACUAGACCUGCGUUCAGCAAAAACGGAUCAGAGACGCCGGUGGUUUUGCCGGCGUAAACCCUCCGAUGCCUAAGUUAGCACAAGGUGUUUACGGGAAAACAGUGUAAUAUGGAUUUAAGAAAUUUGUAAGGAAAUGGCCUGGUUGCAAUUUGGCAGCGUUUCCCCUCUCUCAGUUUUUCUGUCCUGUCUUCUUCGAUGUCUUUCUCUUUUAUAGCCGCCCUUUGUCCCACGUUUUUCGUUUGCCCCUUAUCCCUCCUUUUUCGGGUGGUGGUAGCCCCUCAUGGGACUCUAACUGCCAGAUUGUGGGCAAACGUGGAUCUCGCGUGUCCUUCAACCGCUCUGGGAGAAGCGCAACUACCGCGAUUUUGUGAGAUCGUGUUCCCGCUUUCCUGGGGAUGAGUAUCGGCUCGGCGUAUAUUUAUGGUCGGUAUGUUUUCCUGGUCGCAUUCAUCUCGGGUCGGCUCUUGUUUAACCCCGUGUUCUGCUCGUACCAUAUAGCUGGAACGAUCCGUGCCGGGGUGGAACCAGUAACAUGGCCGACCUGGUGCCUUUAUGUACUCAACACCAGUCCCCCAGUUUCUGGUCUGGCGAGUGAAAUGAGUUAAGAGUAGAAACUGAUGGUCAAAUCUCACCAGCCCGGGGAGCUUCUCGUCUGAUCCUCUUUUUAUUGAGACGGGCCUGACCUGAUGUACCAUUUCUCUACUGAGGAGACUCCGACCUGAGCGUGGGCCUAAGUGAACCUGCCCAUAGCAUAUCUGGGCUUACUUCUAACCUGGCCUCUUGUAACGGUUGGUGAUGUGGCAUCUCCAGACUCUUCGUAUUUGAAAUUUGAAACGACGGGCUAUCCGUCCUCGAUAUAUGGGGGGUGAGCUGGCAUAUCCCAUCACUGAAAUGCUUCCAUUUCCCCCUUUUCGUUUCAAAUCCCUAGACUGGAGUCAUCAUUAUCUUGCUAUUCGUUUCUCCGUCGUCAACCAAAUUUUCUCUGAACUUUGCUCACACUUCCAGCGUCCGGAGUAUCCAUUCGCCGGGUGUUUUCUCUGUCACGGCGGCGCUAUCAGUGUCAGUCUAUUCCAGGUAUAGUCUUUAACCUUUUCCUCUGGUUGUUGUUGAUUGGGUUCUGUGUUGCCUUCUUUGUGUCCAUAUACUCGAGUUUUCUCUGUUUUCUUUUGGGGAUUUCGGUAUGUCGAAUCGGAAGAGGAAGUUAAUUGUUGAUGAGGGUGAUGAAGAGUCAGGGGACUCAGGCCUCAAUGUGCCAAUACCCACUGAUUACUUGGGCCCCUCCAGUAGUGUAGGUCCUUCCCAUGGCAGGGAUACCCUUGAAUACCCACGCCCUUUGGUUAUCUCUCCUUCCCCCGAACUAGAGCUUGUAGGGAAUAGAGGUGGACCUGCGUCGGGCUCUGGUGAGAAUCACAGUUCUGGUGGGGUUGGGGUCCCUGAAGGAGUUAGUGAUGGUGAGGGAAGCGGUUCCGGACCAAGCAGACCUGCUCAGAAAAGGAAACUAGGCCAUAGGGUGGAGGCUGAUUCCUACCCUAUUGAUUUCAUGGCUUGUGCCACCACCCCCACCGAUCUAUUUAAACUUAGGAAUCUCUACAACAUCCCCAACGAUGUUCUUCUUGUAGUCCCUGGGAAGGGUGACGUUCCUAGUCGGCCUCCGCAGGGGUAUGUGACGAUGCACCUAGAGAGUUUUAAACUAGGAGCUCGGCUGCCCCUUCAGCGUUAUUUUGCCAAGAUAUUGGGAGGUAUGCACCUGGCCCCAGGUCAGCUACACCCGAACGGGUGGAGGGUUCUAUCGGCUAUGUUUGUGUUGUGGGAGAGGUGCGGGUUGGAGGAGCCUUCCCUUGUUGAAGUGAAGCAUUUGUAUCAGCUGCGGAGCAGCCCAAGGGAGGCGGGCUGGUACUACUUCAUGUCCAGUUCUGCAAAGAGAAAGCCAAUCACCGGUUUCCCCUCCUCGUGCAAGAAUUGGAAGAACAAAUUCUUCUUUGCUGGGGGAAAAUGGUGUUCAGCACUUCGUUCGUUGGGUGGUGAUCUUUACCUACCAACGCAGUUUGUCACCCCAGGUCGUUCAUUUUUUGCCUGUAUUCUUUUUCGAACUGCCACUUAUUGGGUUCUUUAACCUUGUUUGUUAUUUCAGAGUCAUGGGGUUUGAUCGGGGGGCUUGAAGAUCGACCCUUGCUUCAGGUGGAAACUGCUCUGGUGAACGCUUCUACUUGCCAAGACCUCCUGUCUCCAACAAACUUGGUCGGUUCGGGCCUAGUGGAUAUAGCCGCUGGAAUGGAUAACAAGAUCCUCAGCGCGAUGAGCAGGAAGCGUGGUCGGGCCCCGAGCAGCUCCAGCAACCCUCCUCCUCCUCCGAAGAAACCUACCGUCGGUCCUUCCAAGGCGCCUGUUCCUGCUCUGCCUCCUCCUCCACCUCGUAAGAGUGGUGGGGAGAAAACCUCGGACAAGAGUCCUGAGGUCAGCUUGCAAUCUGGGGACCGAUCUUCUCCUCUCCCAUCUCGGGAUCAAGGUGAUUACCUGAGUCCAUAUCAGAAGGAUUAUAAAAAAUCGGUUGGGCCUAAGAUGGUGAAGGACAUCGAGAGCAUGAGCCUCUCCGAGUUGGCUGCUUCUGUUCAGAGAGUCUCCUUUAGGCUGGCCACAAUGGUCUCGUGCUACAAGACCGGGUCCGCGCGUCAUGAGAAGAAGCUUCAAGCUAACAAUCAGGAGUUGAAAAGGAAAGCUGAAUCUGCUGACCGCUCCAGGGAGAAACUAGCCGAGCUGAACAAGCAUAUUAUGGAGCUGGAGGAGAAAGUUGCGGUUGCUGAGUCCACUUCCUACAAGCUUGAGGGCGAGUUGAAUGAUCUGAAGUCCGAUCUUCAGGCUACUCAAAGUGAGAGAGAUACUCUGAGGACCGCCCUUGAGGGAGAGAUCAAAUCCCUGAGUGACCAGCUGGCUGAAGAGAAAGGCAAAUCUGCUGAUGUAGAUGAUCGGCUGGAUGCUGAGUAUGACUCCGGGGUUGCUUUCAGCUAUAAGUGCAUCAUGUCUGUGCUCACGGAAGAAUACCCCGAGCUCGAUAUGAGCAAGCUGGAGACUGGGGUGGAGAGAUAUAUGGCUGGGGCCGGCCAGGGAGAUAAGGAGCAGGGUGAGCAGGAUCGGGUGGAGGUUCCUUCGGGUGGGGUGGAAGAGGGGGAUGCUGGGGGACGCACUUUCGAAAUGGGUCAAGGGUCCAUGCCUCCUCCUCCCGGUAUUGCUGAUCUCCCACCUCCUGAUGUUGCUGAUCCCUCACUUCCCGGGCUCGCUGAUCCUUCAGCCGCUGGAGCCGUUGACUCUGCUAAGCUUUGAGCCUAUUUUUGUAUAGACUCUAGAUUUGCAUUUGUUUUGUAAACAAUUGAACAUUUAUAAAAAGAUUUUUAAAUGCUCUUUAUUUGCUUUCUUGUCCGGUUUUUGCUCAUAGAUUGUAUCUUAGUUUUGCCUUUCGUAGGAUUAACUGCUGGUCCUUCGUUGACCGAGCCGAAGUAGGCAUUUGCUUUAGUAGAUUUCUUGUAGAGUUAGCUGCUGGUCUUGCGUUGACCGAGCAGAAGUAGGCACUUACUUGCCUUGGUAGAAUCUUCGUAACUUUAGCUGCUGGUCAUUCGUUGACCGAGCCGAAGUAGGCACUUGCCUUAGUAGAGUUUUCGUAGCUUUAGCUGCUGGUCUUUCGUUGACCGAGCAGAAGUAGGCACUUGCCUUAGUAGAGUUUUCGUAGCUUUAGCUGCUGGUCUUUUGUUGACCGAGCAGAAGCAGGCACUUUGUUGCCUUAGUAGAUAUUUUGAAGCUUUAGCUGCUGGUCUUCGUUGACCGAGCAGAAGUAGGCACUUGCCCUAGGAGAGUGUUCGUAGCUUUAGCUGCUGGUCAUUCGUUGACCGAGCAGAAACAGGCACUUUGUUGCCUUAGUAGAAAUUUUGAAGCUUUAGCUGCUGGUCUUCGUUGACCGAGCAGAAGUAGCACUUGUCUUAGUGAAAUUUUUAUUGAUCUUGCUAGCAGGGGGAUUUCAUGCUGAAUUCAUCUUUAUUGAAAUUUGAAUGUAUUACAAAAACAUAGAAUAUAUGCAUGUGCGACAGGCCAUCAGGCAUUGUAACAGAAAUAACUUGCCAGAGUGAGGAUUUAAUAGAGCAUUUUGCUUACUGGAAGUACUUCUUCAGGUGUUCGGCGUUCCAUGAUCUCUUCACGUCUCGUCCGUCUUGGCACGCUAAUUUAUAUGCUCCUGGUCCAGUGGCUCGUAUCACUCGGUAUGGGCCUUCCCACUUUGGGCCAAGAGCGCCAUGGUUAGGAUUCCUGGUGUUCUGGUUCACCUUCCUAAGUACCCAAUCUCCUGCUCGGAACUGCCUCACGCGUACAUUCUUGUUGUAAUAACGCAUGACCCUUUGCUGACAUUGGGCCACUUUCUGCGAGGCCCCUUCCCUUUUCUCCUCCAGCAGGUCUAGGCUUAAGCAGAUCUGCUCGUCAUUUUGCUCCUCAACGAAAUGUUCCGUUCUAUGUGUCCCCACUCCAAUCUCUGUUGGGAUUACCGCCUCAUGACCAAAAGCUAAAGCGAACGGUGUUUCUCCUGUGGCGGUUUUGUGAGUUGUCCUGUAGGCCCACAGUACCCCUGGUAGCUCGUCAACCCAAGCUCCCUUCUUCUCCCCCAAUCUAGUCUUUAGGAGCUUCUUUAUCACCUUGUUGGCUACUUCCACUUGCCCAUUUGCCUGGGGGUGUGCGGGGGUGCAGAACUUCAGGUCCACCCCCAGGUUUUGGCAAAAUUCCCUGAAGUUGCCGUUGUCAAAUUGCCUCCCAUUGUCUGUGAUGAUGGCGUAGGGGAUCCCAUAUCUGCAGAUGAUGUUUUUCCAAAUAAAAUCUGUUGUCUUCCUCUCUGUGAUCUGGCUGAGGACUCCUACUUCCACCCACUUGGUGAAGUAGUCUAUUGCCACGAUUGCAUGUGUCGCCGCUCCUCGUCCCUUUGGUAAUGGACCAAUCAAGUCGAUUCCCCAUUGAGCGAAAGGCCAUGGGGAUGUCAUAGCCGUCAGUUUCUCCGGUGGUUGUGCAGGAACCUCGGAGAAGCUUUGGCAUGUUUUACAAUUCUUGGCCAUUCUUUUGGCAUCCUGGUGCAUGGUUGGCCAGAAGUAUCCUUGCCGAAGUGCCUUGAAAGCUAAAGUUCUUGCUCCCGAGUGAUUGCCGCAUAUUCCCUCAUGAAUCUCUCUCAGCACAUAAUCCGCCUCCUCAUCAUCCAAACAUCUCAAAAGGGGUAAGGUGAACCCUCGGCGGUAUUGCACUCCAUCUAGUAGCGUGUACCUCGCUGCUCGGCAUUUUAACUUUCUUGCUUGCCUUUUGUCUUCCGGUAAAACUCCAUCGCGGACAUAUGCGCGAAUCGGGUCCAUCCAGGAUUCUCCAAUAUUUACACUCAUCACCUCUGCUUCUUCCUCAAUACUUGGUGAGGUCCUUACCUCUAGUGGAACUGACUUCGGUAAUUUUGGAUCUGCGAUGGCUGCCAUCCUAGCCAGCAUAUCGGCUCGGAAAUUCUCAUUCCGGGAUAUCUGCUUUACCUCCACUACUUGGAAAAGCCCAACCAUCUGCUUCGCCUUCUUCAAAUAAAGACCCAUCUUCUCUCCCCUCGCUUGAAACUGACCAUUGAGCUGAUUACACACCAAUUGGGAAUCUGCUCGAAUUUCUACUCUCUCUGCUCUGAGAGCGUGUGCAAGUCCGAGCCCGGUGAUAAAGGCUUCGUACUCAGCUUGGUUGUUUGUGAGCUGAAAUUCGAACUUCACCGCGUAUGUUACCUCAGUUCCCUCUGGGCUCCUUAUUACAACUCCUGCUCCGGAUCCUUGCUCACUACAUGAUCCGUCAACCAUUACCAGCCAUAUCUCCUUUGAAUCCUCGUGCUCUACCGGUUGUUCCUCUUGGACCUCUUCCCCCGGUUCAACACGGUCCACCAUAAAAUCUACCAGGGCUUGGGCCUUGAUUGCUCCUCGGGGCCUGUAGGAUAGGUCAAAUUCGCUCAGCUCCACGGACCAUUUUACUAACCGACCAGACGCAUCUGGUUUUUGAAGUACUUGCCGAAGUGGCUGGUCAGUCAUCACAAUGAUCUGGUGGGCUUGGAAGUAUGGUCGGAGUUUGCGUGCUGCCAUUAUCAAAGCCAGCGCCCACUUCUCCAUUAGUGGAUAUCUGGUUUCUGCGUCCACCAGGGCCUUGCUUGUGUAGUAUACCGGGUGUUGCUUCCCUUCUACUUCCCUGACUAAGACCGAGCUGGUAGCCUGCUUAGAGAUUGCCAAGUAUAAGAGCAGCUGGUCACCCUCUCUCGGAGUUGAUAGUAACGGGGCGUGGGCUAGAUAUUCCUUCAGCUGUCCAAAUGCCUCCUCGCAUUCCGGUGUCCAUUCCAUCUUCUUCCCUUUCUUUAUGACUUGGAAGAAAGGGUGACAUUUAUCAGUGGCUCGCGAAAUGAAUCGGUUCAAUGCUGCCAACUUCCCCGUAAGGCUCUGCACCUCCUUAGCUGUUCGUGGGGACUUCAUUUCUAUCACCGCCCGUAUAUUUUCUGGGUUGGCUUCAAUACCUCGAUGGCUCACCAGGUAUCCCAAAAAUUUGCCCGAGCUGACCCCAAAUGCACAUUUCUCCGGGUUCAGCUUCAUUUUGUACCUCCUCAGCAAUUCGAAAGUCUCUUUUAAGUGCUUCACAUGGUCUUUCGGUUCUCUUGACUUGGUGAUCAUAUCGUCCACAUAUACUUCCAUAGUGCGACCGAUCAAUGGUUUGAAGACCUUGUUCACUAACCUUUGAUAGGUAGCUCCUACAUUUUUCAGGCCAAAGGGCAUCACCCUGUAACAAAACAAACCCAUGUUAGUUAUAAAUGUGGUGCUCUCCUCAUCCUGCUCGUUCAUGGGUAUCUGGUUGUAUCCGGAGAAGGCAUCCAUGAAACUGAGUAGACUAUGACCCGCGGUUGAGUCCACCAGCUGAUCUAUUUUUGGUAGGGGAAAGCUGUCCUUCGGGCAUGCCUUAUUGAGGUCCGUGAAGUCUACACACAUUCUCCACUUCCCAUUGGCCUUCUUUACCAAUACCACAUUGGAAAUCCACUCCGGGUACUUAGCUUCCCUUAUAAAUCCUGCUUUCAGCAGCUUUUCCACCUCGGCAUUUAUGGCUUCGUACCUUUCAUGGUUGAAGCACCUCAUUUUCUGCCUCACCGGCUUUGCCCCUCUCUUGACCGCCAGCUUGUGACAAGCUAUCCCGCGGUCAAUACCUGGCAUAUCCUCAUGAGACCAAGCAAAUAUGUCUGCAUGGGACUGUAGACACUUCACCAGCUCUGUCUUUAUUUCUCUACCCAAUUCUGAUCCGACCUUUACAACUCUGCUAGGGUCGCUCCUGCUUACAACAACUUCCUCCAGCUUCUCAACCAGUUCCUGACUACCAUUUUUUGAAUCCCUUCGGUUAUCUAGCGAGGUAACUUGCAGCGUUUCCUUGGCCGCUGUAGCAUAGCAGCUCCUGGCCAUUCUCUGGUCGCCCUUUACUACACCCACAACUCCAUUUAUUCUGUACUUCAGCGCCAGAUAAUGCGUUGACAUUACACAUUGGCUUAUCCUCAUGAACGGUCUCCCCAAUAUCAUCUGGUAAGGACUUCUUUCCUCUACCACUACAAAGUCCAGCAUCAUCGUUCUUUCAAGUGGCUUUGUCCCUACAGUAAUCGGGAGUUCAAUGACCCCCAUGGGAGUUAACCGUCCCCCUCCAAAUCCCUUCAAGGAUGUAUUCGUUCGCUCCAGCUUUAAAUCUAAAAUCCCCAUAUCAUCUAAGGCCGACUUAAACAGAAUGUCUACUGAGCUGCCCGUAUCUACCAGUAUUCACCGUAAUUCUGUACUGGCCACAAAUGCUUUAAUCACCAGCGCAUCCUCGUGAGGGUAUAAAAUGCCUUCUUCGUCGUCCUCUGUCCACAUAAUAGGAACUUGCCGCACUUUUUCCCUCUUGGCUGCUGGCAAAUUGAAAAGCACUUCUUUGCUAGUCAGGGCGUAUCUCCCAUAGUUCUUCCGUGCCCUGUUUGAAUCCCCGGCCAAUGUUGGCCCUCCUGCUAUAACUUGGAUAGUCGGCUGUUCUUGUUCCAAACCCCUUUCAACUCCUUCAUCCUGUGCAUAUUGCGACUCACUGACGGGGAACACUCCAUCUACGUACUCAUCCAAGUAUUGGUUCCUCACCAAAUCCUCCACCUGAAUCCUUAGGUCACGGCAUUGGCUGAUAGUAUGACCGUGAGUGUUGUGGAAUUUGCAGAACCUGCUCUUAUCACGCCGGUGAGCGGGUUUCGUUAUAGGGGUCGGAGUAUACAGCAGUCCUCGUCCCUCGAUCCUUUCGUAUAGUUCCUCCAUGGAGAUUUUUAAAGGAGUAUAUCGUCGAUAUGCCGCGCUCUGGUCAACCAACUGAACUGCUCGGCUAUCAUGGACAUCACUUCGGGCUGGUAUAGCCGGUAACUGCUCUGGUCGGCCAGACCUGUGAUUGGUCGCGUUUACCUCUCUGGGAGUGCGGUGGUAAGGGUGGGCAGUCACCUGCCUGAAUUCUCGCUGCCGCUCUGGGAUCGGGGGGCGCAGAGGUUGAGCCCGGCUGUGUUGGAACUGUUGUGCUCUCUGAGCUAUGGGGUAAGGGCGAGACCGAGCUGAUAUUCCGCCCAUCCCCGAAGAUUCUCCAGUUCGCUUUCCCGACCCGCUCCCUUUCGGGGCUCUCCGUUCUCUUCGCCUCAGCUCUUCCAGCUGUUCACUUUUAAUUCUUGCUGAUUUUUCCUCUUCGAUUUCUAUGUCUCGUUUCGCUUGCUCAUACCCCGACGAGUAAUUCUGUACGAGGGGGCUUCUUAAGUUAUACCACAAUCGGCCGAUUCUUACACCUUCUUUUAAUCCCCUCAACGCCUGCGGGUGAUUAAAAGCUCCCAAAUCCAGCACGGCUCGGUGAUAUCGUUUUACGAAAUCGUGAAGGGAUUCAUGCUCCUCCUGCUUCAUCCCCAUCAGCUCCAUCAUGUCAUCCUCUGGGGCCACCGCCCCUCGGAACUGCUCGGCCAACUCCUGGCACAUCUGCUCAUACCCCUUUAUUCCUCCUCGGGGCAGCUUGCGGUACCAUUCUCGGGCUCGUCCCUCUAGUGUCAACGGGAACACCCUGCAUCUCUGAGCUGGUGUCAGCCCCUGCACACCCGUCAUGUCGUUGAAACGCUCAAUGUGCACCAACGGGUCACUUCGCCCGGAGUAUUUAAGGUCAGGGAAGCGGAAAUCUCUUGGGAUUAUGGUGCUCAUGAUCUCAAUUGAUAACGGAGAUUCUUCAUCUAGCAUUAUCCUCCAGCUCGGGGGCUUUCUCUUGCCCUGCAUCUCCUCUAUCACCUGCGCCAAUCUGCGCACCUCCCCCUCCAAUUCUAUAGCGCGAUCAGGGUCACGUGCAGCUAUCUGGUCUCUCUCCUGCUCGACGUUCUGCAACCGUUGUCUGAGCUCUCCUUCAUCAACACUGGCCCCUCGGCCAUUUAUUUCCAGUACCCGUCCGGGGCGAGGUUCGUCUCUCCCUUCAUCCACGUGUUCCCCUGGGACCCGGCCAGUACUUCGGUGGGGAUGCACUCCAUUAGGUUGGUCUGCGGGUGGAGGGAUUUCCCCGACCCUACGCCCCCGGAGACUGGGUUCUGCUCCAACUCCAUCUCUUCCCACGGGGGUUUCAUAAUCCCUUCUCCGCUCGUCCCUCAGCUCAAACAAUACGGCCGCGAGAGUCUCCAUUUGUUUCUCCAUCCGCUCCAGUCUAUCUUGCAUCAUCCUCUCUCGGGCUUCAUUUGCUAUCUCCCGUAGAGUGAUUGUCUCCACCGUUUCAUUAUCCUCCCUUACAGUAUCCUUUCUUGACGCAUCCAUAUCUAAUCGUUCGCUACUUCUCAGGUAAUUACUAACUUGGUGGUAGCUUUUUAUUCAGCUCCCCACAGACGGCGCCAAAAUGUUGAUGCUGAAAUCUGCUCGCCCUUGGACCGACCAGAUUCUGUCACCAACGUUUGUGUUAUCAACUGUCACUCGAACCACUGGGGUUGGAAUCGCCCUUCCCUCUCUCACUAGACCUGCGUUCAGCAAAAACGGAUCAGAGACGCCGGUGGUUUUGCCGGCGUAAACCCUCCGAUGCCUAAGUUAGCACAAGGUGUUUACGGGAAAACAGUGUAAUAUGGAUUUAAGAAAUUUGUAAGGAAAUGGCCUGGUUGCAAUUUGGCAGCGUUUCCCCUCUCUCAGUUUUUCUGUCCUGUCUUCUUCGAUGUCUUUCUCUUUUAUAGCCGCCCUUUGUCCCACGUUUUUCGUUUGCCCCUUAUCCCUCCUUUUUCGGGUGGUGGUAGCCCCUCAUGGGACUCUAACUGCCAGAUUGUGGGCAAACGUGGAUCUCGCGUGUCCUUCAACCGCUCUGGGAGAAGCGCAACUACCGCGAUUUUGUGAGAUCGUGUUCCUGCUUUCCUGGGGAUGAGUAACAUUCUUGAUUCCUUGCAACUUAUCCAAACAUAAGUAUUCAACGUUAUUGAUGCGCUGCAACUUCUCGGAGCAAAUGGCCAUAGAAUCAAGCUUGAGCUUCAAUGUUCUUAAACUCUCAUGAUUACUGAUCAUAAAGUGCUGCCGACUUUCAAACCAAUCAUUCUCAAUAACCAGGGUAGAGUCGAAUGAUGCAUCUCCUAUUGAUAUAUCAAACCUUUCCAGCUUUUUGGAAAAAAAGCCAUCCGGUAAAAUGCUAUCAUUUUUAACAUCUAUCUAAGGUGGUCAAUCGCCUCAUAUGCAUCAAUUCGUCGAGGGUGGCAUUACUUCUUUCACUAUUGGCCUUUUCAACUUCCCAUUCAAUAGGGGAAUUACCCAUAUACAGUUCUUCCAAUCGAGUGAAGCUUGAUAAGACGUUGGGCACAAUAAAUUUUAGUUGCAAACAAUCUGUUAAAUCUAACAGCCUUAACUUAGUCAGUUGACCUAGUUCGCCAGGCAACCGUACAAUAUCAGAAUUUAAAAAGCUAAGGAUUUCUAGAUUCUUCAACUUUCCAAUUAUGGCUAUGUCUCCCAACAUGCUUUGAUCUAGACAGAGUGUUUGAAGAUUUGCUAGAAGACCGAUUGAAGAUGGCAAUGAAAAUAAUCGCAUUCGUGUCAAAUCUACAACUCGAAGCUUUUUCAGCCCUUUGAAAAUGUUGUCAGGAAUAUUGACCUCAACAAAAGUGUUUUGGGAAAUAUGUAAAAAUUCAAGUUGCAGACAUUCAAAUUCCUCAGAAACUUCAUGAAUGCUACUAUUUAGUAAAGAGAUUGCAUAGCAUUUUUUAAGUGCAUCCUCAUCUGGCCACUCCCACACAGCCUCAUUUCUCACCAAUAAAGCAUGUUGGUCUCGAUUUAAACUUUAACUCAAUUUGAAAAACUGAGCAAGUAUGCGUUACAGGAAAUCAAAAAAGCUCCACAUACCCAGAUCAUGAUCUCACGUUGAAUCCAGGUGGGAGAUAUAUUUAUGAUCAAGCCCAACAUCGAAGGGGGCAAAAAAAAAAAAAAAAAAAUCUACCAGACAUAUGAUCAUAUUGACCACGAGCUUCAUACGCCGUGGAUUUAUUAACAAAAGUGGGAAUUAAUUAAUCAUGAGCAUGUGUUCUAGUUAAGUCAAAAGAGAGACUUAAUUAAGAACGCAUAUAUAAUUCAUAAUCAGCACAUAAAAAGAUCACUAGUGCUUGCCCCUCCUGCCCUUGCCGUGCUUGCCGUGCUUGCCCCUGCCCUUGCCCUUUCCAUGCUGGUAGUAGCCGCCGUGCUUGCCGUGUGUGUAUGCACCGUGAGCUCCAGGAUAUGCGUUAUUAUCUGCAACAAAAUAAGAAAUUAAAUCAUAAGCUUAUAAUUAGCUCGCUCGCUAAGAGUGAUUAAAAUAAUACCGUGCGGAACGGAUGGGCCAGGAUAUCCCGUUGGUGUGUAACCACUGGCGAGUGCUGCUCCUGUAGGCGGGUAGCCGGCACCGGCUGGGGCAGCAUGAUCAGCACCUUCCAUGAUUUUGAUGAUCACCUAAUAAAUAAUAACUUGGUCCAAAAUAAACAACAAUAAAUAAUUGUGAUUAAUAAAAAGUAAUAUAUUCUCUAAUUAAAACAUUAAUGAUCAUUGGAGAGCAAGCGAGAAAUACUUACUGAAUGCGAUGGGACAGACAACAUCAUGCAUAGAGAAUUGUUCAUCUUCAACGAAUUUGGCUGCCCGGUCAAUGAUGCCGUUAGCACUAACCAGCCACUUCUCAACCUUCUCUUCAAUCUCUUCCCCUUUUUCUUUUGCCUCUGAAACUCUGCGCCGAAUGCUCGUACGUUCAACCUUCAACUUCUCCAUUUCCGUCUUGAGAUUCUCAAGGUUGGCAUUGUAGUUCCGCUUGCGCAAAUAAACAAGUUGGCGUUCUGUUGGAGGAGCCAAGCAUUUUACAAGUUCCAAAACGAGAGUAACAAUGAUUUCCAGCAUCUUGAAUCCUGACAACAAUGUAGAAGUGAAGAAGGCCAAAGGACAGUCAAAACAGAGAGACAGCGUUACGACAAGCAGUUAUGGAGCUAAAAAUAAAUAACAAACAAACAGAAGCAAAGUGUUUUUCGAAUGAGAAGAAGGAAGCAAGAAAAACUUAAAACUAGUAUAAUAAAUUUAUACUAAAACUAGUAUAGUAAAACAAGAAGUCAAGAACCAGCAACUUUUACACACAAAAUAAAACCUUAAAACUAGUAUAAUAAAUUUAUCAUCAAGUUGCAGCCUUCUUAUUCAACAAUUACAGCAUUAUCUUGAGCUCUGUGUUUCUUUUUUUAAAAUUAUUCAAAAAAAUCUGCAUUUGUUUUUCAAGGAUAAAAAUUAUAUUUUUGUCUCAUAUAAUAUAAAAUUAAAAAAAAACAAACAUAUAUUAAAGGUCUGUUUGGGAUUAUUUUUAGAGGCUCAAAAGUAAUUUUAAAAAGUUAAAUGCUAAUUUUGGUAUUUAAUAAAAUUUUUAGAAGUCACCUUUGGUAAAAUCAUCAAUCCUACAACAAAUUUUGAAAGCAAAUAGUUUUUCAAAUUUUUAUUUUGAUAAUUAAUUUUAUACUUAAUAUAAUUCCAUAUACAUCCCUACAUAUAUUAAUUAUCCUUAUUAAUUAGAAAAUAAAAUUAUUAACUUUAAAGAUAUUAUCAACAAUUACAUUGAGAUAACAAACUAAAAAUAAAAUUAAUAAUAUAAAAUAUUUAUUUUAGUAAUCAAUUAUUAUACUUACAAGAUAAAAAAUAUUUUAUUUAAAUGUUUAUAAAUGUACAAAUAAAUUUUAUUUAAUAUUAUAUUCAAUUUAGUCAUUUACAUUGUCAAUAGGACUUCUAAAAAUAAAUUUUCCUAAAUGUUUAACUAAUUCUCUUCAUAGUGAUUAUUUCCAAACAUAACUACCAAAAAUUACUAUAAUAGAUACAACAUUACCAAAAAAAUAUUGAGAUAGAUUUUAAUUAGGUAAUUGACUUAAUUAUGAAUCAAUUUAUUAUUUCCAUAUGUGUUAUCCAUAUGUGUUAUCAAAACCAGCUCAAUAAUGAGAUCACUCUUUUUCUUAAAUAAAAAUAUUUGUGCCAAACAAUUGUUGCAAAAUUUCAAAUAUAAAUUACAAACAACAAAAUUUUCUAAAAUCAUAACAAUAAUUUAUGUUGUGAAUACAUGUAACGAAACCACAUUGAAAUUUUAUUGUUAGUAAAAUUGUUUUUCACGCAAAUGCAGUGACGGAUUCGGUUUCAUGUCUCACCCUCAAUAACUUAAUUUUCAUAUCUAACAAAUCAUCCAUAUUAUUAACAAUAUCAUCACCAACCAUAAUCUACCUAAACAUAAACUAAACAUAACACAUACAUAUAACUAUAUACAUACCGAAUCAGGAAAACAAUGAAAGCUACACGUAUCCGGCUCUACAAUUCCUUCUUGAUACCCUUGUGCUUCUAAAAUAAUCAACCAAUUAUAAAAAUUAGCUUAGGUGCAACUUUACCCCUUUUUUUGGGAAACUUAACUAUAAAUAAAGUAUACAAAUCUCUAAAUUAACUUCGUCCCCAUGAAAUUCGGCAUAAAUAGAAAUAGAAUUAUAGAAACCUUACUACCUUUUAUGAGAAAUCCAACUUAUAUAUUUGAGACCUCUCUCUCUAAGCACGCGCUUCCUCUCUCUGCACACUUUCCACCUUUAAAUUCUCCUUCACUAAGUUUACCUAAAAGAAUUUAGCGUUCUCCCAGUUUCUUUCGCAUUUUUCUCCGUGAAAAUUGGUGAAAAAGAGAAAGUGAUUUGAUUAUUUUAAUGUGCGACAGAUCUGGUUUCCAUCUCUGUAAUAUAAGUGUAUCAAAACGAGGUGAACAACUCUUUGUCGAGUCAGUCAAAUAUAAAAGACAAAUUACGAAACCAAGCAGAGCCAAAAAAAAAAAAAAAAUUUCCAAUUAAAUAAUCAUCAAGUCUUUUUCAAUUAAAAUCGGAGGUGCAGAACAACUGUCAGGAGAUAAUCAUUGUUUAUGGAGCCAUAUUAUAUUUUCGAUUAAAAUAGUUGCGCGUGAACAAUUGGCAGAAUUCGUAUAAAUUGUUUUAAGGUCUAUUAUAAUUAACAUUUAACAAGUGGAAUGGCCAAUGGAUGAAGAACCACUAUAAUUAGGGGGGUUUUGUGUCCCUUAUUCAAACGUUGGGGGUCUCUGUGUCUUUUUCCCAUGAAUUUAAAAUGCUAAAGAAACUGGGAAAAUUUACAAAAAUAACCAUAAAAUUUUUGUUAUUUUUACAAUUAACCCUCUCAACUUUUUUCUAUCAACAUUAGCCAAACACGUGCUUUUCUCCCCAAAUUACCCUUCUUUACAAACCAAAAGCAACAUUCUUUCUCCCCUUUCGUCAAACAAAGGCAGCUUCCACUCUUGAAUCAUCAACCAACGACAACGGCAAAAGGCAACGAUAAAAAGUGAAAUCCGAUCAUAAUUUAUUCGGAUCCAACACUAAUCGGCAUCACAUAGUGGUAUGAGUUAUUUUCUUGCUCGUGAGUUUGCCUGUCGCACCAAAAGCCAGAUUCAUUAUAAUUAACUAUUAAUUUGAUAGGGCUGAAAUAAUUUAUUUUUUUAUAAUUUCAGGCUUAAUGGAUUCAGUUGUACUUGAAUUGUGUUACGAUGGUUGUUGGGAGACAUUAGAGGAUGGGCGUAUGGAGUAUGUCAAUGGUAAAAAUAGAGCUUUUUUGGUUGGAAAAAAUUGUCUUUUUGAUCAGUUAUUGGCAAGAGUAUACGAUGUGUUACAAAUUAAUCCUAAUGAAUAUAGUAUCACAAUGAAGACAACUUUGAGGUCUAGUAACACAUUAUAUCAUGUAUGUGCACUGCCCAUGGAUAUAUUUGAUGAUGAAAUGGUGAGGGUUGUGUUACAUAUGGCAUCCGACGUAGCUAAUUUUGGAUGCAUUCCUAUAUUUGUUACCACAUCACCUCGAGUUCCGAGUGGAGGUAUUGAGCCACAUGUCGAUACAGAAACUUCGUUUAGAGCAAAUAUGUCUAGCCUCGAUAAUGAAGAAGAGGUGUUGCCAAGGACAAUAUCACUGCAUCAAUAUUACUCUCCAAUCCACGACAAUUAUGACAACAUUGAUGAUGACGGCGUUACGUUACAGGAUGUUAGAGCAACGGUAUUUCCAAUAACGACGUCGUUGGAGCAACGGUAUUCUCCGUAUCACAAUAAUGAUUUUCGGGACAAUGAUGAUUUUCAUGAUGAGACAGAGGGGGAUAAUGUUUGUGCAGAACCUUCUAAUAAUAUGAGGGGCACUCAUUUCAAUAAUGAUGGUGAUGAUGGAGGAGCCGGUCCUUCGAAUGUUCCGUCGUUUCAGCAUGAGGAUGAGUGUGAAGACAAUACUCCUGCGAAUAAUAGAGGCAAUAGACCUAUUCUAGCAAUGGUUCGAUCGAGAAGGAGAAUUGACCCUCUCACAAGUCUUGCUCCAACUUUGCCUUCGAACAUGGUUGCUCCAAGUUUUGUUAGCAGUUGUGACUCAGAUGAUAUCAGUGUCGGUAAGCUAUUUGCUGAGAAGAAUGAGUUUAUAUUACAACUACGCAAGGUUGCCUUUCAGGAUAAGUUUGAUUUCAAGAUUGCACGGUCUACUACGACACGUUUCGAGGCUCACUGUAGUUCAGAAUCAUGUAAAUGGCGUAUUCGAGCAACUAGAUGUUCGAACGAGGAAAAUGUUCCUUGGGUGGUGCGGAGAAUUGAUAAUGUACACACUUGUCAUAAUGAGGUGUUGGUUGCUGGAUGUCAUCAAGUCAGGAGCCGGGUUGUCGGUCAUAUUAUCGCAGAUAAAUAUAUUCAAGUCAAGAGAAUUUAUACUCCGAAUGACAUAAGAGCAUAUAUGCAACAAGAAUACGGUGUUCAGUUAACAUACCAGCAGGCAUAUCGGGCGAGAGAAGUUGGUCUUGAAAUAGUUCGAGGCAACCCUGCAGAGUCAUACAACUUGCUCCUUAAAUAUUCUCGCGUACUAACUGCAGCGAAUGAGGGUACAGUCACUCACAUCGAGCUGGUGCGACAGCCACGCCUGUCGCACCAAAAAAUUGGUGCGACAGGCGCGCGCUGUCGCACUUGAUCUGGUGCGACAGCGCCUCUCGCACCAGAUUUGGUGCGAGAGGCUUGCUGUCGCACCAGAUUUGGUGCGACAGUGGGGCACGCAUGGGCGCGCGCGCGCGCCCUGCCCCCCUCCCUCUCCACCCCCAAAAUUAAGCCACAACACUUUAAAAUCGAAAAACAAUACUCCCAAACACCACCACUACCACCAUUAUUCUCAAGCUAUAAUUAUUAUUAUUCUAAAAUCUCAUUUUAAAUUAAUGAAAAUAAGAAAAAUGACUAACCUAGGUUUUGUUGAAGGUUGUAGAUCGUAGAUCGGAUGCCGGUGAGAGAUGGAGCCACCGCCGACGAGGGUUGAUGUUGCCGCCGAUGAUGGGAGUUGGAUCGGUUUGGGAGAGAUGAGUGAAAGGGAGUGUUGGGGAAGAGAUGAGGGAGGGGUAUUUUGGUCUCAAAAGUUGUUUAAUGGCUAAUGUUGAUAGAAAUAUUUUUGGGGGGUUAAGAUGAAAAAAAUCAAAACUUUUAUGGUUAUAUUUGUAAAUUUCCCAAGAAACUGACAUCAACGCUAAACGUGAAUCUGCAGCCCUUGCCUCAGUGUCUUUCAGGCGUUACUCGGGGUAGUUGAUAUACUGACGACCCCUUUAUCAAUUAAUAAUCGAAAUAGAUUAAAAUAUGAAUGGAUUAGAAUAGAAUGAGUUGGAAUUAAAAUACGAAAUGACAAUCAGAUUAAUUUAUUUUUUUUAAUUGAGGAAUUAGAAUUGGAAUAAAUUAUAUAGUUAUUGAUGUGUUUAUUUUAUUUUAAAAUUACAAGAGUUGUUGUAAAUUACUAAUAUGCCCUUAAUUUUUUAUUAUAAUUAUAAUUAUUUAUUACUACAUUUGUCAUAUUAUUAAUAUUAUAAUAAUAAUGAUUGUAACAAUUAAUAUUGAAAAAAAUUUAUUGUUAAUAAUAGUAAAUAAAAUAAGAAUAAAUAGGCAAUUAUUCACUGACCACGUGAUCUUUCGGACUCUUUCAAAAAUACACAAAUACUUUUUUCUUUGCAGAAAUCCUCUUGAAGUUUACAAAGUGUUUCAAUUGUUCACUGUCAUCUUAACUCUAUUAGAAUCUUGUUGAUGUCGUCAGGAUAAAAUUGUCAUUUUACCUAAACAUCCAAAAGGAAGUAUAAGAUGAAGCUCAACUUGGAGAAGUGUGCUUUCGGGGUUGGAUUCGGCAAAUUCCUUGGGUUCAUGGUGAGUGAUAACUCUAUGAAAUGAGAGUUAUCAUGAAAUUUUUAAGUUUAAAUCAAGACUACUCAGAGAGUAAUUGAUAUGUUUUAGUGCACUUUAAUGAUAGUUUGCAUUACAUUCAUUUUAAUUUAAGUUUAAUAAAGUUUAUGUGAUUUCUGAAUAAUUGUAUGCUUAGAACAUAUGUUUAAUUGUAGGUCAAUGGAAACUUGAAUUUCAUGGAAAAGAUGCUUUUGCAAUGGACUUAUAAAGAGGACAAACGAGCAUGGCUAUAGUAGAAUUGGAGCAAGUUUGGAACAGUGGAGUUGCUGUAGCCAUUACUGUAGCAACCAUUGAUGUAGCAAUCCUCGAGCAUUGCGAUCUGCAGUUUCCUAAUCUGAAGAAAAAGUGGCAUAAGAGAGAGAGCCAUCAAUUAAGAUCAAAAACAGAAAAGAACCAAGGAAGUAACAGAAUUCCUGAGCAGAAUUCAAGGCUGAGCCAGUUGAAGAAAUUUGCAGAGUCAAUUGGAAUUCACUCUUUCUCAUUCUUUUCUUAUUUACUUGUUAUUUAUUGAUUAUGAAGAUGUACUCGAUGGCUAGAAUUUGGUUGUUUAAUCUCCUUUCACAAAUUAUGAACUAAAUUCAUUUGUGGUUGAGUAUUAAACUAUCUUGAUGGUUAAUUGACUAAAUAUAGGUGUUGCUAUAUGUUUGCUACAACAUUUUGCUUUAAUAACAUUUAUUUACAUUCAUUAUUUCGGUUGACCACCCAUUUAAUGAUACAAGUUAAGAAAGAGCUAUAAAAGGGUCUAUCUUAUUGAAACAUAUUAGAGUAAUACUUGGUCUUAAAUUGGGUUUCCUAGAUUGAGUUUAACUUGAGACCAAAAAGGAUUGUACUUAAUUUAAGAUUAGUAAUGAACUAGAUAUAGGGAUUUGCCUUGUAGGGUAAAAAGAACAUAAAUGUGUAAUACUAUAUCUUACGUUGACAUAGUAACUGGUCACUGUUAGGUUGUAUAAAGAUAUAAAACAUUCGAACAUGCUACCGUUGAGGAUAAAGAUGGUUUCUGCCCAGUGCUGUAGCAGAUGCUGCAGCAACUGAGCUUGACAUGAAUAACACAGUCAACACCAUCAAGAGAGUUUAAUCACUCAACUACUCUAUUCUAAUUAAAUUUAAUUUCAUGUUUAAUGUACAAAUUUUAUUUAUUACAUUUUUAAUUAUUGUGAUUUUAUUUUACCUAGUCAUUUAGUUGUAUUAGUUGCAUUGAUUUAAUUGAUAACAUAGGUUGCUCUGUGAAAUUACUGUAGCAAGUCUAAUAGCAUCAAUCCCUAUGGAGACGAUCUUGGAUACUUAUCCUUAUAUUACUUAUUGUGUACACUUGUGCAUUGACACUAAUAGCAAUGGAGUUAAAAUUAGCAACAAAUUUUUUGUGCUAUUGCUGGGGAUUGAUUGUUUACUUUUCAGUUGUGAAAUCAAUUUUGACGGUGCUAAUCUUUGAUUUUAUUUUGAAUUGUUUACUUUGUUAACAGAUCACUCUUGCAUGUGAAAAUACAAACUUGUUGAAUUUCAAUUUGAUCCAGAGAUUGAAAGAACUACAAGGAGAUUGAGAAGAGAGCAAAGAAAUUCAAAAGCUGCUGUAGCAAUAGAUGACUUGCAAAACUUAGGAAACUUAGACCCUCACGGACCAAUAUAACCUGUUAAUGCUCAAGAAAGUCAGAAUGGGAAAAUUAAUCAGAGACCAUCAGGGAAUAACAAUAUUAGCUACAUGGAAAAUGAUAGAGACAGGGCCAUUAGAGAUUAUGCUUUGUUAGCCCCUUAAGUUAUACAUCCUGACAUUGUCAGACCUGAGGUAAAAGGUGCCAAUUUUGAACUCAAACCAGUGAUAUUUCAAUUAUUACAAACAGUGAGGUAAUUUAAUGGAUUACCAUCAAGAGGUGAGUGAUGCUUUUAAAAUUAUUGGAGCAUCACAAGAUGCAUUGAGACUCAGAUUCUUUCCUUACUCCCUAAGAGACCGAGCAAGAGUAUGGUUGAACUCUUUACCACCAGACUCAUUACAACAUGGAAUGACUUAGCUGAUAAGUUUAUGAUGAAGUACUUCACACCAACCAAAAAUACAAAAUUAUGGAAUGAGAUUACUUCUUUUCGUCAACUAGAAGAUGAAAACUUAUAUGAGGCUUGGGAAAGAUUCAAUGAGUUAUUCAGGAGAUGUCUUCAUCAUGGCAUUCCUUACUGCAUACAAUUUGAAACCUUCUAUAAUGGGUUGAACCCAAGCACUAGAUUGAUGGUCGAUACUUCAACAAAUGGGGCUUUGUUAUCUAAAUCUUACAAUGAAGCCUAUGAAAUUUUAGAGAGAAUUGCUAAUAACAAUUAUCAGUGGCCAUCACCUAGACAAAUUGUAUCAAGAGGAGCAGCAGGUAUACAUAAUGUGGAUGCAUUUACAGUAUUAUCAGCCCAAGUAACAUCAUUGACCAAUAUGGUGAAAGCUAUGACUACUGCUCUAUCGAAUGACAAUCAAGUUGCCGAUGUUUCUUGUCUGUAUUGUAGAGAGGGGCAUUUAUUUGAUAAUUGCCUAAGGAAGUCAACGUCAGUCAAUUAUGUGGGCAACUCCAAUAGAUAGAACCAGAACAAUCCAUAUUCCAGUACCUACAAUCCUAGAUAGAGGCAGCACCCAGUGGACAGAACAGACCUACUCAGCCAGUUGAUUUUCAUCAGCAAAAUCAAGGGUAAAAAAACACCAGCAAUGAUCAAUUCAGUUCUUUGGAGACCCUAAUUAAGGAGUACAUUGUGAAUAAUGAAGUAAUUGUCCAAAGUCAAGCUGUACCAUUGAGAAAUUUAGAAAAUUAAAUUGGACAGCUUGCCACAUUAUUAAGUAACAGACCUUAGGGGAGUUUACCCAGCAACACAGAAGAUCCAAGGAGAGAAGGUAAGGAAUAUUGCAAGGUGAUCAAAUAUUGCACAAACUAGAAGCCUCAGGUCGGCUGGUGAAAUGGGCAAUAGAGUUGAGUAAAUUCUAUAUAAGCUACAAACCCCGAGCAACAAUCAAAGCCCAUGCAAUGGUGAACUUCGUGGAAGAAUUUACAGAAUCACAUGUGGAACCUAGCCACAUUCAUAUUGCUAUAGGCAACAACAAAGGUCAAAUCUGGCAGAUGAUAGUGGAUGGAUCUUCAGGUGAGCAAAGUACUAGAGCGGGGUGGUCCUGGAGAGUCCAGAUGGAGAGGAAAUCUCCUACGCUGUUAGACUGGAGUUCAAGGCCACAAACAAUCAGGCUGAAUAUGAGGCUCUAAUUGCAGGGCUAGAGUUAGCUAAGGCGGUGCAGGCAAAUAAGGUGAAAAUUCGGACAGAUUCACAGCUAGUCGCCAACCAUAUUAGUGAAAUGUUCUAACCUAAAGACGAAAAGAUGGGGCAAUACCUGAGGAGGGUCAGACAAAUGAUCAAAAAGUUCGAGUCGAUGGAUAUUGUGCAAAUUCCAAGGAGUGAAAACUAUCGAGCUAAUAUCCUAGUUGGAAUGGCUGCUACAGCGGACUAAAAAAUGCCAAAAUCAGUCCCUAUGGAAGUCAAGUCCUCCCCCCAGCAUUGUGUAAAGUCUGGAGAUGAUGCAGAUAGAGCAAAAAGGCUCAUGGAUAGACCCAAUAAUCUCAUAUAUACUGGAUAGAGUGUUACCAGCAGAUAAAACGCAAGCAUGAAAAAUCAAGGGCCAGCGUCUAGGUGUACACUAAUUGAUGGGGUGUUAUACCGACGAGGGUACACCUUGUCGCUCUGCGAUGUCUGGACAAAGACGACGCGAACUACGUUCUAAUGGAAGUACAUGAAGGGGUUUGUGAAAAUAAAUCUAGAGUUAGAUCUCUUGCCUACAAAGCCUUAAGACAAGGUACUUAUGGCCGACGAUGUACUAAGAUGCUCAAGAGAAAACCAGGAGUUACAGAAGUUGCCAGAACUUUGCUAGUUUCCCUACACAGCAAUAAAAAAUACUUACUACUAUGACUUCACCAUGGUCGUUUACUCAAUAGGGAAUCAACCUAAUCGAGUCUUUGCCAAAAUGAUGAAGAGCAGUUACACAUGCUGUCGUGGCAAUAGAUUAUUUCACAAAAUAGGUCAAGGUAAAAGCACUCAGAAGAAUCACAGAGAAUGAUAUAACUGAUUUCAUGUGGAGAAACCUUGUCAGCCGGUAUGGAAUCCCAUACGCCUUGAUAGCGGACAACAACUAACAAUUUGACAAUCACAACUUUAGGGAGUUUUGUCAGAACUUUGACAUAGAGCUAAGUUCUGCUCCCCUGCCCACCCUUAGUCCAAUGGGCAGGUGAAAGUGGCCAACAAGGUUAACAAAAAAACUCCUGAAGACCAAACUAUGAGAGAAGAAGUGUGCAUGGGUUGAUGAGCUUCUAGGAGUGUUGUAGGUAUAUAGGACUUCUCAUAAAACCGCCACCGAUGAGACACCCUUUGCUGUAGCCUUUGGGCAUAAAGCAGUCUUGCAUGCAGAGAUAGGGGUAACCACGCACCAAACUGAGCACUUUGAUGAGAGUGAGAAAGGUGAAUCAGAGUACCAAAGAUUCGACCCAUGGUGUGUAUCCGGAUCAGGAGCCUACAAGCUUGCUCUCGCGAAUGGACAUGAGCUGAAACAACCAUGGAACGUAACACAUCUAAAAAAAUACUUCCAAUAAGGCCCAUUGGUAGCGAGUUAGAGUUAUUUCUGUUCAUUUCUGUUGUUGUUUAAACUUUAUGAUCAGUCAAUUUCAUGUAUGUCGUAUGCCAUGAUUAAUAAAGUUUGGAGGAAGUUCAUUCAAUUAAUUUAAAGAAAAAAAAGUUCGUAAGGUAAAUAAAUGCCUCAAAGUCUCAAAGCCUGCUCGAUGGUGAGACCAGAAGCCAGAUUUUCCAGACUCUGCUCUACCAAACGAUGACGAGCAGACAAUCAAAUAUUUCAAAAAGUUUCUAAGGCAGACAAAAGCUUCAAAGUCUCAAAUUCUACUCGAUGGCGAGACUAGAGGCCAAGUUUGCCAAACUCUGCUCGACCGAAUGAUGGCGAGCAGACGAUCAAAUAUUCCAAAAAAUUUCCUAAGGGAAAUAAAGGCUUCAAAGUCUCAAAUCCUGCUCGAUAGCAAGAUUAGAAACCAAGUCUGCGAGACUUUGCUCGAGCAGGCUACAAGAAAAACCAAGUUAUUCGUUAAUAAUCUAGUGACAAUGGCAACUAGCCUCAAAACUUGGCAUACAACGUUUACAAAAGAAAAUUAUGGUACAUUCACGAGGAUGAAGGAUCUAUAAGUAGAGCAGCUUUUGUUGGAUUUUCAAGCAGUAGAGAAUGAGGGGUCUGGCCAAUUCUGCCCGAGGGAGUGCUUGCUUCGAUCGGGGUUUUGCCUUUCAAGACCGGCCAUGAUGCAUCGACAGAAGUGCCUGAGCCCUUCGUUAAAUUGUCAUCAACUUCCUUUUCCAAGUUCUCAAUCUGAGUCUGGUGUGAAGCACAAAGUGAUUCCAAUUAAGACUCGUAGGAAGCUUUUUAUGUCUCCAAAUUCUUAUUGACCUUGCUCAGCUACUCCUCAAGGGUGAUCACAUUGGCCUGUGCAAGAGAUGUCUGCUCCACUAAUUUCAAGUUCUCGAGGGUGAGGUCUCUUGCUUUCUUCUCAAUAGCAUCAGCUUCGUUUUUAGUUGAUUGAAUAUUAUACUUCAUCUUGUGGUCAUAACGGCCAACUUUCACCUUGUAGUAGGUAGUCAUGCAACAUAGGUGGAAAACACUGAAUUGCAUAGCCCUAACUAGCUCACGAGGGUAAUGCCGUCAAAGUCCUCUAAAUCGUUUUUGUUCACGAGCUUAGAAAACUCACUUAUGUAAGGGCCAUAUGCUCUGGUCGAUCCUCAGGCAAUUGCGGUUCGGAUCUUGCUGGAGGAGGAGUGGUAACAAGACCAGUGCCGCUCGCAGCUCCACCAACUUCACCUGCCUUAGGACGGGGAGGAGGAUGUGGCAGCAUCUUCAGAGGGGAAGCUUUCCCUACAGUAUUGACCCACUUCUCAAGGGAGCAUAGUUGCUGCAACCCCCCUUUACACCACGAAAGCGAGGGCGUUUUCUGUUCAAAGCCCUAAUCACAGCAUCCUCUAUAGCAAUUCACCUUCGAUGCGGUAUUAGACACUCCAGGAACUUGCAACAUAGGCAGAGACUCUGUUAGAAAUUACUCAAUCACUUGAUCAGCUGGUGGUGUAAAACAACUUAAAUAAGCAGGCAACCUGGAACUAAGAAACGGAUGGGGACAUGGACAUUCUCAUCAUCAGUCGGCCACUUGACCCUAAGGACCCCCAGCAAAAAAGAAACUGCUUUUCUAAUUCUCACCACCUGUUAGGAGGCCAGUUAUAGGUUUCCUAGUCUUGGUACUUGACAUAAAAUAGUACCAACUAGCAUCUUUAAGGCUACUCUUUAAUUGGUAUAAGUGUUUAACCUCAUCAAUUAUAGGCUCACUCUGACCACAUCUGUCCCAAAGUACGAGUACACCAGAAAGUACCCUCUAUCCAUUAGGGUUAAGCUGACCAUGAGCUAAGUGUAAUCUACCAAGCAUCUGGACGAAGUAAAGCAGCAAAGGAAGCCUCAUCCCUUGUUUAAAACUCUCUAAAAAUAUAGCAACAUACCCCCUGGAAGGUCGAUUAGGGGUAUCCUUUUUCUUAAAAACCCUAAGGUUUAUGUCAUCAGAAAUCUUGUAAGUAUUUUGGAGGGGUUUAAAGUCAUCUACUGUGGUCGUACAAGUCAUGAGGUCAAUAGGGUAGUUUUCAGCCGGAGUCCUACCACCUAAUUUCCUCCUCUUUGUUGGUCUUACUACCUUUAGUGAGGAUGCUUUACCAAACUCUUCAUCUGGGUACCCGCUUAAGGUCUCCUCUGAGCUAGAAGAUUCGUCAUUGUUACUUUUGCUAGAUGAGGUAGAAACCUCAGGAGACAUCCUCCUAGCACUACUUCUAACACUAGAAUGGCCUACAAGCUCUAAGGGGAUCCUAGGGUCGAAAAUGGGCUCUGUGAGCAAACCAGGUAGGAAAUCCAGUUCGUCAUCAUCAAUCUUAAUUUCUUUUUCCUUGCCUUUUGACAUUUUCUAAGCGAUAUCCAAGAAGAUACAACUAAAUCCCUCUUAACCCUAGAAAAAAAUGAAAAAUAUCUAAGACAAGAGAGAAGAAGACCGUACCUAAAGCAGCGGCACCUCAAAAUCAAAAUGGAGGAAGUGACUUGAUAUUCGAUGGAGGAAAUAGUUGAGUCACCAAAGGGCGAAAGAAAAGCCGGAAAAAAACUUUCUUGUGAAGAUUAGGGUUCCCCAAGAGACACGGAGACCCCUAAUUUAUUACCAUUUAACGACACGCACUGCGAGGGUUCUUAACAGGCAGUUAAAAAUUUAAAUGAACGAGUGGAUUCCUGCCACAUCACCUGCUUUUAAUUAUGACGUGACUCUUUGGAUAAACAGCUAAUAGUAGCUUAAAGGAUCAAGUGGAUAAGGUGACCAGUCCUCAUUUCAAUGCCAAGAAGCCAAAGUGUGUUUUGAGCAAGAUAAGACUACCAAGUUUCUAGUGUUGAUCCAUUGCAUUAUCAGCACCAGAAACUGAGGGACUAGUAUUUGAGGCGUAUAACGACGCGACCAGCUACACUCGAGCGAGGAUUUCCUUUUUGUGGGCGAUGGGCUAUAUAGUGUCCGUGAGCAGAAGUGCUCUAUUCGACACCGAGGAGUUUUCUGCUAAACACCGAGGAUAUCUCCUGAUGGGGCCAAGGUCGGAAGACCCAGUCUAUGGCAGUUGUUAGAACAUGUGUCGCUCUCCGAGAAUCCAGGCACGAGGCCUAUUCAGCCACGAUCACAACGCCCGAGCAUCCAUGACCGGGAACUAAGGUAGAGUGGCAAACGUGGGUCAUGGUGACUAAAUUCUCAGGAGGGCUAUAAAAGGGGCUUGCAAAGAAGGUAAAGGGUUUAGACAUUUUUAAACUAAAAAUUAACCUAAGAGAAUUGGGGGGUGCAUCUUUAUUGGCGAGAAUUGGGAAAAUUUUUGAGAUUUUUCCAGUGUUUGAGAAAUUAUUACAGAGCCACGAGAUUGGUGGCAGGGUUUUUUCACAAUAAGCCCAGAUUGCUGACUUGAACGUCGGAGGGUUUACGUCGGGAAAACCCUCAGCGUUCUUUGACCAAUUUCUGUGUGUACAGGAAUUCACAGAGGAGGAACAGUGAGCCUCAUAGUUCUGCUUAUCAAACAGGAGCAGAGUAAAGUUAUCCCCUACCACUACAAAUUUAAGUGUUGAAGAGAGAUCUUGGUCUCGAACGAGCAGAUGCAAAAUCCCGUAUCAAUAAUAACAACAACAACAACAACAACAUCAUCAAUAAUAAUAAUAAUAAUAAUAAUAAUAAUAAUAAUAUAUUAACUUUGUAGGAUGGAGCUCUCGCAAAUCUUCAAGACACAAAAUGUGUUUGACCCCAUUGUUGUUAUUAUAAUUUCAAAAUCAUUUGUAUAUAUAAUAUUAGGGAAUAUGACAUAGAAAAAUUGAUGGUACAUAUGUUGCAAUAUUCUUGUUCAUGUGGCGGCACACUGAAGUAAAGCAUAAGCAGAGCAACAACAAAUGUAAUGAGAGAGCUCUCAUUAUGUAGAUUUUCAAUAGAAGUAAUGCAUAUUUCACAAAGGCAAUGGCCUUAUUUUGAAUGCUGCACCUGAGGGUUGACUUGAAUCUUCUAUAGAACUCAGGCAUUCUGUAAUCAUAGAGUAUAGCAUUUCAACAAAAAUAUUAUACAGGUCGUUCCUUUAUAUAUUUUCUGGGUACACAUACAGAAAUAUUAUUUUGGGUACAUUUCUUGCAGUAAAACCUGCCCAGUCUAGCGUUCUCGUAAGUUGGGUUUCUCAUUUGCAUGUUUUUUUCCAUUGGUUAAUUAUCACAAACCUCCACUAACAUUUAGCAUAUUCUUAGUUUAAUAGAUUAUAUUGGCGUAUUCUCAAAUAUAAAUUAAGCUGGUGAGGAUAAAAUCGUAAAAGCACCAUUAAUGAUAAAAAGAAACCAAGUAAACUUGAAAUUUUCAAGUUGUGUUUUGAAAUUGGUCUCGACUUUGUAAAUGUCCAUUGGGUAAAGAAGCAAAGAACAGAAGCAAGCUGUUCCCAGCACACAUAAGCAAGCUUUACGCAGCACAAAUUAACACCCACAAAAAAUGAAAAGAAAAAAUGGUCAUCUCUUUCCUCCAUUCGAAUUGAAGCCAUGAAACACAACAUCCCUUUCAUCUUCUCUCUAAUGCUUUGAUUAGAAAACUUGCUUACAAACGGGAGACCAUGACACUGAAUCCUGAGACGGCAAUACCAGAGACGACUGAUUUACGCCAACGGCGUGGAAGAAUACCAACCAGUGACUUUCGCUGUCGACCCACAAACAAUCCCAGUGUUUUCUAGCUGCGAAUGAGGUAUGAAUCAGAUUAUUUCCGUGCAUUUCAAUUUUGUCAGCUGACAUUAGGAGAUUUGGUUAAAAAAAAAAGAAUAAUGGGUCUCGAAAAUUUUUUGAGAGUGUUUUUGUUGCUUACAUUAUUUUCCAUCGAUUAAUGUUAGUUGUAGGUGAAUGAUUGUUGCAAAUGCAUGUUCGCUUGUGAUUGAUUGAAAAUGGCUUGUGAUUUGUUAUGCUGCCGUGUGACUGAUUAAAAAUGGCUCUGAAAAUUUUUCAUUUGUUUAAGGUACUGCUGUUGAUUAUUGAACCAGGAUUCAUGCUAGUUUUUGUUAAAUUGAAGAUGAGAUUACUUUUUAAGAGAUCUGCAAAACCUUCUCUACUAUAGAUUUGGCUUCUGGCAUACCUGGUUGGCUGGAGAUAAUUGUUUAUAUAGUCAUUGCUGCCCAUAUUAAUCAGGAAUAUUGAUUAGCAAUGUACUGGAUUAGUGAUUGGUAUAAUUUUGAAAAAUCAGUCGUAGAUGCAACCUGGUUAUGGUCUCAAAUAGUGUGAUCUGUCAAUUCCGUUUGCUCUGGCCUAACAACCUUGAAUCUGAGCUAUGCCACUAUACAAUGUCCUGACCCAAUCAAGCUUGUUAGCCAACAUCCAAAAUUGCAAUGUCUUUAGAUAAGUCCCGUCUUAUUUGUUUGAGUUAUAAUGAAAAUUGCAGUGUCUUUGGAUAAUCACGCUGAUGUUCACGUUAUUGACGAGAGGAACCUCCAGAUUCAAGGCCGGAGCUCCUUGUUGAGAAACUUUGCAUAUAUAGGAUUGUUGCCGAGUGGAGGAUCGAUAUGACUGGUCUUGUUUAGAAUAGGGAUGGAGAUUUUGCAUUAAGGCUUUCUUAACAGAUCAUUCUGCAAAUCAAGGUCCAUGUACAUCUCUUUAAACUCUUUGAUAUGUAUAAAGCAGGUGCAUGCUCUAUAUGUUACUUAUUGUAUCACAAUUAUUUUUCUAUUGCUUAAUAUAAUUGCAGUCCUUGAUGAAGUUGAAGACAACUUAUGGAGGGUAUACAAAGGCUCAAGAGCUUGAUCGCCAUUCAUUUUACACUUGGCUGAGCUACAGCAUACCAACUAGUGAUUAAUAAAGAGAAGGUAUGAAGGUCCUGUUGCUGGUGGUAUUAUCAAUCAGAAUUGUUAUUUUACUUAGUCAUAGUUACCAUGUAUAAGAUUCGUAGACUUUUUGCAUGUUUAUGCAUUCGCAUCAUCUUUUUGUUAAGCUAGAAAUGGUUGAUUUGUGUACUCAUUUGUAUCACUUGUAGCCCUUCAGGAAUAAAAUUUAAAAUUCUGUUGCAUCUCAUGUACUAAAUACUAAUUUUGUUGGCUUUAUGUAUGGGAAAUGGUUCAUUAUCUUAUUUCUUUGAUGCGUAUAGUGUGACAAUGUCUAAAGGUGAAAAGUAUUUAUAUCACUUGUGUAACACUGUCUAAAGUCAAAAAGUGUUUCUAUCACUUGUGUGAAAAACAACCUACUUUUUUUUCACUCUUCUUAUAUUGAAUAAAAGACAGACGCCAAGAUUGAACGAAAUUUGAUGCAGAAAGCAUAGCAAUUAGGCCAGUGCAAAACAACUUCCUUCUGAUUCUCUGAUAUUUGACUUAAAUCUUUUGUCUGUUUCAUUCAUCAAAGUCAUUUUGGAAAGUAGCAGGGGUGAUGUGAUAUUUUCAUUGUAUUCACAUCCCUUGGCACCAAAAACAAACAUGCUGGUACUAACCAACAAUUUUUUAUUUUCAGUAUACAAAUUUUUUUUUUCUAAAUUAGGGGUAUUAAGAAAAGGUAUACUAGCACCAGAGGAGGUAUUUGAGAAUACACAAAUACAAUCUAUCAAAUUGAGAAUACGCCAAAUCUCAGGAGUGGUUUUUGAUAAAUCCUUUUUUUCUUUUUCCUCCAUUCACUAUAGGUUCAAUUUAGGGUGGUUGUUAAGUUAUAUCAUUGUGUAAUAUAGAUCAAUUCAACAGUUGUUAUCAGUAACACAAAAGUAUAACGAACAAAAACUAAUUGUGUGUUACUGAUAGUAACUAUUAAAUUGAUGUAUGUUACAUAAUUAUGUAACUUAACAAGUUCUUCAAUUUAGACACGGUUGACCAAACUGAAGGUUUAGGUUGGUAAACGCACUAGUUUUAAUGUCAACAACCCAAGGGGCUUCAUGGUCCUCUGGGUCGAAAUCGCGUAAUUAUUAAUUCUCCUCCACUGAAAGUCUUUAUCAUCUUGGGACAAAUAAUUACAAAUUGACAUUAUAGCCGUGGAAAUUUGGAGGUGUAAUAACCGGAAAAAUAAAAAUCUCAAGAGACUUUUUAAAUAAAAAAGAUAACACCUUCAAUUUGCUAAAAGUAAUGGUAUCAUUUCUUGUAUGGAUAAUGGAUGAUUAGAUUUUGUUUUUGGUUAUCUGACGAAGGAUAUUCAGUUGUUCUUUAUGUGUUCAUAGGCAAGAGCAUGAGCAUAUGCAUGAUUUGAUAUAUGGUUCUUGCAUUUUCUAAUUAAGUGCUCUUUUUCCUUGCCUUCUUAGUUUUGAAAGAAAGAUGUGAAGCAAAGCAAACCCAGUGAAAUGUACAGAGAAACAGAACCAUCAGAGGAAAAACUAAAUAACAGAACUACAAUUGAACCAAACAAAAUCAAAUAAACGGACGCAACAGAUGCCCUGAACCUAGUAAUUACUCAAGAGUUGAGGAGUUGGAAUGAUUUGGUAUUCAUAUCUUCACAAAUCAUAUGCUUUAAUGCAGAAUCGACAGCUUUAUAUUAUUUUAUUCAAAAAACGAUAAAGCAGGAAAACCACAAUAAUCCACCAACUUUUGAUACUUGUAGGAAUUUUUUUUAGUCAAAUUAAGUUUCAUGAUGAAACAAGUGGCUCGUCCACACACUUGCACUUGCUUGAAUAUUUGUGCCGACAUUUUCAUAUGUGAUGGUACUUCUUAGCCAGUAGAUAUGUUGAAGUACUACAAAACAGAGUAUUUGAUGAAGUUUUGCUACAUUCGUAUCCCCUUUUUUUGUUGCAUAACUAAAUUCUUUAUAAACACAAAUUAGAAAGAUACAAAUAAUACAGUAGCUUGAAUUUAUAUGCUUUUAUGGUUAUUUGAUAAUCUAGUGCUGAUCAUAUGUGAUGAUAAACUUAGCUAGUAGUUUUAUAUUUGUUUUCGCAGUUUCCUUAGCGUUCACAUUUUGAUGAGUAAAUUAAGGAUUUCCAGAUGAAGUACAUAAUUAGAUGAAUGCUAAGGAACUGAAGUUUGAUUAAUUGAAAACAAAAAUAAUAAUGAACGUAAUUACGAAAAUGAACAAUGCAGAAGUAGUCCCUAUAGUAUUUCUAAAUUUUCUCUUGGGAUUUCUUAGUAUUCCUCAAUAUUUUAAAAAAAUGACAUGACGAUCUUUGAGUUGACAAAUCUUGGCCUGCUGCUUAGUACCCUUCCAACAUAUAAAGUACUAGAUGUUUUACUGAGAAAAUGACAAGAUCAUUUAUCAAAUUUCUUGCGCAUAUAUACGUAUGUAUAAGAGAAAUGAGAAUCAGUGAUUAUAAGACCUUGCAAUGAGACAAUAAUACAUCAUCAAAUCUAAAAAUACACAAGAAAUUCGGGACAUAUAUAUAACAAAAGACCUCUCAUUGAGUCAUACAUAUUGAGAAUGAAAUGUCAAAAUGCAGACAAAGAGCUUAUACAGAAAAUGAAUAAACUGUCUUUGAACUUCUGAUGGUCAAACAAAGGAAACAGGCAGGAUAUAACACACACUAUCAUAGAUGUAGCGACACGAUGAAGUAAAUCACAUGAAGAUGGAAAGGGGAACCCCUCACAGCAUAAAAUUUGAAUAGAGAGGGGAAAAAGGCUUCAUUUCAAAUGUUGCACAGAAGCAGAGUGACUUGAAUCUCCAUCAGUAUCCAGACAUUCUGCAAACACAGUGCUGAGAAUUUUAACAAGAAUAACAGACAAAAUAUUGUGCUUCUAUACUUGUCACAAAACUAGACCAAAUUAGUCCCCUUUUUGGUUUGUGAAAACUUGAUAUUUUUGAAAAUUCUAUCCAAUGCUUUCAAACAAUAUUUCCAUAAUAUAGUUGUUCAUAGCUAACCUUUGAUGGUGUAAGGAUUUGUUGUAGGCAUAAUGGGCUAAUUAUAUAUAUAUAUAUAUAUUUUACCCCCUGAAUGAUAUUCAGCUUCUUAAUUAUGUGUUCAUAGGCAAGAGCAUUUUCUUAAGUACUUUCGUUGCCUUCCAAGUUUCCAAUGAACAAACAGAGCACAAACAAAUUUAACGGAACAGUAACGAUGACAAUAAAUAAUUGGCAAGGAAAGAAAGAAAAAAGUUUGCAUGAUUUCAAGGAAUUAUAAAAUCUGAACUCUUUCAACAUGCAAGUGUUGCCCCUUUUGAUGAAAUUUCAUCAUAAAAUGCUUGCAAAGAAUUAUAAAAUUUUAGAGAACAAGCGAACUCUCAAACAAAAUACUCAAAUUAAAUUAAAUUAGACCAAAAGACACUCAAUGACGCAAAAUCUGCCAUUCUAAAUAAUUGAGAUGAAAUUGUGAAACAACCCACGAGAUCAAAUAAAUAAAAUAAGAAUUAAUUACCAGCUUUGACUUUCUUCUCCAAAUUCGCAACUCGAAGACAUAAGAAGCCAAUGAAAUUAGUCGUAACCCAUAAAGUACGACGACGACCCCGCCAAUAGCUGAAAAUAAAAUACUUAUUCAUCAAUUUAAACUAACUUUAUAACAAAUAUCUUAUCGAUAUUUUAUUUAAAAAAAGCAAAUUUGUAGAAUUUUUCCAUGGGAGAUAGAGAGUAAUAUGUAUAUCCGGACCUUUUUAGUAUGUAAUUGUUGUAUGGUUGUGUUAAGAUCAUUAUUUGCCCAACGCCGUUGAUCCUCUGACUCUCCAUACGAGACGUUUACUCUCGGAGGCGUGUUUGAUUCUCCUGAAGUGAAAGUCUUCAUCUUGGGACAACCAAUCACUUCCAGAUAUUCCAGAGAUGGGAAUUUGAAGGUGUAAUUGGCAGAGCAGAAACUUGUGAGACUGUCUAAAUCACACAGAAUCAACGCCUUCAAUUUGCUGAAAACAAUCUCUUCUAUGUCAACUCCUUCUUUGUCAUUUAUUACCACCUCUGUCAUUGCUCUGCAUCCAUAUACUUGCACUGUUACGAGUCGCACCAGAGUUUUUGCUGUGGAGGAUGUUACUAAGUGUAUCAAUUCCUUGCAACCGACAGCUACCAGUUUUGCUAGGUUCCGAAAAGAUACCGAUGAUGAUGGCAAUAGACUUAACAGAUUUUGACAAUGAUAUACUUUUAGAAUUUCAAGAUAUUGAAAAAUGGAGUCAAGUUUGGAGUCUUGUUUACAUAGCUGCUUCAGAUGAUUAAGGUGGCCCAGCUCUAUACAUUUUAUCAUUGCCAACUUCCUCAAACGGUUCUCUAAGCAUCCUUCCGUUGAAAAUACCUCUUCGUAUGAACAAUGAUACAGUAAGAGUAAUUCGAGAUUGUGAAAUCUCUCAAGUACAUUCCUGAUUGGAAAACAAGCCGAGUCAUCAUAAGUUAUGUCUAGUUUUUUAAGACUGCCAAAAAGGUGUUGUGGGAAAUCGGCGUCCAAAAUCAUCUUCACAUCUUUUCCGCUUAACGCCAGUGACUCCAAGUUGGGUAAGAUCUGAUCAUCGUCAAUCACGUAGUAACUAAUCAGGUCAGUUGAUGUUCUCUCCAAUAAUUUUACCUUAGAGUACUUGUUGUAGAUUAUAUAUAUUUUACCAAAAAAAAAAAAGAAAAGAAAGGAAAAAUUGAAUUAGUGAUAAAAUUCAUUCUAGGAUUUUUGUAUGUUAAUUUGAGAGAUAAGAGAGAAAUUAGAAAAAAAAAGGAUGAUUUAUACUGGCAUAAAAAUAUUUUAUUGCACAAUAAUAAAUUAUUAAUUUAUAUUGUAAGUGAUUAUAUAUGAGAAAACUGAGGAUUCUUUUUUAAUGCUAUACCUAAAAUAAUUCAUCUAACUAUUAAUUUAGUACAUUGAUCCCUUAGGCCAGACUAGCAAAAAUAUUAAUUUUGUAAUAAAAGUUUUCAAUUUAUUGAGUAUUAAUUUAUUGAUGUUUAGUUAUAUUUUACAAAGUCAAAAGUCGCUAAUGAUCUAAUUGAUAAGAAAUCUAGAAAGCGGCUUCAUACCUUUUUGAACAAGAAUAGGGGCCGUUGUGCAGGAAUACCAAGUUGAUCAUCCUCAUUAUUUUGUGAUGAAUCUGCAGCGAAUGUCUUCAAUUUGUCACAACCAGACACCACUAAAAUUUUUAGUGCAGGCCAUUCCGAAGUAUGCAUUCCAUGGUAUAAACAUUUAAGUUCCGGUAGCUCUUGGAGUAUAAGAGUGGUCACCCGUUGAAAGACAAAAUGAGGGGUCACAUGAUCUACUCUGUCUUCCGAAAUGAUCUCUUGCAAACCCCUACAAUUCACUAUCUCUACUUGUUGGAGAUGCUCAAAGCUUUGAAUCAUAGAAACUAAAAAUAUGUAUUUUAAUUUGUUACAGUGGCACACAAUCAAUCGUGUUAAACUUUGAAAGCGAGGAAGCAUGACCGGACGAUGAUUGUAAUGCCAAAUCUUGUCGACAUUAAUUUCAGAUAUCUCCAAAGCCUCCAAAUUAGGCAACCCUACCUAAAAAAAUAUUAAUUUCUUGUUAGAUCCAACACCCAUAUGAGAAGGACUUAUUGAAAUUUUCUUCUUUGAUUACAGAUUAAUAAUUCAAGUCAAAAUCAAUUUCCAACUGACAGCUGAGUAUGCAUUCUAAUUCGUAUUACUUGUUAAGAGCUCAAUUAGUGAGUGCGUGAGAUUCUUUUUAUCCUUUUUUUUUCACUUUCUUUCAAUUCUUUAAAUGAUUUAAUUAUUUUCCACGUAUGACAUCAAAAGAGAAUGCACAAUAGCAUAAAGAAAGUGUUAGCCUACGCACCUUGCCGUUGAAAAGCAGUGUUUCCAAAUUGAUUUCGUUGGAGCAAGAACUUGUCAAUUCCUCUUGCAGCCCUUGUCUGUUUGGUGAUGCUGAAGGAGUCUUCAAAUUACGGAAAAAAGUUGUAACCUCUGGAAGAUUUCCCAAACUCAAAGAUCUUAAUUGAGCCAACUCUAUCUUCUCAGCAGCAUUAUUGUUGUCAACAUCAGCAUCUCCCCCAGUAGCAAAAAUCUCUUUCAUCUUGCUGCAAUUAAUAACUGCAAUUCUCUCAAGUCUUGGAAGGCAUUUUGCAGUGGAGAGCCAGAAGAUAUUACUCAACUCAUUACAAUUUUCUACUUUUAUUGUUUUGAGUUUAUUGAAAGACUCUACUUUGAGUCGAUCAAUGCAUAUCCUCUCCAUGUUGAUCAAAUUGUGAAGAGUCAGUGACUCCAAAAGAGGAAAGGCAUCACAAGCUACCAUCUCCAUUGAGUCGACAAUACAAAAGAAGUCAGGAUUAUUUUGAACCCAGAGAAGCUUCAAUUGUGGAAAGCCCUUUGUGUCCAAAUCGAAAAGAACAUUUUUGACACCUUGUAGCUUGUCCAACCAUACGUAUUCAACGUUAUUGAUGGCCUGCAAUUUCAUGGAGCAAAUGUCCGUAAAAUCAGGCUUGAGCUUCAAUUCUCUUAAACGCUCAUGAUUAUGGUUGAUCAAAAAGUGCGACCGACUGCGAAACCAAUCUUUUGUAACAGGCAAGGAAGCCAUGAAUGACUCAUUUCCAAUAGAUAUUUUGAACCUUUCGAGCUUUCUGGCCAAAAAGCCUUCCUGUAAAAUACUGUCAUUUUUAACAUCAAUUUCUAGAGUGGUUAGCCAAGGUAAAAGCAUCAAUUCAUCAAGGCUUGCAUUACUUCUUUCAGUGUUGGCUCUUUCAACCUCCCAUUCAACGGAGCAAUUACCCAUACACAAUUCUUCUAAUCGGAUUAAGCUCGAUAUGACAUUUGGGGCAAUAACUUUUAGAUGGAAACAGUCUCUUAAAUCUAACAGCCUUAGCUUAGUCACUUGCCCUAGUGCUUUUGGUAACUCUACAAUAUCAGACCACACAAAGCUAAGGAUUUCUAGAUUUUCCAACUUUCCAAUAAUGGCUAUGUCCAUGUCUCCCAAAAUGCUUUGAUCAAGACAAAGCGUCGGAAGAUUUACUAGAAGAUCAAUUGAAGAUGGCAAUGACAAUAACCGCAUUCUAGUCAAAUCCAAAACCCGAAGCUUUUUUGUCCUUUCGAAGAAGUUCUCAGGAACAUUAGGCGCAACAAAAGAGUUCUUGGGAGACAUGAAUAAAAAUUCCAAGUUGUGGAGAUUCCAACACUUCGGGAAUGUCAUUAAUAAUACUAUCUUUAAAAAAAUUGCAGGAUAUUUUUUUAAUGCAUCUGCAUCUGGCCAUUUCCACACAUCCUCAUUUCUCACCGCAAAUGCAAUUUUGUCACGACGUGCAAUUGAAAUGGCAACAUCGCGAACAACAUCAUGCAUGGAAAAGAAUUUACUGCCACCAUCCUCAAGCAACAAACAAGAGUCUCUUAGUUGAUGGACCCAUGCAUGUAAUUUGUUAUGUGCAUCUUCUAGCUUAUAGACACUUUCAAAUGCACCCAAGCCCACGCUAUAUUUGAACAAGUCCAUAAUUGAAGUUGGUGUAAUUAGACUACACAGUAAAAAAGUUUUCUUGAGUUGCUCACCUCUUAAAUACUUGUAACUUAGCUCAAUUGUUGAGUAUGCCUCUACUGGUACUCCUUCAUCGAAGCUUGCCUCUGAAGGCGUUUGGAGUUCUUGUAAGACGUUCUUCCACACAGGCAGCUCUUUGUUUCUCAGUGCCUUUGCUACUGUGGUUAGGGCAAUAGGCAAACCUCCACAUGCCUUGGCUACAUUUGUUGCUGUAGAUUUUAACUCACGAUUUUCAACAUAAUUACCAGCCAUUAUCUUGAACAACCUCCAAGCUUCUUGCUCAUUUAGAAUGCCAAUCAAGAAGUUUUUUUCAGAUCCCAUACUUAACAAAACAUUACGAUCCCUUGAUGUUAAUAAUAACUUGCAUCCUCUAUGAUCAACGCCAAAAGGAAUUCCGACAGUCUCUAAAUCAAGAUAUUUCCAGAUGUUAUCCAGAAUCACAAGGAUCAUCUUCUCUUUCUUCAAUCGUUCAUAAAGUCUACUAGCUCUUCUAGAUUCAGCCUCCUCGGACAACUCCAGACCUAGUUUCUCUGCAAUUUCCCCUUGAAUCUUUUUUAUGUCUGGAGUUUGGGAAACCUCUGAAAAAACCACCUGAUCAAAGAGUUUCUCUUCACUGGCUUGCCUUGCAAACUCCUUCACCAGUGUUGUCUUUCCAAUGCCGCCCUUUCCGUAUACCCCAACGAUGCUGACAUUGACAUCAGUCAAUGCAUCUUGUAUAGACUUCAGAGUAGAAAGUCUUAAUUUAAAGGCCUCGUAACCUUUGUUAGACUUUAGCCAUACCUCCUCCGCAAUGGUACGGUAGAAAAUUCUAUCAUCAAAUCUCCUAGCUUCUUCUUUGAGUUCAACAAGGGCCUUCACCUCUGUUUCUGCUUUCUUGCUAAGCUGAUAGCGGGUCUUCAAAUUAGGACACAAGCCCUUGAAACAUCGCUUACUUGUUGUCUCCCCAUCUUCAAUGAAUUUGGCUGCCUGCUCAAUGGUGUUGUUCGCACUAACCAGCCAGUUCUCAACCUUCUCUUCAAUCUUUUCUCCUUUUCUUUCAGCCUCAGAAACUCUGUGCUGAAUGCUCUUACUUUCAUCCUUGAGCUUGUCUAUUUCUGCCUUGAGAUUCUCAAAGUUGGCUUUAUAGUUUCGCAAAUAACCAAGUUGGCGUUCUGUUGGAGGAGCGAAGCAUUUCACAACUUCUAACAGAACAGUAACAAUGCUUUCCACCAUCUUCGAUCCUCUUUUUUUCAAAGUUCCGAAAUGAAAAUAAACGACGAGCGAAAAACAGAGAGAAAGAGGGGCAAAAAAAAAAAAAAAAAAAAAAAAAAAAAAAAAGAAAAUGAAACAACAAAGAUGACAAGUGUAUCUGUUUGUGGAAGCGGAGAAAUCAAAGAAAGCUUAAAAACUGUUGUGAAUCUGGUGAGAAGAUGGAAACAAGGAAAAGGUUUCUAGUUCAAAACUGAUUGAAUUGAUAUAAGGAAUGAUUUAGAUAAUAGAGGAAAAUUGAAUCAGUCAAAAUAACUUAAGUAUUGACCAGAAGAAAGAUGCAAACAAUAUUAGAGACAACAACCGCGCUAUUGACUGGUAAUAGAGAUGGAGAAAAAGAAAAUAUCUUCACACGGUGGAAGUACAAAGGGUAGAUAUGGAACCAAACAGAGACAACAACAGGCCACAACUAGAUUGGGAAUGGAGAGAAACAAAUUAACAAAGACUGGAGAUUACAACAGAACAGAUGCCAAGAGAAAAGGGUUUCUUCAUCCAGUGAAAUUCAAGAGAGUUGACAGCAAAAGGGAGCACAUGUGUUUCUUGAUUGAGAACGAGUGCAAAGGAUGACUUUUUAAUGAGGUUCUGAAGCUGACGAAUAACGAUUUGCUAAAAUUUUGAGAAAGUUAUAUAUUCCGUAACUUCAACAAGUGAAGAAUAAAAGAAUAAUAGUUCGUCAUCUUCACAAUGAAGAUCAUGGACGAGAUUAAAAGCUAAAACUAGUCCAUUUGAAAAGCCAAAGUUCAAGUUCCUUGGCUAAGUUCAGAAGUGAAGCAAAGAAUAAAUAAAUAAAGAUCAAGGGAUGGGAAUAAAGUCACCCCCAGACAGUUGCAGAAAGAUUAUUAUUUGGUAAGCGUAGUUGAUUAUUAGUACAAAACAGAGUAGGUGAAACACAUCCUUUCUAUUUAGACUGAUCAGCAUCUAAAAUUUUAUGAAUUAUGAGUUGCAUUUUAUUUUGUACAUUCUGUUAACACAUUUUAAUUUAGCCAAUUUUGCAAUAAAUGUUAUUGAUGUAUUAAAUUGCAACAACAAAACACAAUUAUUGGUUUUAAAGAAUGAAAAAAAAAAUACAAAAAUAGAAAAUGAAUUGAAUUCCACUCAUCGUCAUCUUGGCAAAUCAAGUCAAAAAAUAAAAAUCCAUAUGCUUUUGUUAAAGUUAAAAGCUACAUAAAUAAUAUCACAGAAGCUUCUGCUAAGGUUCAUGUGAAGUCACAGCUUUGAUACUUGUAAUACAAGGAGCACGGAGAAACCAUAAACUUCAGUUUAGGUAUAUACAUUGCUUGUCUUUCAAACUUGAAUUGAUAAGGGGGAAAAAAAUAAUACUAAAGCAAACAGAAGGAUCAUUUAGUUGACAAAAUUAUUAUUAUUUUGAAAUUCGGGUCAUUCAGUUACUUUCAUUUCAGUUUCACUUCUGAUUCAAUUUAACCAGUUAACGUUGACAAAAAUAAAAUGCAAAUAUAAGGCUAAGGCUGCUAAUUUGAUGAACUAAUUGUCUCAGGAACCAAAGCAUCUAUAAGCAUGCAUGGGUGGCAACACCAUAAUUACUCAAGACUGGAGGAGUAAAAAGAUUGGUGAUGAUAAACAUUAAAUUUUAGGAAAAUCAUUCACAAAUAUGCUUUUAUAAAAGUUUUGUUGGUAAAGUUCGAGAAAUGCAUACAUGUCAAAUUUCCAUUUCUUGUGAGCAUUUCACCAAAUAGCUGAUAUGCAUUAAUAACUCCUAUCCUAUACUAUUGGCCAGUAGGUUGUUGCUGCUUCCCCAUUUUUAAUGAUGCGAACGUCUCAUACUUAGAAAUAAGGGCGGAGCCUGGAGAUUGAUUUAUAAGAUAAUCUUUUGAAUAAAAAUAAAAACAAUUACAGAUUUCAAAUGUGAGAAAAAUAAAAUUGCGUUAUAAAAUUAAUCCCACUAAGAAAGUCGUCUACGAAAUUGCCACAUUAAAAGAAAAUUUUUCCAUAAAUUAAAAUAAAAUUAAAUGAAAACUAUUUUUCAGUAAAGUCAAUUGCCCACGCUAGGCUAAGGCGUUUGUUUAUUUGUUUGUUUGUUUUUAUAAUCUGAAUAGGUAUAAAUUUUUUGUAAGCAUGAAUGAGCUGAGUACAAAUAUAUGAAUGAUAUAUUUAUUUUUCUUUUUCUUAAUACCCAAAUAUAAGUGACAUCUUAUUUAUCUUAAAUAUGGUUAUUUGAUAUUUAUAUUUUUACAAAUAAAAACAAAAAAAAGUAGUUAGAUUUUAUAGUUUAAGAAAUAAAUAUAUUUUAUAAAAAUAUUUUUAGAAUAUAUAUUUAAUUCUUAUUUAGACUUUUUCCUAUUCAAUAAAAGUCACAAAAGUUACUUUUUCUAUUCAAAUGUAAAUGCUUAAAAAUCAGAUAUAAGUCACAAAAAAAAUAAAUUUUAGAAAAAGUCAUAAAUUAAUAAAAUUUCAUAUAUUUAACUCCCAAUGCAGAUCCGCCCCUAUCAGUGUUAGGAAAUUGACUGGUGAAGUAGGUUCACAGCUAAAAUGAAAUUGGAAGAAAAUGAAGAACAAGCACAUAGAGGACACCAAAAAUUACAUGGUUCGACUUUUAGCCUACGUCUACGGGUAAAGACAAAAGGAUGAAACUUUACUGGUGAAAUGAGGAUUACUAGUAUUAUAAUAUUUUGUUUCACUUCCCAGAACCCCAAUCCACUCAAUCUCUUAAAACACUAAUCACUCAAGAGCAUUAAAACUCUUAGUCUCUCACUCUAGAAUUGAAGAAGAAAAGAAUGAAAUGCAGGGGUGAACCCCUCAUUUAUAGUUAAAAAUUUGGGCACUAUUUAUAUUUUUAUACAUUUUUUUUAAAUUAAAAGUUUGAACUUGACAUUCAAACUUUGAAUAUCAAAAGGUAUUGGUCACUCUUCUAGAAAAGUGACAUUGACUUUGACAUUCUCCCACUUAGAAAUUUGAUUGAGAAUCAAUCAAUCUCCACACCAUCCUUUCUGCUUCGUCGCUAUCAUGUUGCUUAUGUCUCUACUAGGCCAUAAAAUGAUAUACUCCAAACAAAUUUAUCAGCAUUGAUAGGCUUGGGCAAAACAUUUGUUAAGUUCUCCUUGGUAUCCACUCUUGUAUCUUUCACUACUUCACGAAGAAGUGAUAUUGUACUCCUAUAUUCUUUGUCCUGAAAUAAAAGGUUGGAUUCCUUGCAUUCUAACUAUCACAAACCAUAAAAAAAUUUAUGCCCAAGCUCCUUCAGUAACCUUUGUAUCCAAAUAGCCCUUCCAAGCUUGUGUAGCUGCUAUGUAAUCUGCUUCUGUUGUUGAUAAAGCCACAAUGGUUUGCAAUUUUGAAAUCCAACUAACAAUUUCGCCUUCUGGUGUAAAUACUUAGCCAGUAGUGGGUUUCCUUUUAUUAAGAUUUUCUGCAAAAUCUGAAUGCACAAAGCCCUUGACAGUAAAUUCUAAUCCUUCGCAGCAUAAUGCAACAUCUGAUGUUCCUCUGAUAUUUCUCAGAAUCCUCUUAAUAGUCUUCCAAUGUUCUUUGCAAGGAUUCGCUAUGUAUCGACUAACUGCUCCCACUACUUGUACAAAUCAUAGCAAACCUUAAAUUUUCCACUGCUGAUGCAUACAGUACUCAAGACAUCUCUUCUUCUCUACUUCAUUACUAGAUGAAUACUUAAGAAUAACUUGAAAUUAAUAGGAAGCGGGGUAGAAAGCCAAAUCUUCUUGCUAUUACUAUCUCGGUGAAUUUGCAUCCCUAAAAUCUUGUUUGCUGGUUCUAAGUCUUUUAUUUCAAACUCCCUAGUUAACUGUGCCUUCAGUUCUUGGACUCGAUCUUUGUUGGGGCUUGCUACCAAUAUGUCAUCCACAUACCACAGUAGAAUGAUGAAAUCAUUAUUAUCAAACUUGUUGUAAUAUGUACAACAGUAUGAAAUGAUUCUAUUGUAUCCAAGGUUUAUGAUGAAAGGAUCAAUUCUUUUAUAUCAACAUCUCGGUGCAUGUUUGAGAUCGUAUAGAGAUUUGUUCAACUUGCAAACCAAGUGUCCCUUUUUAGUAAAACCUUCUAGUUAGAGCAUAUAAAUCUUUCCUUCAAGUUCUCCAUGAAGAAAUGAAAAUUUCACAUCUAACUGCUCCAAAUAUAGGUCAAAUGUAGCACACAUCGACAAGACCACUCUGACUGUCCUGGGUCAAAUCAUUGGAGAAAAUAUCUCAUUGACGUUAAUACAUUCUUUCACCACCAAUCUUUCACGAUAUCGCUCCACUAGGUUAUUACCAUCACGUUUGAUCUUGUGAACCCAUUUGCAACCAAUGGUUUUUUUUUAUAUGGUAGUAGUACGAGUUCCUAUGUCAUAAUCUUGUGUAGAGCCUUAAUUUCUUCCUGCAUUGCUAUCAUUCACAAAGUAACAUCUGAGCUGUUUAAAAUUUCAUAGAAAGUUGAUGGCUUUCCAUUCUCUAUUAAAAGACAGUAUGCAAAAUUGAUAUAUGUGACAUAAUCCAAAUGCCACACAUACAUUUAUCUAUCACGAGUUGACCAACAAACUUUUGGGGCCUCAGACUUGAUUGGUUCUUGUUCUCAUACUUUGGAUGAUGCUUCAAAAAAAUCUGAAUCUUCAUUUUCCAGAUUAUUUUCAACAUAUAUUAGCACAAUCUCUAAAUUUUAAUAGUGCUAUCAUCCAUAUCUCUCUUUUGCAUUUGAUCUUCUACAAAGACAAUAUCUCUGCUAAUAACGAUCUUGUGGGCAUUGAGGUCCCACAGAUAAUACCCUUUCACUCCAUCAAUAGAUUCUAAGAAGAUACAUCUCUUGGAUUUUGGAUCCAUCUUUAAUCUCACUUGGGUAUCGUAUAUCACGUAAAAGGACAUCAAAAUGCCUGAGAUGAGAGUAAUCAGUUGGCUUUCCUGUCCAUUUUUCCAUUGGAAUCUUCAACCCGAUUGCCUUGAAUGAUGACCCACUUACCACAUAAUAAGUAGUUUUUGCUACUUCCGCCUAGAAUGAGUUGGUAGACCAGCAGUUCUCAACAUAACUCUUAUUUUUUCUAUAAGAGUCAUGUUCUUUCACUCUACUACUCUAUUUUAUUGAGGAGUGUAUGCCACUGUGAACUAUCUCUAGAUACUUUCUUACUUACAUAUGCAAGAAACAUGCUAUAUGUAUACUCUCCACCAUUGUCUGUCCUCAGGCACUUGAUCCCUUGCCCUGAUUUAAGUUCAAUCUAUUCUUUGAAUUCUUUGAACAAUGGAAAUACAUUUGACCUUUUCUUGAUUGGAUACACUAAAUAUCUCCUAGAAUAAUCAUCAAUAAAAGUCACCAAAUACUUUGCACCUCCCAUAGAUAUAUCAAUUGAUUCCCAAACAUUAGAAUGAAUCAAGUCUAAAAUACAUUUACUUUUGAAAGUGGAUUUGCUAAACUUUCAUCUAUGUUGCUUCCUUGUUUCGACAUGUGGCCAAGUUUAAGAUGCCACAUCAUCGCUGAAUUUUCUCUAUUUGAUGUGACACACACAAAAGCUUUCUGUAGUGUUUCCAUUUAAGCAUGAAUAGAUUAGCACCGAUCUUUUCCACCUUCAUUAAUGCAAGUGUGCCUUUGACUAUCUUUAUGAUCCCAUUUUCUACAUGAGUUUUGUGCACAAGGCUAUCUAUUUGUCCUAAAGACAAGAGAUAUUUUUCAAGUCUUUGACAUGUCUUACCUUCUCAAUUGUGCGAACCAUACCAUUAAACAUAUUUAUUUUGACAGUACCAAUAUCAAUGAUCUCAAAGGCAUGAUUAUCACCUAUGUAUACAGAUUCUCUUGAAAUAGGUUCAUAUUUGUGAAAUCAUUCUCUUGGAGAGAUCAUGUGCCAAACAACUAUUAAGUCUAUAAGCCAGACGUCGUAUAGUGGUUUUCUGCCUUCUGAAGCAGUUGUUGCCUUACUGUAGAGAAUUUUGCUAUCAUACGAGGUACUUACUACAUACCCUUGAGCAUUUGAUGACUCGGGAUCUUUACCCUCUCUUCUCUUCUAGUUGUUCCAAUACUCUUCCUUGACAUGCUCUUUCUUGCCACAGUUGUUGCAUUUAACAUUCUUCUUACUUCUUGAUUUCGAUCUACUGUGAUUGUGGCUCUCACUAGGGCCACGUUCCAUGGAUCUUCCUUUCAUCAUCAAUAGCGCUUCUACUUGCUGCGAACUUGUCUGUCUAUCUUUUUUAUUUUUUGCUACUCUCCUCAUUUAAUACGGAGGCUGCCAUAUUGUCAAAGACUAACUUGUUUGCUCGAUUGUUAUUAGUUAGAUUAAUGACGAAUUAAUCAUACGAAUCUGGUAAACCUUGAAGUAAAAGCUCUACAUGAUCAUUUUCCUCUAUUUUAUGACCCAACGUUGUAAGUUAUGAAAAUAAAGUCUUUAAAGUGUUGAUAUGGUCGAUCACUGAUGUAGAUUCCGUCAUUCGAAGAGUAUAAAGCCUCCUCUUUAAAAAGAUUUUAUUUUGUAGUGAUUUGACCUCGUAUAGUCUUGUGAGAGUAAACCAUAUUUCCUUUGCUCUCUUUUACUCUACCACAUUGAAUAAUACCUUAUUUGAAAGUGGUAUGUGUAGAUUUGCAAUGGCAUUAUUGUCUAUCUCAUUCCACUUGUCAUCAUCAGUUAUCUUUGUGAGCCUCUCUUCAAUUGUUGCCAAGCAAUUACUCUUCCUCAAUACAACCUUCAUCUUCAUUUUUCAUGACGAAAAAUUAUUUUUGUUGAACUUCUCAAUUUUGUAUUUUUCCGCCAUCACUGUUCACCACGAGCUACCUUUGCUAAGAUCGAUUCCUACCAUUUCACAUGAGCAGUAACUGUAUAUAUGAAUAAAGUGUUGUAUACAGAAACAAUAUCAUAUACAUGAACAGUACAAUAUAUGUAAACAGUAUCUUGACCCCAAAAAAUACAACCCGAAAAUUAAUUUGUGAAGUAGGGCCGCGACUAAAAUGAAAUUGGAAGAAAAUGAAGAGCAAGCACACUGAGGACACCAGCAAGCACACUGAGGACACCAUAAAUUAUUUGGUUCGACUUUUAACUUAUGCCCAUAGGUAAGGACAAAAGGAUAAAACUUUACUAGUGAAAUGAGGAUUAUAAGUAUUUUAGUAUUUUGUUUCACUUCUCAAAACCUUAAUACACCCAAUCUCUCCAAACACUAGUCACUCAAGAGUAUAAAACUCUUACUCUCUCAUUAUAGAACUAAAGAAGAAAAGAAUGGAAUGAGUGAAAUGAGGGGGUGAACCCCUCUAUUUAUAGCUAAAAAUUUGGGCACUUUUUAUAUUUAUUAUUAUUAUUAUUUCAAAAUUUAAAGUUUGAACUUGAUAUUCAAACUUUGAAUAUCAAAAGAUACGAGUUGUUCUUCUAGAAGAACGGCACCAACCUUGACUCUUAGGCAGACCUUUAGAGCUUUAAAUAAAGAAAAAGCUUUUAAAAAUGCCAUGUGUACUUGAUUAUACAAUAAUCUCCACCACAUAGAAUGAUUUGAUAAAAGAAAUUUUUUAUUUUUAAUUUUACUUUUAUCAGGCACGGUGCAUUUCCCCUUGGGCUCAUAUGUAAGGAUGUCAAUAAGAUGGGAAGGAGAGAGGAUUGAUUUCCCCAUACUCAUCUUUAAUACUCUGUCUAUCUCUUUGUACUCUAGACAUUUCCUUCAAAAUUACUUGAAACGAGGGGAUGGAUGUUUCUAAAUAAUACAAAGGGAUCUCUUAUGGCAUCCGAUCUCUGAUUAUUUAAUUUCUUUUUUUUCUUAAUUUAAUCAUCUUAAAGUAAAAAUAUAAAAUCAUAUUAACACAAAAAAUAUCAAAUUAACUAAAGUGAUUAAAAUCAUUUCCAUCAAAUUAAGUCAAUGCCAUCAAAUUAGAAGAUAAUCUUUGAACUAAUUAAGCAAAAGUAAAUCUUCAAAGUUAAACUCAUCCAUAAAUGUCAUAUAGUAUAAACCAUCAAUUAAAUUAUCUUUGUCAAUUUUAAAGUGUUUAUAUUUACUUUAUAUUGGCUGUUAUUUAUAUUAUUUUUAUAAAUGUAUUAUGAUAUUUUUUAUUUACAUCACACUAUUGCAAUUGAAAUUUUAAAUGUAUUUACUAUAAAUUUGAAAAAAAAAUGAAUUAAAAAUAAAAACUAAAGAUAAAAAUAGAAAAAUGUGGAGCCAAAUAAAAUAUUAGGGCAAACACUAAGUUAUAUUUCAUGUAACUUACACCCACACAUAUUAAUUUAUCACAGUCUUGUCUCCACAUAGAAAAAUUAGAUCUAAGAUUAUCAAACUCCCGAAUGAGGAAGAUCCCUCGGGGCCAUCGUCCCUGUGGAAAUUUCUGCAUCCCUGCAGUCUACAACGCCUAAUAAUGAAUUGAACGGUUGAAAUCCCUCUAAAUUUUUGAUAAUUUCUAAUCGCCCCUCCAUAUUUGAUUGAACAUCAAAACUAUUGAGUCCAAAUUUAUAACUUUGAUUUAUCUUCCAUUCCAUAGUUUUCAAGUUCUCUCUCUCUCUCUCUUUUAAUCCUUUUUACUGCAACCACCAUCAAAGCCUAGUAGUUAAUAUGUAUGCUGCUUUGCUUUCAAAAUCGGACACUACUGGUAUUUAUGGUUUUUAUUCUUUAUUUGACACAAAAUUUGGCGAUAUCUCCGCGGAAAAACACUACUGGUGUAUUCAAUUUUAUCCGGUAAUGAUUAAAUUGAUUAUUACAUGAACCGUAACUUCGCCAAGCCCAAAAUACAUAUUAAGUUAUAAAGCGUGGCACUCAUUAUUUUUCGCAAAAAGUUUCGCCCAAAAUACAUAUAUUUUUUUAAUUUUUUCUGUGAAAAAAACUACUGUUAUAUUCAAUUUUAUCAUUAAAGUUGUUAGUUACAUGAACCUUAAAUUAACACAAACCGUAACUUAGCCAAGCCCAUAAUACAUAUUUCAUAUUUGUAUGAAAUUUAAAGUUUUUCCACUUAUUAUUUUUCGCUAAAAGUUUCUAAAUUGUAUUGUAGUUUGAACUUGCCCAUCAUUCAAUUUUUUAACUCCACAAUUAUUUGACCUUACCAAGCUUGAAAAUAUCCUUCCAUACAUUUUUAAUUUUCUCCAAGUAUGAUGAAGAUUUAAUCAAGAGCCUCCGGGAUCUUAAAGUGCAAGAAAGGUCCGGAAAAUUUUUAAAACCCCACUGUUUAAAGUUUUUUUGGACUUUCUUGCACUUUAAAAUCUUGAAUUGAUAUAUAUAUAUAUAAUCAUUAUUAGGUGCUAGUGUUCUCUUUUUUUUUUUAAUGCAAACACCCUUUUAAGCCGUAGGGUUUAAUAACAUUAAAAACUAACUUUCAACUAGCUCUCUUAAAUUGUACGGCUUAAAAGCAUGUUAGUAUGAAAAAAUGAACACGUCUGUACCAAAAAAGGACUAUAUAUACUAUUUAUUUUAUAUAUACAUACGUGCGCGCGCUCGCAUAUAUAUAUAUAUAUAUAUAUCAUUUUAAUAUAUUCCAUUACUUUAAUAAUCAAUUUAAAAUAGUUUGUGAUAUUUUCAGCUAUUUAUUUAUCUACUUUUAGUUAGUUAUUUACACCGAAUGAAGUGAUAGGGUCCAAAUUUUAGUAUCCUUCUCAAUUGUUUGGGGUUAGUAAAUACUAAUUAGCUUAUUCGUCCCGCACAGCCGCGUAAAUGCUGUUAGAUUUCGGAGAGAUGCUGAGGAUGGUACAAGAUUUAUCAAAUUGUGGCGACAUUUUUAUACCUUUAGAAUUUCAAGAUUUUGAAGAAAUAAAUGGAAUCUGUUUUCCAUAAGUGCUCCACUAUCCACCAGGAGGAAUUCUAAAAUACAUUACAGAUUAGUAAUUUUUCAGAAUAAAUAAACACAUGUUAUAACAUUAUCUACUUAUCGUAUGAUUGAUAUGAUACUUCUGAUAUAUUUUAAAAUUUUUAAUGCACCAAAGUUCAUUUUUAGCUUUUAAGGUUUUUAUGUGUGAGCCUCUCAGCACGUUACCCAACCUCCGCACGUGAAAAUAUUUCUAUGUACGGUUACAAGCUUUUCCAGAUUGUGAGUAUUCCGAAGCAAUCCAACUUGAAAAACAGCUGGUUCGUAGAAAAUGACAGUUUACGAAGCUGGCCCUGCUGCCAUACAUAUGAUGAAGAAGACCAUUUUGCUUUAUGUCAAUUCCUCCAAGUUGAAAUCUUUCUCGGUCUGGGACACUUCCAACACAUAAAGUACUACUAGGCUAGAUGAUUUUAAAAAAUGUCAAGGUCCUUUAUCAAAUUUCAUUUGCAUUCAAGACCAAUCCCCUUUGAUGAAAAUCAAUAAUUAAAGGCUUUCCAAUGAGAAAUUAUUACGUCUUCAAAUCUCAAAAAACGCCAGAAUAUUAAUUCGCUACAUAUAAUCAAGAUAUCUCAUUGAGACGCAUUAAUAAAAAAUGUCAAAAUGCAUAGAAAGAGCAGACACACGGAUGAUGAAUUUACUCAUCUUUAGUAGUAUUUGAACUUGAGAGACAGAAUGAAGUACAUGUCAAGAAUAUCAUAAAGAUGGAAACCGGAAGUCCUCCGCACAUAAACUUUGAAGAAACUGGAAAACGACUUUAUUCCAGAUAAUGCACACCAGAGUGACCAAAAUUCUCUUCAGUAACUAUAGAGAAAAUAUUAUUUUGCAUGCAUUUCACGUAACUGGAUCAAACUACUCCCCUGUUGGUUUAUCAGACCACAUUUUUAUGGUGCAAUAUAAACCAUCUUUUCAAAACACUUCUACAAUGUGAGAAACAAAUGAUUUUUAUAUAGUUGUUCAUAGCUAACUUUUGAUGGUUUAAUGAUCUGUAGAUUUUGUUUUAUGUUAUUCAAGGAAAGAUAUUGGAUUGUUCCUAAGAGUUCAUAGGCAGGGGCAUAUAUGCAUGAUUUGAUAUAAUUCUUGCAAUUUCUAAGUACUUGCUCUUUCCAUCCCUUCUAAGUUUUGAAAGAAAGGUCGAAAUAAACAGAGAAACAGGACAAACAGAAGAAGACUGAAUUAACAGAUUAGCAAAGAUGGCAACUAACAAAUGGAAAAGUUCUCUUGUCAUCAAACUAUAGCAAACAGAUGACACCAUUACCAUAUAUCUUAAUGAGUAGAUUGAUUCUAAACAUAAAUGUUAGGAUACAUUUGGUUGUUUAAUAGUUUGAAAUAAGGAGGAUGAGAUGGUUUCCACAUAAAAGUGCUGGCCCUUUCAAUGACAUUUUCAAGGAAUUAUAAAAUUCAAAAUUAAAAAAAAAAUAGCACAUUAUAAAGCCACACCGUCAAAAAAAUAAAUAAAUAAAUAAGUGAAGAUCAAACUAAGUCACUAAGACCUUUAAUGAUAUAAAAUAAGCAUAUAAAUCUCAGAACAAAACAUUAAAACUCAUUCUAAAAGUAAAAAUAAACUAGUGGUGUAUUCCAAACAAUUUAGAUGAAGCGAUAAAACAAGCCAAGAAAUCAAAUAAAAUGAAAUGAAAUUGAAUUACCUGGGACUUUGUUUUUCAAAUUCACAACUCGCUUGUAAUUAAAGUAAAAUGCCAAUGCCAUUAGGACAUAUACAUCAUUGAAUAAGAUGAGGACCCCUCCAACAGCUGAAAGUAAAAUUUUCAUUCAUUAGUUUCAAUUAAAAGUAAAGCACACAGAUUUGCAGGGAAGCAAGAGAUUUAAUAAAUUUAACACCAGCAAUUUAAUUUGACAGGACUUCCAUACAGUAAUGAAGUCAAAAACUAAUGAUUAAUGAAUUUUUGUAAUUGAAUGAAUAAGAUUCUCUGAUUUUGGAUAAUUGAAUGAAUAGGAUUCUCUAACUCUUGUGAAAAUAUCAAUUUUAAAUAGGGUAGAGUUUCAAGAAUUAAGCACAUAUGUAUCCCAAGGCUGUUGAUCAUCUCUCUCUCCAUAGUAGAAGUUUACUCUCAGAGGCGCGUUUAAUUCUCCUUUAGUGAAAAUCUUCGUCUUGGGACAACCAAUUAUAGAUAAAUCUUCCAAAGAUGGGAAUUUGAAGGUGUAAUUGGCAGAGCAGAAACUUCUGAGACUAUCAGCAGAAACUUGUGAGACUAUCCAAAUCAUACAGAUACAAAAUCUUCAAUUUGGUGAAAGCAAUCUCUUCUUCAAAAUUUUCUGCUCCAUCUUCGUCAUUUAUCACCACCUCUCUCAUUGCUCUACAUCCAUAUACCAACAUUGAUAAGAGUCUCUGUAGAGUUUGGAGUGACAGAUUCGAUAAUGAUCAACUCCAAAUACUCGCCAAGAUCGCAAAUCAAACAACCAAGAUGCAAAAAGAAUCAAUCCAGAAAAAAUCACAGAGAAACUUAAGAACCUAAAAGAAUUAAAGAAUUAGCGGCAAAGACAAAAGAAUUAACGUGGUUCAGCUAGCUUUCACUAGCUUACAUCCACAGGAAAAACCCGGAUCAAGUUUAUUGAUUUUCAGAAGAUGAUUACAGAGAGUUUUAAGAGCUAAUAACAGAGUAUUUCUUGAAGCCUUCUCACGAAUCUUCUAAUCACUCAAUAGCUCUCACGCACACGCCUCCUGUUGCACCAGAAUCAGCUGUUUAUAACAGCUUCUUCAACAAACCAAAAUGAACCCAGAAACUCACGUGAUUGGCAUGCGUUAUAACAGAUUCAUAACGACCCUGAGCGGCUUCUUCGAGCACGUGUUUCUCUCGUGCUUUACUUAAACACAAAACGACGCUCAACUAAGUCGUUCCAGAGACAAAACAAAUUGCUCUUCAAAACGCAAUCAGCAAUUGUCGUAUUGUAGUUUACUUAAGCUGCAAAACGCAAGUCCAACUUGUCGUUUCAAAUAUCUUGAUUUGCUUCACAACACAACAGUCGCUCUAGACUUUUUGCUGUGGAGGAGGUUGCUAAGUUCCUUGCAACGAAGAACUAGAAGUUCUUUUAGGUUCCCAAAAGAUACCGAUUGAACAAAGGACUCCAAUUUGGAGUCUUGUUUCCACAAUUGCUUCAGACGAUUAAGUUUGUGCAGAUCUAAAUGUUUUAUCAUUGUAAACUUCCUCACAUGUUUCUUCAAGUAUCCUCCAUUCGAAAAUACCUCUUCGCAUGAACAACGACGCCGUAUGAGAGUUUCCAGAUUAUGAAAUCUCUCAAGUAAAUCAAGUGGAAAACAAGUUGAGUCAUCAUCCACUGUUUGUAGUAGUUUAAGACUGCCAAAAAGGUGUUGUGGGAAAUCGCUCUGCAAAGUCAUCCUCGAGUCUUUUCCACUUAAUGCCCGUUCCUCCUAAGUUGGGUAAGCUCUGAUCAUCAUCAAUCACGUAAUAACUUAUUAAGUCAAUUCAUAUUCUCUCAAAUAACUUUUAAUAAUCCAAUCAUACACAGUGACUUUAAUAUAAAUGCAUAAUAUUUUACAAAAAAGAAGAAAAAAUCGAAUUAGAGGUAAAAGUUAUUCUACGAUUUUAUUUUUUAUAUAUAUCUUGCAUGCUAUUCCCAAGAGCAAUCCCAAACGGCCCUUAAAGCAAUUUUACAAAAGCGGCCGUUACAUAUAUUGCCAACUUUGUUGGGAAUGGCAAUGGGGAGAGGAGGGGAAGAGACCGAACUCCCCGUACCCAUUCAUGAUAUUCUGCAUAUAUCCUCGUCCUCUCCUCAUUUCUCACAAAAUUGCUUUAGGAAAUCCCCCUCCCCUCCCCAAAUAAUAAUAGGGGAUCCUUGAAGGCCCUCGAUCCUCGAAUAACUGAUACGUUUUUUGUUUUAAAUUUUAAUUUAAUCAUAUUAAAAUAAAAAAUAAAAAUAAAAAUAAAGUUUGACGAUAUAUCUUAUAUUAACAUUAAUCUAUUACAAAAGUCACAUUACAAAGUAUAAAUCACCAUAAUAAUUAUCUUCGGCAAUCUUCAAAAUCAUAUAAUAAAAAAAAGAAAUUACUUUUAUAUCAACAAUGAGAUAAAUGAAAUGAAUAUAGAUACUUAAUCAAUAUUUCUAAUAAAAGUAUUUACCUCUGCGUCUCCUACUCUUCUUGUUCUUCCUCGAGGAAUGUGACAAAUUGAGAGAUAGCCUCAGAUUUCAAAUUUAAAACAAUAAAAAUGAUAUAAGUAAUGUAAAUUCUAAUUAAAAUAAACUCAUACUGCCAUUGUAAGCUUGUGGUCAACUUUGACAACAUAUUAAAGCCUCCAAUGUGCUUGAAUAAAGCGUGUUACGGUACUCUACCACUGGUGCUAAAAGCUAAUUCAGAAGCAACAUUUGUAAUUAGAAUUGCCAAAAUAUCUCUAGGUGCCAAUAUAGGAUAUCUAUAGACAUUUAUUUUACACCAACUCAAAUUAUUAAAAUCUUUCAUCCGUGGCAUAACUUUCUCAUCCAAAUAUUAAUGUAGUCAAUUAAGCCUAAAGUUUAAUAAUAUAAUUAUUUUAAUUUUAAUUUAUUUAUUUAUUUAUUUAUAUUAAUAUUUUAUUAUUUAUUUACAAAUAAUUUUAAAAAAAUUAAAAUUAAAUUAAAAAAUUAGAAGAGAAUAGGGAUUCCGCCGUAUCCCCGUCCUUUCUCUUAAUAAGAAAUUGGGUAAAAAAAACUAUUUCCGUCCCUUUUUCAAAUAAAAAAUUAAGUAAAAAAUUAUGUACCCUCCUGAAUUGGGAAAAUCUCGAGGGUCAUGUCCCCGCGGGAAUAUCUGCCAUUCCUAAACUUUGUAACAGCCAGUUGCUUUUGUGACCGUUUAUGUGACGGCUAGACUGCUCUCACUUAUGUUACUAACCACGUGACGGUAGAGAGCCAAUUGGCAUUCCAUUAUUUUGAUUGUAGAGUUAUAAAUUUGUUUCUAAAUAGAAAACUAUUUGCUGAAGUCAAUAUAUUGAAAACCAAAGUCCCAAAUUCUCUCUCGUGCGUACCUGGCCAUCCUAAACCUUACUGGUAGCCGGAGAAUGGCGUAAAACGGCAGCGAUCUUCUUCUUCAUCUUAUUCUCUCUCUCAUCGUUUCAGGUAAGCUUGUGAUUAUGAGUUUCUUCUCUUUCUUAGCUUGUAAUUAUAGGUUUUGAUUUCUUUACUUCGUAUUGUAACCAUUAAUGUCAAUUUUUGUCCCGCCGGCAAUAUUUCUUGUUCCUAGAAGUUGAAGCCCUUCUGUUCUUGUUCCAUUGGUGACUUUGCUCACUCAAAUUAAUUUUGUUCUGCGGAAUUUACAAAGUUCAAAUGGAUUCAUUUGAAUUACUAUUGAAUUUAGCUUUAAUUUCAACAUCCAUUCUAAUGUUUUACAAUCAUGUAUUUAGAUUUACUUUAAUUUUAUGUUUAAAGCUUCUACAAUGAAUAGCGUAGCUUGGGCUUUAGUUUCAUUUUCUAAUUAACUUGUUUUAGUUUAUCUUAUAUGCUCGCCAAGUGCUUGUUAUAUUGUCUGAUAAGUUAUAUAACAUUGCUGAUUCUAUAUUAGUAAUGUCAUGUUCCAUUUUCGGAAAUUAUAACACAAAAGUUUUUACAAUGGCUUGCAUCUACAAACUGAAUUGACUUGUAGAGUAAGAGCUUGGAUUAGUGUUAUGUUCUUGAAUAAAUGAAAGUUCAUAUUGUGUAAGAGCAUGUAGAUAUAAAGCAUCACUACCAUUUCUACAAACUGCUUUCAUUCUGUUCAGAUGCUCCUCUUGAACUUUGAAAGGUGCCUCAUUCAAGUCCUAGCUAUAACUACUAGCUCUGAUUGCUUAAGUUCCUGUGCUAGCUGAAACAGAUUUAUUUAAUUAAUUAAUUGUGUAUGUACUAAUUAUAUUGAAAGUAUAUGAAGAAAUUGUUUAACAUGAAUGACUUCUAAAUGACUUAAAAGCCUAAAGGAUAUGUCAAAUAAUGCUCAUUUCACUUGAACGAGCCUAAUACUUUUAUGUCUAUGAUUGUCAAUCUUGCUUAAGUGUUUCAGUUAAGUGGUUUACCUAACAGGGGAAAAAAUUUAAUGGAAAACUUUAGAGUUCGAACAGAAAUAUAGUUGACUGCAGAUAUAGUUAUUUUACGGUACAUAAAUCAUAUUGUCCUAUACUCAAUGUCCUACGACCUAUUUUAUUUUAUAUGGUCAUUCAUUUUUGCGAUGGUUUUUUGUGCUUAUGAGUAUGGAAAUAGUGGGAUUUGGUGUGGCAAACAAAAAUAUACAUAUAAUCAAGUUUCUUAAUCAUGUAUAUUGGUUUUGGGUAUGAAUGUUUUCCUAUUCUAGUUCUAGGCAAAGUUUCUUCAUUUUGGUCUUCAGAUUUCUAGUAGGUUAAGUUAAGCAACUAUCAUAACUAGCUAGCUAGUUAUUGCCUGCCUUGUCGCCAUUACCGACGCCAUUACAUUGCAUGGCAUAAGGAAUAGUAACUAGGUGAUUAUUGGUGAUUCGUUGAGUUUAUUAUUGGCCAAACAAACAUAUUGGCCUUUACCCACAACUUAGUUUGAUUAGUUAUUAGAUAAUAAAGAGCCUUAAUCUAUGCAUUGCUUUAUUAUUUUUAUUUGGUUUUUCUUUCAACAAUAUUGUUGAUUUCUUAUAAAAAAUAUUCAUUGGUUUUUAAACACCUAAUCAUUGGCUACGAUGAAGCUAAUUAAAACUAAGGCUUUGGAUCAAUUUCUGUUAACAACAUACAAAUGUACUUACUGAGUAUAAGAUUGAAGACUUGAAAAGAGGAGAAAAGAGGAGAAUGAAUAAAAUGAAAGAAAUGAUAAGAUUACUUGGAAGAAGAAAAGCAUUUUUAAUGAACUAACGUAUUGGGAGUUCAAUUUGAUUCAUCAUAAUCUCGAUGUCAUGCACCGUUUUGAUUUUUGUUAUGAACUCAGAUCAAAAGUUUAAUGUGAUCAAAAUUUCUUAAAAAUAGUGAAAACGACUCCUCCUAAUAAUAUGGAAGAUGGCUAUAAAAGAUAAUUUCUUAAAAGUUUAAUGUGAUCAAAUUUGCUUGUGAACGCAAGGGUUUUAGUUACACUGUCAACGCUGUCAAUGUAGUGAUACAAUGAAGAUGAAGUAAAGCAUUAGUAGAAUAAUGAAGUUGACCAGUAACACAGUAAAGCAAAUUUUAUUCCAGAGCAUGAAAACUUUUAAACAGUAACACAGCUCUUAUUCCAGAGGCUGCACACGAGUGACCUCAAUCUUCUUCAGAACUUUCAAAUUUUAUCAAGCAAAGCUUUCAAAAUCCUUGCCUUCCUAAGUUAGGAAAGAUAGAUGUGGAGCAAACUAUUUUUUAUAGAUAUUUUCACUUUGGGCUGUCAGCCCGAGGAAGUACGGGGUUCUGAGUUAUUCAACUGAAAAUGUCGGCCAAGUUCUUGUGUUAGUUUUAGUAUAUUGUGUAAAAAUGAUACACUAACUUGAAUUUAUAUGCUUUUAUGACUAUUUGAUAAUCAAAUGGGUACAUGACACGAAGAACUUUGAGUUUAAAAAUCUGGCCCUGAUGCCUGGUAGCCCUCCAACCUAUGAAGCACUAGACGUUUUAAUGAGAAAACGACAAGACCAUUUAUCAAAUUUCUUGUGGAUAUAAAUACAUACACAUAGACGAGACCAACCUCCUCAAAGGAGAAUCAGAGUGAUUACAAGACCUUGUGAUGGUUGUCGAAACCAGUAAAAAUAAAUAUCUACUCUAAAUAAAUUGUGUAUAGUGAUUGAGCAGGAUCGUGUCCAUAAAGAUCGGUAAUUAUUUAAAUCCUUUUUAAAAUGUAAAUUGCAAAAUGGGGAGAUUGUUGACAAUAAAAAAAAAUCAAAUUAAAAUAACAAGAAUGCAAAUUAAAAUUGUAAUUCAAAUUGGAAAAAGUUCUGGUUGAAGGAAUUAACUCAGCUUGAUUCGACUACUGAUCAUUGAUUCAAAUAUAAAUUAUUACUACUUAUGAAUAAAUCGGUUAUAGCUACUGAGACCCUCUAAUAGCCAAUCUCUCUUUAACUAAUCGAUAACCAAGGUACGACCGUUGGUUAUUUCCCUAAUCAAUAGACAACCCUAGAUACGAUCAAAGGAUUUAAUCAAUUGACAGCCUAAAAAACCAGAGAGACCCAAAUCCUAAUCAACAAACGCAUACGAUGGUUCAUUUAAAUUAGAUUGUUUAUUCUCAUAACACAACUCACUGCUAUGUUAUUUGUCACAAAUAUUAAAAUCUUCAUACGAUGAAUCCUUUAAUUGACAAUAGAUUAAGUUGAUAAUUAAAUAGUGGCCAAUUAUCUAAUUAACAAACAUAAUCAUGACAAUAAUUCAGAGAAUAAACAAAUACCCAAAAAGUAAUAAAAUAAUUAAAGCAUAAGAAAGAUCUCACAGUAGUUAUGAAUCAAAGCUUCAUUAACUUUCAACCAGAAUAAUAGGUUUAGUUCUUCAUAGAGAGAAGAGAAAAGUUUAGAUCUAGGGUUUCUUUCUUUUAAAAAAUCUCCUUUUUUCACAAUAGAUUCCUCCCUUAAAUACUCUCUCUCUUCUCCUUUAGAGUUCUAUUUAAAAUAAAAUACUAAUAUAUGAAAUAUUAAAUUUGUAAUUACAAAAAUAAACAAAAAUACAAAACACGUUAAACUAAAAACUGUAGGUCCGUAGUUGACAGCACGCACCCACGCCUUAUCAACAAAGUUCUUCUGACACUCAUAAUUUCUCUAAGAGAACAAUCAUCCUUAAACAUCAUAUUGUAGCUCAAUUUUAUCACCAAUCAAUAGAAUUGCACCUACAAAAGUAAAACACAAGUAAAUCACUAUUAUUAAGUGCAAAACAUCGAUAUUAAGGGAAGUAAACAAUGCAAAACUAGUGCAUAAAUUGCACUCUAACAUAUACUCACUGUGACGAGUUGCACCAGAGUUUUUGCUGUGGAGGAUGUUACCAUGUGUAACAAUUUCUUGCAACCGAAAGCUACAAGUUUUGUUAGGUUCCGAAAAGAUACCGAUGAUGAUGGCAAUAGAAUUAACAGACUUUGACAAUGAUAUACUUUUAGAAUUUCAAGAUACUGAAAAAUGGGGCCAAGUUUGGAGUCUUGUUUGCACAGCUGCUUCAGAUGAUAGUGCCGGUUCAGCUCUAAUGUUUUUAUCAUUGCCAACUUCCCCACAUGUUUCUCUAAGCAUCCUUCCUCCGAAAAUACCUCUUCGUUGAAUGAAAAACAAACCAGUAAGAGUUUUUCAAGAUUGUGAAAUCUCUCCAGUACGUUCCAGAUUGGAAAACAAGCUGAGUCAUCUGCAGCAAUCUCUAGUUCUCUAAGACUGCCAAAAAGGUGUUGUGGGAAAUCGGCCUGCAAAAUCAUCUUCACAUCUUUUCCACUUAGUGCUAGUUCCUUCAAGUUGGGUACGAUCUGAUCAUCAUUAAUCAUAAUAACUAAUGAGGUCAAUUGAUGAUCUACGGUCACACGCAGUAACUUUAUAGUAUUUAUUUUAUAUUAUAUUUUAAAAAAAAAUGAAUUAUUGAUAAAAUUUAUUUUGUAUGUUAAUUUUACAGGUAAAAAAAGAAAUUAGGGAAAAAUAGUUGAUUUAUAUUGGCUCAAAAUUAUUUUAUUGCACAAUAAUAAAUUACUAAUUUAUUUUGCAAGUUCUUCUAUAUGGAAAGACUGAGGAUUCUUUUAUAAAUGCUAUACCUAAAAAAGUUCAUAUAAUUAUGAAUCUACCAUAUUGAUCCCUUAGUCUAGACUAGCAAAGAUUAUUGUAUAAUAAAAGUUUUUAAUUUAUUGAGUAUUAAAUGAUUUUUUAUAUGUUAAUUUUAGAGGUAAAAAAGAAAUUAGGGAAAAAAGGUUGAUUUCUACUGACUCGAAAUUAUUUUAUUGCACAAUAAUAAAUUACUAAUUUAUUUUGUAAAUUCUUCUAUAUGGAAAGGCUCAAGAUUCUUUUACAAAUGCUAUACCUAAAAAAGUUUAUAUAAUUAUUAAUCUACCACAUUGAUCCCUUAGUCUAGACUAGCAAAGAUUAUUGUCUAAUAAAAGUUUUCAAUUUAUUGAGCAUUAAUUUAUCGAUACUUUGUCAUAUUUUUCAAAGUUAAAAAUAAGCUAUAGAUAAAAAAUCUAGAAAAUGGCUUCAUACCUUUUCCAAUGGCAAUAGGGGCUGUUGUGCAGGAAUACCAAGUUGAUCAUUCCCAUUAUUCUGCGAUAAAUCUGCAGCGAAUAUCUUUAAUUUGUCACAACCAUGCACUAAAAGAAUUUCUAGUGCGGGCCAUUCCGAAGUAUGCAUUCCAGGGUACAAACAUCUAAGUUUUGGUAGAUCUUGGAGCUUCAGAGUGGUGAGCUGUGGAAAGACAAAAUAAGGGAUCAUUUGAUCUGCUCUGUUUUCAGAAAUGAUCUCCUGUAAAUUCUCACAGAAGUAUAUAUCCAGGUGUUGGAGCUGCUUAAGGCUUUCGAUCAUAGACGCUGAAAAUAUGUAUUUUAAUUUAUGACAACGCUGCACAAUCAAUCGUGUUAAAUUUUGAAAGCGAGGAAACAUGACCGGAAGAUGAUUGUAGUGCCAAAUCUUGUCGACAUUAAUUUCAGAUAUCUCCAAAGCCUCCAAGUUAGGCAACGCAACCUAAAAAAAGAAGAAUUUCUCGUUAGAUCCAAUAUCCAUAUGGGAAGUACUUGUUGAAAUUUUCUUCUUUGAUUACAAAUUAAUGCAAGUCAGAAUCAAUUUCAUACUACUUGUUAAGAGCUCAAUUAGUGAGCGCGUGAGAUUCUUUUUAUCCUUUUUUCCAUUUUCUUUCAAUUCUUUAAAUGAUUUAAUUAUUUUCCACGUAUAACAUCAAAACAGAACGCAUGAUAGAAUAAAAUGUGUUAUACAUUAAAGAAAAUGUUAGCCUACGCACCUUCUCGUUGAAAAGCAGAGUUGAAAUAUCCAAAGUGAUUUCGCUGGAGCUAUACAUAGUCGUCGAUUCCUCUUGCGACACUUGUCUGUUCGGUGAUGCUGAAGGAGUCUUCACCUCAUUGCGGCAAAAACUUGUAACCUCUGGAAGAUUCCCCAGACUCAAAGAUCUUAAUUGAGCAAACUCUAUCUUCUCAAUUGCAUUAUCAACUUCUUCCCCAAUUGCAAAAAUCUCUUUCAUCUUGCUGCAAUUAAUAACUGCAAUUCUCUCAAGUCUUGGAAGGCAUUUUGUAGUGGAGAGCCAAAAGAUAUUGCUCAACUUAUUACAACUAUAAGCUUCUAUGGUUUUGAGUUUGUUGAAAGACUCUACUUUGAGCCGAUCAAUACAUAUCCUCUCCAUGUUGAUCAAAUUGCGAAUGGUAAGUGACUCCAAAAGAGGAAAGGCAUCACAAGCGACCAUCUCCCUUGAAUCGACGAUACAAAAGAUGUCAGGAUUAUUUUGAACCAAGAGAAGCUUCAAUUGUGAAAAGCCAUCCGUGUCCAAAUUGAAAAGAACAUUCUCGAUGCCUUGCAGCUUGUCCAACCAUAAGUAUUCAACGUUAUUGAUGCCCUGCAAUUUCAUGGAGAAAAUGUCCAUAAAAUCAAGCUUGAGCUUCAAUGCUCUUAAACUCUUGCGAUCACGGUUGAUUGAAAAGUGCGGCCGACUUUGGAACCAUUUAUGUCUAGCAUACUUGUUGGGAGGCAUGAAUGACCCAUUUCCAAUAGAUAUUUUGAACCUUUCGAGCUUUCUGGCCAAAAAGCGUUCUGGUAAAAUACUAUCAUUUUUAACGUCAAUUUCUAGAGUGGUUAGCCUAGGUAAAUGCAUCAAUUCGUCGAGGCUAGCAUUACUUCUUUUGCUGUUGGCUCUUUCAACCUCCCAUUCAAUGAAGCAAUUACCCAUAUACAGCUCUUCUAAUCGACUUAAGCUUGAUAUGAGAUUGGGCGCAAUAACUUUUAGAUCGAAACAAUUGGUUAAAUCUAACAAUCUCAACUUAUUCAAUUGACCUAGUUCUUCUGGCAACUUCAUAAUAUCAGACAUCAAAAAGCUAAGGACUUCUAGAUUCUUCAACUUCCCAAUGAUUGCUAUGUCGCCCAACGCACUUUGAUCCAGACAUAGUGUGUGAAGAUAUGCUAGAAGAUCAAUUGAAGAUGGAAAAGAAGAAAACUGCAUUCGAGUAAAAUCUAGAACUCUAAGCUUUUUCAUCCCUACCAAAAAGUUCUCAGGAAUAUUGAUUUCAAGAGAAAAAUCUUUGAGAGAGAUAUAUAAAAAUUCAAGGUUUGGGCAUUCUAAUCGUCAGGAAAUCACGAUUACUAUUAUUUAUAAAGAAGAUAGCAUGCAGUUUCGAAGUGGCAUCUCAUCUGGCCAGUCCCACACAUCUCAUUUCUCACCGAAAACACAUGUUGGUGGCGGCAUGCAAUUGAUAUUGCGACAUCGCGAACAACAUCAUGCAUUGAAAAUUCUUCAUUGCUGUCACCCUCAAGCAACAAACAAGAGUCUCUAAGUUCAUGGACCGAUGCAUAUAAUUUGUCUCGUGCAUCUUCCAUCUUAUUGACUCCUUGAAAUAUACCCAAACCCAUGGAGUACUUAAACAAGUCCAAAGUAAGGAUACUGUUACCCAUUAGACUGCAGAGCUGAAAAAUGUUCUUGAGUUGCUCACCUUUUAAAUGGUUGAAACUCAGCUCAAUACUUGAAUAAGUCUCUGCAGACACUCCUUCGAAGUUUACCAUUGAAGGCGUUAGGAGUUCUCGCAAGGAAUUCUUCCAUUCAUGCAGACUCUUGCUUCUCAGUGCCUUUGCCACUGUAAUCAAGGCAAUGGGCAAACCUCCACAUGCCCUGGCGACGUCUAUUGCUGUAGAUUUCAACUCACGAUUUUCAACAUCAUCACCGGCCAUCAUCUUAAACAAUCUCCAGGCUUCUUCUUCAUUUAAAUUGUUAAUCAAGAAGUUGUCUUUAGAUCCCAUUUUUAAGAGGACACUACGAUCUCUUGCUGUCAGCAGUAGUUUGCAUCCUUUAUGAUCUUCUCCAAAAGGAAUUCCCACUGUCUCCAAAUCAAGGUGUUUCCAGAUGUUAUCUAAAACCACAAGGAUCUUCUUCUGAUUUCUCAAUCGCUCAAAUAGUCUACUUGCUCUUCUAGAUUCAACUUCCUCGUGCAACUCCAGGCCCAACUUCUCGGCAAUUUCCUGUUGAAUCUUUUUUAUGUCUGGAGUUUGCGAAACCUCUGAAAAGACCACCAUAUCAAAGAGCUUGUCUUCCAUAGCUUGCCUGGCGACCUUCUUCACCAGUGUCGUCUUUCCAAUGCCGCCCAUGCCGUACACCCCAACGACACUAACAUUAACAUCGAUCAAUGCUUUUUUUAUAGCCUCCAAAGAAGAAAGUCUUGACUCGAAGGCCUCGUAGCCUUUGUGAGACUUGAGCCAUAUCUCCUCCGGAAUGGUACGGUAGGAAAUUCUAUCAUCAAAUCUUGCAGCUUCUUCUCGGAUUUUGACGAGUGCCUUCACCUCUGCCUCUGCUUUCUUGCUAAGCUGAUAGCGAGUAAUCCAAUUAGGAAACAGCCCCAUGAGACAUCGUUCAUUUGCUUUCUCUUCGUCUUGAAUGAAUUUGGCUGCCUGCUCAAUGCUCUUGUUCGCAUUAACCAGCCAUUUCUCAACCUUCUCUUCAAUCUUUUCACUUUUUCUUUCAGCCUCAGAAACUCUGCGCUGAAUGCUUUCUCUUUCAUCCUUGAGCCUAUCGAGUUCUGCCUUGAGAUUCUCAAAGUUGGCAUCGGAGUUAUACCAGUAACUAAAUUCGCGUUGUGCGUGAGGAGACAAGCAGUUUACAACUGGAACAAUGCUUUUCAAAAUGUCCAUUUGUUUUUUUUUUUUGGGGGGGUGGGGGGUGAGUGAACGAAAUAGAAAUAGAACAGGGUCAACGACCGCGCAAUUAAUAAUCAAGUAGAAGCAAAACAAGGCAAAAUGGAGAAAAGAAAUUAUAUUUGUACAAAACAAGGGGAAAAUCAGUGUAACAGAAGAGAAUCAAAGUGUUUUUGAGAUCAGAAAAUUGAAUCAAGAAAAGGGUUGCUUGAUCCAAUGAAAAUGCAAAGAGGGAACAAACAUAAAUAAGAAAACGGCUAGCAGGAGCAGUGACCACGAUAAACAGAAGCAAAGUGUGUAUGAGAUCAAAAGAAGAAAAUCAGGAGAGGUUUUCUUGACUGAGAAUUGAAGGCAAAGAGUAGGAGCUGACGAAUACGGGGAUCAAGAGGGAAAAACUGCUUAAUAACAUUACGAUUGUCAUAAAACAUGUGAUCCUCAUCCAAUAUCCAUUAUUUGUGAUCCUUAAUCAAUAAAAUAUCUAACAAUAUCGAACAGUCGAUAUCCAACACAUGCACGAAGAUUCCAAGAAGUUGCGUGGCUGCCGACUUUUAAAUGCUAAGCCUGAUUGUGUCGAUGAUACACAAAAGAGAGCAGUCGGGGUAAUUGCCAAAACUUAGAACUAAACAGUAGCUUAGUCAGAAAAUCAAACGCCAGUACCGGUAAAAUGACCGAUAAAAAUAUAAAGAAAUAAAACUUUUAAAGUUUUACUUCAUUGCUUUUUUAAUGUUAUUACUAUUUCUCCUAGCACUUCUAAAGAAACCAAAGCUUUAAAAGAAAUCGGCCAAAGAAAUAAAGUUUUACUUCAUUGCAUUUUUAAUCUUAUUACUAUUUCUCCUUGCUCUUCUAAAGAAACCAAAGCUUUAAAAGAAUCAGCCAAAUCACCAAGAUUGAAGAGUAAAUCUAUUGUUUUAGAUUUUUAUUUUUAUUUUUUUAGAUAAUAGAUAUUAUUUUGAUGAAUUUUUUAAUAUUGGAAUAAUGUUAGGAAUUCCAAUAGAUGAAUUCUAACUUGACACCCAAUUGUUAUGUGUCAUUUUUUUAUUGGAUAAUGAAUUUCAUAACUAGUAAAAUUAAUAUUUUGAUCAUCUAAUAAAUAACUACUAUAUCAGUUGGGACUCAAUCAUUGGGAUGCUUAACAUUGCUCUUAGUAUUGUAUUGGACAUCUUAGUUAAAUCAGAUUAAAAAUCAAAUUAGAUUUUAGGCUUUAUUCAACAUCUCCUUUUCUUUAUUUUUUUUUCUUUUUUAGGUCUAUUUGAAGUGAACGAAUUAAAAAUACGACAAGGUCAACGAUUGGGCAAUUGAUAGUCAAGUAGAAGCAAAUGAAGGCUAAAUGGGAAAGAGAAAUUAUAUUUGUACAAAACACGGAGAAAAUCAGUGUAACAGAAGAGAAUCAAAGUGCUUUUGAGAUCAGAAAUUGAAACAAGAAAAGGGUCGCUUGAUCCAAUGAAAAUGCAAAGAGCUGAUGGCAAAAGGGAACAAAGUUAAAUAAGAAAACAGCUACCACUAGCAGCGACCACAAUAAACGAGAAAUUGGAGAUGGAUCUACAAUAUUUCUGCCUUUCUUUAUGCUUUAACAAAUAUUGCUCUAUCGAAAAAAAUAUUGUGGGUUUUUAUUAUUGGAGUCACAAAAGACCAACACAAUAUAGCAAGUGACUAGGAAUAAGAAUAUAUAACUCUCUCUCUAUUUCUCACUCUAGCUUUUAAUUGUCACUCAAAACCCAGACAGCGUAAGGAAAUAAGAGAUGACAGCGUCUGGUUGUCAUACGUGCCUUUUGGUUUCUGGAUGACAUGGCGUACACUUCUUUUGCAAACCAACACGACAUGUCGUACUCUUUGUUUUGAGAUCAUAUUUCAAACUCUUGAUGUUACGAAUGAAAGAUAAACUACAAUCAUCAAAAUAUUUAGUGUUUGUUUGGUAAUGUAAAGUCAUAGUUGUUGUGAAUUGAAAUUAUUUCUGUAAAAUAAAAGGAUUUGGGUCAUUGUUCGUUAUUUUUUGGCAAUAUUGCCUGGCUGUGACUAUUUAUUAAAUAUUAAAAAAAUAAAUUUAUAUUUAUUAAGUAUCAAAAAUAAAUAAACAACAAAAAUAAACGGAAAAAUUAUACAUUACGUAAAAUAAUAAGGACAAUAUCAAUAUUUCACACUCUAUAAUUGAGUGAUGUGUUAUCCAAUUGCAACACAUUUGUCCCAAACGGAGUCUUAAAUAUCAAAGUUAUUGCGAUGAUGACUUAUAAUCACCAAACUUGACAUACGGGUAAUCAUGCAUUAUAAGGUGUUGAUUUCUUACUAUCGGAACCUUAUAUUUCAUUUACAAAUAAAUAAAUGAUGUGACUUAACUGGUGGCGGGUCCUUUGUGCCAUUUGCGCAUUCCACUGAAUAGUUGAUUGUAGCAGAAACAUUCCUGGAGUUGCCAUUUGCCAAUGCUACUGACAUUUUCAAACUCGGAAAACCCUCCAAUCAAUCUUUUAGUGGUAGGCUUGGUAGCUUGGCUUGAUUAUGACAUAUGAUUAUUUGAUAAUAAAGUUAGAGGAUGUAUUAAUAUAAAAAUUAUUUAUCGGUGUUGAAAUUAUCUCAUUAAUAAUAGUAUGAAAAGUUAAUUCUUAAGAAAUACAUAAUAGUAGUUAAUUGGUGUAAUAUUAUUGAGAUUCUGGAAAUAAUUUUAUAUCAUAACUUUGUAGGUGUAUAAAUAUUACUCAUUAAAUUAAUAUAAUUAUUUUAAAAAAAUCAGUUGGAAAAAAUAAAUUAUAUUAUUUUUACUUCAAAUAAUCUUUAAAUUAACUCAAAAUAUAAUCAAGCUCAGAAUUAAAAAUUUAAACUAAUGCUACUAUAUCAGAGGAUUUUCUUUUUUUCUCCACUGAAUAGUUGAUUGUCGCAGAAACAUUCCUGGAGUUGCCAUUUGCCAAUGCUACUGACAUUUUCAAACUCGGAAAACCCACCCUCCAAUCAAUCUUUUAGUGGUAGGCUUGGUAGCUUGGCUUGAUUAUGACAUAUGAUUAUUUGAUAAUAAAGUUAGAGGAUGUAUUAAUAUAAAAAUUAUUUAUCGGUGUUGAAAUUAUCUCAUUAAUAAUAGUAUGAAAAGUUAAUUAUUAAGAAAUACAUAAUAGUAGUUAAUUGGUGUAAUAUUAUUGAGAUUCUGGAAAUAAUUUUAUAUCAUAACUUUGUAGGUGUAUAAUUACUCAUUAAAUUAAUAUAAUUAUUUAAAAAAAUUCAGUUGGAAAAAAUAAAUUAUAUUAUUUUUACUUCAAAUAAUCUUUAAAUUAACUCAAAAUAUAAUCAAGCUCAGAAUUAAAAAUUUAAACUAAUGCUACUAUAUCAGAGGAUUUUCUUUUUUUCUCCGAAGUUUCACUAGGAAAUUAUUGAUGUAUAGCUUUGUUGAGAAUUGAGAUCAUUUCAGUUCAGAAGACAAAUAAUUGAAAGACUAAACUAAAUAGACCGGCGAACAAAUUUGUACAUGAAAGUUAAAAAAUUAAGGUCAUGAGUUGGUAUUGCGGUUCUGUCUUGAGCAACUUUGCUGUCAUUGUUUAUUAUUUUUUGGUAAUAUUGCCUGGCGGUGACUGUUUAGUAAAUAUUAAGAAAUAAAUUUAUAUUUAUUAAGUAUAAAAAAUAAAUAAACAAACAAAAACACAAGGAAAAAUUUAUACUUUACGUAAAAUAAUAAGGACAAUAUCAAUACUUCACACUAUAAUUGAGUGAUGUGUGGCAUCUUAAUUGCCCAACUGCCACACAUUGGUUCCAAACGGAGACUUAAAUAUCAGAAAAAUUCCAAGUUAUUGCGAUGAUGACUUACAAUUGCCAAACUUGACAUAUGGGUAAUCAUGCAUUUCUUAUGAUCAUAACCUUAUUUUUCAUUCACAAAUAAAUAAAUGAUGUGACUUAACGGUUGACGGGGUCCUUUGUGCCAUUUUGGCAUUUCACUGAAUGGUUGAUUGUCGCAGGAAGAUUCCUGAAAGUUGCCAUUUUCCAAUGCUACUAACAUUUUCAAACUUGGAAAACCCUUUAAUCAAUCUCUUAGUAGUAGGCUGUGGUAGCUUGGUUUGAUUAUGAUUUAUAAUCAUUUGAUAAUAAAGCUAGAGGAUGUAUUAAGAUAAAAUUUAUUUAUUGGUGUUGAAGUUAAUUAUCUCAUUAAUAAUAGUAUAAAAGGUUAAUUAUUAAGAAACACAUAGCUGUAGUUAAUUGGUGUCAUAUUAUUGGAAUUCUGGGAUAUAAUUUUAUAUAAUAACUUUGUGAGUAUAUAAUUACUCAUUAAAUUAACAAACUUAUUUUAAAAUAUUUAGUUGGAAAAAAUAAAUUACAUUCUUUUUAUUUCAAAUAAUCUAUAAAUUAACUCAAAACAUAAUCAAGUUGAGAAUUAAAAUAAUGCUACUGUAUGAGAGGAUUUUUAUUUUUUCCCGAAGUUUCACUCGGAAAUUAUUGUUAUAUAGCUUUAUAUGCGAUCAUCCUCAGUUCAAACGACAAAUAAAUGAAAGACUAAGCUAAAUAGACCAGCCAACAACUUUGUAAAAUAGAGUUCGAAAAUUAAAUUAAGGUCAUGGUAGUGUUAUGUCUUGAAAAGUACAACGUAGUACUAAAAUAAAAACUAUUAGUCUUUGGUAAGAUAAUGACAUUUAAAUAAUAAUUUUCACAAAAAUACAAAGAAUAUUUAUAAAGUACUUCUAUAGUGAGGAGGCCCUCACUUUGUGAAAGUGAAAAUGUCGAUAAUAUACAAAAGCCAUAUAUUUUAACACAUUAAAAAUUGUAUUUUUUAUCUAUUGGUGUAUUAAAAUAUGUGUUACUUAGUUUGUUAGUGAUAUCAUCACUUUGUUAAAAUGAGGAUAUCGUCGCUAGAGAAUCAUUAUAUAUACAUAUCUAUAAAGUGCUUCUCUCCAAGACCUAGACUUUAUUAGAAUUUAAGAAAGCAAAUAUAUUUUAAAUGGUAUAAUAGUGUAAUAACAUCACACUAUUAUAUCAUAUAGAGUAAAAGUUUUUCGAACUUUAAUAAAGUUCAAGAUUAUAGAAUGAAUGAUUUAUAUAUAUAUAUUAUACAUUUUUUAUCAUAAAGUGGAGGACAAAAUUAACAUAUUUUUCAAAUUAUAAUAAGUAUUUAUCAAUAAUUUAACAUCAUAAUUUCUCCUAACUAGUAUAGUAAAUACAACCUAGGAGGUACAUUCAAAGCAUUUCAUAGGUUAGUUGUUCGCUCCAAAUUCAAUCACAGACAAGGAGCCUUUUUUGAGAAUAUUAAGCAUCAUCUUCAAAUGAAUUUUCAUGGCAAAGGUUUCAGGUCCAAAUUGUUGUUCCAGAUUAGUCCAAAGCUCAUGUGAGGUUUGAGAGUUUACCACAAGACUAAGGAUCUCGAUACUGAUGGAUGACAUUAACCAGCUCAACAACAAUUGAUCCUUUCUCUUCCAUGAAGUGAAUGCUAGAUUGAUCUGUGCUUUAGCUGUUGAAUCUUCAAUUUCAGUAAAAAGAAACUGAUUAGGACAUAGUUUUGAUCCAUCAAGUAGAUCUUCUAGUCCAUUGGCACGGACUUAAGACAAGAUUUGUAAUUUUCAGAUCAUUUAAUUCGACCGAUCCAGUUUGAUUGGUGAAGUGAAAGUAAACGAGGAAACAAAGAAGUUUGUAUUCUGAUUUGAGCUUGACGAAGCCAUUAGAAUUGAUAACUCAGGCUCUGAUACCAAGUUAAAGAUUCUAAUAUGUUUGGUAAGUAAGAAAAUGAGAGAAAAUGAAAGAAAGAACAGAGAUCAUCUAAGAGCUGGAUUUGAUGAAUAAACUUGAAUCAUACAUUCUUUAGCUGAUUACAAAUGUAUUUAUGCAAAAUUCCUGAACAUUUCAGAUUGUAUAUGCUUGACCUAAGCACCUGAGAGUUGAGCAGUGUGGACUGACAAACUGAUCACAAAAUAAGUAACUUAUGCCAGCUCAGCUAACACGUCAGUAACUCUAACUAUCUUGCUUAACAAACUGAAACAAUAACUAACCAUUUUAACUAUCUUAACAAUGCCAAUAAUUUCUUCAUUUGCGUAUUUCUUGAAUCAUAAUCAAAUGGGUAAAUUUUUCAACUAUUCUUUUAGAUAUUUUCACUUUGGGCUAUAAGGCCGGGGAAGUACGGGGGUCUGAGUUACUCAACUGAAAAUGUCGGCCAAGUUCUUGCCAUCUCAGGUGCAAAACUGAUACUUGUGUUCCCCAUUUAUACUUAUUACGAAACUGAUACUCGUUCCUCUUAACUUGUUUUCUCAUGCAUCAACUGUUGAGAAAAUGUGCUCUUUAAAAGCAUAUGUGUUUAUUUAAUUGUAAUGAAAAAAUGUGCUCUUUAAAACCAUAUGUGUUUAUUUAAUUGUAAUAAAUAUUUUUUCUGAUUAAUAAAAUAUAUGAGGUAUUUUAUUCAAGUAUAUUAAUUGCAUUGAUAUUUUGAGUAAAGUCCAUUUAAUCAUAUUAUAUGUAUUUAUGUGAUCACUAUGUGGAUUCACAAAAGACAUAAAUACAAGUUAUCUUAUGAUUAAAUAAAUUAUGUUCGCAGUUGAUAAAUAAAGUUGGACACUUUAUUUAGGUAUAGACUGUAAUAAAUUCAUUGAAUGAUUUGUCUUAAUCAUGUAUGAAUUUAUUGAUGUAGUGCGAUUACAUUGAAUAGGAUCACAUAUGAGAUUUAAUUAACUUUGUAAUAACUGUCAGACUUAUUAAAUCUCAUAGGCAUUGAUUUUACUGUAAUCUUAAUCUUGAGUUAGUUAUGAUUCCAUUAUUGUAAUUGUUAUUUCAUUUGAGUUACCAAUGGGCAUGACACAUACUUGUAUUCAAGAUUACCAGGUAUCUUGGUGAGAGCAAUUAUGAGUAUUGGAGUUAUAGAUUAACAAUAUAGAAUUUGUACAAUACAUCUCUUGAUGGGUUUUCGGUACUUGAUCAUAGAAUUCUCUGGCCAGAUUGUGUCGACAUAUUUAAUAUGUUGAAAAUGAUCAUUAGAGAAAAACCAGUAAGUAUCAAGGAACAAGAUGUAAUUAAAUUGAUUGGACAGUUGAGAUAUCGAUUUAAUUAAUGAUGUGGUACAAAUGAUUGAGCAGUCAAGAAAUCAUUGUGGUUUGGGACGAAUUAUUAUUCGAACAUACAAUUAGUGUGCGACCAGCAUUGGCCAGCGACAUGCGCUGCAUGCGCAGCGAGCUGCGCAGUCGAGUUUGGUUUGCUUUCGGUGAGGCGGCAGUGGUUAGCUCGGCAUCGGAGAUUGGUGGCAACUUUGAACAGCGGUUGAAGUUUGCGUUGAUGGCGGCUGGAGAAGAAGGGGAGAGAAAUAUAUGGAUUUAAGGCUUUAAUGGUUUUUAUCGUUGAGGUCUCUACGGUUUUACAAUUUUUCUUUCGGUCAGAUAAGGUUUAAUUUUUGCAUUUAAGUCCAACAACAGUUUUGGGCUUAAUGAAUCAUAAUUUUAGGCCCAAUUGAAAUUGGGUUUAAUGGAUUAAAAUGCAUAGAUAAAAUUGAAUAAAUUAAAUUUAUUUUUGGUCCAAACGUUUUAUUUAAAAAAGUUUAUUUAUUUAUUUAUUUCCUUUCAAAAUUAAAAUUGGACCAAUAAUAAAUUUAAAAGCCCAACUUCCUCUAGUCCAUUAACAAAGACAAGCCUAUGGAAGAUGGACAUUGACAAGAAGCCCAAUGAAGAUUAGGCUUAGGGUUAAUGUAUUUUUUUUAAUUUUAGGAAAGCCAUGAAUUCAGAUUAUUUAAUUAUUUUUCUAUAUGUUAUAUUUUGGAUGAUAACAUGCCAUGAUAACACGUCAUAUAGAAUAGGUAGUGCCACUCUAUGCAUAAUGAUACAUGAUGUUCAUUAAUUAUGAAUCUCAUUAUAUUGUUUGAAAAUUGAAUAUGCUUAAUAAUAUUGAAUAUCAUCUAGAUAAUAUUAUAGGAAGCAUGCAAUUAAAAAUAUUAUUUAUGUAUGUUUUAAAAAAAAACCAAUUUUUAAAUAUUGAGUGGGAGAGGGAAAAUUCAAGAUAAUUUUUCCCACGGGCUCCAUUGUUAGUUCAAUAAUAAAAUUAUAUAUAUACCUCGACUUCAUGAUACGGUGAUGCUCCCUUCGAAGGGUAUAUAUAUUAGAUAUUUUAUUUGAUGAACUUCUUCAAAGAUAAAAUUGAAAUAUUUUUCAAUCGAUUGUUCACCCCAACAGUGACUAUUGAUAUGAAAAAUACUUAGAUUGAAACAAUGGUUAUACACUCAACUAAAAUUUGUUAUUAACCUUCCCAACGAAGCUCUGUUAACAAAUUUAGGCCCAAAAGGAUAACAAUAAUUAUUUAUCAUGUCUCUACAUGAAAGUAAAUAAUCCAAUGGAUAAUUGGGUCUAGUAAGUGUAGACAUGACUUCCCCAACGGAUAGCUUGUCAAAGCGGUCCUAGAUUAUCGUUACAAUAAAUAAAAAUGCAGUUAUGGUUUUUUGCAUUUUUGUUAUUUAUUGUGAAUAUUAUAUCAAAUUAUUUAUGCAUGGAUGUUUUAUUUUUCAAAAAAAUGUCUUCCCUGAGCUCACUUACUAUUAUUCUGAGUCAAAACAAACUCACUGGAGAGAACUAUAUAGAUUGGAAAAAAAAAUAUAUUCAUUGUCCUGACUGCUGAAAAUUAUAAAUAUGUCUUAACCCAGCCAUGCCCUCUAGUUCCAGUGGAUGAUGCUCAUAGAAAUUAGAGGAGGCUUUAUGAGAAAUGGCAAAAGGCCAAUGAAAUGGCAAAAUGCUACAUUUUAGCCUCGAUUUCUAAUAUUUUGCAGACCAAACAUCAGAACUUGGAGACUUCCACUGAAAUAAUGGAUAGUCUCCAAGAGAUGUUCGGGCGGAAUACUCGCUCCGCGAGACAAGCAGCGCUGAAAGGCAUUAUGAACUGCAAAAUGGGGAAGGGCACAAGAGUUCGUGAUCAUGUCCUCAAAAUAAUGGACUAUUUGAAUGAGGCUGAGAUUCAGGGAGCACAAAUCGAUGAUAACUCAAAGAUUGACAUGGUGCUAGAAUCUCUGCCAAAAAAAUUUAAGGAGUUUAAGGUUAAUUAUAACAUGAACAAAAGAAACAUGACCUUAACUGAAUUGAUGAACGAACUCCAUUCUGCUGAAGAGAUCUAUUGCACUGAGAAAUCUCUAGGAAGCAUAAAGAUUGCUAACAAGGUUCUUCUUCUAGGCCCAAGCCGAAAGGCAAGGGUAAGAAGAAAGCUGGGAAAAAGAAACCGUCUACCAAGCAAGAUGGCAAGCCGAAAGGCAAAUGCUUCAAGUGUGGACAGAAAGGUCACUGGAACAAGGAUUGCCCUAAGAUUGUGAAAUCAGGAAUGAGAAAUCUUUUUGUAAUUGAGGUCUGUUUAGUUCAGAAUCCUAUUGACACUUGGGUGUUGGAUUCAUGAGCAACUAAUCAUAUUUUUAAUUCACUUUAUUGGUUUUAGGAAACUAGGAAAAUAAGUGAAGGAAGCGUCAAGCUGCAGUUAGGGACAAGACAGUUCGUGACAGUAGUGAAGACUGUAUCUAUUUUAUUAUCUUUUAAUAAUGAGAAUUUAGUUUUGAAUAUUUGUCUUUAUGUUCCAGACAUUAAGUGGAAUUUAAUUUCAAUAGCUUGUUUGUCAAAACAAGGGUACACUGUAAAUUUUGGAUCCUUUGUUUUUAUUUUUUAUAAUAAGAGACUUAUUUGUUCUGGAACAUGGGAAGAUAAUUUAUAUCAUUUAAGUCCUAUGAUCCAUUCUAUGCAUGACACAGUGAUCAAUAAUGAUGAGCAUACACAUUUAUCUAAGAAAAGAAAUAUUUCUUCCAACUAAUGUUACCUCUGGCAUUUGCGCUUGGGUCAUAUAAAGCAAAAUAGGAUACAGAGAAUGAUCAAAGAUGGGCUCUUGGGUCUAUUGGAAAAUGAAUCAUUGCCACUUUGUGAAUCCUGUUUAGAAGGGAAAAUGACCAAAAGACCGUUCUCGGCCAAAGGAGUGCAUGCAAUAGUACCACUUGAAUUGGUACAUACAGAUGUAUGUGGACUAAUCAAUAUACAAGCUUGAGGAGGUUAUGAGUAUUUCAUCACUUUCAUUGAUGAUUACUCAAGAUACGGUUAUGUUUAUCUGAUGCGUCACAAGUCUAAAACUCUUGAGAAAUUCAAAGAGUAUAGGGCUGAGACAGAAAAGCAAUUAGGUAAGAACAUAAAGCAACUUCGAUCUGAUCGAGGUGGUGAAUUUCUUUCUGGAGAUUUCAAAGAGUAUCUGGUAAAAAAUGGGAUUAUAUCUUAGUUAACUGCCCCAAGAACACCACAACAAAAUGGGGUAGCAGAAAAGAGAAAUAAAACUCUUUUAGAUAUGGUGAGAUCUUUACUUAGUUAUUUGUCAUUACCAAUCUCUUUUUGGGGACUAGCACUGGAAACUGCAGUUUACCUCUUGAACUUAGUUCCAUCUAAGUCAGUGCCUAAAACUGCAAUAGAAUUAUGGUAAGGUCACAAACCAAGUUUACGACAUGUCCAUAUUUGGGGAUCACCAACACAUGUGCUGAAACCAAAAGCAGAAAAAAUGGAUUCACGUUUUGAGGUUUGUAUGUUUGUGGGGUAUCUCAAAGGAACAAUAAGAGGUUUAUUUUAUAGUCCUUAAUAUAGAAAAGUGAUUGUGAGCACACAUUUCACUUCCCUCGAGGAAGACUAUAUGAAUAACUUCAAACCUAAGAGUAAGGUAAUACUUGAAGUACUGUCAGGUGAUCAGGUCUUUCAACACCUGUUAUAGAACAAGAAGAAGAACAACAACUAGCUGAUCAACACAGGAUUAUCCCUAAACAACCAUCACUUUUAGAACCUCGUCGUAGUGGGAGGGUAAGUAGGUUACCUGCGAGAUACAUGUUAUUGGGAGAAACUUAUACGACUAUCUCAGAUGAACAUGUACAAGAUCCCACUGGCUACAACGAAGCUCUAAUAAACAGAGAUGUUGAAUUCUGGAAAAAGGCCAUAAAUCAAGAAAUGGAAUCUAUGUAUUCCAAUAAAGUCUGGGAACUUGUAGAGGCACCAAAUGAGGUAAAACCUAUAGGGUGCAAGUGGAUCUAUAAGAGAAAAAGGGGAGUAGACGGAAGGGUGGAAACAUUCAAAGUAAGAUUAGUAGCCAAAGGUUUUACUCAGAAAGAGGGAAUCGAUUAUGAGGAAACAUUUUCUCCGAUUGCUAUGCUUAAAUCCAUUAGGAUUCUACUCCCUAUUGCUGCAGUACUAGAUUAUGAAAUUUGGCAAAUGGAUGUUAAGAUUGCCUUUCUUAACGGGCAUCUUGAAGAAGACAUCUACAUGCAGCAACUAGAUGGAUUCAUACAAAAAGGCCAAGAACACAUGGUAUACAAGUUGCAGAGAUCUAUUUAUGGAUUGAAGCAAGCAUCCCGGUCAUGGAACGCCAGAUUUGAUCAAGCGAUUAAAUCGUUUGGAUUCAUUCAGAACAUUGAUGAACCAUGUGUGUACAAGAAAAUUCAGGAAAAAUCUGUAGCCUUCCUAAUUCUUUAUGUAGAGGAUAUUCUCCUAAUUGGAAACGAUAUAGGAGUAUUGACUACAAUAAAAAGUUGGUUAGCAAAAUAAUUUGAUAUGAAAGACCUGGUAGAGGCAAGUUAUAUUCUUGGUAUCAAGUUACUAUGAGACAGGAAGAUUAAAACUUUAGCCUUGUCUCAAGCGGUCUUUAUCGAUAAAAUAUUGGCUAGAUUUAGCAUGGAAAAUUCCAAGACUGGUUUAUUACCAUUCAGACAUGAAAUUACAUUCUCUAAGGAUCAAUCAGCUAAAACAUAUGAAGAGAUAGAGAAAAUGAGACGAGUUCCGUGUGCAGAAGUUGUGGGAAGUCUCAUGUAUGCCGUGCUUUGCACUAGACCAGACAUCUGUUUUGCGGUAGGGAUGGUUAGCAAAUAUCAAUGUAAUCCUAGACCUGAACACUUGACUGCGGUCAAGCAUAUAAUAAAGUAUCUGAAAAGAACUAAAAAUUAUAUGCUUGUGUAUUCUGGUGAUGAACUCAUUCCAGUGAGUUAUACAGAUUCUGACUUUCUGUUAGAUAAGGAUUUCAGAAAAUCAACUUCUGGCUAUGUGUUUACAUUAGGAAGUGGAGCUAUUAGUUGGAGGAGUGUGAAACAAUCUUGUAUCGCAGACUCCACAACUGAAGCUGAAUAUGUGGCUGCAUCUGAAGCUGUAUGGCUCCACAAGUUCCUAUAAGAUCUUGAGGUGGUACCUGCUGUAACUGCACCCCUUAAACUAUUUUAUGAUAAUAGUGGUGUGGUAGCUCAAUCUAAGGAACCACAAGAAACAAAAACAUAUUGAGAGGAAGUAUCAUCUCAUAAGGGAUAUAGUGCAGAGAGGUGAUGUGGAGGUUACUCAGAUUGCGUCACAGCAAAACUUGGCAGAUCCUUUUACUAAGGCCAUACCUGGGAAACCUUUUAACUUGCACUUAGAAUCCAUGAGCAUGCGUGAGAUGCCAAAUAUGCUUUGAGAGUUAGUGGGAGAUUGUUGGGAAAAUGUGCUCUUUAAAAGCAUAUGUGUUAAUUUAAUUGUAAUAAAUAAUUUUUCUAAUUAAUAAAAUAUAUGAGGUAUUUUAUUCAAGUAUUUUAAUUGCAUUGAUAUUUUGAGUAAAGUCCAUUCAAUCCUAUUAUAUGUAUUUAUGUGAUCACUAUGUGGAUUCACAAAAGACAUAAAUACAAGUUAUCUUAUGAUUAAAUAAAUUAUGUUCGCAGUUGAUAAAUAAAGUUGGGCACUUUAUUUAGGUAUAGACUGUAAUAAAUUCAUUGAAUGAUUUGUCUUAAUCAUGUAUGAAUUUAUUGAUGUAGUGCGACUACAUUGAAUAGGUUUGGGACUACAUUGAUGUAGUCAAGAUUACCAGGUAUCUUGGUGAGAGCAAUUAUGAGUAUUGGAGUUAUAGAUUAACAAUAUAGAAUUUGUACAACACAUCUCUUGAUGGGUUUUCGGUACUUGAUCAUAGAAUUCUCUGGCCAGAUUAUGUCGACAUAUUUAAUAUGUUGAAAAUGAUCAUUAGAGAAAACCAGUAAGUAUCAAGGAAUAAGAUGUAAUUAAAUUGAUUGGACAGUUGAGAUAUCGAUUUAAUUAAUGAUGUGGUACAAAUGAUUGAGCAGUCAAGAAAUCAUUGUGGUUUGGGACGAAUUAUUAUUCGAACAUACAAUUAUGGAGGUUAGUUCCAAUCUUAUAGUGGGGUAGAGUUGGAAUUAAAUGAUUAGGCUUAUUUAACUACAAGCUUAAUUGUUGUAGCCACUAUUGUAUGUUCCAAAAUGAUCCCCGGGUUAGCUCAUUUAAUUGACUGCACCACUACUGGAUUAAUAAGCAAGAUAACUAGCUAUUUGGGUCAAAAGGCUAAAUAUAUCAUUUAGUGGGAGGCUCCAUUUAAUAUGCUUGUGUGUAAGGGACCUUAUGUUAUUUUACAAGGUGGACCCCCUAUAGAAAAAGCAAGUACCGUGGCUUUUGGUUUUUAUUAUUUGGAGCUAAGGAUUUUCACUAAAUGGAAAUAUAAAAAGGCUUAUUUUCUCUAAAGAAAAGAGAUAGAGCCACAUUAUACAGACCAAGAGAAAAAUAAUUUCUCUCUAAUUUUGAGAAAAAAUUUCUCCUGCUAGUUGCUUUUAGUGGUGAUAAAGGUGCCCACACGUUAAGUGCAGAUCAAACUUGAGUUAUAGCCUGGAAGGUUAUUUGAUGGCGGAUCGUGAUCUAAAAGGAGUGGUGGUGACGGAUCGUGAUCUGGGAGCCUAAAUCACUUCAGCGGAAAAAGCAAAAAUUGUUCAUCUUCUCGGAUUGUCAAGGUAUGAUUUUCUAGAUUAUGAAUUCCUAUAUAUUUUAUGAGAUUGGUCCUAAAAGUUUUUUAAAAAAAAUUUAAAAAACUGAUUUUUCCCCAACAUCAACCCCACAAAACUGCUUAUUGAUUGUCCUCAUUUUGAACUUACUAUAGGAUUCACCCUCCUUGUUUUACAACUUACUUUAUACCCUUACGUUGAGAGGAAGAUCAGGCCAAUAAUCAUAACACGCAUUGCAGGGGUAAAAUUUCGAACACACCAUGUGGCAUUUAGACCAUUUGAUAGUUUGUUUCAUACAUAUUUGUUUAUAAAAUACUUUUCUUCAUGGAUUUGGUGACGUAAUUUUCUAUGUAUGUACAGGUUUUAUCGAUACGUCUUUUGACAAGUUACACUUACAUAGCAAUGUUAUCUGUGUUCAGCCUUGCCUUAUUGAUACCUUAUUGAUAAACUGUGCUUCUGUGAUGAAGAAUGUUUUCUCUGUCAGUGGAUAUCCUAAUCAUUGAUCCAUAUACUUAGGUUAUAUUACCCAUUAGGAAGUAUGUAUAAAAAUUAUUUUAUAUCUUCUUUAUUAGAAAUGUUGUAAUUCUUUAUUACUUUUCCUGAAUUAUAACAUCAGAUGUCUAUAAUAACUGGAUUAUUCCUUCUGCAAAACAGAGCAGUGGUAAAUAUUUUUUUUCUUUUGUUUGUUUAGCACAUUUCCAUGAUUUCAGCUUUUUCAAAUUUUGUAUGUGUCAAAGUUUAAAUUUAAUUUGUUGGUUUAUCGUACAAUAACAGGAACAGCAUCAAAGAGGAGCUGCCAAUGGACUUGCUAUGACUGUAGUGUCGCUUACCAAAACUGCCGGUCCAGCUGUAGGAGGUGCUCUGUGAGUGUCCUAUUGAUUUUGUAAAAUUAUAUGUAAAUAAUGUUAUAAUUGUUUUUUCAUUAAUUGGGGUUCUGGCAGAUUUUCUUGGUCACAAAAGCGUCAAGAUGCUGGUUUCCUCCCAGGUAUGAUGAUUUACUGAUGAAAUUUCUGACGAGUUUGUGAAUUACUUUGUCCUAAUUAGCUUAGUUAGCUGCUUAAACUAAAGUGCAGGUAACCAGAUGAUUUUUUUCAUUCUGAAUUUGGUCGAGGCACUAGGAGUAAUAUUGACAUUCAAACCAUUUCUAACUCAACGUGUCCCGUGAGUAGAGAAAAGAUGCAUCUGUUGAAAUAUUCAAAUAUAUGUCAAGCAAAUUAAAGCUUUCAAAAUCUAUCAACAAUUUGAUUAUUUGAUGUGGUUUUCCACUUGCCGUAUUUUGUUUUGCUGUUCUAAAGGCUUAAAUAUGAAAAUGGUGGUUGGCGCUCACACCAAUCGAUUGCUGUUAACAUUGUUCAGUACUUUUCUCUGUCGACAUUUAUACUUGUUCAUUGUCAGAACUACGACAAUUUAUCUUUACAAUGAUGCAAGCUAGAAAGAAUUUUUCAUGUUAAGUAAAAUAUUGAAGCCACAAAGAGUCUGAAUUAAGUACUAAGUUUUCUGCCAUGCUUUCAACGGCAGCACAUUUGUAGCUCUUAUUCCAGGGGCUCCACAGUAGAGAGACCUGAUUUCGACCUUCUUCAGAACUUGGGGAUUCCGUAAUAACAGAGGACAACAGUUAUAUAAGAAUAUUAUUUUGUACAAUUUUCGUAUAACCUGACCAAUGCAAGUAUAAUUUUAUGAUCUUAACUCAUAUCAAAAGACCUUCAAUGAUGUAAAAUUUGCACAUAAAGAUGAGAACCAAACAUUAGAACUUAUGAUGAAACGGAAACAAAAACAUUGAGAUUGAAAAGAUAGAGAAACACAAGCUUUUUAAAAGGAAUAAAUGUUCAUUUAGUCUCUAUAUUUUGACUUAAGAGCGCAUUUAGUUCUUAUAUUUUAAAAAGUGCCUCAACCUCGAGUAGGGCUGGCAAAAAUCCCCACGGCGACGGGUACCCUUGGGGAUUUUCCCUAUUCGGGGAGGGUAUGGGGAUAAUUUCAUACCCAAUUUCUUAUUCAGGGAAGGAACGGGGAAAUUUUUUUACCCAAUUUCUUAUUUGGGGAGGGGACGGGGAUGAGGUGGAAUCCCCAUCCCCUACCCAUUUCCCCAUUUUAAUUUUUUAUUUUAUUUUUAUUUUUUAAAAUUACUAGUAAAUAAAUUAUAAAAUUUGAAUUAUAAAAUUAUAAAUAUUGGUAAAAAUAACAAAUAUCAAAAUAUUUAUAUUAUUAAACUUUUAGGCCUAAUUAACAAAUUAAAGUCCUAAAUUUUUAUUUAGGACAUUAAAAAGACCGGAUAUAUUCUAUUAGCCCAAAAAUUUUGUUUUAAUUUUAAUAUUCAUUAAAUAUUUUAAACUUAAAUCUAUUUAUUUAUUUAUUUUUAGAUGUUAUAAUUGCCCACAGCAAAUCACAAUUUUAAUAUCUAAUCUAAUCUAAUAUUUGCUCUUGAUUUGCUCGGACUUAACUAUUGUGCUGUAAAGGGAAUAGUCCACAUUUAUAAAGUGCCCACGCCACCAUUGAAAAAGUUAAUUUUGAAUCUAAAUUCGAUUUUAUCUGUAACAAUUUUGUAUUAGACUAUUAAUUUAUUCAUGAUAGUUUGUAUCCCUUGCAUGCUGCGUUACUUACUAAUUUAAUGUAUGUGACUUUUGUAAUAGAUAUUAAUGUAAGAUAUAUUUCGAACUUUACUUUUAUUUGAAUUUUUUUUAUUUUAAUAUGAUUAACUCAAAAUCGAAAAUAAAAAAAUGUAUUAGUUAUUCGGGGAUCGGGGAUCCUCUGUUAUUAUUCGGGGAGGGGAUGAGGAUUCUCUCAAGUAAUUCUGACGGGGACGGAGAGGGGAUGAGGACAUACGCAAAAUAUCGGGGAUGGGUACGGGGAGAUUGGUCCCCUCCCCUCCCCUCCCCUCCCCAUUGCCAUCCCUAACCUCAAGACACCCCUACUGUGUUGGAAUAAUAUUUUUGGGAAUAUCAAUGAAAAGAAAAAAAUGGUAAUUCAUCUAGCCAGCCUUAAACAAAAUAAAUAUUAAUAAAAACUUUUAUGUUAUUAUUUUAGUUUUAGGACUAAUUUCGUAAAUUAAAUUUUUUAUGCAUUUAUUAGUAAGAUUGCUUUAAGAAUAUUAAACAUUACUUUAAGAUGGCUGUUAUUAAUUUAUUUAUAAAGAAUUAUUAGCAAGAUUGUUGUAAAAGUACAAAAAAUACUGGUUAUUUCAUAUUGAUAUUUAUUGAUUAAUUUUCCAAUUAACUUUUUUAUAAAUAAAUAAAUUAAUUUAAGAAUAUUAUUGCCAAGAUAUUAUUGUAAAAGUAAAUAAAAUUUAAGGAAAAAUGUAACGUAUUUAAUAUCAAGGUAUAUUGAGGUAUUUUUUAAAAUAUAAAAACUAAACGAGCAUUGAAGUUAAAAUAUAGGUACCAGACGAGCAUUUUCUCUUUUAGAAAGUUUUAUAUUUUAUUAAUGAAAGUCUGAAUAACAAAAUUAAGGUUUUGGACUUCUUUUAAACUAAACUUAAAUAUCACAAAUUUACCAAAAUAAGUAAACCUAACAUAUUACUACAUAAUAACAUUCUCCUAACUGAAAUAAGAUAAAUGUUACUCAAAUUCUAUAUCUAGAAAAAAAAAGAUAAAAAUCCUGAAAACAAUAGGAAAAUAGAUCUUAAACUUGUAAAAUAAUAUGAAAUAAAUAUAAUUUUCAAUCGAACCACGAGACUAAUGCGGUGCUACAGUAUUAGAUUAGAUUCCCCUCGUCGCGAACUUCGAAAUGUAUAUUAUACACCCUAAAUAGAUACUUAUAGCUCAAGUUGUUACCCUAGAGAGAUACUCCACUCAUCCUACGCAACCAUCCGCUGCAUCAAAUUCGUUCCAAAAUUAAGAAUAAACCAGCUGAUGCAUUCCAAAUAAUUUAGAUGAAACGAUAAAAUAAACCUAGAGAUCAAAUAACAUGAAAUGAAAAAGAUAAUUACCUUGGACUGAAGCUCAUACAAAUUCAUUAUUUGACACCUGCAGCAAUUGUUGAAAUAAUAGUUAAUGAAAUAUAAAAUAAGACAAGUACAUAUUAAUGAAACACCACUGUGAAUCGAUAGCUAAGGACGGAGUAAAAUUUAAUUGUAAAUUAGGACAGUAGAGCAAGCAUCCAUAAACAUAACAUGAACGUAAUACAUCAAUUGAAAUAUCAUAGGAUAAAUUAGGACGUCAGAGAAAGAAAUAAGUAAAUAAAUCAGCAAAGGAAACAUGCAUAAACAAAUAAAAAAACAAAGACAAAAUAAGGAAGAGUUUGUGAUAAUUUUCUUCUAUGGUCAUUGAAGUCCAAAAACUAAUAAGGAUCGAGCAAUUGAACGGUUGCAAACUCAAUGGAACCUUAAAAAUGAACAGUGAAGGAAAAUGAAGAAAUCUGCAGGAAAUAAGGCGAUUGAGAGUGAAGAAUUAAUUACCACUGAGUAAAUGCGAAUGAAGAAUGGAGACAGAUCCUUCUUCGCCCCAUUGAAAAGUGAGAUUCAUAGAUUGUAUUGAAAUUGAGAGUUGAGAUCAAGAAGCGAUUCUUCUUCUCCGUAAUUUCCUUUUUCUUUUAAUGUUGUUAUUAUUAUUAUAUCUUUUUUGAUAUCUUUUUUGUUUUAAACGGUAUUGGCAUAUUCUAUUUAUUUAUGUUAAUUUUACAAUACCUCCCUUCAGAUUGCACAAAUUACAUAAAAAAAAAAAAAAGUGCUUUAUGUAUAAAACUUUCAAACAAAUUGGGCCAAAAUCUAACUUUACCAAGUUUAGAGUAAUUUUGGGCUCGACAUUCCAUUUCCGACAAACGAAUUUUCUUUAUCACCAAGGUAUGAUACUUUUCAUAUUUAUCCAACGGCUCGUCAAUGACAAUACCUUUGUAAAAAGUACUUAUUUUGAAUAGUAUAUUGUGGAAAUGUCUGGUCGGUAAUACAACUAUUUCUUAUAGUGUAAAAAUGAUACACUAAGCGUUCACAUUUUGAUGAGUAAAUUAAGGAUUUCAAGAUGAAGUACAUAAUUAGAUUAAUGCUAAGAAACUGAAGUUUGAUCGAUUGAAAAUGAAAAUAAUAAUGAAGGUAAUUAAGAAAAUGAACAAUAUAUGCAGAAGCGGUCCUUAUUAGGACUUCUAGAUUUUCUCUUGGGCUUUCCUUAUUAUUGUUAAAAAAUGAAACGAAGAACUUUGAGUUUAAAAAUCUGGCCCUGAUGCCUGGUAGCCCUCCAACAUAUGAAGCACCAGAUGUUUUGAUGAGAAAAUGACAAGACCAUUUAUCAAAUUUCUUGUGGAUAUAAAUACAUACACAUAGACGAGACCAACCUCCUCAAAUGAGAAUCAGAGUGAUUAAAAGACCUUGCAAUGAGACAAUGAUACACCAUCAAAUGUCAAAAUACAAUAGAAAUUCACGACAUAUAUAUAAUAAAAGACCUCUCAUUGAGUCAUAUAUAUUGAGAAAAAAAAAUGUUAUAAUACAUACACAGAGCUUAGUUAGAAUAAAAUGUCUUUGAACUUGCGAUGAUCAAACAAAGGAAACAGACAGGUUGUAACUCACACUAUCACAAGAAGAUCACGAAGAUGGAAAUGGGAACCCAUCAGAAUGGAAACUUUGAAUAGAGGAAAAAAGAAAAACGACCUUAUUCACAGAAGAAGAGUGACUUAAAUCUUCAUCAGUAUCCAGACAUUUUGCAAUCAUAGAGUAGAGAAAUUUUAACAGGAACAGCAGAGAAAAUAUUAUGAAUAUGCUAUAGACCAAUAUACUUGUUCAUAGCUGACGUUUGAUGGUUUAAGGAUUUGUUCUAGGAAUAAUGGGCUGAUUACUUUCUUUUUAUUUUUUUAUUUUUUAAUCCAAUGAAUGAUAUUCAGCUGUUAAUUAUGUGUUCAUAGGGAAGAACAUUUUCUAAGUACUUUCCUUGCCUUCUAACUUUCCGAAAAGCAAACCCAAUGAACAAACAGAGGACAAACUAAAAUAAAAGAACAGCAAUGAUGACAAUAAAUAAUUGGCAAAGAAAAAAAAGGAAAAAGUAUGCACGUUUUCAAGGAAUUAUAAAAUAUGAAGGCUUUUAAUGAAACUUAAUCAUAAAAAGUAUGCAAGGAAUUAUAAAAUUUUAGAAAACAAGGGGAGCUCUCAAAAAAAAAUGAAAAACUCAAAUUAAACUAGACUAAAAGACAUUCAAUUUUGCAAAAUCUGUCCAUAAAAGUCUGAAAGGAUCAUUAAAAUUGCAUUGCAAAUUUAACAGUAAACCGAGGGACCCAUUCUAAAUAAUUCAGAUGAAAUUGCGAAACAAGACAUGGGAUUAAAUAAAUGAAAUAAAAAUUAAUUACCAGUUGAGACUUUCUUCUAAAAAUUCGCAACUCCAAGUCAUAAGAAGCCUAUGAAAUUAGUCGUACUGCGUAGAGUAUGACGAUGACACCGCCAACAGUUGAAAGUAAAAUUCUUAUUCAUCAAUUUAAACUUACUUUAUAACAAAUAUCUUAUCUAUAUUGUAUUUAAGAAAUCAAAUUUUGUAAAAAUUUAUCAUGGGAGAUAGAGAGUAAUAUGUAUAUACGUACCUUCUCAGCAUGUAAUUGUUGUAUGGUUGUGUUUAGAUCAUUAUUAGCCCAGCGCCGUUGAUCCGCUGUCUCUCCAUAGCAGACGUUUACUCUUAGAGGCGUGAUUGAUUCUCCUGUAGUGAAAAUCUUCAUCUUGGGACAACCAAUCACCCACAAAUUUUGCAAAGAUGGCAAUUUGACGGUGUAAUUGGCAGAGCAGAAACAAUCUCUUCUUUUUCAACUCCAUCUUUGUCAUUUAUUACCACCUCUGUCAUUGCUCUGCAUCCAUAUAUUUCUAUUGCUACGAGUCGCACCAGAGUUUUUGCUGUGGAGGAUGUUACCAUGUGUAACAAUUUCUUGCAACCGAAAGCCACCACAGCUGUUAGGUUCUGAAAAGAUACCGAUGAUGAUGGCAAUAGAAUUAACAGACUUUGACAAUGAUAUGCUUUUAGAAUUUCAAGAUACUGAAAAAUGGGGCCAAGUUUGGAGUCUUGUUUGCACAGCUGCUUCAGAUGAUAGUGCCAGCGCAGCUCUAAUGUUUUUAUCAUUGCCAACUUUCCCGCAUGUUUCUCUAAGCUUCCUUCCUCCGAAAAUACCUCUUCGUGGAAUGAAAAUUGAAACAGUGAGAGCAUUUCAAGAUUGUGAAAUCUCUCAAGUACAUUCCAGAUUGGAAAACAAGCUGAGUUAUCUUCGGCAAUCUCUAGUUGUUUAAGACUGCCAAAAAGGUGUUGUGGGAAAUCGGCCUGCAAAAUCAUCUUCACGUCUUUUCCAUUCAAUGAUAGGUCCUUCAAGUUGGGUAAGAUCUGAUCAUCAUAAAUCAUAAUAACUAAUGAGGUCAAUUGAUGUUCUCUCAAAUGAUUUUGAGUAAUCCAAUCACAAGCAGUGACUUUAUAGUAUCUGUUUUAUAUUAAUUUUACCCCCCAAAAAAAAUUGAAUUAGUGAUAAAAUUCAUUAUAUGAUUUUUUUAUAUGUUAAUUUUAGAGGUAAAAAAGAAAUUAGGGAAAAAGAGUUGAUUUAUAUUUGCAUGAAAAUAUUUUAUUUCACAACAAUAAAUUAUUAAUUUAUUUUGUAAGUCGUUGUAUAAAGAAAAACUAAGGAUUCUUUACCUAAAAAAGUCCAUAUAAUUAUUAAUCUCCCACAUUGAUCCCUUAGUCAUGACUAGCAAAGAUUUUUAUGUAAUAAAAAUUUUCAAUUUAUUAAGUAUCAAUUUAUAAAUGUUUUGUUACAUUUUUCAAAGUCAAAAAUCGUCAAUGAGCUAUUGAAAAAAAUAUCUAGAAUAUGACUUCAUACCUUUUCCAACGGCAAUAAGGGCUGUUGUGCAGGAAUAUCAAGUUGAUUAUUCUCUUUAUUCUGCGAUAAAUCUGCAGCGAAUAUCUUUAAUUUGUCACAACGACACACUGCAAAAUUUUCUAGUGCUGGCCAUUCCGAAGUAUGCAUUCCUGGGUAUAAACAUCUAAGUUUUGGUAGACCUUGGAGAAUCAGAACGGUGAGCUGUGGAAAGACAAAAUAAGGGAUCACUUCAUCUGCUCUGUUUUCAGAAACGAUCUCCUGUAAAUCCUCACAGAAGCGUAUAUCUAAGUGCUGGAGCUGCUUGAGGUUUCCGAUCAUAGACGCUGAAAAUAUGAUUUAAUUAUUUUCCACGUAUGACAUCAAAAGAGAACGCAUGAUAGAAUAAAAUCUGUUAUAUAUAUAUAUAUAUAUAUGAAGAAAAUGUUAGCCUACUGUUGCGGACAGCCCAAUUCGCUAGCCCAAUUGCCCACAAUUUCGGGCUAGAGAGCCAACACAAGGCCAAGAGUGCUAGCUUGGCCCAAUUCCGGAAGGUUCUAGGCAACUCUAGCACAUGUGAACAUGUAAAUAUUCUAGAAUACUUUAUACAAUUCCAGCACAUGUAGAAUUCUCCAUAGAAUUCCAGCACAUGUAAAUAGCUAGGAAAUGGUAGAAUUCUCUAGAAUCUCUAGAGCUUGGCAAGCCUCCCCUAUAAAUAUGGGAUGACAUUAGGCAUUUGUAUCCAACAAGCAUUGUAAGCAACUCAAGCAUUGUAUUAUCUCUUUGUGCAAUACAAGUUUUCUUCUAUUGGCUCAAUUGCUCUCUCUCUCUUCUCUAGUUCGAGAAGCUCUAGGCUUACUUAGCAACAUUCGGCAAAGUUGUCUAAGUGCCGCACGGGUUAGCUGCGCAAAACACUCAUCCCGUGACAAGUGGUAUCAGAGUUAAGGUUUGCACGCACGCAAAUUAGCUCACGAGCAAUGGCCAACCCUUCGAAUCCAGCACAAGAGGGUGUUGUUGGUGUGGAUGUUCCACCGGAACCAAGCCGCGGCCGAGAGGGAGAACGCGCCCAAGGCAAGACUCGCGGCAAGUCCAAGGUCCCAUCCGUGGAUGCGUUGGAGCCUUGUGUGACUACUCUCGAAAUCGCAUUGUCCGCCGCUCAAGAUAGCCUCGAAGGAUUGGAGGAAAGAGUGGAUGGUCUCGAGGGGGAAUACGUCGAGUUCACGGUGGCCACAAAAGCUCUCAUCCAAGAGCAAGCGAACACUCUCAGAGGUGAGUUUCGUUCUUUCCAUGAUGAGUUGCUAAAACUUCGUAGUUUUGUUCAGGACGAACUACGCAAUGUCCGUGCGGAAGUGGAUGAAGUCCGCUCGGAUUGGGCAUGGCACAAGCGCACACUCUCCUCAAGUCCAGCUUCCGCAAACUCGAGUGAUGCGCGCUGCAUUGACGUGCCAAAGCCCGACACUUACGAUGGCACACGCAACGCCACAAUCGUGGACAAUUUUCUCUUUGGGCUUGAUCAAUACUUCGAUGCCAUGGGUGUCCGAGACGAGGCAUCGAAAGUGGGCACUGCACCCACCUAUCUUAGAGGCACUGCACAACUAUGGUGGCGUCACAAGCAUGGCGAGAUGGGCAAGGGCAUUUGCACCAUCGACACUUGGGCCGACUUCAAGCAAGAACUCCGAAAGCAGUUCGCCCCAAGCAAUGCGGAGAAGGAAGCGCGAGCGCGCUUACGUCGCCUCAAGCAAUCGAGUAGCAUUCAGGACUACAUCAACGAGUUCACUACCCUUAUGUUGGAGAUAAGCGACAUGUCCGACAAGGAUUCACUCUUCUACUUCCAAGAUGGCCUCAAGGAUUGGGCCAAGACCGAGCUUGAUAGGCGUGGUGUUCAAACACUUGACGACGCCAUUGCCGUUGCGGAGUCACUCACCGAGUACUCUACCCAAUCCAAGGACAAAAAGGCCAACCAAGGCAAAGGUGGGGGAGAGAGUCGCAAGGACAAGGGCAACAACCGCAAAGAUUGGGGGCAGAAAAAGCCGCCUAGCAACAAGAGCGGGCAAGGAAAAUCGGAGGGCAAGAAGGAAGUGCCAAAGCCGCGAAGCCCAUGCUUCAUAUGCAAUGGUCCUCAUUGGGUACGCGACUGUCCGGAGAAAAGGUCACUCAACGCUCUUGCUGCCCAACUCAAGAGCAACCCCACAAUGUCCGCGGAGGAACCCCAACUCAGCAUGGGUUCUCUCCAACGCCUCGGCGCACUCAAUCGCCAACAGCCCGCACUCGUCAAGAAAGGGCUCAUGUAUGUAAGCGCAAAGGUAAACGGUCAAUCCGUUCACGCGCUGCUAGACACGGGAGCGACGCACAACUUCGUGUCCAUAGACGAGGCCAAGCGCUUAGGCCUCAAGGCCACCAAGGAAGGAGGCACAAUGAAAGCGGUAAACUCACCCGCCAAGCCAAUUGCGGGGAUCGCACAAGGCGUGCACAUCACACUCGGUACGUGGAGCGGAAAGCUUGACUUCUCUAUUGUGCCCAUGGAGACUUCAAGAUGGUCCUCGGCAUGGAAUUCUUCGACCAAGUCCAUGCCUUCCCGCUGCCCGCUACAAACUCCCUAAGUAUCCUCGAUGGGAGCAAAGCAUGCAUGGUACCCACAGAGCGAGGCAAGUCCGAGGAGAAGACACUCUCCGCCAUGCAAUUCAAAAGGGCUUUCAAGAAGGACCCAAGCUUCUUGGUCUCCAUUCGGGAACUAAACGAGGAAGGAAAUAGCGGAACUUCGCCAAGCCAAGUCCCUCCGCGAGUUCAAGCCGUCCUCAAUGAGUACAAGGAUGUGAUGCCUCCAGAACUUCCGAAGAAGCUCCCACCUUGACGAGAGGUAGACCAUGCGAUCGAGCUGGAAUAAGGCGCGAAGCCACCAGCCUUGGAGCCCUAUCGCAUGGCGACCCCCGAAUUAGAGGAGUUGCGGAGACAACUCAAAGACUUGCUGGACGCAGGCUACAUUCGCCCCUCAAAGGCCCCAUUCGGUGCACCGGUCCUCUUCCAAAAGAAAAAGGAUGGAUCGCUACGGAUGUGCAUCGACUAUAGAGCACUCAACAAGAUCACCAUCAAGAACAAGUAUCUGAUUCCCUUGAUCGCGGACUUGUUCGACCAGCUUGGCAAAGCACGGUACUUCACCAAACUUGACUUGCGCUCCGGGUACUACCAAGUGCGCAUUGCCAAGGGAGACGAACCGAAGACAACAUGCACAACAAGGUAUGGGUCUUUCGAAUUCCUUGUAAUGCCUUUUGGCCUUACUAAUGCACCCACCACAUUUUGCACGCUCAUGAACAAGGUACUCCAACCAUUCCUCGAGCGCUUCGUGGUCGUGUACUUGGAUGACAUAGUGGUGUAUAGCACCACGCUCGAGGAUCAUGCCCAACACUUGCGACAAGUCCUCCAAGUACUUCGAGACAAUGAGCUCUUCCUCAAACUAGAGAAGUGCUCGUUUGCCCAACAAGAGGUGGAGUUCCUUGGCCACAAGAUUGCGGGCGGGAAGAUCAUGAUGGAGAAUGCUAAAGUAAAGGCCAUCCUCGAUUGGGAGCCUCCCUCGAAAGUGCCCGAGCUUCGCUCAUUCCUUGGGCUGGUGAACUACUACCGCCGCUUCAUUAAGGGCUAUUAAGCUAAGGCGGCACCCUUGACGGAUAUGCUCAAGAAAAACAGAACGUGGCAUUGGUCCGAAGAGUGCCAACGCGCAUUCGAGGAGUUGAAAAAGGCAAUUUCGGAGGAACCAGUCCUCGCCCUUCCGGACCACACAAAGCCCUUCGAAGUGCAAACGGAUGCCUCGGAUUUCACCAUAGGAGGAGUCCUCAUGCAAGAAGGCCACCCUAUAGCGUUCGAGAGUCGAAACCUAAAUGAUACCGAACGCCGUUACACGAUGCAAGAAAAGGAGAUGACCGCAAUCAUACAUUGCUUACGGGUGUGGCGACAUUACUUGCUUGGCUCGCACUUCACAAUCAUGACGGACAACGUGGCGACAAGCUACUUUCAAACUCAGAAGAAGUUGAGUCCGAAGCAAGCGCGGUGGCAAGAUUUCCUUGCGAAAUUUGAUUAUCGGCUCGAGUACAAACCGGGUAAAGCCAAUGUCGUUGCGGACGCUCUAAGCCGCAAGGCAGAAUUAGCAACACUUAGCAUGAGCCAACUGAAGUCCGACCUUGUCUCACGCAUCAAGGAAGGCCUCCAACAAGAUCAGCUAGCAAAGGAUUUGCUGGAGAAGGUGCUCGAGGGAAAGACAAGGCGAUUUUGGCAAGAAGAAGGCAUCCUCCUCACCAAGGGAGAUCGGCUGUUCGUGCCAAGGUGGGGAAACUUGCGGAAGGAAGUAAUCAAGGAAUGCCACGACUCCAAGUGGGCUGGUCACCCAGGAAUCGAGCGCACCAUCGCACUAGUCCAAGCCUCGUAUUUUUGGCCGCACAUGAGGGACGACAUCGAGGCAUAUGGAUCAUCAACUUCCAGCGGGAUUAUUGGAGCCGCUACCACUAGCAACAAGGCCAUGGGAAAGUGUCUCCAUGGACUUCAUCACAUCGCUGCCUAAGUCCAAAGGUUGCGGAAGCAUCAUGGUCGUUGUCGACCGAUACAGCAAGUACGCCACAUUCAUUGCCGCACCAGUUGAUUGCAAAGCGGACGAGACAACCCGCUUAUUUGUCAAGCACAUUAUGAAGCUUUGGGGAGUUCCGAAGAGCAUUGUGACUGACCGAGACCCUCGGUUCACUGGACGCUUUUGGACGAAGCUCUUCAAGAUGUUGGGGACCGAUCUUAAGUUCUCAAUAAGCUUCCACCCACAAACGGAUGGGCAGACCGAGCGCAUUAAUGGCCUCCUCGAGAUGUACUUGAGGCAUUAUGUGAGCGCUCACCAGCGGGAUUGGGCGAAGCUACUCGACGUCGCCCAAUUUUCUUAUAACUUGCAGCGAAGUGAGGCUACAGGCAAGAGUCCAUUCGAGAUCAUCAUGGGAUUCCAGCCCAUGACCCCCAAUGCCAUAGCCUCGACUUACGGAGGGAAAAGCCCUGCGGCACACAAGCUCGCCCGCGAAUGGCAUGAGGAAGCGGACAUCACGCGAGCCUAUCUCGACAAAGCCGCGAGGAAAAUGAAGAAAUGGGUGGAUACAAGGAGACGGCAUGUUGAGUACAAGGAAGGUGAUCAAGUCAUGAUUAAGCUCCUACCCCAACAAUUCAAGACUUUGCGGAAAGUUCACAAGGGGUUAGUGAGGUGCUACGAGGGACCCUUCCGAGUUGUUCGACGUGUGGGAAACGUCUCGUAUCAACUCCAACUUCCGCCAAGACUCAAGAUCCAUCCGGUCUUCCAUGUGAGCCUUCUCAAGCCAUAUCACGAAGACAUGGGAGAACCAAGUAGCGGAGAAUCGAGGCGCGUGCCAACUGCCGUUGUCACUGCGUUCGACAAAGAUGUGGACUACAUCAUUGCGGACCGCACGGUUUCGAGGAGGGGCGUGCCAGCACAUAGCGAGUACUUGGUGAAGUGGAAAAACCUCCCCGAGAGCGAAGCCACUUGGGAACGUGAAGAUGAUUUGUGGCAAUUCGCUGAGCACAUCCAGAAUUUCAAGCACGAGAGCGCGACGAGGACGCCGCGAGCUUAGGUGGGGGAGGAUGUUGCGGACAGCCCAAUUCGCUAGCCCAAUUGCCCACAAUUUCGGGCUAGAGAGCCAACACAAGGCCAAGAGUGCUAGCUUGGCCCAAUUCCGGAAGGUUCUAGGCAACUCUAGCACAUGUGAACAUGUAAAUAUUCUAGAAUACUUUAUACAAUUCCAGCACAUGUAGAAUUCUCCAUAGAAUUCCAACACAUGUAAAUAGCUAGGAAAUGGUAGAAUUCUCUAGAAUCUCUAGAGCUUGGCAAGCCUCCCCUAUAAAUAUGGGAUGGCAUUAGGCAUUUGUAUCCAACAAGUAUUGUAAGCAACUCAAGCAUUGUAUUCUCUCUUUGUGCAAUACAAGUUUUCUUCUAUUGGCUCAAUUGCUCUCUCUCUCUUCUCUAGUUCGAGAAGCUCUAGGCUUACUUAGCAACAUUCGGCAAAGUUGUCUAAGUGCCGCACGGGUUAGCUGCGCAAAACACUUAUCCCGUGACACUACACACCUUCUCGUUGAAAAGCAGAGUUGAAGUAUCCUCUUGCGAUGAUGGUCUGUUUGGUGAUGCUAAAGGAGUCUUUACUUCACGGCAGAGAUUUAUGAUAUUUUACAAUCAUGUAUUUAGAUUUACUUUAAUUUUAUGUUUAAAGCUUCUACAAUGAAUAGCGUAGCUUGGGCUUUAGUUUCAUUUUCUAAUUAACUUGUUUUAGUUUAUCUUAUAUGCUCGCCAAGUGCUUGUUAUAUUGUCUGAUAAGUUAUAUAACAUUGCUGAUUCUAUAUUAGUAAUGUCAUGUUCCAUUUUCGGAAAUUAUAACACAAAAGUUUUUACAAUGGCUUGCAUCUACAAACUGAAUUGACUUGUAGAGUAAGAGCUUGGAUUAGUGUUAUGUUCUUGAAUAAAUGAAAGUUCAUAUUGUGUAAGAGCAUGUAGAUAUAAAGCAUCACUACCAUUUCUACAAACUGCUUUCAUUCUGUUCAGAUGCUCCUCUUGAACUUUGAAAGGUGCCUCAUUCAAGUCCUAGCUAUAACUACUAGCUCUGAUUGCUUAAGUUCCUGUGCUAGCUGAAACAGAUUUAUUUAAUUAAUUAAUUGUGUAUGUACUAAUUAUAUUGAAAGUAUAUGAAGAAAUUGUUUAACAUGAAUGACUUCUAAAUGACUUAAAAGCCUAAAGGAUAUGUGAAAUAAUGCUCAUUUCACUUGAACGAGCCUAUUAAUACUUGUAUGUCUAUGAUUGUCAAUCUUGCUUAAGUGUUUCAGUUAAGUGGUUUACCUAACAGGGAAAAAAAUUUAAUGGAAAACUUUAGAGUUCUAACAGAAAUAUAGUUGACUGCAGAUAUAGUUAUUUUACGGUACAUAAAUCAUGUUGUCCUAUUCUCAAUGUCCUACGACCUAUUUUAUUUUAUAUGGUCAUUCAUUUUUGCGAUGGUUUUUUGUGCUUAUGAGUAUGGAAAUAGUGGGAUUUAGAGUGGCAAACAAAAAUAUACAUAUAAUCAAGUUUCUUAAUCAUAUAUAUUGGUUUUGGGUAUGAAUGUUUUCCUAUUCUAGUUCUAAGCAAAGUUUCUUCAUUUUGGUCUUCAGAUUUCCAGUAGGUUAAGUUAAGCAACUAUCAUAACUAGCUAGCUAGUUAUUGCCUGCCUUGUCGCCAUUACCGACGCCAUUACAUUGCAUGGCAUAAGGAAUAGUAACUAGGUGAUUAUUGGUGAUUCGUUGAGUUUAUUAUUGGCCAAACAAACAUAUUGGCCUUUACCCACAACUUAGUUUGAUUAGUUAUUAGAUAAUAAAGAGCCUUAAUCUAUGCAUUGCUUUAUUAUUUUUAUUUGGUUUUUCUUUCAACAAUAUUGUUGAUUUCUUAUAAACAGUACUAGUAGUGAAAAAAUGAUGACAACAACAAAAAUAGAAAAUUACAAGACUGCUGAUAAAAUUUCAUUUGCAUGCAUGUCUGACAAAAUUUCCGUGAUUUAAUGUGCUUUCAUGAACGCAAGUCCUAACGUUUCUGUGAUCACAAAAUGAAACUGAAGAUAAAACAGAACAACUACCAAACCUUUCAAGCUUGACGAAGCCAUGAGAAUUGAUAGCUCAGGCUCUGAUACCAAGUAAAAGUUUCUAAUCUGUUUGGUAAGUAAGAAAAUGAGAGAAAAUGAAAGAAAGAACAUAGAUCAUCUAAGAGCUGGAUUUGAUAAGUAAAUAUGAAUCAUCCAUUCAUUAGCUGAUUGCAAAUGUAUUUAUACAAGUGAUGGUUGUCGAAGCCAACAAAAAUAAAUUCCUACUAUAAAUAAAUUGUGUAUAGUGAUUGAGCAGGGUCGUGUCCACAGAGAUCGGUAAUUAUUUAAAUCCUUUUGAAACGUAAAACGUAAAAUGGGGGAAUUGUUGACAAUAAUAAAAAUCAAAUUAAAAUAACAAGAAUACAAAUUAAAGUUGUAAUUCAAAUUGGAGAAAGCUCUGGUUGAAGGAAUUAACUCAGCUUGAUUCGACUACUGAUCAUUGAUUCAAAUAUAGAUUAUUAUUACUUAUGAAUAGACCGGUUAUAGCUACUGAGACCCUCUAAUAGCCAAUCUCUCCUUAACUAGUCGAUAACCAAGGUAUGACCGUUGGUUAUUUCCCUAAUCAAUAGACAACCCUAGAUACGAUCAUAGGAUUUAAUCAAUUGACAACCUGAAAGACCAGAGAGACCCAAAUCCUAAUCAACACAUACGAUGAUUCAUUUAAAUUAGAUUGUUUAUUCUCAUAACACAACUCACUGCUAUGUUAUUCGUCACAAACAUUAAAAGCUUCAUACGAUGAAUCCUUUAAUUAACAAUAGAUUAAGUUGAUAAUUAAAUAGUGGCCAAUUACCUAAUUAACAAACAUAAUCAUGAAAAUAAUUCAGAGAAUAAACAAAUACCCAAAAAGUAAUAAAACAAUUAAAGUAUAAAAUAGAUCUCACAGUAGUGAUGAAUCAAAACUUCAUUAUCCUUCAACCAGAAAAAUAAGUUUAGUUCUUCAUAGAGAGAAGAGAAAAGUUUAGAUCUAGGGUUUCUCUCUUUUUCUCCAAUCCCCAUUUUUCACAAUAGAUUCCUCCCUUAAAUACUCUCUCUCUCUUCUCUUUUAGAAUUCUAUUUAAAAUAAAAUACUAAUAUCUGAAAUAUUAAAUUCGUAAUUACAAAAAUAACCAAAAAUACAAAACACGUUAAACUAAAAACUGCAGGUCCGCAGUUGACAGCACGUGCCCACGCCUUAUCAACAAAGUUCUUCUGACGCUCAUAAUUUCUCCAAGAGAACAAUCAUCCUUAAACAUCAUCUUGUAACUCAAUUUUAUCACCAAUCAAUAGAAUUGCACCUACAAAAGUAAAACACAAGUAAAUCACUAUUAUUAAGUGCAAAACAUCGAUAUUAAGGGAAGUAAACAAUGCAAAACUAGUGCAUAAAUUGCACUCUAACAACAAGGUUCCUGAACAUUUCAGAUUCUAUAUGCUCGAGCUAAGCACCUGAGAGUUGAGCAGUGUGCACUAACAAACUGCUAACAAAAUAACUAACUCAUGCCAGCUCAGCUAACACGUCAGUAACUCUAACUAUCUUGCUUAACAAACUGAAACAAUAACUAACCAUUUUAACUAUCUUAACAAUCCCAAUAAUUUCUCCAUUUGUGUACUUUUUUGAAUCAUAAUCAAAUGGAUAAAUGUUGCAACUAUUUUUUUAGAUAUUUUCACUUUAGGAUGUCAGCCCGAGGAAGUACGGGGGUCUGAGUUAUUCAACUGAAAAUGUCGGCCAAGUUCUUGCCAUCUCAAGUGCAAAACUGAAAAUGUUACUCGUUCUUCUUAACUUGUUUUCUCAUGCAUCAACCCCACAAAACUGCUCAUUGAAGGGGUAAAAUUUUGAACACACCAUGUGGCAUUUAGACCAUUUGAUAGUUUGUUUCAAACAUAUUUGUUUAUAAAAUACUUUUCUUCAUGGAUUUGGUUACGUAAUUGUCUAUGUAUGUACAGGUUUUAUCGAUACCUCUUUUGACAAGUUACAUAGCAAUGUUAUCUGGGUUCAGCCGUGCCUUAUUGAUAAACUGUGCUUCUGUAAUGAAGAAUGUUUUAUCUGUAAGUGGAUAUCCUAAUCGUUGAUCCAUAUCCAUAAGCAAGUAUGUAUAAAAUUAUUUUAUGUCUUUUUUAUUAGAAAUGUUGUAAUUCUUUUUUACUCUUCCUGAAUUAUAACAGCAGGUGUCUAUAAUAACUGGAUUGUUCCUUCUGCAAAACAGAGCAGUGGUAAAUAUUUUUUUCUUUUGUUUGUCUAGUACAUUUCCAUGAUUUCAGCUUUUUCAAAUUUUGUAUGUGUCAAAGUUUAAAUUUAAUUUGUUGGUUUAUGGCAACAACAGGAACAGAAUCAAAGAGGAGCUGCCAAUGGACUGCUAUGACUGUAGAGUCGCUUACCAAAACUGCUGGUUCAGCUGUAGGAGGUGCUAUGUAGGCGUCCUAUUGAUUUUGUAAAAUUAUAUGUAAAUGAUGUCAUAAUUUUUAUUGUCUCCCCCACCCCCUCUCCCCAAAAAAAAAAAUAUUAAAAAAUUAAAAAAUUAAAAACUAAGGCGUGAUUAAAUUGAUCAUUUGUUUGGUAACAACUUGAUUAAUCGGGUUCUGGCAGAUUUUCUUGGUCACAAAAAGCGUCAAGAUGCUGGUUUCCUCCCAGGUAUGAUGAUUUACUAAUGAAAUUUAUCACUAGUAUGUGAAUUACUUGGUGCUAAUUAACUUAAUCAGCUGCUUAAAUUAAAGUGCAGGUAACCUUAUUUUUUUUUCUUUUUACAAUAAUACUCUUGGAAUAAUAUUUCUGGGAAUAUUAAUGAAAAAAUGGUAAUUCAUCCAGCCAGCCUUAAACAAAAUAAAUAUUAAUAAAAACUUUUAUGUUAUUAUUUUAGUUUUAGGACUAAUUUCGUAAAUUAAAUUUUUUUAUGCAUUUAUUAGUAAGAUUGCUUUAAGAAUAUUAAACAUUACUUUAAGUUGGCUGAUAUUAAUUUAUUUAUAAAUAAUAUUAGCAAGAUUGUUGUAAAAGUACAAAAAAUACUAGUUAUUUCAUAUUGAUAUUUAUUGAUUAAUUUGGCAAUUAACUUUUUUAUAAAUAAAUUAAUUAAUUUAAGAAUAUUAUUGCCAAGAAAUUAUUGUAAAAGUAAAUAAAAUUUAAGGAAAAAAUGCAACGUAUUUAAUAUCAAGGUAUAUUGAGGUAUUUUUCAAAAUAUAAAGACUAAACAAGCACUGAAGUUAAAAUACAGAUACCAAAUGAGCAUUUUCUCUCUUAGAAAAUUUUAUAUUUUAUUAAUGAAAGUCUGAAUAACAAAAUUAGGGUUUUGGACUCCUUUUAAACUAAGCCUAAAUAUCACGAAUUUACCAAUAUAGUAAACCUAAAAUAUUACUGCAUAAUAACAUUCUCCUAACUGAAAUAAGAUAAAUGCUACUUAAAUUCUAUAUCUAAAUGAAAAAAAGAUAAAAAUCUUGAAAACAAUAGGAAAAUAGAACUUAAACUUGUAAACUAAUAUGAAAUAAAUAGAAUUCUCAAUCGAACCACGAGGCUACUGUGGUGCUACAGUAUUAGAUUAGAUUUCCCUCAUUGCUAACUUCAAACUGGUAUAUUAUACACCCUAUAUAGGUACUUAUAGCUCAAGUUAUUACCUUAGAGAGAUACCCUACGCAUCCUACACAACCAUCCACUGCAUCAAAGUCGUUCCAAAACAGUAGUUCACAGUUGGUACUGCACAUGAUGCUUGUUUCUCCUUUUGCAUCAACUUUUGUUGUUAACAUUAAUUUCAAUAGCAGCUCGUUAUGUAUGCAACAUUUCAAAAUUAAUCCAAAAAAACAAAAAUUAGUUCAGCUGACUAAAUUUGAAAGCAUGGAUUUGCUGUCGAUUAAAAAUCGUUUUCUAGGGAAAAUUUUUGGAUUGCAAUUCUCAUACAAUACAUAGAAUUAUCAUAAUCUAUAAAUUGUAUUUUUUCUUUUCUACGGUAGUAAGUCAAGAAUCCUUAGUGACAAUUUAAAUUGAAAAAAUAAAAUCAUAAAUAAGAAUUAUUUGAUAAGAAUUAAAAUAAUUGAUAAAUAUUUGAGAGGAACAAUUUUGGAAGACUCGAUCUAAUAGGAGGAGAAUUUGAAUUUUACAACCUUCCGUGAGGAAUCCAAAAUGCACAAUUUGAUGAAAAUUAAAUUUCAAUAGAAAUUGAAUUCCCAUAUAUUAGUGAAAACCAAACAACAGAAAAGUGAAAGGAAUUUGAAUUCAUUUCCUUCCUGUCUCAUCCCUCCAACUAAACACCAUCGAUACCCAAAGGUAUGGGAUUGGGAUUCCAUACUGAUCAGAAUGGGAUUUGUCCAUAUUAUUAGGACCAAUUUUAAAAGCAGUCGGAGUUUAAAAUUGAAAUUAAUCCCAAUUUUUUAUCAAUUUAUGCAUGAAUUUUUGUACGUUUACUUUGGUUUAUUAUUGUUACUUUUAGACAUUUUUAUUGGUUUGAUUUAGGGUCAUUUUGGUAAUCUUGUAAUUUUUAAAAUAGUUACAGUUAGUUAUGCUGUAGAAAUUGAUCAAUCAUGAAGAGAAUCAGCUGAACAUUUAGUAAAAUUUAUUUUUAAAAGUACUUUGUUUUAAAAGCAGUUGUAUGUGUUUCGUAAAUCUUAUUUUUAAACAGGUGCAAGAAUAUAAAUAACUAAAUUGGACAUAAUACUAAAUAAAAUUUAUUUACACAUUUACAAACAUGUAUAUAAAAUAUUUUUAUUAUGUACAUAUAAUUAUUGAUAACUAAAAUAAAUAUUUUAUAUUAUUAAAUUUUAUUCUUUAUUUUGUUAUCUCAAUAUAAUUGGUAAUAAUAAUAAUCUUUUAAAGUUAAUGAUUUUAUUUCUUAAUUAAUAAAGAUAAUUCUGGAUUUUUAUUAUAUAAUGAGGAUAUAUAUAUAUAUAUAUAGAAUUGGAUUAAGUAUAAAAGUGAUUUUCAAAAUCAAAUUUUGAAAAACUAUUCCUUCCAUACUUUUCAAAAUCCACUGUAUGAUGAGAUGAUUUUUCCAAAAAUAAUUACUAAAAAAUUAUAAAACACUAAAAAUUAGGUUUUAGUUUUUAAAAUCACUUUUGAGCUUCCCAAAAACAAUCCUAACGGGCCUUUAUUUGGGUGGUGUUGGAACUUGUAACUUUUGGAUCUUUUAGUUUUUAUUGGUUUGAUACAAGUGUUACACUAAAAAUUGAAUGCAUCUUAAACCCCAAACUUCUUCUUCUUCUUUUUUGAUUGCACAAAAUUAAAAACAAUAGUGAACGCAUUCUUUAAUAAACAAUAAGUAAUUACUAAAAUUGUGUUAAAGAAUUUAGUUGAAACAUAAAUUGAUUUCAAUGUUGUAUAUGCUAAAUUUCUUAAAAAUUUUCUUUCACAGUCUGCGGAAUAGUUUUAUUAGUAUUUUGAAUAAAUAAAAAUAAUUGAUUUAAUUUUUUAAAGAAAUUUAUUAGGUUCAUGUAAAUACGUUUUUGUUAUUUAAAAAGUGUACAAAGUAAAACUUAAUUUUUUAAAUUUAUUAGAUGAAUGGAUAAAAUAAUUGAGUGUUCAUAGUAAAUUUUAAAGUAUAGAUAGUCAGACCCUAAUAUUUUUAAUAAAUGGAAAUUUUUAAAAUAUGUUAAUGAGAAUUAAAAUGAUAAUUAAGGGAGGCAUUCGAGACAUUCAAGAUUGUUAGGAUAGGACAUGAUUGUGAGCGGUUUGAGAUUGGCCCUAAUUUUGAUCACAAAUAUAUAAGCAGGAUGAGUUUAUCCAUACUUACAUUCCAUUUGAUAAUUAAGAUGAGAGUGGAAUUGUCAAAUCCCAAAUUAUCCCGGACCAUUGCCACCAAAGGUACUCUCACUAAUAAUAUCUAAAGAAAAAUCUACAUCUAUUUCAUACUUUUUUUUUUAAACGGAAAGAGCCCUUAUGGGGCUUGAAAUGGUAUCCUAAAUAAUAUUCAGAAUAUCAGGCCAUGACUGGGUUUGUAACAAACAAAUAUUACAUAGUUGGGAUACGUAGUUGCUAGUGUCCCAAUUUAUGUAGUAUCUAUCAUUUAGUGCACAUAUAAAGUGUUUGGGAAAUGAAAUAGGGUGACCAAGAUAAGGUGUUUGCUCAUAUAUUAUCGUGCUCUCCUCAAAGUAAAAAGUGAAAAAAUAGUUGAUAGACUACUAGGAGUUUAUUUGGUCACCUCGACCAGGAUAUUAUUUGAUGAUCUCGAGCACAUCAUCUUGACUAAGAGAUUAUUUGGUCGCCUUGAGUAUAUCACCUCGACCAGGAGAUUAUUUGGUGACCUCGAGUAGAUCAUCUUGACCAGGAGGUUACUAGGAAGCACGACUCAGUCAAAACAAAUCUCACUUAUUUUCUUCGAAAUAUUGGGGACCAUAUUCUUAGUGGGCUGAAAAUUAGUGGUUUUCUUGAGAGUUUAGGUGAGAGGAUAAAAACCGCUAUAAUUUGCUCUAAAAAUCCUGGGAAAGGGGGGGAAAUAGGGAGAUUCUUUUUAUCUCUCUCUCUUUGGGUGACUGAACCCAUGGGAUCUUUUUCUCUCUACCACUGGGAAACUUCUCUUUCUCUCAUGAUUUAUUUUUCUUUAAGAUUGGUUAUUUUUUAUUCUUUUCCCAUAAAUUUACUUAAAAGCUUUUUGUUUAAAGUAUUCAUAAUUAAGCCGCGUGAAUUGUGGUACGGAUUUUUCCAAGUAGACCCAAAUCGCUGACUUGAGCAUCAGAGAAUUUUCUUUAAGAUUGAUUAUUGUUUCCAUAAAUUUGAACCAAGAAGGAUGACGCGAUAAAAUUUGUUUUUAUUGUAUGGUUGAUUUCAUAUCUCAUGCACUCAUUUCUUAAGAUAAUUAGAUUUCAUCUUUUGCAAAUGUGGAAAUAUCAAUUAUGAUCGAUCAAAACAAUCUCAAAACCUUUCAAUGAGACAUAUUUAUAAUACAAUAUUGUGAAAAUUACACCAAAAAUUUAAUUUAUGAUAUAUUAUUGUCCCACCAGCACACAAAAAUGAAUUCGUACAAAUCUAAAAUACUUAGCAAUUUUCAAAUAGAAUUUUAAAUUUAUUUCCAGUUAGAAAACUAUUCGCUGGACUCCGUAUUACUAGCCACCAUGGUAAGCCUAACCGGUUGCCGGCGAAUGGCGUAAAACACCAGCCAUCUUCUUCUUCAUCAUAUUCACCUUUCAUCUUUUGAGUUAAGCCUGUGAUUAUGAGUUUCUUCUCUUACUUAGCUUGUAAUUAUAGAUUUUGAUUCUUUUUAAUUCAUAUUGUAGCCGUUAUUGUCAAUUUUUGUCCCGCCAGCAAUAUUUUUUUAUUCCUACAAGUUGAAAAUGGAUUCAUUUGAAUUACUAUUGAAUUUAGCUUUAAUUUCAAUAUCCAUUCUAAUGUUUUGCUAUUAGAUUUACUUUAAUUUUAUGUUUAAAGCUUCUACAAUGAAUAGCGGAGCUUGGGUUUUAGUGUCAUUUUCUGUAACUUGUUUUAGUUUAUCUUGUACGCUCACCAAGUGCUUGUUAUAUUGUCUGAUAAGUUAUAUACAUUGCUGAUUCUAUAUUAAUAAUGUUAUGUUCUAUUUUCAGAAAUUAUAAUACAAAGUUUUUACAAUGGCGUGCAUCUACAAACUGAAUUGACUUGUAGAAUAAGAGCUUGGAGUAAAUGAAAGUUCAUAUUGUGUAAGAGCAUGUAGAUGUAAAGCGUCAUUACCAUUUCUAUAAAGGACUUUCAUUCUGUUCAGAUGCUCUUCUUGAACAUUGAAAGGUGCCUCGUUCAAGUCCUAGCUAUAACUACUAGCUUUGAUUAAUUAAGUUCCUAUACUAGCUGAAACAGAUUUAUUUAAUUAAUUAAUUGUGUAUGUACUGAUUAUAUUGAAAGUAUAUGAAUUUUUUUUUUUUUUAACAUGAAUGACUUAAAAACCUAAAGAAUAUGUGAAAUAAUGCUCAUUUCACCUGAAUGAGCCUAUUAAUACUUUUAUGUCUAUGAUUGUCAAUAUUGGCUUAAGCAUUUCAGUUAAGUGGUUUACCUAAUAGAGAAAAAAAUUUAAUAGAAAACUUCAGAGUUCUAACAGAAAUAUAGUUCACUAUGCAGAUAUAGUUAUUUUACGGUAUACAAAUCAAGUUGUCCUAAUCUCAAUGUCCUAUGACCGAUUUUAUUUUAUAUAGUCAUUAAUUUUUGCCAUGGUUUUUUGUGUUUAUGAGUUUGAAAUAGUGGGAUUUGGUGUACCUUAUCAUCUUUUGAAAAUUCUCUUUAAGUGUGGCCAACAGAAAUAUACAUAUAAUCAAGUUUCUUAAUCCUGUAUAUUAGUUUUGGGUAUGAAUGUUCCUAUUCUAGUUCUAGGCAAAGCUUCUUUGUUUUGGUCUUCAGAUUUCCAGUAGGUUAAGUUAAUCAACUAUCAUAACUGGCUAGCUAGUUAUUGUCUGCCUUGGCGCCAUUACCCAGGCCAUUAUAUUGCAUAGCAUAAGGAAUAGUGAUUAGGUGAUUAUUAGUGAUUUGUUGAGCUUAUUAUUGACCAAACAAAUGUAUUUGCCUUUGCCCACAACUUAGUUUGAUUAGUUAUUAGACCAUAAAGAGCCUUGAUCUAUUCAUUGGCUUUAUUAUUUUUAUUUGGUUUUUCUUUCAACAAUAUUGUUGAUUUCUUAUAAAAAUAUUCAUUGGUUUUUAAACACCUAAUCAUUGGCUAUAUGAAGCUAAUUAAAACUGAGGCUUUGGAUCAAUUUCUUCUAACAAGAUACAAAUGAGCAAAACCUUUCUCCUCUAAGUAAAUUUUUUUAAUAUCCCUUGAUUUGUAAGGAUCUGGAGGCCUGAAUCCUCUUGAUUUUUUUUAACACUGUCAUUGUUCUUUUUAUUCUGAGAAGGAAAUAAAAGGUUUUAUCUUUCAUACCCGAAUAGUAAGCUGGCCUUGUCUUAACAUGGCCUCCCGAGGACUUGCAAGAUUCAUAGUGCCCCCCACCCCAAAAAAAAAAUCAAAAACACAAAUAGGAAGAUUUUGCAAGAUUCACCACCAGGUUUUUUUUUAAUUUAUUAAUUGUGUGUACGUGCUAGUUAUAUGUUGAAAGAAUAGGAAGAAGUAUUUCAACAUGAAUGACUUAAAACUUAUUGCUCAGUAAAUAUAAUCUGCAUCAGUGCGAAAAUGUAUUUAUCGUUUGUAUUUUUUAUGGUUUUGCUAAAGAAAUGAUAUGUGAAAUAAUGCUACAUUGCAUCAGGAAUAAAUUGAAGAGAUUUAUGAUAUUUAUGUGUUAUUCAAAUUUCAGAUUCAAUUUUAAACUUUUGAUACAUGCAUUGAAAGCUUAGACUUGUUUAAGAAAUUAUUAAUAGACACAUGUUUUAUUAGUUUCAUCUUUGGAUGAUAGUGAGGAUCAUAUGUCUAUUAAUAAUUCUUGAAUUGUCCAGGCUUGGACAGUUUGGGAAUGCAUAGUUCACUCUGGUAGCUAGUAGCUGAAGUUUUUUCCCACGUAAAAAUGGGUUUUUCGGUAGCUGCUCCUCGUGUUCUCUGGGUACGUACUAGGUGAAUGGGUGUCAUGUGUUGUUUUGGCAUAACGCAUAAACACUUAUAUAGCUAUGUCGUGUGCUUGGAGAAUUAUAGGGAGAUGGUGCCGAAAUUUUUAUAAACGUGGAAGAAAACUUUAGGUACUUGAGAUUGAAGAAACUUAUGCAUUCUUGAGUGGGAUAUGUAGGAUUACUUACCUUCUGUAAAUAUGAAGGGAAUGUUGGAUAUAUUGGGGAUAGUGUAGGAGCUGAGUUGGAUGAAUGUAAUUGGUGAUGAUUUUGCUGAGCUGACCUUGGUUUUGAGCUUGUAAUUUUGUUUGUAAAUGGAGUGCUAUCACCAAUGUUGGUUUAUAAAAAUGUUUCAGGACUUGCUGACCUAAUUUUUUGUUUCUAGGUUACAGGCUUUAUAUAUCUGUAAUUGAUAGCCAAGUGAAGUUCUCAGCGCUUGGCGAGGAUAUUUCUUUACAGAAGGUAUUGGAAACUGUUUUUUACAUUAAUUAUCGUUGUUUAUAUACUUUGAUUGUCACAUCUUUUUCUCUGAUUCUUGUGGCUUUGCUUGCUUUCAUAUAUGUAAAUUCUAAUGAAAUUAACCAUAAAAUUGUAAAAUGAUCUUUUUAUUAUAUUGCAAAACUGUGCACACACGAAAAUAUGUUGUUUAGUAGUAGAAAUGAAGAACUAAUUUUUGUAGCGCAUUAAAAGGAGAUAGUCAUGGACAAGUGUUGGGUUGGUUUGCCAAAUAGAUAUCCAAGUCAUAUACUGAUGGCGUUGAAAAAUUUAUAGAUUUUGUAUUUGAGAAUGUUGUUGGUGGUACAAGAAUUUAUUGUCCUUCUUGAUAAGUGUUGUAAUCUAUAUUUCGUUAUAAGGGAAGUGGCUGAUGAUGAUAUGGUUGGAAUGAUACACUGCAUCACGUAAUCAAAUGUUCAAGUUACACGCAGCAUUGUUAUGAACUAUCAGUGGCAACUUGUCUGGGUGGAGUAUUAAAGGUAAAUGAGCAUGUCUUAUUUGCCAACAAAGCACUAGAUCUAAUUGGUUGAUACAGAAUUACAUAGUAGAAAAUUUUGUCACGUGGGUCACCGUCGAUUUUGCCCAACAAAUCAUAGGUUUCGAAAAUAUAGUGUCUUUUGAUAAAACUAGAGAGUAGGGACCAGCACCUUCUCGGUUGUCUGGAACUGAAGUGAAAAAGCAGUUUAAUAUAGUUACUGAGUAUAAGAUUGAAGACUUGAAAAGAGGAGAACGAAUAAAAUGAGAGAAAUGAUAAAAUUACUUGGAAGAAGAACAGCAUUUCUUAAGAUUACUUGGAAGAGAAAUGAUGUGGAAGAUGGCUAUAAAAUAUAAAAGGAAAGGCUUAAAAAGAAAAGCCAUGCCUGUCAAAAACAAAAAACAAUGGCAGCGUCAAAUUUAUAACAAAAAUCAAAACGGUGCGUUUGAGAGUGUAUAAAAUACAUUUAGAGUGGGAGUUGUGUUGUUGCUUGAAGGCAGAAUGUUUGUGAGAUAUUUGUCGACGAAGCCGAAACCAAAGAUGAAGCCCAUCAAAAGUAUUUAUAGUGUAAAAAGUAUAUUGUGGAAAUGUCUGGUCGGUAAUACAACUAUUUCUUAUAGUGUAAAUGAUACACUAAUUUGAAUUUAUAUGCUUUUAUGAUUAUUUUAUUAUCAAGUGGUGAUCAUAUGUGAUGAUAAACUUAGGUAGUACCUUUAUAUUUAUUGCCUUAGUUUUCUAAGCGUUCACAUUUUGAUGAGUAAAUUAAGGAUUUCUAGAUGAAGUACAUAAUUAGAUUAAUGCUAAGGAACUGAAGUUUGAUCAACUGAAAACGAAAAUCAUAAUGAAGGUAAUUAAGAAAAUGAACAAUGCAGAAGCGGUCCUUAUUAGGACUUCUAGAUUUUCUCUUGGGCUUCCUUAUUAUUGUUAAAAAAUGACACGAAUAACUGAGUUUAAAAAUCUGGCCCUGAUGCCUGGUAGCCCUCCAACAUAUGAAGCACUAGAUGUUUUAAUGAGAAAAUGACAAGACCAUUUAUCAAAUUUCUUGUGGAUAUAAAUACAUACACAUAGACGAGACCAACCUCCUCAACUGAGAAUCAGAGUGAUUACAAGACCUUGCAAUGGGACGAUAACACACCAUCAAAUCUCAAAAUACAAUAGAAAUUCAUGACAUAUGUAUAAUAAAAGACCUCUCAUUGAGUCAUAUAUAUUGAGAAUAAAAAUGUUAUAAUACAUACAAAGAGCUUAGCUAGAAUAAAAUGUCUUGGAACUUGCGAUGAUCAAACAAGGGAAACAGACAGGUUGUAACUCACACUAUCACAGAUGUAGCGACACGAUGCAGUGAAUCACAAGAAGAUCACGAAGAUGGAAACGGGAACCCCUCAGAAUGUAAACUUUGAAUAGAGAAAAAAAGAAAAACGACCUUAUUUCAAAUUGUGCACAGAAGAAGAGUGACUUAAAUCUUCAUCAGUAUCCAGGCAUUCUGCAAUCAUAAAGUAGAGAAAUUUUAACAGGAACAACAGAGAAAAUAUUAUGAAUAUGCUAUAGACCAAUAUACUUGUUCAUAUCUAACGUUUGAUGGUCUAAGGAUUUGUUCUAGGAAUAAUGGGAUGAUUACUUUUUUUUUUUUUUUAAUUUUUGUUAAUCCAAUGAAUGAUAUUCAGCUGUUAAUUAUGUGUUCAUAGGGAAGAACAUUUUCUAAGUACUUUCCUUGCCUUCUAACUUUCCGAAAAGCAAACCCAAUGAACAAACAGAGCACAAACUAAAAUAAAAGAACAGCAAUGAUGAGAAUAAAUAACUGGCAAAGAAAUAAUGGAAAAAGUAUGCACGUUUUCAAGGAAUUAUAAAAUACGAAGGCUUUUAAUGAAAUUUUAUCAUAAAAAGUAUGCAAGGAGUUAUAAAAUUUUAGAAGACGAGGGGAGCUCGCAAAAAAAAAAGAAGAAAAAGACUCAAAUUAAACUAGACUAAAAAGACAUUCAAUUAUGCAAAAUCUGUCCAUAAAAGUCUGAAAGGAUCAUUAAAAUUGCAUUGCAAAUUUAACAGUAAACCGAGGGACCCAUUCUAAAUAAUUCAGAUGAAAUUGCGAAACAAGCCAUGGGAUUAAAUAAAUGAAAUAAAAAUUAAUUACCAGUUGAGACUUUCUUCUAAAAAUUCGCAACUCCAAGUCAUAAGAAGACUAUGAAAUUAGUCGUACUGCGUAGAGUAUGACGACGACACCGCCAACAGCUGAAAAUAACAUUCUUAUUCAUCAAUUUAAACUUUUACUUUAUAACAAAUAUCUUAUCGAUAUUUUAUUUAAAAAAAGCAAAUUUUGUAAAAUUUUUCCAUGGGAGAUAGAGAGUAACAUGUAUAUCCGUACCUUCUCAGCAUGUAAUUGUUGUAUGGUCCUGUUAAGAUCAUUAUUAGCCCAACGCCGUUGAUUCGAUGUCGCUCCACACCAGACAUUUACUCUUGGAGGCGUGCUUGAAUCUCCUGUAGUGAAAGUCUUCAUCUUGGGACAACCAAUCACUUCCAGAUAUUCCAAAGAUGGGAAUUCAAAGGUGUAGUUGGCAGAGCAGAAACUUGUGAGACUUUCUAAAUCACGCAGGCCCAACGCCUUCAAUUUGCGGAAAACAAUCUCUUCUUUUUCAACUCCAUCUUUGUCAUUUAUUACCACCUCUGUCAUUGCUCUGCAUCUACAUAUUUCUAUUGCUACGAGUUGCACUAGAGUUUUUGCUGUGGAGGAUGUUACCAAGUGCAUCAAUCCCUUGCAACCGAAAGCUAAAAGUUUUGUUAGGUUCCGAAAAGAUACCGAUGAUGAUGGCAACAGAAUUAACAGACUUUGACAAUUAUAUACUCUUAGAAUUUCAAGAUACUGAAAAAUGGGGCCAUGUUUGGAAUCUUGUUUGCACAGCUGCUUCAGAUGAUAGGGCCGGUACAGCUUUAAUUCUUUUAUCAUUGCCAACUUCCCCACAUGUUUCUCUAAGCAUCCUUCCAUCGAAAAUACGUCUUCGUCGAAUGAAAAAAAAGACAGUGUGAGUAUUUCGAGAUUGUGAAAUCUCUCCAGUACGUUCCAGAUUGGAAAACAAGCUGAGUCAUCUGCAGCAAUAUCUAGUUUUCUAAGACUGCCAAAAAGGUGUUGUGGGAAAUCGGCCUGCAAAAUUAUCUUCAUGUCUUUUCCGCUUAGUGAUAGUUCCGUCAAGUUGGGUAAGAUCUGAUCAUCAUCAAUCAUAAUAACUAAUGAGGUCAAUUGAUGUUCUCUCAAAUGAUUUUGAGUAAUCCAAUCACAUGCAGUGACUUUAUAGUAUUUGUUUUAUAUUAUACUUUACCCAAAAAAAAAUUGAAUUAUUGAUAAAAUUUAUUAAAUGAUUUUUUAUAUGUUAAUUUUAGAGGUAAAAAAGAAAUUAGAGAAAAAAACGAAAUUAUAUUGCACGAUAAUAAAUUACUAAUUUAUUUUGUAAGUUCUUCUAUAGGAAAGACUAAGGAUUCUUUUACAAAUGUUAUACCUAAAAAAGUUCAUAUAAUUAUUAAUCUAUCACAUUAAUCCCUUAGUCUAGACUAGCAAAGAUUAUUGUAUAAUAAAAGUUUUUAAUUUAUUGAGUAUUAAUUUAUCAAUGCUUUGUUAUAUUUUUCAAAGUUAAAAAAAAAAAUGCUAUUGAUAAAAAAUCUAGAAAAUGGCUUCAUACCUUUUCCAACGGCAAUAGGGGCUGUUGUGCAGGAAUACCAAGUUGAUCAUUCUCAUUAUUCGGCGAUAAAUCUGCAGCGAAUAUCUUUAAUUUGUCACAACGAUACACUAAAAGAAUUUCUAGUGCGGGCCAUUCCGAAGUAUGCAUUCCAGGGUACAAACAUCUAAGUUUUGGUAGACGUUGGAGUCUCAGAGUGGUGAGCUGUGGAAAGACAAAAUAGGGGAUCACUUGAUCUGCUCUGUUUUCAGAAAUGAUCUCCCGUAAAUCCUCACAGUGGCGUAUAUCCAGGUGUUGGAGCUGCUUAAGGCUUCCGAUCAUAGACGCUGAAAAUAUGUAUUUUAAUUUGUGACAACGCCACACAAUCAAUCGUGUUAAACUCUGAAAGCGAGGAAACAUGACCGGAAGAUGAUUGUAGUGCCAAAUCUUGUCGACAUUAAUAUCAGUUAUCUCCAAAGCCUCCAAGUUAGGCAACGCAACCUAAAAAAAUAAGAAUUUCUCAUUAGAUCCAAUAUCCAUAUGGGAAGCACUUGUUGAAAUUUUCUUCUUUGAUUACAAAUUAAUGCAAGUCAGAAUCAAUUUCCAACUGACUGCUGAGUUUGAUGCAUUCUAAUUCAUACAACUUUUUAAGAGCUCAAUUAGUGAGCGUGUGAGAUUCUUUUUAUCCUUUUUUCCAUUUUCCUUCAAUUCUUUAAAUGAUUUAAUUAUUUUCCACGUACGACAUCAAAAGAGAACGUUAUAUAUGAAUAAAAUCUGUUAUAUAUGAAGAAAAUGUUAGCCUACGCACCUUCUCGUUGAAAAGCAGAGUUGAAGUAUCCAAAGUGAUUUCGCUGGAGCAAUACGUAGUCGUCGAUUCCUCUUGCGACGCUGGUCUGUUCGGUGAUGCUGAAGGAGUCUUUACUUCACGGCAGAAAUUUGUAACCUCUGGAAGAUUCCCCAGACUCAAAGAUCUUAAUUGAGCAAACUCUAUCUUCUCAAUUGCAUUAUGAUCAACUUCUUCCCCAAUUGAAAAAAUUUCUUUCAUCUUGCUGCAAUUAAUAACUGCAAUUCUCUCAAGUCUUGGAAGGCAUUUUGUAGUGGAGAGCCAAAAGAUAUUGCUUAACUUAUCACAAUUAUAUGCUUCUACGGUUUUGAGUUUGUUGAAAGACUCUACUUUGAGCCGAUCAAUACAUAUCCUCUCCAUGUUGAUCAAAUUGUGAAGGAUAAGUGACUCCAAAAGAGGAAAGGCACCACAAGCGACCAUCGCCCUUGAAUCGACGAUACAAAAGAAGUCAGGAUUAUUUUGAACGCAGAGGACCUUCAAUUGUGAAAAGCCCUCCGUGUCCAAAUUGAAAAGAACAUUCUCGAUGCCUUGCAGCUUGUCCAACCAUAAGCAUUCAACGUUAUUGAUGCCCUGCAAUUUCAAGGAGCAAAUGUCCAUAAAAUCAAGCUUGAGCUUCAAUGCUCUGGAAAUCUUACGAUCUCUGUCGAUCAAAAAGUGCUGCCGACUUUUAAACCAAUUUUGUCCAGCAAUCAUGGGAUGCAUGAAUGACCCAUUUCCAAUAGAUAUUUUGAACCUUUCGAGCUCUCUGGCCAAAAAGCUUUUUGGUAACAUACUCUCAUUUUUAACAUCAAUUUCUAGAGUGGUUAGCCGACGUAAAUGCAUCAAUUCGUCAAGGCUAGCAUUACUUCUUUUGCUGUUGGCUAUUUCAACCUCCCAUUCAAUGGAGCAAUUAUACAUAUACAAUUCUUCUAAUCGGAUUAAGCUUGAUAUGACAUUUGGAGCAAUAACUUUUAGAUGGAAACAGUCUGUUAAAUCUAACAGCCUUAGCUUAGUCAGUUGACCCAGUGCUUUAGGCAUAUCAGAUUGCAAAAAGCUGAGGAUUUCUAGAUUUUCCAACUUUCCAAUAAUAGCUAUGUCUAUGCCUCCCAAAAUGCUUUGAUUAAGACAGAGUGUCUGAAGAUUUACUAGAAGACCAAUUGAAGAUGGCAAUGACAAUAACCGCAUUCUAGUCAAAUCCAAAACCCGAAGCUUUUUCGUCCUUUUGAAGAAGUUCUCAGGAAUAUUAGGCACAGCAAAAGAGUUCUUGGGAGACAUGACUAGAAGUUCAAGUUGUAGAGAUUCGGACCCUUCAGGAAUGUCAUUAAUAGUACUAUCUUUUAAAGAAAUUGCAAGAUAUUUUUUUAAUUCAUCUGCAUUUGGCCAUUUCCAAUCAUCCUCAUUUCUCACCACAAAUCCAAUUUUGUCACGACAUGCAAUUGAAAUGGCAACAUCGCGAACAACGUCGUGCAUUGAAAAGUAUUUACUGCCACCAUCCUCAAGCAACAAACAAGAGUCUCUUAGUUGAUGGACCCAUGCAUGUAAUUUGUUAUGUGCAUCUUCUAGCUUAUGGACACUUUUAAAUGCACCCAAGCCCAUGCUAUAUUUGAACAAGUCCAUAAUAUAAGUUGGUGUAAUUAGACUACACAGUAAAAAAGUUUUCUUGAGUUGCUCACCUCUUAAGUACUUGUAACUCAGCUCAAUUGUUGAGUAUGCCUCUGCUGGUACUCCUUCGUCGAAGCUCGCCUCUGAAGGCGUUCGGAGUUCUUGCAAGGCAUUCUUCCACACAGGCAGCUCUUUUUUUCUCAGUGCCUUUGCUACUGUGGUUAGGGCAAUAGGCAAACCUCCGCAUGCCUUGGCUACACUUGUUGCUGUAGAUUCUAACUCACGAUUUUCAACAUAAUCACCAGCCAUUAUCUUGAACAAUCUCCACGCUUCUUAUUCAUUUAAAAUGCCAAUCGAGAAGUUUUUUUCAGAUUCCAUCCUUAACAGCACAUCAAGAUCUCUUGUUGUGAAUAAUAAUUUGCAUCCUCUGUGCUCAACUCCAAAAGGAAUUCCAAUAGUCCCCAAAUCAAGAGGUUUCCAGAUGUUAUCCAGAAUCACAAGGAUCUUCUUCUCAUUCUUCACUCUUUCAUAUAGUCUACUAGCUCUUCUAGACUCAGGUUCCUCGGACAACUGUAGGCCUAACGUUUCCGCAAUUUCCUCUUGGAUCUUUUUUAUGUCUGGACUUUGGGUAACCUCCGAAAAAGCCACCAUAUCGUAAAGCUUGUCUUCAAUGGCUCGCCUUGCAAACUCCUUCACCAGUGUCGUCUUUCCAAUGCCGGCCAUGCCGUAGACCCAAAUGAUGCUGACAUCAACAUCGAUCAAUGCAUUUUGUAUGGCCUUCAAAGCAGAAAGUCUUGAUUCGAAGGCCUCGUAGCCUUUGUGAGACUUGAGCCAUAUAUCCUCCGGAACGGUACGGUAGGAAAUUCUAUCAUCAAAUCUCCCAGCUUCUUCUCGGAGUUUAAAAAGGGCCUCCUUCUCUGUUUCUGCUUUCUUUCCAUGCUGAUAGCGAGUAAUCCAAUUAGGAAACAGCCCCAUGAGACAUCGUUCAUUUGCUUUCUCUUCGUCUAGAAUGAAUUUGGCUGCCUGCUCAAUGCUCUUGUUCGCAUUAACCAGCCAUUUCUCAACCUUCUCUUCAAUCUUUUCACUUUUUCUUUCAGCCUCAGAAACUCUGCGCUGAAUGCUUUCUCUUUCAUCCUUGAGCCCAUCGAGUUCUGCCUUGAGAUUCUCAAAGUUGGCAGCGGAGUUAUACCAAUAACUAAAUUCGCGUUGUGCGUGAGGAGACAAGCAGUUUACAACUCCUGGAACAAUGCUUUUCAAAAUGUCCAUUUUUUUUUUGGGUUGGGGGGGGGGGGGGGAGGGAACGAAAUAGAAAUAGAACAGAGUCAACGGCCGCGCAAUUGAUAAUCAAGUAGAAGCAAAACAAGGCAAAAUUGAAAAAAGGGAAAAUCAGUGUAACAGAAGAGAAUCAAAGUGUUUUUGAGAUCAGAAAAUUGAAUCAAGAAAAGGGUUGCUUGAUCCAAUGAAAAUGCAAAGAGCUGAUGGAAAAAGGGAACAAAGAUAAAUAAGAAAACGGCUAGCACGAGCAGUGACCACGAUAAACAGAAGCAAAGUGUGUAUGAGAUCAAAAGACGAAAAUCAGGAGAGGUUUUCUUGAUUGAGAAUUGAAGGCAAAGAGUAGGAGCUGACGAAUACGGGGAUCAAGAGGGAAAAACUGCUUGCUCAUAAAACUACUUUCAAGCGAAUCUGAUAAAAUUAUUUCAAUACUCGUGGGCGACUCCCUUUUAAACCGCAGAAGGAAAAAAAAAAAAAAAAGUUCUGAUUUUCAAUAUAUUAAUUUUUAUCCUAAUUUAUGUUGAGACUCGUAAUCUCGUCUCAAUGAUUAAUUAGUAGAUAAUCUUUCUAACAAAUAUGUGUUGAAUAGAUAUAUUUCUUGACUAUUAGUAGGUUAAAUAUAUUUUAGCAUAGGAAUGAAAGUACAAGUUGUGUCAUAUUAGAAUAAAAAUUUGACCUAAAAAUAUUGUUCUACGACCUUUUAAUUAUUUGUCAGCAAAUAAUUAAGUCAUAUAAAAAAAUUAAUAAUCUGAAUUAGUCUUUAAGUAUUAUAAAUAUUUUUAGAUUUUAAUUAUAAUAUCAUUAUUUAAAAAUAAUUGCUUGACUUACAUUAGUAACAUUACGAUUGUCAUAAAACAUGUGAUCCUCAUCCAAUAUCCAUUAUUUGUGAUCCUUAAUCAAUAAAAUAUCUAACAAUAUCUUCACCUAAAGUUUGAGACAUGUGAUCCUUAUUCCACUGCGUCAAAACAAGGAGAAAAUCAGUGUAACUGAAGAGAAUCAAAGUGCUUUUGAGAUCAGAAAUUGAAGCAAGAAAAGGGUCGCUUGAUCCAAUGAAAAUGCUAAGAGCUGAUGGCAAAAGGGAACAAAGUUAAAUAAGAAAACAGCUAGUGCUAGCAGCGACCACAAUACACAGAAAAUUUGAGAUGGAUUUACAAUAUUUCUGCCUUUCUUUAUGCUUUAACAAAUAUUGCUCUAUCAAAAAAAAUAUUUAGAAUUUUAUUAUUGGAGUCACAAAAGACCUACACAAUAUAGCAAGUGACUAGGAAUAAAUAAGAAUAUAUAACUCUCUCUCUAAUUCUCACUCUAGCUUUUAAUUGUCACUCAAAACCCAGAAUUCAUCCUUAAAGUGUAAGCAAAUCAGAGAUGACAGCGUCUGGUUGUCAUACGUGCCUUUUAGUUUUCGGAUGACAUGGCGUACACUUCUUCUGUAAACCGAACAUGACAUGUCGUACUCUUUGUUUUGAGAUCAUAUUUCAAACUCUUCAUGCUAUGAAUGAAAGAUAAACUACAAUCAUCAAAAUAUUUAGUGUUUAUUUUGUAAUGUAACGUCAUAGUUGUUGUGAAUUGAAAUUAUUUCUGUAAAAUAAAAGGAUUUGGGUCAUCGUUCGUUAUUUUCUAGCAAUAUUGUCUGGUCGUGACUAUUUGUUAAAUAUUAAAAAAAUAAAUUUAUAUUUAUUAAGUAUAAAAAAUAAAUAAACAAACAAAAAUAAAAGGAAAAGUUUAUACAUUACAUAAAAUAAUAAGAACAAUAUCAAUAUUUCACACUCUAUAAUUGAGUGAUGUGUUGUCCAACUGCCACACAUUGGUCCCAAACGGAGACUUAAAUAUUAAAGUCCAAAGUUAUUGUGAUGAUGACUUAUAAUCGCCAAACUUGACAUACGGGUAAUCAUGCAUUAUAAGGUGCUGAUUUCUUCCAAUCGAAACCUUAUUUUUCAUUUACAAAUAAAUAAAUGACGUGACUUAACGAGUGGUGGGGUCCUUUGUGCCAUUUGUGUAUUUCACUGAAUAGUUGAUUCAACUAUUCUGAUCGGAAGAUUCUUGGAAGUUGCCAUUUGCCAAUGCUACUAACAUUUUCAAACUUGGAAAACCCUUCAGUCAAUCUUUUAGUGGUAGGCUCUGGUAGCUUGGUUUGAUUAUGACAUAUGAUUAUUUGAUAAUAAAGUUAGAGGAUGUAUUAAUAUAAAAUUUGUUUAUUGGUGUUGAAGUUAAUUAUCUCAUUAAUAAUAGUAUAAAAUGUUAAUUACUAAGAAACACAUAGCAGUAUUCUGGGAUAUAAUUUUAUAUCAUAACUUUGUAAGUGUAUAAUUACUCAUUAAAUUAACAAAAUUAUUUUAAAAUAUUUAGUUAGAAAAAAUAUAUUAUAUUCUUUUUAUUUCAAAUAAUCUAUAAGUUAACUCAAAACAUAAUCAAGCUGAGAAUUAAAAUAAUGCUACUGUAUGAGAGGAUUUUUAUUUUUUCCCGAAGUUUCACAAGGAAAUUAUUGAUAGAUAGCUUUAUUCGGAUCAUCUCAGUUCAAACGACAAAUAAUUGAAAGACUAAGCUAAAUAGACCAGCCAACAACUUUGUACAAGAGAGUUCAAAAAUUAAAGUCAUGGUAUUAAAGUGUUCUAUCUUGAAAAGUACAGCGUAGUAAUAAAAUAAAAACUAAUAGUCUUUGGUAAGAUAUGACAUUUAAAUAAUAAUUUUCACAAAAAUACAAAGAAUAUUUAUAAAGUACUUCUAUAAUGAGGAGACCCUCACUUUGUUAAAGUGAAAAUAUCAAUAAUAUACAAAAGACAUAUAUUUUAACACAUUAAAAAUUGUAUUUUUUUUUAUCUAUUGGUGUAUUGAAAUGUGUGUUAUUUAGUUUGUUAAUAAUAUCAUCACUUUGUUAAAAUAAUGAUAUCAGAACCAUUAUAUAUACAUAUAUAUAAAGUGCUUCUCUCCAAAAUCUAGACUUUAUUAAAAUUUAAGAAAGCAAAUAUAUUUUGUAUGGUAUAAUAGUGUAAUAACAUCACCCGAGUAUAUCAUAUAGAGUAAUAGUUUUUGGACUUUAAUAAAGGUCAAGAUUAUAGAAUGAAUGAUUUAUAUAUAUUUUAAAUUUUUUAUCAUAAAGUGGAGGACAAAGUAACAUAUUUUUCAAAUUAUAAUAAUUAUUUAUCAAAUAAUUUAACAUCGUAAUUUCUCCUAACUAGUAUAGUAAAUACGACCUAGGAGGUACAUUCAAAGCAUUUCAUAAGUUAAUUGUUAAUAAUAAAUGAUACAUGCAGCUCCAACUAUUAUUGUACGGUGAGUAAUUUCAAUAGAUUUUUUAUGGCUUAAUAAUAAUGAACAUUGAAUGUCAAAAUAUUAAUGGCCAAACAGACCAGCUGCCAACGACUUAUUCCAAUGUGAAUAGUUCACAGUGGGUACUGCACAUGAUACUUGUUUCUCCUUUUGCAUCUACUUUUGUUGUUAACAUUAAUUUCAAUAGCAGCUCGUUAUGUACGCAACAUUUCAAAGUUAAUCCAAAAAAAAAAAAACAAAAAUUAGUUCAGCUGACUAAAUUUGAAAGCAUGGAUUUGCCGUCGAUUAAAAAUCGUUUUGUAGGGAAAAGUUUUGGAUUGCAAUUUUCAUACAAUACAUAGAAUUAUCAUAAUCUAUAAAUUAUUUUUUUGCUUUUCUGUGGUAGUAAGUCCGACUCCUUAGUGACAAUUUAAAUUGAAAAAAUAAAAUCAUAAAUUAGAAUUAUUUGAUAAGAAUUAAAAUAAUUGAUAAAAAUUUGAGAGGAACAAUUUUGGAAGAUUCGAUUUCUAAUAGAAAGGGUGAAUUUUACAGCCUUUGGUGAGGACUCCAAAAUGCACAAUUUGAUGAAAAUUAAAUUUCAAUAGAAAUUGAAUUCCCAUUUAUUAGUGAAAACCAAACAACAGAAAAGUGAAAGGAAUUUGAAUUCAUUUCCUUCCUCUCCUCCCUCCAACUAAACACCAUCGAAAUCCAAAGGUAUGGAUUGGGAUUCCAUAUUGAUUAGAAUGGGAUUUGUCCAUAUUAUUAGGACCAAUUUUAAAAGCAGUCGGAGUUUCGAAGUUUAAGAUUGAAAUUAAUCACAAUUGUUGAUUUGGGACUAGAUAAGAAUUUAUCUUAGAACUCCAAUUCUCCAAAAAAAGUACGCUAGCUUCGCCACUGCACUAGGGACAUAUUAAUCAGGUGGCUUAUAUUACAACCAGAGGAUUUAAAUUUGAUUUAAGAUAUGUGGGGUCUGCUUUUGGAUUUAGAAAAUUUGCUCAUUAAGAGUUGAACCCAAGUGACCUACCGUUAGAUUAGAUUAAUAGUGAUUUCUUGUAGUAAAUAUUUGUGAAUUUGAAAUAUGUGAAUUCUAUCCUGGUGAUACAAAACAAGCUUCUUGUACACGAGAACUAUUUAUUUUUAUGAUUUGGAAACCAAUCUAUAAAGAUGAAUUAAGUUGGCAUAAUGGUACAAAGCAACUUUAAUUUUUCAAUAAAUUCAAAAGUUGGCAAGUUGGUUAUGAUUAUUAUCUUUUCUUUUUUACUAUUUAAACUACAAUUAAUUGAAUCCAAAGACUAAAGGGUUGGAUCGAGAAGAAACUAAUUUUAAGUAGACAUUCCGGCGAAAAUCACUCCCAUGAUCGAGACACUCAUGCAAUCAAUGCAAAAAUGGACACAAAAAUUGUCUACUUAAGUUUGGUGGAAUGAUUUUAAAAAUAGUUUUAUUUGUUUCACACUCGAAUUUGUAUUUUGAAAAAGAGUGGGAGUUAAAAAUUGAUUUACACUUUAUCAAUUACUCUAUUUUAAAAAGAAAUAAAUAUUAAAAAAAUAAAAACAUUAAUUUCUUGUUUGUUUGUACUUACCAUUGUAGGAUAAAUAAAGUGGUUGACAAAAAUUAUAUAUCUUAAAAAUAAAUUCUAGAUUUAUAACUAAUGUAUAAUGAUUUCAAUUCACAUGUUUCAAUCCCAAAUAAAUUCUCCUUUGGUUAUUUGAAUCUUAGCGCGGUAAGAUUUCAUUCUCUUAUAUGCAUUUGUGUAAACUUCUCCCUUUACCUUUAUCAUUUUAUCAACUUUAUUGAUUGCCAAUCAACUUUAGGGUUUAGGCAUGAAUCACACAAGGGAAUGAUAUUGUGGCAAUUUUUUCCCCCUUCUUUUUUCUUUUUGAAAAAAAAAAUUAUUUAUAGCUUUGCUUUGAUGGUAGAAGACUAGAAGACCAAUUAAUUUCUUUUUGUUGCGUGGUGAUAAUAAUGAUGGAAAUUGCUAUGUGCGCGUUGGUGAUUGCAUUGCUAGUCACAUAUUGCUUCCCAUCAUGGAGACAAAGGGGACCCCUCUAUCAAAGCUAGCUGUUGAAAUAUCAUACCCAAAAUCACAUGAAUUCAAAGGUUGAAUGGGAAAACGAUCUUGCUUCUUUGUAUGUUUUAUUUUAUUUAAAGACUUAUUGUUUCCCAUAAGAGAUAAGCUUGGAUCUAUCUUUCCUUUUAAUCAUUUUAGCCUCCAACUCCCAUCUUUUUCAAAAGUUUCGUUUAGCCCAUUUUGAAUGGCAAGGUAAGCUUCAAUUAACGCAACAAGUUCCAGUGAUUCCCGUCAAUAUUCGAUUGCAUGUAUGUAGCUUUGAGUGCUCAAAUUUAUUUUAUUUAUUAGUUGUUAUCACUUAUCAUUUUCUUUUUAAUAAUGAGAUUUGGGCAUUUUCUUUUUAAUAAUGAGAUUCGGGUCCCUGGAUGGUGAUUAGCCAACAGUCUAGUUAUGAGAAAUUAAUGUCUUAAUUACAAUGACAAAAAAGGCAAGUGGGGAUCUCAUUUGCCAUUAGGUAACACAACAUCUUCAGCAUUGGAGCUUUUCUUCCUUUCUCUCCUUCUUUCUUUCUUUCUCAAAAUAAUUGAAAAUCUAAUGCAAUACAAUUAAAUUGAUCAACGAUCUAAUUUAAUCAAUACAUUAUAUUAAGAUAUUUAAAAUAAAAUCGGUUCAAAUGGAAUGAGAAGUUCUACUAAAAAAAUAACAACAUUUAUUCCUUAUUAUUAUUAUUCGAAUUCAAAUAACCUUGGAUUCCAAACGCAUUCAAGACUAGCCAGGCUGCAUAUCCAAGAAGAAAACAAAAUCAAAACUUUAGCCACAAACAUAUACGUGUGUGUGUAUGUGUGUGUGUGUAUAUGUGUGUGUGUGUGUGUGUCUGUGUAUAUAUAGAGAGAGAGAGAGAGUUCUUUCACUAGGUUCAUUUGCGUGAAACUUUUUGAUCAUUUAGGUUUAAGACUAUAUCAUAUAUCCUAUUGCACGAACAUUGAUUAAGAUGAAUGAGUCAAACCCACUAAGCUUGCAACAAAAUCUUUUCAUAGUUACUAGAGAAUAUUUAUAUUUUUUUCAAAUAUUAAUAAAAUUAUUGAAUUGCUUUAUUUAUAGUACGUAUACAAUUAAUAGUGUAUGGAUUUUUUUUUAUCUAUUGGUGUAUUGAAAUAUGUGUUAUUUAGUUUGUUAGUGAUAUAAUCACUUUGUUAAAAUGAGAAUGUCGUUACUAGAGAAUCAUUAUAUAUACAGGGUCCAGCUACAAUACCCAUGGGGUUUGGUACCCCAUUUUUUGUCUUUUUCAAAUCUACCGUUGGAUUUAACGUAAGAAUUGCAGAAUGGCUGAGAUGUAAUUUUUGGGUUAUUAACAACAAAGACCCUUAUUGUUCAUGGAAAAUAAAAAAAAUCAAAAGUUUUGAAAUUAUGACGUAUAAGUCCAUAAUAUUCUCUUUUUUUCUUUUUAACUAUUGAACUCGGUUUCUAAUUAAAUGAAUUUUUCUUACAUUUAUUAAUAUCUAUUUAAAUUAAUAUAUUUUUAAUUAAUAAAUUAACUACUUUAUUAUAUAGUUAAACUAUGUAUAUUAUUUACUAACCAUAAUUAACGAUAAGUAUAAAUAUGAUCUUUUUUUUUUUUUAACAUAAUGGCAACCAAUUUCCUCUCACCUAUGUGAACAAGGUUCAAAACCCAUAAUUUUUUUUUUAACACAAGAGAUUUUAUUAUCUCAAGUAGAUGAAAUAUACAAAAUACAAAAAUAAAUUUAAUUUCAUAUUCUAUAUAGUUAAUUUUUUUUGUAACAUAAUAUUUAUUAAACAUACUAUCAAUUAUUUAAUUAACUAGCAAAAAUAUGUUAAUUUACUAAUAAUAAUCAAAUGUUAGUUUAUGAACUUGUAAAAUCUUUUUUUUUAACAAUGAGUUUUUGUCCUUAAAAUAAAAAAUAACAAUUUAAUUGCACACUUAAAUAAAUUAGUAUUUGUUAAAAAUAGUAAUUUAAUUGCACACUUAAAUAAAUUGGUAUUUGUUACUCCACCCCAAUUAUUUAAAUAGUCAUUAACUUAUCUGAGAGAAGGGUAAAAAAAUUCUAAACAAUUACUCUAUUUGAAAAUAAUUUAAAUAUUUCUUUAGAAAAAUAAACUAAAAAUAAGUAUUUUCUAUUCUUUCUUCUUUCUUGCUAACAUCAAUCAUGGAUAACAAUAGAGAUGGCAAUUCAACACAUAUCUAUCAAUUAAAAUAGAAGUCAAUUAAUAUAAUUAAUUGAAUAAUUAAUUUGUGUCAUGAAUGAGUUAUCGUAUUAGGAGUUAUAAAACCAAACCCAAUAGAAUUAUUAAUCGAGUUAACAGCUAGAAAGAGCAAACAAAUCCAUUCAAGUUGGAUGUCUAAGUAUUUGAACCAAAUAGAUUAGAUAAUAUCCAUCUAAAAUACUCCAAAUUUGAUUUAUUCAAUAUCCAUCUAUGAACUUGAAUAUUAGUGAUAUUUAAGUGUAUGUGACUGAAAUUGAGUAUUAUAUUUAAUAUUUAAGUUUUGUAAGUCAAAUGAAAAAUCAAAAUAAUAUUGCUAAAAAUUAUUGCACCAUCAAUGACAACAAUGACGAUAUCAUCACUAAGAAAUAGAAAUGAGUGAACAGAGAAACAAAAACUAUCAACGUAAUCAAAACUCUCUGAUCAAUGUAAUGGUGGCAAUGUUGCCAGAUAAAUAGAUAUGCCGGCAAUAGAUGAGCAUUCCAAUGCAAACAACUAGAACAAGACCCUAUGAUUAGAUGACGUUUUAACGUAGAGUGGAAGCGAUACUAAAUUUCGUUCUAGUAUACGUCUUGAAAACUCAAGAAAGAGACUCUCACCAAAGAGAAGAUAUUUCAAUUGAGAAAAAACUAAAUAUUAUUAAUGAGAAGCUUGUGUCUGUUAUCAUAAAUUAAGAAUAACAAGCCUAUAUAUAUAAUAGUAGCUAACUUAAUCCUUAUCUUUCUCAAAUAAGAGAAAUAAUCUAAAAUCCUAAUUAAAUUAUAAUUACAAAUAUGACUCAAGUAAGCUUAAUAAAAUAAGAUAAAUCCUAAUAAAAUAUUAAAUUCUAAAUUGACCCAAAUAUUAUAAUUCCUAGUAAAUUCUAAUUUAUUUAUUUAUUUAUUUAUUUAUAAGUUUGUUUGGUUUUUGGGUUUUUUUUUUAAAGAACAGAAAAUUAUAGGUAAUAGUGUAAGUAUAGAAAAGUAAAGAGGCAAAAUUAAAAAUAGGCAAAAGUUGGUGUUGCCGUCGACGGUGGUCGAAAAAUUGGCCUAGGAUAGGUGGAUUUGGAAGAUUUGAUGGUGCUGAGUGUGAUGUUGGUGGUGGUUUGUCUCAAAUAGUUGUGAGUUGACCGAAAAGUUGAGCUAAAGUAGUGGGUGGAGGUUGGUUUCGGUUUCCGGCGAUCCGGCCGGGGGUUGGCAGCGUGAGUGGGUUGAAAAGAAAGAGCUAAUGAUGGUGGACGAAUGAGUGGUGGUGGAGGCUGUGAAUCGCGGCUGAUUGUAGCGAAUGGAGAGGCGGAUUUUCGUGGUGGUUCAGCGGCUGUUUUGGCUAGUUUCCCGUGGCUACGGUGACGAGAUGGUGGUGUUAUGGGUUGGGUUAUGAUUGGCGGCGUGUAGGCUUUCGGAUGGGAGAGAGGAUCGACCGAAAAGAAGAGAAACUGGUGGCGGCAGUAGCCGUGUGUGGCAGAUGUAAUGGCGGCUUCGGGUUUUGCUAGUUUUUUUUUUAACUUGAUGGAACUAAUGUACGGAGUUGGUGGUCAGGAAUGCUCUGCCUGCUACCAAAAAAAGCUCUAAUAUCAUUUGUCUUGAAAAUUAAAAAAAAAAUCCCACUAAGGAUUAAUAUCUUAAUUGUGAAAAUAUUGAAUAUUAUUAAUGAGAAGCUUGUGUCUGUUAUCAUAAAUUAAAAAUAACAAACUUACAUAUAUAAUAGUAGCUAAUUUAAUCUUAAUCUUUCUCAAAUAAGAGAAAUAAUUUAAAAUCCUAAUUAGAUUAGAAUUACAAAUAUAACUCAAGUAAGCUUAAUAAAAUAAGAUAAAUCUUAAUAAAAUAUUAAAUUUUAAAUUGACCCAAAUAUUAUAAUUUCUAGUAAAUUUUAAUUUAUUUUAUUUAAUAUGCUUCCUACAUCACGUUUUAAGGUUCAUUGCCUUUAACAACCAAUUUGAGGGUCUCUAAACUAAAAAAAAAAAAAAAAAAGGUGGUAGUAUAAUGUAACUCCUUGUGUUUUGAUGGUAUAGUUAUUGUUGCACCUAUUUUAGAAGGAGCAUGUAACUUUACAUAUCACCAUUUGCUAGCAUUGAGACUAUCUUUAUGUAAAUCAUUCAAUUUCAAGUCUAAUGGAAUCCUUCAUGUUCCAUUUCGGUUAAUAAUGUCAUUGCACAUGAAGAAACAAUAGUCACUAGUGAUUGUCUAUAUUUUUUAAUGCAAAAUAUCUUUUUGUAAUUAAUUAAAAAAUAAGAAUAAUUUUUUAUUAUUAUUAUGUUUCUAUAUGGAAAAUAAUUUUAAUUACCUUUUAAUUAAAAUGGGUGAGAAAAAUGAUGUCAUUGAUGGUGCAAAAUGGAUGAGAAAAAUGAUGUUAUGUAGGUGUAGGACUAAUGCGUAAAACUUUAAAAUUUUUUAACAUUUUUAUUUUUACAACAAAUAGCAGGACACUAUUAUAAUUAACCUUAAUAAAGACAAAAGAGAGGGGUACCAAACGUAUGUUGCAACAUAGCUUUGCCCAUAUAUACAUAUAUAAAGUGCUUCUAUCCAAGACCUAGACUUUAUUAAAAUUUAAGAAAGCAAAUAUAUUUUAUAUGGUAUAAUAGUGUAAUAACAUCACACUAUUAUAUCAUAUAGACUAAUAGUUUUUUGAACUUUAAUAAAGUUCAAGAUUAUAGAAUGAAUGAUUUAUAUAAAUUAUAAUUUUUUAUCAUAAAUGGAGGAGAAAAUUAACAUAUUUUCAAAUUAUAAUAAAUAUUUAUCAAAUAAUUUAACAUUGCAAUUUCUCCUAACUAGUAUAGUAAAUAAUACGACCUAGGAGGUACAUUCAAAGAUUUUCAUAAGUUAGUUGUUAAUAAUAAAUGAUAUAUGCAGCUCCAAUUAAUCAUCAUUGUACGGUGAGUAAUUUCCAGUUAUAAAUAGAUAUUACUCCCUUCCCAGCAAUUUUUGAUGGCUUAAUUUUGUGGGAUCAAAAUCAACAUUGAAUGUCAAAAUGUUAAUGGCCAAACAGACCAGCUGCCAACAACUUAUUCCAAUGUGAGUAGUUCACAGUGGGUACUGCACAUGAUGCUUGUUUCUCCUUUUGCAUCUAUUUUUGUUGUUAACAUUAAUUUCAAUAGCAGCUCGUUAAUGCCAAUUGUUGAUUUGGGACUAGAUAAGAAUUUAUCUUGGAACUCCAAUUCUCUGAAUUAUUUUAGUUGACAAUAUGUUUAACAUUAUUUUUUUUAACAUUAUUAAUUGCAUAUUAUUUAAUUAUCAAUAUAUAAUAUUCUUUAAUUUUUUAAUUUUAUAGGAUUAGACACAAAAUUGAUUAUACCUUUUGAAAUUUAAGGGUUAUGUCAAUUGAAUAGAAAACUUGGAGUUAAACUUUUGGAUGUUUUUGUUGAUUAUCAAUUUAUGCAUGAAUUUUUGUACGUUUACUUUGGUUUAUUAUUAUUACUUUUAAAUAUUUUUAUUGGUUUGAUUUAGGGUCAGUUUAAUAAUCCUGUAGCUUUUAAAAUAAUUAGAGUUAGCUAUGCUGUAGAAAUUGAUCAAUCGUUAAGAGAAUCAGCUGAACAUUUAGUAAAAUUUAUUUUUAAAAGUACUUUUAGUUUUAAAAGCGUCGUAUGUGUUUCGUAAAUCUUAUUGUUAAACUAGUGCAAAAAUGUAAAUGACUAAAUUGGACAUAAUGCUAAAUAAAAUUUAUUUACACAUUUAUAAACACGUAUAUAAAAUAUUUUUAUUACGUACAUAUAAUUAUUGAUAACUAAAAUAAAUAUUUUAUAUUAUUAAAUUUUAUUCUUUAAUUUGUUAUCUCAAUAUAAUUGGUAAUAGUAAUAACCUCUUUAAAGUUAAUCAUUUUAUUUCUUAAUUAAUAAAGAUAAUUUUGAAUUUUGAUUAUAUAAUGAGGAUAUGUAUAUAAAUAUAUAGAAUUUGAUUAAAUAUAAAAGUGAUUCUCAAAAUCAGAUUUUGAAAAAUUAUUCAUUCCAUACUUUUUCAAAAUCUACUAUACAAUGAGAUGAUUUUGCCAAAAGUAAUUACUAAAAAAAUUUAUAAAACACUAAAAAUUAAUUUUUAAUUUUUAAAAUCACUUUUGAACUUCCCAAAAAUAAUCCUAACGGACCNNNNNNNNNNNNNNNNNNNNNNNNNNNNNNNNNNNNNNNNNNNNNNNNNNNNNNNNNNNNNNNNNNNNNNNNNNNNNNNNNNNNNNNNNNNNNNNNNNNNGUGGUGUUAGAACUUGUGACUUUUGGAUCUUUUAGUUUUUAUUGGUUGAUACAAUUGUUACCUAAAAAUUAAAUGUAUCUUAAACCCAAACUUCUUCUUCUUUUUUUUGACUAACAAAAUUAAAAAACAAUAGUGAACACAUUCUUUAAUAAACAAUAAGUAAUAACUAAAAUCGUGUUAAAUUUCUUAAAAAUUUUCUUUCACGGUCUGCUAAAUAUUUUUAUUAGUAUUUUGAAUAAAUAAAAAUAAUUGAUUUAAUUUUUUUAAAGAAACUUAUUAGGUUCAUGUAAAGAUGUUUUUGUUAUUUUAAAAAGUGUAGAAAGUACUCCUAAAAAAAAAGUGUAGAAAGUAAAACUUAAUUUUUUAAAUUUAUUAGCUUACUGCAUAAAUAAUUGAGUGUUCAUAAUGAUUUUUAAAGUAUAGAUAGUCGGACCCUAAUAUUUUUAAUAUGGAAAUUUUGCUAAUAUGUUAAUGAGAAUUAAAAAGAUAAUUAAGGGAGGCAAUUGAGACAUUCAGGAUAGUUAGGAUGGGACAUGAUUGUGAGUGGUUUGAUAUUAGUCCUAAUUUUGAUCACAAAUAUAUAAACAUGACGAGUUUAUCUCUACUUACAUUCCAUUUGAUAAUUAAGAUGAGAGUGGAAUCGUCAAAUCCCAAAUCAUCCCGGACCAUUGCCAUCAAAGGUACUCUCACUAAUAAUAUCUAAAGAAAAAUGUACAUGUAUUUCAUUUUUUUUUUAAACGGAAAGAGCCCUCAUGGGGCUUGAAAUGUUAUCCUAAAUAGUAUUCAAAAUAUCAAGCCAUGAUUGGGUUUGUGACAAACAAAUAUUACAUAGUUAGGAUACGUAGUUACUAGUGUCCCCAUUUAUGUAGUAUCUAUCAUUUAAUGCACAUAUAAAGUAUUAAUCAGCUUAAUUAAUUUAUAAAAUCUAAAUCUAAUUAAUAAGUGACACAUAAAAGCCAAGUGCAAUAUAUGCAAGUCAUGUUUGUCGAUCAUUACAAAACUAGCUCUUGAAAACAAGCAAGAAAGCUUAAUUAAGAACUUAAAACAAAAAGAAAUUUAGAUUGAGAACAGUCAAGCCUUAUUUUUUUCAAGGAUGGAGCUUAUAAAUCUUCAAGUACCAACAUAUGCUUGGCCCAAUUGUUGUUAUUAAAAAUUCAAUAUAUAUAUAUAUAAGUAUGACAUAGCAAAAAUUUGAUGGUACAUAUGUCGGAAUAUACUAGUUCAUGGAUGCAUUUGAUUAUUGUUUCCAUAAAUUUGAACCAGGAAGGAUAACACGAUAAAAUUUGAUUUUAUGGUAUGGUUGAUUUCAUAUCUCAUGCACUCAUUUCUUAAGAUAAUCAAAUUUUCUCUGGCAUCUUUUGCAACUGUGGAAAUAUCAAUUAUGAUCAAUCAAAACGAUUUCAAAACCUCUCAACGAGACAUAUUUAUAAUACAAUGUUGUGAAAAUUACACCAAAUUUUAAUUUAUUAUAUAUUAUUAUCCAACGAGCACACAAAAAUGAAUUCGUACAAAUAGAGUUUACCAUGUACUACAAGAAACUAGGGUAUAAGUGACCCCUAAUGUGAAUGCAAAAGAAGCCAUUAUGUAUAUCACUAACUUCUAGGCUCUAGCUUUGUACCCCGACUUGCUUUUGUUACCCUUUAUGUGACGGCCACACCGCUAUCACAUAUGUUAGUUACUACCCGCGUGACGGUAAAGAGCCGUUCGGUAUAUUACUAUUUUAUAAUUUUAAAUUUAAAACUAUUUGCUGGACUCCGUGUUACUAGCCACCAUCGUAAGCCUAACUGGUUGCCGGCGAACUGCGUAAAACACUGGCCAUCUUCUUCUUCAUCGUCUUCUCCCUUCAUCUUUUGAGGUAAGCUUGUGAUUAUGAGUUUCUUCUCUUACUUAGCUUGUAAUUAUAGACUUUGAUUUUUUUUUUAAUUCGCAUUGUAGCCAUUAUUGUCAAUUUUUGUCCCGCGAGCAAUAUAUUUUUAUUGCUUCAAGUUGAAGCCCCUGUUUUCUUGUUCCAUUGGUGAGUUUGCUCACUCAAAUUAAUUUUGUUCUGCGGAAUUUGCAACGUUCAAAUGGAUUCGUUUGAAUUACUAUUGAAUUUAGCUUUAAUUUCAACAUCCAUUCUAAUGUUUUGCUAUUAGAUUUACUUUAAUUUUAUGUUUAAAGCUUCUACAGUGAAUAGCGGAGCUUGGGUUUUAGUUUCAUUUUCUAGAUAACUUGUUUUAGUUUAUCUUGUAUACUCACCAAGUGCUUGUUAUAUUGUCUGAUAAGUUAUAUACAUUGCUGAUUCUAUAUUAAUAAUGUUAUGUUCUAUUUUCAGAAAUUAUAAUACAAAAGCUUUUACAAUGGCGUGCAUCUACAAACUGGAUUGACUCGUAGAAUAAGAGCUUGGAGUAGUGUUAUGUUCUUGAAUAAAUGAAAGUUCAUAUUGUGUAAGAGCAUGUAGAUGUAAAGCAUCAUUAUCAUUUCUACAAAGUGCUUUCAUUCUCUUCAGAUGCUCUUCUUGAACUUUGAAAGGUGCCUCGUUCAAGUCCUAGCUAUAACUGCUAGCUUUGAUUAAUUAAGUUCCUAUACUAGCUGAAACAGAUUUAUUUAAUUAAUUAAUUGUGUAUAUACUAAUUAUAUUGAAAGUAUAUGAAACUUUUUUUUUUUCACAUGAAUGACUUCUAAAUGACUUAAAAACCUAAAGGAUGUGUGAAAUAAUGCUCAUUUCACUUGAAUGAGCCUAUUAAUACUUUUAUGUCUAUGAUGUCAAAAUUGGCUUAAGCAUUUCAGUUAAGUGGUUUACCUAGCAGAGAAAAAAAUUUUAAUAGAGAAACUUCAGAGUUCUAACAGAAAUAUAGUUCGCUAUGCAGAUAUAGUUAUNNNNNNNNNNNNNNNNNNNNNNNNNNNNNNNNNNNNNNNNNNNNNNNNNNNNNNNNNNNNNNNNNNNNNNNNNNNNNNNNNNNNNNNNNNNNNNNNNNNNNNNNNNNNNNNNNNNNNNNNNNNNNNNNNNNNNNNNNNNNNNNNNNNNNNNNNNNNNNNNNNNNNNNNNNNNNNNNNNNNNNNNNNNNNNNNNNNNNNNNNNNNNNNNNNNNNNNNNNNNNNNNNNNNNNNNNNNNNNNNNNNNNNNNNNNNNNNNNNNNNNNNNNNNNNNNNNNNNNNNNNNNNNNNNNNNNNNNNNNNNNNNNNNNNNNNNNNNNNNNNNNNNNNNNNNNNNNNNNNNNNNNNNNNNNNNNNNNNNNNNNNNNNNNNNNNNNNNNNNNNNNNNNNNNNNNNNNNNNNNNNNNNNNNNNNNNNNNNNNNNNNNNNNNNNNNNNNNNNNNNNNNNNNNNNNNNNNNNNNNNNNNNNNNNNNNNNNNNNNNNNNNNNNNNNNNNNNNNNNNNNNNNNNNNNNNNNNNNNNNNNNNNNNNNNNNNNNNNNNNNNNNNNNNNNNNNNNNNNNNNNNNNNNNNNNNNNNNNNNNNNNNNNNNNNNNNNNNNNNNNNNNNNNNNNNNNNNNNNNNNNNNNNNNNNNNNNNNNNNNNNNNNNNNNNNNNNNNNNNNNNNNNNNNNNNNNNNNNNNNNNNNNNNNNNNNNNNNNNNNNNNNNNNNNNNNNNNNNNNNNNNNNNNNNNNNNNNNNNNNNNNNNNNNNNNNNNNNNNNNNNNNNNNNNNNNNNNNNNNNNNNNNNNNNNNNNNNNNNNNNNNNNNNNNNNNNNNNNNNNNNNNNNNNNNNNNNNNNNNNNNNNNNNNNNNNNNNNNNNNNNNNNNNNNNNNNNNNNNNNNNNNNNNNNNNNNNNNNNNNNNNNNNNNNNNNNNNNNNNNNNNNNNNNNNNNNNNNNNNNNNNNNNNNNNNNNNNNNNNNNNNNNNNNNNNNNNNNNNNNNNNNNNNNNNNNNNNNNNNNNNNNNNNNNNNNNNNNNNNNNNNNNNNNNNNNNNNNNNNNNNNNNNNNNNNNNNNNNNNNNNNNNNNNNNNNNNNNNNNNNNNNNNNNNNNNNNNNNNNNNNNNNNNNNNNNNNNNNNNNNNNNNNNNNNNNNNNNNNNNNNNNNNNNNNGUUAUUCAAAUUUCAGAUUCAAUUUUAAACUUUUGAUAUGUGCAUUGAAAGCUUAGACUUGUUUAAGAAAUUAUUAAUAGACACAUGUUUUAUUAGUGUCAUCUUUGGAUGAUAGUGAGGAUCAUGUGUCUAUUAAUAAUUCUUGAAUUGUCCAGGCUUGGACAGUUUUGGAAUGCAUAGUUCUCUCUGGUAGCUAGUGGCUGAAGUUUUUGUCCCACGUAAAAAUGGGUUUUUCGGUAGCUGCUCCUCGUGUUCUCUGAGUACGUACUAGGUGAAUGGGUGUCAUGUGUUUGUUUUGGCAAAACACAUAAACACUUAUAUAGGUAUGUCUAGUGCUUGGAGAGCUAUCAUUUCAUAAGAGAGUGUAUUGCAAGAAAAGAAGUGCAAAUCAAGUAUGUAAAAUCACAAGAUCAAGCAGCUGAUAGCUUCACUAAGCCACUCAAGCAAGAAGACUUUGUAAGAUUCAGAAGUUUGCUUGGUGUCACAGGAUCAAGUUUAAGGGGAGAUGUUGGAUCAUAAACUUGAUCCAAGAUGAAUAAAUCAAGCCCAACUCAUGGAAGGUUCCAUGAGUAUGUAUGGUUGGUGAGGUUUGAAUUAUUUGUGUUAGGUGUGUUAGGUGUGGUUGGUGAAGUAGGUGAGUGGUAGGUUUUAAUGGAUGGUGAGAAUUUGUUUAUUAGUUGAAUAAAUGAAUGGUUGUGAUUAGUUUUUUUCAUGUAUAAAUACCCCCUCUCCCCUUUGGUUUAAACAUCAAGUGAAGUAGCAAAAUCUCUAAGGUGUAGAGAGUGAAAAAUAAGAGUUGUAAUUGGUGAGGAGUGUUGUUGAAGAAAUAAAAUAGUGUGUUUUAUGUGAGUUUUAUUUAUUAAUUCUCCAACAUGUAAUUGGUGAUGAUUUUGCUGAGCUGACCUUGGUUUUGAGCUUGUAAUUUUGUUUGUAAAUGGAGUGCUUUCUCCAAUGUUGGUUUAUAAAAAUGUUUCAGGACUUGCCGACCUAAUUUUUGUUUCUGCUAGGUUACAGGCUUUAUAUAGCUGUAAUUGAUAGCCAAGUGAAGUUCUCAGCACUUGGCGAGGAUAUUUCUUUACAGAAGUAUUGGAAACUAUUUUUUACAUUAAUUAUUGUUGUCUAUAUACUUUGAUUUUCACAUCUUUUUCUCUGAUUCUUGUGGCUUUGCUUGCUUUCAUAUAUGUAAAUUCUAAUGAAAUUAACCAUAAAAUUGUAAAAUGAUCUUUUUAUCAUAUUGCAAAACUGUGCACACACGAAAAUAUUCUUGUUUAGUAGUACAAAUGAAAAACUAAAAUGAUUUAUUUAACUAAUAUUUGAGCGCAUUAAAAGGAGAUAGUCAUGGACAAGUGUUGGGUUGGUUUGCCAAAUAGAUAUCCAAGUCAUAUACUGAUGGGGUUGAAAAAUUUAUAAAUUUUGCAUUUUAGAAUGUUGUUGCUGGUACAAGAAUUUAUUGUCCUUUUAAGAAGUGUUAUAAUCUAUAUUUCGUUAUGAGGGAAGUGGCUGAUGAUGAUAUGGUUGGAAUGAUACACUGCAUCACAUAAUCAAAUGUUCAAGUUACACUCAACAUUGUUAUGGACUAUCAGUGACAUGAGUGAACUAGACUGAGAAUACCUUCAGUUAUUGAGCUAAGAAGCCAGCUGAGUAAUGUUUGAUCUUGAGAUCUCCAAAUUGUGUAUUCAGGAUUCUCGAUCUGUUGAGAAGAUCCAGCAGCUCCAGCAGUUGUUGCAGCAAAGCUUGAUGAUGCUAUAAAUCGAUUUGGUGCAAUCUUUUCUCCAUUAAUGUAUCCUUCAAGUCGAUUUCCUCUAAUGGAGGCCAGGACUUGAUUUUUCCAAAGCAUGUAGUUAGAUCUAUCUAAUUUGAUUGGUGUGAUGAAAGAAAAAGUUGUUUGAUUUGCAGCUACUGUAUUUUGAUUGUUUGUGAUUGCCAUGAUUGGCUCUGAUACCAUGAAGAAAUUGUAAAAAUGAAUAAAUGCUGUUGUUUGGCAGCUGAGAAAAUACAGAGGAAAAUUUUAUUUCAUUAAUGAAACUGAUAUUUUGUACAUAACAACAAUCACGAACAUGUAGCUAUUUAUACAUGCUUAUGUUCACUAACUAGUUGCUCACUAACUAAUUAUUAAUCACAAGCUCACUCAGCUAAUUAAUAACCAAACACAGAGUGUGCAUUGUGAAGUUAGUUAGGCUGGUAACUGCUGCUGACGUGGAUCUUCUGACGUGGCACUAAUGACAGCUGGUAACUUGACAUGCUGAUUCUUCUUCUUCACUUCUGCAUAAUGACAUAUCUUCACACCAGUCAAGAAGUUAUUUUCAGAUCCCAUACUUAACAAGACAUUACAAUCCCUUGCUGUUAAUAAUAAUUUGCAUCCUCUAUGAUCAUCGCCAAAAGGAAUUCCAACAGUCUCUAAAUCAAGAUAUUUCCAGAUGUUAUCCAGAAUCACAAGGAUCAUCUUCUCUUUCUUCAAUCGUUCAUAAAGUCUACUAGCUCUUCUAGAUUCAGCCUCCUCGGAAAACUCCAGACCUAGUUUCUCUGCAAUUUCCCCAUGAAUCUUUUUUAUGUCUGGAGUUUGGGAUACCUCUGAAAAAACCACCUGAUCAAAGAGUUUCUCUUCACUGGCUUGCCUUGCAAACUCCUUCACCAGUGUUGUCUUUCCAAUGCCGCCCAUGCCGUAUACCCCAACGAUGUUGACAUUGACAUCAGUCAAUGCAUCUUGUAUAGACUUCAGAGUAGAAAGUCUUGAUUUAAAGGCCUCGUAACCUUUGUUAGACUUUAGCCAUACCUCCUCCGCAAUGGUACGGUAGAAAAUUCUAUCAUCAAAUCUCCUAGCUUCUGAUGAGAUAUAAUUAGUAAUCUAGUAAAUUGAGCAAGAAGUUUGAAGGGUUAUUUGGUUUGUUUUUCAACGUGAAGUAAAGGGUAAAAUUGAUGUUUGCAAUGUGGCUUUGGAAAUGUAAAGCAUGAUUAAUGUAAUCUCCAGAGUUGUCUAUAAUGCAUAUAAAUAUAGAACUCUGGUUGUAUGAAAAGGAAGAGAGAAACGAAAAAAUGAAUUAAGCAAUAAAGUUUCAGAAAUUUCCAGCAAAAUACUCUGUUCUUAAAUAAAAAAAUUUCUGCACUUCCGCUUGCACCCAACAAAUUUGGUAUCAGAGCUUUUCAAAACACCCUCAAAAUGACAUCAAAUACCCUACCCACAUUAUUUUCAUAUGCUCCCAGUCAAGUUCCAAUAUUUGAAGGGGUACAUUAUGAAUAUUGGAGUAAUCAAAUAGAAACCUUUUUCCUCUCUCAAAAUUUAUGGGAUGUUGUUGAAGAUGGAUAUGCUGAACCACCAGAAUUUGCAAGUUCUUCAGAUUGGACUCCAGCACAUCAACAGCAGUACAAAGAAAACAUACAGAGAAAUGCCACGACACUUCGAUAUAUCUAGUAAGGUGUUAGUAAGUCAAUUUUCCCAGAAUAUUUGGUGUCAAAAAGGCCAAAAAUGCUUGGGAAAUCCUAAAACAAGAAUUUCAAGGUUCCGAAAAGGCAGUCACCAUCAAGUUACAAACUUUGUGGAAAGAGUUCAAUAAUUUAUCAAUGAAAGACAGUGAAGGAGUUCAAGAUUUUUGCAGUAGAGUUACUGAGAUUGUGAACCAGAUUAAAGGUUGCGGGGACUCCAUUGAAGACAAGAAGGUGAAUGAAAAGGUGCUGAGAUGUCUUCCUCCAAAUUUUGAUCAUGUAGCAGCAGCCAUUAAAGAAUCAAGGGAUUUGUCCAGGAUGACUUUUUCAGAUUUGUCAGGAUCAUUACGGUCUCAUGAGCAAAGAAUCAAUCGACCUUCAAGUCAGCCUACAGAGCAAGCUUUUCAGUCAAAGAUUAAUAAUUUAGAUCAGAAUAAAAGCAGCAAGAAAGACCAGAAGAACGGAGGCUCGUCUCAAAGAAACGGACAGCGUGGCAAAGGGAAAAGAGAAUAGAACGACAACCGCAACAAGUGGAAAAAUGACAGAGGGAAUUCACAGCAAAAUUCAGAUUCUCGGUGCAUCAUUUGUAAUUGGUCUAAUCAUGAAUUAAAAGAUUGUCGUUAUAAAUGCACAAGGUGUCGCAUUCCUAACCAUUCUCAAAGGGAUUGUUGGUAUCAAAAUAAAAAAGGCAAAAAUGAGGCAAAUUUUACAAAAGAAGGUGAUGGAGAUUACUUGUUUUAUUCAAGUAAAGGUACUGAACGUGAAUCAUAUAAUUUUUGGUACUUGGAUAGCGGCUGCAGCAACCACAUGACUAGAGAACGUGACAUUUUCAUCAGCCUUGACUAAAGUUUUAAUUCGCAAGUGAAGCUUGGAGAUGGAAAGAUGCAGAAAGCUGUGGGAAAAGGCACUAUUGCUGUCCAUACAAAGGGAGGUAACAAAAAGCUCAUUUCUGACGUUCUUUAUGUUCCAAAUUUAACUCAAAACCUCUUGAGUGUGGGACAGCUAAUUCAAAAGGGUUUUUCAAUUUAUUUUGAUGAUGAAAAAUGCAAAAUUAUUGAUAAAACUAAUAAUCACACAGUGGCCGUUGUUGAAAUGUCAAAGAACAAAGUUUUUCCUCUUGUUAUGCCACUUGAUGAGAAUGUUGCUCUCAAAACUGAAAAUUCAGAUUUGUCAACUUUAUGGCAUCUCAGAUAUGGCCAUUUAAACUAUAAAGGGCUGAAUUUGCUCAAGCAAAAGAACAUGGUGAUUGGCCUACCUGAUGUUGGAAGAUAUGAAAAAGUUUGCGAGGGCUGUAUUUAUGGAAAAAUGCAUAGACUUCCAUUUCCUAAAAAUUCAUGGAGAGCCAAAGCUCCGUUGGAGUUGGUGCAUGCUGAUAUUUGUGGUCCUACAAGGACUUUCUCUCUCAAUAACAGGAGAUAUUUCAUUCUUUUUGUUGUUGACUAUACAAGGAUGAUGUGGAUUUAUUUUUUGAAUGAAAAAUCAGAAGCUUUCUCAACUUUUCUUCAGUUUAAAGCUCUUGCAGAAAGGCAAAGUGGAUGCAAAAUGAAGACCUUGAGAACUGAUCGUGGUGGUAAAUUUAUCUACACUCCAUUCAUGAAUUAUUGCGGGGAUAAUGGAAUUCAAAGACAACUUACUGUCAGCCGAAGUCCACAACAAAACGGAGUCGCAGAACGGAAGAACCGUACCAUUGUAGAGAUGGCAAGAAGCAUGUUAAAAGGCAAAGGCAUUCCUAACAACUUAUGGGCAGAAGCAUGUCAUACAGCUGUGUACAUCCUCAACAGGUCUNNNNNNNNNNNNNNNNNNNNNNNNNNNNNNNNNNNNNNNNNNNNNNNNNNNNNNNNNNNNNNNNNNNNNNNNNNNNNNNNNNNNNNNNNNNNNNNNNNNNNNNNNNNNNNNNNNNNNNNNNNNNNNNNNNNNNNNNNNNNNNNNNNNNNNNNNNNNNNNNNNNAUAGUGAUGAGUCUAAAGGGUAUCGGUUGUUGAAUCCUACAACAAAUAAGCUUGUUAUCUCAAGAGAUGUUGUAUUUGAUGAGGCAUCAGCUUGGCAGUGGGAAAACGAUCAAUCUCAAGCAUCUAGCUUUUUUGAAGCUCCUGUAUCUCCACCAAAUUCUUCACAGCAAAAUAAUUUGGAACCAAAUUCUCCAAAUUCAGCAGCAGAAAGUUCUUCGGAUGAUGAAAGCCCUCCAAGGAAGAUAAAGUCAAUGAGAGAAAUUUAUGAGUCAUGUGAACUUGCUUUAUUUUCUUGUGAGCCUCAAGACUUUGAGGAGGCCUCAAGAAAUGAAGAUUGGAUCAAAGCAAUGAACGAGGAAAUGGCCACCAUUGUGAAAAAUAAAACUUGGGAGAUGGUUAAUUUGCCAAAUGGAAAAGAAACAAUUGGGCUGAAAUGGAUCUUCAAAAUCAAGUACAAUGAAGAUGGUUCAGUUCAAAAAUAUAAGGCGCGGCUCGUUGCCAAAGGAUACUCUCAGCUGCCUGGAGUUGAUUUUACAGAAACAUUUGCUCCCGUAGCUCGAAUGGAGACUAUUCGAACUGUUCUUGCCUUGGCAGCCCAAAUGGAAUUAAAUGUGUUUCAGCUAGAUGUAAAAUCGGCAUUUCUAAAUGGUGAAAUUGAAGACGAGGUUUAUGUUGAGCAGCCUAAAGGAGACUAAACGCAACNNNNNNNNNNNNNNNNNNNNNNNNNNNNNNNNNNNNNNNNNNNNNNNNNNNNNNNNNNNNNNNNNNNNNNNNNNNNNNNNNNNNNNNNNNNNNNNNNNNNNNNNNNNNNNNNNNNNNNNNNNNNNNNNNNNNNNNNNNNNNNNNNNNNNNNNNNNNNNNNNNNNNNNNNNNNNNNNNNNNNNNNNNNNNNNNNNNNNNNNNNNNNNNNNNNNNNNNNNNNNNNNNNNNNNNNNNNNNNNNNNNNNNNNNNNNNNNNNNNNNNNNNNNNNNNNNNNNNNNNNNNNNNNNNNNNNNNNNNNNNNNNNNNNNNNNNNNNNNNNNNNNNNNNNNNNNNNNNNNNNNNNNNNNNNNNNNNNNNNNNNNNNNNNNNNNNNNNNNNNNNNNNNNNNNNNNNNNNNNNNNNNNNNNNNNNNNNNNNNNNNNNNNNNNNNNNNNNNNNNNNNNNNNNNNNNNNNNNNNNNNNNNNNNNNNNNNNNNNNNNNNNNNNNNNNNNNNNNNNNNNNNNNNNNNNNNNNNNNNNNNNNNNNNNNNNNNNNNNNNNNNNNNNNNNNNNNNNNNNNNNNNNNNNNNNNNNNNNNNNNNNNNNNNNNNNNNNNNNNNNNNNNNNNNNNNNNNNNNNNNNNNNNNNNNNNNNNNNNNNNNNNNNNNNNNNNNNNNNNNNNNNNNNNNNNNNNNNNNNNNNNNNNNNNNNNNNNNNNNNNNNNNNNNNNNNNNNNNNNNNNNNNNNNNNNNNNNNNNNNNNNNNNNNNNNNNNNNNNNNNNNNNNNNNNNNNNNNNNNNNNNNNNNNNNNNNNNNNNNNNNNNNNNNNNNNNNNNNNNNNNNNNNNNNNNNNNNNNNNNNNNNNNNNNNNNNNNNNNNNNNNNNNNNNNNNNNNNNNNNNNNNNNNNNNNNNNNNNNNNNNNNNNNNNNNNNNNNNNNNNNNNNNNNNNNNNNNNNNNNNNNNNNNNNNNNNNNNNNNNNNNNNNNNNNNNNNNNNNNNNNNNNNNNNNNNNNNNNNNNNNNNNNNNNNNNNNNNNNNNNNNNNNNNNNNNNNNNNNNNNNNNNNNNNNNNNNNNNNNNNNNNNNNNNNNNNNNNNNNNNNNNNNNNNNNNNNNNNNNNNNNNNNNNNNNNNNNNNNNNNNNNNNNNNNNNNNNNNNNNNNNNNNNNNNNNNNNNNNNNNNNNNNNNNNNNNNNNNNNNNNNNNNNNNNNNNNNNNNNNNNNNNNNNNNNNNNNNNNNNNNNNNNNNNNNNNNNNNNNNNNNNNNNNNNNNNNNNNNNNNNNNNNNNNNNNNNNNNNNNNNNNNNNNNNNNNNNNNNNNNNNNNNNNNNNNNNNNNNNNNNNNNNNNNNNNNNNNNNNNNNNNNNNNNNNNNNNNNNNNNNNNNNNNNNNNNNNNNNNNNNNNNNNNNNNNNNNNNNNNNNNNNNNNNNNNNNNNNNNNNNNNNNNNNNNNNNNNNNNNNNNNNNNNNNNNNNNNNNNNNNNNNNNNNNNNNNNNNNNNNNNNNNNNNNNNNNNNNNNNNNNNNNNNNNNNNNNNNNNNNNNNNNNNNNNNNNNNNNNNNNNNNNNNNNNNNNNNNNNNNNNNNNNNNNNNNNNNNNNNNNNNNNNNNNNNNNNNNNNNNNNNNNNNNNNNNNNNNNNNNNNNNNNNNNNNNNNNNNNNNNNNNNNNNNNNNNNNNNNNNNNNNNNNNNNNNNNNNNNNNNNNNNNNNNNNNNNNNNNNNNNNNNNNNNNNNNNNNNNNNNNNNNNNNNNNNNNNNNNNNNNNNNNNNNNNNNNNNNNNNNNNNNNNNNNNNNNNNNNNNNNNNNNNNNNNNNNNNNNNNNNNNNNNNNNNNNNNNNNNNNNNNNNNNNNNNNNNNNNNNNNNNNNNNNNNNNNNNNNNNNNNNNNNNNNNNNNNNNNNNNNNNNNNNNNNNNNNNNNNNNNNNNNNNNNNNNNNNNNNNNNNNNNNNNNNNNNNNNNNNNNNNNNNNNNNNNNNNNNNNNNNNNNNNNNNNNNNNNNNNNNNNNNNNNNNNNNNNNNNNNNNNNNNNNNNNNNNNNNNNNNNNNNNNNNNNNNNNNNNNNNNNNNNNNNNNNNNNNNNNNNNNNNNNNNNNNNNNNNNNNNNNNNNNNNNNNNNNNNNNNNNNNNNNNNNNNNNNNNNNNNNNNNNNNNNNNNNNNNNNNNNNNNNNNNNNNNNNNNNNNNNNNNNNNNNNNNNNNNNNNNNNNNNNNNNNNNNNNNNNNNNNNNNNNNNNNNNNNNNNNNNNNNNNNNNNNNNNNNNNNNNNNNNNNNNNNNNNNNNNNNNNNNNNNNNNNNNNNNNNNNNNNNNNNNNNNNNNNNNNNNNNNNNNNNNNNNNNNNNNNNNNNNNNNNNNNNNNNNNNNNNNNNNNNNNNNNNNNNNNNNNNNNNNNNNNNNNNNNNNNNNNNNNNNNNNNNNNNNNNNNNNNNNNNNNNNNNNNNNNNNNNNNNNNNNNNNNNNNNNNNNNNNNNNNNNNNNNNNNNNNNNNNNNNNNNNNNNNNNNNNNNNNNNNNNNNNNNNNNNNNNNNNNNNNNNNNNNNNNNNNNNNNNNNNNNNNNNNNNNNNNNNNNNNNNNNNNNNNNNNNNNNNNNNNNNNNNNNNNNNNNNNNNNNNNNNNNNNNNNNNNNNNNNNNNNNNNNNNNNNNNNNNNNNNNNNNNNNNNNNNNNNNNNNNNNNNNNNNNNNNNNNNNNNNNNNNNNNNNNNNNNNNNNNNNNNNNNNNNNNNNNNNNNNNNNNNNNNNNNNNNNNNNNNNNNNNNNNNNNNNNNNNNNNNNNNNNNNNNNNNNNNNNNNNNNNNNNNNNNNNNNNNNNNNNNNNNNNNNNNNNNNNNNNNNNNNNNNNNNNNNNNNNNNNNNNNNNNNNNNNNNNNNNNNNNNNNNNNNNNNNNNNNNNNNNNNNNNNNNNNNNNNNNNNNNNNNNNNNNNNNNNNNNNNNNNNNNNNNNNNNNNNNNNNNNNNNNNNNNNNNNNNNNNNNNNNNNNNNNNNNNNNNNNNNNNNNNNNNNNNNNNNNNNNNNNNNNNNNNNNNNNNNNNNNNNNNNNNNNNNNNNNNNNNNNNNNNNNNNNNNNNNNNNNNNNNNNNNNNNNNNNNNNNNNNNNNNNNNNNNNNNNNNNNNNNNNNNNNNNNNNNNNNNNNNNNNNNNNNNNNNNNNNNNNNNNNNNNNNNNNNNNNNNNNNNNNNNNNNNNNNNNNNNNNNNNNNNNNNNNNNNNNNNNNNNNNNNNNNNNNNNNNNNNNNNNNNNNNNNNNNNNNNNNNNNNNNNNNNNNNNNNNNNNNNNNNNNNNNNNNNNNNNNNNNNNNNNNNNNNNNNNNNNNNNNNNNNNNNNNNNNNNNNNNNNNNNNNNNNNNNNNNNNNNNNNNNNNNNNNNNNNNNNNNNNNNNNNNNNNNNNNNNNNNNNNNNNNNNNNNNNNNNNNNNNNNNNNNNNNNNNNNNNNNNNNNNNNNNNNNNNNNNNNNNNNNNNNNNNNNNNNNNNNNNNNNNNNNNNNNNNNNNNNNNNNNNNNNNNNNNNNNNNNNNNNNNNNNNNNNNNNNNNNNNNNNNNNNNNNNNNNNNNNNNNNNNNNNNNNNNNNNNNNNNNNNNNNNNNNNNNNNNNNNNNNNNNNNNNNNNNNNNNNNNNNNNNNNNNNNNNNNNNNNNNNNNNNNNNNNNNNNNNNNNNNNNNNNNNNNNNNNNNNNNNNNNNNNNNNNNNNNNNNNNNNNNNNNNNNNNNNNNNNNNNNNNNNNNNNNNNNNNNNNNNNNNNNNNNNNNNNNNNNNNNNNNNNNNNNNNNNNNNNNNNNNNNNNNNNNNNNNNNNNNNNNNNNNNNNNNNNNNNNNNNNNNNNNNNNNNNNNNNNNNNNNNNNNNNNNNNNNNNNNNNNNNNNNNNNNNNNNNNNNNNNNNNNNNNNNNNNNNNNNNNNNNNNNNNNNNNNNNNNNNNNNNNNNNNNNNNNNNNNNNNNNNNNNNNNNNNNNNNNNNNNNNNNNNNNNNNNNNNNNNNNNNNNNNNNNNNNNNNNNNNNNNNNNNNNNNNNNNNNNNNNNNNNNNNNNNNNNNNNNNNNNNNNNNNNNNNNNNNNNNNNNNNNNNNNNNNNNNNNNNNNNNNNNNNNNNNNNNNNNNNNNNNNNNNNNNNNNNNNNNNNNNNNNNNNNNNNNNNNNNNCUCAAGGAUUUGCAGUUCAAUCAAGAUGCUGCAACAACAAUUUAUUGUGACAACAUGUCAGCCAUUGCUCUAACAAAGAACCCCGUAUUUCAUGCUAAAUCUAAGCACAUUGAGCUGCGUUAUCACUACAUCCGUGACUUAGUAAGCAAAGGAGAAGUUAAUAUGGAGUUUAUCAACACUAAUGAGCAGCCAGCAGAUUUUGUCACGUGGGUCACCGUCGAUUUUUACCAACAAAUCAUAGGUUUCGAAAAUAUAGUGUCUUUUGAUAAAACUAGAGAGUAGGGACAAGCACCUUCUCGGUUGUCUGGAACUGAAGUGAAAAAGCAGUUUAAUAUAGUUACUGAGUAUAAGAUUGAAGACUUGAAAAGAGGAGAACGAAUAAAAUGAGAGAAAUGAUAAGAUUACCUGGAAGAAGAACAGCAUUUUUUAUGAACUAACGUAUUGGUUUUUGAUAUCAUGAUCUUGAUAUCAUGCACUGUUUUGAUUUUUGUUAUGAACUCAGAUCAAAAGUUUAAUGUGAUCAAAAUUUCUUAAAAAUAGUGACAACGACUCCUCCUAAUAACAUUGAAGAUGGCUAUAAAAGAUAAAAGGAAAGGAUUAAAAAGAAAAGCUACGCCUGUUUCAAAAAAAAAAAUGGCGGCAUCAAGUUUAUAACAAAAAUCAAAACGGUGCGUUUGAAAGUGUAUAAAAUACAUUUAGAGCGGGAGUUGCGUUGUUUCUUGAAGGCAGAAUGUUUGUGAGAUUUUUGUCGACGAAGCCAAAACCAAAGAUGAAGCCCAUAGAGCUCAAAACUCCACCGGAGCAAAUUCAGACAAUUACGAGGGUUAUAUUUGACAUGGUCAAGGAAGACGGUCCUCUCACCGUCGCCGAUUCUUGGGAACGCGUCAAGGUGUGUGUAUCUGUUAAAUUGAAUUUCAACCGUUUGGUCUGUAAUUAUAAUUAAUCCUAUCGAUCUGACAGUGAUGAUUGAUCAUAAUACUAGUAGUUGUUUUACAUUUUCUACAAGCUGGAGUGAGUGGAUUGACGGGCAAAAGCCACNNNNNNNNNNNNNNNNNNNNNNNNNNNNNNNNNNNNNNNNNNNNNNNNNNNNNNNNNNNNNNNNNNNNNNNNNNNNNNNNNNNNNNNNNNNNNNNNNNNNNNNNNNNNNNNNNNNNNNNNNNNNNNNNNNNNNNNNNNNNNNNNNNNNNNNNNNNNNNNNNNNNNNNNNNNNNNNNNNNNNNNNNNNNNNNNNNNNNNNNNNNNNNNNNNNNNNNNNNNNNNNNNNNNNNNNNNNNNNNNNNNNNNNNNNNNNNNNNNNNNNNNNNNNNNNNNNNNNNNNNNNNNNNNNNNNNNNNNNNNNNNNNNNNNNNNNNNNNNNNNNNNNNNNNNNNNNNNNNNNNNNNNNNNNNNNNNNNNNNNNNNNNNNNNNNNNNNNNNNNNNNNNNNNNNNNNNNNNNNNNNNNNNNNNNNNNNNNNNNNNNNNNNNNNNNNNNNNNNNNNNNNNNNNNNNNNNNNNNNNNNNNNNNNNNNNNNNNNNNNNNNNNNNNNNNNNNNNNNNNNNNNNNNNNNNNNNNNNNNNNNNNNNNNNNNNNNNNNNNNNNNNNNNNNNNNNNNNNNNNNNNNNNNNNNNNNNNNNNNNNNNNNNNNNNNNNNNNNNNNNNNNNNNNNNNNNNNNNNNNNNNNNNNNNNNNNNNNNNNNNNNNNNNNNNNNNNNNNNNNNNNNNNNNNNNNNNNNNNNNNNNNNNNNNNNNNNNNNNNNNNNNNNNNNNNNNNNNNNNNNNNNNNNNNNNNNNNNNNNNNNNNNNNNNNNNNNNNNNNNNNNNNNNNNNNNNNNNNNNNNNNNNNNNNNNNNNNNNNNNNNNNNNNNNNNNNNNNNNNNNNNNNNNNNNNNNNNNNNNNNNNNNNNNNNNNCAAGCCACAUGAAGAUUGUGUAGAGAUGGAUGAGGGAGAGACAAAAGCUCAGGCUCGUCUGCAACCAUGUGGGCCCUCAUUAGCAACUCCUGUACACAGCUUGGCUUACCAAGCCCAACAACUUGAAGCAGGCAAAGUCAGGGAAUGACCAUUCCCCUUCACAACCCUAGCUGCCUUAACCUUGUAUCUCUGAUAUUUAGUUAAAGAGUAAGAAGAUUGCUCCUCUGUCAAUUACCUUUAAGAGAGACUUUCUUUCUCAUUCAUUGAUGCUUGCUUGUGAACGCAAGGGUUUUAGUUACACUUUCAACGCUGUCAAUGUAGUGACACGAUGAAGAUGAAGUAAAGCAGUAGUAGAAUAAUGAAGUUGGAAGCCCCACAGCAUGAAAACUUUUAAACAGUAACACAUCUUUUAUUCCAGAGGCUGCACACGAGUGACCUGAAUCUUCUUCAGAACUUUCAAAUUUUAUUAAGCAAAGCUUUCAAAAUUUCUCAACAAAAUGAUUAUUUGGUGUGGUUGCGGCAUUUUGAGUAACUGCGAUUUGUUCUCAAGUACAAAAUCCUUGCCUUCCUAAGUUAGAAAAGAUAGAUGUGAAGCAAACCAAAUGAAAUAAAUGGGUAAACAGAACAAACAGGGCGAAAAUUAAAAAUGAUGGCAAUUAACAAAUUAAUAGCAACGUUACAUUUGACUCUUUAGCCCUUUGUUCCUUCUCUUAGCAUUCUUCAAAGUUUUUGAAAAUUGGAAGUGAAGCAAACAAAAUAAAAUAAAUUUAGACAACACAUGCCCUGUAUUCAGCAUCAUAUAUAUCUCGAAGACUAGAAUUUCAAACAGUACUAGUAGUAAAAAAAUGACGACAACAACAAAAAUAGAAAAUUACAAGACUGCUGAUAAAAUUUCAUUUGCAUGCAUGUCUGACAAAAUUUCCGUGAUUUAAUGUGCCUUCAUGCACGCAAAUCCUAACGUUUCUGUGAUCACAAAAUGAAACUGGAGAUAAAUCAGAACACCUACCAAACCUUUGGCUGAAAAUUCAGAAGAAUUUAUAUUCAAGAUGUCAAAGUAAACUGGAAAUUUAUGGCACAUAUUACAAGAAGCAGUACACACCAAUGGUAAAUUGAUUCAUCGUCUUUGAACUUAAGAUAGUCAAAUGAAAGAAACACAACGGAGGGUUAAUGCAAUACAGUAAAGUGAAAACCCUCAGCAUGUAAACUUAACUUCAAAGAACGGAGCACAAGUUUCACAGAAAAGUAGCUCUUAUUCCUGAUGCUGCAAACACAGAGGAGUGUUCUCAAUCUUCUUCAUAACUUGGGAAUUCUGCAAUUAUAGAGCACGACAUUGAGCACGAACUAAAAAAAAAAAUUAUUUUCUACAAUUUUCAUAUAACCUGACUAACCAAUAUUAAUUUUGUGGUAAUGUAUUGGGUCAUUAAUUCAUAUGUUUUUACAAUCAUCACUUUAGAAAAAAACUAAUUUCUCAAUGUGAAAUGGCCCAUUGAAAGUAUUCUCAUUUAAAAACUAAAUUUGACGGACCCCUCGAUUAAAGCAGGGAAAAAAAAAAAAGAGAUCUGAGGCUUUCCACAUGAAAAUGUUGUUUGUCACUUUGAAUGAUAUUUUGAAGGGAUUUCAUUCUAAAAAUAAAAUACCUGGGACCUCAUUCUUCAAAAUUGACAACUCGCCAGGUAUUAAAAGCGUAUGAGAUCAGUACUGCGACGAGUAAGAAGACGACCCCUCUAACAGCUGAAAACAAAAUUCGCAUUCAUCAAUUUAAAUUAAAAUUCAUAUUAUGAAACUAAAACUAAUGAUUAAUGAAUUUUCGAGGAAUUUAAUAAGAUUCUCAGAUAUAAACGUGAUAACAAAUUCACUCAUCAAUAACAAAUAUUCUAACAGUUGUCCGUACCUUUUCUUGAUGUAAUUGUUGUAUGAUUGCGUUAAGGUCAUUAUUAGACCAACGCAGGUUGUCCUCUCUCUGUCCGUACCGGAAGUUUACUCUGACAGGCGUGCUUAAUUCUCUUUUGGUGAAAAUCUUCAUCUUGGGACAACCAAUCACAGCAAGAUCUUCCAAAGAUGGGAAUUUGAAGGUGUAAUUGACAGAGGAGAAGCUUGUGAGACUAUCUAAAUCAAAGAGGGACAACGUAGUCAGUUUGCUGAAAACAAUCUCUUCUUUUAAAUUUGCUGUUUCAUCUUCGUCACUUAUUACGACUUCUGUGAUUGCUCUGCAUCCAAAUACACCCAAUGAUACGAGUCGGUCUAGACUUUUUGCUGUGGAGGAUGUUAGUAAGUUCAUCAAUUUCUUGCAAGCAAAAGCUUGCAGGCGUGUGAGAUUCCGAAAAGAUACCGAUGAUGAUGGCAAUGUUGGAACAUUUUCAAAAUAAAUGUGUCUUAUGGUAAAGACAUGUCCUAUUAAUUGUGCCUUAUAGAAAAUGUACCUUUCACUAAAGACAUGUCUAAUUAAAUGAUGUCUUGUUGUAAGGACAUGUCCAUUUAAUUGUGUCUUGUAGAAAAUGUAUCUUUUUACUAAAUGAUGUAACUUUUCAUGACAACAUUUCACUUAGAGAUGCAUCAUUUCAUGGUGACAUUUCAUUUGAAAUUGUGAUGAUUCAAUUUGGACCAUUGAUUAAAAUCAAAUCUAGAUCCAAUGGCCAUGAAUGAAGGGGUAUCAUGAAAGAUGACAACCCAAAUGAGGGGGCACAAGUAUAUCUAUAAAUAGGGAUCAUGUUUAAGCCAUUUAGACAUGAAAUAAAUGAUCCUACACCACUCUUUUCUUAGCAUUCUUUUCUAGUACGAAUUUCAACACAAAACACCCAUUUCUUUUGUGCAUUCACAUUCCAAUAUAUUGUUUUCUGCAGGAACAAUAUAUUGUUUCUUGGCAGGCUUGCAACAUUCAAGAGUAUUCUGGUUUGCUUUCGUCGAUGCACAGCGCAAGCAAACAAACAAGUGCUUCAUUGUAUCCUGGAGGCGUAUUUGCUUAACCUAUGUGCAUCACUCAAUUGGUGGGGGCAAAUAACGUCUUAAGGAAAGCGACAUUUGUAACGUGCCUUGAAGCACACAAAAUUUCUGCAGUUUCUUCCUAUAUACAGAGUUAGUUGUAAACACAUUACUUUACAUAAUAAAGUUCCACCAUUAUUGUUGUAUUUUUCUACAUUUGCCAUUCCCCAAAAAUUUUACCACCAACAAUCUUAAGACGUUAUUUCUACAACAAUGGCACCAAGUUCAUCUCUUCGACAAUUCACAGUAGAUUUUGUCAAAUUGGAGCGGUUCGAUGGUGGCAACUUUAUUCGUUGGCAGAAAAAGUUGCAUUUCUUGUUGACAAGCAUCAAUGUGGUCUAUGUUCUCACAACACCAAAGCCUCAAGAACGUGAGAAUGAGACAUUAGCGGAAACCAGAGUGCAACAUAAGUGGGAGCAAGAUGACUACGUGUGUAAGGGACACAUUUGCAAUGCCAUGUCUGAUACUUUGUUUGAUCAAUAUCACAACAAACCUACAGCAAAAGAGAUAUGGGACUCAUUAGAGGCUAAGUACAUGAUGGAAGAUGCCACAAGUAAGAAAUUAUUGGCUUCUAAAUUUUUUAAUUAUAGAAUGGUUGAUAAUAGAAUUGUGGUUGAACAACAUAAUGAGAUUUUGCAUAUUCUUGAUCAAUUCAACCAACAUAACAUGAAAAUGGAUGAGUCUAUUAUUGUCUCUUCAAUUAUUGAUAAACUUCCUCCCUCUUGGAAAGACUAUAAGAAAAGUCUUAAACAUAACAAAGAGGAAAUUAGUCUGGAUGGCUUAGGCCAAAGUCUUCGCAUUGAAGAGGAACUCAAGCUUAAUAGUUUUGAGGAUCAGACUACUACGUCCUCUAAAAUUAAUGUCGUAGAGGAAGGGAAGGAGUUUAAACAUUCUAAUCACCCUAAGAAUAAUCAAAAGAGAAAGUUUGAUUCCAAAGAGAAUCAAAACAAUAAGAAGAAAAAGAAGGGUACAUGCCACCACUGCGGAAAACCUGGCCACUUCAAAAGAGAUUGUCGACUUCUGAAGAAACAAAAGAAAGUUUCGAACACAAAUUUUGUGGCCAUGAUAUCUGAGAUUAAUGUUCUUGAAGAUGAUAAUGCAUGGUGGAUAGAUUCAGGUGCAACCAAGCAUGUAUGCAAGGAUCGUAGCCUUUUCAAAUCUUAUAAAGCAAUGGAUGAUGGAAGUGUUCUUUACAUGGGAAAUUCCUCCACUGCAAUAGUUAAAGGAAAAGGCAAUGUGCAACUAGAGUUUACUUCUGGAAAAACUUUAACUCUUAUUGAUGUUUAUCAUGUUCCUGAAGUUAGGAAAAACCUUGUAUCUGGUAGCCUUCUUAAUAAGUUUGGCUUCAAACUUGUUUUUGAGUCAAACCAAUUUAUAUUAUCUAAGGGUGGUACCUUUGUUGGGAAAGGAUACAUGUAUGAAGGAAUGUUUAAACUCAAUAUCAAUAAUAUGAAUGUUUCUUCUGCUUAUAUGGUUGAUUCAUUAUCUUUGUGGCAUAAUCGUUUAGGACAUGUGAAUAUUAGAAGAUUGCAUGAUAUGGCUAAUUUAGAGUUAAUUCCUAAGCAUGAAAAUGAUAUGCAUGAAAAAUGUAAAGUAUGUGCACAGACUAAAAUCACAAGAUCUCCUUUUCCAAAAAUUGAAAAAACAUCUUCUUUAUUGCAUUUAAUUCAUAGCGAUGUGUGUGAUAUGCAUAGUAAUCCUUCUAAAUGUGGUAAAAAAUAUUUUGUAACAUUUAUUGAUGAUUUUUCAAAAUAUUGCUAUGUGUAUUUAUUACAUUCUAAAGAUCAAGUGUUAGAAAAAUUUAAAACUUAUAAAAAUGAAGUUGAGAAUUUUUGUGACACUAAAAUUAAAUGCCUUAGAAGUGAUAAAGGAGGUGAAUAUGCUUUUUCUGAAUUUUGUGAAUCUGUUGGCAUUGUACAUGAAACUAGCACUGCAUGUACUCCACAACAAAAUGGCGUAGCUGAAAGGAAAAAUAGGACAUUAAUAGAAAUGGUUAAUGCUAUGCUUUUUAAUGCUGGGCUUGGUAAAGGUUUUUGGGGUGAAGCUAUUUUAACUGCAUGUCAUAUCUUAAAUAGAGUGCCUAAUAAGAAAACAAAGGUGACCCCAUAUGAAUUAUGGAAAAAGAGAAAGCCUAAUCUUUCUUAUCUAAGAGUUUGGGGUUGUCGAGCCAUUGUAAGACUACCAAAACCUAAGAUAAAGAAAUUAGGAGAAAGGGGCAUUGAAUGCAUAUUCUUGGGAUAUGCUGAGCAUAGUAAAGCUUAUAGGUUUCUUGUAACAGAACCUAAUAGCUUUGUUGAGAUCAAUACUAUAGUGGAAUCUAGAGAUGCAAUAUUAUAUGAAAAUAGAUUUUCCACUAUACCAAAAAGUAUUGAUUCUCAAGAGAAUGAUAAACAAAUAGAAAUUGGUCAAAAGCGUGAUGCUAAUAAUGAGCAAAAUCAUUUGAGAAGAAGUAAAAGAAUAAGGACUAUAAAAUCUUUUCCAGAUUUUAUAGUCUAUUUAGUUGAAGGGACAAGAGACUCACAAUCAAAACAGACCAUGAUCGUAUCUACUAUAGAGUCUGAUCCCCUCACCUAUGAAGAUGCAAUGAAGUCUCAAGAUGCUGCUUUUUGGAAAGAGGCCAUUAAUGAUGAAAUGGACUCUAUUGUGGGUAAUAAGACUUGGAAAUUAGUUGAUUUACCACCUGGCUCUAAUCCUAUAGGUUGUAAAUGGAUUUUCAAAAAGAAGAAGAAAGUUGAUGGAACAAUUGAAAGAUUUAAAGCAAGACUAGUAGCAAAAGGCUUUACACAAAAAGAAGGCCUUGAUUAUUUUGAUACUUAUGCACCUGUUGCAAGAAUUGCUACUAUUAGAGUCUUGAUUGCUUUGGCUUCAAUUUAUCAAUUUGAAAUCCAUCAAAUGGAUGUAAAAACAGCUUUCUUAAAUGGAGAAUUAGAUGAGGAAAUUUACAUGAAACAACCAGAAGGGUUUGUUAUGCCAGGACAAGAACAUAAAGUUUGUAAACUAGUCAAGUCUUUAUAUGGUCUUAAACAAGCUCCAAAGCAGUGGCACGAAAAGUUUGACAAAGUGAUUGUCUCAAAUGGAUUUAAUAUUCAUGAAUCUGAUAAAUGUGUCUAUAGCAGAUUCAAUGGAAAUAAAGGUGUGAUUAUUUGUUUAUAUGUAGAUGACAUGUUAAUUUUUGGUAUUGAUAGUGAGAGCAUUGAACUCACUAAAUUAUUAUUGUCAUCUAAUUUUGAUAUGAAAGACAUGAGACUUGCUGAUGUGAUUUUGGGGAUUAAAAUUAUAAAAAAUGAGAAUGGCCUAGUAUUGACCCAAUCACAUUAUAUUGAGAAAAUUUUAAAGAAAUUUAAUUAUUAUGAUUGUAAGUCUGUGUCAACACCUUUUGAUUCAAACAUAAGACUGUAUCCUAACACUGGCAUAUCAGUAUCUCAAUUAGAAUAUGCACGUAUUAUUGGGUGUUUUAUGUAUGCGAUGACUUGUACUAGGCCUGAUAUUGCUUUCGCUAUUGGAAAGCUCAGUAGAUAUACUAGUAAUCCAAGCCAAGCACACUGGCAAGCAGUGUACAAAAUUCUAAAAUAUUUAAAACAUACAAUGGAUUAUGGUAUAUACUACACUGGAUAUCCUUCAGUUUUGGAAGGAUUUUCAGAUGCUAGUUGGAUUACUGAUCGAGAUGAUCAUACAUCCACAAGUGGUUGGAUUUUUAAUCUUGGUGGAGGAGCUAUUUCAUGGGGUUCAAAGAAGUAAACUUGUAUAGCAGACUCCACCAUGGCUGCAGAAUUUGUAGCGUUGGCUUCAUGUUGCAAGGAAGCUGAAUGGUUAAGGAAUUUGCUUAUAGAAAUUCCUAUUUGGCCUAAACCAAUGCCUCCUGUAUCUAUUCACUGUGAUAGUGAGGCAACUUUAUCAAGAGCAUAUAGUCAAAUCUAUAAUGGAAAGUCUAGGCACAUUGGUCUGAGACAUAGUUAUGUAAGACAAUUACUUACAGAUGGAGUAAUCACAAUUGACUUUGUGAAAUCAUGCCAAAAUUUGGCAGACCCCUUAACUAAAGGUCUUGCAAGGGAUAUUGUAUUUAAAACUUCUAAGGGGAUGGGACUGAAGCCAACAUCAUCUUAUCACCAAUGAUGGAAACUCAACCCAACACUUGAAAUAUCAAGAUCUUGGGUUCAAUGAGCAAAAGUACAUCAUAUGUUGUGAUAGGAAGCACUAUAAUAUUUUUAGAUGCGUCCCAAAGGUUAGUGCUUGAUACUUGUAACAUAUGGGAAAGGUUAAGCUACUUAGCUUUUAAUGGACUUAUAAAUGUUUUAGUUACAGGGACAUUCUAGAUAAGUCUACCUAUGUGAGUGUAUGAGGUGGUGCCGCUUCCUAUGUAACUUGGCUGGUUACUAAAGCGCUAAUGAAAACAGGAUAUAGACACAGGGCCAAUCCACGUGUCGGCUAAGGAAUACUUGAGAAUUUGAAAACUUAUGUGUGAGGUAUAUCCGGUUAGUCGAUUAAGGUCGCUGGUUCAAAGCUUGCCUACCAUGCCACCUUGAUUAACUUUGAUGUAUUGUCACUAAGUGAAGGUUCAAGUCCACAAGACACCUUCAUCUAUGCAUAAGUUUUCCAAGCCUGUGUAAGAUAAUUUUUCAAAAUUCAUUUAUUUUGAAAAUGGUGGGGGAUUGUUGGAACAUUUUCAAAAUAAAUGUGUCUUAUGGUAAAGACAUGUCCUAUUAAUUGUGCCUUAUAGAAAAUGUACCUUUCACUAAAGACAUGUCUAAUUAAAUGAUGUUUUGUUGUAAGGACAUGUCCAUUUAAUUGUGUCUUGUAGAAAAGGUAUCUUUUUACUAAAUGAUGUAACUUUUCAUGACAACAUUUCACUUAGAGAUGCAUCAUUUCAUGGUGACAUUUCAUUUGAAAUGGUGAUGAUUCAAUUUGGACCAUUGAUUAAAAUCAAAUCUAGAUCCAAUGGCCAUGAAUGAAGGGGUAUCAUGAAAGAUGACAACCCAAAUGAGGGGGCACAAAUAUAUCUAUAAAUAGGGAUCAUGUUUAAGCCAUUUAGACAUGAAAUAAAUGAUCCUACACCACUCUUUUCUUAGCAUUCUUUUCUAGUACGAAUUUCAACACAAAACACCCAUUUCUUUUGUGCAUUCACAUUCCAAUAUAUUGUUUUCUGCAGGAACAAUAUAUUGUUUCUUGGCAGGCUUGCAACAUUCAAGAGUAUUCUGGUUUGCUUUCGUCGAUGCACAACGCAAGCAAACAAACAAGUGUUUCAUUGUAUCCUGGAGGCGUAUUUGCUUAACCUAUGUGCAUCACUCAAUUAGUGGGGGCAAAUAACGUCUUAAGGAAAUCGACAUUUGUAACGUGCCUUGAAGCACACAAAAUUUCUGCAGUUUCUUCCUAUAUACAGAGUUAGUUGUAAACACAUUACUUUACAUAAUAAAGUUCCACCAUUAUUGUUGUAUUUUUCUACAUUUGCCAUUCCCCACAAAUUUUACCACCAACAGGCAAUAGACUUAACAGAUUUUGACAGUGAUAUGCUCUUAGAAUUUCAAGAUGUUGAAAAAUGAAGUCCGGCUGUUUGGAAUCGUGUUUCCACAGUUGCUGUAGAUGAUUAAGUCUUGUCAGGUGUAACUCUUUUAUCAGUGCUAGCUUCCUCGCAUGUGUCUCCAAAUACCACUUCGUACGAACAAUCCGACAGGUGGAGAAAUUCCAGAUUGUGAAACCUCUCAAGUAAACCAAGUGGAAAGAAAGCUAAGUCAUCAUCCUCAACCUGUAGUCGUUUGAGACUGCCAAAGAUGUGUUGGGGGAAAUGGCCUUGCAAAAUCAUCGUGAUAUCUUUUCCACUUAAUGCCAGUUCCUCCAAGUUGGGUAAGAUCUGAUCAUCAUCGAGCUCAAAUUAUUAACUCAGCACAUUGAUCCAUAAUUCAAGACUGGCAAAAUUCAUUAUGUAAUCAAAGUUUUCAAUGAUUAUAUAUAUAUAUAUAUAGUGCUUUCGUUGGAAUUAAUUAUUAAAAGCUUUAAUCAAACAAUGUUUGGAUUGGGUCGGCCUAUCCAACUUUUAAAUAAGAUUACCAACUUUAAAUUAAAAUUGCUUUAGAUCGCGGUUGGUCAGGUUUUAGUGGAGGUACGUGGCGUUGUAUCUAGAUCGAUGCAGAGCCAAGUCUGUCCUUUGGAACCAGAUCUGACUUAGGACAGAUCAAUAUUCCGCACGCUCUAGUUUCCAGCCGAUAUACCAAUAUUAUUUACCAAAUAUUUAUUAAGUUCUUUAGUCAAGCCUAGCAACAACAUUCAUCUAAAGGCUUGGGUGCAUACACAGUACUAUUUCCUUCUGGUAUCAGAGCCAAGGGGAGGAUAGUGUAAUACAGUUUAGAGUUUUGUGUUUAAAGACUUGUGUUUUAUUUUGAAGUUUUGUUGUGUGGUGAAUUUUUACUGGUAGUAAGUCCCGUCCAAGGAUAAGUUUUUCGUUUAGGGCUGUAAAACCAUACCUGUAGCCAUUCUGACCAAACCAUAAAUAGACCAUAGGUUUGUAACCAUGGAUCCUCUACUCUGUAGAACAUCGUCCUUUUCUAGCUCUUCUUCCGGGAAGACUAGUGAUUCAAAGCAUGUUGUGAGUUCAGAAGAAUUCGUUAUUGAGAACUUUGAUAAAGCAAUUGAUUGUUGGGAACUUCCAAAAGUUUCUAAAGAAAAGAUUUACAAAACAAAAAAGCUUGAUUUUCUAAAAAAUGAUUAUGUAAUAAAGACUGAAGAAAGAGACAUAACUCUCUCAGAACCUUUUGAAACAAUUCAUUUGUUUUCAGAAAAAUCUUUAAAGAAAUUAAGAGAAAAGAAUUAUAAUUAUAUUCACAUUGGUUUAAUCCAAGUUGGAAUAAAACCUUUGACCAAAGAAGGCUUGGAUACUUCUAUCCUUACUGUCCUUAGAGAUGGGCGAUUCAUCUCUUUUGAUGAUUCUUUGCUAAGUAGCAUCGAAUCCAGUCUUUGUAAAUGUCCGAUCUCUUUUGAUUGUUAUCCAAACAUAACAAUUUCUCUUAAAGAUAAAAACAUUUUGAAAAACAUGAUCUUACAAAUCAAAACGCAUAAUUAUAAUAUGAUUAAGGGAUCUGUCCCAGUUGCCUUAAUUUUCAAAAUUUCUUAUAAAGCCAUGAUCUUUGCGUUCAGUACGCAACACAAAUUCCAGUCAGAAAGAGAUGAAACUCUUCUCUUGCAGACUGAUAUGUCUAAAGCCAAUACUGUCAUUCCAAAACCAAUCUAGUGGAAAGAUGUCAAUCUUCCAGAAGAAUGGAUUCUUGAAGGAGCUGCUCCACCAGCAAUUCCAAAACAACUUGAACCUAAUACGGAGUUGCAAAAAGUGACUCAGUAUUCUGAUGGUAGAGUUAAACUGUCUUUCAGGAGAUCUAACUCAACCAGAUUUUCUGAUAAAGAGUCGUGUUCAAGUAUUCCUUCAUUAGAAAGGAAAUUCACAAAAAUCCCUUCUGUCAUAAAUCUUCAUUUUCAAAGUCAACCUAGGUUUUCCACUUCGGCUAUACCUAGUUCUUCCAUUUGUUCUGUUGACUAUACUACAAACAUUCCUCAUCCUAUUUAUACUAGCAGUCAACAUGAACAAAGAUAGGAAGAGAAGUAACCUUCUCCUCCAACUUCCCCUACAUUCUCUGUUGUCACAGAAAAUGUAAUUAAUGUUAUUGAAAAAGAAUUUGAACUGGAUAAAACUCUCCUUCAUAAUGAUUUUUAUUCAGAUAAUAAUAAAGAAAAGAGACUUUGGUUUUUUAAACAUUUUUUAAAUCAAAGAAAAGAAAUCCAACAAUUUUAUUAUGAAUUUGUGAACCUUCACCAAGUUCAUAUAUUAUUUUUUGAUUGGUUCGAAAUACAUUCUUCUGAUAAUAACAUUUCUUACCCCUUCAAAGAGUCAAACCCUAUUACUAUUAGGAAGAAAACCACUGAAUGGAAACUUUCUGAUAGUGAUAAAACCAUAGAAUCUGAGCAUCCACCUCUUCGGAGCAUAACCGUUGAUCACGGCGAACCUCCUAUUCAAAUUAGAGCUUCACCUUAUAAAAUCCCUAAACCAAAUGAUUCUGAUGCAAAUUUAAGUAGUAUUAUUCAACAGAAUAAUUUCUGUAAUACUAACUUAAAUACAAUAGGAAAACAGUUGACUAGAAUAGAAAACCAAUUCCAACAGUCAACCAUAGCUAUUUCUCCUGUAGCAAAGCCAAUUCCUUCAAAAUCGGAUUCUGAUAAAAAGCUUAAGGAACCUAUUUUCAAACCUUUUCAGGUUUCGAAAACUAGCCAAAAGCUUGUCCAAGAAUCAAAAUCAGAUUUUGCUAAAGCCAUUAGGGAACAACUAGAUAGGAUAGAAGCUGUUUCUUCCUCAUCUAACAGAGUCCAAAUAGCCCCUGAUACUCCCUAAUCUAGCAAGAUUGGAGUAUUAGAACAAGACCAGGUUUUUAUUGCCUCUUCCAAUCUAGAAGCCUUUACAGAAGAACCUAUUCCUAAAGCCAAUAAAAUCCAUUGGGAUUUAGCUCUCCCAACUGUCAAGUCUCCACCUGAUUUGGCCAUAGACAAUAGGCCUAGUGCAUUAAACCAAUCACGUUUUAAUGCAUCCUCUGUCUAUGAGUGGAACAUUGAUGGUAUGUCAGAAUAUAACAUCUUAGGAUUGUUGCAACAGAUGACCAUGGCAGCCAAUGCCUAUAAAACCCAAUCGGGAACUUCUGACAAGGCCAUUGCAGAAAUUCUUAUUGCGGGUUUUACUGGUCAACUUAAAGGAUGGUGGGAUCAUCUUCUUACCAAACCGCAACAAUUAGAUAUCCUAAACUCCAUACAAAUAGAUGAGAAUGGUGCCCCCAUUCUUGAUGAGUUCAAUAGUCCUAUUCAGGAUGCUGUUGCUACCCUGAUUUUGACUAUAUCCCUCCAUUUCAUAGGUGACCCUGCUCACCUUAGAGACAAAAACGCCGAGUUACUAUACAAUUUGAGGUGUAGAAAACUUAGUGAAUUCCAAAGCUAUAAAACCUCUUUCUUCACUAGACUUUUCCUUAAGGAUGAUGCUAAUCAUACAACUUGGAAGGAGAAAUUCCUUGCAGGUUUACCAACCUUACUAGGAGAAAAGGUUAGAAAUUCCAUUAAAGCCCUUUAUGACAACCGUAUUCCUUAUGAUGAGCUCACCUAUGGUGAACUUGUCAGUUUCGUCAAUAAGGAAGGCUUAAAGAUCUGUCAAGAUUUGAAAUUACAGAAACGACUUAAAUGGGAGCUUAAAAAGUCUAAGCAAGAAUUGGGCAGUUUCUGUAAACAAUUCAAUUACGACCCCUUUAAGACUUCUACCUCCAAAGAUUGUAAUGGUAAGUGUUCUACAAAACCUUACAAGAAACAUUACAAGUCUAGAUUCCGUAAAAAACCCUUUCAAGACUUUAGAGAACUUCAUUAUAAGAAACCUUCGAGGCCUUAAAAGAAACCGAGUUCUUCUAAAAAGAAAGAGUUUAAAGCCAAACCAAAAACUCCGUACAAAACCCUAUUCAAUUACAGAGAAGCCAUAUGUCACAAAUGUGGUAUGAAAGGUCAUACUGCAAAAUAUUGCAGAAUGAGCAGAAAGCUCCAUGAGCUAGACCUAGAUGAGGAAACCCUCUCCAAAAUUACCUCUCUGCUCAUAGAGUCUUCUGACUCUGAGUCUUCCAUGUCGGGAGAUAGUGACCCUCUUCAAGUUGAUGAGAUAAUUGACUCAGAUGAUUCUGCAUCUAGCAGUAUUGAUUCUGAAUCAGAUCCUUAUUUAAAGAAAAUCAAUGUUUUAACUAAAGACCAAGAAAUUUUUCUUGAACUUGUAAAACAUAUUUCCGAUCCGAAUCUUCAAAAGGAAUACCUAGACAAACUUUUGAAAACUCUGGAUUCUAACAAAGCAGAAACUUCUAAAGUUCCAAUUGUUAAAAAGAAUUCUUACGAUCUCACUGAAAUUUUGGAUAAAAAGAAAACAAAAAAGUUAAUUCCUAAUAUCCAAGAUCUUCAUAAAGAAAUCAAAGAUAUCAAAAUUGAGAUUAAAGAAUUAAAAGAAAAACAAAAGAAAGAUUCUGAAACCAUCCAACUUCUUAUACAAAAACAAUUAGAAGAAAACUCAGAAAAAGAAGUUGAAUCUGAAAGCGAUAACAAUCAAAAUGUUGACAACAUUGAAUCUGUACCUAAUGAUUUUCUGUUUGUCCUAAAACAAAUCACCACUAGAAAAUACUUAAUUAAAAUAACUUUGAUUUUUUCCAAAGACUUUGCUAUUGACGCCAUUGCCCUUUUCGAUACUGGUGCCGAUUUAAAUUGUAUAAGAGAAGACAUUGUCCCCAAAAGAUUUCAUGAAAAAACAAGGGAAAGGCUUUCCACCGCCAACAAUUCAAAACUUAAAGUCAAUUCUAAAGUGGAAGCCUCAAUACAUAACAAUGGAUUCGAAUUUAAAACUUCAUUUCUUCUUACAAAUGACAUUCACCAUACUGUCAUUUUAGGAACCCCGUUCAUAAAUUUAAUUACCCCAUAUACUGUCAAUUAUGAUAGUAUAUCUUUCAAAGCAAAAUCUAAAAAACUUGUUUUCCCUUUUAUUGAGAAACCAAAAACAAGAAAUCUAAAUAUUGUUAAAGCCUGUUCUGUUUACCAAAAUCAAAUCAACGCCAUACUUAAAUCCAAACAAAAUGACUUGUUUUGUUUAAAAAAGAAUUUAAGUCUACAACGAAUUGAAAACCAAUUACAAAAUGAUUUUAUCCAAAGAAAAAUCAAUGAUUUUAGAGACCUCAUUGAAAAAGAAAUAUGUGCUGAUUUACCAUCUGCUUUUUGGAACAGAAAACAACAUUUGGUAGAUUUGCCCUAUGAAAAUUCUUUCGAUGAAAAAAAAAUACCCACUAAAGCCCGUCCAAUCCAAAUGAACAUGGAAUUGGAAAAACAUUGUAAAGAUGAGAUACAAGAUUUAGAAUCUAAAGGAUUAAUUACAAAAUCUAGAUCUCCAUGGUCUUGUGCCGCUUUUUAUGUAAACAAAAAUUCUGAGAUUGAAAGAGGAACACCGAGACUUGUAAUAAUUUACAAACCCUUAAAUAAAGCAUUAAAGUGGAUUAGGUAUCUCAUACCUAACAAAAAAGAUUUACUCCAAAAAUUGUGUUCCGCCUUUAUUUUUUCAAAAUUUGAUAUGAAAUCUGAAUUUUGGCAAAUUCAAAUCCAUCCUAAAGACCGUUACAAAACUGCUUUUACUGUUCCAUUCGGACAGUAUGAAUGGACUGUUAUGCCAUUCGGUUUGAAAAAUGCACCCUCAGAAUUUCAAAGAAUUAUGAAUGAUAUUUAUAAUCCUUAUUCUGAUUUUUGCAUUGUCUAUAUAGAUGAUGUUUUGAUUUUUUCUCAAACCAUCGACCAGCAUUUCAAACAUUUAAAGACUCUCUAUUUUGCCACUAGGAAGGCUGGCUUAGCCAUUUCUAGUUCAAAAAUUUCUCUAUUUCAAACUAAAGUCUGGUUCCUUGGUCAUUAUAUUUCUAGAGGAACUAUUACCCCAAUUGAAAGAUCUCUUGCAUUUGCUGAUAAAUUUCCUGAUAAAAUUCUUGAUAAAACUCAAUUGCAGAGAUUUCUUGGUAGUUUAAAUUAUGUUCUUGACUUCUGCCCUAAUAUCAAUAGGAUGUCUAAACCUCUGCAUGAUCGGUUAAAAAAGAAACCUGUUGCAUGGACAGAUGAACACACUAAAGCUAUUCGAUUAAUAAAAAAUUCUGUAAAGAAUAUUCCUUGUUUAUUUUUAGCCAAUCCUGCAUUACCUAAAAUAGUUGAAACUGAUGCAUCUGAUUUAGGUUUUGGAGGUAUUUUGAAACAAAAGGAAAAUGAUAAAGAACAGAUAGUACAAUAUGUUUCUGCACAUUAGAAUGAUUGCCAGAAAAACUAUUCUACUAUCAAAAAAGAAAUUCUUUCUAUUGUCUUAUGCAUAUCUAAAUUCCAAAGUGAUUUAUUAAAUCAAAAAUUUUUGCUUAGAAUUGAUUGCAAAGCUGCAAAACAUGUUUUAGAAAAAGAUGUUCAAAACAUUGCAUCAAAACAAAUUUUUGCACGAUGGCAAGCCAUUUUAAGUGUUUUUGAUUUCGAUAUUGAAUUUAUUAAAGGUGACACAAAUUCUGUUCCUGAUUUUCUAACCAGAGAAUUUUUACAAAACAGAUAAUGCCGCCAAGAAAGAAUAACAAAGGUAAAGUUGUUCUUAAAGAUACUGAGUCCCAAGCCACCUCUAAAGAACCUCAACCAACUCCCUCUAAAGAAAAACUACUUUCUUCUGCCAUGCCCAUCAAGUCCUGGAUUGAAAUGGUUGAAGAACAUGAAGCCCAAUACAAAACUAUUUCUUCUGAUGACCAAGUAAAGGAAUGGAUGAGUUCCAUUACAAAAUCGCCUGAGCUUAUGCUCGCCCUCCAAAGCUUUUCUCAAAGUCAAAUUUCUCCUAAAGAAGAAAUUGAAAAAGAAAAACCUAAGUCCAAAGAAAUGACAAAACCUUCUUCUCAAAACGUUGUUGUCUCCGGUGAAAGCUCAUCUUCUCAAAUUGUGCUUUCCCAACCAACACUUUCAAAGAAAUCAUCCGAUUGGUUUGAUAAAACCCAUUUUCAAAACAUUUUAUCUAUAGAAGAUGGAUUUUACCAUACUGAUCCUUUUCAAGCAAUUUCAAAGUUUUUCCCCAAAUGCUGGUUUUUUAAACCAUGUUAUUUAACAAAACCCCAGUCUUACUAUCAAAGCAUUUUAGAAAUUACUGAGUCAGUUAAAUUCAAACAUUUCUUUCUCAGUGAUACCCAUUCAGAGCCAGCCUAUUCCACGGCUACUAUUUUAAAAGUCCUGAGCCCAAACCAGUGGGGGGAUCUGCUCCACAAUUUUAAAACCUUCCCUUUAAACUUUCAAACACGUUUACCACAUUGUCGGACUUAUUCCUACUGGGAUUACCAAUAAGCCUGGUAUAACACAUUUUUUAUCCAAAACCCCAAAAAAUCCCACUCUUGGUUAUUUUUCUUCAAUUAAAAAAUAACCGUCCAAAGCCUCCCAAACUGGUUUCAUCAUUGGUGGAAUUCUUUUGGCCCAAUACCUCAAAUCCUAACUCCAAAUGCUACCCAAUGUUUAAACUUCUUUAAAGCCCACUACAUUCCUUCUGAAUCUGAGAAAAGGUUUCCACCCUUUCUCUGUUUCUGUACAAAUUUCUUCCUUCCAUGGGUAUGGAUGUGGAACCUCAGACUUCAUACCCAAGAUGCCCAGCUUAUCUUACAAAGAACAUUCAAAGUAAAAUGGUGGUCAAAAUUUGACGAACAAACCAAACUUACUGAUACCCUCAUCAGAAAUUGGCUUUGUUCCAAAGGCUUCCUCCAACCAACCAUUAAGGGAUCCAAAGCCCAACAAACCUUCCUUACUCAAAAGUCCAAAGCCCAAUCUCUUCUGGCAAGUGCCAAAACCGAAAAAGAAUACUUCAAAGCUAUGGAACAACUCCUCGCCUCCAGGUCAAAGUCAUCAGUGGCAGAUUCCUCUGAAGAUGAAGACAAUGAAGAAGAGGAAGAGCCGUUUAUCUCUCUUGGAGAUGAAAAUGAAGACGACUAUUUCAGAAUUUUCUCUCCUGUAAAGCAUUGUAAAUAAUUAUUGUUUAAUUAAUGUAAAAAAAAAGUAAAUACUCAUUUUUUUUAUUUAUAUCAUUCGGGUGGUCCCUUGGACACAAGUGAGAGCGCACAUGUCUCUUCACCCGUAUUGUAUGUCUACAAAGUCACUAUUUCAACAUACGCUCCAAAAGCUUAUUGUUACAUACGAUCCAAAGCUUACUGUUUGCUUCAACCCCGUUACAGUGAACAGUGCAGAGUUCCAAAGAUUACUGUAUGCUACAGCUCCGCUACAGUCUACAGUUUAAAAUUUCAUUUUGUAUAUAAUCUGAAGGAAGACUCAGACUCCUCAGAUUUUUUGAAUCUCCUCUCUCUCUAAUUUUCAUUUUCUCUCUCUCCUCCCUGGGAAUCAGGAAUCCGAAGGCACUAAGGAAAUUUUUCUGUUUACAGAAUAGUUCCUUACCUUCAGGAUUAAUUUCCCUUUUCUUUUCUACAAAGAAAAAGCAAUUGAUGUAAGCAUUUUAAUUUUCAGUAUUAUUUCAAAGCAUUUGUAAAUUUUAUUUAAGGCUUUCCAUGUAUGUUUAAAUUUCUGUACUUUAAUUUUCGCAAUUUACUUUAAAGCAUUUUUAAAUUUUUAUGCAGACUGAUCUCUAUCAGAUCUGCCAUAAAACUGCUACGUUCCUCUGAGGCAACGAGACCAGAUCUCAAUCCUCAGUUGUAUUCUUUCUCUUCUCCCUCCAUUCCUUUAGAGCACUAUUUCCGGGAACCGGAUCUAGUACUGUGUAUGCACCCAAGCCUUUAGACGAAUGUUGUUGCUAGGCUUGACAAAAGAACUUAAUAAAUAUUUGGUAAAUAAUAUUGGUAUAUCGGCUGGAAACUAGAGCGUGCAGAAUAUUGAUCUGUCCUAAGUCAGAUCUGGUUCCAAAGGCAGACUUGGCUCUGCAUCGAUCUAGAUACAACGCCACGUACCUCCACUAAAACCUGACCAACCGUGAUCUAAAGCAAUUUUAAUUUAAAGUUGGUAAUCUUAUUUAAAAGUUGGAUAGGCCGACCCAAUCCAAACAUUGUUUGAUUAAAGCUUUUAAUAAUUAAUUCCAACGAAAGCACAUCCAUCCUUCGAUCCUAUUUCCUUCUGGUAUCAGAGCCCAAUAAUUAAUUCCUUCAGAUUAAAUCAGAUGCAUCAGUUUCAACUAUUUUAGGUAAUGCGGGAUUGGCUAAAAUAAACAAGGAAUAUUCUUUACAGAAUUUUUUAUUAAUCGAAUAGCUUUAGUGUGUUCAUCUGUCCAUGCAACAGGUUUCUUUUUUAACCGAUCAUGCAGAGGUUUAGACAUCCUAUUGAUAUUAGGGCAGAAGUCAAGAACAUAAUUUAAACUACCAAGAAAUCUCUGCAAUUGAGUUUUAUCAAGAAUUUUAUCAGGAAAUUUAUCAGCAAAUGCAAGAGAUCUUUCAAUUGGGGUAAUAGUUCCUCUAGAAAUAUAAUGACCAAGGAACCGGACUUUAGUUUGAAAUAGAGAAAUUUUUGAACUAGAAAUGGCUAAGCCAGCCUUCCUAGUGGCAAAAUAGAAAGUCUUUAAAUGUUUGAAAUGCUGGUCGAUGGUUUGAGAAAAAAUCAAAACAUCAUCUAUAUAGACAAUGCAAAAAUCAGAAUAAGGAUUAUAAAUAUCAUUCAUAAUUCUUUGAAAUUCUGAGGGUGCAUUUUUCAAACCGAAUGGCAUAACAGUCCAUUCAUACUGUCCGAAUGGAACAGUAAAAGCAGUUUUGUAACGGUCUUUAUGAUGGAUUUGAAUUUGCCAAAAUCCAGAUUUCAUAUCAAAUUUUGAAAAAAUAAAGGCGGAACACAAUUUUUGGAGUAAAUCUUUUUUGUUAGGUAUGAGAUACCUAAUCCACUUUAAUGCUUUAUUUAAGGGUUUGUAAAUUAUUACAAGUCUCGGUGUUCCUCUUUCAAUCUCAGAAUUUUUGUUUACAUAAAAAGCGGCACAAGACUAUGGAGAUCUAGAUUUUGUAAUUAAUCCUUUAGAUUCCAAAUCUUGUAUCUCAUCUUUACAAUGUUUUUCCAAUUCCAUGUUCAUNNNNNNNNNNNNNNNNNNNNNNNNNNNNNNNNNNNNNNNNNNNNNNNNNNNNNNNNNNNNNNNNNNNNNNNNNNNNNNNNNNNNNNNNNNNNNNNNNNNNCGUUGGUCUCUAAUAGGAUGAGGAAUGUUUGUAGUAUAGUCAACAGAAUGAAUGGAAGAACUAGGUAGAGCCGAAGUGGAAAACCUAGGUUGACUUUGAAAAGAAAGAUUUAUGACAGAAGGGAUUUUUGUGAAUUUCCUUUCUAAUGAAGGAAUACUUGAACACGACUCUUUAUCAGAAAAUCUGGUUAAGUUAGAUCUCCUGAAAGACAGUUUAACUCUACCAUCAGAAUACUGAGUCACAUUUUGCAACUCCGUAUUAGGUUCAAGUUGUUUUGGAAUUGCUGGUGGAGCAGCUCCUUCAAGAAUCCAUUCUUCUGGAAGAUUGACAUCUUUCCACUGGAUUGGUUUUGGAAUGAAAGUAUUGGCUUUAGACAUAUCAGUCUGUAAGAGAAGAGUUUCAUCUCUUUUUGACUGGAAUUUGUGUUGCGUACUGAACGCAGAGAUCAUGGUUUUAUAAGAAAUUUUGAAAAUUAAGGCAACUGGGACAGAUCCCUUAAUCAUAUUAUAAUUAUGCGUUUUGAUUUGUAAGAUCAUGCUUUUCAAAAUGUUUUUAUCUUUAAGAGAAAUUGUUAUGUUUGAAUAACAAUCAAAAGAGAUCGGACCUUUACAAAGACUGGAUUCGAUGCUACUUAGCAAAGAAUCAUCAAAAGAGAUGAAUCGCCCAUCUCUAAGGACAGCAAGGAUAGAAGUAUCCAAGCCUUCUUUGGUCAAAGGUUUUAUUCCAACUUGGAUUAAACCAAUGUGAAUAUAAUUAUAAUUCUUUUCUCUUAAUUUCUUUAAAGAUUUUUCUGAAAACAAAUGAAUUGUUUCAAAAGGUUCUGAGAGAGUUAUGUCUCUUUCUUCAGUCUUUAUUACAUAAUCAUUUUUUAGAAAAUCAAGCUUUUUUGUUUUGUAAAUCUUUUCUUUAGAAACUUUUGGAAGUUCCCAACAAUCAAUUGCUUUAUCAAAGUUCUCAAUACCGAAUUCUUCUGAACUCACAACAUGUUUUGAAUCACUAGUCUUCCCGGAAGAAGAGCUAGAAAAGGACGAUGUUCUACAGAGUAGAGGAUCCAUGGUUAAAAACCUAUGGUCUAUUUAUGGUUUGGUCAGAAUGGCUACAGGUAUGGUUUUACAGCCCUAAACGGAAAACUUAUCCUUGGACGGGACUUACUACCAGUAAAAAUUCACCACACAACAAAACUUCAAAAUAAAACACAAGUCUUUAAACACAAAACUCUAAACUGUAUUACAGUAGUUUUCUGGUCAGGGAAUUUAAAGUGCGGGAAAGUCCGGGAAAGCUUUAAAACCACACGGCUUUAAAGGCUUACAAUUUUAAGCCUUUAAAACCAUGCGGUUUUAAAGGUUUCCCGUACUUUCCUGCACUUUAAAAUUCCUGACUGGAACAUUUCUAUAUAUAUAUAUAUAUAUAUAUAUAUAUAUAUAUAUAUAUAUAUGUAUGUAUAUUUCUUCUCUAGUGCGGACGCCCUCAUUUUCUUUUUCAUGCGGACCAGUUUUUAGACCCCAUGGUUUAAAAGACUUAGUUUUUAACUCUCUAAAACCGCAUGACUUUAUAAUUCAUUUAAAAACUAACUAUCUUAAACCGCACGGUUUAAAAGUGUGUCCCCAUUAAAAAAAAUGCGGACCCCCACACCUAAGAAUGAUUAUAUAUACAUACACGCUCUUAAACCGUGGGACUUGAAAGCUUCUCCGCAUGAAAAAAGUAAAAAAUGAGAGCAUUCCCACUAGAAAAAAACUCCAUAUAGGUAUUUAUUAAACCUCCUAAUCUGUGAGUGAGGAACAACAAAGAUAAUUGAUAAAAAAAAUCUAAAAUUUGGUUUCAUACCUUCUUGAACGAGAGCAGGGGCUGUUGUACCGGAAUACCAAAUUGAUCAUUCUCGUUAUUCUGGGACAACGUUAUUUUAUCACAAUUACAGGCUUCCAAUUUUUUUAGUGCUGGCCAUUCUGAAGUAUGCAUUCCAGGGUAUAAACAUCUGAGUUCUGGCUUUUGGAAAGACAAAAUAUGGGGUCACUUGAUCUGCUGUGUCUUUGGAGAUGAUCUCUUGUAAACCCAUACAUAUCCGUAUCUCCAGGUGUUGGAGGUGCUUAAGGCUUUGGAUCAUAGAAGCUGAAAAUAUGUAUUUUAAUUUGUCACAGCCCCACACUAUCAAUCUUGUCAAGCUUUGAAAGCAAGUAAUCAUGGCCGUAAGUUGAUUGUCAUGCCAAAUCUCGUCGACAUUAAUAGCAUUCAGCUCCAAAGCCUCCAAAUUUGGCAACACUACCUAAAGAUAAUUUUCUCUUUAGAUCCAAUAUCAGUAUGAAAAGCACUUGUUUUGACACAAUAUCCAUAUGAGAAGCACUUAAUUAAGAGCUUAAUUAGCGAGUGUAUCAGACUUUUUUUUUUCAAAUGCGAGUGCAUGAUAGAACUAAAAAAAAAAGAAGAAGCAUUGGCCUACGUACCUUCUUGUUGAAAAGCAGAGUUGACGUUUCGGAACUGAUCUCGUUGGAACUGGCUGUCAAUUCCUCUUGCGACUCUUGUCUGUUUGGUGAUGUGGAAGGAGUCUUCACUUCACCGCAAAACCUUGUAACCUUUGGAAGCUUUCCCAGACUCAAAGAUCUUAAUUGACCAAACUCUAUCUUCUCAUCAACAUCAACAUCAGCUUCUCCUCCAGUUGCAAAAAUCUCUUCCAUGCUGCUGCAAUUGAUAACUGCAAUCCUCUCCAGUCUUGGAAGGCAUUUUGUACUACUAGAGAGCCAGAAGAUAUUACUCAACUCAUCACAAUUUUCUACUUUUAUGGUUUUGAGUUCAUUGAAGGACUCUAUUUUGAGUCGAUCAAUACAUAUCCUCUCCGUAUUGAUCAAAUUGUGAAGAGUAAGGGACUCCAAAAGAGGAAAGGCGACACAAGGUUCUCUCUUCAUUGAAUCGACGAUACACAGGAUGUCUGGAUUAUUUUGAACAUGGAGAUGCUUCAAUUGUGAAAAUCCCUCGGUGUCCAAUUCUAAAACAACAUUCUUGAUUCCUUGCAACUUAUCCAAACAUAAGUAUUCAACGUUAUUGAUGCCCUGCAACUUCUUGGAGGAAAUGGCCAUAGAAUCAAGCUUGAGCUUCAAUGUUCUUAAACUCUCAAGAUUACUGAUCAUAAAGUGCGGCCGACUUUGAAACCAGUCUUUUCCAAAUAACCAUGGUAGAGUCGAAAGAUCCAUCUCCUAUUGAUAUAUCAAACCUUUCCAGCUUUUUGGUAAAAAAGCCAUCUGGUAAAAUGCUAUCAUCUUUAACAUCUAUUUUUAAGGCGGUCAGUCGCUGCAAAUGCAUCAAUUCAUCGAGGCUGGCAUUACUUCUUUCACUAUUGGCUUUUCUCACUUCCCAUUCAAUAGAGCAGUUACUCAUAUACAGUUCUUCCAAUCGAGUGAAGCUUGAUAAGAUAUUGGGCACAAUAAAUUUUAGUUGCAAGCAAUCUGUUAAAUCUAGCAUCCUUAACUUAGUCAGUUGACCUAGUUCGUCAGGCAACCGUACAAUAUCAGACUUUAAAAAGCUAAGGAUUUCUAGAUUCUUCAACUUUCCAACUAUGGCUAUGUCUCCCAACAUGCUUUGAUCAAGACACAGUGUUUGAAGAUUUGCUAGAAGACCGAUUGAAGAUGGCAAUGAAAAUAAUCGUACCCUUGUCAAAUCUACGACUCGAAGCUUUUUCAUCCCUUUGAAAAAGUUGUUAGGAAUAUUGACCUCGACAAAAGAGUCUUCGGGAUCAAUAUGUAAAAAUUCAAGUUGCGGACAUUCGAAUUCCUCGGAAACUUCAUGAAUGCUACUAUUUAGUAAAGGGAUUGCAUAGCAUUUUUUAAGUGCAUCCUCAUCUGGCCACUCCCACACAGCGUCAUUUCUCACCAAUGAAGCAUGUUGGUCUCGACAUGCAAUUGAUAUGGCAACAUCGCAGACAACAUCAUGCAUAGAGAAUUGUUCAGUACUAUCACCCUCAAGCAACAAACAACAGUCUCUAAGUUCAUGGACCAGUGCAUAUAAUUUGUUUCGUGCAUCUUCCAUCUUAUUGACUCCAUGAAAUAUUCCUAAACCCAUAGAGUAUUUAAGCAAGUCUAAAAGACAAAAACUGUUGCCUAUUAGACUGCAGAGCAGAAAAAUUUUCUUGAGUUGCUCACCUUUUAAAUACUUGAAACUCAGUUCAAUACUUGAAUAAGUCUCUGCAGGCACACCUUCGAAGUUUACCACUGAAGGCGUUUGGAGUUCUCGCAAGGCAUUCUUCCACUCAUGCAGACUCUUGUUUCUCAGUGCCCUCGCUACUGUAGUCAGGGCAAUGGGCAAACCUCCACAUGCCUGGGCUACAUUAAUUGCUGUAGACUUGAACUUACAAUUUUCAACAUCAUCACCAUUCAUUAUCUUAAACAAUCUCCAAGCUUCUUCUUCAUUUAGAUUGCCAAUCAAGAAGUUAUCUUUGGAGCCCAUACUUAAUAGCACAUUAUUGUCUCUUGCUGUCAGCAGUAGUCUACAUCCUUUAUGAUCAUUUCCGAUGGGAAUUCCAACCGUCUCCAAAUCAACAUGUUUCCAGAUAUUAUCUAGAAUCACAAGAAUCUUAUUCUCAUUCUUCAGUCGUUCAUACAGCCUGCUAGCUCUUCUAUAUUCAGCUUCAUCGGACAACUCCAGACCUAACUUCUCUGCAAUUUCCCCUUGAAUCUUUUUUAUGUCUGGAGUUUGUGAAACCUCUGAAAAAACCACCCGAUCAAACAACUUGUCUUCCCUGGCUUGCGUAGCAAACUCCUUCACCAGUGUCGUCUUUCCAAUGCCGCCCAUGCCGUACACCCCAAUAAUGCUGACAUUCACAUCAGUCAACGCAUUUUGUAUAGACUUCAAAGUAGAAACUCUUGAUUCGAAGGCCUUGUAACCUUUGUUAGACUUAAGCCAUAUCUCCUCCGGAAUGGUACGAUGGGAAACGAUAUCAAACUUCUUAACUCCUUCUCCAAGUUCAACAAGGGCCUUCACCUCUGUCUCUGCUUUCUUGCUAAGCUGAUAGCGGGUCUUCAAAUUAGGACACAAGCCCUUGAGACAGCGCUUGUUUGUUGACUCCUCAUCUUCAAUGAAUUUGGCUGCCUGGUCAAUGAUGCCGUUUGCACUGACCAGCCACUUCUCAACCUUCUCUUCAAUCUCUUCCCCUUUUUCUUUCGCCUUUGAAACUCUGCGCUGAAUGCUCGUACGUUCAACCUCAACUUCUCCAUUUCCGCCUUGAGAUUCUCAAGGUUGGCAUUGUAGUUCCGCUUGCGCAAAUAAACAAGUUGGCGUUCUGUCGGAGGAGCCAGGCAUUUUACAAGUUCCAAAACGAGAGUAACAAUGAUUUCCAGCAUCUUGAAUCCUGACAGCAAUGUAGAAGUGAAGAAGGCCAAAGGACAGUAAAAACAGAGAGACAACGAUACGACAAGCAGUUAUAGAGCUACAAAUAAAUAACAAACAAACAGAAGCAAAGUGUUCUUCGAAUGAGAAGAAGGAAGCAAGAAAAGGGUUUCUAUUUAGAUUAAGAAUAAAUGUAAAGAGCUAAAAAAGCUGAUGGGUACAGAAUAAGAAAUGAUUAAGAGAAUGGGGGAGCUAACAAGACUGUGGAGUGAGCAGGCGUAAAUAAACUUUUCUUAACCUUUUGUCAUACGUGUAUAUAAAAUAAUAUAAUUAAUUUUAUAUUUUUAUUCAAUAACUAUUAAUUAUAUUUUUUUCAAAAUUAAUAAAAAGAAUAAUUAAGUACUGAAUCCAAAUCCUAUCCUAAAUGGUUAGAUAAAAAUAAGGGAAUGAAAAGAGUAAUGGUAGAUUAAUGAGAAGGUGAUUGAUUAAUUUAUGAGGCCAAUUAACGAAACGACAGAUCUGGUUUCCAUGUUUGUAGUUUAAGUGUAUGAGUACGAGGUGAACCGAAGCUUUGUCGAGUCAGGCAAAUAGAAAGAGAAAUUACUAAAACAAGAACCAGCAACUUUUACUCACACAUGAGCUAAUAAUGUAUUGAGAUUGUGCAGAGUAAUAUAAAAGAUUAAAACUAGUAUAAUCAAUUUGUCAUCAAGUUUUAGCCUUCUUCUUCAACCAAUUACAGCACGAUCUUGAGCUCUGUGUUUCUUUUUUUAAAUCAUUCAAAAGAUCUCUGUCAUUAAUUUUUCAAUGAUAAAAAUUAUAUUUUUGUCUCAUAAAAUAUAAAAUAUAAAAAAAUCAAACAUAUAUUAUAAGUCCGUUUGAGAUUAUUUUUAAAUAAAGUAUACAAAUCUCUAAAUUAACUUCGUCCCCUUGAAAUUCAGCAUAAAUAUAAAUAGAAUUAUAGAAAUCUUACUACCUUUUAUGAGAAAUCCAACUUAUAUAUUUGAGACUUCUCUCUCUAAACACACGCUUCCUCUCUCUGUACACUUUCCACCUUUAAAUUCUCCUUCAUUAAGUCUACCUAAAUGAAUUUAGCAUUCUCUCAGUUUCUUCAGCAUUUUUCUCCGUGAAAAUAGGUGAAAAAGAGAAAGUGAUUUGAUUAUUUUAAUGUACGACAGAUCUGAUUUCCAUCUCUGUAAUUUAAGUGUAUCAAAACGAGGUCAACAACUCUUGGUCGAGUCAGUCAAAUAUAAAAGACAAAUUACUAAACCAAGCAGAGCCACAAAAAAAAAAAAAAAUCCAAUUAAAUAAUCAUCAAGUCUUUUUCAAUUAAAAUAGGGGGUGCAGAACAACUGUCAAGAGAUAAUCAUUGUUUAUUAUAUUUUCGAUUAAAAUAGUUGCGCGUGAACGAUUGUCCGAAUUCGUAUAAAUUGUUGUAAGGUCUAUUAUAAUUAACAAGUGGAAUGGCCAAUGGAUGAAGAACCACUGUAAUUUCGUUUAUGAAUUUAAAAUGCUAAAGAAACUGGACACCAACGCUAAACGUGAGUCUGCCCAAUCUAGAUAAAUAGGAUAAAAAAUUAUCCGUCGGCUAUCUGAUCUUUUAGCCAUUAUAAAAAAUAUUAAAAAAAUAUACAAACAAUUUUUUUUUUUUUUCAACAAUCCAUCUGAUAUUUAUGAAGUGCAUUAGUGCUCCACUACUAUCAUAACCCUUUAAAAAUAUCGCUUAAACACAAGAACGUAUUGCCUAAAAUUAUUUUUCAAGCAAAUGUAACGACAUAUUUGGUUUUGAUCUUCGUGACUUUUUAAGUGUACAAGAACAAGAUGUAUGACCCUUUGUCGAGUUGAAGAAUUAAAAUAAAUCAGUUACAAAUCCAGAACAAACUUACGGGUGACAUUUUAGUAUUAAGCAAACUAUAAUUGAUCAUCCAAUGAUAGGCUUAUUUUCAAUUAAAUUAGAGUAAAUAUAGACAUUCCAAAUUUUUUCUCUCAAAUUUAAUCCUAGAUAAUGUGUUAUUAAUUGAGUGCUUGGUAAUUCUUUCAAGAUCUAAGUGAAUUAAUUAUAUUAUCUCUCCAACCAAUUGAUGAAUAUUAUAUUAUUAAAUAAUCAUCAAGUAAUACGACACUUCUCAUGUUCCGUUAACAUUUCAGUUAUAUUAUUAAUUAUCAUUUUAAUUUGGAUAGUAUUUUUGUUUAGGAGAAUAUAUCAAUUAUGAAAUUUUUAAUUUUGAAAAUUAAAGAAAUAAUUGAACUGAUUUUUUCUUAUUAAUUGAUAGCUUAGAUGCAUUUUGUUACAUGUUAAAAAAUUAUGAAUACAUAUCCUUUUUGGUAAUUUAAUUACACAAAAGCACUUUUAGUUUUGCACAACCAAACCGUUUAAUGGUUCAAAAGUACUUUUUUAAUUGACAACCAAACACCCAAUGACUUUUUUGUCCAAAAACUCUAUUGGUAUAAGCUCUACUUCUAUAAGCUCUACUGCUAUAAGCUCUAUUUAAUAAGUUGUACCAAACGGAGCCUUAAAAUCUAAGUGAAUUAAUUAUAUUAUCUCUCCAACCAAUUGAUGAAUAUUAUAUUAUUUGAGUUUUUUUUUUGUCUCAAAUCCCAGCAAAGAAAACAGAACAAACGGAGCAAAAAUAUUUUUACAAACCUAAAAUAACAAAAAAAGAACUUUUUCUUGUUUUUCUUAUUUUCCACUGUUAAACUUCAAAAUGAACAACUUUAUUCUACCAUCUCUCAAAUAAUAAUAAUAAUAACAACAAUGUCAUCAUCAUCAAUAAUAAUAAUAAUAAUAUAUUAACUUUGUAGGAUGGAGCUCUCGCAAAUCUUCAAGACACAAAAUGUGCUUGACCCCAUUGUUGUUAAUAUAAUUUCAAAAUCAUAUGUAUUAUAUAAUAUUAGAGAAUAUGACAUAGCAAAAUUGAUGGUACAUAUGCUGCAAUAUACUUGUUCAUGUGGCGACACAUUGAAGUAAAGCACAAGCAGAACAACGAAAAAUGUAACGGGAGAGCUCUCAUUAUGUAGAUUUUCAAUAGAAGUAAUGCAAAUUUCACAAGGGCAAUGGCCUUAUUUCGAAUGCUGCACCUGAGGAAUGACUUGAAUCUUCUUUAGAACUCAGGCAUUCUAUAAUCAUAGAGUAUAGCAUUUCAACAAAAAUAUUAUAUAAACAAAAAUAUUAUAUAGGUGGUUCCUUUAUAUAUUUUCUGGGUACACCUACAAAAAUAUUAUUUUAGGUACAUUUCUUGCAAUAAAACCUGCCCAAUCUAGCGUUUUCGUAAGUUGGGUUUCUCAUUUACAUUUUUUUCCAUUGGUUAAUUAUCACAAACCUCCACUGAGAUUUAGCAUGUUUUUAGUUUGAUAGAUUGUAUUCGCAUAUUCUCAAAUACCUUUUAGUUUACCACUUCGUAUAAAUUAAGUUGGUGAGGAUAAAAUCGUAAAAGUACACAUUAAUGAUAAAAAAAUUCAAGUAAACUUGAAAUUUUCAAGGAUUAAUUUUUCGGGACCUCCCUUGAGGUUCGGUGUAUUAAAAGUCUCAUAGAAUGUAUUCAUGUAAUUAUAAGAACCUCCCCUGGCGUUAGUACACAGUUAACUUGACUGUUAGUGGACUGAUAAAAAGUCAAAAAUGCCCUUGGCUACAAAAAUGAGUGCAACAAUUUGGAGCUAAAUAGUAAACACCACACUGGAGCACUAAAAAGUCUACAAUAAUCAUGGAAAACAAAUCAUUGACAUUUACAUAAUAUAAAAAAAAAAAGUAAAAUAUAAAUUAAGAAAAUCAACAAAAUUGUCAACGUAUUGAAUAUUUACAGCAGCAGUGGCUAUAAAUACAACCAUCGUCAAAUUAAAAUAUCACCAUUAGUAAACUACUUCAAUAAGACAAUAAACCAUGAUUCAAUCUUCAAUGCAUUCAAAAUACACAACCCGCACAAUAGAAUCACAUACGCACACCUGCUAAUGAAAUAUAAGAACAAACGGGAAAUUGAACUGACAUGGCUAAGAUACUCCUUCCCGAUAUCUAUUAGAAAGAUAAUGAGCGAUUUAUGAAUCAUGAUGCUUGCUUUACUUUCUGGCAGUGUUAACUUCAAAUUCAAUGAUAGUAAAUGAACAAUGGUUCAUUCAUUAUGAAAGUAAUUGUAAAGCUAGGAAUUUAUAAUAUUCAGAUGUUGGAAUUAGAAAAAUAUUUCUUAAUCGUUUCAAUUGAAGCCAAGGAAGAAAAAGAAAUGAGUCUUCUUUUUUCAGGCCACAAGCCAUAUGAAGAAGGCAGACCAGAGCAUAAGAACGAAUGCUAUUGCCACAGUAAAAGCCUGGAUCAAUGGGUAAUGGCACCUGCCAUGUCAAUUUCAUGACAAACAAAAAUCAAUUAUCAUCCCCAGACCACAACACCACCAAACCAACCUUUUGCAUCUAAAAUAACAAGUUAAUAAAUCAAAGAUUUCAAUUCAUUUAAGUUUGAAAUCAACUAAAAUAGAAAAAAAAAAACCCAAUUUCUUUUUUGUUCAAUAUAACUCAUUCAGCAUCUUCUUCAACACAUUUUUAUCAUUCUUCAUCAUCACAACAAUAAAAAGAACAAAAAACUUUGAGUUCAACAUGCAAUUCUUUUUUUUUGGGAAACUAACCUUUUUUAGGUUCCAAUUCUAGUAGUCUUAAACAGUAGCCGCCGAUGAAAUUCGCUUGGCAACACCCUUUUGCCACCAUUGCAGCUUGUCAUGUUCAUACUCAACUUAAAAUUACUUGAAGGCAGCAGGGAUUUUAUAGUUACAAAAGUUUCUUCAGAGCUUUUCAAGCUUGAAAAUGGAGUUUUCAUUCAUCUUAGAUAAAUUGAAGAUAAUUUGCAUUGUGGGUAAUAAAUUGAUUAUCAGUGUCUAAAUCUGGGUCAUCGACGCAACAUUGGAUUUUGUUUUGAUUUUCUUUGAUUUUUUUUAUGAAACCACUAAUUUACCCUCAUAUACUAACAAUAUACGAAAUGGUAUACUAACGUCAGUUACGUCAGGGAGCUCCCUAUAAUUACAUGAAUACUUUUCAUGAGACUGUCAAUACACAAAACCUCAGGGGAGGUACCUAAACAUUACCCAAUGGUAUCAUUUCUUGUAUGGAUAAUGGAUGAUUAGAUUUUGUUUUUUUGUUAUCCGACGAAGGAUAUUCAGUUGUUCUUUAUGUGUUCAUAGGCAAGAGCAUGAGCAUAUGCAUGAUUUGAUAUAUGCUUCUUGCAUUUUCUAAUUAAGUGUUCUCUUUCCUUGCCUUCUUAGUUUUGAAAGAAAGAUGUGAAGCAAGACAAACCCAGUGAAAUACACAGAGCAACAGAACCAUCAGAGGAAAAACUAAAUAACAGAACUACAAUUAAACCAAACAAAAUCAAAUAAACCGACGCAACAGAUGCCCUGAAUCAGGCAUUCCUUUUUCUCGAAAGAAAAUAUGUUUGCAUGGGUGGGAACCCAGUAUUUACUCAAGAGUUGAGGAGUUGGAAAGAUUUGGUAUUCAUAUCUUCUCAAUUCAUAUGCUUUAAUGCAGAAUCGACAGCUUUAUAUUAUUUUAUACACUUGCACUUGCUUGAGUAUUUGUGCCGACAUUUUCAUAUGUGAUGCUACUUCUUAGCCAGUAGAUAUGUUGAAGUACUACAAAACAGAGUAUUUGAUGAAGUUUUGCUACUUUCGUAUCCCCUUUUUUGUUGAAUUCUUUAUAAACAAAAAUUAGAAAGCUACAAAUAAUACAGUAGCUUGAAUUUAUAUGCUUUUAUGAUUAUUUGAUAGUUUAGUGCUGAUCAUAUGUGAUGAUAAACUUAGCUAGUAGUUUUAUAUUUAUUUUCAUAGUUUCCUUAGCGUUCACAUUUUGAUGAGUAAAUUAAGGAUUUCCAGAUGAAGUACAUAAUUAGAUGAAUGCUAAGGAACUGAAGUUUGAUUAAUUGAAAACAAAAAUAAUAAUGAACGUAAUUACGAAAAUGAACAAUGCAGAAGUAGUCCCUAUAGUAUUUCUAUAUUUUCUCUUGGUGUUUCUUAGUAUUCCUCAAUAUUUUUAAAAAAUGACAUGACGAUCUUUGAGUUGACAAAUCUUGGCCUGCUGCUUAGUACCCUUCCAACAUAUAAAGUACUAGAUGUUUUACUGAGAAAAUGACAAGAUCAUUUUUCAAAUUUCUUGCGCAUAUAUACGUAUGUACACGAGAAAUGAGAAUCAGUGAUUAUAAGACCUUGCAAUGAGACAAUAAUACAUCAUCAAAUCUAAAAAUACACAAGAAAUUCGGGACAUAUAAAUAACAAAAGACCUCUCAUUGAGUCAUCCAUAUUGAGAAUAAAAUGUCAAAAUGCAUACAAAGAGCUUAUACAGAAAAUGAAUGUACACAUAUUUAGAAUAAACUGUCUUUGAACUUUCGAUGGUCAAACAAAAGAAACAGACAGGAUAUAACACACACUAUCAUAGAUGUAGCGACACGGUGAAGUAAAUCACAUGAAGAUGGAAACGGAAACCCUUCACAACAUAAAAUUUGAAUAGAGGGGGAAAAAAAGGCUUCAUUUCGAAUGUUGCACGAAAGAAGAGUGACUUGAAUCUCCAUCAGUAUCCAAACAUUCUGCAAACAUAGUGCUGAGAAUUUUAACAAGAAUAACAGACAAAAUAUUGUGCUUCUAUACUUGUCAAAAAACUAGACAAAAAUAGUUCCCUUUUUGGUUUGUGAAAACUUGAUAUUUUUGAAAAUUCUAUCCAAUGCUUUCAAACAAUAUUUCCAUAAUAUAGUUGUUCAUAGCUAACCUUUGAUGGUGUAAGGAUUUGUUGUAGGCAUAAUGGGCUAAUUAUAUAUAUAUAUAUAUAUUUUUUUUUUUUUUUUUUUUACCCGCUGAAUGAUAUUCAGCUUCUUAAUUAUGUGUUCAUAGGCAGGAGCAUUUUCUUAAGUACUUUCGUUGCCUUCCAAGUUUCCAAUGAACAAACAGAGCACAAACAAAUUUAACGGAACAGUAACGAUGACAAUAAAUAAUUGGCAAGGAAAGAAAGAAAAAAGUUUGCAUGAUUUCAGGGAAUUAUAAAAUCUGAACACUUUCAACAUGCAAGUGUUGCCCCUCUUAAUGAAAUUUCAUCAUAAAAUGCUUGCAAGGAAUUAUAAAAUUUUAGAGAACAAGGGAACUCUCAAAACAAAAUACUCAAAUUAAAUUACAAUAGGCCAAAAGACGCUCAAUGACGCAAAUCUGCCCAUAAAAGCUUGAACGAAUCAUGAAAAGUGCAUUCCAUAUUGAUAGUAAACCAAGUGACCCAUUCUAAACAAUUGAGAUGAAAUUGUGAAACAACCCACGAGAUCAAAUAAAUAAAAUAAGAAUUAAUUACCAGCUGGGACUUUCUUCUUCAAAUUCGUAACUCCAAGUCAUAAGAAGCCUAUGAAAUUAGUCGUAAUCCACAGAGUAUGACGACGACCCCGCCAACAGCUGAAAAUAAAAUUCUUAUUCAUCAAUUUAAACUAACUUUAUAACAAAUAUCUUAUCGAUAUUUUAUUUAAAAAGAAAAAGCAAAUUUUGUAAAAUUUUUCCAUGGGAGAUAGAGAAUAACAUGUAUAUCCGUACCUUCUCAGCAUGUAAUUGUUGUAUGGUCGUCUUAAGAUCAUUACUAGCCCAACGCCGUUGAUUCGAUGUCUCUCCAUACCAAACGUUUACUCUUGGAGGCGUGCUUGAUUCUCCUGUAGUGAAAAUCUUCAAUUUGGGACAACCAAUCACAGAUAGAUCUUGCAAAGAUGGGAAUUUGAAGGUGUAAUUGGCAGAGCAAAAACUUGUGAGGCUAUCUAAAUCAAACAGUUCCAACCUCUUCAAUUUGCGGAAAACAAUCUCUUCUUUUUCAACCCCGUCUUUGUCAUUUAUUACCACCUCUGUCAUUGCUCUGCAUCCGUAUACACAAAGUGAUACGAGUUGCACUAGAGUUUUUGCUGUGGAGGAUGUUACCAAGUGUAUCAAUUCCUUGCAACCGAUAGCUACAAGUUUUGUUAGGUUCCGAAAAGAUACCGAUGAUGAUGGCAAUAGAAUUAACAGACUUUGACAAUGAUGUACUUUUAGAAUUUCAAGAUACUGAAAAAUGGGGCCAAGUUUGGAAUCUUGUUUGCACACCUGCUUCAGAUGAUAGUGCCGGUACAGCUUUAAUUCUUUUAUCAUUGCCAACUUCCCCACAUGUUUCUCUAAGCAUCCUUCCUUCGAAAAUACCUCUUCGUCGAAUGAAAAAAAAAACAGUGAGAGUAUUUCGAGAUUGUGAAAUCUCUCAAGUACGUUCCAGAUUGGAAAACCAGCUGAGUCAUCUUCAGCAAUCACUAGUCGUUUAAGACUGCCAAAAACGUGUUGUGGGAAAUCGGCCUGCAAAAUCAUCUUCGCGUCUUUUCCGCUUAGUGAUAGUUCCGUCAAGUUGGGUAGGAUCUGAUCAUCAUCAAUCAUAAUAACUGAUAAGGUCAAUUGGUGUUUUCUCAAAUGAUUUUAAGUAAUCCAAUCACAUGCAGUGACUUUAUAGUAUUUGUUUUAUAUUAUAUUUUACAAAAAAAAAAUUGAAUUAUUGAUAAAAUUUAUUAAAUGAUUUUUUAUAUAUUAAUUUUAGAGGUAAAAAAGAAAUUAGGGAAAAAAAGAAAUUAUUUUAUUGGUAAUUAAGUGUUUGGUAAAUUUUGUUUCAAGAAGUACUGUAAAUUUUGAAAACAAUUAUGGUCGUUUGGUAAAUUUUACUGUUAAACUGCUGAGAGAAAAUAAAUGACUAAAAUAUCCAUAAUAUAAGAUAAAAUUUACUUAUAUAUCUCCUAAAAGCAAUCCCAAACGGGCCCUAAGGAUUCUUUUAUAAAUGUUAUACCUAAAAAAGUUCAUAUAAUUAUUAAUCUACCACAUUGAUCCCUUAGUCUAGACUAGCAAAGAUUAUUGUAUAAUAAAAGUUUUCAAUUUAUUGAGUAUUAAUUUAUCAUUGCUUUGUCAUAUUUUUCAAAGUUAAAAAUAUGCUAUUGAUAAAAAAAUCUAGAAAAUGGCUUCAUACCUUUUCCAACGGCAAUGGGGGCUGUUGUGCAGGAAUACCAAGUUGAUCAUUCUCAUUAUUCUGCGAUAAAUCUGCAGCGAAUAUCUUUAAUUUGUCACAACGAUACACUAAAAGCAUUUCUAGCGCGAGCCAUUCCAAAGUAUGCAUUCCAGGGCACAAACAUCUAAGUUUUGGUAGAUCUUGGAGUCUCAGAGUGGUGAGCUGUGGAAAGACAGAAUAAGAAUUUGUCACUUGAUCUGCUCUGUUUUCAGAAAUAAUCUCCUGUAAAUCCUCACAGUCUCGUAUAUCUAGGUGUUGGAGCUGCUUGAGGCUUCCGAUCAUAGACGCUGCAAAUAUGUAUUUUAAUUUGUGACAACGCCACACAAUCAAUCGUGUUAAACUUUGAAAGUGAGGAAACACGGCCACCAGAAUUUGAUUGUAGUGCCAAAUCUUGUCGACAUUAAUUUCAGAUAUCUCCAAAGCCUCCAAGUUAGGCAACGCAACCUAAAAAAAUAAGAAUUUCUCGUUAGAUCCAAUAUCCAUAUGGGAAGCACUUGUUGAAAUUUUCUUCUUUGAUUACAAAUUAAUGCAAGUCUGAAUCAAUUUCCAACUGACAGCUGAGUAUGCAUUCUAAUUCAUACUACUUGUUAAGAGCUCAAUUAGUGAGUGCGUGAGAUUCUUUUUAUCCUUUUUUUCCAUUUUCUUUCACUUCUUUAAAUGAUUUAAUUAUUUUCCACGUAUGACAUCAAAAGAGAACGCAUGAUAGAAUAAAAUGUGUUAUACAUUAAAGAAAAUGUUAGCCUACGCACCUUCUCGUUGAAAAGCAGAGUUGAAAUACCCAAAGUGAUUUCGCUGGAGCAAUACAUAGUCGUCGAUUCCUCUUGCGACGCUCGUCUGUUCGGUGAUGCUGAAGGAGUCUCCACCUCACAGCAAAAACUUGUAACCUCUGGAAGAUUCCCCAGACUCAAAGAUCUUAAUUGAGCAAACUCUAUCUUCUCAAUUGCAUUAUCAACUUCUUCCCCAAUUGCAAAAAUCUCUUUCAUCUUGCUGCAAUUAAUAACAGCAAUUCUCUCAAGUCUUGGAAGGCAUUUUGUAGUAGAGAGCCAAAAGAUAUUACUCAACGUAUCACAACUAUAUGCUUCUAUGGUUUUGAGUUUGUUGAAAGACUCUACUUUGAGCCGAUCAACACAUAUCCUCUCCAUGUUGAUCAAAUUGUGAAGGAUAAGUGACUCCAAAAGAGGAAAGGCAUCACAAGCGACCAUCUCCCUUGAAUCGACGAUACAAAAGAUGUCAGGAUUAUUUUGAACCCAGAGAAGCUUCAAUUGUGAAAAGCCCUCCGUGUCCAAAUUGAAAAGAACAUUCUCGAUGCCUUGCAGCUUGUCCAACCAUAAGCAUUCAACGUUGGUGAUGCCCUGCAAUUUCAUGGAGCAAAUGUCCAUAAAAUCAAGCUUGAGCUUCAAUGUUCUUAAACUCUUGCGUUUACUGUUGAUCCAAAAGUGCGGCUGACUUUGGAACCAAUGUUGUCUAACACACUUGGGAGGCGUGAAUGACUCAUUUCCAAUAGAUAUUUUGAACCUUUCGAGCUUUCUGGCCAAAAAACCUUCUGGUAAAAUACUGUCAUUUUUAACGUCAAUUUCUAGAGUGGUUAGCCGAGGUAAAUGCAUCAAUUCGUCAAGGCUAGCAUUACUUCUUUUGCUGCUGGCUCUUUCAACCUCCCAUUCAAUGAAGCAAUUACCCAUAUACAGCUCUUCUAAUCGAGUUAAGCUUGAUAUGAGAUUGGGCGCAAUAACUUUCAGAUGGAAACAAUUGGUUAAAUCUAACAAUCUCAACUUAUUCAAUUGACCUAGUUCUUCUGGCAACUGCAUAAUAUCAGACAUCAGAAAGCUUAGGACUUCUAGAUUCUUCAACUUCCCAAUGAUUGCUAUGUCCCCCAACGCACUUUGAUCCAGACAUAGUGUGUGAAGAUUUACUAGAAGAUCAAUUGAAGAUGGAAAUGAAGAAAACUGCAUUCGAGUAAAAUCUAGAACUCUAAGCUUUUUCAUCCCUACAAAAAAGUUCUCAGGAAUAUUGAUUUCAAGAGAAGAAUCUUUGGGAGAGAUAAAUAAAAAUUCAAGGUUUGGGCAUUCUAAUCCUUCAGGAAAUUCACGAUUACUAUAAUUUCUUAAAGAGAUAGCAUUGCAUUUUCGAAGUGCAUCCUCUUCUGGCCAGUCCCACACAUCCUCAUUCCUCACCGAAAACACAUGUUGGUGGCGGCAUGCAAUCGAUAUUGCGACAUCGCGAACAACAUCAUGCAUUGAAAAUUCUUCAUUGCUAUCAUCCUCAAGCAACAAACAAGAGUCUCUAAGUUCAUGGACCAAUGCAUAUAAUUUGUCUCGUGCAUCUUCCAUCUUAUUGACUCCUUUAAAUAUACCCAAACCCAUGGAGUACUUAAACAAGUCCAAAGUAACAAUACGGUUAUUCAUUAGACUACAGAGCAGAAAAAUUUUCUUGAGUUGCUCACCUCUUAAAUGGUUGAAACUCAGCUCAAUACAUGAAUAAGUCUCUGCAGACACUCCUUCGAAGUUUACCAUUGAAGGCGUUCGGAGUUCUCGCAAGGAAUUCUUCCAUUCAUGCAGACUCUUGCUUCUCAGUGCCAUUGCCACUGUAGUCAAGGCAAUGGGCAAACCUCCACAUGCCCUGGCGACGUCUAUUGCUGUAGAUUUCAACUCACGAUUUUCAACAUCAUCACCGGCCAUCAUCUUAAACAAUCUCCAGGCUUCUUCUUCAUUUAAGUUGUUUAUCAAAAAGUUGUCUUUAGAUCCCAUUUUUAAGAGGACACUACGAUCUCUUGCUGUCAGCAGUAGUUUGCAUCCUUUAUGAUCUUCUCCAAAAGGAAUUNNNNNNNNNNNNNNNNNNNNNNNNNNNNNNNNNNNNNNNNNNNNNNNNNNNNNNNNNNNNNNNNNNNNNNNNNNNNNNNNNNNNNNNNNNNNNNNNNNNNNNNNNNNNNNNNNNNNNNNNNNNNNNNNNNNNNNNNNNNNNNNNNNNNNNNNNNNNNNNNNNNNNNNNNNNNNNNNNNNNNNNNNNNNNNNNNNNNNNNNNNNNNNNNNNNNGGCUUCCAUAGCUUGCCUGGCGACCUCCUUCAUCAAUGUCGUCUUUCCAAUGCCGCCAUGCCGUACACCCCAAUGAUGCUGACAUUAGCAUCGAUCAAUGCGUUUUUUAUGGCCUCCAAAGUAGAACGUCUUGAUUCGAAGGCCUCGCAGUCUUUGUUAGACUUGAGCCAUAUAUCCUCCGGAAUGGUAGGGUCGGAAAUUCUAUCAUCAAAUCUCCCAGCUUCUUCUCGGAGUUUAAAAAGGGCCUCCUUCUCUGUUUCUGCUUUCUUUCCACGCCGAUAGCGAGCAAACCAAUCAGGAAACAGCCCCAUGAGACAUCGACCGUCAUUUGCUGUCUCUUCGUCUUGAAUGAAUUUGGCUGCCUGCUCAAUGCUCUUGUUCGCAUUAACCAGCCAUUUCUCAACCUUCUCUACAAUCUUUUCACUUUUUCUUUCAGCCUCAGAAACUCUGCGCUGAAUCCUUUCUCUUUCAACCCUCAGCCUAUCGAGUUCUGCCUUGAGAUUCUCAAAGUUGGCAGCGGAGUUAUACCAAUAACUAAAUUCGCGUUGUGCGUGGGGAGACAAGCAGUUUACAACUCCUGGAGCAAUGCUUUUCAAAAUGUCCAUUUUUUUUUUUUUAUGGGGAAGUGAACGAAAUGGAAAUAGAACAGGGUCAACGACCGCGCAAUUGAUAAUCAAGUAGAAGCAAAACAAGCCAAAAUGGAAAAAGAAAUGAUAUUUGUACAAAACAAGGGGAAAAUCAGUGUAACAGAAGAGAAUCAAAGUGUUUUUGAGAUCAGAAAAUUGAACCAAGAAAAGGGUUGCUUGAUCCAAUGAAAAUGCAAAAAGCUGAUGGCAAAAGGGAACAAAGCUAAAUAAGAAAACGGCUAGCACGAGCAGUGACCACGAUCAACAGAAGCAAAGUGUGUAUGAGAUCAAAAGACGAAAAUGAGGAGAGGUUUUCUUGAUUGAGAAUUGAAGGCAAAGAGUAGGAGCUGACGAAUACGGGGAUCAAGAGGGAAAAACUGCUUGCUUGUAAAACUACUUUCAAGCGAAUCUGAUAAAAUUAUUUCAGUACUAGUGGGCGACUCCUUUUUAAACUGCAGAAGGGAAAAAAAAAAGUUCUGAAUUUCAAUAUAUUAAUCUCGUAAUCAAUGAUUAAUUAGUAGAUAAUCUUUCUAACAAAUAUGUGUUGAAUAGAUAUAUUUCUUGAUUAUUAGUAGGUUCGAUAUACUUUAGUAUAGGAAUGAAAGUACAAGUUGUGUCGUAUUAGAAUAAAAAUUGGACCUAAAAAUAUUGUUCUAUGGCCUUUUAAUUAUUUGUCAGCUAAUAAUGAAGUCAUAUAAAAAAAUUAAUAAUCUGAAUUAGUCUUUAGUAUUAUAAAUGUUUUUAGAUUUUUAAUUAUAAUAUCAUUAUUUAAAAAUAAUUGCUUGACUUACAUUCGUAACAUUACGAUUGUCAUAAAACAUGUGAUCCUCAUCCAAAGGCCAGGUGAACAACUCUUUGUCAAGUCAGUCAAAUAUAAACGACAAAUUCUUUUCAAUUAAAUAAUCAUCAAGAAAUAAUCUUCUAUUUCAGUACAAAUGGCGAGUGCAGAACAGCUGUCAAGAGAUAAUCAUUGUUUACGGAGCCAUAUAUAUUUUCUAUUAAAAUAGUUGCGUCACUUGCGUGAACAAUUGCCAGAAUCCGUAAAAAUUGUUGAAAGGUCUAUUAGUUUCGAGUAGAAUAUUUUCGAUUAAAAUAGUUGCGUGAACAAUUAUCAUAGAUAGUGUUUAUAUUUUGGAUUGAAGUGAGAAUUUUGAGAAAUAAAAAUCUAAGAUUGAGAGUGUAGAGUGGAAGUGAGUGUAAGUUAUUUACUUACACUGAAAAAUAAGCAUGGAAUGGAGAUCAUAAUCCAAUUUAUGUGUUUAUUUUAUCUUCAAUUGAGAAUAAAUAGUUUCAAAUUACAAUUUUACCUUUAUUUAAAGAAUUAUAUAUAUUUAAUGAAUAAACAUUUAUUUUAUUAUAUUUGUAAAUUUAUAAUAAUUGUUAAUAUUCUUAAUUAUGUACAUCAUAAUUUUUUAUUAAUUUUAAUUUUAAUUAUAUAAAUUAAAAAUUAUUGAUAAGAGCAAUAUAAAUGAAACAUUUUUACUAUUAACAUAGUACAAAAUUAAUAUUUUCUUAUAAUUAACUAUUUAUUAUUACUAAUUAUUGAUAUUAAAUAAAUAUAAUACUAUUAUUUUUAAAUAAAUAUAAUAAUAUUAUAUUUUCAAAUAAAGAUAGUAUAUAGUAAUAUUAUUAAUUCUCUAUUAAUAUAAUAAUAAUAUUUAAAUAAAUAAAAUAUUUUUUAUUUUAUUUUAUUAAUAUAUAAUUAUAGUAAAUUUAAUAAAAGGGGGUUAAAAAAGGAAGGUAAAUAUAAAAUGAAAUAUUAUUUUAUUUAAUUAUAUUAAAUUUAUUAUUAUAUAAAUAAUAAUAUAAUAUUAUUUAGUAUAAAAUUAAUAUUUUCUUAGAAUAAACUAUUUAUUAUUAUUAAUUAUUAAUAUUAAAUAAAUAUAAUACUAUAUAUUUAAAUAAAUAUAAUAAUAUUAUAUCUUCAAAUAAAGAUAACAUAUAGUAAUAUUAUUAAUUCUCUAUUAAUAUAAUAAUAUUAUUUAUUUUAUUUUAUUAAAUAUUAAAUAUUAAAUUUAAUUAAAUAAGGUAGAAAAUGGAGAGGUGGGAAUGGGUUUCCCAUGGGAGUCCCACUCCCACUCCCACUCCCCACUCCAAAAAUGGGUGGAGUUUAUGGAGUGAGAUUCCCAAUUCCUCCUUAAAAUGGUAAAGUAAAUAUUGAAGUGGGAGGAAUUCACACUGCUCACACCCACUCUAGAAAAUAAACACCGAAAAGGCCAAAGGAUGAAGAACCACUAUAAGUUCUUUUAUGAAUUUAAAAUGCUAAAGAAACUUGAUUUUGAUGAUAACAAACUACAUAGGGUACAAUGGUAAAUUUAUUUCUCACAAUCUCACAAGUUUUUGAAGGGCAAAAAUCAUUCAAGUGAGAUCAAGAUCAAGAUACUCAAUGGACAAUGACAAUCAAGGACGAAUACUAAGGGUACUAGUUUAAGCAAUCUUUAUUGUUAAAUUUAUUGUAAAGCCAGUAUAAUUUAAUGUGUGCAUGAUUUAACAUUUAAAAGCUCAAGAUAUUUUUCAUGACAUUUUCAAAUUAAAUCAUCAUUUUCUAUAAUAUAAAAGUUUUAACGAUUUUAUAAAAUUAGUUGCUUUUUCCAAAUUUAUGGACUAACUUGAAAAGUUUUGAGAACUUGGAAAUCAACCAAUAAUGUUUUAAAUCCUAGAAAUUGACAUAUUUGUAAAUAUUUCAAACAUUUUGGGUUGUAAUAUAAUUUCAAAAAAAUUAGGUCUAAUCUAUAAAUCCUGGAACAAUAGUGGCUAAUCGCUUAACCAAUAGCGGCUAACUACUUCAAGUCCAAAAACAUAGCAGCUAACCGCUUAAAUCAAGUGGAAUCCGCUUGAACCAAAGUUUUCAAAUUUGAUUUGCAACUGUAACUUACCAUAUCAACAUAGUGGCUAACCGCCUCAUUUUAACGGCGAUCCAGCAAGUCCCUAGAAAAGCCAAUAAUUGCUAGUUUGAUUGUUUAAACUAUAAAAUUCAAAUUAAACUCAAAUCUAACAAUUUUUUUCAAUCUCAAUUAAGCUAAAACUUAUUCAUAUAUCUUGAGGUUUCAUUUUGCUUAUCUACAUACAUUAAUCAUUAUAGGGCUAUCAUUUGCUUAUACACUCUUAUAGAGUGUAAUCUUUGUAAUCUUCAAUUAAAUAUCAAAAUUGAGUGAGUAUAAGUGUGGGAAACACUUGGGAAAAGAGGCGUGUGUAUACAUAACUACUUGUAAAGGUUUAUUGACACCUUAGAAGUCAAUUGUAAAAUCUUGGAGUCUUGGAAGGUUUAGAUAGUAGAAUUCUCAAGUUUGGAUUGCUUGGAGGCGUAGUCAUAGGCGGGUUUGCCGAACCACAUAAAAAUUCAUGUGUUUGUUAUCUUCUCCCUUAUCUUUUUAAUUUCACGCAUUGUUAAAUUUACCAUUAUUAAAUUUCUUGAAGCAUUUGUUUAAUUUGUAUUGUGUUUUUGUUAGUAUAAUUUUUAAUACCUAAUUCACCCUCUCUUGGGUUGCUUAGCUAGAAUUUUAUUUGGUAUCAGAGGAAGUUCUCUUAUUAUAACUUAACCAUCUAGAGUAAAAGAUCUAUAGUAAUCCAAAAUGAUCCCAGAUUUGGGAAAGGUUAAUCCCUUACUAGAUCACCAUUCUUUGAUGGGAAUGAUUAUCCAUGUUGGAAAAUUAUGAUAAGAAUUUAUUUGCAAGCAUUAUAUUAUGAAAUAUAGGAAGUUGAUUGUGAUGGUCCAUUCAUGCCUACUACUAAAAAUGAAGAAGGGAAAGAAAUUCUAAAACUUUCACAAGAAUGGAAUGUGUCAGAAAAGAGAAAAAAUUCUCUUAAUUUCAAAGUCAUGAAUGCUUUGUUUUGUGCCUUAAGGUUGUUCCAAUGCUUAUGAAAUUUGGAAAAAAACAUAAACUCGUUUAUAAAGCUACAAAUCAAGUUAAAUAGUCUAAAAUUAGUAGAUAUACUAGGCAAUACGAAUUGCUAUAAAUGGAACAAAAUGAGAGUGUUAAUUCCAUAUACACUAGAUUUACAAACAUUAUAAACACUUUAGAAGCUCUUAGAAAGGCCUUUUCAAAUAGCGAGAAGGUAAAAAAAAUCAGUAGGUCUUUACCAAAAGAAUAGAGACCUAAGAAAAUUGCCAUUGAGGAAGACAAUGAUACUUUAUCUAUUGAUGAUUUAAUUAGUUCAUUUAUUUCUUAUGAAAAGGAUUUGACAACUUGAAAAGGCAAUGAAGACGAGAAGAAGAAGAGUAUUUCCUUAAAAGCAUCAAGAUCUAAAAGUGACAACGAAAGUGAGAUCGAAAAUGAAGACAUGGCUAUGAUAGCUGGAAAAUUCAAAAAAAAUUUCAAGAAAUCCAUCGAGCGAAGGAAUUCAAAAAUCAGAAAGAAAAGGAGGCAAUUAUUUGCUUUAAAUGCAGGAAGCCUAGACACAUAACACUAGCAUGUCCUUUUCUCAAUAAAGUAAAGAAGAAAGCUAUGGUAGCAACACGGGAUGAUAGUGAUAAGGAGACUAUAGAUGAAGAGUAGUCUCAUGAAGUGUCAAAUUUGGCACUUAUAGUUAUAGGAGAUGAUUAUAGGAGAUGAACUUGAUGAGGUAAACCUCUUAGGAUGAGUUGUUUGAAGUAUUCUCUAAAUUGCAUAAAGAUUUAAAGAAGAUUGGAAUGUAAAAUGUUUCUCUUGGAAAGAAAAAAGUAGAACUUUUAUAUGAGAAUGACACUUUGAAUAAAAAGAUUAAGUGCCUAGAAUUAUUUGUGAAGAAAUUGCAUCUUUUAAAGAAAAAACAAAGUGUUUCAUCUAAGAAUAAAGGUUUACCUGUAAAUGAUUUGAAAAAGAAAAAUAAAAGAUAUUGCUUUAGAAUUUGCUUAGUAUUAGUCAAUUGUGUGAUAAAGGUUACAAAGUUAUUUUUAUGUGAUAAAGGCUAUAGAGUUAUUUUUUUAUAAAACAAAAUGUGUUAUUAAAAAUGCACGUGAUGGCAAAGUUUUAUUUGUUAGAUAAAGAUAUGUUAAUGUAUACACCAUUGAUAUAGAUUGUGUAUCAACUCAUAAUAAAUGUUUUUUUCACAUUACAUGAUGAUAGUUGAUAUGGCAUGGAAGACUAGGUCAUGCGAGCAUGGAUUUUAUUUCAAAAUUUUUUUAAAAUGAUUUGGUUAUAGGUCUUCCAAAAAUUGGUUCUAAAAUAGAUAGAAUUUGUGAAGUUUGCCAAUUUAGAAAACAAAUAAAAUGUCCUUUAAAAAUAAAAUUCAUAUUUCUACUUCAAAACCACUUUAACUUUUUCACAUGGAUUUGUUUGAAUUUUCUAAAUAUGCUAGUCUAAGUGGUAAAUAUUAUGCAUUUAUAAUUAUAGAUGAUUAUUCUAUAUACACAUGGUAUUACUCUUAACUAAUAAAGAUGACACCUUUAAUGCUUUCAAAAUUUCUAUAAAAAGGUUCAAAAUGAAAAAUGAUAUGUUAUUUCUUGCAUUAGAAGUGAUCAUGGUGGAGAAUUUAAAAAUUGUAAUUUUGAAAAUUUUUACAAUAACUUUGGCAUUGAGCAUCAAUUCUUGUCACCAAGAACUCCACAAUAAAAUGGAGUAGUUGAGAGAAAGAAUUAGUCUAUCCAAGAAAUGACUAGGACCAUGUUAAAUAAAAAUGCUUUACUAGAAUAUUUUUAGGUUGGAGCCGUCAAUAUUGUUUGUUAUGUUUUAAAUCGUGCAUUGAUUAGACCUUACUUCAAUAAAACUCCUUAUGAGCUUUGGAAAAAUAGAAAAACAUUGACUAUUUCAAAGUUUUUGGUUGCAAAUGUUUUCUAUUGAAUACAAAAGAUAAUCUUGGUAAAUUUGAUCUAAAAUCUGAUGUUGAUAUUUUUUCUUGGGUAUUCAAAUACAAGCAGAACUUAUAGAGUGUAUAAUAAAAGAACCUUGGUCGCUAAAGAAUCUAUACAUGUUGUGUUUGAUUAAAUCUAACUUUUCUUCUACGAAGAAAGUUGUUGUUGAUAAUGAUGCAUAUGAAGAGUUACAAAAAAAAAAGUCUUUAAAAGACAAACAAGAUGAUUUACUAGGAAAAAAUCAAGAUGAGCAACAAGAAGAACCAGUUAAAUAUAUUCAAAAUGAAGGUAAUUCACAAACACUCUCUAAGGAGCUAAGGUAUGUCUCUUCAGACCCUAAAGACUUAAUCUUAGGAGAUCCUUCAUGAGGUGUAACUACUAGAUAAUCACUUAGAAAUACAUGUGAACAUACUGUAUUCGUAUCUCAAGUUGAACCAAAAUCCUUUUCAGAUGUGGAAAAUUAUGAAUCUUGGAUCAUAGCAAUACAAGAAGAGUUAAAUCAAUUUGAAUGAAACAAUGUAUGGAAACUUGUUCAUAAACCAGAACAUCAAUCUGUAAUAGGCAGUAAAUGGGUGUUUAGGAAUAAAAUUGAUGAAUCUGGUGUGGUUGUAAGGAAUAAAGCUAGAUUAGUAGCUCAAUGAUGCAACCAAGAAAAAGAAAUUGAUUUUGAUGAAACCUUUGCACAUGUAGCUAGAUUAGAAUCCAUUACAUGCUUUUAUCAUUUGCAUAUCAUAAUGAUUUUAUUUUAUAUUAAAUGGAUGCUAAAAGUGCCUUUCUAAAUAGUUGUAUUAUAAAGGAAGCUUAAGUGAAACAAUCCCCUCGUUUUAAAAACGAAAAAUAUUUUUGGAUCAUGUUUACAAGUUGUCCAAAGUUUUAUAUAGUUUAAAGUAAGCAUCUAGAGCAUGACAUGGUAUACUUAGUAAAUUUCUUGUAGAAAAUAGUUUUUCAAUGGGUAAAGCGAAUACUACUCUAUUUGUUAAAUACAAGGAUCAAGGUAUACUUGUUCAAAUUUAUAUUGAUGAUAUUAUCUUUAGUUCUACUAAUGAGUUUCUGUGUAAGGAAUUUUCAUCUUGUAUGAGUAGAGAAUUUGAGAUGAGCAUGAUGAGAGAAUUGAAGUACUUUCUUGGACUUAAAAUUUAAAAAAAAAAUCAUUAAUCAAGCCAAGUAUUUUAGAGAUCUACUCAAAAGAUUUUGCAUUCAGGACUAAAGACACUCCAAUGAGUACUACAAUCAAGAUCGAUAAGGAUAAAAAAAGUAAAGAUGUUGUAUCAAAAGAUAUCGAGGUAUGAUCAUAUCUUUACUUUACUUUACUGCUAGUAGACAUUACUUUAGUGUAUGUUUGUGUGCAUGAUUUCAACCAUAUCUCAAAGAAUCUCAUUUGCUUGCGGUUAAAAGAAUUUUUCAUUAUUUAUGAGGAACAAUUGAUCUUGGUCUAAGGGAACUCAUAUAGAUUAGUAGCUCAAUAAAUUUGUCAAAGAAUCCCAUUCAACAUUUUAGGACCAAACAUAUUGAAAUUAGGCAUUAUUUCUCACGUGAUCAUGUUUAAAUGAGAGAUAUUGCUUUAGAAUUUGUUUCUAUGGAAAAAUAACUUGCUCAUAUUUUUACAAAGCCUUUUUGUGAAGAAUAGUUUUCAAAGAUUUGGCUUGAGUUUGGAAUGAUGACAUUUUCACAUCAAUAUUUCAUUACAUGAUAUUGAGACUACAAAUUUGCUUGAUUUUCUAUCUUGAUUGAUUGUAUGAUAAAAACUUGAUUUUAAUGUGUUAUAUGCUUGAAUUUACUUCUUUGAAUGUUUAUCAUCAUAUCUUAUGCAUUAAAAAUGGCUUUUGAAAUACUUCGGGAUCACAAAAUGGUCUCAAAAUUAAUUAAAUUUUGGCCAAAAAGCAAAAUCGUGCAAAAUUCAGGGGAACUAGCUAACCGUUAACCACAAGCGACUAGCCAAUUGUGAGGCAGAAACUAGCUGGCCAGCCGGCUUAAAGCAAACGGUUAAUUGCUUGGUUUCUAAAAAUGAAACGGUUAACCGCUUUCUUCAAGUGGCUAGCUGGCUUCACGUUUUCAAAUGUUGUUCAUCUUCUUUUUCCCACUUUCAGUUGUUACCCUCUCUCUAUCACUGUCAUCUCUCAUUUCUUUUACUCUCUCUCUAAAAUCUUCCAUUUUUACAUCACUUUUGUGUCAAAUUAAACUUUCCAAAUCAUUUCCCAUCAAUUAAUCUUCACUCAUUCGCUUUUAAAACACAAUCUAAUCACUCUUUUCUCAAAAUCUUAAAGCCUAAGUCACCAGUUUCAACAUUCUCAAAUUUGAACCAUUAUUUGACCAUUUUCGACCAAAAUAAACCCAUACAUUCCUUAGAUAUUCUCAAAGAAUAUUUUAACAUUUUAAUCGGUUCAAAAUCAUCUAUUUCUUUAAAAACUUACUAAACUCAAAUUUGUGCAAUUUUGGACACAUUUUGAUAAUUUCUUAAUGGCUAGUGGUGAGAAGUCCAAGGGUUAGCAUAUGCCUAAAAUGUAAAAAAAAGAUUCAUAAAGACAUUAUGAAAUUUAUUUCCACCCACUUUCCAAAUCCACCUCAAUAGAAUGAUUCUAUGAUCGAUUUAUGACAAGGUCAGUCCUCCCAUCCUAUAUAUGUUAAUCUUGAUUAAUUAGAAAAUUUGUCAAGUUGUAGCAAAACUUUUAGAACUUUACUUGCUGAAUUGGGUUGGACAAAUGUCUUAGUUCUUAAGGAACAUAUUUGUCCUAAUUUGGUACGAUUAUUUUAUUCGAACAUGCUUAUUUAUACAAUUACUGCCAAUAUGAUUAUUACUAAUGUUGCUGGGAUUCCUAUUAAGUUUACAGUAGAAGAUUUAAACAUGAAUCUCAGGACUAGGAAUGAUAGGUUGCAUUUGUAUACAUCUAGGACUAAAAUUGAUUAUCCCUGGUAUUCAGGACUAGGAAUGAUAGGUUGCAUUUGUAUACAUCUAGGACUAAAAUUGAUUAUCCCUGGUAUUUAGUUGUAGAUGAUGUUUGAAACAUAGAUGUUCGAAAAAUAUGUAGGUGAUCUGAUCUAUCCAUGGAGCUUUUUAAUUCCUCUCUUAGAUCACAAAUGUUGCCUCUUCAAGUUCGGAUCCUACAUAGUGUUCUUCAGCUUGCGAUCAGUCCUCGCAAGGGACAUGGUGCUAAGGUUACACGCUUAGAUGUUACUUUAUUAGAUAGCAUCCUUGAGGGUAAAAGCUAAAUGUGCGAAUAUUAUCAUUCAGCACAUGCUUAAUACACUGAGUAUAGGAAACCGAUCCUUUUCAGUUGAUAGUGUCAUUACCCAUAUCCUUCAAUAUUUUUGGGUCCCUAUAGCUGAACCAUCUCAUGAUGAACCCAAGGAGUUAGGGGAUGAGGUCAUUGCUAGCUUAGGAUUUGGGUGGGUAGAUGACCAAUAGGUUAAGAAUCAGAACUUGUUGAGCAAACCCACAAAGCUGGCUCUUUUUUAUCAUUGCAUCUUUAACGAUGUGCUUCCCAUUACUGGGUUCUUGAUCUUAGCUCUUCCCUGAGGUCACAAGCUCUACAUUGGCCUUCUGAUGCUCCACCACCAUCAUCUUCAGCCAUUCCCAAUAACCCAAUCCAGCAGUUGUUGAAUAAAGUGUGUUCCAUAUCCGAGUAGUAGAGCAAACUUAAGAUACCGUUCGCAGCAUUCCAGGAUCAUUUUCUUUCUGAGCAGCAGCGUCUCUUUCUUCAACAAUAACAAAUUCUAGACCAUCAGCAGCUUAUUUUCAUUGCUCUCAAAUUUUUGCCACCAUCCUUGUUAUCAUGUUUGCCGCCUCAUCAGUGAUUUUCUUUUAUCUCUUUUGCUUCCUUGUUUUAUGCACCGACAUUAUUUAUCAUAUGCAUUUUCGUUUUUAGCAUUAUGGAUACUUGAUGGAUGUUAUUUUACUUAUGCAUUAUAGAUACUUGAGUUAAUAUGGAUUAUCUUUAUGCAUUCUAGUUAUUGAUCGUGGUAUCUUUAUUAGUUAUCUUUAUGGAUUAUCUUUAUUGAUUAUGGAUUAUGUAUAUGGAUACUUGAUUAAUGGUCAUGUGUGGAUUCUUGAUUGAUGAUCUUUGUGGGGGAUAAUUAUUGAUAAUAUUUGUAUAAUAGAGGAGUGAUUUUUCAUGAUGAAGGGAGAGAAGAUAUUGACAUGUAUUUUGAAGUGUUUUGACAUGUUUUUGGCUCAUGGGGGUUGAUUGAGUGUUUGUAGUAUUUUAGUUACUUUAUGAGUCACUCAAGGAGAGUUUACAAAUGUUGUACAAUUAUAUGGAUCAUGUACUUAGAGGGAGUGAGUUUAUAUAUUUGGUUAUAUUUUUUGAAUUAUGUCAUAUAUUCAGGGGCAAUAGAAAUGUCAAAAUACAUAGAGUGUUUGUCAUCAUAAAAAAAGUAGAGAUUGUUGGGGUAAACGACUAUAUGAUCCUUAAUUUUGAUGAUAACAAACCACAUAAGGUAAAAUGGUAAAUUUAUUUCUCACAAUCUGACAAGUUCUUAAAGGACAAAAAUCACUCAAGUGAGAUCAAGUUCAAGUCACUCAAUGGACAACAACAAUCAAUGAUGAAUGCUAAAGGUACUAGCUUAAGCAAUCUUCAUAGUUAUAUUUCUUGUAAAGCUAAUAUGAUUUAAUGUAUGCAUGAUUUAGUAUUUAAGAGUUCAAGAUAUUUUUCAUACAAUUUUCAAAUUAAAUCAUCAUUUUCUAUAAUAUAAAAGUUUUAAACGUAAAUAAAAAUGAUUUUAUAAAAUUAGUUGUUUUCAAAUUUAUGGACUAAAUUGAAAAGUUUUGAGAACUUUGAAAUCAACUAGUAAUGUAUUAAAUUCUUGAAGUGGACCUAUUUAUAAAUAUUUCAAAAUUUUUAGGCCAUAGUAUAAUUUUAGGAACUUUUAGUUUAAAUCUAUAAAUUUUGAAACAGUAGCGACUAACUGCUUAACGAAUAGUGGCUAACUGCUUCAGGUCCAAAAACAUAGCUGCUAACCAUUUAAAUCAGGCGACAAUUCGCUUAGGCAAAAAAGUUUUUAAAUUUUAUUUGUAACGGUAACUUACCACAUCAAUAUAGCGACUAACUUCUUUAUUUUAACAGCAAUCCGGUAGGUCCUCAGAAAGUCAAUUACGACUAGUUUGAUUGUUUAAACUAGAAGAACCCAAAUCAAACUCAAAUCUAACAACUUUUUCAAUCUCAAUUAAGUUAAACUUGUUCAUACAACUAAUCCUGAGCUUUCAUUUUACUUAUCUACAUGCAUUAAAUCAUUAUUGAGUUAUCAUUUGCUUAUACACUCUUAUAGAGAUUAAUCUUUGUAAUCUUCAAUUAAAUAUCAAAAUUUUGUGAGUAUAAGUGUGGGAAACACUUGGGGAAAGAGGUAUGUGUAAACAUCACUACUUAUAAAGGUUUAUUGACACAUUACAAGUCAAUUGUAAAAUCUUAGAGCCUGAGAAGGCUUGGAUAGUGGAAUCCUCAAACUUAGUUUGCUCGGCAGCAUAAACAUAGGCGGGUUUUGCCGAAACAUGUAAAAAUUCGUUUGUCUGUUAUCUUUUCCUUUAUUUUUUUAAUUGCAUUCAUUGUUAAAUUUACUGUUAUAAAUUUCUUAAAGCAUUUGUUCAAUUUGUUUUGUAUUUUUGUAAGUAUAAUUUUAAUACCCAAUUCACCACCCUCUUAGGUUGUGUAGAUAGAAUUUCACAUUUGUUGUACAACAACAACAACAGCAAUAACAAUAAUAAUUGUUAUAAUGGUUGUAACAAUUACUAUUGAAAAAAAUUUAUUGUUAAUAAUAGUAGAAAAUAAGAAAAAAAAAGGAAAUUAUCCACUAACCAUGUAGUCUUUGGGACUUUUUCAAAAAUACACAAAAAAAAACUUUCUUUGUAGAAAUCCACCUAGAGUUUAUUAAUUAUUCAUUGUCAUCUUAGCUCAUUAGAUUCUUGUUGAUGUCAUAAGAUUAAAAUUAUCAUUUUACUUGAACACCUAAGAUUAAAAUUAUCCUUUAGAGUUUCUUUCGCUGGGGCUGGUGACCUUAGUGGUUAGAUUUGCUAGAUAUGGUCGUGAGAAACUCGACAAUGACCGAGGAUUGGCUGGAUUCACGGUGGUUUGGUCAAAAAUCUGACUUGAAUUGGCAUUUGUGGUGCUUCAUUCAUGUUGGAGAUUUUGAUUGCGAUUUGGAUAUCGACAAUGAGAAAGUGGCAUUUGCGGUGGCGCUAGGUGAAGCCCGGGUUUUGGGUUAGCGUUGUGGCGAUUUAUGGCGGUGAUCAUUGUUGGGUUUUGUCAAGUUAUGACCAGUGGAAUGUAGCAAGUUUAGUGGUGGUGUUGGUUGACAGUGAAGAUGGUUGGUUUCACGGUGGCAGCUGGUGGAUGCUCCCAGUUUUAGGUCUAGAUGAUUUAUAGUAGGUACAAGCGGCGAUUGAUGGCAGGAGUGGCUAAGGCUUGGUCAGUAGUGGCUAAUGAGUUUGGUAGAGGGAUUAGCCAAUGGUGAACUAUUAGUGAAGAGUGGCAGUGGCGGUGGGCGGCUGCUAAGGUUUUGUAAUUUUGUAAUAUUUUUUUGUUGGAUAAACAGUUAUGAAUUUGGUGGGGAUGGAUAUGGGUAGCCAGGAAAACUGUGCAAUUGGCAUUGAACCACUCUAAUACAAACUAACAAAUUGGAAUAGCGGAAGUGGAAUUGAUAGAGUAGGAAAUAUUAGCUAUCAUUCUAAUACUGGCUAAGGUAAUGUGGAUAGUUUACGUCCUAAUCGAAACGUGAGUAGAUCUCAUUCUAACAAUGGCUCAAUGAGAUUUUAAUAACGCAUAAAGCAAGAUUAGACGACGUUCUAAUCCAAAUAACUUUGUAAGAGAGAUUUUGAUAAAUAAUUUUAGAGAGAAUUAUUAAAAAGGGCUUUAUUAGUUGAUCAAUAGUUGAAGUUACAAUAAUAAGAUUUUGAUUUAUAAUAUAAUAAACCUACUUCACUAAGUUAACUUAAAAAGAAAAACUAAAUCACAAUUUUAAUAGAAAUAAAAAACUAAGACAUAUACCAUAGUUGACUAUAAUUAAAAUAGAAAACAAUAAAAUAAUAAAAAUUAUAGAAUCCUAAAAUAAUGUCUACAUCGUAUCCUCACUAAAAUAAAAAUAUAAAAGUAAAGCAAAUUGUGGUAUAACAGACUUUAAUUCUAUCACUCUUCAAUUUUUUUGUUUAUUAAUUAAUAUUGGUGUCUAUGGUUAAAUUUGUUAUUUUUUAUAACAAUUUUAUUUGUUAAUUGAAAUAUUUAGUCUAUGUAAACAAAAAAAAAAUGGUUGGAAAGAAUGAGAGACGAAGGGGGAGAGAGAGAGAGAGAACAAAGUCAAACAAAUAAUUUAUUGAAUUAUAUUUUAAAAUUAAAUUUUAAUUUGAUUAAAUAAAUGAUGUAGUGAGAAAAUGAGUAGGUUCAAAUAGCUUUACUUAUAUUUAUUUCAUUAAUGGCUCAAAAUUUAAUGAAAAUAAAUGGUUUUAAAAAAAUUGCAUUUAAGUUGCAUAAUUCAAUGAGUAGUGCCACACAUCCUAAAUCUUUUAUCUUAAAAAAUUAUCUCAAAUGAUAUGGUAUUCAUCAAUAGAUUGAAGAGAUAAUACAAUUAAUUCACUCAAAUCUUGAAAGAAUUACCUACUAUUCAAGUAAUGACACACCAUUUGGGAUAAAAAAAAUUUGGAAUAUCUAUCAUUACUCUAAUUAAAAAUAAACCUAUCACUGGAUGAUUAAUUAUAGUAGGUUGCUUAAUACUAAAAUGUCACUCAUAAAUUUUGUUUUGGAUUUGUAAUUGAUUUAUCUUAAUUCUUCAACUUGACAUAAGGUCGUUCUCCUCGUUUCUGUACACUUAAAAGUCACCAAGAUCAAAACUAGAUCUGUCGUUGCAUUUGCUUGAAAAAUAAUUUACAAGCACUAGGUUCUCCUGAUUAAGCAACAUUUUUAAAGGGUUAUGAUAGUAGUGGAGCACUUUGUAAAUAUUAGAUGGAUUGUUGAAAACAAUAAAAAAUGUUUGUGUGUUUUUUAUAAAGGCUAAAAGAUGAAGUGGUCUAUGGAUAAUUACUUAUUUUUUCCCUUUUUAUCUUAAUCAUAUUUGAACGACAUCCUUUUAUAGUUCCCAGGCAUUCUGCAACUAUAAUAGACAAUUUUAAUAGGAACUACAGAGAAAAUAUUAAUAUUUUUAUACUUAUUUACUUACCUGAUGGAUAGCUAGAUAAGUGUUACUUUUCACACAACUAGACCAAAUUAGUACCCUUUUUGGUUGGUGAAAACGUGAUUUUUAUGAAUAUGCUAUAGAUGCUUUCAAACGUUUCCACAGUUUACGAAUUUACGCAUUAAACGAAAACCUCCAACUAUCAAACAAAAAGGUGAAAAUUCAAUAGAAUCGACAACUUCUCAGACUCACGUAGGUGGUGGUUCAAGUUUCUAAACUACUAUUAUUAUUAACAGUUUUGAAAAGCAAAUAGUAACUUCAUUUCACAGCAUCUGCUUUUGAGAAAGCUCAGAUGUAAUCAAAAUUCCAAAACCACUCUAAAUAUGUUAGGGAUAUGACCAUAAAUAGAAGUUAAAUAUGAUAGGAUAUAUAGUUGUUCAUAGCUAACAUUUGAUGGUUUAAUUAUUUGUUCUAGGGAUUAUGCGCUGAUUAGUGUUUUUUGUUAUCCACUGAAUGAUAUUCAGUUUUUCUUACAUGUUCAUAGGCAAGAGCAUUUUCUAAGUACUUUCCUUCCCUUAAAAUUUUGAAAGAAAGAUAGAUAUGAUAUGUGAAGCAAGCCCAAUGAAAUAAGCAAAUAAAAUAGAAUAAACGAAGCAAAAAUAUUUCUAGAAACAAGAAAUGACAAAGGAAACACGAAUACAACUUUUUUCUUGUUUUCCUUAUUUUCCACUGUUAAGCUCCAAAAUGAAUAACUUUAUUCUACCAUCUCUCAAAUAAUAAAAACAUCAACAGCACAUCAUCGUCAUCAAUAAUAAUAAUAAUAAUAAUAAUAAUAAUAAUAAUAAUAAUAAUAAUAACAACAAUAAUAAUUUAACUUUGUAGUAUGGAGCUCUCGCAAAUCUUCAAGACACAAAAUGUGCCUGACCCCGUUGUUGUUAUUAUAAUUUCAAAAUGAUUUGUAUUAUAUAAAAUUAGGGAAUAAGACAUAGCAAAAUUGAUGGUACAUAUGUUGCAAUAUACUUGUUCAUGUAGCGACACAUUAAAGUAAAGCAAAAGCGAAACAACGAAAAAUGUAACGGGAGAGCUCUUAUUAUGUAGAUUUUCAAUAGAAGUAAUGCAAAUUUCACAAGGGCAAUGGCCUUAUUUCGAAUGUUGCACCGGAGGAAUGACAUGAACCUUCGAUACGUCACAAAUGUAUCAUGAAAGUGUGAUAGAUUUGUGACAUAUAUUUAUUUAUUUAUUUAUUUUUUGGUCUUAACCACGAGGUAUUCUGGGGAGGGCUCCAACUGUGGAAAACAUCUUUAAGCCCGUACCACAACUCAGACUACAAGUUUCCGCUCGAACCGGGAGGCAUAAGUUCUCCCAACAAAAGCGACUUUCCUACAACUCGAACUAGGGAGCAAACCCAGUCAAGCCACUUAAGGGGACUCCAUUGCCAGUGGAGCCAACACUUUGUUGGUGUGGCAUAUAUUUAUAUGUUCAGAGUUUAUGACAUAUUCAUGACUUAUAACUUAACUAACAUAAAUAAAUGAUAGAUAUAAGUGAUGCUCAAGUUUUGUGGAUUUAUAAUAUCAUAAAAUGAUGACUAUUUAAACGACGUCGUUUUUAUGAAACUUAAAACAUACCAACACUUCAGCCAAAUAUCGACAAGUGUUGAAUAAACCCCUCUCUCGCUGCAACCUAAAAUCAAUGAACUUUGAGCCAUUCUCAACAACAUUGUGUAGAACCCUAGCCCUAACCCUCACUUCCACCACCGAUAAAGCUAAGAAAGUUUUCCGUAUAUCAGAACCAUGGCGAAUUGCCUUCAGCUCUUAGGACCCAUAAUAAAUCUUGUAUUCCCUCGCUUUCACUUUGCUAAUUUUUUGUAUUAUUCCAUCUCUUUCACUUUAAUAACCCAAAAUCUUUCUCUGUUUCAAUCGAAAGAAGACCCUAGCUUAAAUUAAGCUGAAAUUUACAUAUCAAAGCUCUCGCUCAGCUUCCCUCCUUCAAUUGAAACAAAACGAAGCCAUAAGACCCCAAUAUGCCACGCCCUUUUGUCUCAGGCCAACAUUCAUUUAAACCCUACCUUUCGGUUCAAUGCCAUUUAAUGCGAUUGCAGAUGCCGUUUCAACUCAUUAUUUAGUUAACGCCAUUCAGUUCUUUGCGGUAAGCCUUAACCCUAAUAACUAAUCAACUGUGGUAGCACGUUGCUGACUGGGGUGGGAAUACAUUAAUUGAAUAUAUGAAUUGGGUGAUGUCAGUGAUUCAUCCCCCUAUUUGCCGUUAAUGGAGAUUUGUGUAUAAUGUUUGUAAGAUUGUUAAAAAUUUCAUGUUCCAGUCGAAUUUCUUGCUUGUGGAAGAUAAAACAAAAGUUUAAUCUAUAUAUAUAUAUAUAUAUAUAUUAGCUUCUUUAUAGUCAGGCUCUGGCUUUGCUGCUAUGCUUAGUGCAGUUUAUGGUUUCAAGAUUAAAUUAGGUUUAUUUGACGACAUUGAUAUCUUAUCUAGCUCCGCUUGAAAAUGAAAAUGUUGUACUAGUAAUCAUAGACUUUGUUUAUUCAGUUGAUAUUUUAAUUAUACAUAUAAGAAUGAAGGUUUAUUUGGGAAAAAAAGAAAUAAAGAAAUAGGCUCUGUUGAAGCUAAUUAAUACUUCAUUCUUUCUAUACGUGCGACCUGUGGUGGAAACAUGAUAUGAAAAUGUGUUACUGGUGAGGUUGCUGCUUGAGAUGAGAAUGAUGAGAAUGCCUUCUAUUCGGAAAUCCUUGGUAGGUAUUAUAUAAUUAUAUUUGAUGGAAUAUUAAAUAGCUAAAGAAUCUGUGAUAUUGUCUUUGUUCAAUUGUUACUGUAGUAGUGUUUGUUGGUCUUUUUCUGGUUGGCGUUUGGAUGUUAAUGUCAUCAUCAGUUGUACUGGUGUGGGAUCCAGGAUGUUGUCCUCUUAAGAGCCUAUAAGCAAAGUGAAACAGAGAGUAUCUGAGAUUUUUCUGGGCCUUUCGUAGAAAAUCAAGGUGAUGAAUGACAGGAUUCAACAAAUGGGGAUGGGGAUGAUGUUCCUGUUGAAAAGUUAGAGAAUAGAGUGGAAGAUAAUCACGAAGAGAUGAAUAUGUAUGAGGGUGAUGGUGAGACGAGUGAAUCUAAGAAUAUGGUUAAUCAAAACCAGGAAGAGAAUUUAGUGAAGGAGAGUUUUGAUGAGAAUACUGAGUCUGAAGAGGAAUCUAGGGCGGUGUCUAAAAAUUAUGAUGUUAGAAAAAAGGAAGAUAAGGAAUCUAAAAGUGAAGGUGGAGAUUUGAAUUAAGAAGCUGGAGAAACAGAAGGCGGCGAAUUGAAUAAAAUUGAGCAAAUUGAAUCAGAGAAGAGCUUGGAUGAAAAUAAAUGGAUCAGGCUAGUCAGAUUGAAAAGGAGAAGGAUUCUCAAGAUCAAGAUAAUGACACUGAGAGUCGUUGAAAGGAUCAGGCUUCAACUGAGAUUUUUCCUUUUGGUGACUAGUCAGAAAUUCUGAAGGAAACUAAUGCUCAGAAUGGGGCUUGCUCAACUCAACCUAUUGAGUCAUAGAAUCAGAAAAUAUCACAACAAUCUUCUAUAUCUAAGGACCAGUAUGGUCGUCGCUGGAAAGUGUGUAAUGCCACUGCUAGGCCAGAUUGCAUCCCUUGCCUGGAUAAUUUGCAAGCAAUUAGAAUGCUUUCCAGCACAAAAGCAUUAUGAACAUCGAGAGAGGUAUUGCCCUGAAGAAGCUUGUACCUGUAUUGCUCCUUUACCGGAAGGAUACAAACACUCAAUUAAGUGGCCCCAAAGCAGGGAUAGGGUAUGAUCUUAUAUUAUGCAUUAUAAAAUAUAUACUUGACUACUUUUAAUUCACUUGGGCUAAGAUUUGUUCUCAUGCUGUGUGGGAUAGAUUUGGUAUUAUAAUUUUCCCCACACAAAGCUUGCAGAAGUUAAGGGUUAGCAAAAUGGGGUUAAAGUUACUGGUGAAUACCACAUUUUUCCAGGUGGCAGAACUGAAUUUGAGAAUGGUGCUCUUCAUUACAUUGACUUCAUUCUGAAGGUGAGCAUUUUUCAUUUAUCAUUUUAUGUCUGUUGUUAGCUUCAAUUAAUAGGUGGCUUAUUCUUUUCUUUGUAUGAACCAUGGGCGGUCCAUUUCAUCUUAUAAGCUAUUUCUUGGGUUUUAGCAAGACAACUUAUGGAGGGUAUACAGAGGCUCAAGAGCUCGAUUGCCAUUCAUUUUACACUUGGCUGGGCUAUAGUAUACCAACUAGUGAUUAAUAAAGAGAAGGUAUGAAGGUCCUGUUGCUGGUGGUAUUAUCAAUCAGAAUUGUUAUUUUACUUAGUCAUACUUACCAUGUAUACUAUUCGUAGGCUUUUUCAUUUUCAUGCAUUCGCAUCAUCUUCUGGUUAAGCUACAGAUGGUUGAUUUGUGUACUCAUUUGUAUCACUUGUAGCUCUUGAGGAAUAAAAUUUAAAAUUAUGUUGCAUCCCUUGUACUAAAUAGUAAUUUUGUUGGCUUUAUGCAUGGGAAAUGGUUUGUUGUCUUAUUUCUUUGAUGUGUAUGGUGUUACACUGUCUAAAGUUAAGAAGUAUUUCUAUCACUUGUGUAAAAAACAACCUACUUUUUUCAUUCUUCUUAUAUUGAAUAAAAGAGGGACACCAAGAUUGAACGAAAUUUGAUUCAGAAAGCAUAGCAAUUAGGCCAGUUCAAAACAGCUUCCUUCUGAUUCUUUGAUAUUUGACUUAAAUCUUUUGUUUGUUUCAUUUAUCAAAGUCAUUUUGGAAAGUAACGGGGGUGAUUUGAUAUUUUCAUUGCAUUCACAUCCCUUAGGCACCAAAACAAGCAUGCUGGUACUAACCAACAAUUUUUUAUUUUCAGUAUACAAAUUAUUUUUUUCUAAAUUAGGGGUAUUAAGAAAAGGUAUACUAGCACCAGGGGAGGUAUUUGAGAAUACACAAAUACAAUCUAUUAAACUAAGAAUAUGUCAAACUUCAGGGGAGGUUUCUGAUAAAUCUCUUUUACUUUUUCCUCCAUUCACCAUAGGUUCAAUUUAGAACAGUUGACCAAACCGAAGGUUUAGGUUGGUAAACGCACUAGUGUUAAUGUCAACAACCCAAGGGGCUUCAUGGUCCUCUGGGCUGAAAUAGCGUAAUUAUUAAUUCUCCUCCAGUGAAAAUCUUCAUCUUGGGACAAAUAAUUACAAAUUGACAUUAUGGCUAUGCAAAUUUUGAGGUGUAAUAACCGGAAAAAUAAAAAUCUUAAGAGACUUUUUAAAUAAAAAAGAUACAACACCUUUAAUUUGCUAAAAGUAAUGAUAUCAUUACUUGUAUGGAAAAUGGAUGAUUAGAUUUUCUUUUUUGUUAUCCGACGAAGGAUAUUCAGUUGUUCUUUAUUUGUUCAUAGGCAAGAGCAUGAGCAUAUGCAUGAUUUGAUAUAUGCUUCUUGCAUUUUCUAAUUAAGUGCUCUCUUUCCUUGCCUUCUUAGUUUUGAAAGAAAGAUGUGAAGCAAAGCAAACCCAGUGAAAUACACAGAGCAACAGAACCAUCAGAGGAAAAACUAAAUAACAGAACUACAAUUGAACCAAACAAAAUCAAAUAAACGGACGCAACAGAUGCCCUGAACCUAGUAAUUACUCAAGAGUUGAGGAGUUGGAAUGAUUUGGUAUUCAUAUCUUCACAAAUCAUAUGCUUUAAUGCAGAAUCGACAGCUUUAUAUUAUUUUAUUCAAAAAACGAUAAAGCAGGAAAACCACAAUAAUCCACCAACUUUUGAUACUUGUAGGAAUUUUUUUUAGUCAAAUUAAGUUUCAUGAUAACACAAGUGGCUCGUCCACACACUUGCACUUGCUUGAAUAUUUGUGCCGACAUUUUCAUAUGUGAUGGUACUUCUUAGCCAGUAGAUAUGUUGAAGUACUACAAAACAGAGUAUUUGAUGAAGUUUUGCUACUUUCGUAUCCCAUUUUGUUGCAUAACUAAAUUCUUUAUAAACACAAAUUAGAAAGCUACAAAUAAUACAGUAGCUUGAAUUUAUAUGCUUUUAUGAUUAUUUGAUAAUCUAGUGCUGACAAUAUGUGAUGAUAAACUUAGCUAGUAGUUUUAUAUUUAUUUUCGUAGUUUCUUUAGCAUUCACAUUUUGAUGAGUAAAUUAAGGAUUUCCAGAUGAAGUACAUAAUCAGAUUAAUGCUAAGGAACUGAAGUUUGAUUAAUUGAAAACAAAAAUAAUAAUGAAGGUAAUUACGAAAAUGAACAAUGCAGAAGUAGUCCCUAUAGUAUUUCUAAAUUUUCUCUUGGGGUUCCUUAGUAUUCCUUAAUAUUUUUAAAAGAUGACAUGACGAUCUUUGAGUUGACAAAUCUAGGCCUGCUGCUUAGUACCCUUCCAACAUUUCAAGUACUAGAUGUUUUACUGAGAAAAUGACAAGAUCAUUUAUCAAAUUUCUUGCGCAUAUAUACAUAUGCAUACAAGAAAUGGGAAUCAGAGUGAUUAUAAGACCUUGCAAUGAGACAAUAAUACAUCAUCAAAUUUAAAAAUACACAAGAAAUUUGUGACGUAUAUAUAACAAAAGACCUCUCAUUGAGUUAUACAUAUUGAGAAUAAAAUGUCAAAAUGCAGACAAAGAGCUUAUACAGAAAAUGAAUAAACCGUCUUUGAACUUCCGAUGGUCAAACAAAGGAAACAGGCAGGAUAUAACACACACUAUCAUAGAUGUAGCGACACGAUGAAGUAAAUCACAUGAAGAUGGAAAGGGGAACCCCUCACAGCAUAAAAUUUGAAUAGAAGGGGGAAAAAGGCUUCAUUUCAAAUGUUGCACAGAAGAAGAGUGACUUGAAUCUCCAUCAGUAUCCAGACAUUCUGCAAACACAGUGCUGAGAAUUUUAACAAGAAUAACAGACAAAAUAUUGUGCUCUCUAUACUUUCACAAAACUAGACCAAAUUAGUUCCCUUUUUGGUUUGUGAAAACUUGAUAUUUUUUAAAAUUCUAUCCAAUGCUUUCAAACAAUAUUUCCACAAUAUAGUUGUUCAUAGCUAACCUUUGAUGGUUUAAGGAUUUGUUGUAGGCAUAAUGGGCUAAUUAGAUUUUUUUUUUUAUCCGAUGAAUGCUAUUCAGCUGUUCUUAAUUAUGUGUUCAUAGGCAAGACCAUUUUCUUAAGUACUUUCGUUGCCUUCCAAGUUUCCAAAGAACAAACAGAGCACAAACAAAUAUAACGGAACAGCAAUGAUGGCAAUAAAUAAUUGGCAAAGAAAGAAAGAAAAAAGUUUGCAUGAUUUCAAGGAAUUGUAAAAUCUGAAGACUUUCAACAGGAAUUAUAAAAUCUGAAGACUUUCAACAUGCAAGUGUUGCCCCUUUUGAUGAAAUUUCAUCAUAAAAUGCUUGCAAAGAAUUAUAAAAUUUUAGAGAACAAGCGAACUCUCAAACAAAAUACUCAAAUUAAAUUAAAUUAGACCAAAAGACACUCAAUGACGCAAAAUCUGCCCAUAAAAGCCUGAACAAAUCAUGAAAAGUGCAUUCCAUAUUGACAGUAAACCAAGUGACCGAUUCUAAAUAAUUGAGAUGAAAUUGUGAAACAACCCACGAGAUCAAAUAAAUAAAAUAAGAAUUAAUUACCAGCUUUGACUUUCUUCUCCAAAUUCGCAACUCCAAGACAUAAGAAGCCAAUGAAAUUAGUCGUAACCCAUAAAGUACGACGACGACCCCGCCAAUAGCUGAAAAUAAAAUACUUAUUCAUCAAUUUAAACUAACUUUAUAACAAAUAUCUUAUCGAUAUUUUAUUUAAAAAAAGCAAAUUUGUAAAAUUUUUCCAUGGGAGAUAGAGAGUAAUAUGUAUAUCCGUACCUUUUCAGCAUGUAAUUGUUGUAUGGUUGUGUUAAGAUCAUUAUUUGCCCAACGGCGUUGAUCCUCUUACUCUCCAUACGAGACGUUUACUCUCGGAGGCGUGUUUGAUUCUCCUGAAGUGAAAGUCUUCAUCUUGGGACAACCAAUCACUUCUAGAUAUUCCAGAGAUGGGAAUUUGAAGGUGUAAUUGGCAGAGCAGAAACUUGUGAGACUGUCUAAAUCGCACAGAAUCAACGCCUUCAAUUUGCUGAAAACAAUCUCUUCUAUGUCAACUCCUUCUUUGUCAUUUAUUACCACCUCUGUCAUUGCUCUGCAUCCAUAUACUUGCACUGAUACGAGUCGCACCAGAGUUUUUGCUGUGGAGGAUGUUACGAAGUGUAUCAAUUCCUUGCAACCGACAGCUACCAGUUUUGUUAGGUUCCGAAAAGAUACCGAUGAUGAUGGCAAUAGACUUAACAGAUUUUGACAAUGAUAUACUUUUAGAAUUUCAAGAUAUUGAAAAAUGGAGUCAAGUUUGGAGUCUUGUUUACAUAGCUGCUUCAGAUGAUUAAGGUGGCCCAGCUCUAUACAUUUUAUCAUUGCCAACUUCCUCAAACGUUUCUCUAAGCAUCCUUCCGUUGAAAAUAGCUCUUCGUAUGAACAAUGAUACAGUAAGAGUAAUUCGAGAUUGUGAAAUCUCUCAAGUACAUUCCUGAUUGGAAAACAAGCCGAGUCAUCAUAAGUUAUGUCUAGUUUUUUAAGACUGCCAAAAAGGUGUUGAGGGAAAUCGGCGUCCAAAAUCAUCUUCACAUCUUUUCCGCUUAACGCCAGUGACUCCAAGUUGGGUAAGAUCUGAUCAUUAUCAAUCACGUAGUAACUAAUCAGUCAGUUGAUGUUCUCUCCAAUAAUUUUGAGUAAUCCAAUCAUAUGCAGCGACCUUAUAGUACUUGUUGUAGAUUAUAUAUAUUUUACCAAAAAAAAAAAAAAAAGAAAGGAAAAAUUGAAUUAGUGAUAAAAUUCAUUCUAGGGGCCGUUGAAUUAGUGAUAAAAUUGAAUUAGUGAUAAAAUUCGGUUAUAUUUUUCAAAGUCAAAAGUCGCUAAUGAUCUAAUUGAUAAGAAAUCUAGAAAGCGGCUUCAUACCUUUUUGAACAAGAAUAGGGGCCGUUGUGCAGGAAUACCAAGUUGAUCAUCCUCAUUAUUUUGUGAUGAAUCUGCAGCGAAUGUCUUCAAUUUGUCACAACCAGACACCACUAAAAUUUUUAGUGCAGGCCAUUCCGAAGUAAGCAUUCCAUGGUAUAAACAUUUAAGUUCUGGUAGCUCUUGGAGUAUAAGAGUGGUCACCCGUUGAAAGACAAAACGAGGGGUCACAUGAUCUACUCUGUCUUCCGAAAUGAUCUCUUGCAAACCCCUACAAUUCACUAUCUCUACUUGUUGGAGAUGCUCAAAGCUUUGAAUCAUAGAAACUAAAAAUAUGUAUUUCAAUUUGUUACAGUGGCACACAAUCAAUCGUGUUAAACUUUGAAAGCGAGGAAGCAUGACCGGACGAUGAUUGUAAUGCCAAAUCUUGUCGACAUUAAUUUCAGAUAUCUCCAAAGCCUCCAAGUUAGGCAAGCCUACCUAAAAAAAUAUUAAUUUCUUGUUAGAUCCAACAUCCAUAUGAGAAGGACUUAUUGAAAUUUUCUUCUUUGAUUGCAGAUUAAUAAUUCAAGUCAAAAUCAAUUUCCAACUGACAGCUGAGUAUGCAUUCUAAUUCAUAUUACUUGUUAAGAGCUCAAUUAGUGAGUGCGUGAGAUUCUUUUUAUCUUUUUUUUUUCACUUUCUUUCAAUUCUUUAAAUGAUUUAAUUAUUUUCCACGUAUGACAUCAAAAGAGAAUGCACAAUAGCAUAAAGAAAGUGUUAGCCUACGCACCUUGCCGUUGAAAAGCAGGGUUUCCAAAUUGAUUUCGUUGGAGCAAGAACUUGUCAAUUCCUCUUGCAGCCCUUGUCUGUUUAGUGAUGCUGAAGGAGUCUUCAAUUUACGGAAAAAAGUUGUAACCUCUGGAAGAUUUCCUAAACUCAAAGAUCUUAAUUGAGCCAACUCUAUCUUCUCAGUAGCAUUAUUGUUGUCAACAUCAGCUUCUCCCCCAGUUGCAAAAAUCUCUUUCAUCUUGCUGCAAUUAAUAACUGCAAUUCUCUCAAGUCUUGGAAGGCAUUUUGCAGUGGAGAGCCAGAAGAUAUUACUCAACUCAUUACAAUUUUCUACUUUUAUUGUUUUGAGUUUAUUGAAAGACUCUACUUUGAGUCGAUCAAUGCAUAUCCUCUCCAUGUUGAUCAAAUUGUGAAGAGUCAGCGACUCCAAAAGAGGAAAGGCAUCACAAGCGACCAUCUCCAUUGAGUCGACAAUACAAAAGAAGUCAGGAUUAUUUUGAACCCAGAGAAGCUUCAAUUGUGGUACGCCCUUUGUGUCCAAAUCGAAAAGAACAUUUUUGACACCUUGUAGCUUGUCCAACAAUAAGUAUUCAACGUUAUUGAUGGCCUGCAAUUUCAUGGAGCAAAUGUCCAUAAAAUCAAGCUUGAGCUUCAACUCUCUUAAACGCUCAUGAUUAUUGUUGAUCAAAAAGUGCGACCGACUGCGAAACCAAUCUUUUGUAACAGGCAAGGAAGCCAUGAAUGACUUAUUUCCAAUAGAUAUUUUGAACCUUUUGAGCUUUCUGGCCAAAAAGCCUUCCGGUAAAAUACUGUCAUUUUUAACAUCAACACUUCGGGAAUGUCAUUAAUAAUACUAUCUUUUAAAAAAAUUGCAGGAUAUUUUUUUAAUGCAUCUGCAUCUGGCCAUUUCCACAAAUGCAAUUUUGUCACGACAUGCAAUUGAAAUGGCAACAUCGCGAACAACAUCAUGCAUGGAAAAUAAUUUACUGCUACCAUCCUUAAGCAACAAACAAGAGUCUCUUAGUUGAUUGACCCAUGCAUCUAAUUUGUUAUGUGCAUCUUCUAGUUUAUGGACACUUUCAAAUGCACCCAAGCCCACGCUAUAUUUGAACAAGUCCAUAAUUGAAGUUGGUGUAAUUAGACUACACAGUAAAAAAGUUUUCUUGAGUUGCUCACCUCUUAAGUACUUGUAACUCAGCUCAAUUGUUGAGUAUGCCUCUACUGGUACUCCUCCGUCGAAGCUUGCCUCUGAAGGCGUUUGGAGUUCUUGCAAGGCGUUUUUCCACACAGGCAGCUCUUUGUUUCUCAGUGCCUUUGCUACUGUGGUUAGGGCAAUAGGCAAACCUCCACAUGCCUUGGCUACACUUGUUGCUGUAGAUUUUAACUCACGAUUUUCAACAUAAUUACCAGCCAUUAUCUUGAACAAUCUCCAAGCUUCUUGCUCAUUUAGAAUGCAAAUCAAGAAGUUAUUUUCAUAUCCCAUACUUAACGAGACAUUACGAUCCUUUGCUGUUAAUAAUAAUUUGCAUCCUCUAUGAUCAUCGCCAAAAGGAAUUCCAACAGUCUCUAAAUCAAGAUAUUUCCAGAUUUUGUCCAGAAUCACAAGGAUCUUCUUAUGAUUCUUCAAUCGUUCAUAAAGUUUACUAGCUCUUCUAGAUUCAGCCUCCUCGGACAACUCCAGACCUAGUUUCUCUGCAAUUUCCCCUUGAAUCUUUUUUAUGUCUGGAGUUUGGGAAACCUCUGAAAAAACCACCUGAUCAAAGAGUUUCUCUUCACUGGCUUGCCUUGCAAACUCCUUCACCAGUGUUGUCUUUCCAAUGCCGCCCAUGCCGUAUACCCCAACGAUGCUGACAUUGACAUCAGUCAAUGCAUCUUGUAUAGACUUCAGAGUAGAAAGUCUUGAUUUAAAGGCCUCAUAACCUUUGUUAGACUUUAGCCAUACCUCCUCCACAAUGGUACGGUAGAAAAUUUGAUCAUCAAAUCUCCUAGCUUCUUCUUUGAGUUCAACAAGGGCCUUCACCUCUGUUUCUGCUUUCUUGCUAAGCUGAUAGCGGGUCUUCAAAUUAGGACACAAGCCCUUGAAACAUCGCUUACUUGUUGUCUCCCCAUCUUCAAUGAAUUUGGAUGCCUGCUCAAUGGUGUUGUUCGCACUAACCAGCUAGUUCUCAACCUUCUCUUCAAUCUUUUCUCCUUUUCUUUCAGCCUUAGAAACUCUGUGCUGAAUGCUCUUACUUUCAUCCUUGAGCUUGUCUAUUUCUGCCUUGAGAUUCUCAAAGUUGGCUUUAUAGUUACGCAAAUAACCAAGUUGGUGUUCUGUUGGAGGAGCGAAGCAUUUCACAACUUCUAACAGAACAGUAACAAUGCUUUCCACCAUCUUCGAUCCUCUUUUUUUCAAAGUUCCGAAAUGAAAAUAAACGACGAGCGAAACACAGAGAGAAAGAGAGGCAAAAAAAAAAAAAAAAAAAAAAAGAAAAUGAAACAACAAAGAUGACAAGUGUAUCUGUUUGUGGAAGCGGAGAAAUCAAAGAAAGCUUAAAAACUGUUGUGAAUCUGGUGAGAAGAUGGAAACAAGGAAAAGGUUUCUAGUUCAAAAGUGAUUGAAUUGAUAUAAGGAAUGAUUUAGAUAAUAGAGGAAAAGUGAAUCAGUCAAAAUAACUUAUGUAUUGACCAGAAGAAAGAUGCAAACAAUAUUGGAGACAACAACAACGCUAUGUGUUGUGCGCAGAAUGCGGAAACAAGUGCACUGAAUAAUCACAGAAAAAUAAAGGACACAAGAAUUACAUGGUUCGGCAAUAUGCCUACGUCCAUGGGAACAAGAGAAAAAUAAUUGUAUUAUUAACAAUUAUAGUACAAAUUUGAGUAAAGAAAUCUCACUUUCCCAUAACCCAAAUACACCAGUACUCUCACACACACUCUCCAAUUGCUCACACUCUCACAACUCUCAAAACCUUAGAAACUUAUACGCUUAACAAUUUAGGGAUGAUUUACAAAUGAAGAAUGCAUCUAUAUUUAUAGCAAAAAACGUUGCACUAUUGCACCAUCCGCUUUGCAAUUUGUCAAUUCUCCUAUCUGUCAAUUUGACAAAUUUUACUAACCUUUUUCAUUUUUCUUCAUUUGGUGCAGGAUUGUCAAAAGUCAUAUAUUCUACAGCUUGCAAUUUUGGUGCCGACUUUGAAAAACAAAAGCAAUGCAUGUGGCUCACUUUUAUUUUUCAACCAAUUUGAAAAAAACUCUUUGACUUUUCAACAAUUCUCCACCUCGGCGAAGAUUUGUUCAAAUCUGAGCCGACUACCAACCAAUCAUCAUCCCCAAAGUGGCUGCAUCUCUGUGACUGCCUACGUACCCAAAAUUUGGGAUCAAGCCAACCGUAGUUUAAAAUUUCCGAAGGACAUAUCUUAACACAAUCGAAGGAUUUGAAUUAGUUUCAAGCAAUGUUGAAACUUAACUCCAGAAACUACCUUCGUCAACAUAUCUGAUGGAUUAUCUUUGGUAUCGAUCUUUCUCAACAACACAACACCGCUCUCGAUAAUCUCUCUCACAUAAUGAUAUUUCACAUCUAUGUGUUUCGUCCGAGCGUGAUAUGUUUGAUUCUUCGCAAGGAAUAUCGCACUUUGAUUAUCACAGAAGACCGCAAUGUUCUCUUGGAUUACUCCUAAAUCACCUAACAAGCCUUUCAACCAGAGAGCUUCUUUUACAGCUUCAGUUACUGCCAUAUACUCUGCUUCCAUAGUGGACAAAGCAAUUAUCGAUUGUAGAAUCGACCUCCAGCUAACCGGACCUCCACCCAAUGUGAAUACGUAGCCCGUUGUUGAUCUUCGCUUGUCAAGGUCUCCAGCGAAAUCAGAAUCACAAUACCCAACACAUUGUUGACCACAAUCAUUCUUGAACAAUAACCCAACAUCAACUGUCCCAUACAGAUAUCGGAGAAUCCACUUUACUGCAAGCCAUUGAUUUAUACCCGGAUUGUGCAUGUAUCUACUAACCAUGCUCACUGCUUGAGAUAUAUCAGGCCUUGUACAUACCAUAGCAUAUAUAAGACUACCCACAGCACUAGCAUAUGGAACACGAGCCAUAUAAUCGCGCUCCUCUUGAGAUCUAGGACAUAAAGAAGAGCUUAAUUUGAAAUGAGGAGCUAAAGAUGUACAUACUGGUUUAGUUUUGUCAUCCAUGCCUAAUCUUUUUAGCACUUUCUUCAAAUAAGACUUUUGAGUCAACCAUACGCUCCCAUUCUUCUUGUCUCUACGAAUCUCCAUCCCAAGUAUUCUCUGUGCAUCACCCAAGUCUUUCAUCUUGAACUCAGAAGCUAGCUGCUUCUUUAAUCUUUCGAUCUCAUCUCUAUUCUUCGAAGAUAUAAGCAUAUCGUUGACAUAGAGUAACAAAUAGAUAAAAGCUUUAUCUAGUAGUCUUCUAAAGUAAACACAAUGAUCGUGUUCGCUUCUAGUGAAUUUCUGCCCUUGUAUAAAUUGAUCAAAUCUUUUGUACCACUGCCUUGGCGAUUGCUUCAGUCCGUACAAAGAUUUAAUCAACCUACACACAUGAUUCUCCUUUCCAGCAACUUUGAAACCACAAGGCUGAAUCAUAUAGAUUUCCUCCACUAAAUCUCCAUGUAAGAACGUCGUCUUAACAUCCAAUUGAGCCAACUCUAACUCAUAUUCUGCAAGUAAGGUAAGUAGGAUACGAAUGGAAGUAUAUUUUACAACUGGAGAGAAAACUUCAUUAUAUUCAAUACCUUCCUUUUGAGCAAAACCUUUCGCCACGAGCCUUGCCUUGUAUCGAGGAAUUGAUUGCUUCAGAGAUCCUUUCUUCUUGGUGUAGACCCAUUUAUUCCCAAUAGCCUUUUUUCCUUUUGGUAACUUUACAAGUUCCUAUGUCUGGUAACUUUACAAGUUCCCAUGUCUGGUUUUGAUGGAGAGAUUUCAUCUCUUUUUCCAUGGCUAACUUCCAUUGAUCACUUUCACUGCCGCGUAAUGCUUCACUGAAAGUGUUGGGGAUGUCAUCAUCAAUAACUAGAAGUGCAUAGGCUACCACCAUGUAUUUAGUAAGCCAUCCGGGUUUCUUUAUCUCCCUUCUUGGCCUCCUUAUUGCUAUAAAAUCAUCAUUAUCUACAUCAUAAAUUGUUUCUUCAUUUUGUGGGACAUCAGAAGAAACAACCUCUUCUUCAACUGUAGGUGUCACCUCCAUAGUUGAACCCUUCUUUGAUGUAGAAUUAACUGGUACAUAUGAAGUUGCAUCAAACUUCACCCGCUGCAAUACCUCUUUGGUCUUGUUCUCCACCUACUGAGAACUUGAAGCUUUCAUCAUUAAAGCUUCAUCAAAUGUGACAUCUCUGCUACACACAAACUUUUUGUCUUCGAGAUUCCAAAGCUUGAAGCCCUUUACUCCAUCUUUGAAUCCCACAAAGAUAGCUUUUCUAGCACGAGGAUCCAGUUUACCAUCUUUGACAUGAUAAUAAGCUGGACACCUGAAUAUACGAAGGAAAUCAUAGUCUUGUGCAUGCUUUCCAGACCACAUUUCCAUAGGAGUUUUACCUCUAAUUACAGUAGAAGGAACUCGGUUUAUCAAGUGACUUGCAUAGCUCACAGCUUCAGCCCAAAACUUUUUAUCUAAACCAGCAUUAGAUAAUAUACACCGUACUUUCUCCAGUAAAGUACGAUUCAUGCGCUCAGCCACACCGUUCUGUUGCGGAGUAUGUCUCACCAUGAAAUAUCUUUUAAUACCCUCGUUCUGGCAUACUUGCAAGAAUGGAUCAGAAGUAUAUUCACCCCCAUUAUCAUAUCGUAAUACUUUGAUCUUUCUGCCAGUUUAAGUCUCUACCAAUUUCUUCCAUUUCACGAAAAUCUCUAGAACAUCAUCCUUUGCUCGCAUGGUGUACACCCACACACGUCUAGAGAAAUCAUCAACAAAUGUAACAAAAUAAUGGCUUCCACCAAUUGAUGCAGUCUUGGUUGGUCCCCAUACAUCACUAUGAACAUAUGCAAGGAUCUCACGAGUAUCGUGAUUAGCCGUACCAAACUUGACCCUUGUUUUCUUGCCUACUACACAAUGCUCACAGAAAUUUAAUUUACAGGUUUUGGGACCUUUUAAGAGUCCGUGCCUCAUCAGAGUUUGCAAGGACUUCUCUCCAGCAGUCACAGUCGUACAUGCCAUAGCUUGGUGGUGUCACUGUGCGCCUCAACAACAUUUGCUUCAUCAAUUGUACCUCCCUUCAAAUAGUACAGAUUAUGACGCCGAACCCCUUGUAGAAUCACCAUAGCCCCAUGUGUAAACUUCAUUAUACCAUCUUUAAUGGUAACCUUGUAGCCUUUACCUUCCAAAGUACCCACAGAAAUUAGAUUUUUCUUGAAAACUGGAAUAAAUCUAACCUUUUUGAGUUCUCUGACCGUUCCAUCAAACAUUUUGAGCUGAAUUAUUCCUAUCCCCAUUGUGCGACAAGGUUGAUCAUUCCCCAUCACAACUGCACCAGAUUCCAGAUUACGAAAACCCGUAAAUCAUUCCUUAAUAAGACACAAAUGAUAGGUUGCUCCAGUAUCAAGUAUCCACUCGCUCGAAUUAGCUACAUAUACUACAGGAGUAAUACUUAGUGAAUAAUCAGAGUCUUCAUCUUUCCAUGCCAUGUUUGCUGGUGCUGGUUUCUUCCCAUCUCUCUUUUGAACCUUUGGCCAAUCUUUCCUCCAAUGGCCAUUUUCAUGACAAAAUGCACACUCAUCUCGAGCUAUAUUUCUGCUUCUCAAUUUGGAUCGAGAAUUUUUUCCACCAAGCUUUUUCUUUUUCUCCAUCACCCAAUCUUUACUCACCAAAGCUUCAAACGAUACUCGUUCAGAAUUUUUAUCAUUAUUCUGCAUCUCCAAGUUAGUCAAUGUUGUGCAAACAUCUUUGAAGACGAUCACACUCUUCCCGUAUAUCAAGGUAGUCACAAAAUGACUAUAUUCCUCUGGUAGUGAGUGUAACAAAAUUAUAGCUUUGACUUCAUCCUUAAUAUCUUCAUCGAGAUUCUUCAAAUCAGCAGGUAACUUUUCAAAUCUUGAGAUAUGAUCGUGCAUUGACACCCCAUGCUUCAUUCGAAAGCCAUAUACUUGGCUCAUUGUAUAAAGACGAUUUUCAGGACUUUUCAGCAGGUACUUCUCCUCCAAUGUACGCCACAAAGUCACCGCACACUCCUCAUCUUUCACCAAGUAUUUCACCUCCUUGGUCAAACAAGAUCUGAUCUGACCACAAGCUUUCUCGUUCAUACGAUCCCAAAUUUCUUCAUCAUACAAGUGUCUUUUAUUUUUCAGAACAACAUCGAGAUCGAUUUGAAUAAGGACAUCCAUAACUUCGCGCCUCCACAUGCCGAAGUUGAUUUUCCCAUCAAAUUUUUCAACAUCGAUCUUCUGGCCUCCUAUAACAGGUGCUGAGUAGGGAUUUGACAAAUCUCGCCUCCCACUUGAACUGUCUCCUGAAAUAGUCUCGGUAGAUCUCUCCUUACUUCUGGAAGUUUCACCUUCUACCAUUUUCUCAACGAACUAUUUCCACUUGAAAAACAGCCUCUGUGAUGUUAAUUUCGCAUGAAUAAAUGCACCAGGAAAGUUCCCAGGAAACUGGAUGGGAACUCGGUCCCAAUUAAAAACCAAAAUCCUUAGACGCUUAUUGCCUUGUUGACAGAACUUUCCUAGACAUGCAAAAAGACACACUACUUACAAUAGACUGUCUCCUAAAUACAAAUGGCCGUCUCAACCGUAUUCGUGAACAGUACCGUAUGUGAACAAUACCGUAUACAAGAAUAGUACCAUAUGUGUGAAUAGUAUUGUAUAUGUGAACACUUCCGUAUAUUAGAAUAGUAUCGUUUACGUGAACAGUACCGUAUCCCCCCAAGUACGAACCUUCGGCUCUGAUACAACUUGUUGUGCGCGGAAUGCGGAAACAAGCGCACCAAAUAAUCACAAAAAAAUAAAGGACACAAGAAUUACGUAGUUCGGCAAUAUGCCUACGUCCACGGGAGCAAGAGAAAAAUAAUUGUAUUAUUAAUAAUUAUUUAAGUACAAAUUUGAGUAAAGAAAUCUCAUUUUCCCAGAACCCAAAUACACCCAGUACUCUCACACACACUCUCCAAUUACCCACACUCUCAUAACUCUCAAAAGUUUAGAACUUAUAAGCUUAACAAUUUAGGGAUGAUUUACAAAUGAAGAAUGCAUAUCUAUUUAUAGCAAAAAACAUUGCACUAUUGCACCAUCCGCUUUGCAAUUUGUCCAUUCUCCUAUCUAUCAAUUUGACAAAUUUUGCUAACUUUUUUCAUUUUUCUUCAUUUGGUGCAGGAUUGUCAAAAGUCAUAUAUUCUACAGCUUGUAAUUUUGGUGCCGACUUUGAAAAACAAAAGCAAUGCAUGUGGCUCACUUUUCUUUUUCAACCAAUUUGAAAAAACUCUUUGACUUUAAUUUCAACAAAUAGAGAUGGAGAAAAAGAAAUAUCUUCACACGGUGGAAGUACAAAGGGUAGAUAUGGAACCAAACAGAGACAACAACAGGCCACAACUAGAUUGGGAAUGGAGAGAAACAAAUUAACAAAGACUGGAGAUUACAACAGAACAGAUGCCAAGAGAAAAGGGUUUCUUCAUCCAGUGAAAUUCAAGUGAGUUGACAGCAAAAGGGAGCAUAUGUGUUUCUUGAUUGAGAACGAGUGCAAAGGAUGACUUUUUAAUGAGGUUCUGAAGCUGACGGAUAACGAUUUGCUAAAAUUUUGAGAAAGUUAUAUAUUUCGUAACUUCAACAAGUGAAGAAUAAAAGAAUAAUAGUUCGUCAUCUUCACAAUGAAGAUCAUGGCCGAGAUUAAAAGCUAAAACUAGUCCAUUUGAAAAGCCAAAGUUCAAGUUCCUUGGCUAAGUUCAGAAGUGAAGCAAAGAAUAAAUAAAUAAAGAUCAAGGGAUGGGAAUAAAGUCACCCCCAGACAGUUGCAGAAAGAUUAUUAUUUGGUAAGUGUAGUUGAUUAUUAGUACAAAACAGAGUAGGUGAAACACAUCCUUUCUAUUUAGACUGAUCAGCAUCUAAAAUUUUAUGAAUUAUGAGUUGCAUUUUACUUUGUACAUUAUGUUAACACAUUUUAAUUUAGCCAAUUUUGCAAUAAAUGUUAUUGAUGUAUUAAAUAGAAAAUGAAUUGAAUUCCACUCAUCGUCAUCUUGGCAAAUCAAGUCAAAAAAUAAAAAUCCAUAUGCUUUUGUUAAAGUUAAAAGCUACAUAAAUAAUAUCACAGAAGCUUCUGCUAAGGUUCAUGUGAAGUCACAGCUUUGAUACUUGUAAUACAAGGAGCACGGAGAAACCAUAAACUUCAGUUUAGGUAUAUACAUUGCUUGUCUUUCAAACUUGAAUUGAUAAGGGGGAAAAAAUAAUACUAAAGCAAACAGAAGGAUCAUUUAGUUGACAAAAUUAUUAGCUGAUAUGCAUUAACAACUCCUAUCCUAUACUAUCAGCCAGUAGGUUGUUGCUGCUUCCCGAUUUUUAAUGAUGCGAACAUCUCAUACUUAGAAAUAAGGGCGGAGCCUGGAGAUUGAUUUAUAAGAUAAGAAGCAACAUUGUGUACAAUAUCAGAUUUCCAAUGUGAGAAAAAUAAAAUUGCGUUAUAAAAUUAAUCCCACUAAGAAAGUGGUCUACGAAAUUGCCACAUUAAAAGAAAUUUUUUCCAUAAAUUAAAAUAAAAUUAAAUGAAAACUAUUUUUCAGUAAAGUCAAUUGCCCACGCUAGGCUAAGGCGUUUGUUUUUUUGUUUUUUUUUUUUUAAAUCUGAAUAGGUAUAAAUUUUUCGUAAGCAUGAAUGGGCUGAGUACAAAUAUAUGAAUGACAUAUUUAUUUUUAUUUUUCUUAAUACCCGAAUAUAAGUGACAUCUUAUUUAUCUUAAAUAUGGUUAUUUGAUAUUUAUAUUUUUACAAAUCAAAAUAAAAAAAAAAAAGUAGUUAGAUUUUAUAGUUUAAGAAAUAAAUAUAUUUUAUAAAAAAAAAUUUAGAAUAUAUAUUUACUUCUUAUUCAGACUUUUUUCUAUUCAAUAAAAUUCACAAAAGUUACUUUUUCUAUUCAAAUGUAAAUGCUUAAAAAUCAUAUAUAAGUUACAAAAAAAAAUUUGGAAAAAGUCAUAAAUUAAUAAAAUUUCAGAUUUUAUAUAUUUAACUCCCAAUGCAGAUCCGUCCCUAUUAGUGUUAGGAAAUUGACUGGUGAAUGUUGAGUGUUAGAAAAUAGGAGAAAAUCGUCAUUUUACACUUCAAGUUUUACUAACAUCCUUACUUUUACGUAUUUAACCUUCUUGUGAUUUAAUUACGUGUUUUUUUAUUUUAAUUAAGUAUUUUAUGUAUUUUAGUGGCAUUAUAGUCAUUUCACAAUGAACGAGAGAUCAGACGGCAAAACGGACAUCACUUUUGAACUCAGGACGGUCGAAAACCUUAGGAGGAGCAUAAAAGGAAAAAUGACACUGUUCAUAUGUACGGUACUAUUUACAUGUACAGUACUGUCUACGUUACUGUUCACGACACUGUUCACAUAGACGGAUCGAUGAUGUGGCAUUGACCGAUGAUAUGGCAUUGACUGAUGAGGUGUCACGAUCUUGUUGGACUAAAAUUCUUAUGCACUGUUGAUUGGUGACGUGGCAGCAUGUUAGUGGACCAAAAAUUGCGCGUACGGUACAUGCAUAUACACAGGAUUAUUUUCAACCAAACCGCGUUACUGUUCAAGCCGGGUCAAACCGUGUUACUGUUCAAACCGCGUGGUCAAACCGCGUACUGUUGACUGAUGACGUGGCGCAAUCCUAAACGUCCAAACUGUUUUUAAUCCGAUGGCCAUGAUUUACUCAAUGUAUCUAUAAACAAGAUCCUUGUUUAUGGCUCUGAUACCAUAAAUCUUGUUGGUACGUGGCGUUGUUUUACCAUAAACAAGGAUCUUGUUGGUACGUGGCGUUGUUUUACCAGAUCAAUGCAAAAGUUAAUCUGCCUUAGGGACCAGAUCUGACUUAGAACAGAUCAAUAUCCCGCAUGUUCGGGUUUUCAGCCGAUAUACCACAAAGGCUCAACGAUAGUACUAGAUCUGGAUCCCAGAAAUAGUACUCUGAUUGAAUGGAGGGAGAAGAGAAAUACAACUAAGGUCAGAGAUCCGGUCUCUAUGCCUUAGAGGAUAUGUAACAGUUUAUAAAGAAAUUUAAAUAGACGUAAAAUAAAUUACAAAAUUUAAAACAUACAUGCUUUAUAAAAUUAAAAUAUUAAACUUACAUAUUAUUCUUGCUUGAAUCCAAGAAACCUUUACGUUACAAUAUAGUUUUACAGAAUAGGAAAGAUGAGAAAGUUCGGAGACAGGAAAAUUUCCUCCAAGUCUCUGAUUUCUUUCCAGAGGAGAAUACAAGAAGAAGUAAAAAAGAGAAGUGUCCUCCCCUUCUGCUCGAGGCCUCGAUUUAUAGAAUCAGAAGUGCCUUGGUAGCUGCAUCAGACCACUACUUGGAGAAACGUGCUUGUGGAGACAGCAUCGUCUGCUUUAUCACGUGGAGACAGCAUCUUCUGCUUUAUCACGCGGAGACAACAUCUUUUGCUUUAUCACGUGGAGACAGACAUCUUUUGCUUUAUCACGUGGAGACAGCAUCUUCUGCUUUUUGAAAAGCGUUGACGUGGACCAAAAAGUGAAAAUGAAAAUACAAGGAAAAAUACAUAAAUACAAAUUAUUUACAUAAUACUAAAUGAACAAUACAUAUGAUAAUUACUUUUUUUUUUAAAUGGUAACUUUAAAAGUGCUUUAUGGGAGAAAGAAUCCCGAAACAAUCAUCUUUAUUGUCGUCUCCCAGGGAAAUGAAUGGUUCAGCUUCUUCAUCGGUAGAACCUGCUGCAGAUGGUUCAGAUCUUGAGGCAAGGAGGUGUUCUAUAACUUGAAAAUAUUCGUUUUCAGUCUUUGCACUGGCCAAAAGAGAUUGGGCUUUUGACCGUUGGGCUAAGAAAGUACUCUGGGUUUUAACAUCUUGAAUGCUUGGCGCGAGAAGGCCUUUUGAGGAGAGCCAUUUCUGAACUGUGGCUACAGACAGCUUUGACUGUUCAUCAAACUUUGACCACCAUUUGACUUUAAAGGUUCUUUGUAGAAUGAAUUGGGCUUCCUGUUUGUGGUAUUGGAAAUUCCACAUCCAGACCCAAGGAAGGAAAAAGUUUGUACAGAAACAAAGAAAAGGAGGAAACCUUUUCUCGGACUCUGAAGGAACAUAAUGGGCUUUAAAAAUGUUUAAACAGUGAAUGGCAUUUGGAGUUAAAAUAUCGGGGCAUGGCCCAAAAUAAUUCCACCACUGUUGGAACCAGUUUGGAAGACUCUGAACGGUUAUUUUUGAAUUAAAGAAAAAUAACCAAGAAUGGGUCUUUUUUGGGUUUUGAAUAAAGAAUGUGUUAAAUCAGGCCUGUUGAUAGUCCCAGUAAGAGAAAAAUAAACAGUGGUUUAAACUCCGUUGGAAAUUGGCAGGAAAGGUUUUUAGUUUGUGAAGUUCAUCACCCCACUGUUUUGGACUCAAGACUUGUAAUAUGGUGGCUGUGGAAUAGGCGGGUCUUUAUGGGAUUCACUGAGGAAGAAAUGUUUGAAUUUUACAGACUCAGUGUAUUCCAGAAUGCUUUGGUAGAAAGACUGGGGUUUUGUCAAAUCCCAAGGUUUGAAAAACCAGCCUUUCGGAAAAAUCUUUGAAAUGGCUUGAAAUGGAUCAGAGUGAUAAAAUCCAUCUUCUAUAGAUAAAACAUUUUGAUGAUGGGUUUUAUUAAACCAAUCCGAAGAUUUUUUAGGAAGAUUUUGUUGUGAAACAAUAAUUUGAGAACUGGAACUUUCUCCAGAAAGAACUAUAUUUGAAGAGGAUUUUGAAAUAUCUUUAGAAAUAGUCUUUGAAACAGUUUUUUCUUCUUCAGGAUUUUUAGAAAAAGCUUUAUUUUGAGAAAUGCUUUGAAGAGCUAAUAAGAGUUCAGGAGAAUUGGAAAUGGAGUUCAUCCAUUCUUUUACCUGUACUUCCGAGGCGAUAGCUUUAGAAUGAGCUUCAUGCUCCUCAACCAUAUCAAUCCAAGAUUUAAUAGGCAUGGCUGAGGAUAAAAUUUUGUCUUUAGGAGGAGUUGAUAAAGAUUCUUUAGAAGCGGGUUGAGGUGGAGGGUCUUUGAGGACACCUUUUCCUUUGUCUUUUUUGGGCGGCAUUAUCUGUUUUGAAGAAAUUCCCUAGUUAGAAAGUCAGGGAUAGAAUUUGUAUCUCCUUUAAUAAAGUCAAUAUCAAAGUCAAAAACACUUAAAAUAGUUUGCCAUCGUGCAAAAAUUUGUUUUGAUGCAAUGUUUUGAACACCUUUUUCUAAAACAUGUUUUGCAGCUUUGCAAUCUAUCCUAAGUAAAAAAUUUUGAUUUAAUAAAUCACUUUGAAAUUUGGAUAUGCAUAAAACAAUGGAUAAAAUUUCUUUUUUAAUAGUAGAAUAAUUUUUCUGACAUUCAUUCCAAUGAGCAGAAACAUAUUGAACUAUUUGUUCUUUAGUACCAUUCUUUUGUUUUAAUAUUCCUCCAUAACCUAAAUCUGAAGCAUUGGUUUCAACAAUUUUAGGUAAUACAGGAUUUGCAAGAAACAAACAAGGGAUUUCUUUGACUGUAAGUUUUAUUAAUUUAACAACUUUAGUGUGUUCAUCAGUCCAAACAACAGGGUGUUUCUUUAAUCUAUCAUGCAACGGUUUUGAAAUCCUAUUAAUGUUAGGACAGAAAUCAAGAACAUAAUUCAAACUACCUAAAAAUCUAUGUAGUUGAGUUUUAUCAAGAAUUUUAUCAGGGAAUUUGUCGGCAAAUGCAAGAGAUCUUUCUAUAGGUGUUAUAGUACCUUUAGAAAUAUAAUGACCAAGAAAUCUAAUUUUGGUCUGAAAUAAAGAAACUUUAGAAUUAGAAAUAGCUAAGCCAGCUUUUCUAGUCGCAAACUAGAAAGUCUUUAAAUGUUUGAAAUGUUGAUCAAUAGACUGAGAAAAGAUUAAUACAUCAUCAAUAUAAACAAUGCAAAAUUCUGAAAAAGGAUUAUAAAUAUCAUUCAUUAUCCUUUGAAAUUCGGAAGGUGCAUUUUUUAAUCCGAAUGGCAUUACUGUCCAUUCAUACUGUCCAAAAGGAACAGUAAAAGCAGUUUUGUAUCUAUCUUUAGGAUGGAUUUGAAUUUGCCAAAAUCCUGAUUUCAUAUCAAAUUUUGAGAAAAUGAAAGCAGAGUGCAGUUUUUGGAGUAAAUCUUUUUUAUUAGGUAUGGGAUCCCUAAUCCAUUUUAAUGCUUUAUUAAGAGGUUUGUAAUUAAUAACUAAUCUAGGUGUUCCUCUUUCUAUUUCAGAAUUCUUAUUGACAUAGAAAGCGGCACAAGACCAAGGAGACCUAGAUUUGACAAUGAGUCCUUUAGACUCUAAAUCUUUGAUUUCGUUUUUACAGUGUUGUUCUAAGUCCAUGUUCAUUUGGAUUGGACGAGCUUUAGUGGGAAUUUGUCUUUCAUCAAAGGAAUUUUCAUAAGGCAAAUCAACCAAAUGUUGUUUUCUAUUCCAAAAGGCAGAAGGCAAAUCAGCACAUAUUUCUUUUUCAACUAGGGUUUUAUAUUCAGAAAUUUUUCUCUUUGAAAAAUCAUUUUGCAAUUGGCUUUCAAUUUUUUGUAAAUUCAAGUCUUUUGUAAACAAACCAAGUCAUUUUGUCUAGACUUGAGUAAAAUAUUGAUUUGGUUCUGAUAAACAGAACAUGCUUUUACAAUAUUCAAAUUUCUUGUUUUAGGUUUUUCAAUAAAAGGAAAAAAUAAUUUUUUGUUUUUUGCGUUAAAAGAUAUACUAUCAUAAUUGACAGUAUAAGGAGUAAUAAGGUUAAUGAAAGGAGUUCCUAAAAUAACAGUGUGAUGUAUGUCAUUUGUUAGGACGAAGGAAGUCCUAAAUUCAAAACCAUUAUUAUAAAUUGAGGCAUCAACUUUAGAUUUGACUUUUAACUUCGAGUUAUUGGCGACAGAAAGUCUUUCAUUGGUUUUCUCAUGAAAUCCUUUAGGGACAAUAUCUUCUCUAAUGCAAUUUAAAUCGGCACCUGUAUCAAAAAGGGCAAUUGUGUCAAUCUCAAAAUCUUUAGAAAGAAUUAAGGUGAUUUUAAUCAAAUAUUUUCUAGUGGUGAUCUGUUUUAAAACAAAAAGGAAAUCCUUGGGUAAAGAUUCAAUGUUUUCAAGGUUUUGUCCUUCAUUAUCACCAUCGGAUUCUGAUUCUUUAUUAUAAUUAUCUUGUAAUUGUUUUUGUAACAGAAGUUGGAUGGUUUCAGAAUCACUUUUCUGUUUUUCUUUCAAGUUUUUUAUCUCAAGUUUGAUUUCUUUUAUCUCUUUUUGGAGAUCUUGGAUAUUUGGUAUUGUUUUCUUUAUUUUCUUAUUGUCAAGGAUUUUUGUAAGAUCAUAAGUAUUCUUUUUAAUAGUAGGGGCUUUAGAGGUUUCUGCUUUAUCUCCUAAAUCUAAAGUUUUUAGGAGUUUAUCAAGGUACUCUUUUUGAAGAGUAUGGUCAGAAAUGUGUUUAACUAACUCAAGAAAAGUUUCUUGAUCUUUAGUUAACACAUUAACUUUCUUAAAAUAGGAAUCUGUUUCAGCAUCACUAUUACUAGUUACAGAUGUAUCUGAGUCAAGUAAUUCAUCAAUCUAUAAGGGCUCACUAUCUCCCGUCAUGGAAGAUUUAGAAUCAGAAGAUUCUACAAGUAAAGGGGCAACUUUAGAAAGUGUCUCUUCAUCAAGACCAAGUUCGUGAAGUUUUGUAUUUACUCUACAAAAUUUCUUGGUGUGGCAUUUUCUUCCACAUUUAAAACAUGUGGCUUCUUUGUAAUUGAAAGGAGGUUUUGUUGUGGCCUUAGGAUCCUUUCGUUUAGAGAAGCGAGGCUUCCUAUAAAAUUUCGAAGGUUUUUUAUAGGAAGAUUCCCUAAAAUCCGGAAAAGCUUUUUUACGAUUCUUAGAAUUGUAAUGUUUUUUGUAAGGUUUUGUAGAACAUUUACCAUUACAAUCCCUGGAAGUAGAGGCUUUAAAAGGAUCAUAGUUAAACUGUUUACAGAAACUGCCUAAUUCUUGCUUAGAUUGUCUAAGCUCCCAUUUUAGACGCUUCUGUAAUUUCAUAUCUUGGCAAAUCUUUAAUCCUUCUUUAUUGACAAAACUGACCAAUUCACCAUAGGUGAGUUCAUCAUAUGGAAUACGGUUGUCAUAAAGAGCUUUAAUGGAAUUCCUAACUUUUUCUCCUAAGAGAGUGGGUAAACCAGCAAGGAAUUUUUCUUUCCAAGUAACAUGGUUUGCAUCAUCUCGGAGAAAAAGUCUAGUGAAGAAAGUGGUUUUAUAACUUUGGAAUUCACUAAGUUUCCUACAUCUUAAGUUGUGUAGUAACUCAGCAUUUUUAUCUCUAAGGUGUGAAGGAUCACCUAUGAAGUGUAGAGAAAUAGUAAGGAUCAGGGUAGCUACAGCAUCUUGAAUAGGGCUAUUGAAUUCAUCACAGAUAGGUGCUCCAUUUUCAUCUGUUUAAAUAGCAUUAAGAAUAUCUAAUUGUUGUUGUUUGGUGAGAAGAUGAUCCCACCAGCCUUUAAGUUGACCAGUAAAACCAGCAAUGAGGAUCUCUGCAAUAGCUUUGUCAGAGGUUCCUGACUGGGUUUUAUAAGCAUUAGCUGCCAUGGUCAUCUGUUGCAACAAUCCUAAAAUAUUAUAUUCGGACAUACUAUCAAUGUUCCACUCAUAGACAGAGGAGGCAUUAAAUCGUGAUUGGUUUAAUGCGCUUGGUCUGUUGUCUAUGGCUAAGUCAGGAGGAGAAUUGAUAGUAGGAAGGGCUAAUUCCCAAUGAAUUUUAUUGGCGUUAUGAAUAGGUUCAUUUGUAAAGGCUUCUAUAUCUAAAGAGGCUAUAGACACUUGGUCUUGUUCAAGUACACCAAUUUUGCUAGAUUGGGCACUAUCAGGAGCUAUUUGUAUCUUACUAGAUGCAGAAGAAGAAGCUUCGAUCCUAUCUAGUUGUUCUCUAAUGGCUUUAGCAAAAUCUGAUUUUGACUCAUGGGCAAGCUUUUGACUAGUUUUCGAAACUUGGAAGGGUUUGAAAAUAGGCUCUUUAAGCCUUUUGUCAAUAUCCGAUUUUGAUGAACUAAUAGGGGAAACAACUAUUGUUGACUUUUGGAAUUGGUUUUCUAUUCUAGUCAACUGCUUUCCUAUUGUAUUUAGGUUAGUAUUACAGAAAUUAUUCUGUUGGAUAAUGUUACCUAAAUUAGUCUCUGGAUCAUUAGUUUUAUGGAUUUUAUAAGGUGAGGCUUUAAUUUGGACAGGAGGUUCACCAUGGUCAAUGGUCAGACUCCUAAGAGGUGGAUGCUCAGAUUCUAUAGUUCUGUCACUGUCAGAAAGAUUCCACUCAGUGAUCUUUUUUCUAACUGUGAUCGGGUUAGAUUCUUUAAAAGGAUAUGUAAUGUUAUUAUCAGAAGCAUACAUAGUCAACAGAAUGUAUAGAAGAGCUAGGUAUAUCCGAUGUGGAAAACCUAGGUUGACUUUUUACAGGUUGGAAAGGAAGAUUUAUAACAGAGGGAAGUUUUGAGAAUUUUCUCUCUAAAGAGGCGAUACUAGAACUUGAAUCUUUAUCAGAAAACCUAGAUGAUGUGGACCUUCUAAAAUAUAGUUUGACUUUACCAUCAGAAUAUUGAGUCACAUUUUGUAACACUGUAUUUGGUUCAAGUUGUUUUGGAAUCACUGGUUCAGUGGCUCCUUCAAGAAUCCAUUCUUCUGGAAGAUUGACAUCUUUCCAUUGGAUUGGUUUGGGAACAACAGUGUUGGCUUUAGACAGGUCAGUCUGCAAGAGAAGAGUCUCAUCUCUUUUUGACUGAAAUUUAUGUUGUGUAUUAAACGCAGAAUUCAUGGCUUUGUAUGAAAUUUUGAUAAUUAAGGCAACUGGGACAGAUCCCUCAAUCAUGUGAUAAUUAUGGGUUUUGAUUUGUAAAAUCAUGCUUUUCAAAAUGUUUUUGUCUUUUAAAGAAAUUGUUAUGUUCGGGUAACAGCUAAAUGAGAUGGGACCUUUACAAAGACUUGAUUCUAUACUACUUAAUAAAGAAUCAUCAAAAGAGAUGAAUCGCCCAUCUCUUAGGAUAGCAAGAAUAGAGGUAUUAAGACCUUCUUUAGUUAAGGGUUUUAUGCCAACUUGUAUUAAGCCGAUGUGAACAUAAUUAAAGUUCUUUUCUUUUAGUUUCUUUAAAGAGUGUUAUGAAAACAGGUGAAUUGUUUCAAAUGGCUUUGAAAGGGUUAUGUCACGUUCUUCAGUUUUUAUAACAAAAUCAGUCUUUAAAAAAUCAAGCUUUUUUAUUUUGUAAAUCAUGUCUUUAGAAAUCUUUGGUAAUUCCCAAUUAUCAAUUGCUUUAUUAAAGUCUUCAAUAAAAAAUUCUUCUGAAUUUACAACAUUCUUAGAAUCACUAGUCCUUCCAGAAGAAGAGCUAGAGAAAGAUGAUGCUCUACAGAGUAGAGAAUCCAUAUAAGCUGGAACCUAUAAAUGAUCUAGUUUUACAGGAAUGGAAAAUCAAUCCUAGGCUAAGAGUUGGUUUUACUGCCCUUCAACCAAAUCGGGACUUACGACCAAAUACUACCAAGGCACCCAAAGGUAACACCCUUUACCACUCAAGCAAAAGUUUAAUCACAUACAACUUCAGCCUACACAAAAACUCUAAACGAUAAAACACGACCCCCCUGGCUCUGAUACCAUAAAUCUUGUUUAUGGUAUAUAUAUAUAUAUAUAUAUAUAUAUCUUUUUAAUAUAUUCCAUUACUUUAAUAAUCAAUUUAAAAUAGUUUGUGAUAUUUUCAGCUAUUUACUUAUCUACUUUUAGCUAGUUAUUUACACCGAAUGAAGUGCUAGGGUCCAAAUUUUAGUAUCCUUCUCAGCUGUUUGGGGUUAGUAAAUACUAAUUAGCAUAUUCGUCCCGAACAGCUGUGUAAAUGCUGUUAGAUUUCGGAGAGAUGCUGAGGAUGGUACAAGAUUUAUCAAAUUGUGGCGACAUUUUUAUACCUUUAGAAUUUCAAGAUUUUGAAGAAAUAAAUGGGAUCUGUUUUCCAUAAGUGCUCCACUAUCCACCAGGAGGAAUUCUAAAAUACAUUACAGAUUAGUGAUUUCUCAGAAUAAAUAAACACAUAUUAUAACAUUAUUUACUUAUUGUAUGACUGAUAUGAUAUUUCUGAGAUAUUUUAGAAUUUUUAACGCACCAAAGUUCAUUUUUAGCUUUAAAGGUUUUUAUGUGUGAGCCUCUCAGCAUGUUCCCCAACCUCCUCACGUGAAAAUAUUUCUAUGUACGGUUACAAGCUUUUCCAGAUUGUGAGUAUUCCGAAGCAAUCCAACUUGAAAAACAGCUGGUUCGUAGAAAAUGACAGUUUACGAAGCUGGCCCUGCUGCCAUACAUAUGAUGAUGAAGACCAUUUGGCUUUAUGUCAAUUCCUCCAAGUUGAAAUCUUUCUCGGUCUGGGACACUUCCAACACAUAAAGUACUACUAGGCUAGAUGAUUUUAAAAAAUGUCCAGGUCCUUUAUCAAAUUUCAUUUGCAUUCAAGACCAAUCCCCUUUGAUGAAAAUCAAUAAUUAAAGGCUUUCCAAUGAGAAAUUAUUACGUCUUCAAAUCUCAAAAAACGCCAGAAUAUUAAUUCGCUACAUAUAAUCAAGAUAUCUCAUUGAGACGCAUUAAUAAAAAAUGUCAAAAUGCAUAGAAAGAGCAGACACACGGAUGAUGAAUUUACUCAUCUUUAGUAGUAUUUGAACUUGAGAGACAGAAUGAAGUACAUGUCAAGAAUAUCAUAAAGAUGGAAACCGGAAGUCCUCCGCACAUAAACUUUGAAGAAACUGGAAAACGACUUUANNNNNNNNNNNNNNNNNNNNNNNNNNNNNNNNNNNNNNNNNNNNNNNNNNNNNNNNNNNNNNNNNNNNNNNNNNNNNNNNNNNNNNNNNNNNNNNNNNNNNNNNNNNNNNNNNNNNNNNNNNNNNNNNNNNNNNNNNNNNNNNNNNNNNNNNNNNNNNNNNNNNNNNNNNNNNNNCCAUUUGGAGUCUUGUUUCCACAAUUGCUUCAGAUGAUUAAAUUUGUGCAGAUCUAAAUGUUUUAUCAUUGUAAACUUCCUCACUUGUUUCUUCAAGUAUCCUCCAUUCGAAAAUACCUCUUCGCAUGAACAACGACGCCGUAUGAGAGUUUCCAGAUUAUGAAAUCUCUCAAGUAAAUCAAGUGGAAAACAAGUUGAUUCAUCAUCCACUGUUUGUAGUAGUUUAAGACUGCCAAAGUCAUCCUCGAGUAUUUUCCACUUAAUGCCAGUUCCUUCUAAGUUGGGUAAGCUCUGAUCAUCAUCAAUCACGUAAUAACUUAUUAAGUCAAUUCAUAUUCUCUCAAAUAACUUUUAAUAAUCCAAUCAUACACAGUGACUUUAAUAUAAAUGCAUAAUAUUUUACAAACAAGAAGAAAAAAUCGAAUUAGAGGUAAAAGUUAUUCUACGAUUUUAUUUUUUAUAUAUAUCUUGCAUGCUAUUCCCAAAAGCAAUCCCAAACGGCCUUUAAAGCAAUUUUACAAAAGCGGCCUGCACAUAUAUUGCCAACUUUGUUGGGAAUGGCAAUGGGGAGAGGAGGGGAAGAGACCGAACUCCCCGUACCCAUUCAUGAUAUUCUGCAUAUAUCCUCGUCCUCUCCUCAUUUCUCACAAAAUUGCUUUAGGAAAUCCCCCUCCCCUCCCCAAAUAAUAAUAGGGGAUCCUUGAAGGCCCUCGAUCCUCGAAUAACUGAUACGUUUUUUGUUUUAAAUUUUAAUUUAAUCAUAUUAAAAUAAAAAAUAAAAAUAAAAAUAAAGUUUGACGAUAUAUCUUAUAUUAACAUUAAUCUAUUACAAAAGUCACAUUACAAAGUAUAAAUCACCAUAAUAAUUAUCUUCGGCAAUCUUCAAAAUCAUAUAAUAAAAAAAAGAAAUUACUUUUAUAUCAACAAUGAGAUAAAUGAAAUGAAUAUAGAUACUUAAUCAAUAUUUCUAAUAAAAGUAUUUACCUCUGCGUCUCCUACUCUUCUUGUUCUUCCUCGAGGAAUGUGACAAAUUGAGAGAUAGCCUCAGAUUUCAAAUUUAAAACAAUAAAAAUGAUAUAAGUAAUGUAAAUUCUAAUUAAAAUAAACUCAUACUGCCAUUGUAAGCUUGUGGUCAACUUUGACAACAUAUUAAAGCCUCCAAUGUGCUUGAAUAAAGCGUGUUACGGUACUCUACCACUGGUGCUAAAAGCUAAUUCAGAAGCAACAUUUGUAAUUAGAAUUGCCAAAAUAUCUCUAGGUGCCAAUAUAGGAUAUCUAUAGACAUUUAUUUUACAAAAACUCAAAAUAUUAAAAUCUUUCAUCCUAAGCAUAACUUUCUCAUCCAAAUAUUAAUGUAGUCAAUUAGGCCUAAAUUUUAAUAAUAUAAUUUUUUUAAUUUUUUUAUUUAUACUAAUAUUUAAUAUUUUAUUAUUUAUUUACAAAUAAUUUUAAAAAAAUUAAAAUUAAAUCAAAAAAUUAGAAGGGGAUAGGGAUUCCGCCGCAUCCCCGUUCUUUCUCUGAAUAAGAAAUUGAGUAAAAAAACUAUCUCCGUCCACUUUCCAAAUAAAAAAUUAAGUAAAAAAUUAUGUACCCUCCUGAAUUGGGAAAAUCUCGAGGGUCAUGUCCCCGCGGCAAUAUCUGCCAUUCCUAAACUUGUAACAGCCAGUUGCUUUUGUGACUGUUUAUGUGACGGCUAGACUGCUCUCACUUAUGUUACUAACCACGUGACGGUAGAGAGCCAAUUGGCAUACUAUUUUGACGGUAGAGUUAUAAAUUUGUUUCUAAAUAGAAAACUAUUUGCUGAAGUCAAUAUUUUGAAAACCAAAGUCCCAAAUUCUCUCUCGUGCGUGCCUGGUCAUCCUAAACCUUACUGGUAGCCGGAGAAUGGCGUAAAACGGCAGCGAUCUUCUUCUUCAUCUUAUUCUCUCUCUCAUCGUUUCAGGUAAGCUUGUGAUUAUGAGUUUCUUCUCUUUCUUAGCUUGUAAUUAUAGGUUUUGAUUUCUUUAAUUCGUAUUGUAGCCAUUAAUGUCAAUUUUUGUCCCACCGGCAAUUUUUUUUUGUUCCUAGAAGUUGAAGCCCUUCUGUUCUUGUGCCAUUGGUGAGUUUGCUCACUCAAAUUAAUUUUGUUCUGCGGAGUUUACAAAGUUCAAAUGGAUUCAUUUGGAUUACUAUUGAAUUUAGCUUUAAUUCCAACAUCCAUUCUAAUGUUUUGCUAUUAGAUUUACUUUAAUUUUAUGUUUAAAGCUUCUACAAUGAAUAGCGGAGCUUGGGUUUUAGUUUCAUUUUCUCAUUAACUUCUUUUAGUUUAUCUUAUAUGCUCGCCAAGUGCUUGUUAUAUUGUCUGAUAAGUUAUAUAACAUUGCUGAUUCUAUAUUAGUAAUGUCAUGUUCCAUUUUCGGAAAUUAUAACACAAAAGUUUUUACAAUGGCUUGCAUCUGCAAACUGAAUUGACUUGUAGAGUAAGAGCUUGGAUUAGUGUUAUGUUCUUGAAUAAAUGAAAGUUCAUAUUGUGUAAGAGCAUGUAGAUGUAAAGCAUCACUACCAUUUCUACAAACUGCUUUCAUUUUGUUCAGAUGCUCCUCUUGAACUUUGAAAGGUGCCUCAUUCAAGUCCUAGCUAUAACUACUAGCUCUGAUUGCUUAAGUUCCUGUGCUAGCUGAAACAGAUUUAUUUAAUUAAUUUAUUGUGUAUGUACUAAUUAUAUUGAAAGUAUAUGAAGAAAUUGUUUAACAUGAAUGACUUCUAAAUGACUUAAAAGCCUAAAGGAUAUGUGAAAUAAUGCUCAUUUCACUUGAACGAGCCUAUUAAUACUUGUAUGUCUAUGAUUGUCAAUCUUGCUUAAGUGUUUCAGUUAAGUGGUUUACCAAACAGGGAAAAAAAUUUAAUGGAAAACUUUAGAGUUCUAACAGAAAUAUAGUUGACUGCAGAUAUAGUUAUUUUAUGGUACAUAAAUCAUAUUGUCCUAUUCUCAAUGUCCUACGACCUAUUUUAUUUUAUAUGGUCAUUCAUUUUUGCGAUGGUUUUUUGUGCUUAUGAGUAUGGAAAUAGUGGGAUUUGGUGUGGCAAACAAAAAUAUACAUAUAAUCAAGUUUCUUAAUCAUUGUGCUUAUGAGUAUGGAAAUAGUGGGAUUUGGUGUGGCAAACAAAAAUAUACAUAUAAUCAAGUUUCUUAAUCAUGUAUAUUGGUUUUGGGUAUGAAUGUUUUCCUAUUCUAGUUCUAGGCAAAGUUUCUUCAUUUUGGUCUUCAGAUUUCCAGUAGGUUAAAGUUAAGCAACUAUCAUAACUAGCUAGCUAGUUAUUUGCCUUGCCUUUGUCGCCAUUACUGACGCCAUUUACAUUGCAUGGCAUAAGGAAUAGUAACUAGGUGAUUAUUGGUGAUUCCUUGAGUUUAUUAUUGGCCAAACAAACAUAUUNNNNNNNNNNNNNNNNNNNNNNNNNNNNNNNNNNNNNNNNNNNNNNNNNNNNNNNNNNNNNNNNNNNNNNNNNNNNNNNNNNNNNNNNNNNNNNNNNNNNNNNNNNNNNNNNNNNNNNNNNNNNNNNNNNNNNNNNNNNNNNNNNNNNNNNNNNNNNNNNNNNNNNNNNNNNNNNNNNNNNNNNNNNNNNNNNNNNNNNNNNNNNNNNNNNNNNNNNNNNNNNNNNNNNNNNNNNNNNNNNNNNNNNNNNNNNNNNNNNNNNNNNNNNNNNNNNNNNNNNNNNNNNNNNNNNNNNNNNNNNNNNNNNNNNNNNNNNNNNNNNNNNNNNNNNNNNNNNNNNNNNNNNNNNNNNNNNNNNNNNNNNNNNNNNNNNNNNNNNNNNNNNNNNNNNNNNNNNNNNNNNNNNNNNNNNNNNNNNNNNNNNNNNNNNNNNNNNNNNNNNNNNNNNNNNNNNNNNNNNNNNNNNNNNNNNNNNNNNNNNNNNNNNNNNNNNNNNNNNNNNNNNNNNNNNNNNNNNNNNNNNNNNNNNNNNNNNNNNNNNNNNNNNNNNNNNNNNNNNNNNNNNNNNNNNNNNNNNNNNNNNNNNNNNNNNNNNNNNNNNNNNNNNNNNNNNNNNNNNNNNNNNNNNNNNNNNNNNNNNNNNNNNNNNNNNNNNNNNNNNNNNNNNNNNNNNNNNNNNNNNNNNNNNNNNNNNNNNNNNNNNNNNNNNNNNNNNNNNNNNNNNNNNNNNNNNNNNNNNNNNNNNNNNNNNNNNNNNNNNNNNNNNNNNNNNNNNNNNNNNNNNNNNNNNNNNNNNNNNNNNNNNNNNNNNNNNNNNNNNNNNNNNNNNNNNNNNNNNNNNNNNNNNNNNNNNNNNNNNNNNNNNNNNNNNNNNNNNNNNNNNNNNNNNNNNNNNNNNNNNNNNNNNNNNNNNNNNNNNNNNNNNNNNNNNNNNNNNNNNNNNNNNNNNNNNNNNNNNNNNNNNNNNNNNNNNNNNNNNNNNNNNNNNNNNNNNNNNNNNNNNNNNNNNNNNNNNNNNNNNNNNNNNNNNNNNNNNNNNNNNNNNNNNNNNNNNNNNNNNNNNNNNNNNNNNNNNNNNNNNNNNNNNNNNNNNNNNNNNNNNNNNNNNNNNNNNNNNNNNNNNNNNNNNNNNNNNNNNNNNNNNNNNNNNNNNNNNNNNNNNNNNNNNNNNNNNNNNNNNNNNNNNNNNNNNNNNNNNNNNNNNNNNNNNNNNNNNNNNNNNNNNNNNNNNNNNNNNNNNNNNNNNNNNNNNNNNNNNNNNNNNNNNNNNNNNNNNNNNNNNNNNNNNNNNNNNNNNNNNNNNNNNNNNNNNNNNNNNNNNNNNNNNNNNNNNNNNNNNNNNNNNNNNNNNNNNNNNNNNNNNNNNNNNNNNNNNNNNNNNNNNNNNNNNNNNNNNNNNNNNNNNNNNNNNNNNNNNNNNNNNNNNNNNNNNNNNNNNNNNNNNNNNNNNNNNNNNNNNNNNNNNNNNNNNNNNNNNNNNNNNNNNNNNNNNNNNNNNNNNNNNNNNNNNNNNNNNNNNNNNNNNNNNNNNNNNNNNNNNNNNNNNNNNNNNNNNNNNNNNNNNNNNNNNNNNNNNNNNNNNNNNNNNNNNNNNNNNNNNNNNNNNNNNNNNNNNNNNNNNNNNNNNNNNNNNNNNNNNNNNNNNNNNNNNNNNNNNNNNNNNNNNNNNNNNNNNNNNNNNNNNNNNNNNNNNNNNNNNNNNNNNNNNNNNNNNNNNNNNNNNNNNNNNNNNNNNNNNNNNNNNNNNNNNNNNNNNNNNNNNNNNNNNNNNNNNNNNNNNNNNNNNNNNNNNNNNNNNNNNNNNNNNNNNNNNNNNNNNNNNNNNNNNNNNNNNNNNNNNNNNNNNNNNNNNNNNNNNNNNNNNNNNNNNNNNNNNNNNNNNNNNNNNNNNNNNNNNNNNNNNNNNNNNNNNNNNNNNNNNNNNNNNNNNNNNNNNNNNNNNNNNNNNNNNNNNNNNNNNNNNNNNNNNNNNNNNNNNNNNNNNNNNNNNNNNNNNNNNNNNNNNNNNNNNNNNNNNNNNNNNNNNNNNNNNNNNNNNNNNNNNNNNNNNNNNNNNNNNNNNNNNNNNNNNNNNNNNNNNNNNNNNNNNNNNNNNNNNNNNNNNNNNNNNNNNNNNNNNNNNNNNNNNNNNNNNNNNNNNNNNNNNNNNNNNNNNNNNNNNNNNNNNNNNNNNNNNNNNNNNNNNNNNNNNNNNNNNNNNNNNNNNNNNNNNNNNNNNNNNNNNNNNNNNNNNNNNNNNNNNNNNNNNNNNNNNNNNNNNNNNNNNNNNNNNNNNNNNNNNNNNNNNNNNNNNNNNNNNNNNNNNNNNNNNNNNNNNNNNNNNNNNNNNNNNNNNNNNNNNNNNNNNNNNNNNNNNNNNNNNNNNNNNNNNNNNNNNNNNNNNNNNNNNNNNNNNNNNNNNNNNNNNNNNNNNNNNNNNNNNNNNNNNNNNNNNNNNNNNNNNNNNNNNNNNNNNNNNNNNNNNNNNNNNNNNNNNNNNNNNNNNNNNNNNNNNNNNNNNNNNNNNNNNNNNNNNNNNNNNNNNNNNNNNNNNNNNNNNNNNNNNNNNNNNNNNNNNNNNNNNNNNNNNNNNNNNNNNNNNNNNNNNNNNNNNNNNNNNNNNNNNNNNNNNNNNCCCCCCCCCCCCACCACCAAAAAAAAAAACAAAACAAAUAGGAAGACUUUGCAAGAUUCACAACCAGGUUACAUUUAAUUUAUUAAUUGUGUGUACGUACUAGUUAUUUGUUGAUAGAAUAGGAAGAAGUAUUUUAAUAUGAAUGACUUAAAACUUAUUGCUCAGUAAACAUAAUGUGCAUCAGUGCUAGAAAAUGUAUUUAUUGUUUGUAAUUUUUUAUGGUUUUGCUUAAGAAAUGAAAUGUGAAAAAAUGCUACAUUGUAUUAGGAAUAAAAUGAAGAGAUUUAUGAUUUUUAUGUGUUAUUCAAGUUUCAGAUUCAAUUUUAAACUUUUGAUACAUGCAUUGAAAGCUUAAACUCCUUUAAGAAAUUAUUAAUAGACACAUGUUUUAUUAGUGUCAUCUUCUGGAUGAUAGUGAGGAUCUUAUGUCUAUUAAUAAUUCUUGAAUUAUCUAGGCUUGGACAGUUUGGUAAUGCAUAGUUUUCUAUGUUAGCUAGUGCCUGAAAUUUUUUUCCCACGUAAAAAUGGGGUUUUCAGCAGCUGCUCCUCAUGUUCUCUGGGUGCAUACUAGACAAAUGGGUGUCAUGUGUUGUUUUGGCAUAACACAUAAACACUCAUAUAUCUAUGUCGUGUACUUGAAGAACUAUAGGGAGAUGCUUCCGAAGUUUCUAUAAACGUAGAGGAAAACUUUAGAUACUUAAGAUUGAAGAAACUUAUGCAUUCUUGAGUGGGAUAUAUAGGACCACUUACCUUUUGUAAAUAUGAAGGGAAUGUUGGAUAUAUUGAUGGGAGUGGAGGAGCUGAGUGGGAUGAAUGUAAUCGGUUAUGAUUUUGCUGAGUCGACUUGGUUUUGAGUCUUGUAAUUUUUUUUAUAAAUGGAGUACUAUCUCCAAUGUUGGUUUAUAAAUAUGUUUCAGCUGGCUGACCUAAUUUUUUGUUUCUAGGUAACAGGCUUUAUAUAUCUGUAAUUGAUAGCCAAGUGAAGUUCUCAGCAGUGGGUGAGGAUAUUUCUUUACAGAAGGUAUUGCAAACUGUUUUUUAGAUUAAUUAUUAUUGUAUAUAUACUUUAAUUUUCACAUCUUUUUCUCUGAUUCUUGUGGCUUUGCUUGCUUCCAUAUAUAUAAAACCAUAAAAUUGUAUAAUAAUUUUUUUUAUUAUAUUGCGAAACUGCGCACACAUGAAAAUAUCUUGUUUAGUAGUAGAAAUGAAGAAUUAAAGUGAUUUAUUUAACUAAUUUUUCUAGUGCAAUAAAAGGAGAUAGUCAUGGACCAGAGUUGGGUUGGUUUGCCAAAUAGAUAUCCAAUUCAUAUACUGAUGGGGGUCAAAAAAUUUAUAGAUUUUGCAUUUGAGAAUGUUGUUGGUGAUAAAAGAAUUUAUUGUCCUUCUAAGAGGUGUUGUAAUAUCGAUAUUUCAUUAUAAGGAAAGUGGCAAGAGACCAUAUCAUUAUAAAUGGCUAUUGGUUAAAGUAUUAAAACUGGAUAUUGGAGGGUGAGCCAUCUUCAUCUUUGAAAUCUAACUAAGAAACAGGUUAGUCAUGACUCGGGUAGUGAUGCUAGUAUGGUUGGAAUGAUGCAUAAUGCAUCACGUAAUCAAAUGUUCAAGUCACACGCAGCAUUGUUAUGGACUAUCUCCGACUUUCUAGCAUAUGCCAACUUGUUUGGGUGGAGUAUUAAAGGUAAAUAAGCAUUUCUUGUUUGCCAACAAAACACUAGAUCUAAUUGGUUGAUACAUAGUAGAAAAUUGUCACGUGGGUCACUGUCGAUUUUUACCAACAAAUCAUAGGUUCCGAAAAUAUAGUGCCAUCUGAUAAAACUGGAGAGUGGGGACAAGCACCUUCUCGGUUGUCUGGAGCUGAGGUGAAAAAGCAGUUCAAUAAUGUACUUACUGAGUAUAAGAUUGAAGAUUUGAAAAGAGGAGAAUGAAUAAAAUGAAAGAAAUGAUAAGAUUACUUGGAAGAAGAAAAGCAUUUUUAAUGAACUAACGUAUUGGGAGUUCAAUUUGAUUCAUCAUAAUCUUGAUGUCAUACACCGUUUUUAUUUUUGUUAUGAACUCAGAUCAAAAGUUUAAUGUGAUCAAAAUUUCUUAAAAAUAGUGAAAAAGACUCCUAAUAAUAUGGAAGAUGGCUAUAAAAGAUAAUUUCUUAAAAGUUUAAUGUGAUCAAAAUUGCUUGUGAACGCAAGGGUUUUAGUUACACUGUCAACGCUGUCAAUGUAGUGAUACAAUGAAGAUGAAGUAAAGCAUUAGUAGAAUAAUGAAGUUGACCAGUAACACAGUAAAGCAUAUUUUAUUCCAGAGCAUGAAAACUUUUAAACAGUAACACAGCUCUUAUUCCAGAGGCUGCACACGAGUGACCUGAAUCUUCUUCAGAACUUUCAAAUUUUAUCAAGCAAAGAUUUCAAAAUCCUUGCCUUCCUAAGUUGGGAAAAAUAGAUGUGGAGCAAACCAAAUGAAAUAAAUGGGUAAACAGAACAAGCAGGGCAAAAAUUAAAAAUGAUAGCAAUUAACAAAUUAAUAGCAAUGUUACAUUUGACUCUUUAGCCCUUUGUUCCUUCUCUUAGCAUUCUUCAAAGUUUUUGAAAAUAGGAUGUGAAGCAAACAAAAUAAAAUAAAUUUAGACAACACAUGCCCUGUAUUCAGCAUCAUAUAUAUCUCGAAUAUCUAACAUAAUAAAUUUCACAUCUAAAAUACUAGAAUUUCAAACAGUACUAGUAGUGAAAAAAUGAUGACAACAACAAAAAUAGAAAAUUACAAGACUGCUGAUAAAAUUUCAUUUGCAUGCAUGUCUGACAAAAUUUCCGUGAUUUAAUGUGCUUUCAUGAACGCAAGUCCUAACGUUUCUGUGAUCACAAAAUGAAACUGAAGAUAAAACAGAACAACUACCAAACCUUUCAAGCUUGACGAAGCCAUGAGAAUUGAUAGCUCAGGCUCUGAUACCAAGUAAAAGUUUCUAAUCUGUUUGGUAAGUAAGAAAAUGAGAGAAAAUGAAAGAAAGAACAGAGAUCAUCUAAGAGCUGGAUUUGAUAAGUAAAUAUGAAUCAUCCAUUCAUUAGCUGAUUGCAAAUGUAUUUAUACAAGUGAUGGUUGUCGAAGCCAACAAAAAUAAAUUCCUACUAUAAAUAAAUUGUGUAUAGUGAUUGAGCAGGGUCGUGUCCACAGAGAUCGGUAAUUAUUUAAAUCCUUUUGAAACGUAAAACGUAAAAUGGGGGAAUUGUUGACAAUAAUAAAAAUCAAAUUAAAAUAACAAGAAUACAAAUUAAAGUUGUAAUUCAAAUUGGAGAAAGCUCUGGUUGAAGGAAUUAACUCAGCUUGAUUCGACUACUGAUCAUUGAUUCAAAUAUAGAUUAUUAUUACUUAUGAAUAGACCGGUUAUAGCUACUGAGACCCUCUAAUAGCCAAUCUCUCCUUAACUAGUCGAUAACCAAGGUAUGACCGUUGGUUAUUUCCCUAAUCAAUAGACAACCCUAGAUACGAUCAUAGGAUUUAAUCAAUUGACAACCUGAAAGACCAGAGAGACCCAAAUCCUAAUCAACACAUACGAUGAUUCAUUUAAAUUAGAUUGUUUAUUCUCAUAACACAACUCACUGCUAUGUUAUUCGUCACAAACAUUAAAAGCUUCAUACGAUGAAUCCUUUAAUUAACAAUAGAUUAAGUUGAUAAUUAAAUAGUGGCCAAUUACCUAAUUAACAAACAUAAUCAUGAAAAUAAUUCAGAGAAUAAACAAAUACCCAAAAAGUAAUAAAACAAUUAAAGUAUAAAAUAGAUCUCACAGUAGUGAUGAAUCAAAACUUCAUUAUCCUUCAACCAGAAAAAUAAGUUUAGUUCUUCAUAGAGAGAAGAGAAAAGUUUAGAUCUAGGGUUUCUCUCUUUUUCUCCAAUCCCCAUUUUUCACAAUAGAUUCCUCCCUUAAAUACUCUCUCUCUCUUCUCUUUUAGAAUUCUAUUUAAAAUAAAAUACUAAUAUCUGAAAUAUUAAAUUCGUAAUUACAAAAAUAACCAAAAAUACAAAACACGUUAAACUAAAAACUGCAGGUCCGCAGUUGACAGCACGUGCCCACGCCUUAUCAACAAAGUUCUUCUGACGCUCAUAAUUUCUCCAAGAGAACAAUCAUCCUUAAACAUCAUCUUGUAACUCAAUUUUAUCACCAAUCAAUAGAAUUGCACCUACAAAAGUAAAACACAAGUAAAUCACUAUUAUUAAGUGCAAAACAUCGAUAUUAAGGGAAGUAAACAAUGCAAAACUAGUGCAUAAAUUGCACUCUAACAACAAGGUUCCUGAACAUUUCAGAUUCUAUAUGCUCGAGCUAAGCACCUGAGAGUUGAGCAGUGUGCACUAACAAACUGCUAACAAAAUAACUAACUCAUGCCAGCUCAGCUAACACGUCAGUAACUCUAACUAUCUUGCUUAACAAACUGAAACAAUAACUAACCAUUUUAACUAUCUUAACAAUCCCAAUAAUUUCUCCAUUUGUGUACUUUUUUGAAUCAUAAUCAAAUGGAUAAAUGUUGCAACUAUUUUUUUAGAUAUUUUCACUUUAGGAUGUCAGCCCGAGGAAGUACGGGGGUCUGAGUUAUUCAACUGAAAAUGUCGGCCAAGUUCUUGCCAUCUCAAGUGCAAAACUGAAAAUGUUACUCGUUCUUCUUAACUUGUUUUCUCAUGCAUCAACCCCACAAAACUGCUCAUUGAAGGGGUAAAAUUUUGAACACACCAUGUGGCAUUUAGACCAUUUGAUAGUUUGUUUCAAACAUAUUUGUUUAUAAAAUACUUUUCUUCAUGGAUUUGGUUACGUAAUUGUCUAUGUAUGUACAGGUUUUAUCGAUACCUCUUUUGACAAGUUACAUAGCAAUGUUAUCUGGGUUCAGCCGUGCCUUAUUGAUAAACUGUGCUUCUGUAAUGAAGAAUGUUUUAUCUGUAAGUGGAUAUCCUAAUCGUUGAUCCAUAUCCAUAAGCAAGUAUGUAUAAAAUUAUUUUAUGUCUUUUUUAUUAGAAAUGUUGUAAUUCUUUUUUACUCUUCCUGAAUUAUAACAGCAGGUGUCUAUAAUAACUGGAUUGUUCCUUCUGCAAAACAGAGCAGUGGUAAAUAUUUUUUUCUUUUGUUUGUCUAGUACAUUUCCAUGAUUUCAGCUUUUUCAAAUUUUGUAUGUGUCAAAGUUUAAAUUUAAUUUGUUGGUUUAUGGCAACAACAGGAACAGAAUCAAAGAGGAGCUGCCAAUGGACUGCUAUGACUGUAGAGUCGCUUACCAAAACUGCUGGUUCAGCUGUAGGAGGUGCUAUGUAGGCGUCCUAUUGAUUUUGUAAAAUUAUAUGUAAAUGAUGUCAUAAUUUUUAUUGUCUCCCCCACCCCCUCUCCCCAAAAAAAAAAAAAAAUUAAAAAAUUAAAAACUAAGGCAUGAUUAAAUUGAUCAUUUGUUUGGUAACAACUUGAUUAAUCGGGUUCUGGCAGAUUUUCUUGGUCACAAAAGCGUCAAGAUGCUGGUUUCCUCCCAGGUAUGAUGAUUUACUAAUGAAAUUUAUCACUAGUAUGUGAAUUACUUGGUGCUAAUUAACUUAAUCAGCUGCUUAAAUUAAAGUGCAGGUAACCUUAUUUUUUUUUUCUUUUUACAAUAAUACUCUUGGAAUAAUAUUUCUGGGAAUAUUAAUGAAAAAUGGUAAUUCAUCCAGCCAGCCUUAAACAAAAUAAAUAUUAAUAAAAACUUUUAUGUUAUUAUUUUAGUUUUAGGACUAAUUUCGUAAAUUAAAUUUUUUAUGCAUUUAUUAGUAAGACUGCUUUAAGAAUAUUAAACAUUACUUUAAGUUGGCUGAUAUUAAUUUAUUUAUAAAUAAUUAUUAGCAAGAUUGUUGUAAAAGUACAAAAAAUACUAGUUAUUUCAUAUUGAUAUUUAUUGAUUAAUUUGGCAAUUAACUUUUUUAUAAAUAAAUUAAUUAAUUUAAGAAUAUUAUUGCCAAGAAAUUAUUGUAAAAGUAAAUAAAAUUUAAGGAAAAAAUGCAACAUAUUUAAUAUCAAGGUAUAUUGAGGUAUUUUUCAAAAUAUAAAGACAAAACAAGCACUGAAAUUAAAAUACAGAUACCAAACAAGCAUUUUCUCUCUUAGAAAAUUUUAUAUUUUAUUAAUGAAAGUCUAAAUAACAAAAUUAGGGUUUUGGACUCCUUUUAAACUAAGCCUAAAUAUCACGAAUUUACCAAUAUAGUAAACCUAAAAUAUUACUGCAUAAUAACAUUCUCCUAACUGAAAUAAGAUAAAUACUACUUCAAUUCUAUAUCUAAAUGAAAAAAAGAUAAAAAUCUUGAAAACAAUAGGAAAAUAGAACUUAAACUUGUAAACUAAUAUGAAAUAAAUAGAAUUCUCAAUCGAACCACGAGGCUAAUGCGGUGCUACAGUAUUAGAUUAGAUUUCCCUCAUUGCUAACUUCGAAAUGGUAUAUUAUACACCCUAUAUAGGUACUUAUAGCUAAGGGUGGGCAUGUGUUGGUUUGGGUUAGGUUUUAAGUCAAUCCAAACCAAACCAUAAAAUUUUGGGUUCAACCCAAAUUAACCCAAAUAUUUUUAACCCAACCCAAACCAACCCAUUUGGGUUUGGUUUGAAUUUUAUAAUUAAAAUAUUUUUUAUUUUAAUAAAUUUAACUAUAUCAAAUUAUAAUACUUAUUAAUUAAUAUUAAUUAUUAAAUUAAUAUUAAAAUACGAAAAAAUGUAGUGGAUAAAAAUUAUGAAUAAUGGAUUUUACAAUAACUUUGUUCUUAAAUAUUAACCAUAUUACAACAUAAAUUCUACCAAUGUCAAUACAAAUUAAAGUAAGAUAAGAUAUCUCAACUCAAGUAUCAAAGCAAUCCAUCAAAAUUAAAUUAUUUAAUUUUAUAAAUUUAAAUCUUCCGAGAAAUAAAUCUAAAAUUUAUUGUAAUUAGAAAAAAUGCCAAAAUUUUAAAUGCAGUAAGAAAAAUUAGACAUGAAAUCUAAUUAGGUUUAAAUUUAAUUAAAAAAUAACAAUAGAAUCAUAUUUUAUUUGAUAAAAUCUUAUAAUCAAUUACAUUUUUAAUUUUAGUAAGUUACAAUACAAAUAGGAUUAUAAAAUUAUAUUAGAGGAUUUCAUAAAAAUAUUGUUUGAGUAAUUUAUUAAAAUGUUAAUUUAGUCUUUUAACUCAAGUUGAGACCGUAAAAAAUUGUUAUAUAAUAGUGUAUUGUACAACCAAUUGCAUAUGUAUUUGCCCUAUGCAGCACUUCUAUUAUUAUUAUAUAAUAAUAAUUAGUAGUAGUAUAAUUACUAUAUAAUAAUAAUUAUUAGUAGUAUAAUUAUUAUAUAAUAAUAAUUUUAAUAAAAAAUUAUUAUUAAAAUAUUGAUUUAUCCUUUUAUUUUGUUUAAUUUAUUUUUCAUUAAUAUGUUAUUUUGAAUUUGUUCAUGACCCAUGGGUAAACCAUACCCAAGCCAUUGUAAAAUAAUUUCUUUCAUAAAAAUCCAAAUUUAACUCAUUUCAUGAUUUAUCCAACCCAAACCAUUUUAUUUGGUUUGGGUUUGGGUAAACCCAUGGGUUGUGGGUUUAUGCCCACCCCUACUUAUAGCUCAAGUUAUUACCUUAGAGAGAUACCCUACGCAUCCUACACAACCAUCCACUGCAUCAAAGUCGUUCCAAAACAGUAGUUCACAGUUGGUACUGCACAUGAUACUUGUUUCUCCUUUUGCAUCUACUUUUGUUGUUAACAUUAAUUUCAAUAGCAGCUCAUUAUGUAUGCAACAUUUCAAAAUUAAUCCAAAAAAACAAAAAUUAGUUCAGCUGACCAAAUUUGAAAGCAUGGAUUUGCUGUCGAUUAAAAAUCGUUUUGUAGGGAAAAUUUUUGGAUUGCAAUUCUCAUACAAUACAUAGAAUUAUCAUAAUCUAUAAAUUGUAUUUUUGCUUUUCUACGGUAGUAAGUCAAGAAUCCUACUUGUAUUUUUGCUUUUCUACGGUAGUAAGUCAAGAAUCCUUAGUGACAAUUUAAAUUGAAAAAAUAAAAUCAUAAAUAAGAAUUAUUUGAUAAGAAUUAAAAUAAUUGAUAAAUAUUUGAGAGGAGCAAUUUUGGAAGACUCGAUUUCUAAUAGGAGGGGAAUUUGAAUUUUACAACCUUCCGUGAGGAAUCCAAAAUGCACAAUUUGAUGAAAAUUAAAUUUCAAUAGAAAUUGAAUUCCCAUACAUUAGUGAAAACCAAACAACAGAAAAGUGAAAGGAAUUUGAAUUCAUUUCCUUCCCGUCUCAUCCCUCCAACUAAAUACCAUCGAUACCCAAAGGUAUGUGAUUGGGAUUCCAUACUGAUCAGAAUGGGAUUUGUCCAUAUUAUUAGGACCAAUUUUAAAAGCAGUCGGAGUUUAAAAUUGAAAUUAAUCCCAAUUUUUUAUUUGGGACUAGAUAAGAAUUUAUAUUGGAACUCCAAUUCUCCCAAUUAUUUUAGUUGAUAAUAUGUUUAACAUUAUUAAUUGCAUAUUAUUUAAUUAUCAGUAUAUAAUAUUCUUUAAUUUUCCAAUUUUAUAGGAUUAGACACAAAAUUGAUUAUGCCUUCUGAAAUUUAAGGGUUAUGUCAAUUGAACAGAAAACUUGGAGUUGAACUUUUGGAUGUUUUUGUUGAUUAUCAAUUUAUGCAUGAAUUUUUGUACGUUUACUUUGGUUUAUUAUUGUUACUUUUAGACAUUUUUAUUGGUUUGAUUUAGGGUCAUUUUGGUAAUCUUGUAAUUUUUAAAAUAGUUACAGUUAGCUAUGCUAUAGAAAUUGAUAAAUCGUGAAGAGAAUCAGCUGAACAUUUAGUAAAAUUUAUUUUUAAAAGUACUUUAGUUUUAAAAGCAGUUGUAUGUGUUUCGUAAAUCUUAUUUUUAAACAGGUGCAAGAAUAUAAAUAACUAAAUUGGACAUAAUGCUAAAUAAAAUUUAUUUACACAUUUACAAACAUGUAUAUAAAAUAUUUUUAUUAUGUACAUAUAAUUAUUGAUAACUAAAAUAAAUAUUUUAUAUUAUUAAAUUUUAUUCUUUAUUUUGUUAUCUCAAUAUAAUUGGUAAUAAUAAUAAUCUCUUAAAGUUAAUGAUUUUAUUUCUUAAUUAAUAAAGAUAAUUCUGGAUUUUUAUUAUAGAAUGAGGAUAUAUAUAUAUAUAUAUAUAUAUAUAUAUAUAUAUAUAGAAUUGGAUUAAGUAUAAAAGUGAUUUUCAAAAUCAAAUUUUGAAAAACUAUUCCUUCCAUACUUCUCAAAAUCCUCUGUAUGAUGAGAUGAUUUUUCCAAAAGUAAUUGCUAAAAAAUUAUAAAACACUAAAAAUUAGGUUUUAGUUUUUAAAAUCACUUUUGAGCUUCCCAAAAACAAGCCUAACGGGCCUUUAUUUGGGUGGUGUAGGAACUUAUAACUUUUGGAUCAUUUAGUUUUUAUUGGUUUGAUACAAUUGUUACACUAAAAAUUGAAUGUAUCUUAAACCCCAAACUUCUUCUUCUUCUUUUUUGAUUGCACAAAAUUAAAAACAAUAGUGAACGCAUUCUUUAAUAAACAAUAAGUAAUUACUAAAAUUGUGUUAAAGAAUUUAGUUGAAACAUAAAUUGAUUUCAAUGUUGUAUAUGCUAAAUUUCUUAAAAAUUUUCUUUCACGGUCUGCUGAAUAGUUUUAUUAGUAUUUUUAUUAUAUAAAAAUAAUUGAUUUAAUUUUUUAAAGAAAUUUAUUAGGUUCAUGUAAAUACGUUUUUGUUAUUUAAAAAGUGUACAAAGUAAAACUUAAUUUUUUAAAUUUAUUAGAUGAGUGGAUAAAAUAAUUGAGUGUUCAUAGUAAAUUUUAAGUAUAGAUAGUCAGACCCUAAUAUUUUUAAUAUAUGGAAAAUUUGAAAAUAUGUUAAUGAGAAUUAAAAUGAUAAUUAAGGGAGGCAUUCGAGACAUUCAGGAUUGUUAGGAUAGGACAUGAUUGUGAGCGGUUUGAGAUUGGCCCUAAUUUUGAUCACAAAUAUAUAAGCAGGAUGUUUAUCCAUACUUACAUUCCAUUUGAUAAUUAAGAUGAGAGUGGAAUUGUCAAAUCCCAAAUUAUCCCGGACCAUUGCCACCAAAGGUACUCUCACUAAUAAUAUCUAAAGAAAAAUCUACAUCUAUUUCAUACUUUUUUUUUAAACGGAAAGAGCCCUUAUGGGGCUUGAAAUAGUAUCCUAAAUAAUAUUCAGAAUAUCAGGCCAUGACUGGGUUUGUAACAAACAAAUAUUACAUAGUUGGGAUACGUAGUUACUAGUGUCCCAAUUUAUGUAGUAUCUAUCAUUUAGUACACAUAUAAAGUGUUUGGGACAUGAAAUAGGGUGACCAAGAUAAGGUGUUUGCUCAUACAAUAUCGUGCUCUUCUCAAAGUAAAAAGUGAAAAAAUAGUUGAUAGGCUACUAGGAGUUUAUUUGGUCACCUCGAGCACAUCAUCUCGACCAGGAUAUUAUUUGGUGAUCUCGAGCACAUCAUCUUGACUAAGAGAUUAUUUGGUCACCUUGAGUAUAUCACCUCGACCAGGAGAUUAUUUGGUGACCUCGAGUAGAUCAUCUUGAUCAGGAGGUUACCAGGAAGCACGACUCAGUCAAAACAAAUCUCACUUAUUUUCUUCGAAAUAUUAGGGAUCAUAUUCUUAGUGGGCUGAAAAUUAGUGAUUUUCUUAAGAGUUUUAGGUGAGAGGAUAAAAACCGCUAUAAUUUGCUAUAAAAACCCUGGGAAGGGAGGGAAAUAGGGAGAUUCUUUUUAUCUCUCUCUCUUUGGGUGACUGAACCCAUGGGAUCUUUUUCUCUCUACCACUGGGAAACUUCUCUUUCUCUCAUGAUUUAUUUUUCUUUAAGAUUGGUUAUUUUUUAUUCUUUUCCCAUAAAUUUACUUAAAAGCUUUUUGUUUAAAGUAUUCAUAAUUAAGCCGCGUGAAUUGUGGUACAAAUUUUUCCAAGUAGACCUAAAUCGCUGACUUGAGCGUCGGAGGAUUUUCUUUAAGAUUGAUUAUUGUUUCCAUAAAUUUGAACCAAGAAGGAUGACGCGAUAAAAUUUGUUUUUUAUUGUAUGGUUGAUUUCAUAUCUCAUGCACUCAUUUCUUAAGAUAAUUAGAUUUCAUCUUUUGCAAAUGUGGAAAUAUCAAUAAUGAUCAAUCAAAACGAUCUCAAAACCUUUCAACGCGACAUAUUUAUAAUACAAUAUUGUGAAAAUUACACCAAAAAUUUAAUUUAUGAUAUAUUAUUAUCCCACCAGCACACAGAAAUGAAUUCGUACAAAUCUAAAAUACUUAGCAAUUUUCAAAUAGAAUUUUAAAUUUAUUUCCAGUUAGAAAACUAUUCGCUGGACUCCGUAUUACUAGCCACCAUCGUAAGCCUAACCGGUUGCCGGCGAACGGCGUAAAACACCAGCCAUCUUCUUCUUCAUCAUAUUCUCCUUUCAUCUUUUGAGUUAAGCCUGUGAUUAUGAGUUUCUUCUCUUACUUAGCUUGUAAUUAUAGAUUUUGAUUCUUUUUAAUUCGUAUUGUAGCCGUUAUUGUCAAUUUUUGUCCCGCCAGCAAUAUUUUUUUAUUCCUACAAGUUGAAAAUGGAUUCAUUUGAAUUACGAUUGAAUUUAGCUUUAAUUUCAAUAUCCAUUCUAAUGUUUUGCUAUUAGAUUUACUUUAAUUUUAUGUUUAAAGCUUCUACAAUGACUAGCGGAGCUUGGGUUUUAGUUUCAUUUUCUGUAACUUGUUUUAGUUUAUCUUGUAUGCUCACCAAGUGCUUGUUAUAUUGUCUGAUAAUUUAUAUACAUUGCUGAUUCUAUAUUAAUAAUGUUAUGUUCUAUUUUCAGAAAUUAUAAUACAAAAUUUUUUACAAUGGCGUGCAUCUACAAACUGGAUUGACUCGUAGAAUAAGAGCUUGGAGUAGUGUUAUGUUCUUGAAUAAAUGAAAGUUCAUAUUGUGUAAGAGCAUGUAGAUGUAAAGCAUCAUUACCAUUUCUAUAAAGGACUUUCAUUCUGUUCAGAUGCUCUUCUUGAACAUUGAAAGGUGCCUCGUUCAAGUCCUAGCUAUAACUACUAGCUUUGAUUAAUUAAGUUCCUAUACUAGCUGAAACAGAUUUAUUUAAUUAAUUAAUUGUGUAUGUACUGAUUAUAUUGAAAGUAUAUGAAUUUUUUUUUUUUAACAUGAAUGACUUAAAAACCUAAAGGAUAUGUGAAAUUAUGCUCAUUUCACCUGAAUGAGCCUAUUAAUACUUUUAUGUCUAUGAUUCUCAAUAUUGGCUUAAGCAUUUCAGUUCAGUGGUUUACCUAACAGAGAAAAAAAUUUAAUAGAAAACUUCAGAGUUCUAACAGAAAUAUAGUUCACUAUGCAGAUAUAGUUAUUUUAUUUUAUAUAGUCAUUAAUUUUUGCCAUGGUUUUUUGUGUUUAUGAGUUUGAAAUAGUGGGAUUUGGUGUACCUUAGCAUCUUUUGAAAAUUCUCUUUAAGUGUGGCCAACAGAAAUAUACAUAUAAUCAAGUUUCUUAAUCCUGUAUAUUAGUUUUGGGUAUGAAUGUUCCUAUUCUAGUUCUAGGCAAAGCUUCUUUGUUUUGGUCUUCAGAUUUCCAGUAGGUUAAGUUAAUCAACUAUCAUAACUGGCUAGCUAGUUAUUGUCUGCCCUGGCGCCAUUACCCAGGCCAUUAUAUUGCAUAGCAUAAGGAAUAGUGAUUAGGUGAUUAUUAGUGAUUUGUUGAGCUUAUUAUUGACCAAACAAAUGUAUUCGCCUUUGGCCACAACUUAGUUUGAUUAGUUAUUAGACCAUAAAGAGCCUUGAUCUAUUCAUUGGCUUUAUUAUUUUUAUUUGGUUUUUCUUUCAACAACAUUGUUGAUAUCUUAUAAAAAUAUUCAGUGGUUUUUAAACACCUAAUCAUUGGCUAUAUUAAGCUAAUUAAAACUGAGGCUUUGGAUCAAUUUCUUCUAACAAGAUACAAAUGAGCAAAACCUUUCUCCUCUAAGUAAAUUUUUUUAAUAUCCCUUGAAUUGUAAGGAUCUGGAGGCGUGAAUCCUCUUGAUUUUUUUUAACACUGUCAAUGUUCUUUUUAUUCUGAGAAGGAAAUAAAAGGUUUUAUCUUUCAUACCCGAAUAGUAAGCUGGCCUUGUCUUAACAUGGCCUCCCGAGGACUUGCAAGAUUCAUAGUGUCCCCCACCCCAAAAAAAAUAUAAAAAACACAAAUAGGAAGAUUUUGCAAGAUUCACCACCAGGUUUUUUUUAAUUUAUUAAUUGUGUGUACGUGCUAGUUAUAUGUUGAAAGAAUAGGAAGAAGUAUUUCAACAUGAAUGACUUAAAACUUAUUGCUCAGUAAACAUAAUCUGCAUCAGUGCGAAAAUGUAUUUAUCGUUUGUAUUUUUUAUGGUUUUGCUAAAGAAAUGAUAUGUGAAAUAAUGCUACAUUGCAUCAGGAAUAAAUUGAAGAGACUUAUGAUAUUUAUGUGUUAUUCAAAUUUCAGAUUCAAUUUUAAACUUUUGAUACGUGCAUUGAAAGCUUAGACUUGUUUAAGAAAUUAUUAAUAGACACAUGUUUUAUUAGUGUCAUCUUUGGAUGAUAGUGAGGAUCAUAUGUCUAUUAAUAAUUCUUGAAUUGUCCAGGCUUGGACAGUUUGGGAAUGCAUAGUUCACUCUGGUAGUUAGUAGCUGAAGUUUUUUCCCACGUAAAAAUGGGUUUUUCGGUAGCUGCUCCUCGUGUUCUCUGGGUACGUACUAGGUGAAUGGGUGUCAUGUGUUGUUUUGGCAUAACGCAUAAACACUUAUAUAGCUAUGUCGUGUGCUUGGAGAAUUAUAGGGAGAUGGUGCCGAAAUUUUUAUAAACGUGGAAGAAAACUUUAGGUACUUGAGAUUGAAGAAACUUAUGCAUUCUUGAGUGGGAUAUGUAGGAUUACUUACCUUUUGUAAAUAUGAAGGGAAUGUUGGAUAUAUUGGGGAUAGUGUAGGAGCUGAGUUGGAUGAAUGUAAUUGGUGAUGAUUUUGCUGAGCUGACCUUGGUCUUGAGCUUGUAAUUUUGUUUGUAAAUGGAGUGCUAUCUCCAAUGUUGGUUUAUAAAAAUGUUUCAGGACUUGCUGAUCUAAUUUUUUGUUUCUAGGUUACAGGCUUUAUAUAUCUGUAAUUGAUAGCCAAGUGAAGUUCUCAGCACUUGGCAAGGAUAUUUCUUUACAGAAGGUAUUGGAAACUGUUUUUUACAUUAAUUAUCGUUGUUUAUAUACUUUGAUUGUCACAUCUUUUUCUCUGAUUCUUGUGGCUUUGCUUGCUUUCAUAUAUGUAAAUUCUAAUGAAAUUAACCAUAAAAUUGUAAAAUGAUCUUUUUAUUAUAUUGCAAAACUGUGCACACACGAAAAUAUCUUGUUUAGUAGUGGAAAUGAAGAACUAAUUUUUGUCGCGCAUUAAAAGGAGAUAGUCAUGGACAAGUGUUGGGUUGGUUUGCCAAAUAGAUAUCCAAGUCAUAUACUGAUGGCGUUGAAAAAAUUAUAGAUUUUGUAUUUGAGAAUGUUGUUGGUGGUACAAGAAUUUAUUGUCCUUCUUGAUAAGUUUUGUAAUCUAUAUUUCGUUAUAAGGGAAGUGGCUGAUGAUGAUAUGGUUGGAAUGAUACAGUGCAUCACGUAAUCAAAUGUUCAAGUUACACGCAGCAUUGUUAUGAACUAUCAGUGGCAACUUGUCUGGGUGGAGUAUUAAAGGUAAAUAAGCAUGUCUUGUUUGCCAACAAAGCACUGGAUCUAAUUGGUUGAUACAUAGUAGAAAAUUUUGUCACGUGGGUCACCGUCGAUUUUUCCCAACAAAUCAUAGGUUUCGAAAAUAUAGUGUCUUUGAAUAAAACUAGAGAGUAGGGACAAGCACCUUCUCAGUUGUCUGGAACUGAAGUGAAAAAGCAGUUUAAUAUAUUUACUGAGUAUAAGAUUGAAGACUUGAAAAGAGAAGAACGAAUAAAAUGAGAGAAAUGAUAAGAUUACUUGGAAGAAGAACUGCAUUUCUUAAGAUUACUUGGAAGAGAAAUGAUGUGGAAGAUGGCUAUAAAAGAUAAAAGGAAAGGCUUAAAAAGAAAAGCCAUGCCUGUCAAAAACAAAAAAACAAUUGCAGCGUCAAAUUUAUAACACAAAUCAAAACGGUGCGUUUGAGAGUGUAUAAAAUACAUUUAGAGUGGGAGUUGUGUUGUUGCUUGAAGGCAGAAUGUUUGUGAGAUAUUUGUCGACGAAGCCGAAACCAAAGAUGAAGCCCAUCAAAAGCAUUUAUAGUGUAAAAAGUAUAUUGUGGAAAUGUCUGGUCGGUAAUACAACUAUUUCUUGUAGUGUAAAUGAUACACUAAUUUGAAUUUAUAUGCUUUUAUGAUUAUUUGAUUAUCAAGUGGUGAUCAUAUGUGAUGAUAAACUUAGGUCGUACCUUUAUAUUUAUUGCCUUAGUUUUCUAAGCGUUCACAUUUUGAUGAGUAAAUUAAGGAUUUCAAGAUGAAGUACAUAAUUAGAUUAAUGCUAAGAAACUGAAGUUUGAUCGAUUGAAAACGAAAAUAAUAAUAAAGGUAAUUAAGAAAAUGAACAAUAUAUGCAGAAGCGGUCCUUAUUAGUACUUCUAGAUUUUCUCUUGGGCUUUCCUUAUUAUUGUUAAAAAAUGACACGAAGAACUUUGAGUUUAAAAAUCUGGCCCUGAUGCCUGGUAGCCCUUCAACAUAUGAAGAACCAGAUGUUUUGAUGAGAAAAUGACAAGACCAUUUAUCAAAUUUCUUGUGGAUAUAAAUACAUACACAUAGACGAGGCCAACCUCCUCAAAUGAGAAUCAGAGUGAUUACAAGACCUUGCAAUGAGACAAUGAUACACCAUCAAAUGUCAAAAUACAAUAGAAAUUCACGACAUAUAUAUAAUAAAAGACCUCUCAUUGAGUCAUAUAUAUUGAGAAUAAAAAUGUUAUAAUACAUACACAGAGCUUAGUUAGAAUAAAAUGUCUUUGAACUUGCGAUGAUCAAACAAAGGAAACAGACAGGUUGUAACUCACACUAUCACAGAUGUAGCGACACGAUGCAGUGAAUCACAAGAAGAUCACGAAGAUGGAAACGGGAACCCCUCAGAAUGUAAACUUUGAAUAGAGGAAAAAAGAAAAACGUCCUUAUUUCAAAUUGUGCACAGAAGAAGAGUGACUUAAAUCUUCAUCAGUAUCCAGGCAUUCUGCAAUCAUAAAGUAGAAAAAUUUUAACAGUAACAGCAGAGAAAAUAUUAUGAAUAUGCUAGACCAAAUUAGUCCCUUUUUUGGUUUGUGAAAACUUUAUUUUUUAUGAAUACGCUAUCCAAUAUUUUCAAUCAAUAUUUCCACAAUAUAGUUGUUCAUAGCUAACGUUUGAUGGUUUAACGAUUUGUUCCAAGAAUAAUGAGCUGAUUACGUUUUGUUUUAUUUUUAUUUUAUUUUUUUUAAUCCGAUGAAGGAUAUUCAGCUGUGUCUUUAAUUAUGCAUUCAUAGGGAAGAACAUUUUCUAAGUACUUUCCUUGCCUUCUAACUUUCCAAGGAAAGAUAGGUGUGAAGAAAAGCAAACCCAAUGAACAAACAGAGCACAAACUAAAAUAAUUAGCAAAUAAAGAAAGGAAAAAGUAUGCACGUUUUCAAGGAUUUAAAAAAUACGAAGGCUUUUAAUGAAAUUUUAUCAUAAAAAAGUAUGCAAGGAGUUAUAAAAUUUUAGAAGACGAGGGGAGCUCGCAAAAAAAAAAAAGAAAAAAAAAAGAAAAAGACUCAAAUUAAACUAGACUAAAAAGACAUUCAAUUACGCAAAAUCUGUCCAUAAAAGUCUGAAAGGAUCAUUAAAAUUGCAUUGCAAAUUUAACAGUAAACUGAGGAACCCAUUCUAAAUAAUUCAGAUGAAAUUGCGAAACAAACCAUGGGAUUAAAUAAAUUAAAUAAAAAUUAAUUACCAGUUGAGACUUUCUUCUAAAAAUUCGCAACUCCAAGUCAUAAGAAGCCUAUGAAAUUAGUAGUACAGCGUAGAGUAUGACGACGACACCGCCAACAGCUGAAAGUAAAAUUCUUAUUCAUCAAUUUAAACUUACUUUAUAACAAAUAUCUUAUCUAUAUUGUAUUUAAGAAAACAAAUUUUGUAAAAAUUUAUCAUGGGAGAUAGAGAGUAAUAUGUACAUACGUACCUUCUCAGCAUGUAAUUGUUGUAUGGUUGUGUUUAGAUCAUUAUUAGCCCAGCGCCGUUGAUCCGCUGUCUCUCCAUAGCAGACGUUUACUCUUAGAGGCGUGAUUGAUUCUCCUGUAGUGAAAAUCUUCAUCUUGGGACAACCAAUCACCCACAACUCUUGCAAAGAUGGGAAUUUGAAGGUGUAAUUGGCAGAGCAGAAACUUGUGAGGCUGUCUAAAUCACGCAGUUCCAACGUCUUCAAUUUGCGGAAAACAAUCUCUUCUUUUUCAACCCCGUCUUUGUCAUUUAUUACCACCUCUGUCAUUGCUCUGCAUCCAUAUAUACUCACUUUGACGAGUUGCACUAGAGUUUUUGCUGUGGAGGAUGUUACCAAGUGUAUCAAUUCCUUGCAACCGAAAGCUACAAGUUCUGUUAGGUUCCGAAAAGAUACCGAUGAUGAUGGCAAUAGAAUUAACAGACUUUGACAAUGAUAUACUUUUAGAAUUUCAAGAUACUGAAAAAUGGGGCCAAGUUUGGAGUCUUGUUUGCACAGCUGCUUCAGAUGAUAGUGCCGGUGCAGCUUUAAUUCUUUUAUCAUUGCCAACUUCCCCACAUGUUUCUCUAAGCAUCCUUCCAUCGAAAAUACCUCUUCGUGGAAUGAAAAAUUAAGCAGUGUGAGUAUUUCGAGAUUGUGAAAUCUCUCCAGUACGUUCCAGAUUGGAAAACAAGCUGCGUCAUCUCCAACAAUCUCUAGUUGUUUAAGACUGCCAAAAAGGUGUUGUGGGAAAUCGGCCUGCAAAAUCAUCUUCACAUCUUUUCCACUUAGUGAUAGCUCCUUCAAGUUGGGUACGAUCUGAUCAUCAUCAAUCGUAAUAACUAAUGAGGUCAAUUGAUGAUCUACGGUCACAGGCAGUGACUUUAUAGUAUUUGUUUUAUAUUAUAUUUUUAAAAAAAUUGAAUUAUUGAUAAAAUUUAUUUUAUAUGUUAAUUUUAGAGGUAAAAAAGAAAUUAGGGAAAAAGGUUGAUUUAUACUGGCUCGAAAUUAUUUUAUUGCACAAUAAUAAAUUACUAAUUUAUUUUGUAAGUUCUUCUAUAUGGAAAGACUAAGGAUUCUUUUAUAAAUGUUAUACCAAAAAAAGUUCAUAUAAUUAUUAAUCUACCCCAUUGAUCUCUUAAUCUAGACUAGCAAAGAUUAUUGUAUAAUAAAAGUUUUCAAUUUAUUGAGUAUUAAUUUAUCGAUGCUUUGCCAUAUUUUUCAAAGUUAAAAAUAAGCUAUAGACAAAAAAUCUAGAAAAUGGCUUCAUACCUUUUCCAACGGCAAUGGGGGCUGUUGUGCAGGAAUGCCAAGUUGAUCAUUCUCAUUAUUCUGCAAUAAAUCUGCAGUGAAUAUCUUUAAUUUGUCACAACAAUGCACUGAAAGAACUUCUAGCGCGGGCCAUUCCGAAGUAUGCAUUCCAGGGUACAAACAUCUAAGUUUUGGUAGACCUUGGAGUCUCAAAGUGGUGAGCUGUGGAAAGACAAAAUAAGGGAUCACUUCAUCUGCUCUAUUCUCAGAAAUGAUCUCCUGUAAAUCCUCACAGAAGCGAACUUCUAGGUGUUGGAGCUGCUUAAGGCUUCCGAUCAUAGACGCUGAAAAUAUGUAUUUUAAUUUGUGACAACGCCACACAAUCAAUCGUGUUAAAUUUUGAAAGCGAGGAAACGUGACAGGAAAAUGAUUGUAGUGCCAAAUCUUGUCGACAUUAAUUUCAGAUAUCUCCAAAGCCUCCAAGUUAGGCAACGCAACCUAAAAGAAUAAGAAUUUCUGGUUAGAUCCAAUAUCCAUAUGGGAAGCACUUGUUGAAAUUUUCUUCUUUGAUUGCAAAUUCAUGCAAGUCAGAAUCAAUUUCCAACUGACAGCUGAGUAUGCAUUCUAAUUCAUACUACUUGUUAAGAGCUCAAUUAGUGAGCGCGUGAGAUUCUUUUUAUCCUUUUUUCCGUUUUCUUUCAAUUCUUUAAAUGAUUUAAUUAUUUUCCACGUAUGAUAUCAAAAGAGAACGCAUGAUAGAAUAAAGAAAAUGUUAGCCUACGCACCUUCUCGUUGAAAAGCAGAGUUGAAAUAUCCAAAGUGAUUUCGCUGGAGCAAUACAUAGUCGUCGAUUCCUCUUGCGACACUUGUCUGUUCGGUGAUGCUGAAGGAGUCUCCACCUCACGGCGGCAAAAACUUGUAACCUCAGGAAGAUUCCCCAGACUCAAAGAUCUUAAUUGAGCAAACUCUAUCUUCUCAAUUGCAUUAUCAACUUCUUCCCCAAUUGCAAAAAUCUCUGUUAUCUUGCUGCAAUUAACAACUGCAAUUCUCUCAAGUCUUGGAAGGCAUUUUGUAGUAGAGAGCCAAAAGAUAUUACUCAACUUAUCACAAUUAUAUGCUUCUACGGUUUUGAGUUCGUUGAAAGACUCUACUUUGAGCCGAUCAACACAUAUCCUCUCCAUGUUGAUCAAAUUGUGAAUGGUAAGUGACUCCAAAAGAGGAAAGGCAUCACAAGCGACCAUCUCCCUUGAAUCGACGAUACAAAAGAAGUCAGGAUUAUUUUGAACCCAGAGAAGCUUCAAUUGUGAAAAGCCCUCCUUGCAGCUUGUCCAACCAUAAGUAUUCAACGUUAUUGAUGCCCUGCAAUUUCAUGGAGCAAAUGUCCAUAAAAUCAAGCUUGAGCUUCAAUGAUCUUAAACUCUUGCGAUCACUGUUGAUCGAAAAGCGGGGCCGACUUUUAAACCAAUGUUGUCCAACACUCAUGGGAUGCAUGAAUAACCCAUUUCCAAUAGAUAUUUUGAACCUUUCGAGCUUUCUGGCCAAAAAACCUUCUGGUAAAAUAUUGUCACUUUUAACGUCAAUUUCUAGAGUGGUUAGCCGAGGUAAAUGCAUCAAUUCGUCAAGGCUAGCAUUACUUCUUUUGCUGUUGGCUCUUUCAACCUCCCAUUCAAUGAAGCAAUUACCCAUAUACAGCUCUUCUAAUCGAGUUAAGCUUGAUAUGAGAUUAGGCGCAAUAACUUUUAGAUGGAAACAAUUGGUUAAAUCUAACAAUCUCAACUUAUUCAAUUGACCUAGUUCUUCUGGCAACUGCAUAAUCUCAGACUUCAAAAAGCUAAGGACUUCUAGAUUCUUCAACUUCCCAAUGAUUGCUAUGUCCCCCAACGCACUUUGAUCCAGACAUAGUGUGUGAAGAUUUUGUAGAAGAUCAAUUGAAGAUGGAAAAGAAGAAAACUGCAUUCGAGUAAAAUCUAGAACUCUAAGCUUUUUCAUCCCUACAAAAAAGUUCUCAGGAAUAUUGAUUUCAAGAGAAGAAUCUUUGAGAGAGAUAAAUAAAAAUUCAAGGUUUGGGCAUUCUAAUCCUUCAGGAAAUUCACGAUUACUAUUAUUUCUUAAAGAGAUCGCAUUGCAUUUUCGAAGUGCAUCCUCAUCUGGCCAGUCCCACACAUCCUUAUUUCUCACCAAAAACACAUGUUGGUGGCGGCAUGCAAUUGAUAUUGCGACAUCACGAACAACAUCAUGCAUUGAAAAUUGUUCAUUGCUCUCACCCUCAAGCAACAAACAAGAGUGUCUAAGUUCAUGGACCAAUGCAUAUAAUUUGUCUCGUGCAUCUUCCAUCUUAUUGACUCCUUUAAAUAUACCCAAACCCAUGGAGUACUUAAACAAGUCCGAAGUAAGAAUACGGUUAUCCAUUAGACUACAGAGCAGAAAAAUUUUCUUGAGUUGCUCACCUUUUAAAUGGUUGAAACUCAGCUCAAUACUUGAAUAAGUCUCUGCAGAUACUCCUUCGAAGUUUACCAUUGAAGGCGUUCGGAGUUCUCGCAAGGAAUUCUUCCAUUCAUACUCUUGCUUCUCAGUGCCUUUGCCACUGUAGUCAAGGCAAUGGGCAAACCUCCACAUGCCCUGGCGACGUCUAUUGCUGUGGAUUUCAACUCACGAUUUUCAACAUCAUCUCCGGCCAUCAUCUUAAACAAUCUCCAGGCUUCUUCUUCAUUUAAAUUGUUUAUCAAAAAGUUGUCUUUAGAUCCCAUUUUUAAGAGGAGACUACGAUCUCUUGCUGUCAGCAGUAGUUUGCAGCCUUUAUGAUUUUCUCCAAAAGGAAUUGCAGUAGUCCCCAAAUCAAGAGGUUUCCAGAUGUUAUCCAGAAUCACAAGGAUCUUCUCAUUCUCCAAUCUUUCAUAUAGUCUACUAGCUCUUCUAGACUCAGCUUCCUCGCGCAACUCCAAGCCCAACUUCUCGGCAAUUUCCUGUUGAAUCUGUUUUAUGUCUGGAGUUUGCGAAACCUCUGAAAAGACCACCAUAUCAAAGUGCUUGUCUUCCAUAGCUUGCCUGGCGACCUUCUUCACCAGUGUCGUCUUUCCAAUGCCGCCCAUGCCGUACACCCCAAUGAUGCUGACAUCAACAUCGAUCAAUGCGUUUUUUAUAGCCUCCAAAGUAGAACGUCUUGAUUCGAAGGCCUCGUAGCCUUUGUGAGACUUGAGCCAAAUCUCCUCCGGAAUGGUACGGUAGGAAAUUCUAUCAUCAAAUCUCCCAGCUUCUUCUCGGAGUUUAAAAAGGGCCUCCUUCUCUGUUUCUGCUUUCUUUCCAUGCUGAUAGCGAGUAAUCCAAUUAGGAAACAGCCCCAUGAGACAUCGUUCAUUUGCUUUCUCUUCGUCUAGAAUGAAUUUGGCUGCCUGCUCAAUGCUCUUGUUCGCAUUAACCAGCCAUUUCUCAACCUUCUUUUCAAUCUUUUCACUUUUUCUUUCAGCCUCCGAAACUCUGUGCUGAAUGCUUUCUCUUUCAUCCUUGAGCCUAUCGAGUUCUGCCUUGAAAUUCUGAAAGUUGGCAGCGGAGUUGUACCAAUAACUAAAUUCGCGUUGUGCGUGAGGAGACAAACAGUUUACAACUCCUGGAACAAUGCUUUUCAAAAUGUCCAUUUUUUUUUCUUUUUUGGGGAAGUGAACGAAAUAGAAAUAGAACAGGGUCAACGGCCGCGCAAUUGAUAAUCAAGUAGAAGCAAAACAAGGCAAAGUUGAAAAAAGAAAUGAUAUUUGUACAAAACAAGGGAAAUCAGUGUAACAGAAGAGAAUCAAAGUGUUUAUGAGAUCAGAAAAUUGAAUCAAGAAAAGGGUUGCUUGAUCCAAUGAAAAUGCAAAGAGCUGAUGGAAAAAGGGGACAAAGAUAAAUAAGAAAACGGCUAGCACGAGCAGUGACCACGAUAAACAGAAGCAAAGUGUGUAUGAGAUCAAAAGACGAAAAUCAGGAGAGGUUUUCUUGACCGAGAAUUGAAGGCAAUUAGUAGGAGCUGACGAAUACGGGGAUCAAGAGGGAAAAAUUGCUUUUAAGCGAAUCUGAUAAAAUUAUUUCAAUACUCGUGGGCGACUCCUUUUUAAACUGCAGAAGGAAAAAAAAAAUUCUGAAUUUCAAUAUAUUAUUUUUUAUCCUAAUUUAUGUUAGGACUCGUAAUCUCGUCUCAAAUAAUUAAUUAGUAGAUAAUUUUUCUAACAAAUAUGUGUUGAAUAGAUAUAUUUCUUGACUAUGAGCAGGCUAGAGAUAUUUUAGCAUAGGAAUGAAAGUACAAGUUGUGUCAUAUUAUAAUUAUCAAUUGACCUAAAAAUGUUGUUGUGAAUUGAAAUUAUUUCUGUAAAAUAAAAGGAUUUGGGUCAUUGUUCGUUAUUUUCUGGCAAUAUUGUCUGGUCGUGACUCUUUGUUAAAUAUUAAAAAAAUAAAUUUAUAUUUAUUAAGUAUAAAAAAUAAAUAAACAAACAAAAAUAAAAGGAAAAGUUUAUACAUUACGUAAAAUAAUAAGAACAAUAUCAAUAUUUCACACUCUAUAAUUGAGUGAUGUGUUAUCCAACUGCCAUACAUUGGUCCCAAACAGAGACUUAAAUAUUAAAGUCCAAAGUUAUUGUGAUGAUGACUUAUAAUUGCCAAACUUGACAUACGGGUAAUCAUGCAUUAUAAGGUGCUGAUUUCUUCCGAUCGGAACCUUAUUUUUCAUUUACAAAUAAAUAAAUGAUGUGACUUCACGGUUGGCGGGGUCCUUUGUGUCAUUUGGGCAUUUCACUAAAUGAUUGAUUGUAGCAGGGAGAUUCCUGGAAGUUGCCAUUUGCCAAUGCUACUAACAUUUUCAAACUUGGAAAACCCUUCAAUCAAUCUUUUAGUGGUAGGCUCCGGUAGCUUGGUUUGAUUAUGACAUAUGAUUAUUUGAUAAUGAAGCUAGAGGAUGUAUUAAUAUAAAAUUUGUUUAUUGGUGUUGAAGUUAAUUAUCUCAUUAAUAUUAGUAUAAAAAGUUAAUUACUAAGAAACACAUAGCAGUAGUUAAUUGGUGUCAUAUUAUUAGGAUUCUGGGAUAUAAUUUUAUAUCAUAACUUUGUAAGUGUAUACUUACUCAUCAAACUAAUAAAAUUAUUUAAAAAUUUCAGUUGGAAAAAAUAAAUUAUAUUAUUUUCAUUUCAAAUAAUCUAUAAGUUAACUCAAAACAUAAUCAAGCUGAGAAUUAAAAUAAUGCUACUGUAUGAGAGGAUUUUUAUUUUUUCCCGAAGUUUCACUAGGAAAUUAUUGAUACAUAGCUUUAUUCGGAUCAUCUCAGUUCAAACGACAAAUAAUUGAAAGACUAAGCUAAAUAGACCAGCCAACAACUUUGUACAAGAGAGUUCAAAAAUUAAGGUCAUGGUAUUAAGGUGUUCUAUCUUGAAAAGUAUAGCGUAGUAAUAAAAUAAAAACUAAUAGUCUUUGGUAAGAUAUGACAUUUAAAUAAUAAUUUUCACAAAAAUACAAAGAAUAUUUAUAAAGUACUUCUAUAGUGAGGAGACCCUCACUUUGUUAAAGUGAAAAUAUCAAUAAUAUACAAAAGACAUAUAUUUUAACACAUUAAAAAUUGUAUUUUUUUUAUCUAUUGGUGUAUUUGAAUAUGUGUUAUUUAGUUUGUUAGUGAUAUCAUUACUUUGUUAAAAUGAGAAUGUCGUUACUAGAGAAUCAUUAUAUAUACAUAUAUAAAGUGCUUCUGCCCAAGACCUAGACUUUAUUAAAAUUUAAGAAAGCAAGUAUAUUUUAUAUGGUAUAAUAGUGUAAUAACAUCACACUAUUAUAUCAUAUAGAGUAAUAGUUUUUCAAACUUUAAUAAAGUUCAAGAUUAUAGAAUGAAUGAUUUUUAUAUAUUAUAAAUUUUUUUAUCAUAAAUGGAGGACAAAAUUAACAUAUUUUCAAAUUAUAAUAAGUAUUUAUCAAAUAAUUUAACAUUGCAAUUUCUCCUAACUAGUAUAGUAAAUAAUACGACCUAGGAGAUACAUUCAAAGCAUUUCAUAAGUUAGUUGUUAAUAAUAAAUGAUAUAUGCAGCUCCAAUCAUCAUUGUACGGUGAGUAAUUUCCAGUUAUAAAUAGAUAUUACUCCCUUCCCAGCAAUUUUUGAUGACUUAAUUUAGUGAGAUCAAAAUCAACAUUGAAUUUUUGACCAGCUGCCAACAACUUGUGAGCAGUUCACAGUGGGUACUGCACAUGAUGCCUGUUUCUCCUUUUGCAUCUAUUUUGUUGUUAACAUUAAUUUCAAUAGCAGCUCGUUAAUCCCAAUUGUUGAUUUGGGACUAGAUAAGAGUUUAUCUUGGAACUCCAAUUCUCCCAAUUAUUUUAGUUGACAAUAUAUUUAACAUUAUUUUUUUAACAUUAUUAAUUGCAUAUUAUUUAAUUAUCAGUAUAUAAUAUUCUUUAAUUUUCUAAUUUUAUAGGAUUAGACACAAAAUUGAUUAUGCCUUUUGAAAUUUAAGGGUUAUGUCAAUUGAAUAGAAAACUUGGAGGUAAACUUGUGGAUGUUUUUGUUGAUUAUCAAUUUAUGCAUGAAUUUUUGUACGUUUACUCUGGUUUAUAAUUAUUACUUUUAAACAUUUUUAUUGGUUUGAUUUAGGGUCAAUUUAGUAAUCAUGUAGCUUUUAAAAUAAUUACAAUUAGCUAUGCUGUAGAAAUUGAUCAAUCGUCAAGAGAAUCAGCUGAACAUUUAGUAAAAUUUAUUUUUAAAAGUACUUUUAGUUUUAAAAGCGUUGUAUGAAUAAAACUGUUACACUAAAAAUUAAAUGUAUUGCCCACUUGGGUAAAUAAAGCUAUAUAUUACAACUGUUACACUAAAAAUUAAAUGUAUCUUAAACCCAAACUUCUUCUUCUUCUUUUUGACUAACAAAAUUAAAAACAAUAGUGAACACAUUCUUUAAUAAACAAUAAGUAAUAAAUAAAAUCGUGUUAAAUUGCUUAAAAACUUUCUUUCACGGUUUGCUAAAUAUUUGUAUUAGUAUUUUAAAUAAAUAAAAAUAGUUGAUUUAAUUUUUUUAAAUAAACUUAUUAGGUUCAUGUAAAGAUGUUUUUGUUAUUUUAAAAAGUGUAGAAAGUACUCCUAAAAAAAAGCGUAGAAAGUAAAACUUAAUUUUUUAAAUUUAUCAGCUGAGUGCAUAAAUAAUUGAGUGUUCAUAAUGAUUUUUAAAGUAUAGAUAGUCGGACCCUAAUUUAAUAUAUGCAAAUUUUGCUAAUAUGUUAAUGAGAAUUAAAAAGAUAAUUAAGGGAGGCAAUCGAGACAUUCAGGAUAGUUAGGAUGGGACAUGAUUGUGAGUGGUUAGAUAUUGGUCCUAAUUUUGAUCACAAAUAUAUAAACAGGACGAGUUUAUCUCUACUUACAUUCCAUUUGAUAAUUAAGAUGAGAGUGGAAUUGUCAAAUCCCAAAUCAUCCCGGAUCACUGCCACCAAGGGUACUCUCACUAAUAAUAUCUAAAGAAAAAUCUACAUCUAUUUCAUACUUUUUUUUAAUGGAAAGAGCCCUCAUGGGGCUUGAAAUGGUAUCCUAAAUAAUAUUCAGAAUAUCAGGUCAUGAUUGGGUUUGUGACAAACAAAUAUUACAUAGUUGGGAUACGUAGUUAUAGUGUCCCAAUUUAUGUAGUAUCUAUCAUUUAGUGCACAUAUAAAAUAUUAAUCAGCUUAAUUAAUUUAUAAAAUUUAAAUCUAAUUAAUAAGUGAUACAUAAAUGCCAAGUGCAGUACUGUAUAUGCAAAUCAUGUUUGUGGAUCAUUACAAAACUGGCUCUUGAAAACAAGCAAGAAAGCUUAAUUAAGAACUUAAAACAAAAAGAAUUAGAUUGAGAAUAGUCGAGCCUUAUUUUUUCAAGAAUGGAGCUUAUAAAUCUUCAAGUACCAACAUACGCUUGGCCCAAUUGUUGUUACUAAAAUUUCAAUAUACAUAUAUAAGUAUGAUAUAGCAAAAAUUUGAUGGUACAUAUGUCGGAAUAUACUAGUUCAUGGGUGCAUUUGAUUAUUGUUUCCAUAAAUUUGAACCAGGAAGGAUGACACGAUAAAAUUUGAUUUUAUAGUAUGGUUGAUUUCAUAUCUCAUGCACUCAUUUCUUAAGAUAAUCAAAUUUUCUCUGGCAUCUUUUGCAACUGUCGAAAUAUCAAUUAUGAUCAAUCAAAACGAUUUCAAAACCUUUCAACGAGAUAUAUUUCUAAUACAAUAUUGUGAAAAUUACACUAAAAAUUUAAUUUAUUAUAUAUUAUUAUCCAACGAGCACACAAAAAUGAUUUCGUACAAAUCUAAAAUACUGAGCAAUUUUCAAAUAGAAUUUACUAUGUACUACAAGAAAAUAGGGUAUAUGUGACCCCUAAUAUGAAUGCAAAAGCAGCCAUUACGCAUAUCACUAACUUCUAACUUUGUAACUCCGAGUUGCUUUUGUUACCCUUUAUGUGACGGCCACACUGCUGUCACAUAUGUUACGAACCGCGUGACGGCGAAGAGCCGUUCGGUAUACUAAUAUUUUAGAAUUUUAAAUUUAUUUCCAGUUAGAAAACUAUUCGCUGGACUCCGUGUUGCUGGCCACCAUCGUAAACGUAACUGGUUGCCAGCGAACGGCGUAAAACGCCGGCCAUCUUCUUCUUCAUCGUAUUCUCCCUUCAUCUUUUGAGGUAAGCUUGUAAUUAUAGAUUUUGAUUUUUUUUAUUUUGUAUUGUAGCCGUUAUUGUCAAUUUUUGUCCCGCCAGCAAUAUUUUUUUAUUCCUACAAGUUGAAGCCCCUGUGUUCUUGUUCCAUUGGUGAGUUUGCUCACUCAAAUUAAUUUUGUUCUGCGGAAUUUACAAAGUUCAAAUGGAUUCAUUUGAAUUACUAUUGAAUUUAGCUUUAAUUUCAACAUCCAUUCUAAUGUUUUGCAAUUAGAUUUAAUUUAAUUUUAUGUUUAAAGCUUCUACAAUGAAUAGCGGAGCUUGGGUUUUAGUUUCAUUUUCUGGAUAACUUGUUUUAGUUUAUCUUGUAUGCUCACCAAGUGCUUGUUAUAUUGUCUGAUAAGUUAUAUACAUUGCUGAUUCUAUAUUAAUAAUGUUACGUUCUAUUUUCAGAAAUUAUAAUACAAAAGUUUUUACAAUGGCGUGCAUCUACAAACUGAAUUGACUUGUAGAAUAAGAGCUUGGAGUAAAUGAAAGUUCAUAUUGUGUAAGAGCAUGUAGAUGUAAAGCAUCAUUACCAUUUCUACAAAGUGCUUUCAUUCUUGAACUUUGAAAGGUGCCUCGUUCAAGUCCUAGCUAUAACUACUAGCUUUGAUUAAUUACGUUCCUAUACUAGCUGAAACAGAUUUAUUUAAUUAAUUAAUUGUGUAUGUACUAAUUAUAUUGAAAGUAUAUGAAUUUUUUUUUUAACAUGAAUGACUCCUAAAUGACUUAAAAACCUAAAGGAUGUGUGAAAUAAUGCUCAUUUCACUUGAAUGAGCCCAUUAAUACUUUUAUGUCUAUGAUUUUCAAUAUUGGCUAAAGCAUUUCGGUUAAGUGGUUUACCUAACAGAGAAAAAAAUUUAAUAGAAAACUUCAGAGUUCUAACAGAAAUAUAGUUUACUAUGCAGAUAUAGUUAUUUUACGGUAUACAAAUCAAGUCGUCCUAAUCUCAAUGUCCUAUGACCGAUUUUAUAUUAUAUAGUCAUUAAUUUUUUCCUUGGUUUUUUGUGUUUGUGAGUAUGAAAUAGUGGGAUUUGGUGUACCUUAGCAUCUCUUGAAAAUUCUCUUUCAGUGUGGCCAACAGAAAUAUACAUAUAAUCAAGUUUCUUAAUCCUGUAUAUUAGUUUUGGGUAUGAAUGUUCCUAUUCUAGUUCUAGGCAAAGCUUCUUCAUUUUGGUCUUCAGAUUUCCAGUAGGUUAAGUUAAUCAACUAUCAUAACUGGCUAGCUAGUUAUUGUCUGCCUUGGCGCCAUUACCCAGGCCAUUAUAUUGCAUAGCAUAAGGAAUAGUGAUUAGGUGAUUAUUAGUGAUUUGUUGAGCUUAUUAUCGACCAAACAAACAUAUUCGCCUUUGCCCACAACUUAGUUUGAUUAGUUAUUAGACCAUAAAGAGCCUUGAUCUAUUCAUUGGCUUUAUUAUUUUUAUUUGGUUUUUCUUUCAACAAUAUUGUUGAUUUCUUAUAAAAAUAUUCAUUGGUUUUUAAACACCUAAUCAUUGGCUAUAUGAAGCUAAUUAAAACUGAGGCUUUGGAUCAAUUUCUUCUAACAAGAUACAAAUGAGCAUAACCUAUCUCCUCUGAGUAAAUUUUUUUAAUAUCCUUGAUUUGUAAGGAUCUGGAGGCCUGAAAUCCUCUAGAUUUUUUUUAAUACUGUCAAUGUUCUUUUUAUUCUGAAAAGGAACUAAAAGGUUUUAUCUUUCAUACCCUAAUAGUAAGCUGGCCUUGUCUUAACAUGGCUUCCCGAGGAUUUGGAAGAUUCAUAGGCCCCCCCCCCCCCCCCCCCCCCCACACACACACACACAAAAAGGAAGAUUUUGCAAGAUUCACCACCAGGUUAUUUAUUUAUUUAUGAAUUGUGUGUACAUACUAGUUAUAUGUUGAAAGAAUAGGAAGAAGUAUUUCAACAUGAAUGACUUAAAACUUAUUGCUCAGUAAACAUAAUAUGCAUCAGUGCGAAAAUGUAUUUAUCAUUUGUAUUUUUUAUGGUUUUGCUUAAGAAAUGAUAUGUGAAAUAAUGCUACAUGCCUACAUUGUAUCAGGAAUAACUUGAAAAGAUUUAUGAUAUUUAUGUGUUAUUCAAAUUUCAGAUUCAAUUUUAAACUUUUGAUACGUGCAUUAAAAGUUUAGACUUGUUUAAGAAAUUAUUAAUAGACACAUGUUUUAUUAGUGUCAUAUUUGGAUGAUAGUGAGGAUCAUAUGUCUAUUAAUAAUUCUUGAAUUGUCCGGGCUUGGACAGUUUGGGAAUGCAUACUUCUCUCUGGUAGCUAGUAGCCGAAGUUUUCUUCCCACGUAAAAAUGGGUUUUUCGGUAGCUGCUCCUCAUGUUCUCUGGGUACGUACUAGGUGAAUGGGUGUCGUGUUGUUUUGGCAUAACGCAUAAACACUUAUAUAGCUAUGUCGUGUGCUUGGAGAAUUAUAGGGAGAUGGUGCUGAAAUUUUUAUAAACGUAGAAGAAAACUUUAGGUACUUGAGAUUGAAAAAACUUACACAUUCUUGAGUGGGAUAUGUAGGAUUACUUACCUUUGGUAAAUAUGAAGGGAAUGUUGGAUAUAUUGAGGGUAGUGUAGGAGCUGAGUUGGAUGAAUGUAAUUGGUGAUGAUUUUGCUGAGCUGACAUUGGUUUUGAGCUUGUAAUUUUGUUUGUAAAUGGAGUGCUAUCUCCAAUGUUGGUUUAUAAAUAUGUUUCAGGACUUGCUGACCUAAUUUUUUGUUUCUAGGUUACAGGCUUUAUAUAUCUGUAAUUGAUGGCGAAGUGAAGUUCCCAGCACUUGGCGAGGAUGUUGGUUUAUAAACUGUUUUUUAUAUAUACUUUGAUUUUCACAUCUUUUUCUCUGAUUCUUGUGGCUUUGCUUGCUUUCAUAUAUGUAAAUUCUAAUGAAAUUAAACAUAAAAUUGUAAAAUGAUCUUUUUAUUAUAUUGCAAAACUGUGCACACACGAAAAUAUCUUGUUUAGUAGUAGAAAUGAAGAACUAAAAUGAUUUAUUUAACUAAUAUUUGUAGCGCAUUAAAAGGAGAUAGUCAUGGACAAGUGUUGGGUUGGUUUGCCAAAUAGAUAUCCAAGUCAUAUACUGACGGGGAUGAAAAAUUUAUAGAUUUUGCAUUUGAGAAUGUUGUUGGUGGUACAAGAAUUUAAUGUCCUUUUAAGAAGUGUUGUAAUCUAUAUUUCGUUAUAAGGAAAGUGGCUGAUGAUGAUAUGGUUGGAAUGAUACAAUGCAUCACGUAAUCAAAUGUUCAAGUUACACUCAACAUUGUUAUGGACUAUCAGUGACUUUCUAGCAUUGCCAACUUGUUUGGGUGGAGCAUUAAAGGUAAAUAAGCACGUCUUGUUUGCCAACAAAACACUAGAUCUAAUUGGUUGAUACAUGGUAGAAAAUUUUGUCACGUGGGUCACCGUCGAUUUUUACCGACAAAUCAUAGGUUUCGAAAAUAUAGUGUCUUUUGAUAAAACUAGAGAGUAGGGACAAGCACCUUCUCGGUUGUCUGGAACUGAAGUGAAAAAGCAGUUUAAUAUACUUACUGAGUAUAAGAUUGAAGACUUGAAAAGAGGAGAACGAAUAAAAUGAGAGAAAUGAUAAGAUUACUUGGAAGAAGAACAGCAUUUUUUAUGAGAACUACCGUAUUCAUCAUGAUCUUGUUGUCAUGCACUGCUUUGAUUUUUGUUAUGAACUCAGAUCAAAAGUUUAAUGUGAUCAAACUUUCUUAAAAAAAGUGAAAACGACUCCUAGUAAUAUGCUUUGAUUUUUGUUAUGAACUCAGAUCAAAAGUUUAAUGUGAUCAAACUUUCUUAAAAAAAGUGAAAACGACUCCUAGUAAUAUGGAAGAUGGCUAUAAAAGAUAAAAGGAAAGGCUUAAAAAGAAAAGCCAUGCCUGUCAAAAAAUAAAAAAAUAAAAAUGGCAGCGUCAAAUUUAUAACAAAAAUAAAAACGGUGCGUUUGAGAGUGUAAAAAAUACAUUUAGUGGGAGUUAUGUUGUUGCUUGAAGGCAGAUUGUUUGUGAGAUUUUUGUCGACGAAGCCAAAACCAAAGAUGAAUUACGAGGGUUAUGUUUGCCAUAGUCAAGGAACACGGUCCUCUCACCUUUGCCGAAACUUGGGAACGCGUCAAGGUGUGUGUAUCUAUUAAAUUGAAUUUCAACCGUUUGAUCUGUAAUUAUAAUUAAUCCAAUCAAUCUGACAGUGAUCGCUGACCAUAAUACUAGUAGUUGUUUUACAUUUUCAGCAAGCUGGAGCGAGUGGAUUGACGGGCAAAAGCCACAUGAAGAUUGUGUUGAGAUGGAUGAGGGAGAGACAAAAGCUCAGGCUCGUCUGAAAUCACGUGGGCCCUCAUAAGCAAAUCCUGUACACAACAACUUGAAGCAGCCAAAGUCAGGGAAUGAUCCUUCUCCGUCACAACCCUAGCUGCCUUAAAGUGAGACUGUGAAGAUGAAGUAAAGCACCAGUUGAACAAUGAAGAUGGAAACCCCUCAGCAUGUAAACUUUUCAACAGUGACACAGCUCUUAUUCCAGAGGCUGCACAGAAGAGCGACCUGAAUCCUCUUCAAGACUUUCAAAUUUUUAUCAAGUAAAGCUUCCAAAAUUUCUCAACAAAUUGAUUAUUUGGUGUGGUUGACACAUUUUGUGUAAUAACAGAAAAUUGAUUAUUUGGUGUAACAACAGAAAAUUACAAGAUCGCUGACAAAAUGACAAAAUGACAAAAUGACAAAAUGAAACUGAAGAUAAAUCAGAACAACUACCAAACCUUUGACUGAAAAUUCAAAAGAAUUUAUAUUCAAAAUGUCAAAAUAAACUGGAAAUUUAUUGCAUAUAUUACAAGAAGCAGUACACACCAAUUGUAAAUUGAUACAUCGUUUUUGAAAUUAAGAUAGUCAAAUGAAAGAAACACAACGGAGGGUUAAUGUAACACUUUCAAAGCUGCAUUAGUGAUACAGUAGAGUGAAUACCCUCAGCAUGUAAACUUAACUUCAAAGGACGGAGCACAAGUUUCACAGAAAAGUAGCUCUUAUUCCUGAUGCUGCAAACACAGAGGAGUGACCUCAAUCUUCUUCAUAACUUGGGAAUUCUGCAAUUAUAGAGCACGACAUUGAGCAUGAACUAGAAAAAAUAUUUAUUUUGUACAAUUUUCAUGUAACCUGACUAACCAAGAUUAAUUUGGUGGUAAUGCAUUGGGUCAUUACUUUAUAUGUUUUUACUGUCAUCACUUUAGAAAAAACUAAUUUCUCAAUGUGAAAUGGCCCACAAAAGUAUUAUCGUUUAAAAACUAAAGAUUAAAGCCCCCGGGGGGGGGGGGGUGUCUGAAGGCUUUUUACAUGAAAAUGUUGUCACUUUGAAUGAUAUUUUCAAGGAAUUUUAUUCUAAAAAUAAAAUACGUGGGACCUUAUUCUUCAAAUUGACAGCUCGCCAAGUACUAAAGGCGUAUGAGAUCAGUACUGCGGCGAGUAAGGAGACGACCCCUCCAACAGCUGAAAAUAAAAUUAGCAUUCAUCAAUUUAAAUUAAAAUUCAUAUUAUGAAAUAAAAACUAAUGAUUAAUGAAUUUCCGAGGAAUUUCAUAAGAUUCUCAUAUAAAAACGUGAUAAAAAACUCACUCAUCAAUAACAAAUAUUCUAACAGUUACCCGUACCUUUUCUUGAUGUAAUUGUUGUAUGAUUGUGUUAAGGUCAUUAUUAGACCAACGCAGUUUGUCUUCACUCCUUCCGUACCAGACGUUUACUCUCGGAGGCGUGGUUGAUUCUCCUUUGGUGAAAAUCUUCAUCUUGGGACAACCAAUCACCGACAAAUCUUGCAAAGAUGGGAAUUUGAAGGUGUAAUUGGCAGAGGAGAAGCUUGUGAGACUAUCUAAAUCAAGCAGGGACAAUGUAAUCAAUUUGCUGAAAACAAUCUCUUCUUUUAUAUUUGCUGUUUCAUCUUCGUCACAUACUACGACUUCUGUCAUUGCUGUGCAUCCAAAUACCUUCAAUGAUAAGAGUCGCUCCAGACUUUUUGCUGUGGAGCAUGUUAGUAAGUUCAUCAAUUUCUUGCAAGCAAAAGCUUGCAGGCGUGUGAGAUUCCGAAAAGAUACCGAUGAUGAUGGCAAUAGACUUAACAGAUUUUGACAGUGAUAUGCUCUUAUAAUUUCAAGAUGUUGGAAAAUGAAGUCCAGCUGUUUGGAGUCAUGUUUCCACAGUUGCUGCAGACGAUUAAGUCUGGUCAGGUUUAACCUUUUUAUCAGUGCCAACUUCCUCCCAUGUUUCUCCAAAUAUCCUUCAUUUGAAAAUACCACUUCAUACGAACAAUCCGACAGGAAGAGAAGUUCCAGAUUGUUAAACCUCUCAAGUAAACCAAGUUGAAAGCAAGCUAAGUCAUCAUCCCGAACCAGUAGUAGUUUAAGACUGCCAAAGAGGUGUUGUGUUGAACCUCGCAAAACCACCAGGGCUAGGAAGCCUAAUCCAAAGUAUCUGGCAUUUCUGGAUGUGAGCAAUACUAAUGACGUGGGGGCUAAAAGGCUUGGUCAAGUGUUGGAUGCAUAAAGGACCGAGUCUUGUGCUGGAAAAUCUCUAUAUCUUGUUAGUAGCUUCAGUAGUUGAGUUAAAAUAGGAGUUAGCCGUUGCCUUGCUUCAUUAUUUAAUAAGUUGUAAAACAAGUAGUUGGGGGAGAAAAAAAUAAGAUUUGUCAUUGUGGUUUACUCCAAACCCGAAUUGGAGAACUUUGAAAUAACAGAAGAAUUAUCAAAUUUAUUAAUUCUUGUUGCUGAGAUAAGAAUCUUCUUUCAUUCUAACUUGAGUUCUAACAUGUUGUGGAAAAUCGCCUUGCAAAAUCAUCGUGAUGUCUUUUCCACUUAAUGCCAGUUCCUCCAAGUUGGGUAAGAUCUGAUCAUCAUCGAGCUCAAAUUAUUAACUUAGCACAUUGAUCCAUAAUUCAAGACUGGCAAAAUUCAUUGUGUAAUCAAAGUUUUCAAUGAUCCAACUAAUAUAUAUAUAUAUAUAUAUAUAUUCCUUCUCUAGUGCGGACAUCCUCAUUUUUUUUCAUGUGGACCAGUUUUUAGACCCUAUGGUUUAAAAGAGUUAGUUUUUAACUCUCUAAAACCGCAUGGCUUCAUAAUUCAUUUAAAAACUAACUCUCUUAAACCGCACGGUUUAAAAGUAUGUCUACAUUAAAAAAAAUGCGGACCCCCACACUUGAGAAUGAUUAUAUAUAUAUAUAUAGAGAGAGAGAGACACACACACACACACGCUCUUAAACCGUGGGAUUUGAAAGUUUCUCCGCAUGAAAAAAGUAAAAAAUAAGGGCAUUCCCACUAGAAAAAAACACCAUAUAGGUAUUUAUUAAACCUCCGGAUCUGUGAGUGAGGAACAACAAAGAUAAUUGAUAAAAAAAAUCUAAAAUUUGGUUUCAUACCUUCUUGAACGAGAGUAGGGGUUGUUGUGCCGGAAUACCAAAUUGAUCAUUCUCAUUAUUCUGGGACAACGUUAUUUUAUCACAAUUACAGGCCUCCAAUUUUUUUAGUGCUGGCCAUUCUGAAGUAUGCAUUCCAGGGUAUAAACAUCUGAGUUCUGGUAGACCUUCGAGAUUCAGAGUGGUCACUUGUGGAAAGACAAAAUAUGGGGUCACUUGAUCUGCUCUGUCUUUGGAGAUGAUCUCUUGUAAACCCAUACAUAUCCGUAUCUCCAGGUGUUGGAGGUGCUUAAGGCUUUGGAUCAUAGAAGCUGAAAAUAUGUAUUUUAAUUUGUCACAGCCCCACACUAUCAAUCGUGUCAAACUUUGAAAGCAAGGAAUCAUGGCCGUAAGUUGAUUGUAAUGCCAAAUCUCGUCGACAUUAAUAGCAUUCAGCUCCAAAGCCUCCAAAUUUGGCAACACUACCUAAAGAUAAUUUUCUCUUUAGAUCCAAUAUCCGUAUGGAAAGCACUUGUUUUGACACAAUGUCCAUAUAAGCACUUAAUUAAGAGCUUAAUUAGCCUACGUACCUUCUCGUUGAAAAGCAGAGUUGACGUUUCCGAACUGAUCUCGUUGGAACUGGCUGUCAAUUCCUCUUGCGACUCUUGUCUGUUUGGUGAUGUGGAAGGAGUCUUCACUUCACCGCAAAACCUUGUAACCUUUGGAAGCUUUCCCAGACUCAAAGAUCUUAAUUGACCAAACUCUAUCUUCUCAUCAACAUCAACAUCAGCUUCUCCUCCAGUUGCAAAAAUCUCUUCCAUGCUGCUGCAAUUGAUAACUGCAAUCCUCUCCAGUCUUGGAAGGCAUUUUGUACUACUAGAGAGCCAGAAGAUAUUACUCAACUCAUCACAAUUUUCCACUUUUAUGGUUUUGAGUUCUUUGAAGGACUCUAUUUUGAGUCGAUCAAUACAUAUCCUCUCCAUAUUGAUCAAAUUGUGAAGAGUAAGGGACUCCAAAAGAGGAAAGGCGACACAUGGUUCUCUCUCCAUUGAAUCGACGAUACACAGGAAGUCCGGAUUAUUUUGAACAUGGAGAUGCUUCAAUUGUGAAAAGCCCUCAGUGUCCAAUUCUAAAACAACAUUCUUGAUUCCUUGCAACUUAUCCAAACAUAAGUAUUCAACGUUAUUGAUGCCCUGCAACUUCUCGGAGCAAAUGGCCAUAGAAUCAAGCUUGAGCUUCAAUGUUCUUAAACUCUCAUGAUUACUGAUCAUAAAGUGCUGCCGACUUUCAAACCAAUCAUUCUCAAUAACCAGGGUAGAGUCGAAUGAUGCAUCUCCUAUUGAUAUAUCAAACCUUUCCAGCUUUUUGGAAAAAAAGCCAUCCGGUAAAAUGGUAUCAUUUUUAACAUCUAUUUCUAAAGUGGUCAAUCGCCUCAAAUGCAUCAAUUCGUCGAGGGUGGCAUUACUUCUUUCACUAUUGGCCUUUUCAACUUCCCAUUCAAUAGGGGAAUUACCCAUAUACAGUUCUUCCAAUCGAGUGAAGCUUGAUAAGACGUUGGGCACAAUAAAUUUUAGUUGCAAACAAUCUGUUAAAUCUAACAGCCUUAACUUAGUCAGUUGACCUAGUUCGCCAGGCCACCGUACAAUAUCAGAAUUUAAAAAGCUAAGGAUUUCUAGAUUCUUCUACUUUCCAAUUAUGGCUGUGUCUCCCAACAUGCUUUGAUCUAGACAGAGUGUUUGAAGAUUUGCUAGAAGACCGAUUGAAGAUGGCAAUGAAAAUAAUCGCAUUCGUGUCAAAUCUAUAACUCGAAGCUUUUUCAUCCCUUUGAAAAUGUUGUCAGGAAUAUUGACCUCGACAAAAUAGUCUUUGGGAUGCAUAUGUAAAAAUUCAAGUUGCGGACAUUCAAAUUCCUCAGAAACUUCAUGAAUGCGACUAUUUAGUAAAGAGAUUGCAGAGCAUUUUUUAAGUGCAUCCUCAUCUGGCCACUCCCACACAGCCUCAUUUCUCACCAAGAAAGCAUGUUGGUCUCGACAUGCAAUUGAUACGGCAACAUCGCAGACAACAUCAUGCAUGGAAAAUUGUUCACUGCUAUCACCCUCAAGCAAUAAACAAGAGUCUCUAAGUUCAUGGACCAAUGCAUAUAAUUUGUUUCGUGCAUCUACCAUCCUGUUGACUCCUUGAAAUAUGCCCAAACCCAUGGAGUAUUUAAACAAGUCUGUAAACCAAAAACUGUUACCUAUUAGACUACAGAGCAGAAAAAUUUUCUUGAGUUGCUCACCUUUUAAAUACUUGAAACUCAGUUCAAUACUUGAAUAAGUCUCUGCAGGCACACCUUCGAAGUUUAUCACUGAAGGCGUUUGGAGUUCUCGCAAGGCAUUCUUCCACUCAUGCAGACACUUGUUUCUCAGUGCCCUCGCAACUGUAGUCAGGGCAAUGGGCAAACCUCCACAUGCCUGGGCUACAUUAAUUGCUGUAGACUUGAACUUACAAUUUUCAACAUCAUCACCAUUCAUUAUCUUAAACAAUCUCCAAGCUUCUUCUUCAUUUAGAUUGCCAAUCAAGAAGUUAUCUUUGGAGCCCAUACUUAAUAGCACAUUAUUGUCUCUUGCUGUCAGCAGUAGUCUACAUCCUUUAUGAUCAUUUCCGAAGGGAAUUCCAACCGUCUCCAAAUCAAGAUGUUUCCAGAUAUUAUCUAGAAUCACAAGAAUCUUAUUCUCAUUCUUCAGUCGUUCAUACAGCCUGCUAGCUCUUCUAUAUUCAGCUUCAUCGGACAACUCCAGACCUAACUUCUCUGCAAUUUCCCCUUGAAUCUUUUUUAUGUCUGGAGUUUGUGAAACCUCUGAAAAAACCACCCGAUCAAACAGCUUGUCUUCCCUGGCUUGCCUAGCAAACUCCUUCACCAGUGUCGUCUUUCCAAUGCCGCCCAUGCCGUACACCCCAAUAAUGCUGACAUUCACAUCAGUCAACGCAUUUUGUAUAGACUUCAAAGUAGAAACUCUUGAUUCGAAGGCCUCGUAACCUUUGUUAGACUUAAGCCAUAUCUCCUCCGGAGUGGUACGGUGGGAAACGAUAUCAAACUUCUUAACUUCUUCUCCAAGUUCAACAAGGGCCUUCACCUCUGUCUCUGCUUUCUUGCUAAGCUGAUAGCGGGUCUUCAAAUUACGACACAAGCCCUUGAGACAGCGCUUAUUUGUUGACUCUUCAUCUUCAACGAAUUUGGCUGCCCGGUCAAUGAUGCCGUUAACACUAACCAGCCACUUCUCAACCUUCUCUUCAAUCUCUUCCCCUUUUUCUUUCGCCUCUGAAACUCUGCGCUGAAUGCUCGUACGUUCAACCUUCAACUUCUCCAUUUCCGCCUUGAGAUUCUCAAGGUUGGCAUUGUGGUUCCGCCAUCGCAAAUAAACAACUUGGCGUUCUGUUGGAGGAGCCAAGCAUUUUACAAGUUCCAAAACGAGAGUAACAAUGAUUUCCAGCAUCUUGAAUCCUGACAACAAUGUAGAAGUGAAGAAGGCCAAAGGACAGUCAAAACAGAGAGACAGCGUUACGACAAGCAGUUAUGAAGCUAAAAAUAAAUAACAAACAAACAGAAGCAAAGUGUUUUUCGAAUGAGAAGAAGGAAGCAAGAAAAGGGUUUCUGUUUUAGAUUAAGGAUAAGAAAUGAUUAAGAGAGUGGGGGAGCUAAUAAGAGAGUGGAUUGAGCAAACGUAAAUAAAUUUUUCUUAACCUUUUGUCACACGCGUGUGACAAAUAAUAUAAUUAAUUUUAUAUUUUUAUUCAAUAACUAUUAAUUAUAAUUUUUAAAAAUUAUUAAAAAGAAUAAUUAAGUACUGAAUUCAAAUCCUAUCCUAAAUGGUUAGAUAAAAAUAAGUGAAUGAAAAGAGUAAUGGUAGAUUAAUGAGAAAGUGAUUGAUUAAUUUAUGAGGCCAAUUAACGAAACGACAGAUCUGGUUUCCAUGUUUGUAAUUUAAGUGUAUCAGUACGAGGUACACCGACUCUCCCAGUUUCUUUAGCAUUUCUCUCCGUGGAAAUAAGUGAAAAGCCAAAGUGAUUUGAUUAUUUUUAUGGCCAACUAAUGUAUGACAGAUCUGGUUUCAAUCUCUGCAAUGUAAGUGUAUCAAAACGAGGUCAACAACUCUUUGUCGAGUCAGUCAAAUACGCAAGCAGAGCGAACAAAUUUUUUUUCCAAUUAAGUAAUCAUCAAGUGAUAACCUUCUUUUUCUAUUAAAAUAAGGAGUGCAGAACAACUGUCAAGAGAUAAUCAUUGUUUAUUAUAUUUUCGAUUAAAAUAGUUGCGCGUGAACGAUUGCCCGAAUUCGUAUAAAUUGUUGUCAGGUCUAUUAUAAUUAACAAGUGGAAUGGCCAAUGGAUGAAGAACCACUGCAAUUUCGUUUAUGAAUUUAAAAUGCUAAAGAAACUGGACACCAACGCUAAACGUGAGUUUGAGGCCCUUGCCUCAGUGUCUUUCAGGCGUUACUCGGGGUAGUUGAUAUACUGACGGCCCCGUUAUCAAUUAAUCAUCGAAAUAGAUUAAAAUAUGAAUGGAUUGGAAUGGAAUGAGUUGGAAUUAAAAUAUGAAAUGAUAGUCAGAUUAAUUUAUUUUUUUUUAAAUUAGAAAAUUAGAAUAAAAAUAAAUUAUAUUAUUAUUGAUGCAUUUGCUUUAUCUUAAAAUUACGAUGAGUUAUUACAAGUUACUAAUAUGCCUUUGAUUUUUUAUUAUAAUUAUAGUUAUUUAUUAUAACAUUUGUCAUAUAAUAAUAAUAAUAAUAAUAAUAAUAAUAAUAAUAAUAAUUGUAACAAUUAAUAUUGAAAAAAAAUUUAUUGUUAAUAAUAAAUAGGCAAUUAUCCAUCGACCAUGUGAUCUUUCGAACUUUUUCAAAAAUAGAUAAACACUUUUUUCUUUGCAGAAAUCCACCUGAAAUUUACAAAGCGUUUCAAUUGUUUAUUGUCAUCUUAACUCUGUUAGAAUUUUGUUGAUGUCAUAAGGACAAAAUUAUCAUUUUCACCUAAAUAUCCAAAAAGGGUAUCUUUCAAACAUGAUUAAGAUAAAAAAGUAAAAUAAAUUAUCCAUUGACUAUAUAAUUUUUUAACCUUUAUAAAAAAUAUUAAAAAAAUAUAUGAACAUUUGUUUUUAUUUUUCAACAAUCUAUCGGAUAUUUGUGAAGUGCAUUAGUGCUCCACUACUAUCAUAACCCUUUAAAAAUAUCGCUUAAACACGAGAACCUAUUGCCUAAAAUUAUUUUUCAAGCAAAUGCAACGACAUAUCUGGUUUUGAUCUUCGUGACUUUUAAGUGUGCAAGAACAAGAUGAAUGACCCUUUGUCGAGUUGAAGAAUUAAGAUGAAUCAAUUACAAAUCUAGAACAAACUUACAUGUGACAUUUUAGAAUUAAGCAAACUAUAAUUGAUCAUCCAGUGAUAGGCUUAUUUUCAAUUAAAUUAGAGUAAAGAUAUACAUUCCAAAUUUUUUAUCUCAAAAUUAAUCUUAGAUGAUGUCAUUAAUUGAGUACUUGGUAAUUCUUUCAAGAUCUAAGUGAAUUAAUUAUAUUAUCUCUCUAACCAAUUGAUGAAUAUCAUAUUAUUUUGGAUAAUUUUUUAUCUCAAAUCCUAGAAAAGAAAACAAAAGAAAGGGAGCAAAAAUAUUUUUAGAAACGUAAAAUAACCAAAAAAACACCUUUUCUUGUUUUUCUUAUUUUCCACUAUUAAGCUUCAAAAUGAACAACUUUAUUCUACAAUCUCUCAAAUAAUAUUAAUAACAACAACGUCGUCAUCAUCAAUAAUAAUAAUAAUAGAUUAAUUUUGUAGGAUGGAACUCUCUCAAAUCUUCAAGACACAAAAUGUGCUUGACCCCAUUGUUGUUAUUAUAAUUUCAAAAUCAUAUGUAUUAUAUAAUAUUAGGGAAUAUAACAUAGCAAAAUUGAUGGUACAUAUGUUGCAAUAUACUUGCUCAUGUGGCGACACAUUGACGUAAAGUACAAGCAGAACAACGAAAAAUGUAACGGGAGAGCUCUCAUUAUGUAGAUUUUCAAUAGAAGUAAUGCAUAUUUCACAAGGGCAAUGGCCUUAUUUCAAAUGCUGCACCUGAGGAAUGACUUGAAUCUUCUAUAGAACUCAGGCAUUCUGUAAUCAUAGAGUAUAUCAUUUCAACAAAAAUAUUAUAUAGGUCGUUCCUUAUAUAUUUUAUGGGUACACAUACAGAAAUAUUACUUUGGGUACAUUUUUUGCAAUAAAGCCUGCCCAAUCCAGCGUUUUCAUAAGUUGGGUUUCUCAUUUACUUGUUUUUUCCAUUGGUUAAUUAUCACAAACCUCCACUGAGAUUUAGCAUAUUUUUAGUUUAAUAGAUUGUAUUCGCGCAAAUAUCUUUUCAGACAUUAGUUUACCACUUCGUAUAAAUUAAGUUGGUGAGGAUAAAAUCGUAAAAGUACACAUUAAUGAUAAAAAAAUUCAAGUAAACAUGAAAUUUUCACGUUGUGUUCUGAAAUUGGUCUCAACUUUUUAAAUGUCCAUUAGGUAAAGAACAGAAGCAAGCUUUACCCAGCACACAAAAGCAAGCUUUGCGCAGCACGCAUUAACGCCCGCAAAAAUGAAAAAGGAAAAAUGGUCAUCUCUUUCCUCCAUUCGAAUUGAAGCCAUGAAACGCAACAUCCCUUUCAUCUUCUCUCUAAUGCUUUGAUUAAAAAACUUGCUUACGAACGGGAGACCAUGACACUGAAUCCGGAGACGGCAAUACCAGAGACGAUUGAUCGAUUUGGAAGAAUACCAACCAGUGACUUUCGCCGUCGACCCACAAACAGUCCCAGUGUUUUCGAGCCGUGAAUGAGGUAUGAAUCAGAUUAUUUCCGUGCAUGUCAGUUUUGUUAGGUGAUUUGGUUUAAAAAAAGAAUAAUGGGUCUCGAAAAUUUUUUGAGAGUAUUUCUGUUGCUUACAUUUUUUUUCCAUUGAUUAAUGUUAGUUGUAGGUGAAUGAUUGUUUCAAAUGCAUGUUCGCGUGUGACUGAUUGAAAAUGGCUUGUGAUUUGUCAUGCUGCCGUAUGACUGAUUGAAAAUGGCUCUAAAAUUUUUUUUAUUUGUUUAAGCUACUGAUUCUGAUUAUUGAACAGGAAUUCAUGCUAGCUUUUGUGAAAUUAAAGAUGAGACUAUUUUUUAAGAGAUCUGCCAAACCUUCUCUACUAUAGAUUUGGCUUCUGACAUACCUGGUUGGCUGGAGAUAAUUGUUUAUAUAGUCAUUGUUGCCCGUAUUAUUUAGGAAUAUUGAUUAGCAAUGUACUGGAUUAGAGAUUGGUAUAAUUUUGGAAAAUUAGUCGUAGAUGCAACCUGAUUAUGGUCUCAAAUAGUGUGAUCUGUCAAUUUCGUCUGCUAUGGCCUAACAACCUUGAAUCUGAGCUAUGCUACUAUACAAAGUCCUGACCUAAUCAAGCUUGUUAGCCAAUGUCCAAAAUUGCAGUGUCUUUAGAUAAGUCCCAUCUUAUUUGUUUGAAUUAUAAAUGAAAAUUGCAGUGUCUUUGGAUAAUCACGCUGAAUGUUCAAGUUAUUGACAAGAAGGGACCCCCAGAUUCAAGGCCGGAGCUCCCUGUUGAGAAGCUUUAUAUAUAUAGGAUUGUCGCUGGGUGGAGGAUCGAUAUGCCCGGUUUUGUUUGGAAUAAGGAUGAAGAUUUUGCAUUGAGGCUUUCUUGACAGAUCAUUCUGCAAAUCAAGCUCCAUGUACCUAUCUUCAAACUCUAGGAUAUGUAUAAAGCAAGUGCAUGCUCUAUAUGUCACUUAUUGUAUCCCGAUUAUUUUUCUAUUACUUAAUAUAAUUGCAGUCCUUGAUGAAGUUGGAGACAACUUAUGGAGGGUAUCCAGGAGCUCGAGAGCUCGAUUGCCAUUCAUUUUACACUUGGCUGAGCUAUAGAAUACCAACUAGUGAUUAAUAAAGAGAAGGUAUGAAGGUCCUAUUGCUGGUGGUAUUAUCAAUCAGAAUUGUUAUUUUACUUGGUCAUAGUUACCAUGUAUACUAUUCAUAGACUUUUUGCAUGUUUAUGUAUUUGCGUUCAUCGUUUUGUUAAGCUAGAGAUGGUUGAUUUGUGUACUCAUUUGUAUCACUUGUAGCCCUUGAGGAAUAAAAUUUAAAAUUUUGUUGCAUCUCCUGUACUAAAUACUAAUUUUGUUGGCUUUAUGUAUGUGAAAUGGUUCAUUAUGUUAUUUCUUUGAUGUGUGUAUAGUGUUACGCUGUCUAAAGUCGAAAAGUAUUUCUAUCACUUGUGUAAAAAACAACCUACUUUUUUUCACUCUUCUUAUAUUGAAUAAAAGAGGAACACCAAGAUCUUCACCAAGAUUGAACGAAAUUUGAUGCAAAAUGCAUAGCAAUUAGGCCAGUGCAAAACAACUUCCUUCUGAUUCUCUGAUAUUUGACUUAAAUCUUUUGUUUGUUUCAUUCAUCAAAGUCAUUUUGGAAAGUAGCAGGGGUGAUUUGAUAUUUUCAUUGUAUUCACAUCCCUUGGCACCAAAACAAACAUGCUGGUACUAACCAACAAUUUUUUUUAAUUUUCAGUAUACAAAUUAUCUUUUUUUUUCUAAAUUAGGGGUAUUAAGAAAAGGUAUACUAGCAUCGGGGGAGGUAUUUGAGAAUACACAAAUACAGGCUAUCAAACUGAGAAUACGCCAAAUCUCAGGGGAGGUUUCUGAUAAAUCUUUUUUUUUCCUUUUCCUCCAUUUACUAUAGGUUCAAUUUAGACAUUGUUGACCAAACAGAAGGUUUAGGUUGGUAAACGCACUAGUGUUAAUGUCAACAACCCAAGGGGCUUCAUGGUCCUCUGGGCCGAAAUAGCGUAAUUAUUAAUUCUCCUCCAGUGAAAAUCUUCAUCUCGAGACAAAUAAAUACGAAUUGACAUUAUAGCUGUGCAAAUUUGGAGGUGUAAUAACCGGAAAAGUAAAAAUCUUUAGAGACAUUUCAAAUAAAAAAGAUACAACACCUUCAAUUUGCUAAAAGUAAUGGUAUCAUUUCUUGUACGGAUAAUGGAUGAUUAGAUUUUGUUUUUUGUUAUCCGACGAAGGAUAUUCAGUUGUUCUUUAUGUGUUCACAGGCAAGAGCAUGAGCAUGUUUAUGAUUUGAUAUAUGCUUCUUGCAUUUUUUAAUUAAGUACUCUCUUUCCUUACUGUGAAGCCGAAAUUAGUUAUAAUCUGUUAUGGACAUGCUGAGGUGGCAGGUGAGCUGGCAUAAGUGGGAUCCAAAUCAAGAGUUGGUUAGUUAGUUAAAUAACAGACUGACUCAUUGCAAGUGGAAACACACGUGAGAAGCAUACAUUUAUAAGCUGUCUCUAAGCUAGCUAAACAUACAUAGAAUCAUAGAGAAUUUACAGAGAGGAAACACUCGAUAGGUUUUAAUCUGUAAUUGGUGACUCAGUUGUAAACCAUCUUCUUCUUGUUGUUCAAUAAAGCCUCUGCCCUUGCUGGUUUUACAGCCGUGGAUGUAGGUUCCUUUGUGGAGCUUAACCACGUUAGUUUCUUGGUGUGUUGUGAAUCUUUGAUUGCUUGGUUCUUCUUUGUUCUUUUCUUAAUGUUGUUUCUGUAAACUCUGGUUUUGUGGGUUGCUUAAUUCUUGUUCAAGUAAGCGAAGUAAACACGUUUGCCAUAACAAACUGGUAUCAGAGCCUGGUAUUGGUUGGGAUCAGACUCAAAGAUGGCAAGCACCAGAGUUGAUCUUGAAAAGUUCAAUGGAGAUAAUGAUUUUUAUCUCUGGAGUUUGAAGAUGAGAGCAAUACUUAUUCAAUAAGGGCUUGACAGUGCCCUCGAUGAUGGAGAAGAUCCGAUGGCCAAGAAAGAAAAGGCAGAAGGCUCUUCAAGCCUUGGUGCAGAUCAGAGGAUCAUAAACAAUAAGGCCCAUAGCACCAUUAUCUUGCAUCUCUCUGAUGAAGUCUUGAGAGAAGUAUCCAAAGAAAGAACUGCAGCUGGUUUAUGGGCAAAACUAGAAGAAAUGUUUCUGAAGAAAUCAUUGGCAAAGAGGAUGUACAUGAAGAGGAGAUUGUACACAUUCUCAAUGAAAGAUGGAGUAGCCAUGAAAGAUCACGUGGAUGAGUUUAAUAAACUCAUUCUUGAUCUCGAGAAUGUCAACAUAAUUCUUGAAGAUGAAGACAAGGCACUCAUCCUCUUAAGUUCUCUUCCAGAAUCUUAUGAACAUUUUGUAGAUACCCUCAUCUAUGGCAGACAAACCCUCUCUUUGAAAGAUGUCAAAGAUGCUCUGAAAUCCAAGGAUUUGAAGAAAAGAUCAGACAUGAAAGAUCAAAACAAUGCAGAAGGUUUGGUUGCCAAAGGAAAGCCAGAAAAGAAACACAAUAAGCAGAAAAAGAACAACAGCCAGAAAGAUAAAGCUGAAAAGAAGAAGAAGAAGAAGAGAAAGUGUUACUUCUGUCAGAAAGAGGGACACUACAUUAAAGAUUGCUUUGAGAAAAAGAAACUAGAAGAACUGCAAAAGAAAUCAAAUGGGAAGACUGCUGUUGCCUCUGAAGAUGAAUGUGACUACGAUGAAGCAGAUGUCUUGGUGGCUGCAGAAAGGCACCCAACUGGUGAGUGGAUUCUGGACUCUGGUUGCUCAUUCCACAUGUGUCCAAAUAAAAGUUUCUUUAAGACCUUUGAAAGUGUAAAUGGUGGAAAGGUAUUGUUGGGAAAUAACCUAGCUUGCAAGGUGGCUGGAAUAGGAACCAUUAGCUUAAAAUUGCAUGAUGGUGUCACUAGAGACUUGCACCAAGUAAGAUUUGUCCUUGAACUGAAAAGAAACUUGAUAUCUCUAGGAAUGGUUGACCAAUCAGGGUGUACUAUUAAGGCUAAAAAUGGAGAGAUACAGGUCUUGGAUCAGGGUAAAAUUGUAAUGAAAGGGGUUAGGAAAAAUGGGCUGUACAUACUAGUUGGAUCCUCACUUGUGCAAGGGAUCUCAGCAAGUGUGACCAGAGAUAAAACCAAGCUCUGGCACAUGAGACUAGCUCAUAUCAGUGAGAGAGGUCUCAAGGAGCUAAGCAAUCAAGGUUUGCUUGGUGAUGACAAAGUUACUUCCUUAAAAUUCUGUGAGAAAUGUGUGUUUGGGAAGGCCACAAGACUAAAAUUCAGUUUAGGGAGAAAAGAAACCAAACAGACUCUAGAUUACAUCCACUCAAACCUUUGGGGGCCAUCACAAGUUCCAUCUUUAGGUGGAGCUAGGUACUUUGAGUCCUUAAUAGAUGACUACUCUAGGAAGGUUUGGAUCUAUGUGUUGAAACACAAAAGUGAAGCACUAGGGAAGUUCAAAGAGUGGAUUACUCUCAUUGAAAACCAAACUGAUAAGAAAAUAAAGAGGCUCAGAACAGACAAUGGGCUGGAGUAUUGCAGCAAAGAGUUUGAAGAUUUCUCCAAAUAUAAGGGCAUUACAAGGCAUAGAACUGUCACCUACACUCCACAGCAAAAUGGGUUGGCAGAAAGAAUGAACAGAACCAUAAUAGAGAGGGUAAGAUGCAUGCUGCUGAAUGCAAACCUAUCCAAAGGUUUUUGGGCAGAAGCAGUCACCACAACUGCCUACUUGAUAAACAGAAGCCCAUCCUCAGCUCUAGGUUUCAAGACACCUCAGGAGCUUUGGUCUGGAAAGCCACAAGACUUGAGCAAUUUGAGGAUCUUUGGAUGUCCAGCUUAUGCACACUUAAAGCAAGGUAAGCUUGAACCAAGGGCUGUUAAAGGGUAUUUCUUGGGCUAUCCUGAGGGCAUUAAGGGAUACAAGAUAUGGACCCUCAAUGGCAAACCAUCUAGGAUAUUAAUCAGUAGGGAUGUCACCUUUGAUGAAGAGCAAAUGCUUCAGUCAAAGGUAGAAACUGAGAUUGAAGCUGCUGAAAUAGAGGAAGAAGAAAGUGCUGGACAGAUGGUAAAGCAUUCUGAUAGUUGUAAGCCUUCUGAACAACCAUAAGACCAGACCAAGGAAAGAAAACAACCAUCAGAACUGGAAACAUAUCAGCUUGCUAGGGACAGAGAGAGGAGAGCCAUCAAAAUGCCAAAGAAGUAUGGCAUAGCUGACCUCAUUUCCUAUGCACUGACAGUAGCUGAUGAAGUAAAUGGUGGAGAGCCUUUGAGCUAUAAAGAAGCUAUGAGAUGUGAGGAUAAGCUGAAAUGGUAUGCUACAAUGCAGGAUGAAAUAGUCUCUUUAAAGAAGAAUAAUACCUGGAUCUUAGUGGACAGACCAUCUAAUAAGAAACUAGUUGGCAGCAAGUGGAUUUUCAAGUUGAAGGCUGGAGCUUCAGAGAAUGAACCACCAAGACAUAAAGCCAGACUUGUGGCAAAGGGAUUCACACAAAGAGAGGGAGUUGACUUCAAUGAAGUGUUCUCACCUGUAGUCAAAUACAGCUCAAUUAGGUUGCUGUUGGCCUUCUCUGCAUAUCAUGACCUGGAGCUGGAGCAGACGGAUGUUAAAACUGCCUUCUUACAUGGCAGUCUUGAUGAAGAGAUUUUCAUGGCACAGCCAGAAGGGUUCAUUGAGAAAGGAUCAGAGGACAAAGUGUGCUUAUUAAAGAAGAGCUUGUAUGACCUCAAGCAAUCUCCAAGGCAAUGGUAUUUAAAGUUUGAUGAGUUUAUGCUAAGCCAUGGAUACUGCAGAAGCAGAUUUGAUAAUUGUGUGUAUUAUAAAUUCCUGUCAAAUGGUGGUGGCAUCUACUUACUUAUGUAUGUGGAUGACAUGCUUAUUGCAUGUAAACAAAAUGAAAAGUAAAGAAGCUUAAGGUGGAGCUCAGCACUGAAUUUGAAAUGAAGGAUUUGGGUGCAGCUACAAAGAUUCUGGGAAUGCAGAUAAAGAGAGAUAGAGAGUCCAAAGUUUUGUAUCUGUCUUAGGAGGAUUAUGUGAAGAUGGUGUUAACCAGGUUCAAUAUGAAAGAUUCAAAGCCUGUUUCAACACCUCUGUCAGCUCACUUCCAGUUAUCUAAGUCACUGGAACCUACAACUGAUGAUGAUUUUAACUACAUGAGGGAGAUACCUUGCUCCAGUGCAGUUGGCAGCAUCAUGUAUGCCAUGGUGUGCACCAGACCUGACUUGGCUCAUGGAGUUGGAGUCAUCAGUAGGUUUAUAGGGAAUUCAGGGAAGGGUCACUGGAAUGCAGUGAAAUGGGUACUAAGAUAUCUUAAAGGGUCUGCUGUCACUGCCAUCAUGUUUGGUAAAAUAAGUGGAGCAUCACCUGUAGUGGCUGGAUUUGUGGACUCAGACUAUGCAGCAGACAAAGAUAGAAGGAGGUCCAUCACAGGUUUUGUGUUUACUAUAUGUGGAGGUGCUAUAAGUUGGAAAUCUUCCCUGCAGUCAGUGGUUGCCCUCUCAACAACAGAAGCUGAAUAUAUUGCACUUACAGAAGCUGUCAAAGAGGCAAUAUGGCUGAGAGGGCUGGUCUCUGAAUUGGGGUUUAAACAAGAAGUUGUUGUAGUUGGCUGUGAUAGCUUAAGUGCUAUUCAGCUAAGUAAAAAUCCUAAGUAUCAUGAGAGAACUAAACAUAUUGAUGUUAGAAUGCAUUUAAUUAGGGAUGAAAUCAGCAAAGGAGUAGUGAAUGUGGUUAAGGUGCCAUCUGAAGUAAAUCCAGCUGACAUGUUAACCAAGCCUUUGCCAUCAGUCAGGUUCAGGGACUUACUGAAUCUGAUUGGAAGUGUUAGCUUGUGAAACAAGCUUACUGGUGCUGUGUUGCAGUGAAGGGAGAAGCAUAAACAGAUUAGAACUAAGGUGGAGAUUUGUGAAGCCGAAAUUAGUUAUAAUCUGUUAUGGACAUGCUGAGGUGGCAAGUGAGCUGGCAUAAGUGGGAUCCAAAUCAAGAGUUGGUUAGUUAGUUAAAUAACAGACUGACUCAUUGCAAGUGGAAACACAUGUGAGAAGCAUACAUUUAUAAGCUGUCUCUAAGCUAGCUAAACAUACAUAGAAUCAUAGAGAAUUUACAGAGAGGAAACACUCGAUAGGUUUUAAUCUGUAAUUGGUGACUCAUUUGUAAACCAUCUUCUUCUUGUUGUUCAAUAAAGCCUCUGCCCUUGCUGGUUUUACAGCCGUGGAUGUAGGUUCCUUUGUGGAGCUGAACCACGUUAGUUUCUUGGUGUGUUGUGAAUCUUUGAUUGCUUGGUUCUUCUUUGUUCUUUUCUUAAUGUUGUUUCUGUAAACUCUGGUUUUGUGGGUUGCUUAAUUCUUGUUCAAGUAAGCGAAGUAAACACGUUUGCCAUAACACUUGCCUUCUUAGUUUUGAAAGAAAGAUGUGAAGCAAAGCAAACCCAGUGAAAUAUACAGAGAAGCAGAACCAUCAGAGGAAAAACUAAAUAACAGAACUACAAUUGAACCAAACAAAAUCAAAUAAACCGAGGCAACAGAUGCCCUGAAUCAGGCAUCGCUUUUCCUCGAAAGAAAAUAUGUUUGCAUGGGUGGGAACCUAGUAAUUACUCAAGAGUUGAGGAGUUGGAAAGAUUUGGUAUUCAUAUCUUCACAAUUCAUAUGCUUUAAUGCAGAAUCGACAGCUUUAUAUUAUUUUAUUCAACCAAAAACGAUAAAGCAGUAAAACCACAAUAAUCCACCAACUUUUGAUACUUUUAGGAAUUUUUUUAGUCAAAUUAAGUUUCAUGAUAAAACAAGUGGCUCCUCCACACACUUGCACUUGCUUGAAUAUUCGUGCCGACAUUUUCAUAUGUGAUGGUACUUCUUAGCCAGUAGAUAUGUUGAAGUACUACAAAACAGAGUAUUUGAUGAAGUUUUGCUACUUUCGUAUCCCUUUUUUUGUUGCAUAACUAAAUUCUUUAUAAACACAAAUUAGAAAGAUACAAAUAAUACAGUAGCUUGAAUUUAUAUGCUUUUAUGAUUAUUUGAUAAUCUAGUGCUGAUCAUAUGUGAUGAUAAACUUAGCUAGUAGUUUUAUAUUUGUUUUCGUAGUUUCCUUAGCGUUCACAUUUUGAUGAGUAAAUUAAGGAUUUCCAGAUGAAGUACAUAAUUUGAUGAAUGCUAAGGAACUGAAGUUUGAUUAAUUGAAAACAAAAAUAAUAAUGCAGGUAAUUGCGAAAAUGAGCAAUGCAGAAGUAGUCCCUAUAGUAUUUCUAAAUUUUCUCUUGGGGUUCCUUAGUAUUCCUUAAUAUUUUUUAAAAAUGACAUGACGAUCUUUGAGUUGACGAAUCUUGGCCUGCUGCUUAGUACCCUUCCAACAUAUAAAGUACUAGAUGUUUUACUGAGAAAAUGACUAGAUCAUUUACCAAAUUUCUUGCGCAUAUAUACGUAUGCAUACGAGAAAUGGGAAUCAAUGAUUAUAAGACCUUGCAAUGAGACAAUAAUACAUCAUCAAAUCUAAAAAUACACAAGAAAUUCGGGACAUAUAUAUAACAAAAGACCUCUCAUUGAGUCAUACAUAUUGAGAAUAAAAUGUCAAAAUGCAUACAAAGAGCUUAUACAGAAAAUGAAUUUACACAUAUUUAGAAUAAACUGUCUUUGAACUUUCGAUGGUCAAAUAAAGGAAACAGACAGGAUAUUGUUAACAUAUAUGUUUCCAUAAUGUUGAUUUUGAUGAUAACAAACAUGAUUAAGAAUAAUUAAUCUUUUAAGCUCAAAUUAUUUUCUUUUUAAAUAAAUCAUUAUUUUCACAUUUUAAAGGUUUUAUAUUUAAUGGAAAAAUGAUUUUAAGAAAUUGAUUGUUUUUAUUCUUUUUAAAUAAAUCAUUAUUUUCACAUUAUAAAUGUUUCAUAUUUAAUGGAAAAAUGAUUUUAUGCAAUUGGUUGUUUUUCAAGUUUAUGGUUUAUUUGAAAGAGUUUUGAAAACUUUGAAAUCAACAAGUAUUGCUUGAAAUUUUGGAGAAGGAUUUAUUUGAAAAGUAUUCAUAGCAUUUUGGGCUAUAUUAUAAUUUCAUAAAGUUUUGGAAAUAGUAAGUAUUAUUUAGAAAUUCUGAAAUUGGACUUAUUUGCAAAGUUUCAUAACAUUUUGGGCCGUAAUACAGUUUUAUAAAGUUUUGGGGUCAAACGAUAAUUUUAGAAAAUAUGUCACUGUAGCAGUUACUGUAGAAAACGGCGAUCCGACAUCUUGAUAACGGCUCGCCGACAUCUAACAGAAUUGAAGAUUAGUCUCUGGACCUAAACGGCGAACCGACAUGUGUGAUAAACGGCUCGCCGAUAUCAACCAGUAGCCUCUGGACCUAAACGGCGAUCCGACAUAUAGUUAACGGCGAGCCGACAAUUUGAAAAAUCAGCCCAACGGUCAUAUUGACCAGUCAAACGGCGAUCCGACAUCUAGCUAACGGCGAUCCGACAGUGUGCAGAAAGUCAAUAACGGCUAGUUUUCAGCUCUAACUAUAAAUAAGCUCAAUCCAAUUCAAACAAGGAGUGAUCCAAGAGUUAUCAUUGAGCUUGCCAUUGAGCAUAAAAUUAUUAUUGAGCUUUGAACUUGUUUUUGUUUCUUUGAUUCACACAUUGAGCAUUCAUUUGUAAUCAAACACAUUGUGUGAGAGAAAAUUCAUUUGUAAUAUUUAUCCUUGAGAGGUUGUAAGUGUUGGGAUACACUUGGGUUAAGAGAUUGGAGAUAAUCUCUUGUUGUAAAGGUCCAUUGACACCUUGAAAGUCAAUUGUAAGCGUUUGAAGCAUUGGGAGGCUAGCUUAGUGAAAUCCUCAAGCCCGGUGAGCUUGGAGGCGUGGACGUAGGCGGAGAUUGCCGAACCACGUAAAAAUCAUUGUGUUUGUUUUCUCUUCCCUUACUCUUUUAUAUUGUGAUUGAUUUAUUUGUUAUUGCUUUAAAUUAGUUUUGGAUUUUCAUUGUGUUUUGUUUUAGAAUUGAAUAAUUUUUUAAUAUCCCAAUUCACCCCCCCUCUUGGGUUGCAUAACUAGAAUUUCAGAUAUAACACACACUAUCAUAGAUGUAGCGACACGGUGAAGUAAAUCACAUGAAGAUGGAAACGGAAACCCUUCACAACAUAAAAUUUGAAUGGAGGGGGGAAAAAAGGCUUCAUUUCGAAUGUUGUACAGAAGAAGAGUGACUUGAAUCUCUAUCAGUAUCCAGACAUUCUACAAACACAGAGUUGAGAAUUUUAACAAGAAUAACAGACAAAAUAUUGUACUUCUAUACUUGUAACAAAACUAGACCAAAUUAGUUCCCUUUUUGGUUUGUGAAAACUUGAUAUUUUUUAAAAUUCUAUCGAAUGCUUUCAAACAAUAUUUCCAUAAUAUAUUUGUUCAUAGCUAACCUUUGAUGGUUUAAGCAUUUGUUGUAGGCAUGACGGGCUAAUUAGAUUUUUUUUUUUUUAUCCGAUGAAUGAUAUUCAGCUGUUCUUAAUUAUGUGUUAAUAGGCAAGAACAUUUUCUUAAGUACUUUCAUUGCCUUCCAAGUUUCCAAUGAACAAACAGAGCACAAACAAAUUUAACGGAACAGUAACGAUGACAAUAAAUAAUUGGCAAGGAAAGAAAGAAAAAAGUUUGCAUGAUUUCAAGGAAUUAUAAAAUCUGAACACUUUCAACAUGCAAGUGUUGCCCCUCUUAUUGAAAUUUCAUCAUAAAAUGCUUGCAAGGAAUUAUAAAAUUUUAGAGAACAAGGGAACUCUCAAAACAAAAUACUCAAAUUAAAUUAAAUUAGACCAAAAGACGCUCAAUGACGCAAAAUCUGCCCAUAAAAGCCUGAACGAAUCAUGAAAAGUGCAUUCCAUAUUGACAGUAAACCAAGUGACCCAUUCUAAACAAUUGAGAUGAAAUUGUGAAACAACCCACGAGAUCAAAUAAAUAAAAUAAGAAUUAAUUACCAGCUGGGACUUGCUUCUUCAAAUUCGUAACUCCAAGUCAUAAGAAGCCAAUGAAAUUAGUCGUAAUCCACAGAGUAUAACGACGACCCCGCCAACAGCUGAAAAUAAAAUUCUUAUUCAUCAAUUUAAACUAACUUUAUAACAAAUAUCUUAUCGAUAUUUUAUUUAAAAAGAAAAAGCAAAUUUUGUAAAAUUUUUCCAUGGGAGAUAGAGAGUAACACGUAUAUCCGUACCUUCUCAGCAUGUAAUUGUUGUAUGGUCGUGUUAAGAUCAUUACUAGCCCAACGCCGUUGAUUCGAUGUCUCUCCAUACCAGACGUUUACUCUCGGAGGCGUGCUUGAUUCUCCUGUAGUGAAAAUCUUGAAUUUGGGACAACCAAUCACAGAUAGAUCUUGCAAAGAUGGGAAUUUGAAGGUGUAAUUGGCAGAGCAGAAACUUGUGAGGCUGUCUAAAUCACGCAGUUCCAACCUCUUCAAUUUGCGGGAAACAAUCUCUUCUUUUUCAACCCCGUCUUUGUCAUUUAUUACCACCUCUGUCAUUGCUCUGCAUCCGUAUACACAAAGUGAUACGAGUCGCACUAGAGUUUUUGCUGUGGAGGAUGUUACUAAGUGUAUCAAUUUCUUGCAAUCGAAAGCUACAAGUUUUGUUAGGUUCCCAAAAGAUACCGAUGAUGAUUGCAAUAGAAUUAACAGACUUUGACAAUGAUAUACUCUUAGAAUUUCAAGAUACUGAAAAAUGGGGCCAAGUUUGGAGUCUUGUUUGCACAGCUGCUUCAGAUGAUAGUGCCGGUACAGCUCUAAUUCUUUUAUCAUUGCCAACUUCCCCACAUGUUUCUCUAAGCAUCCUUCCAUCGAAAAUACCUCUUCGUGGAAUGAAAAAUAACACAGUACGAGCAUUUCGAGAUUGUGAAAUCUCUCCAGUACAUUCCAGAUUGGAAAACAAGCUGAGUCAUCUCCAACAAUCUCUAGUUGUUUGAGACUGCCAAAAAGGUGUUGUGGGAAAUCGGCCUGCAAAAUCAUCUUCACGUAUUUUCCGCAUAGUGAUAGUUCCGUCAAGUUGGGUAAGAUCUGAUCAUCAUCAAUCAUAAUAACUAAUAAGGUCAAUUGAUGUUCUCUCAAAUGAUUUUGAGUAAUCCAAUCAGACGCAGUGAGUUUAUAGUAUUUGUUUUAUAUUAUAUUUUAAAAAAAAUUGAAUUAUUGAUAAAAUUUAUUAAAUGAUUUUUUAUAUGUUAAUUUUAGAGGUAAAAAAGAAAUUAGGGAAAAAAGGUUGAUUUAUACUGACUCGAAAUUAUUUUAUUGCACAAUAAUAAAUUACUAAUUUAUUUUGUAAGUUCUUCUAUAUGGAAAGACUCAAGAUUCUUUUACAAAUGCUAUACCUAAAAAAGUUUAUAUAAUUAUUAAUCUACCACAUUGAUCCCUUAAUCUAGACUAGCAAAGAUUAUUGUAUAAUAAAAGUUUUUAAUUUAUUAAGCAUUAAUUUAUCGAUACUUUGUCAUAUUUUUCAAAGUUAAAAAUAAGCUAUAGAUAAAAAAUCUAGAAAAUGGCUUCAUACCUUUUCCAGCGGCAAUAAGGGCUGUUGUGCAGGAAUACCAAGUUGAUCAUUCCCAUUAUUCUGCGAUAAAUCUGCAGCGAAUAUCUUUAAUUUGUCACAACGAUACACUAAAAGAAUUUCUAGGGCGGGCCAUUCCGAAGUAUGCAUUCCAGGGUACAAACAUCUAAGUUUUGGUAGAUCAUGGAGUAUCAAAGUGGUGAGCUGUGGAAAGACAAAAUAAGGGAUCACUUGAUCUGCUCUGUUUUCAGAAAUGACCUCCUGUAAAUCCUCACAAGAGCGUAUUUCUAGGCGUUGGAGCUGCUUAAGGCUUCCGAUCAUGGACGCUGAAAAUAUUUAUUUUAAUUUGUGACAACCCCACACAAUCAAUCGUGUUAAACUUUGAAAGUGAGGAAACACGGCCGCUGGAAUUUGAUUGUAGUGCCAAAUCUUGUCGACAUUAAUUUCAGAUAUCUCCAAAGCCUCCAAGUUAGGCAACGCAACCUAAAAAGAUAAGAAUUUCUUGUUGAAAAUUUCUCUUUGAUUACAAAUUAAUGCAAGUCAGAAUCAAUUUCCAACUGACAGCUGAGUAUGCAUUCUAAUUCAUACUACCUGUUAAGAGCUCAAUUAGUGAGUGCGUGAGAUUAUUUUUUUCCCCAUUGUUUUCAUUUUCUUUCAAUUCUCUAAAUGAUUUAAUUAUUUUCCACGUUUGACAUAAGAGAACGCAUGAUAGAAUAAACUCUGUUAUAUAUAUAUAUGAAUAAAAUGUUAGCCUACGCACCUUCUCAUUGAAAAGCAAAGUUGAAAUAUCCAAAGUGAUUUCGCUGGAGCAAUACAUAGUCGUCGAUUCCUCUUGCGACACUUGUCUGUUCGGUGAUGCUGAAGGAGUCUCCACCUCACGGCAAAAACUUGUAACCUCUGGAAGAUUCCCCAGACUCAAAGAUCUUAAUUGAGCAAACUCUAUCUUCUCAAUUGCAUUAUCAACUUCUUCCCCAACUGCAAAAAUCUCUUUCAUCUUGCUGCAAUUAAUAACUGCAAUCCUCUCAAGUCUUGGAAGGCAUUUUGUAGUAGAGAGCCAAAAGAUAUUACUCAACUUAUUACAACUAUAAGCUUCUAUGGUUUUGAGUUUGUUGAAAGACUCUACUUUGAGCCGAUCAAUACAUAUCCUCUCCAUGUUGAUCAAAUUGUGAAGGGCCAGUGACUCCAAAAGAGGAAAGGCAUCACAAGCGACCAUCUCCCUUGAAUCGACGAUACAAAAGAAGUCAGGAUUAUUUUGAAUGCAGAGGACCUUCAAUUGUGAAAAGCCCUCCGUGUCCAAAUUGAAAAGAACAUUCUCGAUGCCUUGCAGCUUGUCCAACCGUAAGUAUUCAACGUUAUUGAUGCCCUGCAAUUUCAUGGAGCAAAUGUCCAUAAAAUCAAGCUUGAGCUCCAAUUCUCUUGAAAUCUUGCGAUCACUGUUGAUCGAAAAGCGCGGCCGACUUUUAAACCAAUGUUGUCCAACACUCAUGGGAUGCAUGAAUAACCCAUUUCCAAUAGAUAUUUUGAACCUUUCGAGCUUUCUGGCCAAAAAACCUUCUGGUAAAAUAUUGUCACUUUUAACGUCAAUUUCUAGAGAGGUUAGCCGAGGUAAAUGCAUCAAUUCGUCAAGGCUAGCAUUACUUCUUUUGCUGUUGGCUCUUUCAACCUCCCAUUCAAUGAAGCAAUUACCCAUAUACAAUUCUUCUAAUCGGAUUAAGCUUGAUAUGACAUUUGGGGCAAUAACUUUCAGACGGAAACAGUCUGUUAAAUCUAACAGCCUUAGCUUAGUCAGUUGACCCAGUGCUUUAGGCAACUCUACAAUAUCAGAUUGCAAAAAGCUAAGGAUUUCUAGAUUUUCCAACUUUCCAAUAAUGGCUAUGUCUAUGCCUCCGAAAAUGCUUUGAUUAAGACAAAGUGUCUGAAGAUUUACUAGAAGACCAAUUGAAGAUGGCAAUGACAAUAACCGCAUUCUAGUCAAAUCCAAAACCCGAAGCUUUUUCGUCCUUUUGAAUAAGUUCUCAGGAAUAUUAGGCACAGCAAAAGAGUUCUUGGGAGACAUGACUAGAAGUUCAAGUUGUAGAGAUUCGGACCCUUCAGGAAUGUCAUUAACAAUACUAUCUUUAAAAGAAAUUGCAAAAUAUUUUUUAAUUCAUCUGCAUUUGGCCAUUUCCAAUCAUCCUCAUUUCUCACCACAAAUGCAUUCAUGUCACGAAAUGCAAUUGAAAUGGCAACAUCGUGAACAACAUCGUGCAUAGAAAUGUAUUUACUGCCACCAUCCUCAAGCAACAAACAAGAGUCUCUUAGUUGACUGACCCAUGCAUCUAAUUUGUUAUGUGCAUCUUCUAGCUUAUGGACACUUUUAAAUACACCCAAGCCCAUGCUGUAUUUGAACAAAUCCAUAAUUGGUGCUGGCGUAAUAAGACUACACAGUAAAAAAGUUUUCUUGAGUUGCUCACCUCUUAAGUACUUGUAACUCAGCUCAAUUGUUGAGUAUGCCUCUGCUCGUACUCCUUCGUCGAAGCUUGCCUCUGAAGGCGUUUGGAGUUCUUGCAAGGCAUUCUUCCACACAGGCAGCUCUUUUUUUCUCAGUGCCUUUGCUACUGUGGUUAGGGCAAUAGGCAAACCUCCGCAUGCCUUGGCUACACUGGUUGCUGUAGAUUUUAACUAACGAUUUUCAACAUAAUCACCAGCCAUUAUCUUGAACAAUCUCCAGGCUUCUUGUUCAUUUAAAAUGCCAAUCGAGAAGUUUUUUUCAGAUCCCAUCCUUAACAGCACAUCAAGAUCUCUUGUUGUGAAUAAUAAUUUACAUCCUCUGUGCUCAACUCCAAAAGGAAUGCCAAUAGUCCCCAAAUCAAGAGGUUUCCAGAUGUUAUCGAGAAUCACAAGGAUCUUCUUCUCAUUCUUCAAUCUUUCAUAUAGUCUACUAGCUCUUCUAGACUCAGCUUCCUCGGACAACUCUAGGCCUAACGUUUCCGCAAUUUCCUCUUGGAUCUUUCUUAUGUCUGGACAUUGGGUAACCUCCGAAAAAACCACCAUAUCGUAAAGCUUGUCUUCAAUGGCUCGCCUUGCAAACUCCUUCACCAGUGUCGUCUUUCCAAUGCCGCCCAUGCCGUAGACCCCAAUGAUGCUGACAUCAACAUCGAUCAAUGCAUUUUGUAUGGCCUUCAAAGUAGAAAGUCUUGAAUCGAAGGCUUCGUAGCCUUUGUGAGACUUGAGCCAUAUAUCCUCCGGAAUGGUACGGUAGGAAAUUCCAUCAACAAAUCUCCCAGCUUCUUCUCGGAGUUUAACAAUGGCCUUCACCUUUGUUUCUGCUUUCUUGCUAAGCUGAUAGCGGGUCUUCAAAUUAGGACACAAGCCCAUGAGACAUCGUUUAUUUGUUGUCUUCUCAUCAUCAAUGAAUUUGGCUGCCUGCUCAAUGAUGAUGUUCGCACUAACCAGCCACUUCUCAACCUUCUCUUCAAUAUUUUCCCCUUUUCUUUCAGCCUCAGAAACCCUGUGCUGAAUGCUUCUCCUUUCAUCCUUGAGCUUGUCUAUUUCUGCCUUGAGUUUCUCAACGUUGGCUUUAUAGUUACGCAAAUAACCAAGUCGGCGUUCUGUUGGAGGAGCCAAGCAUUUCACAAAUUCUAAAACACUAGUAACAAUGCUUUCCACCAUCCUGGAUCCCUUUUCUUUUUUUCGAAGUUUCUGACAAGAAAAUAAACAAUGAGCGAAACACAGAGAGAGUGAGGAGAAAAAGAAAAAGAAACGCAAAGAUGGACAGUUUAUCUGGUUGUGGAAGCGGAGAAAUGAAAGAAAUCGUAAUAGCUGUUAUGGAUAUGCUGAGAAGAUGGAAACAAGGAAAAGGUUUCUAGUUCAACAACUGGAUUGCGAGCGGAGAGACUAAUUAACAAAGACUGGAGAUUACAACAAAGCAGAUGCCAAGAGAAAAGUUGAUCCAGUGAAAUUCAAGAGAGUUGACAGCAAAAGGGAGCAAAGAUUAAUAACAAAACAGCAGUGACUACAAUGAACAAAAGCAUAUGCGUUUCUUGAUUGAGAAUGAGUGCAAAGAAUGAUCCUUAAUCAAUAAAAUAUCUGACAAUAUCUUCACCGAAAGUUUGAGACAUGUGAUCCUUAUUCCACUGCGUCAAUUACACUCCAGACCAAUGCUGCCGUCAUUAUCGAACGGUCGAUAUCCAACACUUGCACGAAGAUUCCAAGAAGUUGCGUGGCUGCCGACUUUUAGAUGCAAAGCCUCAUUGUGUCGAUGUUACACAAAAGAGAGCAGUCCGGGUAAUUGCCAAAACUUAGAACUAAACAGUAGCUUAGUCAGAAAAUCAAACGCCAGUACCGGUAAAAUGACCGAUAAAAAUAUAAAGAAAUAAAAAUUUUAAAGUUUUACUUCAUUGCUUUUUUAAUCUUAUUACUAUUUCUCCUUGCACUUCUAAAGAAACCAAAGCUUUAAAAGAAAUCAGCCAAAUCAAGAAGAUUGAAAAGUAAAUCUAUGGUUUUAGAUUUUUAUUUUAUUUUUUUAGAUAAUAGAUAUUGUUGAGUAAUGAAAAGUACCAGCUCCGCUAUCCCCUCUUUCCUCACCCUGGGGCGAAUUUCCCCAUAUGAAUGGCACGAGCAGAUUCCUGGUAAUACAUCCUGUACAAGGCAUAUGCCGACUAGAAACGAAUACCGACCAGAUGUACAUACCGACCAAGUACUCAUUAUUCAAAGAAAGAGGACACGAUCUCACAAACUCACGACAAUUUUGUCAUGCCCCAAACUGUUGGGGAGAACAUGACGCCCCACGUUUACCCACGAUUCGGUGGUUGGAAACCCAUGAAGGUCCGUCAUCACCCGAAAAUGAGGGGCAUGAAUAAUACUCAGAAAACAUGGGAUGAUUGCCUAUAAAAGGCCAAGAAAUCGAUGAAAAAGGGGAGACAAAAAUUGAGAGUAAAGGGGAAACUCUGUCAAAUUAUAAUCAGAAAUUCAUAUAUCAAAAUCCUUGAUACAUUUGGUAUUGAGAAUAUUGCAACUAAUAUGUACAACACAAAUCAUUCACUUUUCUCGUAAACACCUUGUACUAAAUUAAGUAUUGAAGGGUUUAUGCCCGAAAAACCACUGGCGUCUCUGAUUUGUUUCUGUGAACGCAGGCCUGGAAGGAAGAAGACGGGUGAUUUGGGUCCCAGAAGCUCGGGAAAUUGCUGAAGCUGAUGGAUCGCAGCCUCCGUUCCUUUGUCGAUACAAGCGUUGGUGAACCAAUCUAGUCGGUCCAAAGGCGACCAGAUUUUAGCAUCAACAUAUAUUAUUUUGAUGAAUUUUUUAAUAUGAGAAUAAUGUUAGGAAUUCCAAUAGUAAAAUUCUAAUUGAGACCCAAUUGUUAUGUGUUAUUUUUUUAUUGAAUAAUGAAUUUCACAACUAAUAAAAUUUAUAUUUCCAUCAUCUAAUAAAUGACUACCAUAUCAGUUGGGACUCAAUUAUUAGGAUCCUUAACAUUGCUCUUAGUAUUAAAUUGGACAUCUUAGCUAAAUCAGAUUAAAAAUCAAAUUAGAUUUUAGGCUUUUAUUCAACAUCUCUUUUUUUUUUUUGGUCUAUUGGAAGUGAACGAAAUAAAAAUACAACAGGGUCAACGACUGGGCAAUUGGUAGUCAAGUAGAAGCAAAUCAAGGCUAAAUGGGAAAGAGAAACGAUGUUUGUGCAAAACAAGGAGAAAAUCCAUGUAACAGAAGAGAAUCAAAGUGCUUUUGAGAUCAAAAAUUGAAACAAGAAAAAGGUCGCUUGAUCCAAUGAAAAUGCAAAGAGUUGAUGGCAAAAGGGAACAAAGUUAAAUACGAAAACAGCUAGCGCUAGCAGCGACCACAAUAAACAGAAAAUUUGAGAUGGAUUUACAAUAUUUCUGCCUUUCUUUAUGCUUUAACAAAUAUUGCUCUAUCAAAAAAAAUAUUGAACAUUUUUAUUAUUGGAGUCACAAAAGACCUACACAAUAUAGCAAGUGACUAGGAAUAAAUAAGAAUAUAUAACUCUCUCUCUAAUUCUCACUCUGGCUUUUAAUUGUCACUCAAAACCCAGAAUUCAUCCUUAAAGUGUAGGCAAAUCAGAGAUGACAUCGUUUGGUUGUCAUACGUGCCUUUUAGUUUUCGGAUGACAUGGCGUACACUUCUUCUGUAAACCCAACACGACAUGUCGUACUCUUUUGUUUUGAGAUCCUAUUUCAAACUUUUCAUGCUAUGAAUGAAAGAUAAACUCCAAUCAUCAAAAUAUUUAGUGUUUGUUUGGUAAUGUAAUGUCAUUGUUGUUGUGAAUUGAAAUUAUUUCUGUAAAAUAAAAGGAUUUGGGUCAUUGUUUGUUAUUUUCUGACAAUAUUUAUUAAAUAUUAAAAAAUAAAUUUAUAUUUAUUAGUUAUUAAAAAUAAAUAAACAAACAAAAAUAAAAGGAAAAGUUUAUACAUUACGUAAAAUAAUGACAAUAUCAAUAUUUCGCACUCUAUAAUUGAGUGAUGUGUUGUCCAACUAGCAUACUUUGGUCCCAAACGGAGACUUAAAUAUCAAAGUCCAAAGUUAUUGUGAUGAUGACUUAUAAUCGCCAAACUUGACAUACGGGUAAUCAUGCAUUAUAAGGUGCUGAUUUCUUCCGAUCGGAACCUUAUUUUUCAUUUACAAAUAAAUAAAUGAUGUGACUUCACGGUUGGCGGGGUCCUUUGUGUCAUUUGGGCAUUUCACUAAAUGAUUGAUUGUAGCAGGAAGAUUCUUGGAAGUUGCCAUUUGCCAAUGCUACUAACAUUUUCAAACUUGGAAACCCCUUCAAUCAAUCUUAUAGUGUUAGGCUCUGGUAGCUUGGUUUGAUUAUGACAUAUGAUUAUUUGAUAAUAAAACUAGAGGAUGUAUUAAUAUAAAUCUUGUUUAUUGGUGUUGAAAUUAAUUAUCUCAUUGAUAAUAGUAUAAAAAGUUAAUUACUAAGAAACACAAAGCAGUAGUUAAUUGGUGUCAUAUUAUUGAGAUUCUAGGAUAUAAUUUUAUAUCAUAACUUUGUAAGUGUAUAAUUACUCAUUAAAUUAACAAAAUUAUUUAAAAAUAUUUAGUUGGAAAAAAUAAAUUAUAGCCUUUUUAUUUCAAAUAAUCUAUAAGUUAACUCAAAACAUAAUCAAGCUGAGAAUUAAAAUAAUGCUACUGUAUGAGAGGAUUUUUAUUUUUUCCCAAAGUUUCACUAGGAAAUUAUUGAUAUAUAGCUUUAUUCGGAUCAUCUCAGUUCAAACCACAAAUAAUUGAAAGACUAAACUAAAUAGACCAGCCAACAACCUUGUACAAGAGAGUUCAAAAAUUAAGGUCAUGGUAUUGAGGUGUUCUUUCUUGAAAAGUACAGCAUAGUAAUAAAAUAAAAACUAUUAGUCUUUGGUAAGAUAUAAUUUUUAAAUAAUAAUUUUCACAAAAAUACAAAAAUAUUUAUAAAGUACUUCUAUAGUGAGGAGACCCUCACUUUGUUAAAGUGAAAAUAUCAAUAAUAAACAAAAGAAAUAUAUUUUAGCACAUUAAAAACUGUAUUUUUUUUAUCUAUUGGCGUAUUAAAAUAUGUGUUAUUUAGUUUGUUAAUGAUAUCACCACUUUGUUAAAAUGAGGAUGUCCGUCUCUAGAGAAUCAUUAUAUAUAUAUAUAUAUAUAUAUAUAUAUGUAUGUAUAUAUAUAAAGUGUUUCUCUCCAAGGCCUAGACUUUAUUAAAAUUUAAGAAAGCAAAUAUAUUUUAUAUGGUAUAAUAGUGUAAUAACAUCACACUAUUAUAUCAUAUAGAGUAAUAGUUUUUCGAACUUUAAUAAAGCUUAAGAUUAUAGAAUGAAUGAUUUAUACACAUUAUAAUUGUUUUUAAUCAUAAAGUGGAGGAUAAAAUUAAUAUAUUUUUUAAAUUAUAAUAAAUAUUUAUCAAAUAAUUUAACAUUGUAGUAUCUCCUAAUUAGUAUAGUAAAUACGACCUAGGAGGUACAUUAAAGUAGUUGUUAAUAAUAAAUGAUAUAUGCAGCUCCAAUCAUCAUUGUACGAUGAGUAAUUAUAUAUGAAUCUUCACUUAUAGGUGAAAGCACUUUGUCAGACAUCAAAUCUCUGCAAAAGAUACCCGUCUUUAUUCGCUCAUUAUCCACACACACACAUAUUUAAUCUCACCUUUUUUUUUCCAAUCAAACCGAACAGAAAAAGAAAAAAAAUAAUUUUUCUUUUAAAAAAAAUGUAAAUUGAGGUUAUGUGAUUGUAAAGGCUGAUGUUACAAUACCUGCAUGUAUCAGAUACAUGCAGGUUUUAUGGCCGUUGGAUUCAUUGUAUUGAAUCCAACGGCCAUAAAUGAAUUUAAACAAUAAAUAAUUAAAAAAAUAAAAAAAACUUGAAACCUAUAGAAUCGGUCUCAACACACACCAAACCCCCUCAACACACAUCAAACCCAGGCAAAUAUAUUUGUUGGGAAAAAAAACAAACAAAAGGCUCUCACCUCACGCGGGAAAUCAAUUUGUUCUUCCCUCCAUCCUCACUCACGGCUCACGACUCCUGAUAACUCUAUGAAAUGAGAGUUAUCAUAGCACUUUUAGACUUAAAUUAAUAUUACUUAGAGAGUAAAUGAUGUGAUUCUAUUGCAUUUUUGUUACAUUUUGCAUAAAUAUUCAUUUGAGUUUAGUCUUAAUGAGUUUUGCUUGAUUUAAAGUAAUUUGUGCUCAAAUUGUGUACAUAAUUGUAGGUUUCCAGAAGCUUAUAAUUCAUGGAAGGAAUGCUAUGCAAUAGGCUUGCAAAAUAAAAUCCACUGGAAAAAUAAAUUUAUCCACCUUCACCAACACAUCUUCAAUCUUCCCUUCUGGAUAUGCAUGAGAUCUGUCAGCAAGUUGUAAAGUCACUGUUGUUGGUCUACAUUCACCAACUCCCAAUUGCUUAAACACUGAUAAAGGCAUGAGAUUGAUGCUAGCCCCUAAAUCACAAAGUGCUUUGCCACUGUAUUCAGUGCCUAUGGAGCAUGGAAUUGUGAAGCUUCCUAGAUCCUUCAUCUUCUGUGGUAUCUUACUCUGAAGCAUUCGGCUGCACUCUUGUGUUAAAGCAACUGUCUCAAAUUCUCCAAGUCUUCUUUUCUUUGACAAGAUAUCCUUAAAAAUUUUUGCAUAAUUUGGCAUUUGCUCUAGAGCUUCCACAAAAGGGAUAUUGAUAUGUAGCUGUUUCAGCACCCCCAAAAUUUUGCUGAACUGCUUGUCUUAUUGUUGCUUCUGAAAUCUUUGAGGGAAUGGUGGUGGGUGUCUAAACUGCUGUGCUGCAGCAGGUUGUACAGACUGCUUCUCUUUUGCUCUACUCAGGUCUGUUACUAUUGGUGUUGUAGCUUCCUUACCACCAGAUGCUGGAUCAUAACUUUCUGUAAAUGUUGUAGCAGAGCUGUGUUGAUUUGCAUUCCGAAAAGUGGAAGACUGUGACUCAUUCUCUACUUGAGUGUCUUCUUGGCCUUUGUUGGACUCAAUUUUUCUUUUUGGUACACCAACGGGACUAUGAACAUCUUUUCCAGAUCUCAAGUUAAUUACUUUGCAGUGCUCUUUCCCUUCUCUUCUUGGGUCCUCUGUAUUAAUGGGUAAACUACCGUGAGGUCUGUUGCUUACUGCUGUAGCAAGCUGUCCAAUUUGAUUUUCCAAGUUUUUCAAAGAUGCAGCAUGACUUUGGACAACCACUUCAUUUUUCACAAUAUAAUCCUUAAUCAAACCUUCAAGGGAGCUAAGUUGAUCAUUGUUGAUACUUCUUUGCUCUUGAUUUUACUGAUAAAAUCCAGGUGGUUGAGCAAGUCUGUUAUGUCCACUGGGUGCUGCAGUAGUCUGGUUCUGAUAACUCCAUGAAAAGUUCGGGUGCUGUCUCCAUCCAGGGUUGUAAGUGUUUGAAUAUGGAUUGUCCUGGUUCUGUCUAUUAAAGCUGCCCAUAUAGUUAACCAAAGCUGGAUUACCAGGACAAUUGUCAAAUAAAUGCCCUUCUCCACAAUAAACGCAAGACAUAUCAGAAAUUUGGUUAACAGUUGCUGGAGCAGUAGUCAUAGCCUUUACCAUCCUUGUUAAUGAAGUUACUUGGGCUGACAAUGUUCUCAAGGCAUCUACGUUAUGAACUCCUGCAGUUCCUCUUGCUGCAGCUUGUUUGGUUGAUGGCCACUGAUAAUUGUUGUUAGCAAUCCUCUCUAAAAUUUCAUAAGCCUCAUUGUAAGACUUAGAUAACAAAGCCCCAUUUGCUGAAGCGUCCACCAUCAAUCUAGUGCUUGGGUUGAGACCAUUAUAGAAAGUUUCCAACUGUAUGCAUCAAGGAAUACCAUGAUGAGGACAUCUCCUAAGUAACUCCUUAAAUCUUUCCCAUGCAUCACCAAGCUCUCAUCUUCAAGUUGAUGGAAAGAUGUGAUCUCGUUCCUCAACUUUGCAUUCUUGGUUGGCGGGAAGUAUUUCAACAAAAAUUUGUCAGCCAAGUCACUUCAUGUAGUGAUAGAAUCUGGUGGUAGAGAAUUCAACCAUGCUCUUGCUCGAUCUCUCAAAGAAAACGGGAAAAGUCCGAGUCUCAAUGCUUCCUGCGAUGCUCCAGCAAUCUUGAAAGCAUCACUUACUUCCAAAAAUAACUUAAGGUGUAAAUGAGGAUCUUCGGAUGGCAAACCAUUAAAUUGCCCCACUGUUUAAAGCAUCUGAAACAUCACGAGUUUGAGUUCAAAAUUGUCAGCUUGAACGUCGGGUCUAACUAUUCCUGGAUGUAUGGCUUGAGGAGUCAACACUGCGUAAUCUCAAAUGGCUCUAUCUCUAUCGUUCACCAUGUGAAUAAUGUCGUUGUUCCCUGGUGGAUAAAUUUAUUUUUCCAGUGGAUUUUAUUAUGCUAGACUUUGAGGCAGACAAAGAAGUGCCAAUCAUUCUAGGGAGACCUUUCUUAGCUACGGGAAAGACUUUAAUUGAUGUUCAAAAAGGAGAAUUAACCAUGAGGGUGAAUAACCAGCAAGUUACAUUCAAUGUGCUGGAUGCCAUGAAGAGUCCCGAUGAGAUUGAAGAUUUUAAUUUUAUCAGUGCUGUGGACUUUGUUGUAACUGAGAGAUUACACAGUUGCUGCUGUAAGGAAGAAAUCAAUGCUGUAACAAUUGAAGGACUUGAUGAUGAAGAUCAUGGAGCAGCUAACAUAGCAUGGUUAAGGAAGAAGCAACCAUUCAGAAUUGACGAGCAAAUCCAGCAAAGGGAACUCACUCCAGAACAACAAGAAUUCAAGGUUAAUGGGCCAAGAGUAAAGCACUAUAUGGGAGAUGGUGUGAAUAGCCUAAAGAGGGAUCGGUUCUUGAAAGAUCUAGGUUGAGGAAACAAGAAAGGUCAGGCUGAAGGACCUAAAAUCAAGCGCUAAUUGGGAGGCAACCCAAUAAGGGAAGUUGUUUCAAGUUUUUAUGGCAUUGAAUUUAGCUUUUAAAUUAUUUAAUUUGUCUUUUUGUUAUUUUAAGUGUGCAUCUAAUUUUUUAUGUCUUUAUGUUACAUUGUAGCAAGUACAAAAAAAAAUGUGGGCAAAAAGAGCAGGAGGGAAUUGCUGCAGCAUCACUUACAGCAUGACAUAUAACAGAAGAUUCUCAAACAAUAGAGACAUUUCUUGCUUUUGCAGCAGCAAAUGGAUUGAUCAUAUUUUAUGAUAAGGAGCGUUUGAGAAGUGGAUCAAAGAAGAAGUGACCCUUUACAGCCUGUGCUACAGCAGUGCUUCCAGCAACAGGGCAGUGCCCCUAACCGCUAGUUUAUUUUACUUCUUGCUGUAAAACUUUUCUUUCAUUUAGUUUUAAUUUUCUAAUUCAUUUUGCAUGUCAUUUUAUUUAGUGUAUGCAUGUCUGGUUUAUGUGGUUUUGUUUUGUGUGCUUGUGAGGACACAGCACCACUCAAGUUUGGGGGGGUUGUGUUUAUGAGUGCAUGUGUUUAUGCUUGUGUUGUGUGAAGCUCUGUUAUCUAAUAUUUGUGUAUGGAUUUGAAAACCUAAUGAAGAUAAAUUGAGUGUUAUUCAGUAUUUAUGAGAAAGCCAAGUAGAGAUAGUUAUAGAUGGAGGUUGAACUUCAGUCCCGACACUUAGACUUUGGUUGAGUUUUAUGAGAAUGUUGUAGCAGAGCCAUGAAAACCAAAAAAAGAGUAGAAAAUAUCUCAAGUUUGGGGAAAACUUUUUGUUGGACUGUGCUUGUUAUGAAAUAAAUUCUGCUCCAAUGGUUUAAGUUGCUGAGUAACCAGGGUUGAGUAUGCACCCCAUAUGCAAACUUGAGUCCAAAGGCAACACGAGCUACGAGCAGUGCUGCAGCAAUUAUAAAAAAAAGAGAAAUGAUGAUAAAGUGGUCCGCUACCUAGAAUACUGAGUAACCUGGUCUGUUCAUGAGCCCCAUGUUCAGCCUUGAGUCAAAGGCGUCCAAAGGUAUGACCUAGAUAUAACAUCCUGAAUGCGUUGCUGUAGCAACUCUGACAUGUACUUUGAAUGAGUAAUUGGGUGUCGUCAUUACAAGUGAUAGGCAUUCACAUGAAAGCUCAAUGUUGCAUUGAAGGGUUUAACUGAAAAAAAAAUUAUUAUUGUUGUAGCACAGUUUGAAUAUAAUUGUGAGUUCUGAUCCCCCAUAUGUGAAUAUAUUUGUGUUCUACCUCUGAAUUGUAUACAAAGUUUGUGCAAUGCUGUAGCACCUCUGGAAUUUGAUCAAAGUGGAACAUACACACUUUGGACAGAAUGAACCCUAAGUCUAGAACUGAACUACUAUGGCUAUUUUGUAUGAUUAAGAGUGUGAUCUGAGGGUGGAAGAAUCCUUGCAAAUUUGAUGACAGAGCUAAGUUAUUUGUUGCAUGAUUGUGUGAUUGAAGUGUGAAUGUUGUUGUCAUUACUUGAGGACAAGUAAUGGUUUAAGUUUGGGGGUGUAAUAACUCUAUGAAAUGAGAGUUAUCAUAGCACUUUUAGACUUAAAUUAAUAUUACUUAGAGAGUAAAUGAUGUGAUUCUAUUGCAUUUUUGUUACAUUUUGCAUAAAUAUUCAUUUUAGUUUAGUCUUAAUGAGUUUUGCUUGAUUUAAAGUAAUUUGUGCUCAAAUUGUGUGCAUAAUUGUAGGUUUCCAGAAGCUUAUAAUUCAUGGAAGGAAUGUUAUGCAAUAAGCUUACAAAAAUGAGGAAGAACAUGGCUAUAAAAGAAUUGAAACAAAUCUGGAACAGUUCAGUUGCUGUAGCCAUUGCUGUAGAAAUCUUGGAACAACGACAGAAAAAAUUCCGUGCGGGAUACUUGCAGAAUUGCGAUCUGCAGUUUCCUAAUCUGACUUAUGCGCGACAAAGGCUUCCGUUUACCCUAAUUUUCAACUAUAAAAGAAGCACACAUCAUAAGGAAAAGGGAGAGCCGUCACCCAAGGAGAAAAACACAAAGAAACAUAAGAAAUACAAGAUUCAAGAGAGAGAUUAAGGGCUGCACAAGAGGAGAAUUUGCAGAAAUCAAUUGGGAGCUCAAUCCUUCUUAUUCUUCUCUUGUUUUCUCGUUUUCUAUUUAUUUAUGGGGAUGUGUUUCAUGGCUGAAACUUUGUUCUUUAUUUUUCUUUUGCAAACCACGAACUAAAUUUAUUUGUGGUUGAGUGAUAAACAAUCUUGAUGGUUUAUUGACUGAAUUUAUGUGUUGCUACAUGUUUGCUGUAGCAGUUUGUUUUGAUAGUAUAUAUUUUUAUUCAUUAUUUUGGUUGAUCACCCAUUUAAUGAUACAAGUUAGGAGAGAGCCGUAAAAGGGCCUAUCUUAGUGGAGCAUAUCAUAACAAUACUUGAUCUUAAAUUGAGUUUCCCGGAUUGAGUUUUACUUGAGUCCCAAAAAGGCCAUGCUUGAUUUAAGAUUAGUGAUGAACUAGACAUAAGGAUUCACCUUGUAGGGUAAAUAGAACCUAAGCAUGUAAUGCUAUAUCUUAUGUUGGCAUAGCAACUGAUCACUGUUAGGUUGCAUAUAGAUAUAAGAUAUCCAACAUGCGACGGUUGAGGAUAUAUAAGGAUUCUGCCCAGUGCUGUAGCAAAUACUAUAGCAACCGAGCCAACCAUUAGAAAAUAGUCAAGACCAUUAGGAGAGUUUAUUCACUCAACUACUAUAUACUCCCAUUAGUUUUAUCCUUGAGCUUGACGUAAUAGUUUACUUUAUUGCAUUUAUUUAUUGCGUUUUUAUUUUAAUUAGUACAUUAGUUUCAUUAAUUGUUUAUUUUAUUUUAGCACAAAAUCUGCACUGUUAAGAUUGUUGUAGCAAAUCUAAUAACAUCAAUCCCUGUGGAGACGAUCUUGAAUACUCAUCACUUUAUUACUUGUUGUGUACACUUGCACAUUGACACCAAUAGCAUUAGUAUUUAUACACCAACAACUCCUUCUCCCUCUCCCUCUUCACUCACCCUCACGGCUCCCUCUCUCUCUCCCUCUCCCUCUUCACUCACCCUCACGGCUCCCUCUCUCUCUCCCUCUCCCUCUUCACUCAUCCUCACGGCUCCCUCUCCCUCUCCCUCUCCCUCUCCCUCAUCAUUCACUCUCUCGCCUGCAGUCCCUCACGAGACGCCUCAUCAGGGCCACCAACGACGGCGCUAUCCGGCGAAGACACGCGGAGGUUGAUCUCUAUUGCCGGCAAGGAUUUGCAGUUACAGAUUCACAACCCACUCAGUUCCCGUCAGCCCAUUCUGAGUCGUUGUCAGGCCAUAUCUGCAGUCCACCUACGGUAAUGAGACAUGGGUAUCAUGGGUUUUGUUUGGUAUCAUUAUAUUUGUUGAUUGAGUGUUUUAUUUGAUGUGGUAAGAAGAAUCAUUCGCCUCUCAUAUUUAAAAAUUACAGGUUUUAUCAUGUAAGUUUAUUAGUGCGUAUUGUUGGGUAAUGUAAUAAUUUACAUGGAUUUAGAAUUCGCGGAGAGAGUUUGAUGACAUUAUCUGUGUGUAUUGACAGGGGACAUAAUUUUUAGUGUACACAGUAUAAUGGGUAAGCGUAAGGCCAAUGUCGCAGAUGACAUUAAUAUUCAGUCUGAAGCUGGAUCCUCCGAGGCCGGGCAAGCAUUCGUACAUAUACUACUUGUAAGAAACUAAUUCAUUGUUGAAUUUUAUUAUUGACAUUCUGUAGUCAUUUCAGUUUAAUAGUGCAAUAAUUUUAAUUGACAUAUAAAGAACUGAUAUUUCAUAUUAUUUUUCUAUCUACAGCAAGAUAGAAUCCCAAAAGUUAAAGGAGGAAUGUGUGAAGGUGGAUGAAACGGUUUGUAGACAACUUUUCUAUGUUGCAACCUACUAACUAAUAGUUUGGUUAAUGAUUGGCCAAUGAAUAUAUAUAUUUUUUUAGUGUAGGUUAAGGGGCGUAUACGUGACAAAUGGUUGAAACUCAGCGCGAAAGAUAAAGUCGAAUUCAUCAACAGUUAUAAUGAAAAGGCUGAAAUGAACUCGAGAUUGGCCAGUGGAUUGUUAAGUGAACCGAUUCCAACAGUGGAGAACAAUUCUGAUAAGGGUAAUCACCUAUCUCGAUGUAGUGUUUUACGGUUCUCCAACAUUGUUUCUUCGUUAUCUAUUGAACAGCAAGAUGCCGUGAGAGAAAUUGGUUUCGGAAGCUUGUUAGGUUUAAAAUGUGGGCGACUUAGGCAAGAUUUAUGUAGAUUGUUAGUUAAGCAAUGUAACGUAGAUAAGCGGUCGAUAACAGUCCAUGGAAUGGAAUACAAGCUUACUCCGAAAACUUUUACAAGCGUGAUGGGUGUUGGUGACGGAGGAACACCGAUUGUGCUUGGUGGUGAAGAUAGUGAAAUUACUGACUUACGAGCCAAGUAUUGCUCAGGAAAGAAAGGCAUCCCAAUAGGUAGUUUAGAUGAAAAAUUAAAGACAAAUAGUUGUGCAGAUGAAGAUUUCUGUAUUCUAUUUAGUCUAUUUGUGAUUGAAACUAUUUUGUGUCCAACUACAGCUACAUACAUCAACCCAUCAUACCUUUAUGCUUUAAAAGACGUGAAUAACAUUCGCGAUAAAAAUUGGGCCAACUGGUCUUUCAAUUUUUUAUGGGAAGAAGUUUCAAAGUUCAACGAAAAUAAAAUUUCCUCGAUGAGCGGAUGCGUUAUAUUUUUAAUGGUAUGAUUUAUUUAGUAAUUUGUAUUCUCGUUAGUUAAACGAUUAUGGUAUUAUCGAUCAUUAUUUCCGUAUUAACUAAUUUGUUGUUGUUUGCAACUGUUCUACAUGUCAUCAACUAAGUUUCAACUUUCUUCUGUUGCGGAGAAUGGAUGUCCUCUUAGUGCAUGGAUUGAUAGUGAAAUAAAAAGAUUCCUCAAGUGGUGACAAAAGUAUGGUGACUUUGAGAGCAAUGCGGUUUGUUCCCUUCCAUAAUUGUAUAGUGUUUUGUAGUUAUGUUAUUAAAUUGAAUAGAUUAUUUAUGGAUAUUUGUAGUUAAUGCAGGUUUCGAUGCGAGAAAUCAGUUGCAGCUCAUCAGGUGCUCAAAGUGAAGAACAAAUUGACGAUGUUGACACUGCAAGGCAGCAUCCAUUUCAUGCUAUAUUAGCAGUAAUGGAUAGAAUGGAGGAACAUAUGAGAAGAAAUAAUGAUUUACUAUAAAGAAUGGGCUUGAAAAUGGAUUCUCUUACUGAAAAGGUUGAAAAGUUGGAACGAGCAUAUUUUCGUCAAGAAGGAGCGAAUGUCGCUGAUGAUAGUCAAUCACCUCCUACAUGUACUGGUGCCGAGGCAACUGAUGGUCCAAUCUUUUCCUCUCCGAAUAUGAAGAUGCACCCACCUAUCCCAGAGUUGUCACGCUUUUAGAUCUAGUACAGGAAAAGCGUACGCCCAUCGAAGUUAAAGAACGAAAAGCUGUGUACCUCAGCACAUCCACUGAUGAAGAGGCUAUCCUAAAAGAAAAGUUGGCAGAAGUAUUGCAAGACGCGAUGAAGCCUAAAUUGGUGCCGGAACUUCAAGAUGAGGUAUACAUAGAGUAAUAAUUUGUUAACUUUUGUCUAAACUAUAUAUGAUUUAGUCUAAUCGAAACAAGAGAAGAAAUGUCAACAGCCGUAAGAUUUUAAUCCGCUGUCUUUAGGCCCUCCUCGGCCAUACAGAAAUCGAAAGCCGGGGCGGUACCAGUUGUCCCCGUAUGAUCAAGUCUCACGCGGUCCAAAGCCAAAAUAUCGAGCGGGCCCUUUUUUAGUGAAUGAGCCGGUGACCCUCGAUCAAUUGAAAAUGCUCUAGUAUGGAUUUGACAAAAGCACUAGCCUAGAGUAACAAUACCUUCAUGGCCACUCAUCAAGCUCUUUUCGUUUAAUAUGUUGUCAUAGUUGUUUGAUUUUGUUAAUAUAUCAUGUGAUUAACAUACAGUGAAAUAAUUGUGCGAUCAAGUCAUGAGGAUAUCACUCGGCGAGGCUUGUUAUCACUUUUGCCCGAUGCAUCACUUGACGAGGAGGUUUAUUCGUAAUUUGACUUUAAUGAUAAAAUUGUAGUUAAUAAAACCAAUUAUAAUUGUUCUUGUGUUUAGAUUAUUUGCAUGAUGAGUGAUUACCUUACACGACGUGAGUCGUGCAAAAGCCACGGGCAACCAAUCAGUUGGUUCCUACCAACAAGAUAUGCAGUUACUGAUCCGUUCCUGUUUUUUUUUUUUUCAUAUCCUUUUUUUCAUCAUUAACUAUGGUAAUUUCAGUUGUGUUCUAUAUGAAUUUGAUGUGAUGAAUAUGUAGCAAUUUGCUACAAUGCCAAAUGCACAUUUAGAUGGUUUCAAGGCUGCCUCCCAAUACCGCAAACGUUACAUGUAUGACCUGCACCGGUGCCAUCAGGUAGCGUGUGUGUUUGUUGAAAUGAUUUUUCGUUAUGAUCGAUAUUAUGUAUGGUAAAAGUGACCCUAAGUUGUUCUUGAAUAGAUCAUUGUUCCCAUGCAUGAUGGUGGCCACCAUUGGUUUAUGCUGUUGGUUAAAAUUAAAGACAAACAAGCAGAGAUCUGGGAUCCACUAUCGGAUGCACAACGGACACGAGAUCGAGAAAUCCAAGUGAAUAGUAUUGUAAGUCCAACUAAUUUUUUUAUAAAAACGAUGAGUUUAGUUUUCUAGGUAUUGUGUUAUUAAUACAUGUGAUGUAUUUUUGCACUUGAAAAUAGUUACACUCGUUGGAUGCUAUACUUCAUGGCGUUGUGGAUGCUACAUAUUCAGUAUCUUGGAGUUUCUUGUCAUUUGUAGUGACCCAUGGGGAAGGAGUUCCACGGCAACCUAACGGUUUUGAUUGUGGAGUUUACGUCAUCAAAUUUAUGGAUACUCCUGGAAUCAUCACCAACAAAUCGUAUGUGGUACGCUCCCUUAUUCGCCUUAUGUGGUUUUUUGGUUGAUUUUACUACUGUUGUUGGGCCACUGACAUGAUGAAAGUGCAUGAUUAUUUCUGCAGCAUGACUCACAGAAUGUUCGGGCGUAACUUGCGUUACAACUUAUAGACUCUCCGUUCAACAAACAACGCGAUCAAUUAUUGACGUUGGCUAAUGCACACUACAGUAACGCUGCAACGUACAUAAAUGAAUCGAAUCGAAGCUUGCAUCAACAGUGAAGCCUCGUAAUGUGUCCACCAAAAAAGGUCAUAAGAAUAGUUCCACAAAACGUCAUUUCAGGCGGAAGGUCUAAGAUUGUUGUGAAUAUAGAUUAUGAUAAUUUUUUGCUGACUUCAUUCACAACCCUAAACUUUUGCUAAAUUUACCUUGUAACUGGCGUUGACGUACGAGUCAUGUAAAUUGUUUUGGUGAUCCAAAGACGUAGAGGGAUUAAUGGGGCAAUUAUGAUUUUUUCCUUCGGCAACCGGUUGUCUUAAUUAAUAUAUGUUGAAAGGAAGAUAAUUGUUGUAAAUGUUGCUAUUAUCACUAAGUAUGCAAAAUAUAUUAUUACAUUGCCAUUGUUCACUUCUUACAUGAUAAUAUAACUCAAUGAUUUCCAAAAAGUUCAUUCUACCCCUCAGUUCAGAUCCAAAAAUUGUAUCAUUAGCGAUCAUCCUCCAUCCUCCAAGUAUGUGUACCGUCCUCAACUAAGCAUAAUGUUACUGCUGUCGUAAUGGUCGUCAAUUCCUUCUGAGAUGUUAAGCCUCCAAGGACAAGUUGUCUCGAACGUAAAUGUUGGGGAACUUGGCGAGCUUGAUUCCAUUGAAACAGGCGGUGUUAACACAUUAUAAGAACAAUGCCUUGGAUGAUCGUCAGUCGAAACACAACCAAUACCGCUAACGCUGCAAUGAAGGUCAUUGGGCUGUAUGUCCUUUGGCAGAUAUAGCGGGCAAGUCCGUUUAGUAUGGCCAGGCUGAAAACACUGACUGCAUUUGCGAUUUUUAGCCCCAUCGUGUUUAACGGUUUUAGAGCAACCUUUACUAUUAACCGUAACCGGGUCUUUCAACUUCAUACCUGCUUGAAGUACACAAUUCCUGGCUCGUUUAGCUGAUUCAUCAUCCGCAACCAUCUGUUCAACGCGAAGCGUCAGCCGUUGAAUCUCAUCUAUCGCUAUCAUAUAACUUUGUUCAUUCUUUGCGGCAAAAAGACAAAGAUUAGUACAUGCCGCUGAAAGUGAGGCAAACUUUGCUGUUUCUAACACUCCUUUAUCGAGGUGUGACGCUGCAGCGGUUAUUUUCAUCACUUUACUCACCUUCGCUGAUUUGGUCCAGCGACCAAGAAUCAAUAGUGGUGGUAUGCGAACUAGUUGCUCGAACUUCAUGACGUGAAAUAUAUCCCUACAUGGAAUACCUGCUGAUUCCAUCAUCUUACAUGAACAAGUAAUUGCAACUUCUUUACUAUAAAAUACCACUGUCCAUUUUUGUUCUGGAUGCUGAAAUUUCAUUAAAGUAUAGAUAUUGGAAUUAGCUGUCUUGGCACACUCAAGCAUAAUUAGCGUGGCUUCUCCGAGGAUCUCCAUCCGAACCCACUUCAAUACAUUCCUUGUAUAUAUUUCGGACGCAUGUUUUUCAAUGCUUAGCAGAUGUGUUGUAAGAACUGGGGCUGUGUGGUUUGUCUCAUACUCAUCUUGGACUUCUUUGUGCCGUAUGCAAUACAUUGCACGAUGAAUUUGUCUAAUGAAAUCAUACAGUUUUAACUUCUUCUCAACAAAGCGACGCAAGUAAGAAUUCAAGCUCUCACACCUUUAUGUGGUUCGCAUUCCGGCGAAAAAGGUUCCUUUCAAAUAAGCCACUGCCCAUUUUCUACGCUUUGCAUACAUUUUUUCCACCCAAGAAUUUUGUUCCAGUCCCAGAUCAUAGAGAACCAAUCUCGAUCAAACUCCUCCAUGGUCAUUGGAUUCAACAUUAACUGCCGAAACUUCGACGUGAACUUAUUUCUCUUCACAUUUGCUUGUGCAUUCCGCUCAAGAUGCCAGCAGCAGAGUCGAUGUACACAUCCAGGCAUAACAGUUUUAAUCGCUUUCGACAUAGCUUUAUCACCAUCUGUUAUGACACUUAUGGGUUUUUUUUGUUUCAUUGCCGAUAAGAAAGUCUGUAGCAGCCACACAUAUGAUUCAACAGUUUCGUCAAUCAGUAUCGUAAAUCCAAAAACAGUAGUUCUUUUAUGAUGAUUUACACCAACAAAUGCGACCAAAGGUUUGUUGUAUGCAUUUUUCUUGUACGUUGCAUCAAAACCUAAAACAUCUCCAAAUUGUUCAUAGUCGUACCGAGCAACAGUGUCGGUCCAGAACAAGUUUCGCAGUCGAUUUUCCUCAUCAAGAGUAUACUCGAAGUACACUCCAGCAUCAUAAUCAACCCUUGCAGAUAAGUACGCAAUGGUAGCCUUUGUGUCGGUGUCAAUAAUUUGUGCAUGGUGAUCUGCGUCUAUUCUAUUCCGCAUGUCCUUACCCAUAUACCCAACAUGAUGGAACCCUCCUGCUUGAUCAGACUUGUAGUUCAUGAGCUGGCACACUUUCACCCCAACUUGUCGCAAUGCCUUUGCGUGAGCCAAAUCAGCUUCGUUGACAAGUCUAUGCAAACGAAGAAAUUGUGUCUCGUGCGGUUCAACCAAGCGAUGAGUGUGCUCAAAAACGAAUUUAGUUACCACGUACUUCCCUUUAAACUUAUCAUAGUUCACGCGAAGUUCCGCCUUGCACCCGUUACGAGUAAUGCCCCUCGGUUCCCUGAUUCUGUCUGUUUUCUCCAUCCAUUUUUUUAGCUUGUAUCCCUGUCCUGAGCAAACCCAUCGCCGACUUGCUACUUCACCACUUUUGCCGUCACAACGAAGUUCAUCUUUUCUCACAGAGAAUCCAACCGACUUAGCAUACUUUUUAUACCAUAUGUGGGCAUCAUUGACAUUUUCAAAACAGGAUCCGACACCCACUUCAAUGAGUUCACUUUUUUUAGGCAAACUGUAGGUCGUAUGACUAGAUGAUCUUGUAGCAGAUUUGUCCCCAAAAUAAUCACUGAUUUCGCUAGUUUGUGGCGGUAAUGACGUACCUGCACUUGCACAAAUUUCCAUCCCAUUAUCAUAUGACGGGUUGUCGGGGGGUCCACUUAUUUUCUGUUCUGAUGGCUGGUUAUCAUUGAGGUCUAACACCCAUGCAGAAAUGCUUCCCACGUCUAAAGAUGUUGUCAUGCUCUCUGGUUAUCUUCUCUCAAGAUUCUAGCAUUUGAAGACCAUCAAAAGGACCUAGUUGAAGACUUAAAAGAGUACUGCGUGGGUUAUGUUUGUUGGCAUUCAAUGUCUUCAUUAAAUGAUGGGGUUUGGUUGGUGCUUGGGUUGGUGGAUACAACAUUUAAACGCCUAGCCUAUUACCUAUAAAAGGUUAGCCGGUUUCGCAUUUGUGCUCUCUGGACAUUAAACGGCAAGCCUUUUAAACUCAUGCGGCUAGCCUUUUUCGAAUUGAUGCUAACUGGAGGGGAAACGACUGGCCUCUAAAAUUUAAGAGGCUAGCCUUUUUCGCGUUGGGGCUCAUUGGAGGGGAAACAGCUAGCCUCGAAAAUUUAAGAGGCUAGCCUUUUUCGCGUUGGGGCUCACUGGAGGGGAAACAGCUAGCCUCAAAAAUUUAAGAGGCUAGCCUUUUUCGCGUUGGGGCUCACUGGAGAGGAAACGGCUAGCCUCGAAAAUUUAAUAGGCUAGCCUUUUUCGCAUUUGUGUAUGGGAUGCUCACCAUUAGCGAAAACGGCUAACCUUUAAAAUUUAGAGGCUAGCCGUUUUCGCUUUUGGUGCUCUCUGGACAUUAAACGGCUAGCCUCUAAAAAUAAAAGGCUAGCCGUUUUUUCUUACUAGAGUUUCUGGAACAUGAACGGUCACCCUAUUAAUUUGUAAAAGGUUAGCCGGGUUCAAAGGAAUCAAACUGUUUCGUCUUCACAAAACUGGUCAGCCGCUUCUAUCUCUAAAAGUCGAAUCCUCUCUCCUACGUUCUCAGCCGAAAGAUCCACCGUUUAUAAUCAGUUCAUAGCCCAAAUUCAACCUUAGAAAUCAUUUCCCACCAUUUGCUCUUGCUAAAUUUAACCCUCGAAACCGAAAAACCCUAAGUUGUAAACCCCUUUGACUUCGGUAAAUGUUUGCCGAAAUUGAACUCACAUAUCCCUUUUAAGCAUCAUUAUCUUCCAUUUAAUCGGUUUAUUCCUCUUCAAAUCGCUGAAAAAUCAUAAUGUCAACUUCAAGGCCACGUAGAGCGAAAGACAACGGGAAAGAUGCGAUUCCACCACCCAAACGGAAACGGAAGGACGGCGGCCCUGUAGAACAACCUGAUUUUGAAUCAAGACACUUCCCGGACAAGCGUUUGGCCACCCGUUUUUGCCAAAGAUUCAUGACCCGUAAGGUACUUGAUACAUUCUAUAUUGUGUCUGAUUGGCUUCGUAGCCUUAGUAUCAGUAAUGGAAAUUUGUUGCAAUUGUUGGAGGAAGUUGGUUGGAUUAAUGCCCUUACGAUUAAUGAGAAUGUGUAUCCUGACUUGGUGAAAGUAUUUUACUCGAAUAUGGAUACUUCCACGGAGAAAGAGAAUCGAGUAAUCACCAACGUUAGAGGAGUUUUGAUUGAAUUUGAUGAUACUAAUUUGAAUUCUAUCCUAGGAACCUCCGAAGAUGGGUUAGAAAUAUAUUCUGCUAGGAAAGUUCCUACGAUUGAUAACUUUGUUCAUGUUGAUGCCGUUAGAAACAUUUGUAGGCGCAUUGAUCUUUCUGAUGAGGUCUGUACAAUCGAUUUUCGUGCUCAAUGUCUAUGCCUUCAAUCGCGUAUUUUACAUCGUAUAAUUCAGAAUAUUGUCCUUCCUAGGUCGAGCCACUUAGAUGAUGUUACCCACAUGGAUGUUGCUUUGAUUGAUUCUAUCCUCAGGCAUCGUCCGGUUAGCCUCGGAUACACUAUUAUACGCACCAUGCUUUCCAUACCUAACUUGAUCAGUCGUGCUCUUCCAUACGGAAAUUUCAUCACGCAGAUCCUUAAAUACUUUAGGGUGCCCAUAAACGAACCGUCUUGUAAACCCUGUAGGAGUAUAGGAGAUGAGGCCGUGUAUGCCUUAGGAUUUUUGUGGCGUAAUGGAGCAUGGGUGAAGUAUACUGAAGCUAAGUACACAAUGCUUGCUCCGAAUGAUGAUCGUCCUUUGAAUUUUGUAGUUCCUGCUAAUCAGCUGCCUAAUUUUUCACUUCCUUUCUAGGGUCAACGUAGACGUGAGGACCCUCCUACAUGUGAACCUGAUCAUGAUGCUUCUGCAUCUGCUGUACCACCUGUAGAGCCACAUGACUCCAGCGAAGUUACUCUUCAAUAACUUAUGGACGAGGUGAGGACACUUUAUGUACAGCAGACCAGCUUUCAGCAGCACGUUUUGGAGGAGCACCGGCAUCUGUCACAGCAGCAUCAGUAGUUCCUUCACGGACAACGCCUCAUGUUCGAGCACUUUGGCAUUCCUUAUCCGUUUCCACCUCCACCACCACCAUCCCCACCGCCUCAGUAGUUUCCAUUUCUUUAUUCCAUUAUGUAUGUUUGGAUGUUAGUUUUAUGUUCAGAUGAUUGUUUUAUAUGUUCAGAUGGUUGUUUUAUAUGUUCGGAAGUUUGUUUGACAAGUUCGUUUAUAUGUUCGGAAAUUUGUUUUAUAUGUUUGGAUGGUUGUUUUACGUGUUCGGAUAUGGAUUUAAAGAGUUCGGAAGUUUGUUUAACAUGUUCGGAAGUUUAUUUUAUAUGUUUGGAUGGCUGCUGCUUAUUGUAGCAAUAACAUCAGCUGUCGGGUGCUUAUGACAGCAACUGUUAUUGCUGUUGCUGUCAUAAGGCAGCAGCUGCUGCUGGCAGCUAGCAGCAGCAGCAAGAAUUCGCAGCAAUUGUGUUUGCUGCUGCAACUACUUAUGCAGCAACAGCUACUGCUAGAAUGCCAGCAGCAGCUGGUAUAAUGCACACUACAGCUGCUUAUGCAGCAACAGCAGUUGGUGCCUGAAAAAGCAGCAGCUACCGUUGCUGGUUCUGCACUUGCCUGUUGCAGCAUAACCAGCAGCUGCUGGCAGCUAGCAGCAGCAGCAUCUGCUGCUGGUGUUGUUGCUGCUGCAUCUGCUUAUGCAGCAACAGCUGCUGGCAUUCCAACAACAGCUAGUGCCUGUAAAAGCAGCAGCUUCUCUAUCCAUUAUGUCUGCUGCUGGUGUUGUUACUGCUGUUGGUGCUUAUGCAGCAACAACUGCUGGCUACUUUUACAGCAGCAGCAGCUGGUGGAUGCAUAAGCACCAGUUACUGGCUACUGCAGUUGCUGGUUCUGCAGCUGGUGGCUGCUGCUGCUGUUGAUUCUACAGCUGCUGCAGCUACUGGCUGCAGCUGCUGGCUGCUUUUGCAGCAGCAGCAGCUGGUGGAUGCAUAAGCACCAUCUGCUGGCUACUGUUGUUGCUGGUUCUGCAGCUGGUGGCUGCUGCUGUUGUUGGUUCUGCAGCUGCUGGCUGCUUAUGCCAACAGCAACAGCAACUGAAAUCCCCAAAAUAAGCAUUAGCAGUAGGGCCAUUAGUAGCUGCCACUGCUGGCUGCUUAUGUCAACUCCUCAUUCACUUCUUAUUGCUGAAAUUACUCACGCACAUUGAUUUCAAACCAGUUUGCAUGCUAUUUAAUCGAUUCAUAUUCACCUAAAACACAAUAUUUGUUAUUCAGCGGAAGCAAAGGAAACUAAAGGAACAUUAAAUCAUUAACUUCAAACAUGUGAUCAUUAACUUGCACUAUGGAAAUCAUGCAGAUAAAAAUGAACUCAGGACUAUUAACUUGAUACCGGGACCAUUAAACUUGAAACCGAAGGAACCUGAAACUUAGGGCAACAAACAUGAAAUAGGAUCUCAUUAACGUGCAACCUUAAAAAUUAUAUAUUUAAUGGACCAAUAAACAUGAAACCAUCACCAUUAACUUGAUAUCGAAACCAUUAAACAUUAAACCAGUGAACUUGAAACAUAGGCCAAUAAACCUGAAAUAUGAGAUCAUUAAAUUGCAACCAUAAAAAUAAUUAAAUUAAUGAACUUGAAACUUAGGGCAAUGAACAUGAAACAUCGGAUCAUUAACUUGCAACCUUCAAAAUUAUAUAAUUAAUGGACCAAUAAACAUGAAAUCAUGACCAUUAAUGUGAUACCUAAACCAAUAAACUUGAAACUAAUGAACUUGAAACUUAAGGCAAUAAACCUGAAAUAUGAGAUCAUUAACUUGCAACCAUAAAAAUGAUUAAAUUAAUGAACUUGAAACUUAGGGCAAUGAACAUGAAACAUAUGAUCAUUAACUUGCAACCCAAAAAAUUAUAUAAUUAAUGGACCAAUAAACAUGAAAUCAUGACCAUUAACGUGAUACCUAAACCAAUAAACUUGAAACCAGUAAACUUGAAAUUUAAGGCAAUAAACCUGAAAUAUGAGAUCAUUAACUUGAAACCAUAAAAAUGAUUAAAUUAAUGAACUUUAAAUUUAGGGCAAUGAACAUGAAACAUCUGAUCAUUAACUUGCAACCAAAAAAAUUAUGUAAUUAAUGGACCAAUAAACAUGAAAUCAUGACCAUUAACGUGAUACCUAAAUCAAUAAACUUGAAACCAGUGAACUUGAAACUUAAGGCAAUAAACCUGAAAUAUGUGAUCAUUAACUUGCAACCAAAAAAUGAUUAAAUUAAUGAACUUGAAACUUAGGGCAAUGAACAUGAAACAUCUGAUCAUUAACUUGCAACCGAAAAAAUUAUGUAAUUAAUGGACCAAUAAACAUAAAAUCAUGACCAUUAACGUGAUACCUAAAUCAAUAAACUUGAAACCAGCGGACUUGAAACUUAAGGCAAUAAACUUGAAAUAUGAGAUCAUUAACUUGCAACCAUAAAAAUGAUUAAAUUAAUGAACUUGAAACUUAGGACAAUGAACAUGAAACAUCUGAUCAUUAACUUGCAACCGAAAAAAUUAUGUAAUUAAUGGACCAAUAAACAUGAAAUCAUGACCAUUAACGUGAUACCUAAAUCAAUAAAUUUGAAACCAAUGGACUUGAAACUUAAGGCAAUAAACCUGAAAUAUGAGAUCAUUAACUUACAACCAAGAAAAUUAUUUAAUUAAUAGACCAAUAAACAUGAAACCAUAAUCAUUAACUUGAUACCCGAACCAUUAAACAUGAAACCAAAGGAACAUGAAACGGAAGGCAAUAAACAUGAAAUAUGUUAUCAUUAACUUACAACUAUGAAAAUCAUUAAAUUAAUGAACCAAUAAACAUGAAACCGUGAUCAUUAAGUUGAUACCUUGACCAUUAAACUUGAAACUCCUUUUUUAUUAUUAUAAAAUUAAUUUUUUUGUUAUGUCCUUUACUAUUAAAAUAGUGAUUAUUUUAUUAUUAUUUAAUUUAUUUAAGGGGCAACCGGUUGCAAAAACCGGUUGCUCCCAUUUAUUUUUUUUAGGGAAAUUAUCACUGGUAUACCCUUAAAUGUCACCGGUAUCAAACGUAUUAUAACACUUUUUGCUUAUAUCACUCGUAUACCCUAAAUUGACAAAAGAGUUCUGGCGUCCACCUUUCUGUUUACUACCGUUAAGAACUUAACAAAAUUUGAGCAAAAUGACUAUUUUACCCUUUAAACUCAAAAUGAUGUAAAAAAACAAAUUUGCCUUGAAAAUUAAAGUAAAUUUUCAAUACACAAUUUUUUUAAUUUUGUUAUUAACAAUACAUUUUUUUAUUAAAAAAAUGAAUUAUUAAUGGUACAUAUUAUUAACAAUUAUCCAUAAAAAAAUAUUCAUCUUAUACCAUAAAAAAUUAUUAACAACAUAUUAUUUAUAAUUAUACAUAUUAUACCAUAAAAAAAAUAAUGAUGCUUGGAGGAGUAGAUCUUCAAUAAUUUAGGUUAAAUUUGGAGGAGUAGAUUCAGUUGUAAAGUAGCUUUUUUUUUUUUAGCAAUUAUUAACAAUUAUCCGAUAAAUGGGAUGACAUGUCAUUUUUAUCAAAAUAUAUCAUAUGACAUAUCGUUUUUUACUAGGUAAAUGGGAUGACAUGUCGUUUUUUUAAAAAGACUAAAUUACCCUUAUGAUGUCAGUGUUGUGCAAAUUUUAAUGUACUCGCAAGCGCACGAAUCUAUUGUAGUAUAGAUCAUGGUGACGAGUGUCGAUCCCACGAGGAGGUGGAUUUUAAUUGUGUGUAGAAUUAAUUUUGUAAAUGGGUGAUUGGAUUUGUGGUGGAAAUGGUUUGGAAUAUGCUAAAACUUAAAUUAAAAUGGCGAGAAUAAAUUCUAAAAUUGGAAUUGCAAUGGCGAGAAUAAAUUGAAGAUAAUUCUAUUGAAAUGACGUACUUGGGUAUUCGGAUCCGUAUCAACAUGCAUCAUGGGCUAAAUAAUCCUUAUUAAUGCCAAUUAAAUCAUGAGGGGGGAAUCCACACCUCAUGAACCACGCUCUAAUCAAUAUGGUGCUAAGGGCUUAUCGUGCCAAAUAAUAAUAACCUUGUACUAGAGAGCCGGUGUAACCAAGGCGGUAUCUAGACAAGAUUAUUAUUAUUUGUCGACGAAAAGUCAAAUCAUCCACAAAAACUAGAGGGGAAGAGAAAAUAAAUUUACCAAAUAAAGCCCAUGACACAUGUUGAGACUUCACCUUCAACCCAAGCUUGAAAGAAAAUUAGCCACUCAUAAUUGAACUAAGGGCAAAAUGGGAAUUUAUUAAAAUAUGUAGAAAAUACAAGAUGGAGAGAGAAUUACAGAAAAUGGAGUCCAAAAAUGGAUUCAGAGAUAUCAAAUUACAGUAGCGCGGUUUGGUUGAAAAUAAUCCUGUGUGAUGCAUGUACCGUACGCGAGAUUUUUCGUCCACUGAUAUGCUGCCACGUCACCAUCAACAGUACAUAAGAAUUUUAGCCUAACAGGAUCGUGACACCUCAUCAGUCAAUGCCACAUCAUCGGUCAAUGCCACGUCAUCGAUCCGUCUAUAUGAACAGUGUCGUGAACAGUAACGUAGACAGUACCGUACACGUGAAUAGUACCGUACAUGUGAAUAGUGUCAUUUUUCCUUUUAUGCUCCUCCUAAGGUUUUCGACCGUCCUGAGUUCAAAAAUGAUGUUCGUUUUGCCGUCUGAUCUCUCCUUUAUUGUGAAAUGACUAUAAUGCCCCUAAAAUACAUAAAAUACUUAAUUAAAAUAAAACACACGUAAUUAAAUCACAAGAAGUUUAAAUACAUAAAAGUAAGGGUUGUUAGUAAGACUUGAAAUGUAAAAUGACGGUUUUCUCCUUUAUAAAUAUACAUUUUCUAACACUCAAUACACCCCCCAACCAGCUUAUUGCUAGUCCCUAGCAAAUAAAGCGAAAACAAAAUUCAAAUUCAAAAUGAUUUUUUUUAUUUAUUUUUAGAAACACUCGUGUUUAUUCAAUCAGAUUAAUGAUAGCAAUCAAAUAAAAGUAUAAGUAUUAUCUCCAGUCUAAAGCAACAUCACACCCACAUCAACCAUCCACAUGAAUUAGCCCAGUAGACUUUGUUAUAGCUACUUUCAAGAAUGACAUGUCAAACCCCAAAAUCUCACUAGAAGUAGUGACACUCUCACAAAGAAAUUAAAACCAAUAAAAAUAGUCACUCCAAUGAAUGGUAAUUGAGAGAGAAAAUAAUAAAGAAGUGAUAUCACAUGCUCUCACCAAGAUGAAAUAAAUAUGCCCUCAGCUUAGAAAUAAUACGAUCUCAAGUCAAACAAAAAUGCUAGUCAACCCAAUUUAUUUAUCUUUUUUUUUCUUUUAUUUAUUUAUUUAUUUUUAUUAUGCACCACUACAUCUUUUUAGCCCACAUAACUAGCUUCUACUUCAAACUAUAGUUCCCUAAAAUCAAGAAGGACUUUUAUUAGGACGUAACGUAGGCUAGGGAUAUGGCUAACAAAGAAAGGAAAUAAGGAAAACAAAGUGUAUGUUUGAGAAAAAUGCAGGGAAAUUUUUUUUUUUUUUUUUGGAAGUUGCAAGGUAGAUUUCACCUAUUAUUGUUAUUUUUAUUCUUUUGAAACAACAACUUUUUUUUUCUUUUUGUUUGUUUUUUUUUUUUUGCUUUUAUUUGGCAUAACUUCACUGAACAACAUAAUUAUUUACAUUUUCUCAAACAUAAAUAGGUAAUGGAACUUAUAAGACAUCGGGUAAUACUCCAAAUCGGAGUGGGUCAAGAUGAUAAGUUGACAAAGAAAAGGUUUUUUUUUUUUUUUUAAAGGCUCAAAAGGGUUAACUAUAGAUAUUUAAUAAAAGGGAUGGCUAGAAAGGCUCAAACGGAUCAAAGAUGGCCUUUCCAUCGUCUUUUAGGGCUCUAAAUAAUCAUCCAUAUCUACUAGUUAGACGGGCCUCCCAAUGUAGCAACACACAUUUUUUUUUCUUUUUCUUCUUUUUUUUUUUUUAAUUUUACCAUUUUUUUUAAGGGUUAACUCAAAAGAAAUCUAGAGAUCGUGUAUAAAAUAAUAAACUGCUAAGCUGUAUGAAAAAUGGGCAAAAGAGUUAUUCUCCAAGAAAAAUAAUAGGCUCAAAAACUCACUUGGUACUUAUUACGACAUGUUCAUUCCUUCAAGCAACUCAUAUUUGUCUUCGACAUCAACAUGUAAAGUAGCAAACAUGACGUAACAUCACUUAAGACCAAAGAUAAUACAAAUACUAAAAUUUGAAAUUCAUCAUGUCAUCCAAUGUUAAAACAAAUCACACAUUUUUUUUUUCAAACAACAUUCUACCCCCCAACCUAUUCUAAACAUGAAAGGAAAAUAUGAAUGCAGAAAUGUGAAAAUGAUGUAGAAAAACUAAUUAGAAACGUUACACUUAAAAUGAUAGAAAAAGAAAAUGAUUUUUUUUUUUAAGAAGAUGUGUUUCUAGAGGCACUACACUCCAUAUUCAGCCAUCUUCGACUCAAAAGUUGGGAAAUGUAUAUUUAUAGAGGAGAAAUUAAAAAGAAGAAGAAAAAUGAACAUCAAAACUUAAUUAAGAAAAAGAAAAUGUCUGAAUUUUUUAUUAUUAUUAUUAUUUUUUAUUAUUUUAUUUAUUUAUUAUUUUUUUUAAACGAAGAAGAUGCGUUUCUAGAGUCACUACACUCCAUAUUCAGCCAUCUUCAACACAAAAAGUUAGCAACAGUUAGUUUCUACAACAAAAAAUCAGUAAAAACUUAACCAAGAUUCCACAAUUGUCGACUAUUCCCUCCCCCCAACCAGAACGAAACAUUGUCCUCAAUGUUUUAAAGGAAAGAAGUAGAGUUUAGAAGACAUCACCUGGGUGGUGCAACACAAAAGAAAAUAUUUACAGGCGGAGAGUUAAAUCUAAUUUGUACUUCUUAUUGCUGCUACUGUUACCAUCAUUAUUUGGUCUCUCCAACACAAAGGUCCAGGGGUUUGGCUCCGGUCUAUAAGCUUGUAACAGAUCAAGUAGCUCAUUAGCAGUGUGAGCACAAAUAAAAAGUUUUUUCGCAUGGGAAGGAAUGAAGUAGUUUUUUAUUGCAUGGUUAAGAAAUGCGAUAAAGCCAUCAUAAAAGUUAUUGACAUUUAACAAACCGAUGGGUUUUUGGUGGAUGUGCAGAUGGGCCCAAGAUGCUAGUGUGAUAAGUGCCUCUAGUGUUGCAAGAUCUCCUGGAAUGAAAAUAAAAGCAUCAGCAUGAUUAAGCAUUUCAGUUAUUCUUUCUUGCAUACCUGAGACGACUAACUCUUCUCCAGUUGAUGAGUCAGACGAACUGCCCAAUGGUUUUAAGACUCUUGGGAUGAUGCCUAACACUUGACUUUCUCUGAUAAAAGCUGCUUCUGAGACCAUUUUUUAUAACCCUCGGUUACCUCCUCCAUACACCAAGUGUAAUUUUCUCGCUGCUAUGCUUCGACCAAGAUCUAUGGCUGCCUCCACAAACUCUUUAUGUUUGCCAUAGUUAAAUCCAGAAAGCACACAAAUGUUCUUGAAUUAUCUAUUGGGAGUAGCUGCCAUUGUGAUACUUCUCAAAAACAAUUUGUGAGUGCUUGACAAAAAAGAAAUCACAUUUAAGAGUCUUGGUGACAGUGGGUCACAAUUGUGUAGGAGGUAACAUGUCAGUGUCAAAUAACGCGUAAAGCACGUGGCUCGCGAGUCAAAAAGGAAACAGUAAAAAGGAAAAAGCAAAUAGUAAUAAGGAAAAAAGCAAACAGUAAUAAAAUUAUUAAAGACAAUAAUGCACACAAUAAAACAACAGUGAAAUGAAAUAAAAUAACAGUAAAGUAAAAUGAUAUUUACACAUAGUUGCGACUGUGGCUCACAUCUUCCUCUGGUUUUACGUCCAGAAACGGCUUGAACGCCCUCUAUAGGUCGAGGAUAGGCUUCCUAUCCAGUUUUCUUAUAAACUGGCAAACAGGGUCGUUUAUAGUCAGAUUCCCGAGACUAUAUCGUGCAUGCUCUUUCUGGAAUAAUGGUCAUAACUGGAGAAUCGCUCCUUGCACAUAUCCACUGGGAUGCGUUUCAAGAGACAGAAGGAUAUCAUCCAAUGACUCCUUAUUCAAGCCAUCCCUAAUGAAUUGAAUCUUAUCUUCCCUGUUAUCAGACACCAUUCCUAAAGAACAUGGGUUUUUAUUGCAACUCAUUCUGGCACACUUAUGACAAGCAACAGAAAUUCUUCGAGCUCGUCGUUUUCUUGCAUAAUUUCCUUUACCACAACCAGGCAUGUAUGCAAUAAAUUUUGGAGGUAACUCACCUGCCGAUCGUACUUUAGCCUCGAUUGACCAACGGAUGUCAGCAGGUAUGUUAUUCAUCAUGAGUAAUCGCAUGCGUUCGGACCGAGCUUUAUAGAUCGUAAGGAGGGCAUUCUGAGGAAGUGAAGGGAAUCGCUUGUGAAGUUUCGCUAGAAUCUCGUUUCUGUCCAUACCUUCGCCUCAGAAUAUCAAUUAUUAUGCGAAACUGAAGUAACCGACUUGAUUGUCACGGAGUACCGUUAUCCGCCACUUCACCGGGGUAACAAACUAAAGCACACAAACAGAAAAACAAAUUAAACACACAAAGAAAAUUAAAAUCGUCCUCUUAUGGAAUUUACCUCAAGCUCCAACUGGAUGUCGUAAACACUUCUCUCAAUGUCUCUGAGUUGGCGUUCUAAACCCUCAACAUAGGCUACUAACUCUGGUGGUUGUAGAGCCCAAAUGCAAUGUGUUUUACAAAAUUGAAUCUGCCUUUUGAGAUGAGUUUUGACACGUUGAAGUGGUUUAAGAAUGUUCAGGAGGAACGGUCUUAGUAAGGUACUCAUGAUUAAAAAUGAUAAAAGAAAACUUAAUAGUUAAACAAACACACUUAUGCAAAAAUAAUUUCAAUUAGCAGAAGAAUAACAUAAAGAAAGAAAAAAAUCAAAUCAACGAAAAGAAAAAAAAGUCAAUUCAAAUCUGGUGGGUCACUCAAAUUUAUUUCGGUGUCUUCUCCAUGUGGUUGGUACUCUAGAUAUGGCUUUAAUCUUUGACCAUUAACUUUAAACGUGACACCGUUCUUGGGGUCCUUAAUUUCAAUUGUCCCAUGUGGAAAAACAGUAUGAACAAUAAAGGGACCAGACCAUCGAGAGCGUAACUUACCUGGGAAUAGGUGCAAGCGAGAAUUGCAUAAAAGCACUUUCUGACCUGGAGUGAACGAUUUUCUCAUAAUUUGCUUAUCAUGGAAGACUUUCAUUCGUUGCUUGUAAAUCUUGGCAUUUUCGUAUGCGUCAUUGCGAAUUUCUUCAAGUUCUGCCAGUUGUAAUCUUCUUUCUGAGCUGGCUUGCUGCAUGUCAAAGUUGAAUUUCUUGAUGGCCCAAUACGCACGAUGCUCGAGUUCCACAGGUAGGUGGCAAGCUUUUCCAUACACUAGCAUGUAGGGUGACAUCCCAAUCGGGGUCUUGAAAGUCGUUCUAUAUGCCCAUAAUGCAUCAUCAAGUCUUAAUGACCAAUCUUUUCUGUCCGGCCUCACCGUCUUUUCUAAUAUGUGCUUUAUUUCUCGAUUGGAGAUCUCAACUUGGCCACUGGUUUGCGGAUGACACGGGGUCGCCACUUUGUGUGUGAUUGAAUACUUUGUCAAAAGAGCUUUGAAUGCUUUGUUACAAAAGUGGGCACCACCAUCACUGAUUAUUGCUCGAGGGAAUCCAAAGCGCGAAACAAUGUUGCUUUUAAAAAAUCCUAUCACCACCUUGUGAUCAGUGGUUCUACAUGGAAUUGCUUCUACCCAUUUUGAGACAUAGUCAACAGCAACCAAUAUGUAUUGAUGGCCAAAAGAAGUGGGAAAUGGUCCCAUGAAGUCGAUACCCCAUACAUAAAAAAUCUCAACCACUAAAAUUGGAUUUAGUGGCAUCAUGUUCCUUCGUGUAAUGCUCCCCAUUCGUUGACACUUAUCACAUGAAGAACAAAAAGUGUAAGCAUCUCGAAAUAUAGUUGGCCAAUAAAAACCACAUUGUAAAACUUUAGUUGCUGUUUUCUUAGCACUGAAAUGGCCUCCACAAGCUUAUUCAUGGCAGAAUGAAAGAAUAUUCUGAAUUUCAAUUUCUGGGACACAUCGUCUAACAAUUUGAUCAGCACAAUACUUGAACAAAUACGGGUCAUCCCAAAAGAAAUUCUUUAUCUCUGCAAAGAAUUUAGCCUUGUCUUGCUUGGUCCAAUGCUCUGGAAGUUUACCUGUAACAAGAUAAUUAACUAUAUCAGCAUACCAAGGUAAUACUUCCACAUUCAUUAAUUGUUCAUCUGGAAAUGACUCAUUCAAUAUUAAUGGCUCUGUAAUUGUGUCAAAAUGGAGACGAGAGAGAUGGUCCGCCACAACAUUUUCAGUGCCUUUCUUAUCUUUGAAUUCCAAGUCAAAUUCCUGCAAAAGUAACACCCAACGAAUUAAUCUAGCUUUUGCAUCUUUCUUUGUGAGAAGAUAUUUAAGAGCAGCAUGAUCUGUGAAUACAAUUAUUUUACAACCAAUGAGAUAAGAUCGAAAUUUUUCUAAUGCAAACACUAUGCUAGCAUUUCUUUUUCAGUAGUUGAAUAGUUCAACUGUGCAUCAUUCAAUGUCAUACUAGCAUAGUAAAUAACAUGGGGAACUCGAUCAACUCUUUGUCCUAAUACUGCUCCUAUUGCAUAAUCAGAUGCAUCACACAUGAGCUCAAAUGGUAAACUCCAAUUUGGGGGCUGAAUGAUGGGUGAUGAUGUCAACAACUGCUUUAAUUUUCCAAAUGCCACAAGACAUGAAUCAUCAAAGACAAAAGGUACAUCCUUAGCAAGUAGAUUGCAUAAGGGUCUAGAAACUUUGCUAAAAUCUUUAAUGAAACGUCUAUAAAAACCAGCAUGCCCAAGGAAAGAUCUUACUUCUCUGACUGUUUUAGGUGGAGGAAGAUUAGAAAUGAGAUCCACCUUGGCUUUGUCAACCUCAAUACCUUUGCUUGAAAUGAUGUGACCGAGAACAAUACCUUGUUUUACCAUAAAAUGGCACUUCUCCCAAUUUAAGACUAAAUUCUUCUCGAUACAUCUCUGCAGAACUAGCGUUAGAUGAUGUAAACAUUGAUCAAACGAAUCACCAAAGACAGAAAAGUCAUCCAUAAAGACUUCAAGAAAUCGUUCAACCAUAUCAGAAAAAAUGCUCAACAUGCAUCGUUGAAAUGUAGCAGGUGCAUUACAUAAUCCAAAUGGCAUUCUCCUAUAUGCAAAAGUGCCAAAAGGGCAAGUGAAAGUAGUUUUCUCUUGAUCUUUUGGUGCUAUGGGGAUCUGAUUGUAUCCUGAGUAGCCAUCUAGAAAGCAAUAAAAUUCAUGGCCUACUAAUCUAUCAAGCAUUUGAUCGAUAAAUGGUAAAGGAAAAUGGUAUUUACGUGUGACAGAAUUCAACUUUCUAUAAUCAAUGCAUACACGCCAUCCUGUAGUCACUCUAGUGGGUAUCAAUUCAUUAUCAGCAUUCGUAACUACUGUGACUCCUAACUUUUUGGGGACAACUUGUACAGGACUGACCCAUGAACUAUCAGAAAUUGGGUAAAUGAUACCUGCGUCUAAUAGCUUAAGGACUUCAGUUCUAACAACUUCUUUCAUAUUAGGAUUUAAUCGCCGUUGCAUUUCCCUAGUAGAUUUAGUAUUUUCAUCAAGGUGAAUGUAAUGCAUGCAGUCUACUGGGUUUAUACCUUUUAUGUCUGCUAUGGUCCAUCCUAAUGCUCCUUUGUGCUCUUUUAAAACAUCCAACAACUUACCUUUUUGUUCGUCAUUUAGGGAUGAUGAGAUGAUUACCGGUAGAGUACUUUCUUCUCCCAAAAAUGCAUAUUCCAAUGUGUUGGGUAAUGGUUUGAGCUCGAGUUUUGGUGGUGAUUCUGAUGAUGGGAUGAGUUUCUUUUCUGAUGGUGCUAGUUGUUCAACUCUUGACUUCCAUUUAUUAGUGUCCAUAGAUGGUGCUGAGUCAAGUAGGGCGUUGACCUCAUCGACUGAUCUGUCAAUAUCAAAAUCCAAACCAAAGUGAGUUAAACAUGUUUGUAAAGGAUCAUCACUAAGGUUUGAAAGAAAAGUAUUAUCAACUAUUGUUUCUAUUAAAUCCACAUCAACAAUUCCAUCAUCUGCACUGUGAGGUUGUUUGGCAAUGUUGAAAAUAUUUAGCUCCAUAGUCAUGUUGCCGAAGGACAACUGCAUAUUUCCAGUCCUGCAUUGAAUGUGAGCAUCCGCAGUUGCCAAGAAAGGUCGGCCUAAGAUAAUGGGGAUAUGCUUCCUUGAAUCCUGUAUUGGUUGAGUGUCAAUUACAAUGAAAUCAACAGGAAAAUAAAACUUAUCUACCUGGAUAAGCACGUCCUCCACAAUGCCACGAGGUAUUUUCGUGGACCGAUCUGCAAGCUGUAACACCACUGGAGUUGGGUGUAAUUCUCCAAGUCCAAGUUUCAAAAAUACUGAGUAAGGCAACAGAUUUACACUAGCUUCUAAAUUCAACAAAGCAUUCUCAAUUGUGUGGUUCCCUAUGCUACAUGAGAUAGUGGGGGAGCCUGGGUCUUUGCAUUUUAAAGGAAUUUUGUGUUGGAGUAUAGAACUAAUGUUUCUGUUAAAAAUGCCUUCUUUUGAACAUGCAUAUUUCUUUUUUUAGUACAAAGGUCUUUAAGAAACUUGGCAUAAGAUGGAACUUGCUUUAUAGCAUCAAGUAAAGGGAUGUUAACACUUACCUGUUUGAAGAUUUCAAGAAUCUCACCUGUGGAUUUUCCCUUCUUUCCUUUCGCUAACCUCUGAGGAAAUGGAGCUUUCGGAAUGUAUUCUCGUGGGUUGGUUUCUUCUUUCUCCUCCGGUGAUGAGUCCUCAACACUUACAGGUACAAUUUGAUUUUCUUUUGCCACCGGCAUCUCCACUUUGUUGUCGACUUCUUUUCCUUUUCGCAAAGUCAUGACUGCUUUGACUUCUCCAUGCUGCUGUGGUGAACUGGUACUUGCUUCAUGCACUCCUUUAGGAUUAGGCACUGGUUGACUUGGAAACUUACCUUUCUCAACGGUCAUUGCCAAGGUCUGAACUGAAGAAGCAAGUUGUCCCACCAUCUUCUCGAGGCUUGAAACUGAUUGAGCUUGUGAGUUGAAGCCUGCUCUCAACUCAUUUCGUAGUCCAUCAAUGGUGCGGUUUUGUUGCUCAAUCAUGGAGUGAGUAAGAUUCUUGAGAUUCUGGAAUGAAUCCUCCCAUGGUAUGGGUUGAGAGUAGUUCUGGUUCUGAUUGUAUGGUCUAAAUGGUGGCUGGGAGGCUUGAGGAACUUGAGGAAUUUGUUGCAUUGGUGGAGUUGGAGCUUCUGGUCCAUUCUGUUGGAAUCCUUGAGACCAUGAAAAAUUGGGGUGGUCUCUCCAUCCAAGGUUAUAUGUGUUGGAGUAUGGGUUGUAAUUUGAUGGUUUUCUCAUUACACCUAUGGCAUUGGCUUGAUCUGAGUAUGAGUCAAGGUCAUGUGGUUCAGUUGAUUUAGCAGUCGAUAACGAUGCUAUUUGUCGAGCAAGACCUUCAACCAUCUCCUUGACUUCUUUGAUUCCCGAAGUUGACUCGCCAAUGUGAACCUCAUUCACUCCUUUAAUUCUUUUAGUAUUCCUGAGUGAUCGACUCCGUUGUUGGGAAUUAUCUGCUUGUCGCUGGAAGAAUUCUCAAAUUUCUGAUGCACUUUUUGACAUUAGCUCUCCUCCACUUGUUGCCAUUAGCCAUUCUUGCACAUUCGGCAAUAAUCCCUCCAAAUAGUAUUGGCAUUGGUGCCAUUUCUCGUACCCAUGAUGUGGACACUUCAAGAGUAGCCCAUUGAAUCGCUCCCAUGUUUCGAAAAAUUGCUCGUCCUCUCUCUGGGUAAACUCCGAGAUUUCCCUGCGAAUAGCAUUGGUUUUAUGCACUGGGAAAUAUUUAUUCAAAAAUUUUGUUACCAUUUGUUCCCAUGAUGAAAUGCUAUUAGCAGGUAAUGUAUUAAGCCAUGAACGAGCUCUAUCCUUUAAAGAAAAUGGGAAUAAUCUGAGUUUAACAUCAUCGUCUGAAAAAUUUUCGUAUUUAAAAGUUUGACAAAUAGCAUGAAAAUCAUUCAGAUGAUUAUAUGGAUCCUCAUUUUCUAAGCCAUAGAAUGUGGGGAGACAAUUUAGCACACUAGGUUUUAACUCAAAGCUCCUAGCAGCUACAUUUGGGUAUCUUAUGCAUGAUGUGCUCAAAUUAGCUAAGGGACUAAAAUAGUCCUUAAAUGGCCUCUCCUGUGGUUGCAAAUCCAUUUUAUUUUUAAUUUGUUUGUGUGUGCGAAGUGUUUUUCCUAAUUCAAGGUCUAUAGGUUCAAGAUUAGGAAAUAAUGACCUACGACCAUGCAUGCAAAACAAAUAAAAUAAAAAUAAAGAUGGGAACAAAACAAAUAAAAAUAAAGAAGAGGGAGAAAUUACGAUACUAACCUUAUUGCGCUAUUACAACCUUACUAUAAAAAUACACAAAAAAAAUACGUGAAAUAAAUUAACUAAAAAUAAAUUAAUAAGAUAAACAAAAAAAAAUUACAAAGAAAAAUAAAUUAAAAAUUAAAUUACAGAAUUUUAAAGAAGAGAAAAAGAAAAGAAAUACUAACCUUUAAAUGUAGAUUCACUUUUUUUUUUAAUAAGAAAAAACAAAUACAAGAAAACAAAUAAAAGAAAUUAUUCACAAAAAUUAAUUCUAUGAAUUAAAAUUACUUACCUCCCCGGCAACGGCGCCAAAAACUUGUUGUGCAAAUUUUAAUGUACUCACAAGCGCACGAAUCUAUUGUAGUAUAGAUCAAUGGUGACGAGUGUCGAUCCCACGAAGAGGUGGAUUUUAAUUGUGUGUAGAAUUAAUUUCGUAAAUGGGUGAUUGGAUUUAUGGUGGAAAUGGUUUAGAAUAUGCUAAAACUUAAAUUAAAAUGGCGAGAAUAAAUUCUAAAAUUGGAAUUGCAAUGGCGAGAAUAAAUUGAAGAUAAUUCUAUUGAAAUGACGUACUUGGGUAUUCGGAUCCGUAUCAACAUGCAUCAUGGGCUAAAUAAUCCUUAUUAAUGCCAAUUAAAUCAUGAGGGGGGAAUCCACACCUCAUGAACCACGCUCUAAUCAAUAUGGUGCUAAGGGCUUAUCGUGCCAAAUAAUAAUAACCUUGUACUAGAGAGCCGGUGUAACUAAGGCGGUAUCUAGACAAGAUUAUUAUUAUUUGUCGACGAAAAGUCAAAUCAUCCACAAAAACUAGAGGGGAAGAGAAAAUAAAUUUACCAAAUAAAGCCUAUGACACAUGUUGAGACUUCACCUUCAACCCAAGCUUGAAAGAAAAUUAGCCACUCAUAAUUGAACUAAGGGCAAAAUGGAAAUUUAUUAAAAUACAUAGAAAAUACAAGAUGGAGAGGGAAUUACAGAAAAUGGAGUCCAAAAAUGGAUUCAGAGAUAUCAAAUUAGGGGGGAGAGGCCCCCUUUUUAUAGAUACAUGGAGUAAAUCAUGACCAUCGGAUUAAAAACAGUUUGGACGCUCAGGAUUGCACCACGUCAUCAGUCAACAGUACGCGGUUUGACCAUGUGGAUGAACAGUAACACGGUUUGACCCGGAUGAACAGUAAUGCGGUUUGGUUGAAAAUAAUCCUGUGUGAUUCAUGUACCGUACGCGAGAUUUUUCGUCCACUGAUAUGCUGCCACGUCACCAUAAACAGUACAUAAGAAUUUUAGCCCAACAGGAUCGUGACACCUCAUCAGUCAAUGCCACAUCAUCGGUCAAUGCCACGUCAUCGAUCCGUCUAUAUGAACAGUGUCGUGAACAGUAACGUAGACAGUACCGUACACAUGAAUAGUACCGUACAUGUGAAUAGUGUUAUUUUUCCUUUUAUGCUCCUCCUAAGGUUUUCGACCGUCCUGAGUUCAAAAAUGAUGUCCGUUUUGCCGUCUGAUCUCUCCUUUAUUAUGAAAUGACUAUAAUGCCCCUAAAAUACAUAAAAUACUUAAUUAAAAUAAAACACACGUAAUUAAAUCACAAGAAGAUUAAAUACAUAAAAGUAAGGGUUGUUAGUAAGACUUGAAAUAUAAAAUGACGGUUUUCUCCUUUAUAAAUAUACAUUUUCUAACACUCAACAGUCAGCGCUCGCAAACGGCAGUUAACGGAUCGGUGGACGGCAGAAGUGUUUUGUCAACUUAGGGUAUACGAGUGAUACACUUGAAAAAUAUUGUAGCACGUUUGAUACUGGUGUCAUUUAAGAGUAUACGGCUGAUAAUUUCCCUUUUUUUUAUUGCUUGCAUGUAUCAUAUACAUGUAUAUACUGUAGCCGUCCCCUAUUGUGAAAGGUUGUUAUUCUUUAGUCUUUACUACACAAAUAGUAGUUUUUUUUUCCUUCUUUUUUCAAAUUUUGGGUUUUCUUUUACGGCUUCUGAGAGAAGUACCUGCGAAUGGAUCAAAACAAGGGAAUUUCAAUUUAAUGAUUUGACUCUUCUGCCAUGCUUUGCUUUUCAAAUCAUUUGAUAUGGAGCGGAGCAGUGAUGAGCUACAGAAAAUUCUUGACUCUGAGUGCGAGGAGAGGGAGAUGUGUGUGUCACUGUUUGUAAUUUUUUUGUAUUACCAAUGAAAUAUAUUUAGCAUGAGUGUGAUAAAUAUAUGUGGGUCCAGUUACCUUGCAACAAUUGCAAUACACCAUUUAUUUUUGUCUUAUGUGACGUUACAUUUCAUUUAACACCUUGUUUUUUUUCUUAUUUACAUUUUAUUUAUAAGUUUAUAUGUUUUAACUAGUGAACUUUUAAAAUGUAAACUUAUUUUUUUAAUAUUAUUUAUUUUUUUACAUUUAUUUAUAAUUUGUAUGCUUUAGCUGGUAACUUUUAUAAAAUGUAAUUUUAUUUUAUUUAACAUUAUUUAUCUUUAAAAAAAAAGAAUAAAUAUAAUAAUAAGCCUAUGACUAAAUAAUAUUAAAUAAAAUAAAUAAUAUUAAAUAAAUUAAAUUAAAUAAAUAAUAUUAAAAUUUUAACUUAAAUAAAAUAAAUAAUAUUAAAAAUGAUAUUAUUUUUAAGACACUAUUGAUUUUUUAAUGUUAUUCAGUUUUUAAAGAAUAAAUAUAAUAAUAAGCCAAUGAUUAAAUAAUAUUAAAUAAAACAAAAAUAAAAAUAUUAAAAAUAAUAUUUAUUUUUAAAGCUCCCUAAUGAUUAUUUUAUUUUAUUUAAUGUUAUUUAGUUUUUUGAAAGAAUAAAUAUAAUAAUAAGUAUAUGACUAAAUAAUAUUAAAUAAAAUGGAAUAAAUAAUAGUUAUUUAUUCUUUUAAAUAAAAUAUAUAAUAUUAAAAAUAAAAUUUAUUUUUUAAUACUCACUACUAAUUAAACAAUAUAAAUUGUAAACAAUCCGGACUUAUGUGCUAAAAUUUUUAACUCUUUAAUUUGUUUGUGUCUUUAAUAAAUAUCAGGGAGUGCAAUGUUAAUAUUUAAAUGAACAAAUCUCUACCAUUGAAACAACCUUUUCACUAAAUCCAACGUUUUGUCUAAAACUACCUUUUCACUAAACUACCUUUUGUCUGAAAUCAAGAAAAGACAAAACUUGAGGGUACCUUGCAACUGUUGUAAGGUAGCUGAGUCCAAUAUAUAUUGCCAUAAAACGAAAUAUCAUAUCCAAAAUAAUAAUAAUAAUAAGUGUGUCAGAUGACACAAACAGCUGAAAAACGAGGAAACGUCUUCUUCUAACAAAGUUUGUAAUUAAAAAUUUAUAAACGAAUACAUACAUAUAUAUGAAAGGAAAGAUGAUGAUGAUAAUGAUAAAGAGAAUAGGGUUGAAUUUGGCGAGAGGGGUCCCCCUAUUUGUUGAAUUUCAUAUUAAAUAAAUAUCCGUUUGUCUCUUUAAUGGCCAAACAGACCAGCUGCCAACAACUUAUUCCAAUGUGAGUAGAUCACAGUGGGUACUGCACAUGAUGCUUGUUUCUCCUUUUGCAUCUAUUUUUGUUGUUAAUAUUAAUUUCAAUAGCAGCUCGUUAUUAUGUAUGCAACAUUUCAAAAUUAAUCCAAAAAAAACAAAAAUUAGUUCAGCUGACUAAAUUUGAAAGCAUGGAUUUGCUGUCGAUUAAAAAUCGUUUUGUAGGGAAAAUUUUUGGAUUGCAAUUCUCAUACAAUACAUAGAAUUAUCAUAAUCUAUAAAUUGUAUUUUUGCUUUUCACUUAUAUUUAGAUAGUUCAACAUUUUUAUUGGUUUGAUUUAGGGUUAGUUUGGUAACGUUAGUUUAAUACUCUGAUUAUUAUUAUUCGAUUCGUUUACUUUGAUUAUUAUUAUUUUUUAAUAGAGAAUAAAUUAUUCGAUUAAAAAAGUGAUUUUUUCUCUAUUAACAAGUGAUUUUUCUCUAUUAAAAAAUAAUAAUAAUCAAAGUAAACGAAUCGAAUAAAAAAAUAAUAAUAAUCAAAGUUCACAUAAUCUAUAAAUAUCAUGUUUAUUUAUUUAAGAUAGUUCAAAAUUUUUAUUGGUUUGAUUUAGGGUUAGUUUGGUAAUCCUGUAGCUUUAAAAUUAAUUACAGUUAGCUAUGCUGUAGAAAUUGAUCAAUCGUAAAAAGAAUCAACCGAACAUUUAGUAAAUUUUAUUUUUAAAAGUACUUUUAGUUUUAAAAGCAGUCGUGUGUGUUUCAUAAAUCUUAUUAUUAAACUGGUGAAAAAAUAUAAAUGACUGAAUUGAACAUAAUGCUAAAUAAAAUUUAUUUACACAUUUACAAACAUGCAUAUAAAAUAUUUUUAUUACGUACAUAUAAUUAUUGAUAACUAAAAUAAAUAUUUUAUAUUAUUAAAUUUUAUUCUCUAUUUUGUUAUCUCAAUGUAAUUGAUAAUAAUAAUAAUAAUCUAUUUUAAGUUAAUGAUUUUAUUUCUUAAUUCAUAAAGAUAAUUUUAGAUUUUUAUUAUAUAAUGGGGAUAUAUAUAGAAUUGGAUUGAGUAUAAAAGUGAUUCUCAAAAUCAAAUUUUGAAAAACUAUUCAUUCACUACUUUUCAAAAUCUACUGUAUUAUGAGAUGAUUUUACCAAAGUAAUUACUAAAAAAAUUUAUAAAACACUAAAACUUAGCUUUUAUGGUGUGUUUACUUCAUGGAAUGGGGAAUGGGAAUAAAAUGUGUGGGUCUCACACAAUUUGGGAAUAAGGAAUGAGAAUCCCAUGCCCAUGAGUGGUUGGGAAUAAAAGUGAGGGAAUGAGAAUGGAAUAUAUAUUUACUUUUGUAUCCCUCUAAUUUUUUCAUAUUUUCCAAAUUACCCUCAUUCAAAUCACAAUUAAUUUUAUUAUUUAAAAUGUCAUUAAUAAUAAUAAUAUUAUUAUUAUUAAAUUUUAUUAACUUUAUUAUUUUAGUUAUUAUUAAUUAUUUUUAUUAAUAUUAUUAUUAUUAACAAUAAAAAUAAUAAUUGAUAAAAAAUAAUUAAUUUAUCAUUAUUAACAAUAUUAUCAUUAUUUUUGUUAUUAUUAUUAUUAUUAAAAAUAAAAAUAACAAUAAUUAAUAAUAACUAAAAUAAUAAAGUUAAUAAAAUUUAAUAAUAAUAAGUUAAUAAUGAUAAUUUUAAUAAAAAUAAUAUUAACAAUAAUUAGUAAUAACUAAAAUAAUAAAGUUAAUAAUAUUUAAUAAUAAUAUCUAAUAUUAUUAUUAUUAAAUAUUAUUAACUUUAUUAUUUCAGGUAUUACUAAUUAUUGUUAAUAUUAUUUUUAAUAAUAAUAAUAGUAAUAAUAACAACAAUAAUGAUAAAUUAAUUAUUAAUACUAUGGGUAUUUUGGUAAAUUGAUUCUCAUUCUCAUUCCUCAUUCUCAUUUAUUUUGCCAAGUAAACAUAUCAAUAGCAUUCCAGCACAUUCUCAUUCCCAUUUAUUUUUGUCAAGUAAACAUUGAAAUCUCAUUCAUAUUUCUCAUUUCCAUUCCAGUCCAUUCUCAUUCCCAAUCCACUCACAUUCCACCCCAUUCCACUUCCAUGAAGUAAAUGCACCAUUAAUUUUUAAAAUCAAUUUUGAGCUUCCCAAAAACAAUCCAAACAUGCCUUUAUUUGGGUGGUGUUAGAACUGUUAGCCUAAAGGACUAUACAUAAUGUGAUUUUGAUGAUAACAAACAUAUGUAUUAAGUGAUUUAAUAAAUAUUGUAUUUCACAUUUUCACUAGUUUUUGAAGGAUAAUAUUUAUGCAAGUGAAUCAAGUGAAAUCAAGAUUGAAGACACUCAACGGACAACGGUGACAUCAAGAAUAGUCUAGAGCUCCACGAACAAAUUAGUGCGAUAAAUUCUUGUAAAGCCGGUAUGAUUUAAUUGAUGUAUGAUUUAGCAUUUGAGAAGCUCAAGAGAUUAAUUUAAUUAAAUACUUUUCAUAAACUAAAAGUUUUAUUUUUAUAAAGUAAAGUAUUUUGUGGAUUUAAGUAAUUUGGACUUAAAUGCUAAUAUUUGAAAUCUUUGAUUUUAAAUAAGUAUUAAAUUUCAGAGUUGGACGUUUUUACAAAUAUUUGAAAUGUUUUGGGCCAUACUAUAAUUUAUGAAUAUGUUGGACUAAAGUGAAAGGUUUUGAGAACUUUGAAAAAUAUGGGUAUUAUGUUGAAAAGGACCUUUGUGCGAAAUAAUAAAAUCUUUGGGGCCAUAUCAUAAUUUUAGAAAGUUUGGGAAAGACGACUAUUCUUAGGAAGUUCUGAAAUUGGAUCUAUUUGUAAAGUUUUAUGACAUUUUGAGCCAUAGUAUAAUUAUAGAAAGUUUUGGGUCAAAGUAUAAAUUUAGUGAACAGAGUUACUGUAGUAAAUUCAAAAAUAACGGUAAUAUCACUGUUCCUGAGCGGCUAGCCGGAUAAUCAAGCGGCUAACCGCUUGGGCGCGGGAAUUUACCUAUAACGGCUAGUUUUCGGGCUUUCACUAUUAAAACUCAACUCAAACUUCAUUCCUUAAACGAAUGCAAGGAAAAACAAGAUCAUAUAACAUAUAUUGAGCUUCCAUUUCGCAAAUCAUCAUUGAUUGAAUGAUCAUUGAGCUAUAAUUUGUUAUCUACUCUUAAAGAGAGUUUCAUUGUUGUGAUUUUCAUUUCUCAUCAAAUUGUGAGUGUACAAGUGUGAGAAACACUUGGGGUGAAGAGAUUGGGGAGAUAAUCUCUUGUUGUAAAGGUUCAUUGACACCUUAGAAGUCAAUUGUAAACAUUUGAAGCCUUGGGAGGUUUGGAUAGUGAAAUCCUCAAGCCAGGUGUGCUUGGAGGCGUGGACGUAGGCAGGGAUAGCCGAACCACGUAAAAAUCCUUGUGUUUGUUUUAUCUUCCCUUACUCUUUUAAUAUUGUGCUUGAUUGAAUUUAUUAUUUUUUUAUUUGAUUAAGGCAAUAGAUUCAAUUGUUGUGCGAAUUGUAUUGCAUAAUUUUAAAAACCCAAUUCACCCCCCUCUUGGGUUGCAUAACUUGCAUUUCAUUUGGUAUCAGAGCGAGGUGCUCUUGUGUAGACUUAACCGUCUAGAGUAAAAGAUCCAUGGCAACCCAUAAUGAUUCAACCUUUAGGGAAGGACAAUCCACAAUUAGACCACCGUUCUUUGACGAUAAUGACUACCCAUAUUGGAAAACUAGGAUGAGAAUUUAUUUACAAGCUUUAGAUUAUGAAAUUUGGGAAAUUGUUUGUGAUGGUCCAUUUAUGCCUUUGACUAAAAACGAAGUCGGGGAAGAUAUUCCAAAACCUUCACGGGAAUGGAAUGAAUUGGAAAAGAGAAAAGCUUCUCUAAAUUCCAAAGCCAUGAAUGCCUUGUUUUGUGCACUUGAUAAGAAAGAGUUUCAUAGAGUGUCAAGUUGUGAAAGUGCUAAUAAAAUUUGGCACAAACUUGAAGUUGUUUAUGAAGGCACGAAUCAAGUGAAAGAGUCUAAAAUUAGUAGGUACACUCGACAAUAUGAAUUGUUUCAAAUGGAACAAAAUGAGAGUGUGUAUUCUAUGUAUACUAGAUUUACGGACAUAGUGAACACUCUAUGAGCCCUAGGAAAGACCUUUUCAAAUAGCGAGAAAGUUAAGAAAAUCAUUAGGUCUCUACCUAAGGAAUGGAGACAAAAAAAGACUGCCAUUGAGGAAGCCAAAGAUUUAAAUAUUUUACCUAUUGAUGAUUUAAUUGGUUCUCUUAUUUCUUAUGAGGAAGACUUGGCAGCUGAAAGAAGCAAUGAGGAGAAGAAGAAAAGUAUUGCUCUCAAAGCCUCGAAACACGAGAGUGAUGAGGAAAGCGAGCUGGAUGAGGAGGAGAUGGAUAUGCUGGCGAGGAGGUUUAGAAAACUUUUUAAGAAAUCCGGUGAGCGAAGAAAAUUUAGAGACCUCAAGAAAUGAAAGGAGAAGAAUGAAGUAAUCAAAUGUUAUGAGUGCAAAAAGCCUGGCCAUAUAAGAACGGAUUGCCCUCUUCUCAACAAACUCAAGAAGAAAGCAAUGGUAGCCACAUGAGAUGAUAGCGAUGAGGAAACAAGUGAUGAUAAAGAGCAUCAAGAAAUGACAAAUCUAGCUCUCAUGGCAAUUGGAGAUGAAUCGGAUGAUGAACUUGAUGAGGUAAAUGAUAUUUCUACUCAUGAUGAAUUAUAUGAUGCUUUUAAAGAAUUGCAUGAUAAUUGGAUAAAAAUUGGUAAAAAGAAUGCAUGUUUUAAAAAGAAAAUGGUAAAGCUCACAAAUGAAAAUGAAUCUCUAAGUGCAAAGAUUACAUGCCUAGAAUUAGAGAAUAAAACAUUACAUGAUAGAGUUGUAUUAUCAAAUGAGAAACCUAGCACUUCACAUGAGCAUCUAGAAUCAUAUGUAGAUGACUUGAAAAAUGAAAAUGAUGCUUUACAAAAAUGCAAUGAUUCAUUAAAUGAAAAGCUUAAAGGACUAGAGUUAGAUAAUAAAAUGUUGCAUGAUAGAAUUGUAUCAUUUAAAUGCAAACAAAGUACUUCAUAUGAGCAUGAGAAAUCACAUGUUGGUGAAUUAAUGAAAGAAAAUGAAGUGCUUAAGAAGAAGAGUAAUGAACUAAAUCAAAUUGUGUUAAAAUUCACAAAUUGGCAAAAGAUGUUGGAUAACUUGCUUAAUUCACAAAAAUGUGUGUUUGAUAAAGGAGGUAUUGGUUAUAAGCCAAAUUUGAAACAAAAAUAUUAUAAGAGUUAUUUUGUUAAAACUACCUCCAUUAAUGAUCAAAUUGUAUGUCAUUAUUGCAAUCAAAAUGGUCACAUAAAGAAUAGAUGUCCAGUUAAAAUAAAUGCAUAUUAUGGAGCAAAAUGUAUUUGGGUUCCAAAAGGAACCAUUACUAACACUCAGGGACCCAAGAAUAUUUGGGUACCAAAGUACACAACUUGAAUAAUUUUUGUAGGUACCACAAACAAGGAAGGGUGGAGAGUUCCUUGAUGAAACUUGUGAGGAUAAUCACUUGAUCAUGGUCUAGGCAAAAAUAAUGAGGCAAGAUGGUUUAAUUGUUUUGGUAACAAUUAUUGCCUUAUUGAUUAUAAGUUACGGUCUUUUAAUCUUAGUAAAUAUUUCAUAUUUCAUUAUAUCAUUAAGUGCUUUAUCAUGAUGGAUUUGUUUGAUUUUAAUGAUUAUGUAAUGCCUAAGUAUGAUAAAUGAGUAAUAUGCUUGAAUUAUUAAUCUUUGAAUGCUUAUAUGUUUCAUGAUUGAGUAAAAUAUAUACAUGAUGGAUGAAUUAUAUGUGUGAAUUAAUCAUGUCUUAAAUGUUUAUAAUUUCAACCAUAAAGGUUAUUGUAUCUCAUAAUUGUGAUGGAUAUGCAUGAUGAAUAUGUUAUAAAUUUGAGUUUUAUGAUUUUUUGGAUGUUAAUUAUAUUGAUCCAUGCAUUAAAAUGGUUUUUGAAAAUGUUUGGAUCACGAAAUGGUCUUAAAAUCGAUCAAAAAUAGCCAGAGAGCAAAAAUUGGUGCAGAUGGGCAGCCAUGAGGUAGCUAGCCGCCUGCCCCAAGCGGCUAGCCGCUUUGUCACGGGUUGGAGUAAUUGUUUUUGCUUCUUCUUCUUCCUUCGUUAUUUUUCUGCACUUGUUCCUCUCUCUCUCAAAACCGUGAGCCACCCUCUUCCAUUUCCAAUCAAUUUCUCUUUAUUUCUCAACCAUUUUUAUGCCAAAAUUAAUCAUUCAAACCAAUACCCAUGCAUUUCACUCUCAUUAAACACUUCCCAAUCAUCAUUUCUUCACUUGUUCUUGAUCAUUUCAUCAUCAUCUCUCACGCGUGAACAGUACCUCUCCAUUUCUCUCUCAAAUUUCUUCAUCUUUCACUCAUUCUCUUGCCAAAAUCAAUCAUCCAACUCAUUAUUCAUCCAUUACUCCUUCAAUUUUCACUCUCAAAACAUGAUUUCAUUAUCUCUCCACAUAAAACCCAAAAUCAAAAACCUAACUUACCCAUUUCUUUCUCUUCCAAUUUAAGCUCUUUUUAGUCCACUUUUGAUCCAAUCAACACCAUCCAUUAUCUUAAAUCAUCUCUUGGAUCAAUAUAAUCAGUUUAAAAUAAUCCAUUUCACUCAUUAUUUUACAAAACCGAGUUUGUGCAUUUUGGGUAUUUUAAAUUACCAUGGUUCCUUAUUAUAUUAUGCACCUACAUUUUCAUAUGCAUAAUUGUUUUAAUUGUAGAUUACGGAUGAUGGUUGUUUAAUAUUUGGAUAACUUAUAUUUGGAUGAUAUUUUCUGAAUUCUUAGAAUGAAUAUGACUCUUUAGUUAAUUGAAUGCUUAAUUUUUAUAUGUUUCUUGAUUAAUCAUUGAGAUAUUCUUUUUGGUAUAAGCAUAGAUUUAUAGUACUUUUGAUGAUUGAUGAUUAUAUGUGUGUUGCUUGAUGAAUUAAUGGAGUUGUUAGUUUGUUAUAAUUGUUUCAGCUUAUAUGGAAGUGUUUUUAACCAUGUUGUAUAUUUAAGGAUUUGUUCAUUUUAAGGGGAGAUUCUGCCGAAAUUUUUGCUCGCACAAAAUUGGUAAUAUCUUUAUCGAAUUAUUUUUGAUGCUCUUGUUUCGAUUGCAUCUAUCUAUUUUUUAUGAAGGGGAAGAUAAAUAUGAUAUGUUUUUGGAUAAUAUCAUUUUGGUUAAAUUUUUUAAUUGGCCAUAUAUUUAGGGGGAGCAUACAAUAUGAUUUUGGAUAAUAUGCAUUUUGAGCAUUCUUUUGAUGGGUUGAUGGUUCAUGAUCAUUUUAUGGUUAAUUGGAUGUUUGGUUAUUAUAUGUUUCUUGAUUAACCAUUGACAUAUUAUCGAUCUUCACAUGAAUUUCUAGUAAUUUUGAUGAUGAAGGGGGAGAAGUCAUGUAUUUUGAAUAUGAAGACAUAUAAUACGUAUUUUGUAUUUCAAGUAUUUAUGCAUGGUUUUGAAAUAUUAAGGGGGAGCUUACAAAUUAUCAUAAAUCAAAUAUUCAGGGGGAGUUUUUGUUUUGAAUUUGAUUUAUAUGUUUAAUUAUAUAUGCCAUGUAUUAAGGGGGAGUACAAAUGUCAAAAUACAUGAGAUGUUUGUCAUCAUCAAAAAGGGGGAGAUUGUUAGCCUAAAGGGCUAUACAUAAUAUAAUUUUGAUGAUAACAAACAUAUGUAUUAAGUGAUUUAAUAAAUAUUGUAUUUCACAUUUUCACUAGUUUUUGAAGGAUAAUAUUUAUGCAAGUGAAUCAAGUGAAAUCAAGAUUGAAGACACUCAACGGACAACGGCGACAUCAAGAAUAGUCUGGAGCUCAACGAAUAAAUUAGUGCGAUAAAUUCUUGUAAAGCCGGUAUGAUUUAAUUGAUGCAUGAUUUAGAAUUUGAGAAGCUCAAGAGAUUAAUUUAAUUAAAUACUUUUCAUAAACUAAAAGUUUUAUUUUUAUAAAGUAAAGUAUUUUGUGGAUUUAAGUAAUUUGGACUUAAAUGCUAAGAUUUGAAAUCUUUGAUUUUAAAUAAGUAUUAAAUUUUGGAGUUGGACGUUUUUACAAAUAUUUGAAAUGUUUUGGGCCAUACUAUAAUUUAUGAAUAUGUUGGACUAAAGUGAAAGGUUUUGAGAACUUUGAAAAAUAUGGGUAUUAUGUUGAAAAGGACCUUUGUACGAAAUAAUAAAAUCAUUGGGGCCAUAUCAUAAUUUUAGAAAGUUUGGGAAAGACGACUAUUCUUAGGAAGUUCUGAAAUUGGAUCUAUUUGUAAAGUUUUAUGACAUUUUGAGCCAUAGUAUAAUUAUAGAAAGUUUUGGGUCAAAGUAUAAAUUUAGUGAACAGAGUUACUGUAGCAAAUUCAAAAAUAACGGUAAUAUCACUGUUCCUGAGCGGCUAGCCGGAUAAUCAAGCGGCUAACCGCUUGGGCGCGGGAAUUUACCUAUAACGGCUAGUUUUCGGGCUUUCACUAUUAAAACUCAACUCAAACUUCAUUCCUUAAACGAAUGCAAGGAAAAACAAGAUCAUAUAACAUAUAUUGAGCUUCCAUUUCGCAAAUCAUCAUUGAUUGAAUGAUCAUUGAGCUAUAAUUUGUUAUCUACUCUUAAAGAGAGUUUCAUUGUUGUGAUUUUCAUUUCUCAUCAAAUUGUGAGUGUACAAGUGUGAGAAACAAUUGGGGUGAAGAGAUUGGGGAGAUAAUCUCUUGUUGUAAAGGUUCAUUGACACCUUAGAAGUCAAUUGUAAACAUUUGAAGCCUUGGGAGGUUUGGAUAGUGAAAUCCUCAAGCCAGGUGUGCUUGGAGGCGUGGACGUAGGCAGGGAUAGCCGAACCACGUAAAAAUCCUUGUGUUUGUUUUCUCUUCCCUUACUCUUUUAAUAUUGUGCUUGAUUGAAUUUAUUAUUUUUUGAUUUGAUUAAGGCAAUAGAUUAAAUUGUUGUGCGAAUUGUAUUGCAUAAUUUUAAAAACCCAAUUCACCCCCCCUCUUGGGUUGCAUAACUUGCAUUUCAAGAACUUGUAACUUUUGGAUCUUUUAGUUUUUAUUGGUUGGAUACAAUAUUAUGACUUGAGCGUCGGAAGGUUUUCACCGAAAUAACUUCCAGCACCCCCUGACUGUUCUUUGUGCUUGCAUGCUCGCGGGUUAUUUGCUCAUGGAUCAUCUGCUCAUAGAACAUCUGCUCACGGUGCUCACUGAUCAGCAGCUCGUGGAUUAUCUGCUCAUGGUGCUCACUGAUCAGCAGCUCAUAGAUUAUCGGCUCAUGGAUUAUCUGUUCAUGGUUAGAGGAUUUUCUUGGAGAUUAAUAAGUCGCUUCUCCACCAAACAAAUUUAUUGCUGAUGCGGGGAUGUGGUAUUGAGUCAACAACUGACUCGACUUUAUUUCUGCAUCAAUAUAAAGUAUUAAUCAGCUUAAUUAAUUUAUAAAAUUUAAAUCUAAUUAAUAAGUGACACAUAAAUGCCAAGUGCAAUAUAUGCAAAUCCUGUUUGUCGAUCAUUACAAAACUGGCUCUUGAAAACAAGCAAGAAAGCUUAAUUAAGAACUUAAAACAAAAAGUAUUAGAUUGAGGAUAGUCAAGCCUUAUUUUUUCAAGGAUGGAGCUUAUAAAUCUUCAAGUACCAACAUAUGCUUGGCCCAAUUGUUGUUUUUAAAAUUUCAAAAUAUAAGUAUGACAUAGCAAAAAUUUGAUGGUACAUGUGUCGGAAUAUACUAGCUAGUUCAUGGAUGCAUUUGAUUACUAUUUCCAUAAAUUUGAACUAAGAAGAAUGACACGAGAAAAUUUGAUUUUAUUAUAUGGUUGAUUUCAUAUCUCAUGCACUCAUUUCUUAAGAUAAUUAGAUUUUCUCUGGCAUCUUUUGCAAAUGUGGAAAUAUCAAUUAUGAUCAAUCAAAACGAUCUCAAAACUUUUUAACGAGACAUAUUUAUAAUACAAUAUUAUGAAAAUUACACCAAAAAUUUGAUUUAUUAUAUAUUAUUAUCCAACGAGCACACAAAAAUGAAUUCAUACAAAUCUAUAAUACUUAGCAAUUUUCAAAUAGAAUUUACCAUGUACUAUAAGAAAAUAUGGUAUAUGUGACCCCUAUUGUGAAUGCAAAAGCAGCCAUUACGUAUAUCACUAACUUCUAACUUUGUAACCCUGAGUUGCUUUUGUUACCCUUUAUGUGACGGCCAUACUGCUGUCACAUAUGUUACUAACCACGUGACGGUAAAGAGCCGUUCCGUAUACUACUAUUUUAGAAUUUUAAAUUUAUUUCCAGUUGGAAAACUAUUCGCUGGAUUACGAGUUUAAAUGCUGUCACCAUCGUAAACCUAACUGGUUGCCGGCGAACGGCGUAAAACACCGGCCAUCUUCUUCUUCAUCGUAUUCGCCCUUCAUCUUUUGAGUUAAGCUUGUGAUUAUGAGUUUCUUCUCUUACUUAGCUUGUAAUUAUAGAUUUUGAUUCUUUUUAAUUCGUAUUGUAGUCGUUAUUGUCAAUUUUUGUCCCGCCAGCAAUUUUUUUUAUUCCUACAAGUUGAAGCCCCUGUGUUCUUGUUCCAUUGGUGUGUUUGCUCACUCAAAUUAAUUUUGUUCUACAAAGUUCAAAUGGAUUCAUUUGAAUCACUAUUGAAUUCAGCUUUAAUUCCAACAACCAUUCUAAUGUUUUGUUAUUAGAUUUACUUUAAUUUUAUGUUUAAAGCUUCUACAAUGAAUAGCGGAGCUUGGGUUUUAGUUUCAUUUUCUAGAUAACUUGUUUUUCUUGUAUGCUCACCAAGUGCUUGUUAUAUUGUCUGAUAAGUUAAUAUAUUGCUGAUUCUAUAUUAAUAAUGUUACGUUCUAUUUUCAGAAAUUAUAAUAUAAACUGAAUUAACUUGUAGAAUAAGAGCUUGGAGUAGUGUUAUGUUCUUGAAUAAAUGAAAGUCCAUAUUGUGUAAGAGCAUGUAGAUGUAAAGCGCAUUGCCAUUUCUAUAAAGGACUUUCAUUCUGUUCAGAUGCUCCUCUUGAACUCUGAAAGGUGCCUCAUUCAAGUCCUAGCUAUAACUACUAGCUUUGAUUAAUUAAUUUCCUGUACUAGCAGAAACAGAUUUAUUUAUUUAAAUAAUUGUCUAUGUACUAAUUAUAAUGAAAGUAUAUGAAGAAAUUUUUUAACAUGAAUGACUUCUAAAUGACUUAAAAACCUAAAGGAUAUGAGAAAUAAUGCUCAUUUCACUUGAACGAGCCUAUUAAUACUUGUAUGUCUAUGAUUCUUAAUAUUGGCUUAAGCAUUUCAGUAAAUGGUUUACAUAACAGAGAAAAAAAUUUAAAUGAAAACUUUAGAGUUCUAACAGAAAUAUAAUUGACUAUGCAGAUAUAGUUAUUUUAUGGUAUACAAAUCAUGUUGCCUUAAUCUCAAUGUCCUAUGACCUAUUUUAUUUUAUAUAGUCGUUCAUUUUUGCCAUCGCUUUUUGUGUUUAUGAGUAUGGAAGUAGUGGGAUUUGGUGUAUCUUAGCAUCUUUGGAAAAUUCUCUUUAAAUGUGGCAAACAAAAAUAUACAUAUAAUCAAGUUUCUUAAUCAACUAUCAUAACUGGCUAGCUAGUUCUUGCCUGCCUUGCUGCCAUUACCCAGGCCAUUACAUUGCAUAGCAUAAGGAAUAGUGAUUAGGUGCUUAUUAGUGAUUCGUUGAGCUUAUUAUUGACCAAACAAACAUAUUCGCCUUUACCCACAACUUAGUUUGAUUAGUUAUUAGACCAUAAAGAGCGUUAAUCUGUUCAUUGGCUUUGUUAUUUUUAUUUGGUUUUUCUUCCAACAAUACUGUUGAUUUCUUAUAAAAAUACUCAUUGGUUUUUAGUUAUUAGACCAUAAAGAGCAUUAGUCUGUUCAUUGGCUUUGUUAUUUUUAUUUGGUUUUUCUUCCGACAAUACGGUUGAUUUCUUAUAAAAAUAUUCAUUGGUUUUUAAACACCUAAUCAUUGGCUAUAAUGAAGCUAAUUGAAACUGAGGCUUAUCAAUUUCUUCCUACAAGAUACAAUUGAGCAUAAACUAUAUCCUCAGUAAAUUUUUCUAAUAUCCUUGAUUUGUUAGGAUAUGGAGGCCUGAAAUCCUCUAGAUUUUUUUAACACUGUCAAUGUUCUUUUUACUCUGAAAAGGGAAAAAAAAGGUAUAUCUUUCAUACCCUAAUAGUAAGUAGGCCUUGACUUAACAUGCCUUCCCGAGGAUUUGCAAGAUUCACAAGCAGCUCACCCCCCCCCCCCCUCCCCCAACCCAAAAAAAAAAAAGAAAAACAAAUAGGAAGAUUUUGCGAGAUUCACAACCAGGUUAUAUUUAAUUUAUUAAUUGUGUGCACGUACUAGUUAUAUGUUGAAAGAAUAGGAAAGUAUUUUAACAUGAAUGACUUAAAACUUAUUGCUUAGUAAACAUAAUCUGCAUCAGUGCUAGAAAAUGUAUUUAUUGUUUGUAUUUUUUAUGGAUUUGCUUAAGAAAUGAUACGGGUAAUAAUGCUACAUUGUAUUAGGAACAAAUUGAAGAGAUUUAUGAUAUUUAUGUGUUAUUCAAAUUUCAGAUUGAAUUUUAAACUUUCAAUACAUGCAUUGAAAGCUUAGAUCGUUUAAGAAAUUAUAAAUAGACACAUGUUUUAUUAGUGCCAUCUUUGGAUGAUAGUGAGGAUCAUAUGCCUAUUAAUAAUUCUUGAAUUGUCUAGGCUUGAACUGUUUGGGAAUGCAUAGUUUUCUAUGGUAGCUAGUAGCUGAAGUUUUUUUCCCACAUAAAAAUGGGUUUUUCGCUAGCUGCUUCUCAUCUUCUUUGGGUGCAUACUAGAUAACACAUAAACACUCUUAUAUCUAUGUCGUUGCUUGGAGAACUAAAGGGAGAUGCUGCCGAAAUUUCUAUAAACGUAGAAGAAAACUUUAAAGUACUUGAGAUUGAAGAAACUUAUGCAUUCUUGAGAGGGAUAUAUGGGACCACUUACCUUUUGUAAAUAUGAAGGGAGUGUUGGACAUAUUGAUGGGAGUGGAGGAGCUGAGUUGGAUGGAUGUAAUCGGUUAUAGUUUUGCUGAGUUAACUUGGUUUUGAGCUUGUAAUUUUGUUUAUAAAUGGAGUACUAUCUCCAAUGUUGGUUUAUAAAUAUGUUUCAGCUGGCUGACCUUAUUUUUUGUUUCUAGGUAACAUGCUUUGUAUCUGUAAUUGAUAGCCAACUGAAGUUCUCAGCUGUGGGUGAGGAUAUUUCUUUACAGAAGGUAUUGGAAACUGUUUUUUACAUUAAUUAUUGUUGUAUAUAUACUUUAAUUUUCACAUCUUUUUCUCUGAUUCUUGUCACUUUACUUGCUUUCAUAUACAUAAAUUCUAAUGAAAUUAACCAUAAAAUUGUAUAAUGAUUUUUUAAUUAUAUUGCAAAACUGUGCACACACGAAAAUAUCUUGGUCAGUAGUAGAAAUGAAAAACUAAAAUGAUUUAUCUAACUAAUUUUUGUAGUGCAUUAAAAGGAGACGGUAAUGGAGAAGAGUUGGGUUGGUUUGGCAAAUAGAUAUCUAAGUUAUAGAUUUUGCAUUUGAGAAUGUUGUUGGUGAUGCAAGAAUUUAUUAUCCUUGUAAGAAGUGUCGAAUAUUUCGUUUUAAGGGAAGUAGCAAGAGACCAUAUCAUUAUAAAUGGUUUUUGGUUAAAGUUUUAAAACUGGAUAUUGCAUGGUGAGCCAUCUUCAUCUUUGGAAUCUAACCAAGAAACAGGUUAGUCAUGACUCGGGUGCUGAUGAUGAUAUGGUUGGAAUGAUACAUGAUACAUCACGUAAUCAAAUGUUCAAUUCACAGACAGCAUUGUUAUGGACUAUCAGUGACUUUCUAGCACAUGCCAACUUGUCUGAGUGGAGUAUUAAAGGUAAAUAAGCAUUUCUUGUUUGCCAACAAAACACCAGAUCGAAUUGGUUAAUACAUAGUAGAAAAUUGUCACGUCGGUAACGUCGAUUUUUACCGACGAAUCAUAGGUUUCGAAAAUAUAGUGCCUUUCGAAAAUCUGGAGCUGAAGUGAAAAAGCAGUUGAAUAAUAUCCUUACUGAGUUUAAGAUUGAAGACUUGAAAAGUGGAGAAUGAAUAAAAUGAGAGAAAUGACAAGAUUACUUGGAAGAAGAAAAGCAUAUUUUAUGAACUACCGUGUUGGGAGUUCAAUUUGAUUCAUCAUAAAAUGUGAGACAUGAGGGAGAGACAAAAGCUCAGGCUUGUCUGCAACCAUGUGGGCCCUCAUAAGCAAUUCGUGUACACAACUUGGUUCACCAAGCCCAACAACUUGAAGCAGGCAAAAUCCGGGAACGAUCCUUCUCCUUCGCAACCCUAGCUGCCUUAACCUUGUAUUUCUGAUAUUUAGUUAAAGAGUAAGAAGAUUGCUCCUCUGUCAAUUACCUUCGAGAGAGACUUUCUUUUUCAUUCAUCGAUGCUUGCUUGUGAAAGCAAGGGUUUUAGUUACACUUUCAACGCUGUCAAUGUAGUGAAGUAAAGCAUUCGUAGAAUAAUGAAGAUGGAAGCCCCACAGCAUGAAAACUUUUAAACAGUAACACAGCUCUUAUUCCAGAGGCUGCACGCGAGUGACCUGAAUCUUCUUCAGAACUUUCAAAUUUUAUCAGGCAAAGCUUUCAAAAUUUCUCAACAAAUUGAUUAUUUGGUGUGGUUGCCACAUUUUGAGUAACUGCUAUUUGUUCUCAAGUACAAAAUCCUUGCCUUCCUAAGUUAGGAAAUAUAGAUGAGAAGCAAACCAAAUGAAAUAAAUGGGUAAACAGAACAAACAGUGCAAAAAUUAAAAAUGAUGGCAAUUAACAAAUUAAUAGCAAUGUUACAUUUGACUCUUUAGCCCUUUGCUCCUUCUCUUAACAUUCUUCAAAGCUUUUGAAAAUUGGAUGUGAAGCAAACAAAAUAAAAUAAAUUUAGACAACACAUACCCUGUAUUCAGCAUCAUAUAUAUGUCGAAUAUCUAAUUUAAUAAAUUUCACAUCCAAAAUACUAAAAUUUUAUUUGCAUGCAUGUCUGUCAAAAUUUCCGUGAUUUAAUGUGCUUUCAUGCACGCAAGUUCUAACGUUUCUGUGAUCACAAAAUAAAACUGAAGAUAAAACAGAACAACUACCAAACCUUUCAAGCUUGACGAAGCCAUGAGAAUUGAUAGCUCAGGCUCUGAUACCAAGUUAAAGUUUCUAAUCUAUUUGAUAAGUAAGAAAAUGAGAGAAAAUGAAAGAAAGAACAGAGAUCAUCUAAGAGCUGGAUUUGAUGAAUAAAUCUGAAUCAUCCAUUCUUUAGCUGAUUACAAAUGUAUUUAUACAAGUUUUCUAAGCACCUGAGAGUUGAAUAACUUAUGCCAGCUCAGCUAACACGUCAGUAACUCUACCUAUCUUGCUUAACAAACUGAAACAAUAACUAACAAUUUUAACUAUCUUAACAAUCCCAAUAAUUUCUCCGUUUGUGUAUUUUUUUGAAUCAUAAUCAAAUGGGUAAAUGUUGCAACUAUUUUUUUAGACAUUUUCACUUUGGGAUGUCAGCCCGAGGAAGUUCGGGGGUCUGAGUUAUUCAACUGAAAAUGUCGGCCAAGUUCUCGCCAUCUCAGGUUCAAAACUGAUAAUCUUGCUCGUUGCUCCCCAUUUAUACUUAUUACGAAACUGAAAAAGUUACUCGUUCCUCUUAACUUGUUUUCUCAUGCAUCAACCCCACAAAACUGCUUAUUGCAGGGGGUAAAAUUUUGAACACAUCAUGUGGAAUUUGGACUAUUUGAUAGUUUGUUUCAAACAUAUCUGUUUAUAAAAUACUUUUCUUCAUGGUUUUGGUCCCAUAAUUUUCUAUGUAUGUACAGGUUUUAUCCAUACCUCUUUUGACAAGUUACACUUACAUAGCAAUGUUAUCUGGGUUCAGCCUUGCCUUUUUCAUAAACUGUGCUUCUGUGAUGAAGAAUGUUUUAUCUGUAAGUGGAUAUCCUAAUCAUUGAUCCAUAAACUUAGGUUAUAUUAUCCAUCAGCAAGUAUGUAUAAAAUUAUUUUAUGUCUUUUUUUAUUAGAAAUGUUGUAAUUCUAUUUUAAUCUUCCUGAAUUAUAACAUCAGGUGUCUAUAAUAACUGGAUUAUUCCUUCUGCAAAACAGAGCAGUGGUAAAUAUUUUUUUCUUUUGUUUGUUUAGUACAUUUACAUGCUUUCAGCUUUUUCAAAUUUUGUAUGUGUCAAAGUUUAAAUUUAAUUUGUUGGUUUAUGCCACAACAAAAGGAACAGCAUCAAAGAGGAGCUGCUAAUGGACUUGCUAUGACUGUAGUGUCGCUUACCAAAACUGCCGGUCCAGCUGUAGGAGGUGCUCUGUGAGUGUCCUGUUGAUUUUGUAAAAUUAUAUGUAAAUGAUGUUAUAAUAUUUUUUUUCAUUAAUUGGGGUUCUGGCAGAUUUUCUUGAUCACAAAAGCGUCAAGAUGCUGGUUUCCUCCCAGGUAUGAUGAUCUACUAAUGAAAUUAUAUUCUUUUUAUUUCAAAUAAUCUAUAAGUUAACUCAAAACAUAAUCAAGCUGAGAAUUAAAAUAAUGCCACUGUAUGAGAAGAUUUUUAUUUUUUUCCCGAAGUUUCACUAGGAAAUUAUUGAUAUAUAGCUUUAUUCGGAUCAUCUCAGUUCAAACGACAGCUAAUUGAAAGACUAAACUAAAUAGACCAGCCAACAACUUUGUACAGUAGAGUUAAAAAAAUAAAGUCAUGGUAUUGAGGUGUUCUGUCUUGAAAAGUACAGCAUAGUGAUAAAAUAAAAACUAUUAGUAUUUGGUAAGAUAUGACUUUUAAUUAAAAAAUUUCACAAAAAUAUAAAAAUAUUUAUAAAGUACUUCUGUAGUGCGGAGACCCUCACUUUGUUAAAGUGAAAAUAUCAACAAUAAACAAAAGACAUAUAUUUUAACACAUUAAAAACUGUAUUUUUUUAUCUAUUGGUGUAUUGAAAUAUGUGUUAUUUAGUUUGCUAAUGAUAUCAUCACUUUGUUAAAAUGAGGAUGUCAUCACUAGAGAAUCAUUAUAUAUACAUAUAUAUAAAGUGGUUCUCUCCAAGACCUAAACUUUAUUAAAAGUUUAGAAAGCAAAUAUAUUUUGUAUGGUAUAAUAGUGUAAUAACAUCACACUAUUAUAUCAUAUGAGUCCCAUAUAGAGUAAUAGUUUUUCGAACUUUAAUAAAGUUCAAGAUUAUAGAAUGAAUGAUUUAUAUAUAUUAUAAAUUUUUUAUUAUAUAGUGAAGGACAAAAUUAACAUAAUUUUCAAAUUAUAUUAAGUAUUUAUCAAAUAAUUUAACAUCAUAAUUUCUCCUAACUAGUAUAGUAAAUACGGCCUAGGAGGUACAUUCAAAGCAUUUCAUAGGUUCCUUGUUCGCUCCAGAUUCAGUCACAGACAAGGAGCCGUUUUUUGAGAAUAUUAAGCAUCAUCUUCAAAUGAAUUUUCUUGGCAAAGGUUUCAGAUCCAAAUUGUUGUUCCAGAUUAGUCCAAAGCUCAAGUAAGGUUUGAGAGUUUACCACAAGACUAAGGAUCUCGAUACUGAUGGAUGACAUUAACCAGCUCAACAACAAUUGAUCGUUUCUCUUCCACGAAGUUGAAUCUUCAAUUUCAGUAAAAAGAAAUUGGUUAGGACAGAGUUUUGAUCUAUCAAGUAGAUCUUCUAGUCCAUUGGCACGGACUGAAGACAAGACCUGUGAUUUCGAGAUCCUAUAAUUCGAUCGAUCCAGUUUGAUGGGUGAAGUGAAAGUAAACGAGGAAACAUAGGAGUUUGUAUUCUGAUUUGAGCUUGACGAAGCCAUGAGAAUUGAUAGCACAGGCUCGGAUAUCAAGUUAAAGUUUCUAAUCUGUUUGGUAAUUAAGAAAACCAGCGAAAAUGAAAGAAAGAACAGAGAUCAUCUAAGAGCUGGAUUUGAUGAAUAAAUCUGAAUCAUACAUUCUUUAGCUGAUUAAAAAUGUAUUUAUACAAGUUCCUGAAUAUUUUAGAUUCCAUAUGCUUGAGCUAAGCACCUGAGAGUUGAGCAGUGUGCACUAACAAACUGCUAACAAAAUAACUAACUUAUGCCAGCCCAGCUAACACAUCAGUAACUCUAACUAUCUUGCUUAACAAACUGAAACAAUAACUAACCAUUCCAAUAAUUUCUCCAUUUGUGUAUUUCUUGAAUCAUAAUCAAAUGGGUAAAUGUUGCAACUGUUCUUUUAGAUAUUUUCACUUUGGGCUGUCAGGCCGGGGAAGUGCGGGAGGUCUGAGUGACUCAACUGAAAAUGUCGGCCAAGUUCUUGCCAUCUCAGGUGUAAAACUGAUACUCUUGCUCCCCAUUUAUACUUACUACGAAACUGAAAAUGUUACUCGUUCCUCUUAACUUGUUUUCUCAUGCAUCAACCCCACAAAGCUGCUUAUUGCAGGGGUAAAAUUUUGAACACACCAUGUGGCAUUUAGACCAUUUGAUAGUUUGUUUCAAACAUAUUUGUUUAUAAAAUACUUUUCUUCAUGGAUUUGGUUACGUAAUUGUCUAUGUAUGUACAGGUUUUAUCGAUACCUCUUUUGACAAGUUACACUUCCAUAGCAAUGUUAUCUGGGUUCAGCCGUGCCUUAUUGAUAAAUCUGUAAUGAAGAAUGUUUUAUCUGUAAGUGGAUAUCCUAAUCAUUGAUCCAUAUCCAUAAGCAAGUAUGUAUAAAAUUAUUUUAUGUCUUUUUAUUAGGAUUGUUGUAAUUCUUUUUUACUUUUCCUGAAUUGUAACAUCAGGUGUCUAUAAUAACUGGAUUAUUCCUUCUGCAAAACAGAGCAGUGGUAAAUAUUUUUUUUCUUUUGUUUGUUUAGUACAUUUACAUGCUUUCAGCUUUUUCAAAUUUUGUAUGUGUCCAAGUUUAACUUUAAUUUGUUGGUUUAUCCCACAACAAAAGGAACAGCAUCAAAUUUUGUUGGUUUAUGCCAAAACUACCGGUCCAGCUGUAGGAGGUGCUCUGUGAGUGUCCUAUUGAUUUUGUAAAAUUAUAUGUAAAUGAUGUUAUGAUUUUUAUUGUCCCCCCCCCCCCCCCCCCAACACAAAAAAAAGCAUGAUUAAAUUGAUCAUUUGUUGGGUAACAACUUGAUUAACCGGUCCUGGCAGAUUUUCUUGGUCACAAAAGCGUCAAGAUGCUGUUUCCUCCCAGGUAUGAUGAUUUACUAAUGAAAUUUCUCACGAGUUGGUGAAUUACUUUGUGCUAAUUAGCUUAAUUAGCUGCUUAAACUAAAGUGCAGGUAACCAAAUGGUUUUUUUUUUCAUUCUGAAUUUGGUUGAGGCACUUGGAGUAAUAUUGACAUUCAAACCGUUUCUAACUCAACGCGCCCCGUGAGUUGAGAAAAGAUGCAUCUGUUGAAAUAUUCAAAUAUAUUUCAAGCAAAUUAAAGCUUUUCAAAAUCUAUCAACAAUAUGAUUAUUUGAUGUGGUUGCCACUUGCCAUAUUUUGUGUUACUGUUCUAAAGGGUUAAAUAUGAAAAUGGUUGUUGGUGCUCACACCAAUCGAUAGCUGGUAACAUUAACUCCUCAAUACUUAUACUUGUUCAUUUUCAGAACUACGACAAUUUAUCUUCACAAUGAUGCAAGCUAGAAAGAAUUUUUCAUGUUAAGUAAAACAUUGAAGCCAUAAAGAGUCUUAAUUGAGUACUAAGUUUUCUACCAUGCUUUCAACGGUAACAUAUUUGGAGCUCUUAUUCCAGGGGCUUCACAGUAGAGAGACCUGAUUUCGAUCUUCUUCAGAACUUGGGGAUUCCGUAAUAACAGAGGACAACAGUUAUAUAAGAAUAUUAUUUUGUACAAUUUUCGUAUAACCUGACCAAUGCAAGUAUAAUUUUAUGAUCUUAACUCAGAUCAAAAGACCUUCAAUGAUGUAAAUUUGCACAUAAAGCUGAGAUCCAAACAUUAGAACUUAUGAUGAAACGCAAACAAAAACGGUGAGAUUGAAAAGAUAGAGAAACACAAGCUUUUUAGUAGGAAUAAAUGCUCAUUUAGUCUCUAUAUUUUGACUCGAGCGCAUUUAGUUCUUAUAUUUUAAAAAGUGCCUCAACCUCAAGACACCCCCUAUUGUGAAAUAUAUUUUGUUUCUACCUUUUUUUUUUACAAUAAUACUCUUGGAAUAAUAUUUUUGGGAAUAUUAAUGAAAAUAAAAAAAUGGUAAUCAUCUAGCCAGCCUUAAACAAAAUAAAUAUUAAUAAAAACUUUUAUGUUAUUAUUUUAGUUUUAGGACUAAUUUCGUAAAUUAAAUUUUUUAUGCAUUUAUUAGUAAGAUUGCUUUAAGAAUAUUAAACAUUACUUUAAGAUGGCUGAUAUUAAUUUAUUUAUAAAGAAUUAUUAGCAAGAUUGUUGUGAAAGUACAAAAAAUACUGGUUAUUUCACAUUGAUAUUUAUUGAUUAAUUUGCCAAUUAACUUUUUUUAUAAAUAAAUUUAAGAAUAUUAUUGCCAAGAUAUUAUUGUAAAGGUAAAUAAAAUUUAAGGAAAAAAUGUAACGUAUUUAAUAUCAAGGUAUAUUGAGGUAUUUUUUAAAAUAUAAAAACUAAACGAGCAUUGAAAUUAAAGAGCAAUGAUAUAGCCACAAACUCUUGUACAAACUUAUUUUGUACAAACUGAUGUGGCAUGAUAAGAUUAGUUGAAUUAAAUAUCACUUUGCCCACAUGAUUUGUUUUUAUUAUUUUAUAUUUUCAUUCAACCAAUGAAUUAAUGCCACGUCAGUUUGUACAAAAUAAGUUUGUACAAGAGUUUGUGACUGUAUCAUUACUCGAAAUUAAAAUACAGGUACCAGACAAGUAUUUUCUCUUUUAGAAAGUUUUAUAUUUUAUUAAUGAAAGUCUGAAUAACAAAAUUAAGGUUUUGGACUUCUUUUAAACUAAACUUAAAUAUCACAAAUUUACCAAAAUAAGUAAACCUAAAAUAUUAAUACAUAAUAACAUUCUCCUAACUGAAAUAAAGAUAAAUGCUACUCAAAUUCUAUAUCUAGAAAAAAAAAAAGGUAAAAAUCCUGAAAACAAUAGGAAAAUAGAUCUUAAACUUGUAAAAUUAUAUGAAAUAAAUAUAAUUUUCAAUCGAACCACGAGACUAAUGUGGCGCUACAGUAUUAGAUUAGAUUCCCCUCGUUGCAAACUUCGAAAGGUAUAUUAUACACCCUAAAUACAUACUUAUAGCUCAAGUUGUUACCCUAGAGAGAUACUCUACUCAUCCUAUGCAACCAUCCGUUGCAUCAAAUUCGUUCCAAAAUUAAGAAUAAAUCAGCUGAUGCAUUCCAAAUAAUUUAGAUGAAACGAUAAAAUAAACCUAGAGAUCAAAUAAAAUGAAAUGAAAAUGAUAAUUACCUCGGACUAAAGCUCAUACAAAUUCAUUAUUUGACACCUCCAGCAAUUGUUGAAAUAAUAGUUAAUGAAAUAUAAAAUAAGACAAAAGUACAUAUUAAUGACACACCACUGUGAAUCGAUACAUCAACGUAAUACAUCAAUUGAAAUAUCAUACGAUAAAUUAGUCAGAGAAAGAAAUAAGUAAAUAAAUCAGCAAAGGAAACAUGCAUAAACAAAUUAAAAAAAAAACAAAGACAAAAGAAGGAAGAGUUGUCUGUGAGAAUCUUCUUCUAUGGUCAUUGAAGUCCCAAAACUAAUAAGGAUCGAUCAAUUGAACAGUUGCAAACUCAAUGGAAAUACAAUGGAACCUUAAAAAUGAACAGUGAAGGAAAAUGAAGAAAUCCGCAGGAAAUAAGGCGAGUAAGAGUGAAGAAUUAAUUACCACUGAGUAAAAUUGAGAGUUGUGAUCUAGAAGAGAUUCUUCUUCUCCGUAAUCCCCUUUUUUCUUUUAAUGUUGUUAUUAUUAUUAUUAUAUAUAUAUUUUCAAUUUCAUGAUUUCUUUUUUGUUUUAAACGGUAUUGGCAUAUUACAUUUAUUUAUGUUAAUUUUACAAUACCUCCCUUCAGAUUGCACAAAUUACAUAAAAAAAAAGCGCUUUAUGUAUAAAACUUUCAAACAAAUUGGGCCAAAAUCUAACUUUACCAAGUUUAGAGUAAUUUUGGGCUCGACAUUCCGUUUCCGACAAACGAAUUUUCUUUAUCACCAAGGUAUGAUACUUUUCAUAUUUAUCCAACGGCUCGUCAAUGACAAUACCUUUGUAAAAAGUACUUAUUUUGAAUAGUAUAUUGUGGAAAUGUCUGGUCGGUAAUACAACUAUUUCUUAUAGUGUAAAAAUGAUACACUAAGCGUUCACAUUUUGAUGAGUAAAUUAAGGAUUUCAAGAUGAAGUACAUAAUUAGAUUAAUGCUAAGAAACUGAAGUUUGAUCGAUUGAAAACGAAAAUAAUAAUGAAGGUAAUUAAGAAAAUGAACAAUAUAUGCGGAAGCGGUCCUUAUUAGUACUUCUAGAUUUUCUCUUGGGCUUUCCUUAUUAUUGUUAAAAAAUGACCCGAAGAACUUUGAGUUUAAAAAUCUGGCCCUGAUGCCUGGUAGCCCUUCAACACAUGAAGCACCAGAUGUUUUGAUGAGAAAAUGACAAGACCAUUUAUCAAAUUUCUUGUGGAUAUAAAUACAUACACAUAGACGAGACCAACCUCCUCAAAUGAGAAUCAGAGUGAUUACAAGACCUUGCAAUGAGACAAUGAUACACCAUCAAAUGUCAAAAUACAAUAGAAAUUCACGACAUAUAUAUAAUAAAAGACCUCUCAUUGAGUCAUAUAUAUUGAGAAUAAAAAUGUUAUAAUACAUACACAGAGCUUAGUUAGAAUAAAAUGUCUUUGAACUUACGAUGAUCAAACAAAGGAAACAGACAGGUUGUAACUCACACUAUCACAAGAAGAUCACGAAGAUGGAAAUGGGAACCCCUCAGAAUGGAAACUUUGAAUAGAGCAAAAAAGAAAAAACGACCUUAUUCACAGAAGAAGAGUGAUACAACUUGGCCAAUUGUUGUGAAUCAGAUCGAGCACAAUGAGACAGCAAGGGAAGAGACCCAGCCUGCAGAAAUAGAAGAAGUCCAACCCUUGAAUGAGACACAAGCUAAAGAGCAGCUCAAGACAGGUCCAGCUCGCGCGAGAAAGAAACCAGGAUGGCUCAAAGACUUUGUCAUUUGAGGAAUGUUCGAGAAUGCUUGAGAUAUCAUAAUAACGAAUAUUGUUCUGUUUUCAAUUAUUGUUUUGUUGUUAUCAAUUUUAUUCUAUUUAGUUAGUUAAGGGUGCGUGGCUGUUUUUGGAAGGGAGAAUAUAUUGUACUGUCAAGGGACCCAUGAGGGCAUGAAAAGAAAGGAUAUCAUUUUGUCUUUUUUCAGCUUCGUCUUCUUUCUCUUCUCUGUAACUCCCCUGUCCCAUUUCUCUUUCUUCAAAUUAUUUUCUCCACGAAUUGGAGCUUGCACUCGCUCAAAGAGUGUCGUAUCAACUGGUGCUUUCAUUGCAUUUAAUCUCUUUACACAAAACAAAAAAAAAAUGUCUCUCACAGAACCAACGACUGAUUCAGCAGUUCUCUCCACCAUGAAGACGCUCAUUGAAAAUCAAAUGCUUGCUGUUCAUCAGACCUUAUAGCAAUAUAUGUCCACGGUGGAUUCUCGAUUUGAGGAGCUACGUUCCCAAAUCAAUGGUUCCGUCGGAGGGUCAGUGGGUUCUUCCCGCCCAAUGGCGCCAGAACCAGCGUCUUCGACUGUACUGUCAGGUGUUACUGAUAUCUCUCCUCUGUUGCGUUCUAUGAAAAUGAAUGUCCCAAAAUUUGAUGGCACUGAUCCGAAUGGUUGGGAUUUUUGAAUCAAUGAGUUCUUUGAUUUUCACGGCACCCCUGACCAUUUACGCCUUCGUAUUGUAUCUUUUCACAUGGAGGGAAAAGCAGCAGCAUGGUAUCAAUGGAUGAAGGCCAACAACUUGCUGAGCACUUGGCAGAAUUUUUUACUCAAUCUUAAGCAAAGAUUUGGUACAUCCUGUUGAAAAGUCAAAGAGGUUUGGUUGAAAAAGAAAAGUGAGUCACAUGCAUUGCUUUUGUUUUUCAAAGUCAGCACCAAAUUGCAAGCUGUAAAAUAUUUGGCAUUUGACAAUCCUGCACCAAAUGAAGAAAAAUGGAAAAGUAAGCAAAAUUUGUCAAAUUGACAGAGAUGGAGAUUGACAAAUUGCAGAGGGAUUAGGUGGAAUAGUGCAUGCUUGAAGCCUAUAAAUUGAAGCCAUUUUUUUUCAUUCUAAAUCAUCCCAAAAUUUGUUAAGCUUAUAAGUUUCUAAGCUUUUGAGAGUUCUGAAAGUGUGAGCAAUUGGAGAGUGUGUGUGAGAGUACUGGGUGUAUUUGGGUUCUGGAAAAGUGAGAUUUCUUUACUCAAAUUUGUACUCAAAUAAUUGUUAAUAAUACAAUUAUUUUUCUCUUGCUCCCAUGGACAUAGGCAUAUUGCCGAACCACGUAAAUUCUUGUGUCCUUUAUUUUUCUAUGAUUAUUCGGUGUGUUUGUUUCCGCAUUCCGCGCACAACAAGUGGUAUCAGAGCCGACGGUUCGUACUUGGGGGGAUACGGUACAAUUUACGUAUACGGUACUAUUCAUGUAUACGGUACUGUUCACGAAUACGGUGGAGACGGCCAUUUGUACUUAGGAGACAGUCUAUUGUAAGUAGUGUGUAUUUUUGCAUGUCUAGGAAAGUUCUGUCAACAAAGGCGAUAAGAGUCUAAGGAUUCUGGUUUUUAAUUGGGACCAAGUUCCUGUCCAGUUUCCUGGAAACUUUCCUGGUGCAUUUAUUCACGCGAAAUUAACAUCAUAGAGACUGUUUUUCAAGUGAAAAUAGUUCGUUGAGAAAAUGGUAGAAGGUGAAACUUCCAGAAUUGGGGAGAGAUCUGCCGAGACUAUUUCAGGAGACACUUCAGGUAGGAGGCGAGAUUUGUCAAAUCGCUAUUCAGCACCUGUUAUAGGAGGCCAGAAGAUCGAUAUUGAAAAGUUUGAUGGGAAAAUCAACUUCGGCAUGUGGAAGCGCGAAGUUAUGGAUGCCCUUAUUCAAAUCGAUCUCGAUGUUGUUCUGAAAAAUAAAAGACACUUGUAUGAUGAAGAAAUUUAGGAUCGUAUGAACGAGAAAGCUUGUGGUCAGAUUUGAUCUUGUUUGACUAAGGAGGUGAAAUACUUGGUGAAAGAUGAGGAGUGUGCGGUGACUUUGUGGCGUACAUUGGAGGAGAAGUACCUGCUAAAAAGUCCUGAAAAUCAUCUUUCGAAUGAAGCCUGGGGUGUCAAUGCACGAUCAUGUCUCAAGAUUUGAAAAGUUACUUGCUGAUUUGAAGAAUCUUGAUGAAGAUAUUAAGGAUGAAAUCAAGGCUAUGAUUCUGUUACACUCACUGCCAGAGGAAUAUAGCCAUUUUGUGACUACCUUGAUAUAUGGGAAGAAUGUGAUCGUCUUCAAAGAUGUUUGCACAACAUUGACUAACUUGGAGAUUCGGAAUAAUGAUAAAAAUUCUGAACGAGCAUCGUCUGAAGCUUUAGUGAGUAGAGAUUGGGUGAUGGAGAAAAAGAAAAAGCGUGGUGGAAAGAAUUCUCGAUCCAAAUCGAGAAGCAGAAAUCUAGCUCGAGAUGAGUGUGCCUUUUGACAUGAAAAGGGCCAUUGGAGGAAAGAUUGUCCAAAGGCUCAAAAGAGAGAUGGGAAGAAACCAGCAGCAGCAAACAUGGCACGGAAAGAUGAGGACUCUGAUUAUUCACUAAGUAUUACUCCUGCAGCAUACGUGGCUAGUUCGAGUGAGUGGAUACUUGAUACUGGAGCAACCUAUCAUUUGUGUCCCAUUAAUGAAUGGUUUACGAAUUUUCGUAAUCUGGAAUCCGGUGCAGUUGUGAUGGGGAAUGAUCAACCUUGUCGCACAAUGGGGAUAGGAACAAUUCGGCUCAAAAUGUUUGAUGGAAUGAUCAGAGAACUCAAAGAGGUUAGAUUUGUUCCAGCUUUAAAGAAAAAUCUAAUUUCUGUGGGUGCUUUGGAAGCUAAAGGCUACAAGGUUACCAUUGAAGAUGGCACAAUGAAAUUUACACAUGGGGCUAUGGUGAUUCUGCAAGGGGUUCGGCGUCACAAUCUGUACUAUUUGAAGGGAGGUACAACUGAUGAAGCAAAUAUUAUUGAGGCGCACAGUAACACCACCAAGCUAUGGCAUGUACGGCUGGGACAUACUGGCGAGAAGUCUUUGCAAACUCUGAUGAGGCACGGACUCUUAAAAGGUACCAAAACCUGUAAAUUAAAUUUCUGUGAGCAUUGUGUAGUAGACAAGAAAACAAGGGUCAAGUUUGGUACAGCCAAUCACGAUACUCGUGAGAUCCUUGAAUAUGUUCAUAGUGAUGUAUAGGGAUCAACCAAGAUUGCAUCAAUUGGUGGAAGCCAUUAUUUUGUUACGUUUGUUGAUGAUUUCUCUAGAUGUGUGUGGGUGUACACCAUGCGAGCAAAGGAUGAGGUUCUAGAGAUUUUCGUGAAAUGGAAGAAAUUGGUGGUGACUCAAACUGGCAGAAAGAUCAAAGUAUUACGAUUUGAUAAUGGAGGUGAAUAUACUUCUGAUCCAUUCUUGCAAGUAUGCCAGAACGAGGGUAUUAAAAGACAUUUCACGGUGAGACAUACUCCGCAACAGAACGGUGUGGCUGAGCGUAUGAAUCGUACUUUACUGGAGAAGGUACGGUGUAUGUUAUCUAAUGCUGGUUUAGAUAAAAAAUUUUGGGCUAAAGCUAUGAGCUACGCAAGUCACUUGGUAAACCAGUUGCCUUCUGCUGCAAUUAGAGGUAAAACUCCUAUGGAAAUGUGGUCUGGAAAGCAUGCACAAGACUAUGAUUCUCUUCGUAUAUUCGGGUGUCCAGCUUAUUAUCAUGUCAAAGAUGGUAAACUGGAUCUUCGUGCUAGAAAAGCUAUCUUUAUGGGAUUCAAAUGUGGAGUAAAGGGCUUCAAGCUUUGGGAUCUCGAAGACAAAAAGUUUGUGUGUAGCAGAGAUGUCACAUUUGAUGAAGCUUCAAUGAUGAAAGCUUCAAGUUCUCAGCAGGUGGAGAACAAGACCAAAGAGGUAUUGCAGCGGGUGGAGUUUGAUGCAACUUCAUAUGUACCAGUUAGUUCUACAUCAAAGAAUGGUUCAACUAUGGAGGUGACACUUAGAGUUGAAGAAUAUGUUAUUUCUUCUGAUGUCCCACAAAAUGAAGAAACAAUUGAUGAUGUAGAUAAUUAUGAUUUUAUAGCAACAAGGAGACCAAAAAGAGAGAUAAAGAAACUCGAAUGGCUUACUAAAGAUAUGGUGGUAGCCUAUGCACUUUCAGUUAUUGAUGAUGACAUCCCCAACACUUUCGGUGAAGCAUUACGCAACAGUGAAAGUGAUCAGUGGAAGUUAGCCAUGGAGGAAGAGAUGAAAUCUCUCCAUCAAAACCAGACUUGGGAACUUGUAAAGUUACCAAAGGGGAAAAGGGCUAUUGGCAAUAAAUGGGUCUACACCAAAAAGCAAGGAUUUCCGAAUCAAACAACUCCUCGAUAUAAGGCAAGGCUCGUGGCAAAAUGUUUUGCUCAAAAGGAAGGUAUUGACUACAAUGAAGUUUUCUCUCCAGUUGUAAAACAUACUUUCAUUCGUAUCCUACUUGCCUUAGUUGCAGAAUAUGAGUUAGAGUUGGCUCAAUUGGAUGUUAAGACAGCGUUCUUACAUGGAGAGUUGGAGGAGGAAAUCUAUAUAAUUCAGCCUUGUGGUUUCAGAGUUGCUGGAAAGGAGAAUCAUGUGUGUAGAUUGAUUAAAUCUUUGUACGGACUGAAGCAAUCAUCAAGGCAGUGGUACAAAAGAUUUGAUCAAUUUAUACAAGGGAAGAAAUUCACCAGAAGUGAACACGAUCAUUGUGUUUACUUUAGAAGACUACUAGAUGGAGCUUUCAUCUAUUUGUUACUCUAUGUCGACGAUAUGCUUAUAGCUUCAAAGAAUAGAGAUGAGAUCGAAAGAUUAAAGAAGCAGCUGGCUUCUGAGUUUGAGAUGAAAGAUUUGGGUGAUGCACAGAGAAUACUUGGGAUGGAGAUUCAUAGAGACAAGAAGAAUGGGAGCGUAUGGUUGACUGAAAAGUCUUAUUUGAAGAAAAUGCUAGAAAGAUUCGGUAUGGAUGACAAAACUAAACCGGUAUGUACACCUCUAGCUCCUCAUUUCAAAUUAAACUCUUCUUCAUGUCCUAAAUCUCAAGAGGAGCGCGAUUACAUGGCUCGUGUUCCAUAUGCUAGUGUUGUGGGUAGUCUUAUGUAUGCUAUGGUAUGCACAAGGCACGAUAUAUCUCAAGCAGUGAGCAUGGUUAGUAGAUACAUGCACAAUCCGGGUAAAAAUCAAUAGCUUGCGGUAAAGUGGAUUCUCCGAUAUCUGUAUGGGACAGUUGAUGUUGGGUUAUUGUUCAAGAAGGAUUGUGGUCAACAAUGUGUUGGGUAUUGUGAUUCUAAUUUCGCUGGAGACCUUGACAAGCGAAGAUCAACAACAGGCUGCGUAUUCACAUUGGGUGAAGGUCCGGUUAGCUGGAGGUCGAUUCUACAAUUGACAAUUACUCUAUCCAGUACGGAAGCAGAGUAUAUGGCAGCAACUGAAGCUGUAAAAAAAGCUAUCUGGUUGAAAGGCUUGUUAAGUGAUUUGGGAGUAAUCCAGGAAAACAUUACGGUCUUCUGUGAUAAUCAAAGUGCGAUAUUCCUUGCGAAGAAUCAAACAUAUCACGCUCGGACGAAGCACAUAGAUGUGAAAUAUCAUUAUGUGAGGGAGAUUAUCAAGAGCGGUGUUGUGUUGUUGAAAAAGAUCGAUACCAAAGAUAAUCCAUCAGAUAUGUUGACGAAGGUAGUUUCUGGAGUUAAGUUUCAACAUUGCUUGAAACUAAUUCAAAUCCUUCGAUUGUGUUAAGUUAUGUCCUUCGAUAAUUUUGAACUACGGUUGGCUUGAUCCCAAAUUUUGGGUACGUAGGCAGUCACAUAGAUGUAACCACUUUGGGGAUGAUGAUUGGUUGGUAGUCGGCUCAGAUUUGAACAAAUCUUCGCCGAGGUGGAGAAUUAUUGAAAAGUCGCCGAGGUGGAGAAUUGUUGAAAAGUCAAAGAGAUUUGGUUGAAAAAGAAAAGUGAGUCACAUGCAUUGCUUUUGUUUUUCAAAGUCGGCACCAAAUUGCAAGCUGUAAAAUAUUUGGCAUUUGACAAUCCUGCACCAAAUGAAGAAAAAUGGAAAAGUAAGCAAAAUUUGUCAAAUUGACAGAGAUGGAGAUUGACAAAUUGCAGAGGGAUUAUGUGGAAUAGUGCAUGCUUGAAGCCUAUAAAUUGAAGCCAUUUUUUCAUUUUUUCUUACUUUUCCAUUUUUUAUGCAGAGGGAUUAGGUGGAAUAGUGCAUGCUUGAAGCCUAUAAAUUGAAGCCAUUUUUUUCAUUCUAAAUCAUCCCAAAAUUUGUUAAGCUUAUAAGUUUCUAAGCUUUUGAGAGUUCUGAAAGUGUGAGCAAUUGGAGAGUGUGUGUGAGAGUACUAGGUGUAUUUGGGUUCUGGAAAAGUGAGAUUUCUUUACUCAAAUUUGUACUCAAAUAAUUGUUAAUAAUACAAUUAUUUUUCUCUUGCUCCCAUGGACGUAGGCAUAUUGCCGAACCACGUAAAUUCUUGUGUCCUUUAUUUUUCUGUGAUUAUUCGGUGCGUUUGUUUCCGCAUUCUGCGCACAACACAUCCAUGUAUGAAGAUCAUCCAGGUAACCUCUCCAAGCUCUCCCAAACGUCGACUGUUGCUGAUUUUCAGUCUGCCUUUGAGGAUUUGAUGAACAAGGUCACGGGCAUCUCCGAGCCAUUGUUGGUUAAUUUCUUUAUCACGGGCUUAAAACCCGAUAUCAGGCGAGAAUUAUUAUUUGCAAGACCCACAUCUCUCAUGGAGGCUUUUGCUUUAGCCAUAGCUUAUGAGGCACGAUCGGAAGAAAUCAAGACCUCUAGCCGUUCUUGGACAAAGUGGACACCCUCAUCUACUUACACCCACCAAUCCACCAUUACUGCCUCCCCACAUCCUGCAUCAUAUAAAACCCCAACAACAACUACUCUUCCGAGUUUGUUAGCCACUAAACAGCCACCUCAACCCCCAUUAUUGCCUACUCCCACCUUGCCUAUUCAUCGAUUAACUCCAACAGAAUUAAGAGAGAAAAGAGAAAAAAGGGCUCUGUUACAACUGUGACAAAAAAUAUAGCGCCACACAUCGCUGUCGUAGCAAGUUUUUGUUAUUAAUGGGUACGGAUGAUGAAGAUGAUGAGCCAAGUGAGGACGCUUUUAUUCAUGCACAACCAGACGAAGUAGUCACAGCGGACAUAUCUAGUUUGCAUGCCUUGGCUGGGCAAACUAAUCCACGAUCUUUAAGGGUGAUGGGCACCGUUGUCAACUAUCAGUUUCAGGUGUUAAUUGACAGUGGCAGUACCCACAAUUUUCUUAAGCCGCCAUUGGCUAAACGCCUUGGCCUUUCCGUUCAAGCUAUAACUCCUUUUCGAGUUUACAUUGGCAAUGGCAAUUUUCUUACUUGUCGAUUUCUCUGCCCUAAAGUGCCUAUCAAUAUGCAGGGGCAUGAAUUUCUUUUGGAUUUCUUCCUUUUGCCAAUCGAAGGCCCUGAUGCUUUCCUUGGGAUUCAAUGGUUACAAAGCUUGGGAAGAAUUUCUACGGAUUAUUCCGAGAUGACGAUGGAGUUUCAGUAGGAGGGAAAAUCUGUCAUUUUACGAGGAGACCCAAUUCCAAAUCCGAAUUUAAUCUCUUUUAACCAGUUUCAUGCCUUGCUAUCCAACUCCAAAAUCGACAACGUAUUUGAACUUCAUUCUUUACCAACUGAACCAUCAACAACUCACACAUCUACCAACACAUUGCCGGAUAAUGACUUAGAAUUUCCGAGGUCGUUGCCUGAACCUAUUACUACUCUCCUUCAAAAAUUUAAGGCAUUAUUUGCUCCACCCACUGGUCUUCCCCCUCAACGGCUAUUUGAUCACAAAAUACACCUUAUUCCCAAUUCCAAACCAGUCAACGUUCGCCCAUAUCGGUAUCUUUAUUUUCAGAAAACCGAAAUGGAGAAAUUGGUGAGAGAAAUGUUAAAUCAAGGCAUCAUAAAACCCAGCCAAAGCCCAUUUUCUUCACCGGUAAUGCUAGUAAAGAAAAAGGAUGGCUCCUACAGAUUCUGUGUGGAUUACCGCGCUGUGAAUACGGUGACAGUGAAGGACAAAUUUCCCAUCCCCACUAUUGAUGAAUUGUUUGACGAACUUGGCGGUGCUAGGAUUUUCAGCAAACUUGAUCUAAGAGCCGGUUAUCACCAGAUAAGAGUUCACAAGAGGGAUACUUAUAAAACAGCGUUUCGCACGCAUGAUGGACACUACGAGUUUCUUGUUAUGCCGUUCGGUUUGACCAACGCGCCGUCCACUUUUCAAGCAACAAUGAACCAAUUAUUUGCUUCCUUUUUACGUAAAUUUGUUAUUGUCUUUUUUGAUGAUAUAUUGGUCUAUAGUGCAUCAUUGGCUGAUCAUGUGUAUCAUUUGGAGCAGGUUAUGAGUUGUUUAUACACAUAUCAAUUUUAUGUCAAAUUCUCCAAAUGUUUGUUUUGCCAGGAAUCAAUUGAUUAUUUGGGCCAUAUUGUGUCGGCUCGAGGAGUGCACGCUAAUCCGCAAAAGAUCACAGCCAUGGUAGAUUGGCCCUUGCCUAAAUCGGUGAAGCAACUGAGAGGGUUCUUGGGGCUGACAGGGUACUACUGACGUUUUAUUCAAGGCUAUGCAACCAUCGCAGCUUCUCUCACUGAGUUGCUUUGUAAGGAGGCUUUUUAUUGGAAUCUGGCAGCUACUCAAGCUUUUCAAGCAUUAAAGAAGGCUCUUGUGGAAGCCCCUGUACUUCACUUGCCGAAUUUUGCCUUGGAGUUUGUCAUUGAGACCGAUGCUUCUAAUGUCGGGAUCGGUGCUGUGCUAAUGCAAGUCGGGCAUCCUCUAUCUUAUUUUAGCAAAAAGUUGGGUCCUCGAAUGCGUGCAUCCUCGACAUAUUUGAAGGAAUUAUAUGCUAUUGUAGCUGCGGUUCAAAAAUGGCGUCAAUACCUCCUUGGUCGAUUUUUCCUUAUACGCACUGACCAUAAAAGCAUAAAGGAACAGUUUCAACAAGUUAUUCACACCCCAAAGCAGUAAUUUUACAUUCGCAAGUUGAUGGGUUAUCAAUACAGAAUCGAUUAUAAAGCUAGUAACUUCAAUAAAGUUGCUGAUGCUUUAUCGCGAAUUCAUGGGGACAACGUGACUGAAGAACCCAAACCAACAGCACUCUGUUUGUCAUUUGUAAGCCAACCUUCUAGUGAACUAUUGACAGCUCUGCACAAGGAAAAUUGCACUCUUCCUGAUAUGAAAUAACUCCAUCAGAGGUAUGCAGCCGGUUCACUUUCUUCUGACUUCUCGGUUCCUGCUAUUUCGACAUCGAUAUUACCUCAGCCCCAACUCAUCAUUAAAAGCCGUGCUACUCAAAGAGUUUCACGAGACACCUAUGGCAGGACAUGCUGGUAUUAAAAAGACAUUGGUACGUCUUUCAUCGACUUUUUUUUGGCCUAAGAUGAGGAAAGAUGUUGAGCAAUAUGUAGCCGCUUGCCUUGUUUGCCAGCAAAUUAAAUACUCAACUCAAGCGCUGGCGGGUCUGUUACAACCUUUGCCCGUCCCUUCAUUAGUUUGGGAUGAGUUAACCAUGGAUUUCAUUACAGGGCUGCCACUUUUGAGAGGAUUUGAAGCAAUUCUGGUUGUUGUGGAUCGUUUAUCAAAGUCAGCUCACUUUGGAGCCUUGCCUUCUCAAUUUACUGCCAUCAAAACAGCAGCUUUAUUUGCUGACAUGGUUGUAAAAUUACAUGGAUUUCCUAGCUCUAUAAUUUCAUAUCGUGAUCCUAUAUUCAUGAGCAACUUUUGGCAAAAAUUGUUUGAUUUAAGUGGGACAUAGUUAUGCCACAGCACGGCUUAUCACCCUCAAACGGAUGGCUAAUCCGAAGUAGUUAACCGAGGGCUUGAGCAAUAUUUACGAGCCUUCGCACAAGACAAGCCACAGACAUGGUCUUCAUUUUUAGGCUGGGCUGAAUUUUACUACAAUACCAGUUAUCACAGCAGCUUGCGUAUGACUCCCUUUCAAGCCCUUUAUGGACGUCUUCCUCCCACAAUUCCAAGUUACUCAAGGGGCUCUACUUCAAUCCAAGCGUUAGAAGACAUGUUAAUUGAGAGGGAUGCCAUGCUUUGCUCAUUGAAAGAGAACUUACGACAAGCUCAGCAUCGAAUGGCUCAAAAGGCUAAUUUACAUCGCCGAGAAAUUCAAUUGCAGGUAGGUGAUAAAGUGCUGGUACACCUUCAACCAUAUCGCUAGACAUCAGUUGCUAAGCGCUCAUCUCACAAGCUGGCAAGGCACUAUUAUGGACCAUUCACAGUGGUAAAGCGUAUUGGACCCGUUGCUUACAAGUUAGAGUUACCCACAAAUUGUAGAAUUCACUCGGUGUUCCAUAUUUCCUUACUAAAACCUUAUGUGGGAAACUUCCUCAUUGAUGUUUAUUCACUGCCUCCAGGAAGUGUGGAUAACAAGCCCCUGUCAUCGCAAAUUGCAGUAUGUGCUGAGCGAAAGAUACUUCAACAAGGCAAAGUAAUUCCACAAAUUUUGGUGCAAUGGUCUGAUAGCUCACCAGAAAAUUCGACUUGGGAGGACUUUGAGGAAUUUCGUAAACUCUACCCUGCACUACACCUUGAGGACAAGGUAAGCUUUCAAGGAAUGGGGAAUGAUACAACUUGGCCAAUUGUUGUGAAUCAGAUCGAGCACAAUGAGACAGCAAGGGAAGAGACCCAGCCUGCAGAAAUAGAAAAAGUCCAACCCUUGAAUGAGACACAAGCUAGAGAGCAGCUCAAGACAGGUCCAACUUGCGCGAGAAAGAAACCAGGAUGGCUCAAAGACUUUGUCAUUUGAGGAAUGUUCGAGAAUGCUUGAGAUAUCAUAAUAACGAAUAUUGUUCUGUUUUCAAUUAGUGUUUUGUUGUUAUCAAUUUUAUUCUAUUUAGUUAGUUAAGGGUGCGUGGCUGUUUUUGGAAGGGAGAAUAUAUUGUACUGUCAAGGGACCCGUGAGGGCAUGAAAAGAAAGGAUAUCAUUUUGUCUUUUUUCAGCUUCGUCUUCUUUCUCUUCUCUGCAACUCCCCUGUCCCAUUUCUCUUUCUUCAAAUUCUUUUCUCCACGGAUUGGAGUUUGCACUCGCUCAAAGAGUGUCGUAUCAAAGAGUGACUUAAAUUUUCAUCAGUAUCCAGACAUUCUGCAAUCAUAGAGUAGAGAAAUUUUAACAGGAACAGCAGAGAAAAUAUUAUGAAUAUGCUAUAGACCAAUAUACUUGUUCAUAGCUAACGUUUGAUGGUUUAAGGAUUUGUUCUAGGAAUAAUGGGUUGAUUACUUUUUUUAUUUUAAUUUUUUUUAAUCCAAUGAAUGAUAUUCAGCUGUUAAUUAUGUGUUCAUAGGGAAGAACAUUUUCUAAGUACUUUCCUUGCCUUCUAACUUUCCGAAAAGCAAACCCAAUGAACAAACAGAGCACAAACUAAAAUAAAAGAACAGCAAUGAUGACAAUAAAUAAUUGGAAAAGAAAAAAAGGAAAAAGUAUGCACGUUUUCAAGGAAUUAUAAAAUACGAAGGCUUUUAAUGAAAUUUUAUCAUAAAAACGUAUGCAAGGAGUUAUAAAAUUUUAGAAGACGAGGGGAGCUCCCAAAAAAAAAAAAAAAAGAAAAAGACUCAAAUUAAACUAGACUAAAAAGACAUUCAAUUAUGCAAAAUCUGUCCAUAAAAGUCUGAAAGGAUCAUUAAAAUUGCAUUGCAAAUUUAACAGUAAACUGAGGGACCCAUUCUAAAUAAUUCAGUUGAAAUUGCGAAACAAGCCAUGGGAUUAAAUAAAUGAAAUAAAAAUUAAUUACCAGUUGAGACUUUCUUCUAAAAAUUCGCAACUCCAAGUCAUAAGAAGCCUAUGAAAUUAGUCGUAAUACGUAGAGUAUAUCGACGACACCGCCAACAGCUGAAAGUAAAAUUCUUAUUCAUCAAUGUAAACUUACUUUAUAACAAAUAUCUUAUCUAUAUUGUAUUUAAGAAAGCAAAUUUUGUAAAAAUUUAUCAUGGGAGAUAGAGAGUAAUAUGUAUAUCCGUACCUUCUCAGCAGGUAAUUGUUGUAUGGUUGUGUUUAGAUCAUUAUUAGCCCAGCGCCGUUGAUCCGCUGUCUCUCCAUACCAGACAUUUACUCUUGGAGGCGUGAUUGCUUCUCCUGUAGUGAAAAUCUUCAUCUUGGGACAACCAAUCACCCACAAAUCUUGCAAAGAUGGCAAUUUGAAGGUGUAAUUGGGAGAGCAGAAACUUGUGAGGCUAUCUAAAUCAAACAGUUCCAACGUCUUCAAUUUGCGGAAAACAAUCUCUUCUUUUUCAACUCCAUCUUUGUCAUUUAUUACCACCUCUGUCAUUGCUCUGCAUCCAUAUAUUUCUAUUGCUACGAGUCGCACCAGAGUUUUUGCUGUGGAGGAUGUUACCAUGUGUAACAAUUUCUUGCAACCGAAAGCCACCAGAGCUGUUAGGUUCUGAAAAGAUACCGAUGAUGAUGGCAAUAGAAUUAACAGACUUUGACAAUGAUAUGCUUUUAGAAUUUCAAGAUACUGAAAAAUGGGGCCAAGUUUGGAGUCUUGUUUGCACAGCUGCUUCAGAUGAUAGUGCCAGCGCAGCUCUAAUGUUUUUAUCAUUGCCAACUUCCCCACAUGUUUCUCUAAGCUUCCUUCCUCCGAAAAUACCUCUUCGUGGAAUGAAAAUUGAAACAGUGAGAGUAUUUCGAGAUUGUGAAAUCUCUCAAGUACAUUCCAGAUUGGAAAACAAGCUGAGUUAUCUUCGGCAAUCUCUAGUUGUUUAAGACUGCCAAAAAGGUGUUGUGGGAAAUCGGCCUGCAAAAUCAUCUUCACGUCUUUUCCAUUCAAUGAUAGGUCCUUCAAGUUGGGUAAGAUCUGAUCAUCAUAAAUCAUAAUAACUAAUGAGGUCAAUUGAUGUUCUCUCAAAUGAUUUUGAGUAAUCCAAUUACCAGCAGUGACUUUAUAGUAUCUGUUUUAUAUUAAUUUUACCCCCAAAAAAAAUUUAAUUAGUGAUAAAAUUCAUUAUAUGAUUUUUUAUAUGUUAAUUUUAGAGGUAAAAAAGAAAUUAGGGAAAAAGGGUUGAUUUAUAUUUGCAUGAAUUUCACAACAAUAAAUUAUUAAUUUAUUUUGUAAGUCGUUGUAUAAAGAAAAACUAAGGAUUCUUUACCUAAAAAAGUUCAUAUAAUUAUUAAUCUCCCACAUUGAUCCCUUUGUCAAGACUAGCAAAGAUUAUUAUGUAAUAAAAAUUUUCAAUUUAUUAAGUAUUAAUUUAUCAAUGUUUUGUUACAUUUUUCAAAGUCAAAAGACGUCAAUGAGAUAUUGAAAAAAAUAUCUAGAAAAUGACUUCAUACCUUUUCCAAUGGCAAUAGGGGCUGUUGUGCAGGAAUACCAAGUUGAUCAUUCCCAUUAUUCUGCGAUAAAUCUGCAGCGAAUAUUUUUAAUUUGUCACAACGACACACUGCAAAAUUUUCUAGUGCUGGCCAUUCCGAAGUAUGCAUUCCUGGGUAUAAACAUCUAAGUUUUGGUAGACCUUGGAGUAUCAGAACGGUGAGCUGUGGAAAGACAAAAUAAGGGAUCACUUCAUCUGCUCUGUUUUCAGAAAUGAUCUCCUGUAAAUCCUUACAGUCUCGUAUAUCUAGGUGUUGGAGCUGCUUAAGGCUUCCGAUCAUAGACGCUGAAAAUAUGUAUUUCAGUUUGUCACAGUACCACACAACUAAUCGUGUUAAACUUUGAAAGUGAGGAAACACGGCCGCCGGAAUUUGAUUGUAGUGCCAAAUCUUGUCGACAUUAAUUGCAGAUAUCUCCAAAGCCUCCAAGUUAGGCAACGCAACCUAAAAAAAAUAAGAAUUUCUCGUUAGAUCCAAUAUCCAUAUGGGAAGCACUUGUUGAAAUUUUCUUCUUUGAUUACAAAUUAAUGCAAGUCAGAAUCAAUUUUCAACUGACAGCUGAGUUUGAUGCAUUCUAAUUCAUACUACUUGUUAAGAGCUCAAUUAGUGAGCGUGUGAGAUUCUUUUUAUCCUUUUUUCCAUUUUCUUUCAAUUCUUUAAAUGAUUUAAUUAUUUUCCACGUAUGACAUCAAAAGAGAACGCAUGAUAGAAUAAAAUCUGUUAUAUAUAUAUAUAUGAAGAAAAUGUUAGCCUACGCACCUUCUUGUUGAAAAGCAGAGUUGAAGUAUCCUCUUGCGACGAUGGUCUGUUUAGUGAUGCUGAAGGAGUCUUUACUUCACGGCAGACAUUUGUAACCUCUGGAAGAUUCCCCAGACUCAAAGAUCUUAAUUGAGCAAACUCUAUCUUCUCAAUUGCAUUAUCAACUUCUUCCCCAAUUGCAAAAAUCUCUUUCAUCUUGCUGCAAUUAACAACUGCAAUUCUCUCAAGUCUUGGAAGGCAUUUUGUAGUAGAGAGCCAAAAGAUAUUACUCAAUUUAUCACAAUUAUAUGCUUCUACGGUUUUGAGUUAGUUGAAAGACUCUACUUUGAGCCGAUCAACACAUAUCCUCUCCAUGUUGAUCAAAUUGUGAAGGAUAAGUGACUCCAAAAGAGGAAAGGCUUCACAAGCUACCAUCUCCAUUGAGUCCACGAUACACAGGAAGUUAGGAUUAUUUUGAACAUGGAGAUGCUUCAAUUGUGAAAAGCCUUCUGUGUCCAAAUAAAAAAGAACAUUCUUGACACCUUGCAGCUUGUCCAACCAUAGGUAUUCAACGUUAUUGAUGCCCUGCAAUUUCAUGGAGCAAAUGUCCAUAAAAUCAAGCUUGAGCUUCAAUUCUCUUAAACUCUCACGAUUACUCUUGAUCAAAAAGUGCGGCCGGCUUUGAAACCGUUCUCUUGUAACAUUCUUGGGAGGCAUGAAUGACUCAUUUCCAAUGGAUAUAUUGAACCUUUCGAGCUUUCUGGCCAAAAAGCCUUCCGAUAAAAUACUGUCAUUUUUAACAUCAAUUUCUAGAGUGGUUAGCCAAGGUAAAAGCAUCAAUUCAUCAAGGCUAGCAUUACUUCUUUCACUGUUGGCUCUUUCAACCUCCCAUUCAACGGAGCAAUUACCCAUAUACAAUUAUUCUAAUCGGAUUAAGCUUGAUAUGACAUUUGGGGCAAUAACUUUCAGACGGAAACAGUCUGUUAAAUCUAACAGCCUUAGCUUAGUCAGUUGCCCUAGUGCUUUAGGUAACUGUACAAUAUCAGACCGCACAAAGCUAAGGAUUUCUAGAUUUUCCAACUUUCCAAUAAUGGCUAUGUCCAUGUCUCCCAAAAUGCUUUGAUUAAGACAAAGUGUCCGAAGAUUUACUUGAAGAUCAAUUGAAGAUGGCAAUGACAAUAACCGCAUUCUAGUCAAAUCCAAAACCCGAAGCUUUUUCGUCCUUUUGAAGAAGUUCUCAGGAACAUUGGGCCCAACAAAAGAGUUAUUGGGUGACAUGAAUUAAAAUUCAAGUUGUGUAGAUUCCAACACUUCAGGAAUGUCAUUAAUAAUACUAUCUUUUAAACAAAUUGCAAAAUAUUUUUUUAGUGCAUCUGCAUCUGGCCAGUUCCACACACCCUCAUUUCUCACCGCAAAUGCAAUUUUGUCACGACGUGCUAUUGAAAUGGCAACAUCGCGAACAACAUCAUGCAUGGAAAAGAAUUUACUGCUACCAUCCUCAUGCAACAAACAAGACUCUCUUAGUUGAUGGACCCAUGCAUGUAAUUUGUUUGUUAUGUGCAUCUUCUAGCUUAUGGACACUUUCAAAUGCACCCAAGCCCAUGCUAUAUUUGAACAAGUCCAUAAUUGAAGUUGGUGUAAUUAGACUACACAGUAAAAAAGUUUUCUUGAGUUGCUCACCUCUUAAAUACUUGUAACUUAGCUCAAUUGUUGAGUAUGCCUCUACUGGUACUCCUUCAUCGAAGCUUGCCUCUGAAGGCGUUUGGAGUUCUUGCAAGGCAUUCUUCCACACAGGCAGCUCUUUGUUUCUCAGUGCCUUUGCUACUGUGGUUAGGGCAAUAGGCAAACCUCCACAUGCCUUGGCUACAUUUGUUGCUGUAGAUUUUAACUCACGAUUUUCAACAUAAUUACCAGCCAUUAUCUUGAACAACCUCCAAGCUUCUUGCUCAUUUAGAAUGCCAAUCAAGAAGUUAUUUUCAGAUCCCAUACUUAACAAGACAUUACGAUCCCUUGAUGUUAAUAAUAAUUUGCAUCCUCUAUGAUCAUCGCCAAAAGGAAUUCCGACAGUCUCUAAAUCAAGAUAUUUCCAGAUGUUAUCCAGAAUCACAAGGAUCAUCUUCUCUUUCUUCAAUCGUUCAUAAAGUCUACUAGCUCUUCUAGAUUCAGCCUCCUCGGACAACUCCAGACCUAGUUUCUCUGCAAUUUCCCCUUGAAUCUUUUUUAUGUCUGGAGUUUGGGAAACCUCUGAAAAAACCACCUGAUCAAAGAGUUUCUCUUCACUGGCUUGCCUUGCAAACUCCUUCACCAGUGUUGUCUUUCCAAUGCCGCCCAUGCCGUAUACCCCAACGAUGCUGACAUUGACAUCAGUCAAUGCAUCUUGUAUAGACUUCAGAGUAGAAAGUCUUGAUUUAAAGGCCUCGUAACCUUUGUUAGACUUUAGCCAUACCUCCUCCGCAAUGGUACGGUAGAAAAUUCUAUCAUCAAAUCUCCUAGCUUCUUCUUUGAGUUCAACAAGGGCCUUCACCUCUGUUUCUGCUUUCUUGCUAAGCUGAUAGCGGGUCUUCAAAUUAGGACACAAGCCCUUGAAACAUCGCUUACUUGUUGUCUCCCCAUCUUCAAUGAAUUUGGCUGCCUGCUCAAUGGUGUUGUUCGCACUAACCAUCCACUUCUCAACCUUCUCUUCAAUCUUUUCUCCUUUUCUUUCAGCCUCAGAAACUCUGUGCUGAAUGCUCUUACUUUCAUCCUUGAGCUUGUCUAUUUCUGCCUUGAGAUUCUCAAAGUUGUCUUUAUAGUUACGCAAAUAACCAAGUUGGCGUUCUGUUGGAGGAGCGAAGCAUUUCACAACUUCUAACAGAACAGUAACAAUGCUUUCCACCAUCUUCGAUCCUAUUUUUUUCAAAGUUCCGAAAUGAAAAUAAACGACGAGCGAAACACAGAGAGAGAGAGAGAGGCAAAAAAAAGAAAAACGAAAAAAAGAAAAUGAAACAACAAAGAUGACAAGUGUAUAUGGUUGUGGAAGUGGAGAAAUCAAUGAAAGCUUAAAAACUGCUGUGAAUCUGGUGAGAAGAUGGAAACAAGGAAAAGGUUUCUAGUUCAAAAGUGAUUGAAUUGAUAUAAGGAAUGAUUUAGAUAAUAGAGGAAAAGUGAAUCAGUCAAAACAACUUAUGUAUUGACCAGAAGAAAGAUGCAAACAAUAUUAGAGACAACAACCGCGCUAUUGACUGGUAAUAGAGAUGGAGAAAAAGAAAUAUCUUCACACGGUGGAAGUACAAAGGGUAGAUAUGGAACCAAACAGAGACAACAACAUGCCACAACUAGAUUGGGAAUGGAGAGAAACAAAUUAACAAAGACUGGAGAUUACAACAGAACAGAUGCCAAGAGAAAAGGGUUUCUUCAUCCAGUGAAAUUCAAGAGAGUUGACAGCAAAAGGGAGCAUAUGUGUUUCUUGAUUGAGAACGAGUGCAAAGGAUGACUUUUUAAUGAGGUUCUGAAGCUGACGAAUAACGAUUUGCUAAAAUUUUGAGAAAGUUAUAUAUUCCGUAACUUCAACAAGUGAAGAAUAAAAGAAUAAUAGUUCGUCAUCUUCACAAUGAAGAUCAUGGAUGAGAUUAAAAGCUAAAACUAGUUUUCAAAAUAAUUCCUUAUGAANNNNNNNNNNNNNNNNNNNNNNNNNNNNNNNNNNNNNNNNNNNNNNNNNNNNNNNNNNNNNNNNNNNNNNNNNNNNNNNNNNNNNNNNNNNNNNNNNNNNUCUUUUUUCUUUAAUACACGAAUAUACGCGACAUCUUAUUUAUCUUAAUAUGGUUAUUUGAUAUUUAUAUUUUCACAAAUCAAAACAAAAAAAAAGUAGUUAGAUUUUAUAGUUUAAGAAAUAAAUAUAUUUUAUAAAAAUAUUUUUAGAAUAUAUAUUUACUUCUUAUUCAAACUUUUUUCUAUUCAAUAAAAGUCACAAAAGUUACUUUUUCUAUUCAAAUGUAAAUGCUUAAAAAUCAGAUAUAAGUUACAAAAAAUGUUUUUAGAAAAAGUCAUAAAUUAAUAAAAUUUCAGAUUUUAUAUAUUUAACUCCCAAUGCAGAUCCGCCCCUAUUAGUGUUAGGAAAUUGACCGGUGAAGUAGGUCCACAACUAAAAUGAAAUUGAAAGAAAAUGAAGAACAAGCACACAGAGAACACCAAAAAUUACAUGGUUCGACUUUUAGCCUACGUCUACAGGUAAAGACAGAAGGAUAAAACUUUACUGGUGAAAUGAGGAUUACUAGUAUUAUAAUAUUUUGUUUCACUUCCCAGAACCUCAAUCCACUCAAUCUCUUAAAACACUAAUCACUCAAGAGCAUUAAAACUCUUAGUCUCUCACUCUAGAAUUGAAGAAGAAAAGAAUGAAAUGCGGGGGUGAACCCCUCAUUUAUAGUUAAAAAUUUGGGCACUAUUUAUAUAUUUAUAUAUUUUUUUUUAAAUUCAAAGUUUGAACUUGACAUUCAAACUUUGAAUAUCAAAAGGUAUUGGUCGCUCUUCUAGAAAAGCGAUAUUGACUUUGACAUUCUCCCACUUAGAAAUUUAAUUGAGAAUCAAUCAAUCUCCACACCAUCCUUUCUACUUCGCCGCUAUCAUGUUGCUUAUGUCUCUACUAGGCCAUAAAAUGAUCUACUCCAAACAAAUUUAUCAACAUUGAUAGGCUUGGGCAAAACAUUUGUUAGGUUCUCCUUGGUAUCCACUCUUGUAUCUUUCACUACUUCAUGAAGAAGUGAUAUUGUACUCCUAUAUUCUUUGUCCUGGAAUGAAAGGUUGGAUUCCUUGCAUCCUAACUAUCACAAGCCAUAAAAAAUUUUAUGCCCAAGCUCCUUCAGUAACCUUUGUAUCCAAAUAGCCCUUCCAAGCUUGUGUAGCUGCUAUGUAAUCUACUUCUGUUGUUGAUAAAACCACAACGGUCUGCAAUUUUGAAAUCCAACUAACAAUUUCUCCUUCUGGUGUAAAUACUUAGCCAGUAGUGGAUUUCCUUUUAUUAAGAUUUUCUGUAAAAUCUAAAUGCACAUAGCCCUUGACAGUAAAUUCUAAUCCUUCGUAACAUAAUGCAACAUCUAAUGUUCCUCUGAUAUAUCUCAGAAUCCUCUUAAUAGUCUUCCAAUGUUCUUUGCAAGGAUUCGCUAUGUAUCGACUAACCGCUCCCACUACUUGUACAAAUCAUAGUGAACCUUAAAUUUUCCACUGCUGAUGCAUACAGUGCUCAAGACAUCUCUUCUUCUCUACUUCAUUACCAGAUGAAUACUUAAGAAUAACUUAAAAUUAAUAGGAGGCGGGGUAGAAAGCCAAAUCUUCUUGCUAUUACUAUCUCGGUGAAUUUGCAUCCCUAAAAUCUUGUUUACUAGUUCUAAGUCUUUUAUUUCAAACUCCCUAGUUAACUGUGCCUUCGGUUCUUGGACUCGGUCUUUGUUGGGGUCUGCUACCAAUAUGUAAUCCACAUACCACAAUAAAAUGAUGAAAUCAUUAUUAUCAAACUUGUUGUAAUAUGUACAACAAUCUGAACUGAUUCUAUUGUAUCCAAUGUUUAUGAUGAAGGGAUUAAAAUCUCUUAUUUCAACAUUUCGGUGCACGUUUGAGAUCGUAUAGAGAUUUGUUCAACUUGCAAACCAAGUGUCCCUUUUUAGUAAAAUCUUCUAGUUAGAACAUAUAAAUCUUUGUUUCAAGUUCUCCAUGAAGAAAUGAAAUUUUCACAUCUAACUGCUCCAAAUAUAGGUCAAAUGUAGCACACAUUGACAAGACCACUCUGACUGUCCUAGGUCAAAUCACUGGAGAAAAUAUGUCAUUGAAGUUAAUACAUUCUUUCUAAGCAUAUUCUUUCACCACCAAUCUUUCACGAUACCGCUCCACUAAGUUAUUACCAUCACAUUUGAUCUUGUGGACCCAUUUGCAACCAAUGGUUUUUUUUUUUUCAUAUGGUAGUAGUACGAGUUCCUAUGUCAUAUUCUUGUGUAGAGCCUUAAUUUCUUCCUGCAUUGCUAUCAUUCACAAAGUAACAUCUGAGCUGUUUAAAGUUUCAUGGAAAGUUGAUGGCUUUCCAUUCUCUGUUAAAAGACAGUAUGCAAAAUUGAUAUCUAUGACAUAAUCCAAAUGCCACACUGACAGUUAUCUAUCACGAGUUGACCAACAAACUUUUGGGGCCUCAGACUCGAUUGGUUCUUGUUCUCAUACUUUGGUGUUGCUUCAAAAAAAUAUGAAUCUUCAUUUUCCAGAUUAUUUUCAACAUAUAUUAGCACAAUCUCUGAAUUUUUAUAGUGCUAUCAUCCAUAUCUCUCUUUUGCAUUUGAUCUUCUACAAAGAUAAUAUCUUUGCUGAUAACGAUCUUGUGAGCAUUGAGGUCCCAUAGAUAAUACCCUUUCACUCCAUCAAUAUAUCCUAAGAAGAUACAUCUCUAGGAUUUUGGAUCCAUCUUUAAUCUCACUUGGGUAUUGUAUAUCACGUAAAAGGACAUCAAAAUGCCUGAGAUGAGAGUAAUCAAUUGGCUUUCCUGUCCAUUUUUCCAUUGGAAUCUUCAACCUGAUUGCCUUGAAUGAUGACCCAUUUACCACAUAACAAGUAGUUUUUGCUACUUCCGCCUAGAAUGAGUUGAUAGACCAGCAGUUCUCAACAUAACUCUUAUUUUUUCUAUAAGAGUCCUGUUCUUUCACUCUACUACUCUAUUUUAUUGAGGAGUGUAUGCCACCGUGAACUAUCUCUAGAUACUUUCUUGCUUACAUAUGCAAGAAACAUGUUAUCUGUAUACUCUCCACCAUUGUUUGUCCUCAGGCACUUGAUCCCUUGCCCUGAUUUAAGUUCAAUCUACGCUUUGAAUUCUUUGAACAAUAGAAAUACAUUUGACCUUUUCUUGAUUGGAUACACCAAAUAUCUCCUAGAAUAAUCAUCAAUAAAAGUCACCAAGUACUUUGCACCUCCUAUAGAUAUAUCAAGUUAUUCCCAAACAUUAGAAUGAAUCAAGUCUAAAUACAUUUACUUUUGAAAGUGGAUCUGCUAAACUUUCAUCUAUGAUGCUUCCUUGUUUCGACAUGUGGCCAAGUUUAAGAUACCACAUCAUCGUUGAAUUUUCUCUAUUUGAUGUGACACACAUAAAAGCUUUCUGUAGUGUUUCCCUUUAAGUAUGAAUAGAUUAGCACCGAUCUUUUCCACUUUCAUUAAUGCAAGUGCGCCUUUGACUAUCUUUAUGAUCCCAUUUUCUACAUGAGUUUUGCGCGCAAGACUAUUUAUUUGUCCUAAAGAUAAGAGAUAUUUUUCAAGUCUUUGACAUGUCUUACCUUCUCAAUUGUGUGAACCGUACUAUUAAACAUAUUUAUUUUGACAGUACCAAUAUCAGUAAUCUCAAAGGCAUGAUCAUUACCUAUGUAUACAAAUUCUCUUGAAAUAGGUUCAUAUUUGUGAAAUCAUUCUCUUGGAGAGAUCAUGUGCCAGGCAACUAUUAAGUCUAUAAGCCAGACGUCAUAUAGUGGUUUUCUGCCUUUUGAAGUAGUUGUUGCCUUACUGUAGAGAAUUUUGCCCUCAUACGAGGUACUUACUACAUACCCUUGAGCAUUUGAUGACUUAGGAUCUUUACCCUCUCUUCUCUUCUAGUUGUUCCAAUACUCUUCCUUGCCACGCCCUUUCUUGCCACAAUUGUUGCAUUUGACAUUCUUCUUACUUCUUGAUUUUGAUCUACCGUGAUUGUGGCUCUCACUAGGGCCACGUUCCAUGGAUCUUCCUUUCAUCACCAAUAGUGCUUCUACUUGUUGCGAACUCGUUUGUCUAUCUUUUUUAUUUUUUGCUACUCUCCUCAUUUAAUACGGAGGCUGCCAUAUUGUCAAAGACUAACUUGUCUGCUCGAUUGUUAUUAGUUAGAUUAAUGACGAAUUGAUCAUACGAAUCUGGUAAACCUUGAAGUAGAAGCUCCACAUGUUCAUUUUCCUCUAUUUUAUGACCUAACGUUGUAAGUUAUGAAAAUAAAGUCUUUAAAGUGUUGAUAUGGUCGAUCACUGAUGUAGAUUCCGCCAUUCGAAGAGUAUAAAGCCUCCUCUUUAAAAAGAUUUUAUUUUGUAGUGAUUUGACCUCGUAUAGUCUUGUGAGAGUAAACCAUAUUUCCUUUGCUUUCUUUUACUCUACCAUAUUGAAUAAUACCCUAUCUGAAAGUGGGAAGUGUAGAUCUGCAAUGGCAUUAUUGUCUAUUUGAAAGUGGUAAGUGUAGAUCUGAAAUGGCAUAAUACCACUAUUAGAAAAUUGAUUGGUGAAGUAGGGUCACGAUUAAAAUAAAAUUGUAAGAAAAUGAAGAACAAGAACACAGAGGACAUCAUCAAUUAUUUAGUUCGGCUUUUAACUUAUGCCCAUAGGCAAGGACAAAAGGAUAAAACUUUACUAGUGAAAUGAGGAUUAUAAGUAUUUUAGUAUUUUGUUUCACUUCUCAAAACCUUAAUACACCCAAUCUCUCUAAACACUCUUAAUCACUCAUUAUAGAACUAAAGAAGAAAAGAAUGGAAUGAAUGAAAUGAGGGGGUGAACCCCUCUAUUUACAGCUAAAAAUUUGGGCAUUUUUAUAUUUAUUAUUAUUAUUAUUAUUUCUAAAUUUAAAGUUUGAACUUGAUAAUCAAACUUUGAAUAUCAAAAGAUAACGGCACCAACCUUGACUCUUAGGCUGACCUUUAGAGCUUUAAAUAAAGAAAAAGCUUUUAAAAAUGUCAUGUGUACUUGAUUAUACAAAAAUCUCCACCACAUAGAAUGAUUUGAUAAAAGAAAAUUUUUAUUUUUAAUUUUACUUUUAUCAGGCACAGUGCAUUUCCCCUUGGGCUCAUAUGUAAGGAUGUCAAUAAGAAGGGAAGGAGAGGGGAUUGAUUUCCCCAUACUCAUCUUUAAUACUCUGUCUAUCUCUUUGUACUCUAGACAUUUCCUUCAAAAUUACUUGAAAUGAGGGGAUGGAUGUUUCUAAAUAAUACAAAGGGAUCUCCGAUGGUAUCCGAUCGCUGAUUAUUUAAUUUCUUUUUUUUUCUUAAUUUAAUCAUCUUAAAGUAAAAAUAUAAAAUCAUAUUAACACAAAAAUAUCAAAUUAACUAAAGUGAUUAAAAUCAUUUCCAUCAAAUUAAGUCAAUGUCAUCAAAUUAGAACAUAAUCUUUGAACUAAUUAAGCAAAAGUAAAUCUUCAAAGUUGAACUCAUCCAUAAAUGUCAUAUAGUAUAAACCAUCAAUUAAAUUAUCUUUGUCAAUUUUAAAUUGUUUAUAUUUACUUUAUAUUGGCUGUUAUUUAUAUUAUUUUUAUAAAUGUAUUAUAAUAUUUUUUAUUUACAUCACACUAUUACAAUUGAAAUUUUAAAUGUAUUUACUAUAAAUUUGAAAAAAAUGAAUUAAAAAUAGAAACUAAAGAUAGAAAUAGAAAAAUGUGGAGCCAAAUAAAAUAUUAGGGCAAACACCAAGUUAUAUUUCAUGUAACUUACACCCACACAUAUUAAUUUAUCAGAUUCUUGUCUCCACAUAGAAAAAUUAGAUCUAAAAUUAUCAAACUCCCGAAUGAGGAAGAUCCCUCGGGGCCAUCGUCCCUGUGGAAAUUUCUGCAUCCCUGCAGUCUACAACGCCUAAUAAUGAAUUGAACGGUUGAAAUCCCUCUAAAUUUUUGAUAAUUUCUAAUCGCCCCUCCGUAUUUGAUUGAACAUCAAAACUAUUGAGUCCAAAUUUAUAACUUUGAUUUAUCUUCCAUUCCAUAGUUUUCAAGUUCUCUCUCUCUCUCUCUCUCUCUCUCUCUUAAUCCUUUUUACUGCAACCACCAUCAAAGCCUAGUAGUUAAUAUGUAUGCUGCUUUGCUUUCAAAAUCGGACACUACUGCUAUUUAUGGUUUUUAUUCUUUAUUUGACACAAAAUUUGGUGAUAUCUCCGUGGAAAAACACUACUGGUGUAUUCAAUUUUAUCCGGUAAUGGUUAAAUUGAUUAGUUAUAUGAACGGUAACUUCGCCAAGACGAAAAUACAUAUUAAGUUAUAAAGUGUUGGCACUCAUUAUUUUUCGCAAAAAGUUUCGCCCAAAAUACAUAUAUUUUUUUAUUGUUUUAUUUGACACAAAAUAUUGACAAAUUUUUCUGUGAAAAAACACUACUAUUAUAUUCAAUUUUAUCAUUAAAGUUGUUAGUUACAUGAACCUUAAAUUUGUUGGAUCAUAAACUUGAUCCAAGAUGAAUAAAUUCAAGCCCAAUUCAUGGAAGAUUCCAUGAGUAGGUAUGGUUGGUGAAGUAGGUGAGUGGUAGGUUUUAAUAAAUGGUGAUGAUUUAUGUAGUAGUUGAAUAAAUGAAUAGUUGUGAUUAGUUUGUAUCAUGUAUAAAUACCCCCUCUCCCCUUUGGUUUAAGCAUCAAGUGAAGUAACAAAAUCUCUAAGGUGUAGAGAAUGAAAAAUAAGAGUUGUAAUUGGUAAGGAGUGUUGUUGAAGAAAUAAAAUAGUGUGAUUUGUGUGUUUUAUUUGUUAAUUCUCCAACAAAAUUAACACGAACCGUAACUUAGCCAAGCCCAUAAUACAUAUUUCAUAUUUGUAUGAACUUUAAAGUUUUUCCACUUAUUAUUUUUCGCUAAAAGUUUCUAAAUUGUAUUGUAGUUUGAACUUGCCCAUCAUUCAAUUUUUUAACUCCACAAUUAUUUGACCUUACCAAGCUUGAAAAUAUCCUUCCAUACAUAUUUAAUUUUCUCCAAGUAUGAUCAAGAUUUAAUCAAGAGCCUCCGGGAUCUUAAAGUAUAAGAAAGGUCCGGAAAAUCUUUAAAACCCCACUGUUUAAAGUUUUUUUGGACUUUCCUGUACUUUAAAAUCUUGAAUUGAUAUAUAUAUAUAUAUAUAUUAUCAUUGUUAGGUGCUAGUACCCUCAUUUUUUUUUUUAAUGCAAACACCCUCUUAAGCAGUAGGGUUUAAUAGGAUUAUUGUUGAAUAAACUAUAAAGUCGUGCAUCUUAAUAACAUUAAAAACUAACUUUCAACUAGCUCUCUUAAAUUGUACGGCUUAAAAGCAUGUCCGCAUGAAAAAAUAAACAUGCCUGCACCAAAAAAGGACUAUAUAUAUUAUUUAUUUUAUAUAUACAUACGUGUGCACGCUCGUGUAUAUAUAUAUAUAUAUAUAUAUCUUUUUAAUAUAUUCGAUUACUUUAAUAAUCAAUUUAAAAUAGUUUGUGAUAUUUUCAGCUAUUUAUUUAUCUACUUUUAGUUAGUUAUUUACACCGAAUGAAGUGCUAGGGUCCAAAUUUUAGUAUCCUUCUCAGUUGUUUGGGAUUAGUAAAUACUAAUUAGCUUAUUCGUCCCGAACAGGCGCGUAAAUGCUGUUAGAUUUCGGAGAGAUCGAUGCUGAGGAUGGUACAAGAUUUAUCAAAUUGUGGCGACAUUUUUAUACCUUUAGAAUUUCAAGAUUUUGAAGAAAUAAAUGGAAUCUGUUUUCCAUAAGUGCUCCACUAUCCACCAGGAGGAAUUCUAAAACACAUUACAUAUUCGUGAUUUCUCAUAAUAAAUAAACACAUGUUAUAACAUUAUUUACUUAUCGUAUGACUGAUAUGAUACUUUGGAUUGCAAUUCUCAUACAAUACAUAGAAUUAUCAUAAUCUAUAAAUUGUAUUUUUGCUUUUCUACGGUAGUAAGUCAAGAAUCCUUAGUGACAAUUUAAAUUGAAAAAAUAAAAUCAUAAAUAAGAAUUAUUUGAUAAGAAUUAAAAUAAUUGAUAAAUAUUUGAGAGGAGCAAUUUUGGAAGACUCGAUUUCUAAUAGGAGGGGAAUUUGAAUUUUACAACUUUCGGUGAGGAAUCCAAAAUGCACAAUUUGAUGAAAAUUAAAUUUCAAUAGAAAUUGAAUUCCCAUAUGUUAGUGAAAACCAAACAACAGAAAAGUGAAAGGAAUUUGAAUUCAUUUCCUUCCCGUCUCAUCCCUCCAACUAAACACCAUCGAGACCCAAAGAUAUGGGUUUGGAAUUCCAUACUGAUCACAAUGGGAUUUGUCCAUAUUAUUAGGACCAAUUUUAAAAGCAGUCGGAGUUUAAAAUUGAAAUUAAUCCUAAUUUUUUAUUUGGGACUAGAUAAGAAUUUAUAUUGUAACUCCAAUUCUCCCAAUUAUUUUAGUUGAUAAUAUGUUUAACAUUAUUAAUUGCAUAUUAUUUAAUUAUCAGUAUAUAAUAUUCUUUAAUUUUCCAAUUUUAUAGGAUUAGACACAAAAUUGAUUAUGCUAAUAUUCUUUAAUUUUCCAAUUUUAUAGGAUUAGACACAAAAUUGAUUAUGCCUUCUGAAAUUUAAGGGUUAUGUCAAUUGAACAGAAAACUUGGAGUUGAACUUUUGGAUGUUUUUGUUGAUUAUCAAUUUAUGCAUGAAUUUUUGUACGUUUACUUUGGUUUAUUAUUGUUACUUUUAGACAUUUUUAUUGGUUUGAUUUAGGGUCAUUUUGGUAAUCUUGUAAUUUUUAAAGUAGUUACAGUUAGCUAUGCUGUAGAAAUUGAUCAAUUGUGAAGAGAAUCAGCUGAACAUUUAGUAAAAUUUAUUUUUAAAAGUACUUUAGUUUUAAAAGCAGUUGUAUGUGUUUCGUAAAUCUUAUUUUUAAACAGGUGCAAGAAUAUAAAUAACUAAAUUGGACAUAAUGCUAAAUAAAAUUUAUUUACACAUUUACAAACAUGUAUAUAAAAUAUUUUUAUUAUGUACAUAUAAUUAUUGAUAACUAAAAUAAAAAUUUUAUAUUAUUAAAUUUUAUUCUUUAUUUUGUUAUCCCAAUAUAAUUGGUAAUAAUAAUAAUCUCUUAAAGUUAAUGAUUUUAUUUCUUAAUUAAUAAAGAUAAUUCUGGAUUUUUAUUAUAUAAUGAGGAUAUAUAUAUAUAUAUAUAUAUAGAAUUGGAUUAAGUAUAAAAGUGAUUUUCAAAAUCAAAUUUUGAAAAACUAUUCCUUCCAUACUUUUCAAAAUCCACUGUAUGAUGAGAUGAUUUUUCCAAAAAUAAUUGCUAAAAAAUUAUAAAACACUAAAAAUUAGGUUUUAGUUUUUAAAAUCACUUUUGAGCUUCCCAAAAACAAUCCUAACAGGCCUUUAUUUAGGUGGUGUUGGAACUUGUAACUUUUGGAUCAUUUGGUUUUUAUUGGUUUGAUACAACUGUUACACUAAAAAUUGAAUGUAUCUUAAACCCCACACUUCUUCUUCUUCUUUUUUGAUUGCACAAAAUUAAAAACAAUAGUGAACGCAUUCUUUAAUAAACAAUAAGUAAUUACUAAAAUUGUGUUAAAGAAUUUAGUUGAAACAUAAAUUGAUUUCAAUGUUGUAUAUGCUAAAUUUCUUAAAAAUUUCUUUCACGGUUUGCUGAAUAGUUUUAUUAGUAUUUUGAAUAAAUAAAAAUAAUUGAUUUAAUUUUUUAAAGAAAUUUAUUAGGUUCAUGUAAAUACGUUUUUGUUAUUUUAAAAGUGUACAAAGUAAAACUUAAUUUUUUAAAUUUAUUAGAUGAGUGGAUAAAAUAAUUGAGUGUUCAUAGUAAAUUUUAAAGUAUAGAUAGUGAGACCCUAAUAUUUUUAAUAUAUGGAAAUUUUGAAAAUAUGUUAAUGGGAAUUAAAAUGAUAAUUAAGGGAGGCAUUCGAGACAUUCAGGAUUGUUAGGAUAGGACAUGAUUGUGAGCGGUUUGAGAUUGGCCCUAAUUUUGAUCACAAAUAUAUAAGCAGGAUGAGUUUAUCCAUUCUUACAUUCCAUUUGAUAAUUAAGAUGAGAGUGGAAUUGUCAAAUCCCAAAUUAUCCCGGACCAUUGCCACCAAAGGUACUCUCACUAAUAAUAUCUAAAGAAAAAUCUACAUCUAUUUCAUACCUUUUUUUUAAACGGAAAGAGCCCUUAUGGGGCUUGAAAUGGUAUCCUAAAUAAUAUUCAAAAUAUCAGGCCAUGACUGGGUUUGUAACAAACAAAUAUUACAUAGUUGGGAUACGUAGUUACUAGUGUCCCAAUUUAUGUAGUAUCUAUCAUUUAGUGCACAUAUAAAGUGUUUGGGAAAUGAAAUAGGGUGACCAAGAUAAGGUGUUUGCUCAUACAUUAUCGUGCUCUCCUCAAAGUAAAAAGUGAAAAAAUAGUUGAUAGGCUACUAGGAGUUUAUUUGGUCACCUCGAGCACAUCACCUCGACCAGGAUAUUAUUUGGUGAUCUCGAGCACAUCAUCUUGACUAAGAGAUUAUUUGGUCACCUUGAGUAUAUCACCUCGACCAGGAGAUUAUUUGGUGACCUCCAGUAGAUCAUCUUGACCAGGAGGUUACCAGGAAGCACGACUCAGUCGAAACAAAUCUCACUUAUUUUCUUCGAAAUAUUAGGGACCAUAUUCUUAGUGGGCUGAAAAUUGGUGGUUUUCUUGAGAGUUUUAGGUGAGAGGAUAAAAAUCACUAUAAUUUGCUAUAAAAACCCUGGGAAAGGGAGGGAAAUAGGGAGAUUCUUUUUAUCUCUCUCUCUUUGGGUGACUGAACCCAUGGGAUCUUUUUCUUUCUACCACUGGGAACCUUCUCUUUCUCUCAUGAUUUAUUUUUCUUUAAGAUUGGUUAUUUUUUAUUCUUUUCCCAUAAAUUUACUUAAAAGCUUUUUGUUUAAAGUAUUCAUAAUUAAGCCGCGUGAAUUGUGGUACGGAUUUUUCCAAGUAGACCCAAAUCGCUGACUUGAGCAUCGGAGGAUUUUCUUUAAGAUUGAUUAUUGUUUCCAUAAAUUUGAACCAAGAAGGAUGACGCGAUAAAAUUUGUUUUUAUUGUAUGGUUGAUUUCAUAUCUCAUGCACUCAUUUCUUAAGAUAAUUAGAUUUCAUCUUUUGCAAAUGUGGAAAUAUCAAUUAUGGUCAAUCAAAACGAUCUCAAAACCUUUCAACGAGACAUAUUUAUAAUACAAUAUUGUGAAAAUUACACCAAAAAAUUAAUUUAUGAUAUAUUAUUAUCCCACCAGCACACAAAAAUGAAUUCGUACAAAUCUAAAAUACUUAGCAAUUUUCAAAUAGAAUUUUAAAUUUAUUUCCAGUUAGAAAACUAUUCGCUGGACUCCAUAUUACUAGCCACCAUCGUAAGCCUAACCGGUUGCCGGCGAACGGCGUAAAACACCAGCCAUCUUCUUCUUCAUCAUAUUCUCCUUUCAUCUUUUGAGUUAAGCCUGUGAUUAUGAGUUUCUUCUCUUACUUAGCUUGUAAUUAUAGAUUUUGAUUCUUUUUAAUUCAUAUUGUAGCCGUUAUUGUCAAUUUUUGUCCCGCCAGCAAUAUUUUUUUAUUCCUACAAGUUGAAAAUGGAUUCAUUUGAAUUACUAUUGAAUUUAGCUUUAAUUUCAAUAUCCAUUCUAAUGUUUUGCUAUUAGAUUUGCUUUAAUUUUAUGUUUAAAGCUUCUACAAUGAAUAGCGGAGCUUGGGUUUUAGUUUCAUUUUCUGUAACUUGUUUUAGUUUAUCUUGUAUGCUCACCAAGUGCUUGUUAUAUUGUCUGAUAAGUUCUAUACAUUGCUGAUUCUAUAUUAAUAAUGUUAUGUUCUAUUUUCAGAAAUUAUAAUACAAAAGUUUUUACAAUGGCGUGCAUCUACAAACUGAAUUGACUUGUAGAAUAAGAGCUUGGAGUAGUGUUAUGUUCUUGAAUAAAUGAAAGUUCAUAUUGUGUAAGAGCAUGUAGAUGUAAAGCGUCAUUACCAUUUCUAUAAAGGACUUUCAUUCUGUUCAGAUGCUCUUCUUGAACAUUGAAAGGUGCCUCGUUCAAGUCCUAGCUAUAACUACUAGCUUUGAUUAAUUAAGUUCCUAUACUAGCUGAAACAGAUUUAUUUAAUUAAUUAAUUGUGUAUGUACUGAUUAUAUUGAAAGUAUAUGAAUUUUUUUUUUUUUUAACAUGAAUGACUUCUAAAUGACUUAAAAACCUAAAGGAUAUGUGAAAUUAUGCUCAUUUCACAUGAAUGAGCCUAUUAAUACUUUUAUGUCUAUGAUUGUCAAUAUUGGCUUAAGCAUUUCAGUUAAGUGGUUUACCUAACAGAGAAAAAAAUUUAAUAGAAAACUUCAGAGUUCUAACAGAAAUAUAGUUCACUAUGCAGAUAUAGUUAUUUUACGGUAUACAAAUCAAGUUGUCCUAAUCUCAAUGUCCUAUGACCAAUUUUAUUUUAUAUAGUCAUUAAUUUUUGCCAUGGUUUUUUGUGUUUAUGAGUUUGAAAUAGUGGGAUUUGGUGUACCUUAGCAUCUUUUGAAAAUUCUCUUUAAGUGUGGCCAACAGAAAUAUACAUAUAAUCAAGUUUCUUAAUCCUGUAUAUUAGUUUUGGGUAUGAAUGGUCCUAUUCUAGCUCUAGGCAAAGCUUCUUUGUUUUGGGCUUCAGAUUUCCAGUAGGUUAAGUUAAUCAACUAUCAUAACUGGCUAGCUAGUUAUUUGUUUGCCUUGCGGCCAUUACCCAGGGCAUUAUAUUUGCAUAGGCAUAAGGGAAUAGUGAUUAUUAGUGAUUUGUUGAGCUUAUUAUUGACGAAACAAAUGUAUUUCGCCUUUGCCCACAACUUAUUUGAUUAGGUAUUAGACCAUAAGGAGCCUGGAUCUAUUCAUUGGCUUUAUUAUUUUUAUUUGGUUUUUCUUUCAACAAUAUUGUUGAUUUCUUAUAAAAAUAUUCAUUGGCUUUUAAACACCUAAUCAUUGGCUAUAUGAAGCUAAUUAAAACUGAGGCUUUGGAUCAAUUUCUUCUAACAAGAUACAAAUGAGCAAAACCUUUCUCCUCUAAGUUAAUUUUUUUAAUAUCCCUUGAUUUGUAAGGAUCUGGAGGCCUGAAUCCUCUUGAUUUUUUUUAACACUGUCAAUGUUCUUUUUAUUCUGAGAAGGAAAUAAAAGGUUUUAUCUUUCAUACCCGAAUAGUAAGCUGGCCUUGUCUUAACAUGGCCUCCCGAGGACUUGCAAGAUUCAUAGUGCCCCCCACCCCAAAAAAAAACAUAAAAAACACAAAUAGGAAGAUUUUGCAAGAUUCACCACCAGGUUUUUUUUAAUUUAUUAAUUGUGUGUACGUGCUAGUUAUAUGUUGAAAGAAUAGGAAGAAGUAUUUCAACAUGAAUGACUUAAAACUUAUUGCUCAGUAAACAUAAUCUGCAUCAGUGCGAAAAUGUAUUUAUCGUUUGUAUUUUUUAUGGUUUUGCUAAAGAAAUGAUAUGUGAAAUAAUGCUACAUUGCAUCAGGAAUAAAUUGAAGAGAUUUAUGAUAUUUAUGUGUUAUUCAAAUUUCAGAUUCAAUUUUAAACUUUUGAUACGUGCAUUGAAAGCUUAGACUUGUUUAAGAAAUCAUUAAUAGACACAUGUUUUAUUAGUGUCAUCUUUGGAUGAUAGUGAGGAUCAUAUGUCUAUUAAUAAUUCUUGAAUUGUCCAGGCUUGGACAGUUUGGGAAUGCAUAGUUCACUCUGGUAGCUAGUAGCUGAAGUUUUUUCCCACGUAAAAAUGGGUUUUUCGGUAGCUGCUCCUCGUGUUCUCUGGGUACGUACUAGGUGAAUGGGUGUCAUGUGCUGUUUUGGCAUAACGCAUAAACACUUAUAUAGCUAUGUCGUGUGCUUGGAGAAUUAUAGGGAGAUGGUGCCGAAAUUUUUAUAAACGUGGAAGAAAACUUUAGGUACUUGAGAUUGAAGAAACUAAUGCAUUCUUGAGUGGGAUAUGUAGGAUUAGUUGCCUUUUGUAAAUAUGAAGGGAAUGUUGGAUAUAUUGGGGAUAGUGUAGGAGCUGAGUUGGAUGAAUGUAAUUGGUGAUGAUUUUGCUGAGCUGACCUUGGUUUUGAGCUUGUAAUUUUGUUUGUAAAUGGAGUGCUAUCUCCAAUGUUGGUUUAUAAAAAUGUUUCAGGACUUGCUGACCUAAUUUUUUGUUUCUAGGUUACAGGCUUUAUAUAUCUGUAAUUGAUAGCCAAGUGAAGUUCUCAGCACUUGGCAAGGAUAUUUCUUUACAGAAGGUACUGGAAACUGUUUUUUACAUUAAUUAUCGUUGUUUAUAUACUUUGAUUGUCACAUCUUUUUCUCUGAUUCUUGUGGCUUUGCUUGCUUUCAUAUAUGUAAAUUCUAAUGAAAUUAACCAUAAAAUUGUAAAAUGAUUUUUUUAUUAUAUUGCAAAACUGUGCACACACGAAAAUAUCUUGUUUAGUAGUAGAAAUGAAGAAAUAAUUUUUGUAGCGCAUUAAAAGGAGAUAGUCAUGGACAAGUGUUGGGUUGGUUUGCCAAAUAGAUAUCCAAGUCAUAUACUGAUGGCGUUGAAAAAUUUAUAGAUUUUGUAUUUGAGAAUGUUGUUGGUGGUACAAGAAUUUAUUGUCCUUCUUGAUAAGUGUUGUAAUCUAUAUUUCGUUAUAAGGGAAGUGGCUGAUGAUGAUAUGGUUGGAAUGAUACAGUGCAUCACGUAAUCAAAUGUUCAAGUUACACGCAGCAUUGUUAUGAGUGGCAACUUGUCUGGGUGGAGUAUUAAAGGUAAAUAAGCAUGUCUUGUUUGCCAACAAAGCACUGGAUCUAAUUCGUUGAUACAUAGUAGAAAAUUUUGUCACGUGGGUCACCGUCGAUUUUUCCCAACAAAUCAUAGGUUUCGAAAAUAUAGUGUCUUUGAAUAAAACUAGAGAGUAGGGACAAGCACCUUCUCAGUUGUCUGCAACUGAAGUGAAAAAGCAGUUUAAUGUAUUUACUGAGUAUAAGAUUGAAGACUUGAAAAGAGAAGAACGAAUGAGAAAUGAUAAGAUUACUUGGAAGAACAACAGCAUUUCUUAAGAUUACUUGGAUGAGAAAUGAUGUGGAAGAUGGCUAUAAAAGAUAAAAGGAAAGGCUUAAAAAGAAAAGCCACGCCUGUCAAAAACAAAAAUCAAUGGCAGCGUCAAAUUUAUAACAAAAAUCAAAACGGUGCGUUUGAGAGUGUAUAAAAUACAUUUAGAGUGGGAGUUGUGUUGUUGCUUGAAGGCAGAAUGUUUGUGAGAUAUUUGUCGACGAAGCCGAAACCAAAGAUGAAGCCCAUCGAAAGUAUUUAUAGUGUAAAAAGUAUAUUGUGGAAAUGUCUGGUCGGUAAUACAACUAUUUCUUGUAGUGUAAAUGAUACACUAAUUUGAAUUUAUAUGCUUUUAUGAUUAUUUGAUUAUCAAGUGGUGAUCAUAUGUGAUGAUAAACUUAGGUCGUACCUUUAUAUUUAUAGCCUUAGUUUUCUAAGCGUUCACAUUUUGAUGAGUAAAUUAAGGAUUUCUAGAUGAAGUACAUAAUUAGAUUAAUGCUAAGGAACUGAAGUUUGAUCAACUGAAAACGAAAAUAAUAAUGAAGGUAAUUAAGAAAAUGAACAAUGCAGAAGCGGUCCUUAUUAGGACUUCUAGAUUUUCUCUUGGGCUUCCUUAUUAUUGUUAAAAAAUGACACGAAGAACUGAGUUUAAAAAUCUGGCCCUGAUGCCUGGUAGCCCUCCAACAUAUGAAGCACUAGAUGUUUUAAUGAGAAAAUGACAAGACCAUUUAUCAAAUUUCUUGUGGAUAUAAAUACAUACACAUAGACGAGACCAACCUCCUCAAAUGAGAAUCAGAGUGAUUACAAGACCUUGCAAUGGGACGAUAACACACCAUCAAAUCUCAAAAUACAAUAGAAAUUCAUGACAUAUGUAUAAUAAAAGAUCUCUCAUUGAGUCAUAUAUAUUGAGAAUAAAAAUGUUAUAAUACAUACAAAGAGCUUAGCUAGAAUAAAAUGUCUUUGAACUUGCGAUGAUCAAACAAAGGAAACAGACAGGUUGUAACUCACACUAUCACAGAUGUAGCGACACGAUGCAGUGAAUCACAAGAAGAUCACGAAGAUGGAAACGGGAACCCCUCAGAAUGUAAACUUUGAAUAGAGGAAAAAAGAAAAACGUCCUUAUUUCAAAUUGUGCACAGAAGAAGAGUGACUUAAAUCUUCAUCAGUAUCCAGGCAUUCUGCAAUCAUAAAGUAGAGAAAUUUUAACAGGAACAACAGAGAAAAUAUUAUGAAUAUGCUAGACCAAAUUAGUCCCUUUUUUGGUUUGUGAAAACUUUAUUUUUUAUGAAUACGCUAUCCAAUAUUUUCAAUCAAUAUUUCCACAAUAUAGUUGUUCAUAGCUAACGUUUGAUGGUUUAACGAUUUGUUCCAAGAAUAAUGGGCUGAUUACGUUUUGUUUUAUUUUUAUUUUAUUUUUUUUAAUCCGAUGAAGGAUAUUCAGCUGUCUUUAAUUAUGCAUUCAUAGGGAAGAACAUUUUCUAAGUACUUUCCUUGCCUUCUAACUUUCCAAGGAAAGAUAGGUGUAAAGAAAAGCAAACCCAAUGAACAAACAGAGCACAAACUAAAAUAAAAGAACAGCAAUGAUGAGGAUAAAUAAUUAGCAAAUAAAGAAAGGAAAAAGUAUGCACGUUUUCAAGGAUUUAAAAAAUACGAAGGCUUUUAAUGAAAUUUUAACAUAAAAAAGUAUGCAAGGAGUUAUAAAAUUUUAGAAGACGAGGGGAGCUCGCAAAAAAAAAAGAAAAAGACUCAAAUUAAACUACACUAAAAAGACAUUCAAUUAUGCAAAAUCUGUCCAUAAAAGUCUGAAAGGAUCAUUAAAAUUGCAUUGCAAAUUUAACAGUAAACUGAGGAACCCAUUCUAAAUAAUUCAGAUGAAAUUGCGAAACAAGCUAUGGGAUUAAAUAAAUUAAAUAAAAACUAAUUACCAGUUGAGACUUUCUUCUAAAACUUCGCAACUCCAAGUCAUAAGAAGCCUAUGAAAUUAGUCGUACAGCGUAGAGUAUGACGACGACACCGCCAACAGCUGAAAGUAAAAUUCUUAUUCAUCAAUUUAAACUUACUUUAUAACAAAUAUCUUAUCUAUAUUGUAUUUAAGAAAGCAAAUAUUGUAAAAAUUUAUCAUGGGAGAUAGAGAGUAAUAUGUACAUACGUACCUUCUCAGCAUGUAAUUGUUGUAUGGUUGUGUUUAGAUCAUUAUUAGCCCAGCGCCGUUGAUCCGCUGUCUCUCCAUAGCAGACGUUUACUCUUAGAGGCGUGAUUGAUUCUCCUGUAGUGAAAAUCUUCAUCUUGGGACAACCAAUCACCCACAACUCUUGCAAAGAUGGGAAUUUGAAGGUGUAAUUGGCAGGGCAGAAAUUUGUGAGGCUAUCUAAAUCAAACAGUUGCAACGACUUCAAUUUGCAGAAAACAAUCUCUUCUUUUUCAACUCUAUCUUUGUCAUUUAUUACCACCUCUGUCAUUGCUCUGCAUCCAUAUACUUGCACUUUGACCAGUCGCACUAGAGUUUUUGCUGUGGAGGAUGUUACUAAGUGUAUCAAUUCCUUGCAACCGAAAGCUACAAGUUUUGUUAGGUUCCGAAAAGAUACCGAUGAUGAUGGCAAUAGAAUUAACAGACUUUGACAAUGAUAUACUCCUAGAAUUUCAAGAUACUGAAAAAUGGGGCCAAGUUUGGAAUCGUGUUUGCACAGCUGCUUCAGAUGAUAGGGCCGGUACAGCUUUAAUUCUUUUAUCAUUGCCAACUUCCCCACAUGUUUCUCUAAGCAUCCUUCCAUCGAAAAUACGUCUUCGUCGAAUGAAAAAAAAGACAGUGUGAGUAUUUCGAGAUUGUGAAAUCUCUCCAGUACGUUCCAGAUUGGAAAACAAGCUGAGUCAUCUGCAGCAAUCUCUAGUUCUCUAAGACUGCCAAAAAGGUGUUGUGGGAAAUCGGCCUGCAAAAUCAUCUUCACAUCUUUUCCACUUAGUGAUAGUUCCAUCAAGUUGGGUACGAUCUGAUCAUCAUCAAUCAUAAUAACUAAUGAGGUCAAUUGAUGAUCUACGGUCACACGCAGUGACUUUAUAGUAUUUGUUUUAUAUUAUAUUUUAAAAAAAAUUGAAUUAUUGAUAAAAUUUAUUAAAUGAUUUUUUAUAUGUUAAUUUUAGAGGUAAAAAAGAAAUUAGGGAAAAAGGUUGAUUUAUACUGGCUCGAAAUUAUUUUAUUGCACAAUAAUAAAUUACUAAUUUAUUUUGUAAGUUCUUCUAUAUGGAAACACUAAGGAUUCUUUUAGAAAUGCUAUACAAAAAAAAGUUCAUAUAAUUAUUAAUCUACCACAUUGAUCUCUUAAUCUAGACUAGCAAAGAUUAUUGUAUAAUAAAAGUUUUCAAUUUAUUGAGUAUUAAUUUAUUGAUGCUUUGCCAUAUUUUUCAAAGUUAAAAAUAAGCUAUAGACAAAAAAUCUAGAAAAUGGCUUCAUACCUUUUCCAACGGCAAUGGGGGCUGUUGUGCAGGAAUGCCAAGUUGAUCAUUCUGCGAUAAAUCUGCAGUGAAUAUCUUUAAUUUGUCACAACAAUGCACUGAAAGAAUUUCUAGCGCGGGCCAUUCCAAAGUAUGCAUUCCAGGGUACAAACAUCUAAGUUUUGGUAGACCUUGGAGUCUCAAAGUGGUGAGCUGUGGAAAGACAAAAUAAGGGAUCACUUCAUCUGCUCUAUUCUCAAAAAUGAUCUCCUGUAAAUCCUCACAGAAGCGAACUUCUAGGUGUUGGAGCUGCUUAAGGCUUCUGAUCAUAGACGCUGAAAAUAUGUAUUUUAAUUUGUGACAACGCCACACAAUCAAUCGUGUUAAAUUUUGAAAGCGAGGAAACGUGACCGGAAGAUGAUUGUAGUGCCAAAUCUUGUCGACAUUAAUUUCAGAUAUCUCCAAAGCCUCCAAGUUAGGCAACGCAACCUAAAAGAAUAAGAAUUUCUGGUUAGAUCCAAUAUCCAUAUGGGAAGCACUUGUUGAAAUUUUCUUCUUUGAUUGCAAAUUCAUGCAAGUCAGAAUCAAUUUCCAACUGACAGCUGAGUAUGCAUUCUAAUUCAUACUACUUGUUAAGAGCUCAAUUAGUGAGCGCGUGAGAUUCUUUUUAUCCUUUUUUCCGUUUUUUUUCAAUUCUUCAAAUGAUUUAAUUAUUUUCCACGUAUGAUAUCAAAAGAGAACGCAUAAUAGAAUAAAGAAAAUGUUAGCCUACGCACCUUCUCGUUGAAAAGCAGAGUUGAAAUAUCCAAAGUGAUUUCGCUGGAGCAAUACAUAGUCGUCGAUUCCUCUUGCGACACUUGUCUGUUCGGUGAUGCUGAAGGAGUCUCCACCUCACGGCGGCAAAAACUUGUAACCUCAGGAAGAUUCCCCAGACUCAAAGAUCUUAAUUGAGCAAACUCUAUCUUCUCAAUUGCAUUAUCAACUUCUUCCCCAAUUGCAAAAAUCUCUUUCAUCUUGCUGCAAUUAACAACUGCAAUUCUCUCAAGUCUUGGAAGGCAUUUUGUAGUAGAGAGCCAAAAGAUAUUACUCAACUUAUCACAAUUAUAUGCUUCUACGGUUUUGAGUUCGUUGAAAGACUCUACUUUGAGCCGAUCAACACAUAUCCUCUCCAUGUUGAUCAAAUUGUGAAUGGUAAGUGACUCCAAAAGAGGAAAGGCAUCACAAGCGACCAUCUCCCUUGAAUCGACGAUACAAAAGAAGUCAGGAUUAUUUUGAACCCAGAGAAGCUUCAAUUGUGAAAAGCCCUCCGUGUCCAAAUUGAAAAGAACAUUCUCGAUGCCUUGCAGCUUGUCCAACCAUAAGUAUUCAACGUUAUUGAUGCCCUGCAAUUUCAUGGAGCAAAUGUCCAUAAAAUCAAGCUUGAGCUUCAAUGAUAUUAAACUCUUGCGAUCACUGUUGAUCGAAAAGCGAGGCCGACUUUUAAACCAAUGUUGGCCAACACUCAUGGGAUGCAUGAAUAACCCAUUUCCAAUAGAUAUUUUGAACCUUUCGAGCUUUCUGGCCAAAAAACCUUCUGGUAAAAUAUUGUCACUUUUAACGUCAAUUUCUAGAGUGGUUAGCCGAGGUAAAUGCAUCAAUUCGUCAAGGCUAGCAUUACUUCUUUUGCUGUUGGCUCUUUCAACCUCCCAUUCAAUGAAGCAAUUACCCAUAUACAGCUCUUCUAAUCGAGUUAAGCUUGAUAUGAGAUUAGGCGCAAUAACUUUUAGAUGGAAACAAUUGGUUAAAUCUAACAAUCUCAACUUAUUCAAUUGACCUAGUUCUCCGGGCAACUGCAUAAUAUCAGACUUCAAAAAGCUAAGGACUUCUAGAUUCUUCAACUUCCCAAUGAUUGCUAUGUCCCCCAACGCACUUUGAUCCAGACAUAGUGUGUGAAGAUUUGGUAGAAGAUCAAUUGAAGAUGGAAAAGAAGAAAACUGCAUUCGAGUAAAAUCUAGAACUCUAAGCUUUUUCAUCCCUACAAAAAAGUUCUCAGGAAUAUUGAUUUCAAGAGAAGAAUCUUUGAGAGAGACAAAUAAAAAUUCAAGGUUUGGGCAUUCUAAUCCUUCAGGAAAUUCACGAUUACUAUUAUUUCUUAAAGAGAUCGCAUUGCAUUUUCGAAGUGCAUCCUCAUCUGGCCAGUCCCACACAUCCUUAUUUCUCACCAAAAACACAUGUUGGUGGCGGCAUGCAAUUGAUAUUGCGACAUCACGAACAACAUCAUGCAUUGAAAAUUGUUCAUUGCUCUCACCCUCAAGCAACAAACAAGAGUGUCUAAGUUCAUGGACCAAUGCAAAUAAUUUGUCUCGUGCAUCUUCCAUCUUAUUGACUCCUUUAAAUAUACCCAAACCCAUGGAGUACUUAAACAAGUCCGAAGUAAGAAUACGGUUAUCCAUUAGACUACAGAGCAGAAAAAUUUUCUUGAGUUGCUCACCUUUUAAAUGGUUGAAACUCAGCUCAAUACUUGAAUAAGUCUCUGCAGAUACUCCUUCGAAGUUUACCAUUGAAGGCGUUCGGAGUUCUCGCAAGGAAUUCUUCCAUUCAUGAAGACUCUUGCUUCUCAGUGCCUUUGCCACUGUAGUCAAGGCAAUGGGCAAACCUCCACAUGCCCUGGCGACGUCUAUUGCUGUAGAUUUCAACUCACGAUUUUCAACAUCAUCUCCGGCCAUCAUCUUAAACAAUCUCCAGGCUUCUUCUUCAUUUAAAUUGUUUAUCAAAAAGUUGUCUUUAGAUCCCAUUUUUAAGAGGACACUACGAUCUCUUGCUGUCAGCAGUAGUUUGCAGCCUUUAUGAUCUUCUCCAAAAGGAAUUGCAAUAGUCCCCAAAUCAAGAGGUUUCCAGAUGUUAUCCAGAAUCACAAGGAUCUUCUUCUCAUUCUCCAAUCUUUCAUAUAGUCUACUAGCUCUUCUAGACUCAGCUUCCUCGCGCAACUCCAAGCCCAACUUCUCGGCAAUUUCCUGUUGAAUCUGUUUUAUGUCUGGAGUUUGCGAAACCUCUGAAAAGACCACCAUAUCAAAGUGCUUGUCUUCCAUAGCUUGCCUGGCGACCUUCUUCACCAGUGUCGUCUUUCCAAUGCCGCCCAUGCCGUACACCCCAAUGAUGCUGACAUCAACAUCGAUCAAUGCGUUUUUUAUAGCCUCCAAAGUAGAACGUCUUGAUUCGAAGGCCUCGUAGCCUUUGUGAGACUUGAGCCAAAUCUCCUCCGGAAUGGUACGGUAGGAAAUUCUAUCAUCAAAUCUCUCAGCUUCUUCUCGGAGUUUAAAAAGGGCCUCCUUCUCUGUUUCUGCUUUCUUUCCAUGCUGAUAGCGAAUAAUCCAAUUAGGAAACAGCCCCAUGAGACAUCGUUCAUUUGCUUUCUCUUCGUCUUGAAUGAAUUUGGCUGCCUGCUCAAUGCUCUUGUUCGCACUAAACAGCCAUUUCUCAACCUUCUCUUCAAUCUUUUCACUUUUUCUUUCAGCCUCAGAAACUCUGCGCUGAAUGCUUUCUCUUUCAUCCUUGAGCCUAUCGAGUUCUGCCUUGAGAUUCUCAAAGUUGGCAGCGGAGUUAUACCAAUAACUAAAUUCGCGUUGUGCGUGAGGAGACAAGCAGUUUACAACUCCUGGAACAAUGCUUUUCAAAAUGUCCAUUUUUUUUUUCUUUUUUGGGGAAGUGAACGAAAUAGAAAUAGAACAGAGUCAACGACCGCGCAAUUGAUAAUUAAGUAGAAAACAAGGCAAAAUUGAAAAAAGAAAUUAUAUUUGUACAAAACAAGGGGAAAAUCAGUGUAACAGAAGAGAAUCAAAGUGUUUUUGAGAUCAGAAAAUUGAACCAAGAAAAGGGUUGCUUGAUCCAAUGAAAAUGCAAAGAGCUGAUGGCAAAAGGAAACAAAGCUAAAUAAGAAAACGGUUAGCACGAGCAGUGACCACGAUCAACAGAAGCAAAGUGUGUAUGAGAUCAAAAGACGAAAAUGAGGAGAGGUUUUCUUGAUGGAGAAUUGAAGGCAAAGAGUAGGAGCUGACGAAUACGGGGAUCAAGAGGGAAAAACUGCUUGCUUGUAAAACUACUUUCAAGCGAAUCUGAUAAAAUUAUUUCAGUACUCGUGGGCGACUCCUUUUUAAACUGCAGAAGGGGGAAAAAAAAAGUCUGAAUUUCAAUAUAUUAAUCUCGUAAUCAAUGAUUAAUUAGUAGAUAAUCUUUCUAACAAAUAUGUGUUGAAUAGAUAUAUUUCUUGAUUAGUAGUAGGUUCGAUAUACUUUACUAUAGGAAUGAAAGUACAAAUUGUGUCAUAUUAGAAUACAAAUGGGACCUAAAAAUCCCGUUUUAUGGCCUUUUAAUUAUUUGUCAGCUAAUAAUGAAGUCAUAUACAAAAAUUAUUAAUCUGACCUAGUCUUUAAGUCUUAUAAAUGUUUCUAGAUUUUUAAUUAUAAUAUCAUUAUUUAAAAAAUAUUGCUUGACUUACAUUAGUAACAUUACGAUUGUUCAUAAAACAUGUGAUCCUCAUCCAAAGGCCAGGUGAACAAAUAUAAACGACAAAUUCUUUUCAAUUAAAUAAUCAUCAAGAGAUAAUCUUCUAUUUCAGUACAAAUAGCGAGUGCAGAACAGCUGUCAAGAGAUAAUCAUUGUUUAUGGAGCCAUAUAUAUUUUCUAUUAAAAUAGUUCGUGAACAAUUGCCAGAAUCCGUAAAAAUUGUUGAAAGGUCUAUUAUUUUCGAUUAAAAUUGUUGAAAGGUCUAUUAGUUUCGAUUAAAAUAUUUUCGAUUAAAAUAGUUGCGUGAAUAAUUACCAUAGAUAGUGUUUACAUUUUGGAUUGGACUGAAAAUCUUGAAAAGUAGAAAUCUUGGGAUUGAGAGUAUGGAGUAAAAGUGGGUGUAAGUUGUUUACUUACACUGGAAUAUCAGCAUGGAAUAAAGAUUAUAAUCCAAUUUAUGUGUUUACUUUAUCUUGGAUUGGGAGUAAAUAGUUUCAAAUUAUAAUUUUAUCUUUAUUUAAAGAAUUAUAGUUUUUAAUUACAAAGUUAAUAAAAAAAUAUAUUUAAUGAAUAAAAAUUUAUUUUAUUAUAUUUGUAAAUUUAUAAUAAUUAUUAAUAUUCUUAAUUAUGUACAUCAUAAUUUUUUAUUAAUUUUAAUUUUAAUUAUAUAAAUUAAAAAUUAUUGAUAAGAGCAAUGUAAAUGAAACAUUUUUACUAUUAACAUAGUACAAAAUUAAUAUUUUCUUAUAAUUAACUAUUUAUUAUUACUAAUUAUUGAUAUUAAAUAAAUAUAAUACUAUUAUUUUUAAAUAAAUAUAAUAAUAUUAUAUUUUCAAAUAAAGAUAGUAUAUAGUAAUAUUAUUAAUUCUCUAUUAAUAUAAUAAUAUUAUUUUUAAGUAAUUUAAACUUAGAAUCAAACCAAAUUAUUAUUUAGUUAAAUAUAAUAAUAUUAUUUAAAUAAAUAAAAUAUUAUUUAUUUUAUUUUAUUAAAUAUAAUUAUAGUAAAUUUAAUAAAAGGGGGUUAAAAAAGGAAGGUAAAUAUAAAAUGAAAUAUUUUUUAUUUAAUUAUAUUAAAUUUAUUAUUAUAUAAAUAAUAAUAUAAUAUUAUUUAGUAUAAAAUUAAUAUUUUCUUAGAAUAAACUAUUUAUUAUUAUUAAUUAGUAAUAUUAAAUAAAUAUAAUACUAUUAUUUUUAAAUAAAUAUAAUAAUAUGAUAUCUUCAAAUAAAGAUAGCAUAUAGUAAUAUUAUCAAUUCUCUAUUAAUAUAAUAAUAUUAUUUAUUUUAUUUUAUUUUAUUAAAUAUUAAAUAUUAAAUUUAAUUAAAUAAAGGUAGAAAAGGGAGAGGUAGGAGUGGGUUUCCCAUGGGAGUCCCACUCACACUCCCCACUCCAAAAAUGGGUGGGGUCCACGGAGUGGGAUUCCCAAUCCCUCCUUAAAAUAGUGAAGAAAACACUGAAGUUAGAGGAAUUCACACUGCGCACACUCACUCCAGAAAGUAAACAUCGAAAAAGCCAAAGGAUGAAGAACCACUAUAAGUUCUUUUAUGAAUUUAAAAUGCUAAAGAAACUUGACACCAACGCUAAGCUAACAAGUGCAUAUUUUUCUGUGGCCCUUGCCUCAAUGUCUUUCGGGCAUUGCUCGGGGGUAGUUGAUAUACUGAUUAAAAUAUGAAUGAAUUGGAAUGGAAUGAGUUGGAAUUAAAAUAUGGAAUGAUAAUUAAUUAAUUUAUUUAAAUUGUAAAAAUUAAAAUUAAAAUAAAUUAUAUCAUCAUUGAUAUAUUUAUUUUAUUUUAAAAUCACGAUGAGUUGUUACAAAUUACAAAAUAUCUUUAAUUUUUUAUCAUAAUAAUUAUUAUUUAUUAUAAUAUUUUGUUGGCCUAAAUGGUUAUAUAAUCCUUGAUUUUGAUGAUAACAAACUACAUAGAGUACAAUGGUAAAUUUAUUUCUCACAAUUUCACAAGUUUUUGAAGGGCAAAAAUCAUUCAAGUGAGAUCAAGAUCAAGAUACUCAAUAGACAAUGACAAUCAAGGAUGACUACUAAGGGUACUAGUUUACGCAAUCUUUAUUGUUAAAUUUCUUGUAAAGCUAGUAUAAUUUAACGUGUGCAUGAUGUAACAUUUAAAAGCUCAAGAUAUUUUUCAUGACAUUUUCAAAUUAAAUCAUCAUUUUCUAUAAUAUAAAAGUUUUAACGAUUUUAUAAAAUUAGUUGCUUUUUCCAAAUUUAUGGACUAAAUUGAAAAGUUUUGAGAACUUUGAAAUCAACUAAUAAUGUUUUAAAUCAUAGAAAUUGACAUAUUUGUAAAUAUUUCAAACGUUUUGGGUCGUAAUAUAAUUUCAAAAAAUUAGGUCUAAUCUAUAAAUCCUGGAACAAUAGUGGCUAAUCGCUUAACCAAUAGCGGCUAACUACUUCAAGUCCAAAAACAUAGCAGCUAACCGCUUAAAUCAAGUGGUAAUCCACUUGAACCAAAGUUUUCAAAUUUGAUUUGCAACUGUAACUUACCAUAUCAACAUAGUGGCUAAUCGCCUCAUUUUAACGGCGAUCCAGCAAGUCCCUAGAAAAACCAAUAAUUGCUAGUUUGAUUGUUUAAACUAUAAAAUUCAAAUCUAACAAUUUUUUUCAAUCUCAAUUAAGCUAAAACUUAUUCAUAUAUCUUGAGCUUUCAUUUUGCUUAUCUACAUACAUUAAUCAUUAUAGAGCUAUCAUUUGCUUAUACACUCUUAUAGAGUGUAAUCUUUGUAAUCUUCAAUUAAUAUCAAAAUUGAGUGAGUACAAGUGUGGGAAACACUUGGAAAAAGAGGUGUGUGUAUACAUAAUUACUUGUAAAGGUUUAUUAACACCGUAUAAGUCAAUUGUAAAAUUUUAGAGCCUUGGAAGGUUUGGAUAGUAGAAUUCUCAAGUUUGGAUUACUUGGAGGCGUAGUCAUAGGCGGGUUUGCCGAACUACAUAAAAAUUCAUCUGUUUGUUAUCUUCUCCCUUAUCUUUUUAAUUUCACGCAUAGUUAAAUUUACCAUUAUUAAAUUUCUUGAAGCAUUUGUUUAAUUUGUAUUGUGUUUUUGUUAGUAUAAUUUUUAAUACCUAAUUCACCCCCUCUUGGGUUGCUUAGCUAGAAUUUCAUUUGGUAUCAAAGGAAGUUCUCUUGUUAGGACUUAACCAUCUAGAGUAAAAGAUCCAUAGUAAUCCAAAAUGAUCCCAGAUUUGGGGAAGGUUAAUCCCUUCUAGAUCACCAUUCUUUGAUGGGAAUGAUUAUCCAUGUUGGAAAAUUAUGAUAAGAAUUUAUUUGCAAGCAUUAUAUUAUGAAAUAUAGGAAGUUGAUUGUGAUGGUCCAUUCAUGCCUACUGCUAAAAAUGAAGAAGGGAAAGAAAUUCUAAAACCUUCACAAGAAUGGAAUGAGUUGGAAAAGAGAAAAGAUUCUCUUAAUUUCAAAGUCAUGAAUGCUUUGUUUUGUGCCUUAGAUAAAAAAAAAUUCUAUAGAGUUUAAGGUUGUUCCAAUGCUUAUGAAAUUUGGAAAAAACAUAAAGUCAUUUAUAAAGCUACAAAUCAAGUCAAAUAAUAUAAAAUUAGUAAAUAUAGUAGGCAAUACGAAUUGCUAUAAAUGGAACAAAAUGAGAGUGUUAAUCCCAUAUACACUAGAUUAACAGACAUUAUAAACACUUUAGGAACUCUUAGAAAGACCUUUUCAAACAGCGAGAAGGUAAAAAAAAUCAGAAGGUCUUUACCAAAAGAAUGGAGACCUAAGAAAAUUGCCAUUAAGGAAGCCAAUGAUACUUUAUUUAUUGAUGAUUUAAUUAGUUCAUUUAUUUCUUAUGAAAAGGAUUUGACAACUGAAAAAUAUAUUGAAGACUAGAAGAAGAAGAGUAUUUCCUUAAAAGCAUCAAGAUCUAAAAGUGACAACGAAAGUGAGAUCGAAAAUGAAGACAUGGCUAUGAUAGCUGGAAAAAUCAAAAUAAUUUUCAAGAAAUCCAUCGAGCGAAGGAAAUUCAAAAAUCAGAAAGAGAAGAAGGAGGCAAUUAUUUGCUUUAAAUGCAGGAAGCCUAGGCACAUAAAACUAGCAUGUCCUUUUCUCAAAAAAUUAAAGAAGAAAGCCAUGGUAGCAACACGGGAUGAUAGCGAUAAGGAGACUAUAGAUGAAGAGUAGUCCCAUGAAGUGUCAAAUUUGGCACUUAUGGUUAUAGGAGAUGAUUAUAGGAGAUGAACUUGAUGAGGUAAACCUCUUAGGAUGAGUUGUUUGAAGUAUUCUCUAAAUUGCAUAAAGAUUUAAAGAAGAUUGAAAUGUAAAAUGUUUCUCUUGGAAAGAAAAAAGUAGAACUUUUAAAUGAGAAUGACACUUUGAAUAAAAAGAUUAAGUGCCUAGAAGUAUUUGUGAAGAAAUUGCAUCUUUUAAAGAAAAAACAAAAUGUUUCAUCUAAGAAUAAAGGUUUACUUGUAAAUGAUUUGAAAAAGAAAAAUGAAAUAUAUUGCUUUAGAAUUUGCUUAGUAUUAGUAAAUUGUGUGAUAAAGGUUACAAAGUUAUUUUUAUGUGAUAAAGGCUAUAGAGUUAUUUUUUAUAAAACAAAAUGUAUUAUUAAAAAUGCAUGUGAUGACAAAGUUUUAUUUGUUAGAUAAAGAUGUGUUAAUGUAUACACCAUUGAUAUAGAUAGUGUAUCAACUUAUGAUAAAUAUUUUUUUCACAUUACAUGAUGAUAGUUGAUAUGGCAUGGAAGACUAGGUCAUGCGAGCAUGGAUUUGAUUUCAAAAUUUUUUUAAAAUGAUUUGGUUAUAGGUCUUCUAAAAAUUGGUUCUAAAAAAGAUAGAAUUUGUGAAGUUUGCCAAUUUAGAAAACAAAUAAAACGUCCUUUAAAAAUAAAAUUCAUAUUUCUACUUCAAAACCACUUUAACUUUUUCACAUGGAUUUGUUUGAAUUUUCUAAAUAUGCUAGUUUAAGUGGUAAAUAUUAUGCAUUUAUAAUUAUAGAUGAUUAUUCUAUAUACACAUGGUAUUACUCUCAACUAAUAAAGAUGACACCUUUAAUGCUUUCAAAAUUUCUAUAAAAAGAUUCAAAAUGAAAAAUGAUAUGUUAUUUCUUCCAUUAGAAGUGAUCAUGGUGGAGAAUUUGAAAAUUAUAUUUUGAAAAUUUUUACAAUAACUUUGGCAUUGAGCAUCAAUUCUUGUCACCAAGAACUCCACAAUAAAAUUGAGUAGUUGAGAGAAAGAAUAUGUCUAUCCAAGAAAUGGCUAGGACCAUGUUAAAUGAAAAUACUUUACUAGAAUAUUUUUGGGUUGGAGCCGUCAACAUUGUUUGUUAUAUUUUAAAUCAUGCAUUGAUUAGACCUUAUCUCAAUAAAACUCCUUAUGAGCUUUGGAAAAAUAGAAAAACAUUGACUAUUUCAAAGUUUUUGGUUGCAAAUGUUUUCUAUUGAAUACAAAAGACAAUCUUGGUAAAUUUAAUCUAAAAUCUUAUGUUGAUAUUUUUCUUGGGUAUUCAAAUACAAGCAAAACUUAUAGAGUGUAUAAUAAAAUAUCCUUGGUCGCUAAAGAAUCUAUACAUGUUAUGUUUGAUGAAUCUAACUUUUCUUCUAUGAAGAAAGUUGUUGUUGAUGAUGAUGCAUAUGAAGAGUUACAAAAACAAAAAGUCUUUAAAAGACAAACAAUAUGAUUUACCAGGUAAAAAUCAAGAUGAGCAACAAGAAGAACAAGUUAAACAGAUUCAAAAUAAAGGUAAUUCACAAACACUCUCUAAGGAGCUAAGGUAUGUCUCUUCACACCCUAAAGACUUAAUCUUAGGAGAUCCUUCAUGAGGUGUAACUACGAGAUAAUCACUUAGAAAUACAUGUGAACAUACUGUAUUCAUAUCUCAAGUUGAACCAAAAUCCUUUUCAGAUGUGGAAAAUGAUGAAUCUUGGAUUAUAGCAAUACAAGAAGAGUUAAAUCAAUUUGAAUGAAACAAUGUAUGGAAACUUAUUCAUAAACCAUAACAUCAAUCUGUAAUAGGCAGUAAAUGGGUAUUUAUGAAUAAAAUUGAUGAAUCUAGUGUGGUUGUAAGGAAUAAAGUUAGAUUAGUAGCUCAAUGAUGCAACCAAAAAGAAGAAAUUGAUUUUGAUGAAACCUUUGCACAUGUAUCUAGAUUAGAAUCCAUUACAUGCUUUUAUUAUUUGCAUAUCAUAAUGAUUUUAUUUUAUAUUAAAUGGAUGCUAAAAGCACCUUUCUAAAUAGUUGUAUUAUGAAGGAAGCUUAAGUGAAACAACCCCCUCAUUUUAAAAACGAAAAAUGUUUUUGGAUCAUGUUUACAAAUUGUCCAAAGUUUUAUAUAGUUUAAAGUAAGCAUCUAGAGCAUGAUAUGAUAGACUUAGUAAAUUUCUUUUAGAAAAUAGUUUUUCAAUGGGUAAAGCGAAUACUACUCUAUUUGUUAAAUACAAGGAUCAAGGUAUACUUGUUCAAAUUUAUAUUGAUGAUAUUAUCUUUAGUUCUACUAAUGAGUUUCUGUGUAAGGAAUUUUCAUCUUGCAUGAGUAGAGAAUUUGAGAUGAGCAUGAUGGAAGAAUUGAAGUACUUUCUUGGACUUAAAAUUUAAGAGAAAAAAAAGAAUUCAUUAAUCAAGCCAAGUAUUUCAGAGAUCUACUCAAAAGAUUUUGCAUUCAAGACUAAGGACACUCCAAUGAGUACUACAAUCAUGCUCGAUAAGGAUAAAAAAAGUAAAGAUGUUGUAUCAAACGAUAUCGAGGUAUGAUCAUAUCUUUACUUUACUUUACUGCUAGUAGACAUUACUUUAGUGUAUGUUUGUGUGCAUGAUUUCAACCAUAUCUCAAAGAAUCUCAUUUUCUUGCAGUUAAAAGAAUUUUUCAUUAUUUAUGAGGAACAAUUGAUCUUGGUCUAAGGGAACUCAUAUAAAUUAUUAGCUCAAUAAAUUUGUCAAAGAAUCUCAUUGAACAUUCUAGGACCAAACAUAUUGAAACUAGGCAUUAUUUCUCACGUGAUCAUGUUCAAAUGAGAGAUAUUGCUUUAGAAUUUGUUUCUAUGGAAAAAUAACUUGCUGAUAUUUUUACAAACCCUUUUUGUGAAGAAUAGUUUUCAAAGAUUUAGAUUGAGUUUGGAAUGAUGACAUUUUCACAUCAAUAUUUCAUUGCAUGAUAUUGAGACUACAAAUUUGCUUAAUUUUCUAUCUUGAUUGAUUGUACGAUAAAAACUUGAUUUUAAUGUGUUAUAUGCUUGAAUUUACUUCUUUGAAUGUUUAUCAUCAUAUCUUAUGCAUUAAAAAUGGCUUUUAAAAUACUUCAGGAUCACAAAAUGGUCUCAAAAUUAAUUAAAUUUUGGCCAAAAAGCAAAAUCGUGCAAAAUCUAGGGGAACUAGCUAACCGUUAACCACAAGCAACUAGCCAAUUGUGAGGCAGAAACUAGCUGGCCAGCCGGCUCAAAGCAAACGGUUAAUUGCUUGGUUUCUAAAAAUGAAACAGUUAACUGCUUUCUUCAAGAGGCUAGCUGGCUUCACGUUUUCAAAUGUUGUUCAUCUUCUUUUUCCCACUUUUAGUUGUUACCCUCUCUCUAUCACUGUCAUCUCUCAUUUCUUUUAACCUCUCUCUAAAAUCUUCCAUUUUUACAUCACUUUUGUGUCAAGUUAAACUUUCCAAAUCAUUUCCCAUCAAUUAAUCUUCACACAUUUGCUUUUAAAACACAAUCUAAUCACUCUUCUCUCAAAAUCUUAAAGCUUAAGUCACCAGUUUCAAUAUUCUCAAAUUUGAACCAUUAUUUGACCAUUUUCGACCAAAAUAAACCCAUACAUUCCUUAGAUCUUCUCAAAGAACAUUUUAAUCGGUUCAAAGUCAUCUAUUUCUUUAAAAACUUUGUGAACUCGAAUUUGUGCAAUUUUGGACACAUUUUGAUAAUUUCUUAAUGGCUAGUGGUGAGAAGUCCAAGGGUAAGCAUAUGCCUAAAAUGUAAAAAAAAAAAAGAUUCAUAAAGACAUUAUGAAAUUCAUUUCCACCCACUUCCCAAAUCCGCCUCAAUGGAAUGAUUCUCUGAUCGAUUUAUGACAAGGUCAGUCCUCCCAUACUAUAUAUGUUAAUCUUGAUUAAUUAGAAAAUUUGUCAUGUUGUAGCAAAACUCUUAGAACUUUACUUGCUGAAUUGGGUUGGACAAAUGUCUUAGUUCUUAAGGAACAUAUUUGUCCUAAUUUGGUACGAGUAUUUUAUUCGAACAUGCUUAUUUCUACAAAUACUGCCAAUAUGAUUAUUACUAAUGUUAUUGGGAUUCCUAUUAAGUUUACUGUAGAAGAUUUAAACAUGAAUCUCAUAUGAUAGGUUGCAUUUGUAUACAUCUAGGACUAAAAUUGAUUAUCCCUGGUAUUUAGUUGUAGAUGAUGUUUGAAACAUAGAUGUUCGAAACAUAUGUAGGUGAUCUGAUCUAUCCAUGGAGCUUUUUAACUCCUCUCUUAGAUCACAAGUGUUGCCUCUUCAAGUUCGGAUCCUACAUAGUGUCCUUCAGCUUGUGAUCAGUCCUCGCAAGGGACAUGGUGCUGAGGUUACACGCUUAGAUGUUACUUUAUUAGAUAGCAUCCUUGAGGGUAAAAGCUAAAUGUGCGAAUAUUAUCAUUCAGCACAUGCUUAAUACACUGAGUAUAGGAAACCGAUCCUUUUCGGUCUGUAGUGUCAUUACCCAUAUCCUUCAAUAUUUUUGGGUCCCUAUAGCUGAACCAUCUCAUGAUGAACCCAAGGAGUUAAGGGAUGAGGUCAUUGCUAGCUUAGGAUUUGGGUGGGUAGAUGACCAAUAGGUUAAAAAUCAGAACUUGUUGAGCAAACCCACAAAGCUGGCUCUUUUUUAUCAUUGCAUCUUUAACGAUGUGCUUCCCCUUACUGGGUUCUUGAUCUUAGUUCUUCCCUGAGGUCACAAGCUCUGCAUUGGCCUUCUGAUGCUCCACCAUCAUCAUCUUCAGCCAUUCCCAAUAACCCAAUCUAGCAGUUGUUGAAUAAAGUGUGUUCCAUAUCCGAACAGUAAAGCGAGCUUAAGAUAUCGUUCGCAGCAUUCCAGGAUCAUUUUCUUUCUGAGCAGCAACAUCUCUUUCUUCAACAAUAACAAAUUCUAGACCAUCACCAGCUUAUUUUCAUUGCUCUUAAAUUUUCACCACCAUCCUUAUUAUCAUGUUUGCUGCUUCAUCAGUGAUUUUCUUUUAUCUCUUUUGCUUCCUUGUUUUAUGCACCGACAUUAUUUAUCAUAUGCAUUUUCGUUUUUAGCAUUAUGGAUACUUGAUGGAUGUUAUUUUACUUAUGCAUUAUGGAUACUUGAGUUGAUAUGGAUUAUCUUUAUGCAUUCUAGUUAUUGAUUGUGGUAUCUUUAUUAAUUAUCUUUAUGGAUUAUCUUUAUUGAUUAUGGAUUAUGUAUAUGGAUACUUGAUUAAUGGUCAUGUGUGGAUUUUCGAUUGAUGAUAUUUGUGGGGGAUAAUUAUUGAUAAUAUUUGUAUAAUAGAGGAGUGAUUUUUCAUGAUGAAGGGAGAGAAGAUAUUGACAUGUAUUUUGAAGUGUUUUGACAUGUUUUUGGCUCAUGGGGGUUGAUUGAGUGUUUGUAGUAUUUUAGUUACUUUCUGAGUCACUCAAGGAGAGUUUACAAAUGUUGUACAAUUAUAUGGAUCAUGUACUUAGAGGGAGUGAGUUUAUAUAUUUGGUUAUAUUUUUUGAAUUAUGUCAUAUACUCAAGGGCAAUAGAAAUGUCAAAAUACAUAGGGUGUUUGUCAUCAUAAAAAAAGGAGAGAUUGUUGGGGUAAACGACUAUAUGAUCCUUAAUUUUGAUGAUAACAAACCACAUAAGGUAAAAUGAUAAAUUUAUUUCUCACAAUCUGACAAGUUCUUGAAGGACAAAAAUCAUUCAAGUGAGAUCAAUUUCAAGUCACUCAAUGGACAACAACAAUCAAGGAUGAAUACUAAAGGUACUAGCUUAAUUAAUCUUCAUAGCUAUAUUUCUUAUAAAGCUAAUAUGAUUUAAUGUAUGCAUGAUUUAGUAUUUAAGAGUUCAAGAUAUUUUUCAUACAAUUUUCAAAUUAAAUCAUCAUUUUCUAUAAUAUAAAAGUUUUAAACGUAAAUAAAAAUGAUUUUAUAAAAUUAAUUGUUUUCAAAUUUAUGGACUAAAUUGAAAAGUUUUGAGAACUUUGAAAUUAAUUAGUAAUGUAUUAAAUUCUUGAAGUGGACCUAUUUGUAAAUAUUUCAAAAUUUUAGGCCAUAGUAUAAUUUUAGGAACUUUUAGUUUAAAUCUAUAAAAUUUGAAACAGUAGUGACUAACCACUUAACGAAUAGUGGCUAACUGCUUCAGGUCCAAAAACAUAGCUGCUAACCAUUUAAAUCAAGCGACGAUUUGCUUAGGCAAAAAAGUUUUUAAAUUUUAUUUGUAACGGUAACUUGCCACAUCAAUAUAGCGACUAACUUCUUUAUUUUAGCAGCAAUCCGGUAGGUCCUCAGAAAGUCAAUUAUGACUAGUUUGAUUGUUUAAACUAGAAGAACCCAAAUCAAACUCAAAUCUAACAACUUUUUCAAUCCCAAUUAAGUUAAAACUUGUUCAUACAACUAAUCUUGAGCUUUCAUUUUACUUAUUUACAUGCAUUUAAUCAUUAUUGAGUUAUCAUUUGCUUAUACACUCUUAUAGAGAUUAAUCUUUGUAAUCUUCAAUUAAAUAUCAAAAUUUUGUGAGUAUAAGAGUGGGAAACACUUGGGGAAAGAGGUAUGUGUACACAUCACUACUAUAAAAGUUUAUUGACACAUUAAAAGCCAAUUGUAAAAUCUUGGAGCCUGAGAAGGCUUGGAUAGUGGAAUCCUCAAACUUAGUUUGCUCGAGGCAUAAACAUAGGCGAGUUUUGCCGAAACACGUAAAAAUUCAUUUGUUUGUUAUCUUCUCCCUUAUUUUUUUAAUUGCAUUCAUUGUUAAAUUUACUAUUAUAAAUUUCUUAAAGCAUUUGUUUAAUUUGUUUUGUAUUUUUGUAAGUAUAAUUUUAAUACCCAAUUCACCGCCCUCUUGGGUUGUGUAGAUAGAAUUUCACAUUUGUUGUACAACAACAACAACAACAACAAUAACAAUAACAAUAAUAAUUGUUAUAAUGGUUGGAACAAUUACUAUUGAAAAACUUUUAUUGUUAAUAAUAGUAGAAAAUAAGAACAAAAAAGGAAAUUAUCCAAUAACCAUGUAAUCUUUGGGUCUUUUUUAAAAAUACACAGAAACGUUUUUCUUUGUAGAAAUCCACCUAGAGUUUAUUAAUUAUUCACUGUCAUCUUAGCUCAUUAGAAUCUUGUUGAUGUCAUAAGAUUAAAAUUAUCAUUUUACUUGAACACCUAAGAUUAAAGUUAUCCUUUAGAGUUUCUUUCGCUGGGGCUGGUGACCUUAGUGGUUAGAUUUGCUAGAUAUGGUCGUGAGAAACUCGACAAUGGCCGAGGAUUGGCUGGAUUCACGGUGGUUUGGUCAAAAAGUUGACUUGAAUUGGCAUAUGUGGUGCUUCAUUCAUGUUAGAGAUUUCGAUUGCGAUUUGGAUAUCGACAAUGAGAAAGUGGCGUUUGCGGUGGCGCUAGGUGAGGCCCGGGUUUUGGGUUAGCAUUGUGGCGGUUUAUGGCGGUGAUCAUUGGUGGGUUUUGUCAAGUUAUGACCAGUGGAAUCUAGCAAGUUUAGUGGUGGUCUUGGUUGACAGUGAAGAUGGUUGGUUUCACGGUGGCAGCUGGUGGAUGCUCCCAGUUUUUAGGUCUAGAUGAUUUAUAGUAGGUACAAGCGGCGAUUGAUGGCAGGAGUGGCUAAGGUUUGGUAAGUAGUGGCUAAUGAGUUUGGUAGAGGGAUUAGCCAAUGAUGAACUAUUAGUGAAGAGUGGCAGUGGCGGUGGGCGGCUGCUAAGGUUUUGUAAUUUUGUAAUAUUUUUUUGUUGGAUAAACAAUGAUGGAUUUGGUGGGGAUGGAUAUGGGUAGCCAGGAAAACUGUGCAAUUGGCAUUGAACCACUCUAAUACAAACUAACAAAUUGGAAUAGCGGAAGUGGAAUUGAUAGGUCGGAAAUAUUAGCUAUUGUUAUAAUACUGGCUAAGGUAAUGUGGAUAGUUUACGUCCUAAUCGAAACGUGUAGAUCUCAUUCUAACAAUGGCUCAAUGAGAUUUUAAUAACGCAUAAAGCGAGAUUAGACGACGUUCUAAUCCAAAUAACUUUGCAAGAGAGAUUUUAAUAAAUAAUUUUAGAGGGAAUUAUUAAAAAGGGCUUUAUUAGUUGAUCAAUAGUUGAAGUUACAAUAAUAAGAUUUUGAUUUAUAAUAUAAUAAACCUACUUCACUAAGUUAACUUAAAAAGAAAAACUAAAUCACAAUUUUAAUAGAAAUAAAAAAACUAAGACAUAUACCAUAGUUGACUAUAAUUAAAAUAGAAAACGAUAAAAUAAUAAAAAUUAUAAAAUCCUAAAACAAUGUCUACAUCAUAUCCUCACUAAAAUAAAAAUAUAAAAGUAAAGCAAAUUGUGGUAUAACAGACUUUAAUUCUAUCACUCUUCAAUUUUUUUGUUUAUUAAUUAAUAUUGGUGUCUAUGGUUAAAUUUGUUAUUUUUUAUAACAAUUUUAUUUGUUAAUUGAAAUAUUUAGUCUAUGUAAACAAAAAAAAAUGGUUGGAGAGAAUGAGAGAGGAAGGGGGGGAGAGAGAGAGAACAAAGUCAAACAAAUAAUUUAAUGAAUUAUAUUUUUAAAAUUAAAUUUUAAUUUGAUUAAAUAAAUGAUGUAGUGAGAAAAUGAGUAGGUUCAAAUAGCUUUACUUAUAUUUAUUUCAUUAAUGGCUCAAAAUUUAAUGAAAAUAAAUGGUUUUAAAAAAUUGCAUUUAAGUUGCAUAAUUCAAUGAGUAGUGCCACACAUCCUAAAUCUUUUAUCUUAAAAAAUUAUCCCAAAUGAUAUAGUAUUCAUCAAUAGAUUGAAGAGAUAAUACAAUUAAUUCACUCAAAUCUUGAAAGAAUUACCUACUAUUCAAGUAAUGACACACCAUUUGGGAUAUCUAUCAUUACUCUAAUUGAAAAUAAACCUAUCACUGGAUGAUUAAUUAUGGUAGGUUUGCUUAAUACUAAAAUGCCACUCAUAAGUUUUGUUUGGAUUUGUAAUUGAUUUAUCUUAAUCCUUCAACUUGACAUAAGGUCGUUCUCCUCGUUUCUGUACACUUAAAAGUCACCCAGAUCAAAACUAGAUCUAUCGUUGCAUUUGCUUGAAAAAUAAUUUACAAGUAAUAAGUUCUCGUGAUUAAGCAACAUUUUUAAAGGGUUAUGAUAGUAGUGGAACCGUGAUACAAUUUGUAAAUAUUAGAUGGAUUGUUGAAAACAAUAAAAAAUGCUUGUAUGUUUUUUAUAAGGAUCUCCCUAUCUUACAUGCAUGUAAGAUAGGAAUUGCCUUUUUAUAAAGGCUAAAAGAUAAAGUGGUGCAUGGAUAAUUACUUUUUUUUUCCCUUUUUAUCUUAAUCAUGUUUGAACGACAUCCUUUUAUAGUUCCCAGACAUUCUGCAACUAUAAUAGACAAUUUUAAUAGGAACUACAGAGAAAAUAUUAAUAUUUUUAUACUUAUUCACUUACCUGAUGGAUAGUUAGAUAAGUGUUACUUUUCACACAACUAGACCAAAUUAGUACCCUUUUUGGUUUGUGAAAACGUGAUUUUUAUGAAUAUGCUAUAGAUGCUUUCAAAUGUUUCUACAGUUUACGAAUUUACGCAUUAAACGAAAACCUCCAACUAUCAAAUAAAAAGGUGAAAAUUCAAUAGAAUCGACAACUUCUCAGACUCACGUAGGUGGUGGUUCAAGUUUCUAAACUACUAUUAUUAUUAACAGUUUUGAAAAGCAAAUAGUAACUUCAUUUCACAGCAUCUGCUUUUGAGAAAGCUCAGAUGUAAUCAAAAUUCCAAAACCACUCUAAAUAUGUUAGGGAUAUGACCAUAAAUAGAAGUUAAAUAUGAUAGGAUAUAUAGUUGUUCAUAGCUAACAUUUGAUGGUUUAAUUAUUUGUUCUAGGGAUUAUGCGCUGAUUAGUGUUUUUUGUUAUCCGAUGAAUGAUAUUCAGUUUUUCUUACAUGCUCAUAGGCAAGAGCAUUUUCUAAGUACUUUCCUUGCCUUCAAAUUUUGAAAGAAAGAUAGAUAUGAUAUGUGACGCAAGCCCAAUGAAAUAAGCAAAUAAAAUAGAAUAAACGAAGCAAAAAUAUUUCUAGAAACAAGAAAUGACAAAGGAAACACGAAUACAACUUUUUUCUUGUUUUCCUUAUUUUCCUCUGUUAAGCUCCAAAAUGAAUAACUUUAUUCUACCAUCUCUCAAAUAAUAACAUCAACAGCACAUAAUCGUCAUCAAUAAUAAUAAUAAUAAUAACAAUAAUAAUUUAACUUUGUAGGAUGGAGCUCUCGCAAAUCUUCAAGACACAAAAUGUGCUUGACCCCGUUGUUGUUAUUAUAAUUUCAAAAUCAUUUGUAUUAUAUAAAAUUAGGGAAUAAAACAUAGCAAAAUUGAUGGUACAAAUGUUGCAAUAUAUUUUUUCAUGUAGCAACACAUUGAAGUAAAGAAAAGCAAAACAACGAAAAAUGUAACGGGAGAGCUCUCAUUAUGUAGAUUUUCAAUAGAAGUAAUGAAAAUUUCACAAGGACAAUGGCCUUAUUUCGAAUGCUACACCUGGGGAAUGGCUUGAAUCUUUUAUAGAACUCACACUAUUAUAAAAAACGCUAAACAAUGACAAAAAUUUUAUAACAUAUAUCGAUAUGUCAAAAUCAUUUGAUGGUACAUUUUAUAACAAAAAAUGAAAAAUGUAACGGGAGAGCUCUCAUUAUGUAGAUUUUCAAUAGAAGUAAUGAAAAUUUCACAAGGGCAAUGACCUUAUUUCGAAUGAUGCACCUGAGGAAUGACUUAAAUCUUUUAUAGAACUCACACUACUAAAAAAACGUUAAAUAAUGACAGAAAUUUUAUUACAUAUAUAGAUAUGUAACAAAUGUAUCAUGAAAGUGUGAUAGAUUUGUAACAUAUAUUCAUAUGUCUAGAGUUUAUGACAUAUUCAUGACUUAUAACUUAGGGAAAUUUACGAAAAUAACCAUUAAUAUUUUAUUAUUUUCGCAAUUAAUCCUGUCAACUUUUUUCUAUCAACAUUAGCCAAACACAAGCCUUUCUUCCCAAAUUACCCUUCUUUACAGAACAAAACCAACAUUGUUUCUCCCAUGUCGCCAAACCAAAAGCAGCUUGUCACUCUUGAAUCAUCAGCCAACGGCGACCACAAAAGACAACGAUAAAAGUGAUAUCCGAUCAUAAUCUAUCCGGAUCCAACACAAAUCGACAUCAUUUAGUGGUAUGAAUUAUUUUCUGAACUUACUGAACUGAGUUGGGUGAAUCUGAAUCUGCCGACAGGCUAAUGUCGCAGUAAAACUCGGUGCGACAGGCGCCUGUCGCACCGAGCAAGGUGCGACAGGCACCCUGUCGCACCAAGAUUCGGGCGACAGGUUGUCUGUCGCACCCACCCUGGAGAUUCAUUAAAACUGUAUUAUUUUAAUAGGACUGAAAUAAAUUUUUUUUUAUAAUUUCAGGCUUAAUGGAUUCAGUUGUACUUGAAUUGUGUUACGAUGGUUGGUGGGAGACAUUAGAGAAUGGUCGUAUGGAGCAUGUGAAUGGUAAAAAUCGAGCUUUUUUGGUUGGAAAAAAUUAUCUGUUUGAUCAGUUAUUGGCAAGAGUAUACGAGGUGUUACAAAUAAACCCUAAUGAUUAUAGUAUCACAAUGAAGAUAACUUUGAGGUCUAGUAACACAUUAUAUCGUAUAUGUGCAAUGCCCAUGGAUAUAUGUGAUGAUGAAAUGGUGAGGGUUGUGUUGCAUAUGGCAUUUGACGUAGCUAAUGUUGGAUGCAUUCCUAUAUUCGUGACCACAUCACCUUGAGUUCCGAGCGAAGGUAUUGAGCCACUUGUCGAUACAGAAACUUCGUUUAGAGCAAAUAUGUCUGGCCCCGAUAAUGAUGAAGAGGUGUUGCCAAGGACAAUAUCGUUGCAGCAAUAUUACUCUCCAAUCCACGAAAAUUAUGACAACAUUGAUGAUAAUGGCGUUACGUUACAGGAUGUUGGAGCAACGGUAUUUCCAAUAACAACGUCGUUGGAGCAACGAUAUUCUCCGUAUCACAACAAUGAUUUUCGGGACAAUGAUGAUUUUAAUAAUGAGACAGAGGGGGAUAAUGUUUGUGCAGAACCUUCUAAUAAUACGAGGCGGGGCACUCGUUUCAAUAAUGAUGGUGAUGAUAGAGGAGCCGGUCCUUCGAAUGUUCCGUCGUUUCAGCAUGAGGAUGAGUGUGAAGACAAUACUCCUGUGAAUAACAGAGGCAAUAGACCUAUUCCUUCUACGGUUCGAUCGAGAAGGAGAAUUGACCCCCUUACAAGUCUUGCUCCAACUUUGCCUUCGAACAUGGUUGCUCCAAGCUUUGUUAGCAAUUGUGACUCAGAUGAUAUCAGCGUGGGUAAGCUAUUUGCUGAGAAGAAUGAGCUUAUAUUACAACUACGCAAGGUGGCCUUUAGAGAUAAGUUUGAUUUCAAGAUUGCACAGUCUACUAUGACACGUUUCGAGGCUCACUGUUGUUCAGAAUCAUGUAAAUGGCGUAUUCGAGCAACUAGAAGUUCGAACGAGCAAAAUGUUCCUUGGGUGGUGAAGAGAAUUGAUAAUGUACACACUUGUCAUAAUGAGGUAUUGGUUGAUGGACGUCAUCAAGUAAGGAGCCGGGUUGUCGGUCAUAUUAUCGCAGAAAAAUAUAUUCAAGAUAAGAGGAUUUAUACUCCCAAUGACAUAAGAGCAGAUAUGCAACAGGAAUACGGUGUUCAGUUAACAUACCAGCAGGCAUAUAGGGCGAGAGAAGUUGGUCUUGAAAUAGUUCGCGACAACCCUGCAGAGUCAUACAACUUGCUCCCUAAAUACUCUCACGUACUAACUACAGCGAAUGAGGGUACAGUCACUCACCUCAAGCAAGAUGGAGAUGGUAAUUUCUUAUACUAUUUUGUAGCACUCGGAUCUUCCAUCAAGGGGUUUAUGCAGUACAUUCGGCCUGUCAUUGCUGUAGAUGGUACUCAUCUGAAGGGACUAUAUCGUGGAAGCAUGUUCGUGGCAACAUGUCUUGAUGGUAACAAUCAAUUGUAUCCGUUAGCUAUUGGGAUCAUGGAUUCAGAAAACAAUGAUGCUUGGGAAUGGUUUAUGAUGAAGUUACACGAAGUGAUUGGUGAUAGACCUGAGUUGGUAAUUAUCUCUAAUCGAUGCACUACCAUAAGGAGAGCCGUUCUUAAAGUAUUUCACAAUGCAACUCAUGGCGUUUGUUUUUACCACGUCAAAGGUAACAUUAAGUCACAAUUUAGAAUGUCCAAAGCUCUUUGGGAUGAAUUUGAGCCUGCCUUUAUUAAUGCAGCAAAAGCAUAUGGCCAUGAGGAAUUUAAGAGACAACUUGAGGGGUUGUGGAUGGAUCCACUCGGGUGCGGCUGAUUACCUAGAAAAUAAUGUCGGUACGUGUAAUUGGGCAAGGUCUCAGUUUGAAGGUAGGAGGUACAACAUUCUUACCACCAACAUCGCGGAGAGUGUUAAUGCUUUCAUGAGGGAACCUCAAAAAUUUCCUGUUACUCAUCUUGUUGAUCACUUUAGGAAAACAUUGCAGCAAUGGUUUUAUGAUAGAAAAAUUGUGGCUGAAUCAAUGACUACUCGGCUAACAACAUGGGCGGAUGAAAUAGUCACUGAGAGGAGAACUAUAGCUGAAAGAAUGAUAGUUCGGCCGGUGUCUCCGCAUCGCUUUCAAGUUAUAGGCGGUGGGCUUAAGGAAGGGUUGGUUGACUUGCAAAAGAGAAUUUGCUCCUGCAGAGUGUUUCAGCUUGAUCAGCUUGUGUGUGCUCAUGCAAUUGCGGCGUGUCUAACAUACCGGGUGGAUUUUAUUAACCUUUGUUCAGACUUUUACACUACAGAAUCGUUGGCGAUGGCUUAUGCACAACCAGUGGAGCCAGUUGGUGAUGUGGCUGAUUGGGAAGUUCCAGAUGAAAUUCAGGAGAUGCAAGUAUACCCACCAGUUGAGGCACCACCACCUGGCCGUCGUAAAGAGCUCAGAAUACCCUCGGCUGGCGAGGACGUUGACCGGCGGACUGUAAGAUGCUGCCGGUGUCAUGAACUAGGCCAUAAUAGUAAGCGAUGUAAGAAUCCUAUUGCGUCGACUCGAAGUUAGUUGUAUUUUGUGUGUUAUUCGGUGGUUAAAACUAUUAUUGUUUUUGUGUUUCGUUGGUUAAAACUGUUAUUGUUUUUUGUAUUUCGUUGCUUAAAACUGUUAUUGUUUUUUGUAUUUCGUUGCUUAAAACUGUUAUUGUUUUUUGUAUUUCGUUGGUUAAAACUGUUAUUGUUUUUUGUGUAUUGUACACUUAUAUUUCAUAAAACUUUAUUUUAUUUUAAAGUUCAAAAUGUGAGGCAUUAAAAUUAUAUAAACUUAAGUGCGCAAAUUAAAAAAAAAUUCAAAUUUCAACAUUAAAAUUACUACAUAGGUCUAUAAUAUAAUAUCGUCAUUAAAUAUAUCAACCGCAAUCUUCUUUCUAAAGUACUCGACAUGACUAGCGUUAAACUCCAAUCUAAGCCCAAACAUUAAAUACAUCGUAACCAUCAAUACAAAAACACCGCAAUCGCCAGUUCCGGGCUCUUGUUGCGGCGCGCUCUUAACUGCGAUAACUUUCCACGGGUCUUCACUCCGCAACUCAGGUCGGAUAUUGUAGAAGCCAACAUAUUCCAACCAGCGAGGGAAUAUAACUUCAAGUGGCUUGAAUUUCAACUUGUACCUUUUGUCGUCGCGAAAUGUGAGUAAUGAGUCAUAGAUCCAGACUUUAUUUUUCCGAAAGUCAACUCGUGCUAGUACCCAAUGCGCGCCGUCCAAGUUAACAGGGAUGAGUAAAUGCAUAUAAAAAUUGAAAAACAUGUUCGUUAUAUAUGCAAUUGAAAUACAACAAAGAAAAAGCAACAACUCGAAUAUUUUCAUUAUAGAACAUGUGAAAUGUAAUAAAAUACAUACCAUAUCGACAUCUGUCAUUGAUUUUGACAUUGUGUGCUGUCGCCCACAAAGAUAACUAUUUAAGCGGUCGUCGAAUACUAUUGAAUCGACUGCACAAUUCUCGUUAUUCCAUAACUGAUUCAAGAACACCUAGUACAUAGAUAACCAAGAAAUGCAUAAAUUAAUAAAACUUAAAGGCAAUAAUUAAAAAAAAAUUAAAUAGUAUUUAUAAGUUUUGUCGGCACGUUACCCAAAAAAAUGUGUCAGUAUGUGUGACACGUUGGAGUAAGGCAUUUGGAUACUGCCGUUGUUUCUCGCUAAUCAAGCGGAGAUACUCGUGAAUAUGCUGUAGAGAAACAGAAAUAUUACGAUUUAAAAAAAAUUAUACACAAAUCCACAAUAGAAUACACCACGAGGAAAAUAUAAAUACCUCAUCGCCUAGCCAUCCCAUCGAAGCUGUCCCCAAAAUUAUUUGAAAGAAUGACCGCGGGUGCUGGACUCUCCGGCGGACUCUGCUAUCACCAGUGAACCAUCGAUCAAACUCAGCAAACAAACUAGAGUCCUCCAAUUCUCUAAGUGGAUUUACAUCCACACUUGUACUCAUGUCAAUCGCAUGCUCCAUGAUUUGGGGUCGAGGUAAGGGCCGGACGUUCUGUCCUCGCCUGACCGGAGGAAUCAUGUAAGGACUGUUAUAAACAUAUGACGGUAUGUACGCGCGGCCGAACUUACUAAAGCCCGGAGGCACCUCUGUGAACACCUGCACGCUCUCCCCACUAACAUCCCCGUAGAAACUAUACAAUGACGUGGGCGUAGACAAAUUUUCAUUGCCCACGUCAGUAUACACUCCAUAGUCAUCCGGGGCCUAUACAUUCGCCAAAAAGAACAUAUUAAAUAACUAUCAAAUUAAAAGUUAAACGAACAUAAUUAUUAAAUUUAAAUUAGCUUACCGCAUACGAGCGUGCAGUGGGAGAAUCCUUAUUUGGACGUUUAGAAAAUGUGUCGAUGAAGCCAACAACGGUUUCUUUAAAAUCUUUUAAUUCGGACUUUAUUUCAUACACGUUACGAUCAAUCUUAUCCAGCCGUCGUUGUACAUAAUCAUUAAACUGCUUUGUCCUCGACUAUUACAAAAGAAAAAAAUAAAACUUUAGAAUAACAAUAAAAAAAUAAUAAUUUAUAAAGGAAAAAUAUCGUAUAUUAUUUCUAACCUCAGAAUCCCGUGUGUCAUCAGAGUUGUCUGUUUGCUGGUGGUGGUCAUCAACAGCCACCUCAUCCUCAAAAGUGUCAUGACCCACCUCAUCCUCAAAAGUGUCAUGACGCUGCUCUGGUAUUGGGUUUGGUAUGUCGUCAUGAUCGUCAUGCUCGUCUGAUUGCCUUGUAACCGACGGCAUCGCGUUGAUCGAGGGUUGGUGCUGUAUAAAGUAUCAUUUAAAAUUAGUAAAUGAAAAGCCAAAAAUUUCGAUUAACAAAUUUUUAGUACUUAGAGUAUACCGACCUUAUGAACCCAGUCUGGAAUGCUUGGCAAGUAAUUCUUCACAGAGAGCCAAUAUUUUCUGCUACUCUCCUUUGAAUUUGGCUCAAGAGUUUGUAAAAAGUCCCCCUGCCAUAAAUUCAAUUGAAAAUUUUAAGUAAGUAUACAUAACUUAAAUUUAGUAAAGUUAAAAAAAUAAGUAAUACAUAUUACUUACAAGACGAGAUUCGUCGUUGAAGAACGAAUAAACCUCCGCAAAGUUGAUUCUCGAAGACGCCAUGGGAUUCCAUUGCAGAAUGCGGGGAAUCUUAUUCUUCGUUUUGACGACCCAUGUUGAUGGCAACCCUCCGAUUGCUUCGUAAAUCCAAGCCUACAACAACCAAAGUGAAAAAUCAAAUAAAACAACUAUCAAAUAUUUAAUACUAUAAAACUUAUUAAUAAACAAAAAAAAAAAGCACCUGAACCCCAGACGUAAAGCCGUAAAGAUUGUAUAUUUCAAUAUUAUGAUUUGGAUUUUUCAACCGAGUCUUCUUAAAUUUCUCGUCUUUCUCGAACAGUGCAUUGUCAAGACUCUCGUAAAUCAUUUCCCACGACAAUAGACCCCAUGGACGUUUUCGGAAGUACUGUACAUCAUCAACUUGGUCAAGCCAAUCGAAAUUAAUUUGACAGUGAUUUUUUCUUGCAUUUAGUACUCUGUCCGUAAAAUAAAACAGCGUAAUCUUUAAUGCGUCCAUAUCGUCCAUUUCCUCGAAUUUCAACUUCUUAAAUACUGCAUCGAAUUGCUUCACAUUAAUCUUACGAUGCACACCACCAAAAUACGUAUUCCGUAGCCUCUGCUCCAUUUCAUCAUUUUUUUCAUUGGUAUCAACACCAAAUGAAAGUCCAGUAACCAAGCACCAUUCGACAAUUGACAAGCGAAUCAAACGCUUACCAAUUUGAAACCAUAACUGAUCCUCACGGCUAUCGUCUUCAUGGGCCACUUGCCGCAGUAAAAGAUUGUGCAAAAUUACCCCACUAAACGAAAAACUUCGACACUCCAAGAAAUGCUCAAAUAUAUCCUUUUUGAACAUACUCAACUGCCGCAUUGUUAAUUUUUCCUCGAUGGCUUUUACGACCGAAGAUAACAUACACAUGCUCGAAAUUCGACCAGGAAAGUGAUCAGCAUAACGAAAAUACAUCUUGCCUACUUCAAUAUCCGGUGAUUCUGAUUUCGCCAUGUAUCUGUAAUAUUUAUAAAAUUAUUACAUUACAUUUACAGAAAAAAUAUACUCGUUAAAAAAAAAUUAUAAUUUUUGGUCCAAAGCUGGUGCGACAAUGCCUGCUGUCGCACCAAAUCUGGUGCGACAGCGUGCCGCGCAUGGGUGCGCGCGCGCCCCCUGCCCCCCUCCCUCCCCACCCCCAAAAUUAAGCGCAAUCACUCCAAAAUCGAAAACAAUACUCCCAAACACCACCAACCACCACAAACAUCAUCACCACCACUAUUAUUCUCAAGCUAUAACUAUUAUUAUUCUAAAAUCUCAUUUUAAAUUAAUGAAAAUAAGAAAAAUGACUAACCUAGGUUUUGUUGAAGGUUGUAGAUCGUAGAUCGGAUGCCGGUGAGAGAUGGAGCCGCCGCCGACGAGGGUUGAUGUCGCCGCCGAUGAUGGGAGUUGGAUCGGUUUGGGAGAGAUGAGUGCAAGAGAGUGUUGGGGGAGAGAUGAGGGAGGGAUAUUUUGGUCUCAAAUGUUGUUUUAUGGCUAAUGUUGAUAGAAAUAUUUUUGGGGGGGUAAGAUGAAAAAAAGUAAAAUUUUUUUGGUUAUUACUGUAAAUUUCCCUAUAACUUAACUAACAUAAAUAAAUGAUAGAUAUGAGUAAUGUUCAAGUUUUGUGGAUUUAAUAUUUUAAAAUGAUGCCGUUUAAAUUAACGACGCCGUUUUUAUGAAACUUAAAACAUAUCAACACUUCAGCCAAUUAUCGACCAAGUGUUGAAUAAACCCCUCUCGCUGCAACCUAAAAUCAUUGAACUUUGAGCCACUCUUAACAACAUUGUGUGGAACCCUAACCCUAAGCCUCAUUUCCACCACCGAUAAAGCUAAGAAAGUUUCCCGUAUAUCAGAACUAUGGCGAAUUGCCUUCAGUCCUUAGGACCCAUAAAAAAUCUUGUAUUCCCUCGCUUUUACUUCGCUAAUUUUUUGUAUUAUUCCAUCUCUUUCACUUUAAUAACCCAAAAUCUCUCCUCUGUUUCAAUCGAAAGAAAACCCUAGCUUAAAUUAAGCUGAAAUUUACAUAUCAAAGCUCUCGCUCAACUUCCCUCCUUCAAUUGAAACAAAAUGCAGCCAUAAAACCCCAAUACGCCACACCCUUUUGUCUCAGGCCAACAUUCAUUUAAACCCCACCUUUCGGUUCAAUGCCAUUUAAUGCGAUUGCAGAUGCCGUUUCAACUCAUUAUUUAGUUAACGCCAUUCAGUUCUUUGCUGUCAGCCUUAACCCUAAUAACUAAUCGACUGUGGUAGCACGUUGCUGACUCGGGCUGAGGAUACAUGAAUUAAAUAUAUGAAUUGGGUGAUGUCAGUGAUUCAUCCUCCUAUUUGCCGUGAAUUGAGAUUUGUGUAUAAUGUUUGUAAGAUUGUUAAAAAUUUCAUGUUCCAGUCGAAUUUCUUGCUCUCUCUCUAUAUAUAUAUAUAUAUUAUCUUCUUUAUAGUCAGGCUCUGGCUUUGCUGCUAUGCUUAGUGCAGUAUAUGGUUUCAAGACUAAAUUAGGUUUAUUUGACGACAUCGAUAUCUUACCUAGCUCUGCUUGAAAAUGAAAAUGUUGUACUAGUAAUCAUAGACUUUGUUUAUUCAGUUGAUAUUUUAAUUAUAUGUAUAAGAAUGAAGCUUUAUUUGGGAAAAAAAGAAAUAAAGAAAUAGGCUCUGUUGAAGCUAAUUAAUACUUCAUUCUUUCUAUACGUGCGACCUGUGGUGGAAACAUGAUAUGAAAAUGUGUUACUGGUGAGGUUGCUGCUUGAGAUGAGAAUGAUGAGAAUGCCUUCUAUUCGGAAAUCCUUGGUAGGUAUUAUAUAAUUAUAUUUGAUGGAAUAUUAAAUAGCUAAAGAACCUCUGAUAUUGUCUUUGUUCAAUGGUUACUGUAGUAGUGUUUGUUGGUCUUUUUCUGGUUGGCGUUUGGAUGUUAAUGUCAUCAUCAGUUGUACUGGUGUGGGAUCCAGGAUGUUGUCCUCUUAAGAGCCUAUAAGCAAAGUGAAACAGAGAGUAUCUGAGUUUUGUCUGGGCCUUUCGUAGAAAAUCAAGGUGAUGAAUGACAGGAUUCAACAAUGGGGAUGGGGAUGAUGUUCCUGUUGAAAAGUUAGAGAAUAGAGUGGAAGAUAAUCACGAAGAGAUGAAUAUGUAUGAGGGUGAUGGUGAGACGAGUGAAUCUAAGAAUAUGGUUAAUCAAAACCAGGAAGAGAAUUUAGUGAAGGAGAGUUUUGAUGAGAAUACUGAGUCUGAAGAGGAAUCUAAGGCGGUGUCUAAAAAUUACGAUGUUAGAAAAAGGGAAGAUAAGGAAUCUAAAAGUGAAGGUGGAGAUUCGAAUUCAGAAGCUGGAGAAACAGAAGGCGGCGAAUUGAAUAAAAUUGAGCAAAUUGAAUCAGAGAAGAGCUUGGAUGAAAAUAAAUGGAUGAGGCUAGUCAGAUUGAAAAGGAGAAGGAUUCUCAAGAUCAAGAUAAUGACACUGAGAGUCGUUGAAAGGAUCAGGCUUCAACUGAGAUUUUUCCUUUUGGUGACUAGUCAGAAAUUCUGAAGGAAACUAAUGCUCAGAAUGGGGCUUGCUCAACUCAACCUAUUGAGUCAUAGAAUCAGAAAAUAUCACAACAAACUUCUAUAUCUAAGGACCCGUAUGGUCAUCGCUGGAAAGUGUGUAAUGCCACUGCUAGGCCAGAUUGCAUCCCUUGCCUGGACAAUUUGCAAGCAAUUAGAAUGCUUUCCAGCACAAAAGCAUUAUGAACAUCGAGAGAGGUAUUGCCCUGAAGAAGCUUGUACCUGUAUUGCUCCUUUACCGGAAGGAUACAAACACUCAAUUAAGUGGCCCCAAAGCAGGGAUAGGGUAUGAUCUUAUAUUAUGCAUUAUAAAAUAUAUACUUGAGUACUUUUAAUUCACUUGGGCUAAGAUUUGUUCUCAUGCUGUGUGGGAUAGAUUUGGUAUUAUAAUUUUCCCCACACAAAGCUUGCAGAAGUUAAGGGUUAGCAAAAUGGGGUUAAAGUUACUGGUGAAUACCACAUUUUUCCAGGUGGCAGAACUGAAUUUGAGCUCUUCAUUACAUUGACUUCAUUCUGAAGGUGAGCAUUUUUCAUUUAUCAUUUUAUGUCUGUUGUUAGCUUCAAUUAAUACGUGGCUUAUUCUUUUCUUUGUAUGAACCAUGGGCGGUCCAUUUCAUUUUAUAAGCUAUUUCUUGGGUUUUAGCAAGACAAAUAAUAAGAUUUGUGCUGUUUUUGUUUUAUGCGUCUAUAUAAAUUGUGUGUGCGCAUAUCAUACUAGGGGAGUAUUGCUUUAAUGCUAUAUACAGUCAAGGACACACGGUGGGUCACAUUCUGACUCGUUUCAAUGCUUAUUUUAUAAAUAUUUACUUGUAUAUAUUUUGUAGUACUUUUAGAGAUGUAUUCUGCACUGGAUUUUUUAAGUGCUUUUAAUGUAGACUACUGUCUUUGUCUUUAUCUCUCUUUCUGUGAAACUGAAAGGUUCAUAGAAUUUUUUAGAAACCAGUAAUCUUACAAAAAAUUUUAACCUGUUAAUUAAUGCGGUUUCAUUAUCUUGAAAAAUUUUCAAGCGUGCUUGCUUUUUUCUUUUUCUUUCUUCUGAAAUAAUUGUUGAUAUUCCCCUUCUCUUCUAUCAAGUUUCUGAUUCUCUAAAGCCCACAUUAUUUUUGUCUUUCUUUAUACAGGCCUUUAUCAUUUAUUGGCCAGCACCCUUUCCUCGGUUCUAUAUAAGAAUGUAAUUUCGUCCGAAUCUGCCAAAAACCGUGUGCUAUUGUCAACAACAAAUCAGAAUUCCAUCUCCACCUCCUGACAAACCAUGCGUCACCACCUGCUUAGGAAUCCAAAGCCUUUGCUGGUGUUGAUAGUAUGUUCUCUCUCUAUCUCUGUUUUUCCUCGGUUGAGAAUUUAAAACAACAUCAUACUCAUCAUAUACUCUGUUUGGAUUCCUUGAAAUAAUAUUUUUUUAAUUUUUAUUGUUAUUUUGAAUUGUUUCUACAUAUUUUGAAUCAGAGUUGUUUGAGUAAAAUUUAAAUAUCAAUAUUACUGAUACGUGUCUAAUCUGAACUUCUUACCUUAAUAGCUUACUCACCUGUGCUUUUUUUUCUCCCCCCUUUUAAGAAUUCAAAAGCUAUAUUAUGGAUUUUGUUUUUGUUGUUUAUUGUCAUGAAGUAGGAGUGGGCAGAAAAUUGAAGAACCGUAUCAGAUUCGGUUCGAUAUUUGAUUCGGUUGUGCAAUAACCUAAAUUGGACGGUUUCAUUUCGGUUGGGAUGAAUGAAAACCGAAACCGAACCAAUAAUAAAAUUAACAAGCAAACCAAAUGAAAGUCCCAAAACAGUAACAAAACAAACACAGGUUUCUUAUCAAAUUUCACAGCACGACAUGGUCGCUCUAUUUGGUAAAAAAAUAGAAAAAAGAAUAAUGGGUCUCGAAAAUUUUUUAGAGUAUUUCUGUCGCUUACAUUUUUUUCCAUCGAUUAAUGUUAGUUGUAGGUGAAUGAUUGUUGCAAAUCCAUGUUAGCUUGUGAUUGAUUGAAAAUGGCUUGUGAUUUGUUAUGCUGCCAUGUGACAGAUUGAAAAUGGCUCUGAAAUUUUUUUAUUUGUUUAAGGUAUUACUGCUGAUUAUUGAACAGAGAUUCAUGCUAGUUUUUGUUAAAUUGAAGAUGAGAUUUUUUUUAGGAGAUCUGCAAAACCUUCUCUACUAUAGAUUUGGCUUCUAGCAUACCUGGUUGGCUGGAAAUAAUUGUUUAUACAGUCAUUGCUGCCUAUAUUAAUCAGGAAUAUUGAUUAGCAAUGUACUGGGUUAGAGAUUGGUAUAAUUUUGGAAAAUUAGUUGUAGAUGCAACCUGAUUAUGGUCUCAAAUAGUGUGAUCUGUCAAUUUUGUUUGCUCUGGCCUAAUAACCUUGAAUAUGAGCUAUGCCACUAUACAAAGUCUUGACCUAAUCACACUUGUUAGCCAAUGUCCAAAAUUGCAGUGUCUUUAGAUAAGUCCUUUCUUAUUUGUUUCGGUUAUAAAUGAAAAUUGCAGUGUCUUUGGAAAAUCAUGCUGAAUGUUGAAGUUAUGGACGAGAGGAGACCCCCAGAUUCAAGGCCGGAGCUCCCUGUUAAGAAGCUUUACAAAUAUAGGAUUGUCGCCUGGCAGAGGAUUGCUAUGCCUGGUUUUGUUUGGAAUAUGGAUGAAGAUUUUGCAUUGAGGCUUUUUUGAUAGAUCAUUUGGCAAAUCAAGCUCCAUGUAUCUAUCUUCAGACUCUUGGAUAUUUAUAAAGCAGGUGCAUGCUCCAUAUGUUACUCAAUGUAUCACGAUUAUUUUUCUAUUGCUUAAUAUAUUUGCAGUCCUUGAUGAAGUUGACAACUUAUGGAGGGUAUACAGAGGCUCAAGAGCUCAAUCGCCAUUCAUUUUANNNNNNNNNNNNNNNNNNNNNNNNNNNNNNNNNNNNNNNNNNNNNNNNNNNNNNNNNNNNNNNNNNNNNNNNNNNNNNNNNNNNNNNNNNNNNNNNNNNNGGAUUUUGUUUUUGUUGUUUAUUGUCAUGAAGUAGGAGUGGGCAGAAAAUUGAAGAACCGUAUCAGAUUCGGUUCGAUAUUUGAUUCGGUUGUGCAAUAACCUAAAUUGGACGGUUUCAUUUCGGUUGGGAUGAAUGAAAACCGAAACCGAACCAAUAAUAAAAUUAACAAGCAAACCAAAUGAAAGUCCCAAAACAGUAACAAAACAAACACAGGUUUCUUAUCAAAUUUCACAGCACGACAUGGUCGCUCUAUUUGGUAAAAAAAUAGAAAAAAGAAUAAUGGGUCUCGAAAAUUUUUUAGAGUAUUUCUGUCGCUUACAUUUUUUUCCAUCGAUUAAUGUUAGUUGUAGGUGAAUGAUUGUUGCAAAUCCAUGUUAGCUUGUGAUUGAUUGAAAAUGGCUUGUGAUUUGUUAUGCUGCCAUGUGACAGAUUGAAAAUGGCUCUGAAAUUUUUUUAUUUGUUUAAGGUAUUACUGCUGAUUAUUGAACAGAGAUUCAUGCUAGUUUUUGUUAAAUUGAAGAUGAGAUUUUUUUUAGGAGAUCUGCAAAACCUUCUCUACUAUAGAUUUGGCUUCUAGCAUACCUGGUUGGCUGGAAAUAAUUGUUUAUACAGUCAUUGCUGCCUAUAUUAAUCAGGAAUAUUGAUUAGCAAUGUACUGGGUUAGAGAUUGGUAUAAUUUUGGAAAAUUAGUUGUAGAUGCAACCUGAUUAUGGUCUCAAAUAGUGUGAUCUGUCAAUUUUGUUUGCUCUGGCCUAAUAACCUUGAAUAUGAGCUAUGCCACUAUACAAAGUCUUGACCUAAUCACACUUGUUAGCCAAUGUCCAAAAUUGCAGUGUCUUUAGAUAAGUCCUUUCUUAUUUGUUUGAGUUAUAAAUGAAAAUUGCAGUGUCUUUGGGAAAUCAUGCUGAAUGUUGAAAUUAUGGGCGAGGGGAGACCCCCAGAAUUCAAGCCGGGAGCUCCCCGGUAAGGAAGCUUUCCAAAUAUAGGAUUGUCGCCUGGCAGAGGGUUGCUAUGCCUGGUUUUGUUUGGGAAUAUGGAUGAAGAUUUUGCAUUGAGGCUUUUUGGAUAGAUCAUUGGGCAAAUCAAGCUCCAUGUAUCUAUCUUCAGACUCUUGGAUAUUUAUAAAGCAGGUGCAUGCUCCAUAUGUUACUCAAUGUAUCACGAUUAUUUUUCUAUUGCUUAAUAUAUUUGCAGUCCUUGAUGAAGUUGACAACUUAUGGAGGGUAUACAGAGGCUCAAGAGCUCAAUCGCCAUUCAUUUUACACUUGGCUGGGCUAUAGCAUACCAACUAGUGAUUAAUAAAGAGAGGGUAUGAAGGUCCUGUUGCUGGUGGUAUUAUCAAUCAGAAUUGUUAUUUUACUUGGUCAUACUUACCAUGUAUACUAUUCGUAGGCUUUUUUCAUUUUCAUGCAUUCGCAUCAUCUUCUUGUUAAGCUACAGAUGGUUGAUUUGUGUACUCAUUUGUAUCACUUGUAGCUCUUGAGGAAUAAAAUUUAAAAUUAUGUUGCAUCUCUUGUACUAAAUAGUAAUUUUGUUGGCUUUAUGUAUGGGAAAUGGUUUGUUGUCUUAUUUCUUUGAUGUGUAUGGUGUUACACUGUCUAAAGUUCAGAAGUAUUUCUAUCACUUGUGUAAAAAACAACCUACUUUUUUCGUUCUUCUUAUAUUGAAUAAAAGAGGGACACCAAGAUUGAACGAAAUUUGAUUCAGACAGCAUAGCAAUUAGGCCAGCGCAAAACAGCUUCCUUCUGAUUCUUUGAUAUUUGACUUAAAUCUUUUGUUUGUUUCAUUUAUCAAAGUCAUUUUGGAAAGUAACGGGGGUGAUUUGAUAUUUUCAUUGCAUUCACAUCCCUUGGCACCAAAACAAACAUGCUGGUACUAACCAACAAUUUUUUAUUUUCAGUAUACAAAUUUUUUUUUUUCUAAAUUAAGGGUAUUAAGAAAAGGUAUACUAGCACCAGAGGAGGUAUUUGAGAAUACACAAAUAUAAUCUAUCAAAUUGAGAAUACGCCAAAUCUCCGGAGAGGUUUUUGAUAAAUCCUUUUUUUUCUUUUUCCUCCAUUCACUAUAGGUUCAAUUUAGGGUGGUUGUUAAGUUAUAUCAUUGUGUAACAUAGAUCAAUUCAACAGUUGUUACCAGUAACACAAAAGUAUAACGAACAAAAACUAAUUGUGUUACUGGUAGUAACUAUUAAAUUGAUGUAUGUUACAUAAUUAUGUAACUUAACAAGGUCUUCAAUUUAGACACGGUUGACCAAACUGAAGGUUUAGGUUGGUAAACGCACUAGUGUUAAUGUCAACAACCCAAGGGGCUUCAUGGUCCUCUAGGCCGAAAUAGCGUAAUUAUUAAUUCUCCUCCACUGAAAGUCUUUAUCAUCUUGGGACAAAUAAUUACAAAUUGACAUUAUAGCUGUGGAAAUUUGGAGGUGUAACAACCGGAAAAAUAAAAAUCUUAAGAGACUUUAAAUAAAAAAGAUAACACCUUCAAUUUGCUAAAAGUAAUGGUAUCAUUUCUUGUAUGGAUAAUGGAUGAUUAUAUUUUGUUUUUGGUUAUCUGACGAAGGAUAUUAAGUUGUUCUUUAUGUGUUCAUAGGCAAGAGCAUGAGCAUAUGCAUGAUUUGACAUAUGGUUCUUGCAUUUUCUAAUUAAGUGCUCUUUUUCCUUGCCUUCUUAGUUUGAAAGAAAGAUGUGAAGCAAAGCAAACCCAGUGAAAUGUACAGAGAAACAGAACCAUCAGAGGAAAAACUAAAUAACAGAACUACAAUUGAACCAAACAAAAUCAAAUAAACGGACGCAACAGAUGCCCUGAACCUAGUAAUUACUCAAGAGUUGAGGAGUUGGAAUGAUUUGGUAUUCAUAUCUUCACAAAUCAUAUGCUUUAAUGCAGAAUCGACAGCUUUAUAUUAUUUUAUUCAAAAAACGAUAAAGCAGGAAAACCACAAUAAUCCACCAACUUUUGAUACUUGUAGGAAUUUUUUUUAGUCAAAUUAAGUUUCAUGAUAACACAAGUGGCUCGUCCACACACUUGCACUUGCUUGAAUAUUUGUGCCGACAUUUUCGUAUGUGAUGGUACUUCUUAGCCAGUAGAUAUGUUGAAAUACUACAAAACAGAGUAUUUGAUGAAGUUUUGCUACUUUCGUAUCCCCUUUUUUUGUUGCAUAACUAAAUUCUUUAUAAACACAAAUUAGAAAGAUACAAAUAAUACAGUAGCUUGAAUUUAUAUGCUUUUAUGAUUAUUUGAUAAUCUAGUGCUGAUCAUAUGUGAUGAUAAACUUAGCUAGUAGUUUUAUAUUUGUUUUCGCAGUUUCCUUAGCGUUCACAUUUUGAUGAGUAAAUUAAGGAUUUCCAGAUGAAGUACAUAAUUAGAUGAAUGCAAAGGAACUGAAGUUUGAUUAAUUGAAAACAAAAAUAAUAAUGCAGGUAAUUGCGAAAAUGAGCAAUGCAGAAGUAGUCCCUAUAGUAUUUCUAAAUUUUCUCUUGGGGUUCCUUAGUAUUCCUUAAUAUUUUUAAAAAAUGACAUGACGAUCUUUGAGUUGACGAAUCUUGGCCUGCUGCUUAGUACCCUUCCAACAUAUAAAGUACUAGAUGUUUUACUGAGAAAAUGACGAGAUCAUUUACCAAAUUUCUUGCCCAUAUAUACGUAUGUAUACGAGAAAUGAGAAUCAGUGAUUAUAAGACCUUGCAAUGAGACAAUAAUACAUCAUCAAAUCUAAAAAUACACAAGAAAUUCGGGACAUAUAUAUAACAAAAGACCUCUCAUUGAGUCAUACAUAUUGAGAAUAAAAUGUCAAAAUGCAUACAAAGAGCUUAUACAAAAAAUGAAUUUACACAUAUUUAGAAUAAACUGUCUUUGAACUUUCGAUGGUCAAACAAAGGAAACAGACAGGAUAUAAUACACGCCGUCAUAGAUGUAGCGACACGGUGAAGUAAAUCACAUGAAGAUGGAAACGGAAACCCUUCACAACAUAAAAUUUGAAUAGAGGGGGAAAAAAGGCUUCAUUUCGAAUGUUGCACAAAACUAGAAUAACAGACAAAAUAUUGUGCUUCUAUACUUGUCACAAAACUAGACCAAAUUAGUUUCCUUUUUGGUUUGUGAAAACUUGAUAUUUUUGAAAAUUCUAUCCAAUGCUUUCAAACAAUAUUUCCAUAAUAUAGUUGUUCAUAGCUAACCUUUGAUGGUUUAAGCAUUUGUUGUAGGCAUGACGGGCUAAUUAGAUUAUUAUUUUUUUUAUCCGAUGAAUGAUAUUCAGCUGUUCUUAAUUAUGUGUUAAUAGGCAAGAGCAUUUUCUUAAGCACUUUCGUUGCCUUCCAAGUUUCCAAAGAACAAACAGAGCACAAACAAAUUUAACGGAACAGUAACGAUGACAAUAAAUAAUUGGCAAGGAAAGAAAGAAAAAAGUUUGCAUGAUUUCAAGGAAUUAUAAAAUCUGAACACUUUCAACAUGCAAGUGUUGCCCCUCUUAAUGAAAUUUCAUCAUAAAAUGCUUGCAAGGAAUUAUAAAAUUUUAGAGAACAAGCGAAUUAAAUUAAAUUAGACCAAAAGACGCUCAAUGACGCAAAAUCUGCCCAUAAAAGCCUGAACGAAUCAUGAAAAGUGCAUUCCAUAUUGACAGUAAACCAAGUGACCCAUUCUAAACAAUUGAGAUGAAAUUGUGAAACAACCCACGAGAUCAAAUAAAUAAAAUAAGAAUUAAUUACCAGCUGGGACUUUCUUCUUCAAAUUCGUAACUCCAAGUCAUAAGAAGCCUAUGAAAUUAGUCGUAAUCCACAGAGUAUGACGACGACCCCGCCAACAGCUGAAAAUAAAAUUCUUAUUCAUCAAUUUAAACUAACUUUAUAACAAAUAUCUUAUCGAUAUUUUAUUUAAAAAGAAAAAGAAAAUUUUGUAAAAAUUUAUCAUGGGAGAUAGAGAGUAAUAUGUACAUACGUACCUUCUCAGCAUGUAAUUGUUGUAUGGUCGUGUUAAGAUCAUUACCAGCCCAACGCCGUUGAUUCGAUGUCUCUCCAUACCAGACGUUUACUCUUGGAGGCGUGAUUGAUUCUCCUGUAGUGAAAAAAUUCAUCUUGGGACAACCAAUCACACACAACUCUUGCAAAGAUGGGAAUUCAAAGGUGUAAUUGGCAGAGCAGAAACUUGUGAGGCUGUCUAAAUCGCGCAGUUCCAACCUCUUCAAUUUGCGGAAAACAAUCUCUUCUUUUUCAACCCCGUCUUUGUCAUUUAUUACCACCUCUGUCAUUGCUCUGCAUCCAUAUAUACUCACUUUGACGAGUCGCACUAGAGUUUUUGCUGUGGAGGAUGUUACCAAGUGCAUCAAUCCCUUGCAACCGAAAGCUAAAAGUUUUGUUAGGUUCCGAAAAGAUACCGAUGAUGAUGGCAAUAGAAUUAACAGACUUUGACAAUGAUGUACUCCUAGAAUUUCAAGAUACUGAAAAAUGGGGCCAAGUUUGGAGUCUUGUUUGCACAGCUGCUUCAGAUGAUAGUGCCAGCGCAGCUCUAAUGCUUUUAUCAUUGCCAACUUCCCCACAUGUUUCUCUAAGCAUCCUUCCAUCGAAAAUAGCUCUUCGUGGGAUGAAAAAUUAAACAGAGUGAGUAUUUCGAUAUUGUGAAAUCUCUCCAGUACGUUCCAGAUUGGAAAACAAGCUGAGUCAUCUCCAAUAAUCUCUAGUUGUUUAAGACUGCCAAAAAGGUGUUGUGGGAAAUCGGCCUGCAAAAUCAUCUUCACAUCUUUUCCACUUAGUGAUAGUUUCUUCAAGUUGGGUACGAUCUGAUCAUCAUCAAUCAUAAUAACUAAUGAGGUCAAUGAUGAGCUUUUUUUCAUUUUUUAAAACAAAAAUAUAAAAGGUUUUUUAAAAUUUUUAAAAAAUAAUUUUUUAAGAANNNNNNNNNNNNNNNNNNNNNNNNNNNNNNNNNNNNNNNNNNNNNNNNNNNNNNNNNNNNNNNNNNNNNNNNNNNNNNNNNNNNNNNNNNNNNNNNNNNNGUUCAGCUGGCUGACCUAAUUUUUUGUUUCUAGGUAACAGGCUUUAUAUAUCUGUAAUUGAUAGCCAAGUGAAGUUCUCAGCUGUGGUGAGGAUAUUUCUUUACAGAAGGUAUUGCAAACUGUUUUUUAGAUUAAUUAUUAUUGUAUAUAUACUUUAAUUUUCACAUCUUUUUCUCUGAUUCUUGUGGCUUUGCUUGCUUCCAUAUAUAUAAAACCAUAAAAUUGUAUAAUAAUUUUUUUUAUUAUAUUGCGAAACUGCGCACACAUGAAAAUAUCUUGUUUAGUAGUAGAAAUGAAGAAUUAAAGUGAUUUAUUUAACUAAUUUUUCUAGUGCAAUAAAAGGAGAUAGUCAUGGACCAGAGUUGGGUUGGUUUGCCAAAUAGAUAUCCAAUUCAUAUACUGAUGGGGGUCAAAAAAUUUAUAGAUUUUGCAUUUGAGAAUGUUGUUGGUGAUAAAAGAAUUUAUUGUCCUUCUAAGAGGUGUUGUAAUAUCGAUAUUUCAUUAUAAGGAAAGUGGCAAGAGACCAUAUCAUUAUAAAUGGCUAUUGGUUAAAGUAUUAAAACUGGAUAUUGGAGGGUGAGCCAUCUUCAUCUUUGAAAUCUAACUAAGAAACAGGUUAGUCAUGACUCGGGUAGUGAUGCUAGUAUGGUUGGAAUGGUGCAUAAUGCAUCACGUAAUCAAAUGUUCAAGUCACACGCAGCAUUGUUAUGGACUAUCUCCGACUUUCUAGCAUAUGCCAACUUGUUUGGGUGGAGUAUUAAAGGUAAAUAAGCAUUUCUUGUUUGCCAACAAAACACUAGAUCUAAUUGGUUGAUACAUAGUAGAAAAUUGUCACGUGGGUCACCGUCGAUUUUUACCAACAAAUCAUAGGUUCCGAAAAUAUAGUGCCAUCUGAUAAAACUAGAGAGUGGGGACAAGCACCUUCUCGGUUGUCUGGAGCUGAGGUGAAAAAGCAGUUCAGUAAUGUACUUACUGAGUAUAAGAUUGAAGACUUGAAAAGAGGAGAAUGAAUAAAAUAAAAGAAAUGAUAAGAUUACUUGGAAGAAGAAAAGCAUUUUUUAUGAACUAACGUAUUGGGAGUUCAAUUUGAUUCAUCAUAAUCUUGAUGUCAUGCACCGUUUUGAUUUUUGUUAUGAACUCAGAUCAAAAGUUUAAUGUGAUCAAAAUUUCUUAAAAAUAGUGAAAACGACUCCUCCUAAUAAUAUGGAAGAUGGCUAUAAAAGAUAAUUUCUUAAAAGUUUAAUGUGAUCAAAAUUGCUUGUGAACGCAAGGGUUUUAGUCACACUGUCAACGCUGUCAAUGUAGUGAUACAAUGAAGAUGAAGUAAAGCAUUAGUAGAAUAAUGAAGUUGACCAGUAACACAGUAAAGCAAAUUUUAUUCCAGAGCAUGAAAACUUUUAAACAGUAACACAGCUCUUAUUCCAUAGGCUGCACACGAGUGACCUGAAUCUUCUUCAGAACUUUCAAAUUUUAUCAAGCAAAGCUUUCAAAAUCCUUGCCUUCCUAAGUUAGGAAAGAUAGAUGUGGAGCAACCCAAAUGAAAUAAAUGGGUAAACAGAACAAGCAGGGCAAAAAUUAAAAAUGAUGGCAAUUAACAAAUUAAUAGCAAUGUUACAUUUGACUCUUUAGCCAUUUGUUCCUUCUCUUAGCAUUCUUCAAAGGUUUUGAAAAUUGGAUGUGAAGCAAACAAAAUAAAAUAAAUUUAGACAACACAUACCCUGUAUUCAGCAUCAUAUAUAUGUCGAAUAUCUAAUAUAAUAAAUUUCACAUCCAAAAUACUAGAAUUUCAAACAGUACUAGUAGUAAAAAAAUGACGACAACAACAAAAAUAGAAAAUUACAAGACUGCUGAUAAAAUUUCAUUUGCGUGCAUGUCUGACAAAAUUUCCGUGGUUUAAUGUGCGUUCAUGCAGGCAAGUCCUAACGUUUCUGUGAUCACAAAAUGAAACUGAAGAUAAACCUUUCAAGCUUGACGAAGCCAUGAGAAUUCAUAGCUCAGGCUCUGAUACCAAGUUAAAGUUUCUAAUCUGUUUGAUAAGUAAGAAAAUGAGAGAAAAUGAAAGAAAGAACAGAGAUCAUCUAAGAGCUGGAUUUGAUGAAUAAAUCUGAAUCAUCCAUUCUUUAGCUGAUUACAAAUGUAUUUAUACAAGGUUUCUAAGCACCUGAGAGUUGAAUAACUUAUGCCAGCUCAGCUAACACGUCAGUAACUCUACCUAUCUUGCUUAACAAACUGAAACAAUAACUAACCAUUUUAACUAUCUUAACAAUCCCAAUAAUUUCUCCGUUUGUGUGUUUUUUUGAUUCAUAAUCAAAUGGGUAAAUGUUGCAACUAUUUUUUUUANNNNNNNNNNNNNNNNNNNNNNNNNNNNNNNNNNNNNNNNNNNNNNNNNNNNNNNNNNNNNNNNNNNNNNNNNNNNNNNNNNNNNNNNNNNNNNNNNNNNNNNNNNNNNNNNNACUAACUUGAAUUUAUAUGCUUUUAGGAUUAUUUGAUAAUCAAAUGGGUAAAUGACAGGAAGAACUUUGAGUUUAAAAAUCUGGGCCUGAUGCCUGGUAGCCCUCCAACCUAUGAAGCACUAGAUGUUUUAAUGAGAAAACGACAAGACCAUUUAUCAAAUUUCUUGUGGAUAUAAAUACAUACACAUAGACGAGACCAACCUCCUCAAAUGAGAAUCAGAGUGAUUACAAGACCUUGCAAUGAGACAAUAAUACACCAUCAAAUCUCAAAAUACAAUAGAAAUUCAUGACAUAUAUAUAAUAAAAGACCACUCAUUGAGUCAUAUAUAUUGAGAAUAAAAUUUUUUUAAUACAUACAAAGAGCUUAGCUAGAAUGAAAUGUCUUUGGACUUGCGAUGAUCAAACAAAGGAAACAGACAGGUUGCAACUCACACUAUCACAGAUGUAGCGACACGAUGCAGUGAAUCACAAGAAGAUCACGAAGAUGGAAACGGGAACCCCUCAUAAUGUAAACUUUGAAUAGAGGAAAAAAGAAAAACGACCUUAUUCACAGAAGAAGAGUGACUUAAAUCUUCAUCAGUAUCCAGACAUUCUGCAAUCAUAGAGUAGAGAAAUUUUAACAGGAACAACAGAGAAAAUAUUAUGAAUAUGCUACACCAAAUUAUCCCUUUUUUGGUUUGUGAAAACUUGAUUUUUUAUGAAAUAUUUUCAAUCAAUAUUUCCACAAUAUACUUGUUCAUAGCUAACAUUUGAUGGUUUAAGGAUUUGUUAUAGGAACAAUGCACUGAUUACGUUUUUUUUUUAAUUUUUUUAAUCCGAUUAAUGAUAUUCAGCUGUUCUUUAAUUAUGUGUUCAUAGGGAAGAACAUUUUCUAAGUACUUUCCUUGCCUUCUAACUUUCCAAGGAAAGAUAGGUGUGAAGAAAAGCAAACCCAAUGAACAAACAGAGCACAAACUAAAAUAAAAGAACAGCAAUGAUGAGAAUAAAUAAUUGGCAAAGAAAGAAUGGAAAAAGUAUGCACGUUUUCAAGGAAUUAUAAAAUACGAAGGCUUUUAAUGAAAUUUUAUCAUAAAACUUAUGCAAGGAGUUCUAAAAUUUUAGAAGACGAGGGGAGCUCGCAAAAAAAAAGAAAAAGACUCAAAUUAAACUAGACUAAAAAGACAUUCAAUUAUGCAAAAUCUGUCCAUAAAAGUCUGAAAGGAUCAUUAAAAUUGCACUGCAAAUUUAACAGUAAACCGAGGGACCCAUUCUAAAUAAUUCAGAUGAAAUUGCGAAACAAGCUAUGGGAUUAAAUAAAUGAAAUAAAAUUAAUUACCAGUUGAGACUUUCUUCUAAAAAUCGCAACUCCAAGUCAUAAGAAGCUAUGAAAUUAGUCGUACUGCAUAGAGUAUAUCGACGGCACCGCCAACAGCUGAAAAUAAAAUUCUUAUUCAUCAAUUUAAACUAACUUUAUAACAAAUAUCUUAUCGAUAUUUUAUUUAAAAAGAAAAAGAAAAUUUUGUAAAAAUUUAUCAUGGGAGAUAGAGAGUAAUAUGUACAUACGUACCUUCUCAGCAUGUAAUUGUUGUAUGGUCGUGUUAAGAUCAUUACCAGCCCAACGCCGUUGAUUCGAUGUCUCUCCAUACCAGACGUUUACUCUUGGAGGCGUGAUUGAUUCUCCUGUAGUGAAAAAAUUCAUCUUGGGACAACCAAUCACACACAACUCUUGCAAAGAUGGGAAUUCAAAGGUGUAAUUGGCAGAGCAGAAACUUGUGAGGCUGUCUAAAUCACGCAGUUCCAACCUCUUCAAUUUGCGGAAAACAAUCUCUUCUUUUUCAACCCCGUCUUUGUCAUUUUUUACCACCUCUGUCAUUGCUCUGCAUCCAUAUAUACUCACUGUGACGAGUCGCACCAGAGUUUUUGCUGUGGAGAAUGUUACCAUGUGUAACAAUUUCUUGCAACCGAAAGCCACCAGAGCUGUUAGGUUCUGAAAAGAUACCGAUGAUGAUGGCAAUAGAAUUAACAGACUUUGACAAUGAUAUACUUCUAGACUUUCAAGAUACUGAAAAAUGGGGCCAAGUUUGGAGUCUUGUUUGCACAGCUGCUUCAGAUGAUAGUGCCAGUACAGCUCUAAUUCUUUUAUCAUUGCCAACUUCCCCACAUGUUUCUCUAAGCAUCCUUCCAUCGAAAAUACCUCUUCGUGGGAUGGAAAAAAAAGCAGUGAGAGCAUUUCGAGAUUGUGAAAUCUCUCAAGUACGUUCCAGAUUGGAAAACAAGCUGAGUCAUCUCCAGCAAUCUGUAGAUGUCUAAGACUGCCAAAAAGGUGUUGUGGGAAAUCGGCCUGCAAAAUCAUCUUCACAUCUUUUCCACUUAGUGAUAGUUCCUUCAAGUUGGGUACGAUCUGAUCAUCAUUAAUCAUAAUAACUAAUGAGGUCAAUUGAUGAUCUACGGUCACACGCAGUGACUUUAUAGCAUUUGUUUUAUAUUAUAUUUUAAAAAAAUUGAAUUAUUGAUAAAAUUUAUUUUAUAUGUUAAUUUUAGAGGUAAAAAAGAAAUUAGAGAAAAAGGUUGAUUUAUACUGGCUCAAAAUUAUUUUAUUGCACAAUAAUAAAUUACUAAUUUAUUUUGUAAGUUCUUCUAAAUGGAAAGACUGAGGAUUCUUUUAUAAAUACUAUGCCUAAAAAAGUUCAUAUAAUUAUGAAUCUACCAUAUUGAUCCCUUAGUCUAGACUAGCAAAGAUUAUUGUAUAAUAAAAGUUUUCAAUUUAUUGAGCAUUAAUUUAUCGAUGCUUUGUCAUAUUUUUCAAAGUUAAAAAUAAGCUAUUGAUAAAAAAUCUAGAAAAUGGCUUCAUACCUUUCCCAACGGCAAUGGGAGCUGUUGUGCAGGAAUACCAAGUUGAUCAUUCUCAUUAUUCUGCGAUAAAUCUGCAGCGAAUAUCUUUAAUUUGUCACAACGAUACACUACAAGAAUUUCUAGCGCGGGCCAUUCCGAAGUAUGCUUUCCAGGGUACAAACAUCUAAGUUUUGGUAGAACUUGGAGUAUCAGAGUGGUGAGCUGUGGAAAGACAAAAUAAGGGAUCACUUGAUCUGCUCUGUUUUCAGAAAUGAUCUCCUGUAAAUUCUCACAGAACCAUACUUCUAGGCGUUGGAGCUGCUUAAGGCUUCUGAUCAUAGACGCUGAAAAUAUGUAUUUUAAUUUGUGACAAUGCCACACAAUCAAUCGUGUUAAAUUUUGAAAGCGAGGAAACGUGACCGGAAGAUGAUUGUAGUGCCAAAUCUGGUCGACAUUAAUUUCAGAUAUCUCCAAAACCUCCAAGUUAGGCAACGCAACCUAAAAAAAUAAGAAUUUCUCGUUAGAUCCAAUAUCCAUAUGGGAAGCACUUGUUGAAAUUUUCUUCUUUGAUUACAAAUUAAUGCAAGUCAGAAUCAAUUUCCAACUGACAGCUGAGUAUGCAUUCUAAUUGAUACUACUUGUUAAGAGCUCAAUUAGUGAGCGCGUGAGAUUCUUUUUAUCCUUUUUUCCAUUUUCUUUCCAUUCUUUAAAUGAUUUAAUUAUUUUCCACGUAUGACAUCAAAAGAGAACGCAUUAUAGAAUAAAGAAAAUGUUAGCCUACGCACCUUCUCGUUGAAAAGUAGAGUUGAAAUAUCCAAAGUGAUUUCGCUGGAGCAAUACAUAGCCGUCGAUUCCUCUUGCGACACUUGUCUGUUCGGUGAUGCUGAAGGAGUCUCCACCUCACAGCAAAAACUUGUAACCUCUGGAAGAUUCCCCAGACUCAAAGAUCUUAAUUGAGCAAACUCUAUCUUCUCAAUUGCAUUAUCAACUUCUUCCCCAAUUGAAAAAAUUUCUUUCAUCUUGCUGCAAUUAAUAACUGCAAUUCUCUCAAGUCUUGGAAGGCAUUUUGUAGUAGAGAACCAAAAGAUAUUGCUCAACUUAUCACAAUUAUAUGCUUCUAUGUUUUUGAGUUGGUUGAAAGACUCUACUUUGAGCCGAUCAAUACAUAACCUCUCCAUGUUGAUCAAAUUGUGAAGGAUAAGUGACUGCAAAAGAGGAAAGGCAUCACAACCGACCAUCUCCCUUGAAUCGACGAUACAAAAGAUGUCAGGAUUAUUUUGAACCCAGAGAAGCUUCAAUUGUGAAAAGCCCUCCGUGUCCAAAUUGAAAAGAACAUUCUCGAUGCCUUGCAGCUUGUCCAACCAUAAGCAUUCAACGUUAUUGAUGCCCUGCAAUUUCGUGGAGCAAAUGUCCAUAAAAUCAAGCUUGAGCUUCAAUUCUCUUAAACUCUCACGAUUACUGUUGAUCAAAAAGUGCGGCCGGCUUUGAAACCAUUCUCUUGUAAUACUCUUGGGAGGCAUGAAUGACUCAUUUCCAAUGGAUAUUUUGAACCUUUCGAGCUUUCUGGCCAAAAAACCUUCUGGUAAAAUACUGUCAUUUUUAACGUCAAUUUCUAGAGUGGUUAGCCGAGGUAAAUGCAUCAAUUCAUCAAGGCUAGCAUUACUUCUUUCCCUGUUGUCUCUUUCAACCUCCCAUUCAAUGCAGCAAUUACCCAUAUACAGCUCUUCUAAUCGAGUUAAGCUUGAUAUGAGAUUGGGCGCAAUAACUUUUAGAUGGAAACAAUUGGUUAAAUCUAACAAUCUCAACUUAUUCAAUUGACCUAGUUCUUCUGGCAACUGCAUAAUAUCAGACAUCAGAAAGCUAAGGACUUCUAGAUUCUUCAACUUCCCAAUGAUUUCUAUGUCCCCCAACGCACUUUGAUCCAGACAUAGUGUGUGAAGAUUUACUAGAAGAUCAAUUGAAGAUGGAAAUGAAGAAAACUGCAUUCGAGUAAAAUCUAGAACUCUAAGCUUUUUCAUCCCUACAAAAAAGUUCUCAGGAAUAUUGAUUUCAAGAGAAAAAUCUUUGAGAGAGAUAUAUAAAAAUUCAAGGUUUGGGCAUUCUAAUCCUUCAGGAAAUUCACGAUUACUAUUAUUUCUUAAAGAGACAGCAUUGCAUUUUCGAAGUGCAUCCUCAUCUGGCCAGUCCCACACAUCCUCAUUUCUCACCGAAAACACAUGUUGGUGGCGGCAUGCAAUUGAUAUUGCGACAUCGCGAACAACAUCAUGCAUUGAAAAUUCUUCAUUGCUAUCACCCUCAAGCAACAAACAAGAGUCUCUAAGUUCAUGGACCAAUGCAUAUAAUUUGUCUCGUGCAUCUUCCAUCUUAUUGACUCCUUUAAAUAUACCCAAACCCAUGGAGUACUUAAACAGGUCCAAAGUAUGAAUACGGUUACCCAUUAGACUACAGAGGAGAAAAAUUUUCUUGAGUUGCUCACCUUUUAAAUGGUUGAAACUCAGCUCAAUACUUGAAUAAGUCUCUGCAGAUACUCCUUCGAAGUUCACCAUUGAAGGCGUUCGGAGUUCUCGCAAGGAAUUCUUCCAUUCAUGCAGACUCUUGCUUCUCAGUGCCUUUGCUACUGUGGUCAAGGCAAUGGGCAAACCUCCACAUGCCCUGGCGACGUCUAUUGCUGUAGAUUUCAACUCACGAUUUUCAACAUCAUCACCGGCCAUCAUCUUAAACAAUCUCCAGGCUUCUUCUUCAUUUAAAUUGUUUAUCAAAAAGUUGUCUUUAGAACCCAUUUUUAAAAGGACACUACGAUCUCUUGCCGUCAGCAGUAGUUUGCAGCCUUUAUGGUCUUCUCCAAAAGGAAUUCCAACUGUCUCCAAAUCAAGGUGUUUCCAAAUGUUAUCUAAAACCACAAGGAUCUUCUUGUGAUUUCUCAAUCGCUCAAAUAGUCUACUUGCUCUUCUAGAUUCAACUUCCUCGUGCAACUCCAGGCCCAACUUCUCGGCAAUUUCCUGUUGAAUCUUUUUUAUGUCUGGAGUUUGCGAAACCUCUGAAAAGACCACCAUAUCAAAGAGCUUGUCUUCCAUAGCUUGCCUGGCGACCUUCUUCACCAGUGUCGUCUUUCCAAUGCCGCCCAUGCCGUACACCCCAACGACACUAACAUUAACAUCGAUCAAUGCAUUUUGUAUGGCCUUCAAAGAAGAAAGUCUUGACUCGAAGGCCUCGUAGCCUUUGUGAGACUUGAGCCAUAUCUCCUCCGGAAUGGUACGGUAGGAAAUUCUAUCAUCAAAUCUUGCAGCUUCUUCUCGGAUUUUGACAAGUGCCUUCACCUCUGCCUCUGCUUUCUUGCUAAGCUGAUAGCGGGUCUUCAGAUUAGGGCACAGACCCUUGAGACAUAGCUUAUUUGUUGCCUCCUCGUCGUCAAUGAAUUUGUCUGCAUGGUCAAUGAUCUUGUUCGCAUUAACCAGCCAUUUCUCAACCUCCUCUUCAAUCUUUUCUCCUUUUCUUUCAUCCUCUGAAACUCUGCGUUGAAUGCUCCUACUUUUAUCCUUGAGCUUCUCGAUUUCAGCCUUGAGAUUCUCAAAGUUGUCAUUGGAGCAACGCAAGUAACGAAGUUGGUGUUGUGCUGGAGGAGCCAAGCAUUUUACAACCUCUAAAACGACAGUAACAAUGGAUUCCAUCACCUUCAAUACUUUUUCUUUUCUUUUUUUUUUUUUGGGGGGGGGGGGGUUUGUGGGAGGAUGGAUUGAUCUGAAGUGAAAGAAACAGAAAAAGAACAGGGGAAACGACUGGACAAUUGUUAAUCAAUGAAGAAGCCGAAGAAAAAACAGAUGACGGUGAAAGGGAACGGGACUAAAUUAGGAAGAGAAAUUGUAUUUGAGCAAAACAAGGAAAAAAUCAGUGUAAUAGAUGAGAAUCAAAGUGUUGUUGCGAUCAGAAAAUUGAAACAAGAAAAGGGUUUCUUGAUCCAAUGAGUAUACAGAGAGGUGAUGGCAGAAGGGAGCAAAGCUAGGUCAGGAGAGGGUUUCUUGAUUGAGAAUUGAACGCAAAGAGUAGGAGCUGAUGAAUUAUAACUGGUAAAACUGAUUUGAAGCAAUUCUAUUGAGCGAUCUGAAAAAAAUUAUUUUGUUCAAUAUCAUACAGUAAAAGGAACAAAACAGUAAAAAGAAAUUAUUUAUUUAUUUUGUCAAAUGUGAAUACAGAGAGUAUCCAAACGAGCAAUUAUUUCUUUCUCGUCUCAGUAAACUAUAACGACAAAACAGCAAAAGAGAAAAUUAUUGUCAAACGUGAAUCACGUUUCUAAUCUAUUAAUUAAAAUGAUGUUAUACAAAAAAUGCUAAUGCUGGGAUGAUUUAACUUCUAACUGAAAAUUGCUAAUAUCAAUGUCGGGGGUGAAGGACAUAAAUUAUUCGUAAUUGCGAUGUAACAUUUGCUGGCAUAUUAUGAAUGAAAGAUAAAUUAUAAUCAUCGAAAUGUGUGGGGUCAGCUGUCAGUUGUAAUAAAAUGAAAGUUUUAAUUUUUGAAAUAAAAAUUAAUAAUACCUGAUAAAGUGGUACCAUUGAAUCAGUCUACGGAAGUCAUCAGAGUUGUCAAUGGUUAGACCCAACUAUAAUAUGGUCCAACUAUGGUAUCCCAUUAAAUGAGCCCUAAAACUAAACUCAAAGCCACAAUUGCUAGAAGAGAAAUUUACACGAGAUAGGUCAUGAUGAACUUCUCUAAUGAUAUUUUCUCAUGUGCUAUAGUGAGACUCACAAUAAACCUUACUAAUUUUUUAAAUAUAAAAUCUUAUGAAUCCCAUUAUAAAACACAUCUAUAAUUUCGCUUUGAAAUUUACUGCUCUGCACGUCUAAGCUAAGCGGAGAAUAGACUUCAUCAACAACGCUUUUGUGAAUAUGUGUUGCAUUACAACACUCCAAUGUGAUCCUCAUCCAAUAUCCAUUAUUUGUGAUCCUUAUUCCUCUGCGUCAAUUAAAUAUUGUUCCAUGAAUUUUUAAUUAUUUGUCAGCUAAUAAUUAAGUCAUAUAAACAAAUUAAUAAUCUGAAUUAGUCUUUAGGUAUUAUAAAUAUUUGUAGAUUUUUAAUUAUAAUAUCAUUAUUUAAAAGUAAUGCUUCACUUACAUUAGUGGCAUGCCAUUACCACUGUCAUAAAACAUGUGAUCCUCAUCCAAUAGCCAUUAUUUGUGAUCCUUAAUCAAUGAAAUAUCUGACAAUAUCUGCGUCAAUUACAGUCCAGUCCAAUGCUGCCAUCAUUAUCGAACAGUCGAUAUCCAACACUUGCAUGAAGAUUCCAAGAAGUUGCAUGGCUGCCGACUUUUAGAUGCUAAGCCUCAUUGUGUCGAUGAUACACGAAACAGAGCUUAGAACUAAACAGUAGCUUAGUCGGAAAAUCAAACGCCAGUGCCGGUAAAAUGACCGAUAAAAAUAUAAGGAAAUAAAAAUUUUAAAGUUUUACUUCAUUGCUUUUUUAAUCUUAUUACUAUUUCUUCUUGCACUUCUAAAGAAAUCAAAGCUUUAAAAGAAAUCAGCCAAAUCACGAAGAUUGAAGUGAACAAAAAUUUUAGGUUUUAUACAACAUCUCUUUUUUUUUUUUUUUUGGUUCUAUUUGAAGUGAACGAAAUAAAAAUACAACAGGGUCAGCGACUGGGCAAUUGAUAGUCAAGUAGAAGCAAAUCAAGGCUAAAUGGGAAAGAGAAAUAAUAUUUGUACAAAACAAAGAGAAAAUUAGUGUAACAGAAGAGAAUCAAAGUGCUUUGGGAUCAGAAAUUGAAACAAGAAAAGGGUCGCUUGAUCCAAUGAAAAUGCUAAGAGCUGAUGGCAAAAGGGAACAAAGUUCAACAAGAAAACAAAUAGCACUAGCAGCGACCAAAAUAAACAGAAAAUUUGAGAUGGAUUUACAAUAUUUCUGCCUUUCUUUAUGCUUUAACAAAUAUUGCUCUAUCAAUAUAUAUAUAUAUAUAUAUUGAGCGUUUUUAUUAUUGGAGUCACAAAAGACCUACACAAUAUAGCAAGUGGCUAGGAAUAAAUAAGAUAUAUAACUUUCUCUCUAAUUCUCGCUCGGGCUUUUAAUUGUCACUCAAAACCCAGAAUUCAUACUUAAAAUUGUAAGCAAGUCAGACAUGACAGCGUCUGGUUGUCAUACGCGCCUUCUAGUUUCCGGAUGACAUGGCAUACACUUAUUCUGUAAAUCCAACAUGACAUGCCGUACUCUUUGUUUUGAGAUCAUAUUUCAAACUCUUCAUGCAAUGAAUGAAACAUAAACUACAAUCAUCAAAACUUUAGUGUUUGUUUGGUAAUGUAACGUCACGGUUGUUGUGAAUUGAAAUUAUUUCUGUAAAAUAAAAGGAUUUGGGUCAUUGAUUGUUAUUUCUGGCAAUAUUUGUUAAAUAUUAAAAAAAUAAAUUUAUAUUUAUUAAGUAUAAAAAAUAAAUAAACAAACAAAAAUAAAAGAAAAAAUUUAUACAUUACGUAAAAUAAUAAGAACAAUAUCAAUAUUUCACACUCUAUAAUUGAGUGAUGUGUUGUCCAACUGCCAUACAUUGGUCCCAAACAGAGACUUAAAUAUUAAAGUCCAAAGUUAUUGUGAUGAUGACUUAUAAUCGCCAAACUUGACAUACGGGUAAUCAUACAUUAUAAGGCGCUGAUUUCUUCCUAUCGGAACCUUAUUUUUCAUUUACAAAUAAAUAAAUUAUGUGACUUCACGGUUGGCGGGGUCCUUUGUGUCAUUUGGGCAUUUCACUAAAUGAUUGAUUGUAGCAGGAAGAUUCCUGGAAGUUGCCAUAAUGCUACUAACAUUUUAAAACUUGGAAAACCCUUCUAUCAAUCUUUUAGUGGUAGGCUCUGGUAGCUUGGUUUGAUUAUGGCGUAUGAUUAUUUGAUAAUAAAGUUAGAGGAUGUAUUAAUAUAAAAUUUGUUUAUUGGUGUUGAAGUUAAUUAUCUCAUUAAUAAUAGUAUAAAAAAUUAAUUACUAAGAAACACAUAACAGUAGUUAAUUGGUGUUAUAUUAUUGGGAUUCUGGGAUAUAAUUUUAUAUCAUAACUUUGUAGGUGUAUACUUACUCAUCAAACUAAUAAAAUUAUUUAAAAAUUUCAGUUGGAAAACAUAAAUUAUAUUAUUUUCAUUUCAAAUAAUCUAUAAGUUAACUCAAAACAUAAUCAAGCUGAGAAUUAAAAUAAUGCUACUGUAUGAGAGGAUUUUUAUUUUUUCCCGAAGUUUCACUAGGAAAUUAUUGAUACAUAGCUUUAUUCGGAUCAUCUCAGUUCAAACGACAAAUAAUUGAAAGACUAAGCUAAAUAGACCAGCCAACAACUUUGUACAAGAGAGUUCAAAAAUUAAAGUCAUGGUAUUAAAGUGUUCUAUAUUGAAAAGUACAGUGUAGUAAUAAAAUAAAAACUAAUAGUCUUUGGUAAGAUAUGACAUUUAAAUAAUAAUUUUCACAAAAAUACAAAGAAUAUUUAUAAAGUACUUCUAUAAUGAGGAGACCCUCACUUUGUUAAAGUGAAAAUAUCAAUAAUAUAAAAAAGACAUAUAUUUUAACACAUUAAAAAUUAUAUUUUUUUUUGUCUAUUGGUGUAUUGAAAUGUGUGUUAUUUAGUUUGUUAAUAAUAUAAUCACUUUGUUAAAAUGAGGAUGUCGUUGCUAGAGAAUCAUUAUAUAUACAUAUAUAUAUAAAGUGCUUCUGUCCAAGACCUACACUUUAUUAAAAUUUAAGAAAGCAAAUAUAUUUUAUAUGGUAUAAUAGUGUAAUUACAUCACACUAUUAUAUCAUAUAGAGUAAUAAUUUUUCGAACUUUAAUAAAGUUCAAGAUUAUAGAAUAAAUAAUUUAUAUAUAUUAUAAAUUUUUUUUAUCAUAAAGUGGAGGACAAAAUUAACAUAUUUAUUAAAUUAUAAUAAGUAUUUAUCAAAUAAUUUAACAUUGCAAUUUCUCCUAACUAGUAUAGUAAAUAAUACGACCUAGGAGGUACAUUCAAAAGCAUUUCAUAAGUUAGCUGAUAAUAAUAAAUGAUAUAUGCAGCCCAAUCAUCAUUGUACGGUGAGUAAUUUUUGAUGACUUAAUUUAGUGGGAUCAAAAUCAACAUUGAAUUUUUGACCAGCUGCCAACAACUUGUGAGCAGUUCACAGUGGGUACUGCACAUGAUGCCUGUUUCUCCUUUUGCAUCUAUUUUUGUUGUUAACAUUAAUUUCAAUAGCAGCUCGUUAAUCCCAUUUGUUGAUUUGGGACUAGAUAAGAAUUUAUCUUGGAACUCCAAUUCUCCAAUUAUUUUAGUUGACAAUAUAUUUAACAUUAUUAAUUGCAUAUUAUUUAAUUAUCAGUAUAUAAUAUUCUUUAAUUUUCUAAUUUUAUAGGAUUAGACACAAAAUUGAUUAUGCCUUUUGAAAUUUAAGGGUUAUGUCAAUUGAAUAGAAAACUUGGAGUUAAACUUGUGGAUGUUUUUGUUGAUUAUCAGUUUAUGCAUGAAUUUUUGUACGUUUACUUUGGUUUAUAAUUAUUACUUUUAAACAUUUUUAUUGGUUUGAUUUAUGGUCAAUUUGGUAAUCCUGUAGCUUUUAAAAUAAUUGCAAUUAGCUAUACUGUAGAAAUUGAUCAAUCGUCAAGAAAAUCAGCUGAACAUUUAGUAAAAUUUAUUUUUAAAAGUACUUUUAGUUUUGAAAGCGUCGUAUGAAUGAAACUGUUACACUAAAAAUUAAAUGUAUUGCCCACUUGGGUAAAUAAAGCUAUAUAUUACAACUGUUACACUAAAAAUUAAAUGUAUCUUAAACCCAAACUUCUUCUUCUUUUUUUUUUUUGACUAACAAAAUUAAAAACAAUAGUGAACACAUUCUUUAAUAAACAAUAAGUAAUAACUAAAAUCAUGUUAAAUUUCUUAAAAAAUUUCUUUCACGGUUUGCUAAAUAUUUUUAUUAGUAUUUUGAAUAAAUAAAAAUAGUUGAUUUAAUUUUUUUAAAUAAACUUAUUAGGUUCAUGUAAAGAUGUUUUUGUUAUUUUAAAAAGUGUAGAAAGUACUCCUAAAAAAAAGCGUAGAAAGUAAAACUUAAUUUUUUAAAUUUAUUUGCUGAGUGCAUAAAUAAUUGAGUGUUCAUAAUGAUUUUUAAAGUAUAGAUAGUCGGACCCUAAUUUUUUAAUAUAUGGAAAUUUUGCUAAUAUGUUAAUGAGAAUUAAAAAGAUAAUUAAGGGAGGCAAUCGAGACAUUCAGGAUAGUUAGGAUGGGACAUGAUUGUGAGCGGUUUGAUAUUGGUCCUAAUUUUGAUCACAAAUAUAUAAACAGGACGAGUUUAUCUCUACUUACAUUCCAUUUGAUAAUUAAGAUGAGAACGGAAUUGUCAAAUCUCAAAUCAUCCCGAACCAUUGCCAUCAAAGGUACUCUCACUAAUAAUAUCUAAAGAAAAAUCUACAUCUAUUUCAUACUCUUUUUUUUUAAAUGGAAAGAGCCCUCAUGGGGCUUGAAAUGUUAUCCUAAAUAGUAUUCAGAAUAUCAAGCCAUGAUUGGGUUUGAGACAAACAAAUAUUACAUAGUUAGGAUACGUAGUUAUAGUGUCCCAAUUUAUGUAGUAUCUAUCAUUUAGUGCACAUAUAAAAUAUUUGGACAUAUAAAAUAUUAAUCAACUUAAUUAAUUUAUAAAAUUUAAAUCUAAUUAAUAAGUGAUACAUAAAUGCCAAGUGCAAUACUGUAUAUGCAAAUCAUGUUUGUGGAUCAUUACAAAACUGGCUCUUGAAAACAAGCAAGAAAGCUUAAUUAAGAACUUAAAACAAAAAGAAUUAGAUUGAAAACAGUCAAGCUUUAUUUUUUCAAGGAUGGAGCUUAUAAAUCUUCAAGUACCAACAUAUGCUUGGUGUUGUGCAAAUUUUAAUGUACUCGCAAGCGCACGAAUCUAUUGUAGUAUCGAUCAAUGGUGACGAGUGUCGAUCCCACGAGAAGGUGGAUUUUAAUUGUGUAGAAUUAAUUUUGUAAAUGGGUGAUUGGAUUUGUGGUGGAAAUGAUUUGGAAUAUGCUAAAACUUAAAUUAAAAUGGCAAGAAUAAAUUUUAAAAUUGGUAUUGAAAUGGCGAGAAUAAAUUGAAGAGAAUUCUAUUGAAAUGACGUACUUGGGUAUCUGGAUCCGUAUCAACAUGCAUCAUGGGCUAAAUAAUCCUUAUUAAUGCCAAUUAAAUCAUGAGGGGGGAAUCCACACCUCAUGAACCACGCUCUAAUCAAUAUUGUGCUAAGGGCUUAUCGUGCCAAAUAAUAAUAACCUUGUACUAGGGGGCCGGUGAAACCAAGGCGGUACUAGACAAGAUUAGUAUUAUUUUUCGACGAGAAGUCAAAACAUCCACAAAAACUAGAGGGGAAGAGAAAAUAAAUUUACCAAAUAAGCCAUGACACAUGUUGAGACUUCACCUUCAACCCAAGCUUGAAAGAAAAUUAGCCACUCAUAAUUGAACUAGGGGCAAAAUGGAAAUUUAUUAAAAUAUGAAGAAAAUACAAGAUGGAGAAGGAAUUACAGAAAAUGGAUCCCAAAAAUGGAUUCAGAGAUCUCAAAUUAGGGGGGAGAGGCCCGCUUUUUAUAGAUACAUGGAGUAAAUCAUGACCAUCGGAUUAAAAACAGUUUGGACGCUCAGGAUUACGCCACGUCAUCAGUCAACAGUACGCGGUUUGACCACGCGGAUGAACAGUAAUGCGGUUUGGUUGAAAAUAAUCCUGUGUGAUGCAUGUACCGUACGCGAGAUUUUUCGUCCACUGAUAUGCUGCCACGUCACCAUCAACAAUUCAUAAGAAUUUUAGCCCAAUAGGAUCGUGACACCUCAUCAGUCAAUGCCACAUCAUCGGUCAAUGCCACGUCAUCGAUCCGUAUAUGUAAACAGUGUCGUGAACAGUAACGUAGACAGUACUGUACACAUGAAUAGUACCGUACAUGUGAAUAGUGCCAUUUUUCCUUUUAUGCUCCUCCUAAGGUUUUCGACCGUCCUGAGUUCAAAAGUGAUGUCCGUUUUGCCGUCUGACCUCUCCUUUAUUGUGAAAUGACUAUAAUGCCCCUAAAAUACAUAAAAUACUUAAUUAAAAUAAAACACAUGUAAUUAAAUCACAAGAAGAUUAAAUACAUAAAAGUAAGGGUUGUUAGUAAGACUUGAAAUGUAAAAUGAUGGUUUUCUCCUUUAUAAAUAUGCAUUUUCUAACACUCAACACACCCCCCAACUAGCUUAUUGCUAGUCCCUAGCAAAUAAAGCGAAAAUAAAAUUCAAAUUCAAAAUGAUUUUUUUUUUUUUAGAAACACUCGUGUUUAUUCAAUCAGAUUAAUGAUAGCAAUCAAAUAAAAGUAUAAGCAUUAUCUCCAGUCUAAAGCAACAUCACACCCACAUCAACCAUCCACAUGAAUCAGCCCAGUAGACUUCGUUAUAGCUACUUUCAAGAAUGACAUGUCAAACCCCAAAAUCUCACUGGAAGUAGUGACACUCUCACAAAGAAAUUAAAACCAAUAAAAAUAGUCACUCCAAUGAAUGUAAUUGAGAGAGAAAAUAAUAAAGAAGUGAUAUCACAUGCUCUCACCAAGAUGAAAUAAAUAUGCCCCCAGCUUAGAAAUAAUACGAUCUCAAGUCAAAUAAAAAUGCUAGUCAACCCAAUUUAUUUAUCUUUUUUUUUCUUUUAUUUAUUUAUUUAUUUUUAUUAUGCACCACUACAUCUUUUUAGCCCAUAUAACUAGUUUCUACUUCAGAUUAUAGUUCCCUAAAAUCGGGAAGGACUUUUAUUAGGAUGUAACGUAGGCUAGGGACAUGGUUAACAAAGAAGGGAAAUAAGGAAAACAAAGUGUAUGUUUGAGAAAAAUGCAGAGGAAAUUUUUUUUUUUUUGGAAGUUACAAGGUGGAUUUCACCUAUUAUUGUUAUUAUUAUUAUUAUUUUUUUUUUUUGCUUUUGCUUGGCACAAUGUCACUAAAUAAAAUAAUUAUUUACAUUUUCUCAAACAUAAAUAGGUGAUGGAACUUAUAAGACAUCGGGUAAUACUCCAAAUCGGAGUGGGUCAAGAUGAUAAGUUGACAAAGAAAAUAUAUAUAUAUAUUUUUAAAGGCUCAAAAGGGUUAACUAUGGAUAUUUAAUAAAAGGGAUGGUUAGAAAGGCUCAAACGGAUCAAAGAUGGCCUUUCCAUCGUCUUUUAGGGCUCUAAAUAAUCAUCUAUAUCUACUAGUUAGAUGGGCCUCCAAAUGUAGCUACACACAUUUUUUUUCUUUUUUUUUUAAUUUUAUAAUUUUUUUUUUAAGGGUUAACUCAAAAGAAAUCUAGAGAUCGUGUAUACAAUAAUAAACUGUUAAGCUGUAUAAAGAAUGGGCAAAAGGGUUACUCUCCAAGAAAAAUGAUAAUCUCAAAAACUCACUUGGUACUUAUUAUGACAUGUUCAUUCCUUCAAGCAACUCAUAUUUGUCUCCGACAUCAACAUGUAGAGUAGCAAACAUAAUGUAACAUCACUUAAGACCAAAGAUAAUACAAAUACUAAAAUUUGAAAUUAAUCAUGUCAUCCAAUGUUAAAACAAAUCACACAAUUUUUUUUUUAAACAACAUUCUACCCCCCAACCUAUUCUAAACGUGAAAGGAAAAUAUGCAUGCAGAAAUGUGAAAAUGAUGCAUAAAAACUAAUUAAAAAAAGUUACACGUAAAAUGAUAGAAAACGAAAAUGGUUUUUUUUUUUAAGAAGAUGUGUUUCUAGAGGCACUACACUCCAUAUUCAGCCAUCUUCGACUCAUAAGUUGGAAAAUGUAUAUUUAUAGAGGAGAAAUUAAAAAGAAGAAAAAUAAACAUAAAAACAGAAUAAAGAAAAAGAAAAUGUCUGAAUUUUUUUUUUGUUUUUUAAUUUUUUUUUAAACGAUGAAGAUGCGUUUCUAGAGUCACUACACUCCAUAUUCAGCCAUCUUCAACACAAAAAGUUAGCAACAGUUAGUUUCUACAACAAAAAAUUAGUAAAAACUUAACCAAAAUUUCACAAUUGUCGACUAUUCCCUCCCCCCAACCAGAACGAAACAUUGUCCUCAAUGUUUGAAAGGAAAGAAGUAGAGUUUAGAAGACAUCAACUGGGUGGUGCAACACAGAAAACAAUAUUUACAAGUGGAGAGUUAAAUCUAAUUUGUACUUCUUACUGCGGCUACUGUUACCAUCAUUAUUUGGAUGCUCCAACACAAAGGUCCAGGGGUCUGGCUCCGGUCUAUAAGCUUGUAACAUAUCAAGUAGCUCAUUAGCAGUGUGAGCACAAAUAAAGAGUUUUUUCGCAUUAGAGGGAAUGAAAUAGUUUUUUAUUGCAUGGUUAAGAAAUGCGAUAAAGCCAUCAUAAAAGUUAUUGACAUUUAACAAACCAAUGGGUUUCUGGUGGAUGUGCAGAUGGGCCCAAGAUGCUAGUGUGAUAAGUGCCUCUAGUGUUGCAAGAUCUCCUGGAAGGAAAAUAAAAUGAUUAAGCAUUUCAGUUAUUCUUUCAUGCAUACUUGAGACGACUAACUCUUCUCCAGUUGAUGAGUCAGACGAACUGUCCAAAGGUUUUAGGGCUCUUGGGAUGAUGCCUAACACUUGGCUGCCUCUGAUAAAAGCUGCUUCUGAGACCAUUUUUGAUAACCCUCGAUUACCUCCUCCAUACACCAAGUGUAAUUUUCUCUCUGCUAUACUUCGACCAAGAUCGAUGGCUGCCUCAACGAACUCUUUAUGUUUGCCAUAGGUAAAUCCAGAAAUCACACAAAUGUUCUUGAAUUGUCUAUUUGGAGGAGCUACCAUUGUGAUACUUCUCAAAAAAUAAUUUGUGAGUGCUUGACAAAAAAAAAUCACAUUUAAGAGUCUUGGUGACAGUGGGUCACAGUUGUGUAUGAGGUAACACGUCAGUGUCAAAUAACGCGUAAAGCACGUGGCUCGCGAGUCAAAAAGGAAACAGUAAAAAGGAAAAAGCAAACAGUAAUAAGGAAAAAGUAAACAGUAAUAAAAUUAUUAAAGACAAUAAUGCACACAAUAAAACAAUAGUGAAAUAAAAUAACAGUAAAGUGAAAGGAUAUUUACAGGUAGUUGCGACUGUAGCUCACAUCUUCCUCUGGUUUUACGUCCAGAAACGGCUUAAACGCCCUCUAUGGGUCGAGGAUAGGCUUCCUAUCUAGUUUUCUUAUAAACUGGCAAACAGGGUCGUUUAUAGUCAGAUUCCCGAGACUAUAUCGUGCAUGCUCUUUCUGGAAUAAUGGCCAUAACUGGAGAAUCGCUCCUUGCACAUAUCCAUUGGGAUGCGUUUCAAGAGAUAAAAGGAUAUCAUCCAAUGACUCCUUAUUCAAGCCAUCCCUAAUGAAUUGAAUCUUAUAUUCCCUGUUAUCAGACACCAUUCCUAAAGAACAUGGGUUUUUAUUCCUGCUCAUUCUGGCACACUUAUGACAAGCAACAGAAAUUCUUCGAGCUCGUCGUUUUCUUGCAUAAUUUCCUUUACCACAACCAGGCAUGUAUGCAAUAAAUUUUGGAGGUAACUCACCUGCCGAUCGUACUUUAGCCUCGAUUAACCAACGGAUGUCAGCAGGUAUGUUAUUCCUCAUGAGUAAUCGCAUGCGUUCGGACCGAGCUUUAUAGAUCGUAAGGAGGGCAUUCUGAGGAAGUGAAGGGAAUCGCUUGUGAAGCUUCGCUAGAAUCUCGUUUCUGUCCAUACUUUCACCUCAGAAUAUCAGUUAUUAUGAGAAACUGAAGUAACCGACUUGAUUGUCACGGAGUACCGUUAUCCGCCACUUCACCGGGGUAACAAACUAAAGCACACAAACAGAAAAAUAAAUUAAAACACACAAAGAAAAUUAAAAUUGUCCUCUUAUUGAAUUUACCUCAAGCUCCAACUGGAUGUCGUAAACACUUCUCUCAAUGUCUCUGAGUUGUCUUUCUAAACCCUCAACAUAGGCUACUAACUCUGGUGGUUGUAGAGCCCAAAUGCGAUGUGUUUUACAAAAUUGAAUCUGCCUUUUGAGAUGAGUUUUGACACAUUGAAGUGGUUUAAGAAUGUUCAGGAGGAACGGUCUAAGUAAGGUACUCAUGAUUAAAAACGAUAAAAGAAAACUUAAUAGUUAAACAAACACAUUUAUGCAAAAAUAAUUUCAAUUAGCAGAAGAAUAAUAUAAAGAAAAAAAAAUCAAAUCAACGAAAAGAAAAAAAAUCAAUUCAAAUCUGGUGGGUCACUCAAAUUUAUUUCGGUGUCUUCUCCAUGUGGUUGGUACUCUAGAUAUGGCUUUAAUCUUUGACCAUUAACUUUAAACGUGACACCGUUGUUUGGGUCCUUAAUUUCAAUUGCCCCAUGUGGAAAAACAGUAUGACCAAUAAAGGGACCAGACCAUCGAGAACGUAACUUACCUGGGAAUAGGUGCAAGCGAGAAUUGAAUAAAAGCACUUUCUAACCUGGAGUGAAUGAUUUUCUCAUAAUUUGCUUGUCAUGGAAGACUUUCAUCCGUUGCUUGUAAAUCUUGGUAUUUUCGUAUGCGUCAUUGCGAAUUUCUUCAAGUUCUGCCAGUUGUAAUCUUCUUUCUGAGCUGGCUUGCUGCAUGUCAAAGUUGAAUUUCUUGAUGGCCCAAUACGCACGAUGCUCGAGUUCCACAGGUGGGUGGCAAGCUUUUCCAUACACUAGCCUGUAGGGUGACAUCCCAAUCGGGGUCUUGAAAGCCGUUCUAUAUGCCCAUAAUGCAUCAUCAAGUCUUAAUGACCAAUCUUUUCUGUCCGGCUUCACCGUCUUUUCUAAUAUGUGCUUUAUUUCUCGAUUGGAGAUCUCAACUUGGCCACUGGUUUGCGGAUGAUACGGGGUCGCCACUUUGUGUGUGAUUGAAUACUUUGUCAAAAGAGUUUUGAAUGCUUUGUUACAAAAGUGGGCACCACCAUCACUGAUUAUUGCUCGAGGGAAUCCAAAGCGCGAAACAAUGUUGCUUUUCAAAAAUCCUAUCACCACCUUGUGAUCAUUGGUUCUACAUGGAAUUGCUUCUACCCAUUUCGAUACGUAGUCAACACCAACCAAUAUGUAUUGAUGGCCAAAAGAAGGGGGAAAGGGUCCCAUAAAGUCGAUACCCCAUAUGUCAAAAAUCUCAACCACUAAAAUUGGAUUUAGUGGCAUCAUGUUCCUUCGUGUAAUGCUCCCCAUUCGUUGACACCUAUCACAUGAAGAACAGAAAGUGUAAGCAUCUCGAAAUAUAGUUGGCCAAUAGAAACCACAUUGUAAAACUUUAGUUGCUGUUUUCUUAGCACUAAAAUGGCCUCCACAAGCUUGUUCAUGGCAGAAUGAAAGGAUAUUCUGAAUUUCACUUUCUGGGACACAUCGUCUAACAAUUUGGUCUGCACAAUACUUGAACAAAUACGGGUCAUCCCAAAAGAAAUUCUUUAUCUCUGCAAAGAAUUUAGCCUUAUCUUGCUUGGGCCAAUGCUCUGCAAGUUUACCUGUAACAAGAUAAUUAACUAUAUCAGCAUACCAUGGUAAUACUUCCACAUUCAUUAAUUGUUCAUCUGGAAAUGACUCAUUCAAUAUUAAUGGCUCUGUAAUUGUGUCAAAAUGGAGACGAGAGAGGUGGUCCGCCACAACAUUUUCUGUCCCUUUCUUAUCUUUGAAUUCCAAGUCAAAUUCCUGCAAAAGUAACACCCAACGAAUUAGUCUAGUUUUUGCAUCUUUCUUUGUGAGAAGAUAUUUAAGAGCAGCAUGAUCUGUGAAUACAAUUAUUUUACAACCAAUGAGAUAAGAUCGAAAUUUCUCUAAUGCAAACACUACUGCUAGCAUUUUUUUUUCAGUAGUUGAAUAGUUCAACUGUGCAUCAUUCAAUGUCAUACUAGCAUAGUAAAUAAUGUGGGGAAUUCGAUCAACUCUUUGUCCUAAUACUGCUCCUACUGCAUAAUCAGAUGCAUCACACAUGAGCUCAAAUGGUAAGCUCCAGUUUGGGGGCUGAAUAAUGGGUGAUGAUGUCAACAACUGCUUUAGUUUUUCAAAUGCCACAAGACAUAAAUCAUCAAAGAUAAAAGGUACAUCCUUAGCAAGUAAAUUGCAUAAGGGUCUAGAAACUUUGCUAAAAUCUUUAAUGAAACGUCUAUAGAAACCAGCAUGCCCAAGGAAAGAUCUUACCUCUCUGACUGUUUUGGGUGGAGGAAGAUUAGAAAUGAGAUCCACCUUGGCUUUGUCAACCUCAAUACCUUUGCUCGAAAUGAUGUGACCGAGAACAAUACUUUGUUUUACCAUAAAAUGACACUUCUCCCAAUUUAAGACCAAGUUCUUCUCGAUACAUCUCUGCAGAACUAAUGUUAGAUGAUGUAAACAUUGAUCAAACGAGUCACCAAAGACAGAAAAAUCAUCCAUAAAGACUUCAAGGAAUCGUUCAAACAUAUCAGAAAAAAUGUUCAACAUGCAUCGUUGAAAUGUAGCAGGUGCAUUACAUAAUCCAAAUGGCAUUCUCUUAUAUGCAAAUGUGCCAAAAGGGCAAGUGAAAGUAGUUUUCUCUUGAUAUUUUGGUGUUAUGGGAAUCUGAUUAUAUCCUGAGUAGCCAUCUAGAAAGCAAUAAAAUUCAUGGCCUACCAAUCUAUCAAGCAUUUGAUCGAUAAAUGGUAAAGGAAAAUGGUCUUUACGUGUGAUAGAAUUCAAUUUUCUAUAAUCAAUGCAUACACGCCAUCCUGUAGUUACUCUAGUUGGUAUCAAUUCAUUAUCAGCAUUGGUAACUACUGUGACUCCUGACUUUUUGGGGACAACUUGUACAUGACUGACCCAUGAACUAUCAGAAAUGGGGUAAAUGAUACCUGCAUCUAAUAGCUUAAGGACUUCAGUUCUAACAACUUCUUUCAUGUUAGGAUUUAACCGACGUUGCAUUUCCCUAGUAGAUUUAGCAUUUUCAUCAAGGUGAAUGUAAUGCAUGCAGUCUAUUGGGUUUAUAACUUUUAUGUCUGCUAUGGUCCAUCCUAAUGCUCCUUUAUGCUCUUUUAAAAUAUCCAACAACUUACCUUUUUGUUCGUCAUUUAGGGAUGAUGAUAUGAUUACCGGCAGAGUACUUUCUUCUCCCAAAAAUGCAUAUUCCGGAGUGUUGGGUAAUGGUUUGAGCUCAAGUUUCGGUGGUGAUUCUGAUGAUGGGAUGAGUUUCUUCUCUGAUGGUGCUAGUUGUUCAACUCUUGACUUUCAUUUAUUAGUGUCCAUGGAUGGUGCUGAGUCAAGUAGGGCGUUGACCUCAUCAACUGAUCUGUCAAUAUCAAAAUCCAAACCAAAGUGAGUUAAACAUGUUUGUAAAGGAUCAUCACUAAUGUUUGAAAGAAAAGUAUUAUCAACUAUUGUUUCUAUUAAAUCCACAUCAACAAUUCCAUCAUCUGCACUGUGAGGUUGUUUGGCAAUGUUGAAGAUGUUCAGUUCCAUAGUCAUGUUGCCGAAGGACAACUGCAUAUUUCCUGUCCUGCAUUGAAUGUGAGCAUCCGCAGUUGCCAAGAAAGGUCGGCCUAGAAUAAUGGGGAUGUGCUUCCUUGAAUCCUGUAUUGGUUGAGUGUCAAUUACAAUGAAAUCAACAAGAAAAUAAAAUUUGUCUACCUGGAUAAGCACGUCCUCCACAAUGCCACAAGGUAUUUUCGUGGACCGAUCUGCAAGCUGUAACACCACUGGGGUUAGGUGUAAUUCUCCAAGUCCAAGUUUCACGAAUACAGAGUAAGGCAAAAAAUUUACACUAGCUCCUAAAUCCAACAAAGCAUUCUCAAUUGUGUGGUUCCCUAUGCUACAUGAGAUAGUGGGAGAGCCUGGGUCUUUGCAUUUUAGAGGAAUUUUAUGUUGGAGGAUAGAACUAACGUUUUCUGUUAAAAAUGCCUUCUUUUGAACAUGCAUAUUUCUCUUUUUAGUACAAAGGUCUUUAAGAAACUUGGCAUAAGAUGGAACUUGCUUUAUAGCAUCAAGUAAAGGGAUGUUAACACUUACCUGUUUGAAGAUUUCAAGAAUCUCACCUGUGGAUUUUCCCUUUUUGCUUUUAGCUAACCUCUGAGGAAAUGGAGCUUUGGGAACGUAUUCUCGUGAGUUGCUCGUCCUCUCUCUGGGUAAACUCCGAGAUUUCCUUGCGAAUAGCAUUGGUUUUAUGCACUGGGAAAUAUUUAUUCAAAAAUUUUGUAACCAUUUAUUCCCCAUGAUGCAAUGCUAUUAGCAGGCAAUGUAUUAAGCCAUGAACAAGAUCUAUCCUUUAAAGAAAAUGGGAAUAGUCUAAGUUUAACAUCAUCGUCUGAAAAAUUUUCAUAUUUAAAUGUUUGACAAAUGGCAUGAAAAUCAUUCAAAUGAUUAUAUGGGUCCUCAUUUUCUAGGCUAUAAAAUGUUGGGAGACAAUUUAGCACACUAGGUUUUAGUUCAAAACUCCUAGCAGCUACAUUUGGGUAUCUUAUGCAUGAUGUGCUCAAAUUAGCUAAAGGACUAAAAUAAUCCUUAAAUGGCCUCUCAUGUGGUGCUUGUAAAUCCAUUUUAUGUUUAACGUGUUUGUGUGUGCGAAGUGUUUUCUCAAGUUCAAGGUCUAUAGGUUCAAGAUUAGGUAAUAAUGACCUACGACCAUGCAUGCAAAACAAAUAAAAUAAAAAUAAAGAUGAGAACAAAACAAAUAAAGAAGAGGGAGAUAUUACGAUACUAACCUUAUUGCGCUAUUACAACAUUUCUAUAAAAAUACACAAAAACAAAUACGUGAAAUAAAUUAACUAAAAAUUAAAUUAAUAAAAUAAACAAAAAUUACAAAGAAAAAUAAAUUGAAAAUUAAAUUACAGAAUUUUAAAGAAGAGAAAAAGAAAAGAAAUACUAACCUUUAUAUGUAGAUUCACUUUUUUUUUCUUUUUUUUUAAUAAUUAAAAAAAUACAAGAAAACAAAUAAAAGAAAUUAUUCACAAAAAUUAAUUCUAUGAAUUAAAAUUACUUACCUCCCCGGCAGCGGCGCCAAAAACUUGUUGUGCAAAUUUUAAUGUACUCGCAAGCGCACGAAUCUAUUGUAGUAUAGAUCAAUGGUGACGAGUGUCGAUCCCACGAGGAGGUGGAUUUUAAUUGUGUAGAAUUAAUUUUGUAAAUGGGUGAUUGGAUUUGUGGUGGAAAUGAUUUGGAAUAUGCUAAAACUUAAAUUAAAAUGGCAAGAAUAAAUUCUAAAAUUGGUAUUGAAAUGGCGAGAAUAAAUUGAAGAGAAUUCUAUUGAAAUGACGUACUUGGGUAUCUGGAUCCGUAUCAACAUGCAUCAUGGGCUAAAUAAUCCUUAUUAAUGCCAAUUAAAUCAUGAGGGGGGAAUCCACACCACAUGAACCACGGUCUAAUCAAUAUGGUGCUAAGGGCUUAUCGUGCCAAAUAAUAAUAACCUUGUACUAGGGGGCCGGUGAAACCAAGGCGGUACUAGACAAGAUUAGUAUUAUUUGUCGACGAGAAGUCAAAACAUCCACAAAAACUAGAGGGGAAGAGAAAAUAAAUUUACCAAAUAAAGCCCAUGACACAUGUUGAGACUUCACCUUCAACCCAAGCUUGAAAGAAAAUUAGCCACUCAUAAUUGAACUAGGGGCAAAAUGGGAAUUUAUUAAAAUACGAAGAAAAUACAAGAUGGAGAAGGAAUUACAGAAAAUGGAUCCCAAAAAUGGAUUCAAAGAUCUCAAAUUAGGGGGGAGAGGCCCCCUUUUUAUAGAUACAUGGAGUAAAUCAUGGCCAUCGGAUUAAAAACAGUUUGGACGCUCAGGAUUGCGCCACGUCAUCAGUCAACAGUACGUGGUUUGACCACGCGGAUGAACAGUAACACGGUUUGACCCGGAUGAACAGUAACACAGUUUGGUUGAAAAUAAUCCUGUGUGAUGCAUGUACCGUACGCGAGAUUUUUCGUCCACUGAUAUGCUGCCACGUCACCAUCAACAAUUCAUAAGAAUUUUAACCCAACAGGAUCGUGACACCUCAUCAGUCAAUGCCACAUCAUCGGUCAAUGCCACGUCAUUGAUCCGUAUAUGUAAACAGUGUCGUGAACAGUAACGUAGACAGUACCGUACAUGUGAAUAGUGCCAUUUUUCCUUUUAUGCUCCUCCUAAGGUUUUCGACCGUCCUGAGUUCAAAAGUGAUGUCCGUUUUGCCGUCUGAUCUCUCUUUUAUUGUGAAAUGACUAUAAUGCCCCUAAAAUACAUAAAAUAUUUAAUUAAAAUAAAACACAUGUAAUUAAAUCACAAGAAGGUUAAAUACAUAAAAGUAAGGGUUGUUAGUAAGACUUGAAAUGUAAAAUAACGGUUUUCUCCUUUAUAAAUAUGCAUUUUCUAACACUCAACACUUGGCCCAAUUGUUGUUAUUAAAAUUUCAAUAUACAUAUAUAAGUAUGAUAUAGCAAAAAUUUGAUGGUACAUAUCUCGGAAUAUACUAGUUCAUGGAUGCAUUUGAUUAUUAUUUCCAUAAAUUUGAACCGAGAAGGAUGACAUGAUAAAAUUUGAUUUUAUGGUAUGGUUGAUUUCAGAUCUCAUGCCCUCAUUUCUUAAGAUAAUCAAAUUUUCUCUGGCAUCUUUUGCAACUGUGGAAAUAUCAAUUAUGAUCAAUCAAAACGAUUUCAAAACCUUUCAAUGAGACAUAUUUAUAAUACAAUAUUGUGAAAAUUACAACAAAAAUUUAAUUUAUUAAAUAAUAUAUUACUAUCCAACAAGCACACAAAAAUGAAUUCGUACAAAUCUAAAAUACUUAGCAAUUUUCAAAUAGAAUUUACCAUGUACUACAAGAAAAUAGGGUAUAUGUGACCCCUAAUGUGAAUGCAAAUUUGCAAAAGCAGCCAUUACGCAUGCCACUAACUUCUAACUUUGUAACCUCGAGUUGCUUUUGUUACCCUUUAUGUGACGGCCGCUGUCACAUAUGUUACUAACCACUCGUCACGGGAUGAGUAUUUUGCGCAGCUAACCCGUGCGGCACUUAGACAACUUUACCAAAUGUUGCUAAGUAAGCCUAGAGCUUCUCGAACUAGAGAAGAGAGCAAUUGAGCUGAAUGAGAAAACUUGUAUUGCACAAAGAGAGAAUACAAUGCUUGAGUUGCUUACAAAGCUUGUUGUUGUGAGUUUGUUGGAUGCAAAUGCCUAAUGCCAUCCCAUAUUUAUAGGGGAGGCUUGCCAAGCUCUAGAGAUUCUAGAGAAUUCUACCAUUUCCUAGCUAUUUACAUGUGCUGGAAAUGUAAAGAGAAUUCUAGAGUAUUUACAAGCUCACAUGUGCUAGAGUUGCCUAGAACUUUCCGGAAUUGGGCCAAGCUAGAACUCUUGGCCUUGUGUUGGCUCUCUAGCCCAAAAUUGUGGGUAAUUGGGCUAGCGAAUUGGGCGGACCGUAACAUCCUCCCCCACCUAAGCUCGCGGCGUCCUCGUCGCGAUCUCGUCCUUGCUCCUUUAGGGACUUGUUCCGCGAUUUGUCGUUAGUCUUCUUGUGCUUCACUCUUGGGGAGGUUCCGCCACUUGCUCCGCAUAUGAUCGUUUCCUUCUUUCGGUUGGUGUUGCGGCGUCCCCUCUUGUGUUUCCACAACUCAUCAUGCUCGGAUGGCUUUGUGCGUUGCUCAACCACUUGUCUUGAUGGGAGCUUCGGAGGCAUGGCGUCCUUGCCUUUAUCAUGGACGGUUCGUGCUUGUUGUGGGACUUGGCUUGGAGGGCUUUUGGAAUCCUCUCCCUUGUGGUGUUGCCGGAUGGAGACCAAGUGGUCCGAAUUCUUCUUGAAUCCUCAUCUGCAUUGCAUGACCGAGACCGCCUUUUUUACGGGUUGUGCACGCUCGACCGGUGCCACGCAUGCCUUACUCCCAUCGAAGAUGCUAAGGGAGUUCGUUGCUGGAAGUGGGAAGGCAUGUACCUUGUCGAAGAAUUCCAUGCCAAGGAUCAUUGCGAAGUCAUCCAUCGGCACAAUCGAGAAGUCGAGCUUCCCAUUCCAUGUCCCAAGCGUAACGUGUACGCCUCGUGUGGUUCCCCUAAAUGGCUUGGCGGGUGAGUUUACAGCCUUGAUGGUGCCUCCGUCUUGCGUUACCUUAAGGCCUAGACAUUUAGCCUCUUCUUCGGAGAUGAAGUUGUGUGCUGCUUCGGUGUCAAGGAGCGCACGAACGGUUUGACCAUUGAUGAGCACACUUACGAACAUGAGCCCUUUCCUUGUAGGUGUUGGUGGUUGGCUCACGAGUGUGCUAAGACGUUGGAGCGAACCCAAGUUGUGUUGAGGUUCCUCCGUAGGCGGUGUGUGUCGGCCCUUGAGUUGUGCCACGAGGGCACUCAGCGACUUUUUAUCCAGGCAGUCGCGCACUCAAUGAGGACCGUUGCAUAUGAAGCAUGGGCUUCGCGGCUUGGGUGACUUCUCGGAUUUACUUUGCCCGCCCUUGCCGCUUGGAAGCUUUUUCUUGCUCCACUCCUUGCAAUUGCGGUCGUUGUCCUCAUGGCUCUCUCCCCCACCUUGAUCGUAGCUAGACCUCUUGUCCUUGAGAUGGGCGGAGUAUUCGGUGAGAGACUCCGCAAUAGCAAUGGCGUCGUCAAGUGUUUGUAUGCCACGCCUGUCAAGCUCGGUCUUAGCCCAAUCCUUGAGGCCAUCUUGGAAGUAGAAGAGCGAAUCCUUGUCGGACAUGUUGCUUAUCUCCAACAUAAGGGUAGUGAACUCAUUGAUAUAGUCCCGAAUGCUACCCGAAUGCUUGAGGCGACGUAAGCGCGCUCGCGCUUCCUUCUCCGCAUUGCUUGGGGCGAACUGCUUUCGGAGUUCUUGCUUGAAGUCGGCCCAAGUGUCGAUGGUACAAAUGCCUUUGCCCAUCUCGCCAUGCUUGCGACGCCACCAUAGUUGUGCAGGGCCUCUAAGAUAGGUGGGUGCAGUGCACACUUUCGAUGCCUCAUCACGGACACCCAUGGCAUCGAAGUAUUGAUCCAGCCCGAAUAGGAAGUUGUCCACGAUUGUGGCAUUGUGUGUGCCAUCGUAUGUGUCGGGCUUUGGCACAUCAAUACGGUGCGCAUCACUCGAGUUUGUGGAAGCUGGACUUGCGGAGAGUGUGCGCUUGUGCCAUGCCCAAUCUGAGCGGACUUCAUCCACUUCCGCACGGACAGCGUGUAGUUCGUCCUGAACAAAACUACGAAGUUUGAGCAACUCAUCAUGGAAAGAACGAAACUCACCUCGGAGAGUGUUCGCUUGCUCUUGGAUGAGAGCUUUUGUUGCCACCGUGAACUCGGCGUAUUCCCCCUCGAGACUGUCCACUCGUUCCUCCAAUCCCUCGAGGCUAUCUUGAGCGGCGGACAAUGCGAUUUCGAGAGUAGUCACACGAGGCUCCAACGCAUCCACUGAUGCGGCUUUGGACUUGCCGCGAGUCUUGCUUUGGGCGCGUUCUCCCUCUCGGCUGCAGCUUGGUUCCGAUGGAACAUCCACACCAACAACACCCUCUUGUGCUACGUUCGAAGGGUUGGCCAUUGCUCGUGAGCUAACUUGCGUGCGUGCAAACCUUAGCUCUGAUACCACUUGUCACGGGAUGAGUAUUUUGCGCAGCUAACCCGUGCGGCACUUAGAUAACAUUGCCAAAUGUUGCUAAGUAAGUCUAGAGCUUCUCGAACUAGAGAAGAGAGCAAUUGAGCCGAAUGAGAAAACUUGUAUUGCACAAAGAGAGAAUACAAUGCUUGAGUUGCUUACAAAGCUUGUUGUUGUGAGUUUGUUGGAUGCAAAUGCCUAAUGUCAUCCCAUAUUUAUAGGGGAGGCUUGCCAAGCUCUAGAGAUUCUAGAGAAUUCUACUACUUCCUAGCUAUUUACAUGUGCUGGAAAUGUAAAGAGAAUUCUAGAGUAUUUACAAGCUCACAUGUGCUAGAGUUGCCUAGACCUUUCCGAAAUUGGGCCAAGAUAGCACUCUUGGUCUUGUGUUGGUUCUCUAGUCCGAAAUUGUGGGCAAUUGGGCUAGCGAAUUGGGCAGACCGUAACAACGUGACGGUACAGAGCCGUUCGGUAUAGCACUAUUUUAGAAAUUUAAAUUUAUUUCCAGUUAGAAAACUAUUCGCUGGACUAGCCACCAUCGUAAACCUAACUGGUUGCCGGCGAACGACAUAAAACACCGGGCAUCUUCUUCUUCAUCGUAUUCUCCCUUCAUCUUUUGAGGUAAGCUUGUGAUUAUGAGUUUCUUCUCUUACUUAGCUUGUAAUUAUAGAUUUUGAUUUUUUUUUAAAAUUCGUAUUGUAGCCAUUAUUGUCAAUUUUUGUCCCGCCAGCAAUAUUUUUUUAUUCGUACAAGUUGAAGCCCCUUUGUUCUUGUUCCAUUGGUGAGUUUGCUCACUCAAAUUAAUUUUGUUCUGCGGAAUUUACAAAGUUCAAAUGGAUUCAUUUGAAUUACUAUUGAAUUUAGCUUUAAUUCCAACAUCCAUUCUAAUGUUUUGCUAUUAGAUUUAGUUUAAUUUUAUGUUUAAAGCAUCUACAAUGAAUAGCGGAGCUUGGGUUUUAGUUUCAUUUUCUGGAUAACUUGUUUUAGUUUAUCUUGUAUGGUCACCAAGUGCUUGUUAUAUUGUCUGAUAAGUUAUAUACAUUGCUGAUUCUAUAUUAAUAAUGUUACGUUCUAUUUUCAGAAAUUAUAAUACAAAAGUUUUUACAAUGGCGUGCAUCUACAAACUGAAUUGACUUGUAGAAUAAGAGCUUGGAGUAAAUGAAAGUUCAUAUUGUGUAAGAGCAUGUAGAUGUAAAGCAUCAUUACCAUAUCUACAAAGUGCUUUCAUUAUGUUCAGAUGCUCUUCUUGAACUUUGAAAGGUGCCUCGUUCAAGUCCUAGCUAUAACUACUAGCUUUGAUUAAUUAAGUUCCUAUACUAGCUGAAAUAGAUUUAUUUAAUUAAUUAAUUGUGUAUGUUCUAAUUAUAUUAAAAGUAUAUGAAUUUUUUUUUAACAUGAAUGACUUGUAAAUGACUUAAAAACCUAAAGGAUGUGUGAAAUAAUGCUCAUUUCACUUGAAUGAGCCUAUUAAUACUUUUAUGUCUAUGAUUGUCAAAAUUGGCUUAAGCACUUCAGUUAAGUGGUUUACCUAACAGAGAAAAAAAUUUAAUAGGAAACUUCAGAGUUCUAACAGAAAUAUAGUUCACCAUGCAGAUAUAGUUAUUUUACGGUAUACAAAUCAAGUUGUCCUAAUCUCAAUGUCCUAUCACCGAUUUUAUUUGAUAUAGUCAUUAAUUUUUACCAUGGUUUUUUGUGUUUAUGAGUAUGAAAUAGUGGGAUUUGGUGUACCUUAGCAUCUUUUGGAAAUUCUCUUUAAGUGUGGCCAACAGAAAUAUACAUAUAAUCAAGUUUCUUAAUUGUGUAUAUUAGUUUUGGGUACGAAUGUUCCUAUUCUAGUUCUAGACAAAGCUUCUUCGUUUUGGUCUUCAGAUUUCCAGUAGGUUAAGUUAAUCAACUAUCAUAACUGGCUAGCUAGUUAUUGUCUGCCUUGGCGCCAUUACCCAGGCCAUUAUAUUGCAUAGCAUAAGGAAUAGUGAUUAGGUGAUUAUUAGUGAUUUGUUGAGCUUAUUAUUGACCAAACAAACAUAUUCACCUUUGCCCACAACUUAGUUUGAUUAGUUUUAGACCACAAAGAGCCUUGAUCUAUUCAUUGGCUUUAUUAUUUUUAUUUGGUUUUUCUUUCAACAUAAUUGUUGAUUUCUUAUAAAAAUAUUCAUUGGUUUUUAAACACCUAGUCAUUGGCUAUAUGAAGCAAAUUAAAACUUAGGCUUUGGAUCAAUUUCUUCUAACAAGAUACAAAUGAGCAUAACCUUUCUCCUCUAAGUAAUUUUUUUUAAUAUCCUUGAUUUGUAAGGAUCUGGAGGCGUGAAAUCCUCUAGAUUUUUUUUAACACUGUCAAUGUCCUUUUUAUUCUGAAAAGGAAAUAAAAGGUUUUAUCUUUCAUACCCUAAUAGUAAGCUGGCCUUGUCUUAACAUGGCUUCUUGAGGAUUUGCAAGAUUCGUUUAGAUGAUUAGAAUGAAACUAAGCGACUGGAAAGAGUGGAUGGUAGACUAAAGAGAAAGUGAUUGAUUAUUUUAUGAGGCCAAUUAACGUAAUGACAGAUCCGGUUUCGAUGUUUGUAAUUUGAGUAUGAGGUAAAUCGAUUCUUUGUCGAGCCAGUCAAAUACAAAGGCAAAUUAGUAAAACAAGAGCCAGCAACUUUUACUCACACAUAAGGCAAUAAUAUAUUGAGAUCACGCAACAUUGCAAUAAAGUUAUCAUCAAGUUGUAGCCUUCUUAUUCAAUCAAUUAUAGCAUUAUCUCUAGCUCUGUAUUUUUCAAAAAAAAAUUAUUCAAAAGAUGUCUGUCAUUAGUUUUUCAAUGAUUAAAAUUAUAAUUUUUGUUUAAUAUAUAUAACGUAAAAUUUUAAAAGAAUCAGACAUGCAUUAGGGUAAAAAUAAAAAAUAUGGAGGUAGCUUUUAACUAGGCAAUUGGCUCAACUAUGGAUCAGUGUGAGAUCGCUAUUUUUCUUAUAAAAAAAAUAUUCCAGCCAAACAAUUGUCGCAAAAUUUUAAUCGAAAUUACAAAAUAUAUAUAUUUUGAAUACCUGUAAAUAAACCACUUAGAAAGCUAUCGAAACACGAAUAUUAAUUUUUUAAAAUAUAUAUUUUUUCAAGCAAAUGCAGUGACAGAUCUGGUUUUGAUCCUCGUGACUUUUGGGUGUAACUGUGUAAGUACGGGUGAACGACUCUCUAGUCCAGGACAACUUGCACGUGACAUUUUAGUAUUAAGCAAACGGAAUUUUUUUAAAUUAAAUUAAUCUCAAAGUGAUAGGCUUCUCAUGAAUCAUGUAAUGUUGUCGUUUUUCAAGACAUGACAUUGCCCAUCACUUGUUUGUCACAAUGUCCAAAUAAAUAAUUUUUUUUUAAAAAAAAAGUUAUUUUCAUUCUUUCUUUUCAAGUAUCCUAAUUCCUUUCGCAGUUUGAUUCCUCUUUUCCUGAAAUUUGUUCCUUCCAUUAAACUAAUAAUUUAUUUAAAGGUAAUUAAGCGUCAGCCCCAAUUAUUUAGUAUUUCACACAGCACACCCACAUCUUUCGAUCAUGUGCACCUCUUCCUUAUUUCCGUUAAAAAAUCAACUAUCAACUAAUUCUAACUGUUUAGGCUGUUAUAAAUUUAAAAGACUAUACUACCCCUAUUUUGAAAUGAAUUGGGUAUAUAAGUACUAAAAUACCCUUACAACUAAUAAAAUUUAAAUCAAAAAGUAAAAAUUUAUUAUAAUAUUUUUAAAAUUACAUGGAAACAAUUUUUUUUCCGGAUUACGAACCCAAGAUUAUAAACCUAGUAAAUUACAAAAUCAGAGGCAAAGCAUGAUUCCAAUGUGAAAGAAAAAAAUCAAACACACAUUCAUCAAUACAUUACAAAAUAAGUCCAAUAAUCCCACCAAAACAAAUAAAACCCAAUAAGAAAGAAACCCGAAACUAAUGAUACCAAAAUCCAUGACAACAAAUUUCAUUGUAAAAUUCUAUUACAAAAUAAAUUCAUACUAAGAAAAUUCAAUAAAAAGAAACUCAAUAAUCAAAAAUCCUAAGACUAAAGAUAUCAAACCCUAAAUUAAAUUAUAGAGGCGGCGAAGGAAAAAGGGGUUUUUUUUUAUUAUAUAAAUUAUUUUAAUCUUGUAUUAAUUACCAUUCUACCCUUCUUUCCGUUAACGUUAGAUUUGAAAGAAAUGGGGGUGGUGGACGUGGUCAGAAGAUUGGAGGCACAAUGCAAAAUGUCGAAACAAUUGGGGCUAACGCUAAAUUACACAUUAUUUAAAUUAAAUUAUCCUAGUUGUAUUUGACUGUGACUGUGACUGUGACCGGAACCGUUACAAUCACUUAGUAUUUUUAUUAAUUAAUUAACAAUUUGUUUCAUCAUUAGACGGUACUAUGAUAGUUUUGUCACUAUGUUUGGUACCAUCUCUUAAAUCGUGUAACAAAGAUUUCAUGAAAAAUUAGAAAACAGCACGACAUGAUACAAACUCUUUUUUAAUACAUGUAGACCUUAUUUUUAAAAAAUGAACAUACAAACUUUUUUUAAUACGUGUAGACCUUUUUUUGUAUUUAAAAAUAGUUACACAGAUCCUCAAUUUGUGUGUCCCUCAAUAAAUUUUCAUGAUCAUUUUUUAAAAUAAGGGAUUUUUGUGAUUAUUUUGCCACGUCCAAGGAUGCCGCUAUUCUUGUCACCAAAAAUUAUUCUCAUUAAGAGUCAUGAUUAAUUGGACGUCAACAAUGUCCAAAUAAAUAAUUUUUUUUAAAAAAAAGUUAUUUUCAUUCUUUCUUUUCAAGUAUCCUAAUUCCUUUCGCAGUUUGAUUCCUCUUUUCCUGAAUUAUGUUCCUUCCAUUAAACUAAUAAUUUAUUUAAGGGUAAUUAAGCGUCAGCCCCCAAUUGUUCAGUAUUUCACACAACGCACCCACAUCUUUCGACCAUGUGCACCUCGCCCCUAUUUUCAUUAAAAAAAUCAACUAAUUCUCACUAUUACUGUUAUAAAUUUAAAAGACUAUACUACCCCCAUUUCGAAAUGAAUUGGGUAUAUAAGUACUAAAAUACCGUUACAACUUAUAAAAUUUAUAUCAAAAAGUACAAAUUUAUUAUAAUAUUUUUAAAAUUAUAUGGAAACGAAUUUUUUCCGGAUUACGAACCCAAGAUUAUAACCCUAGUAAAUUACAAAAUCAUAGGCAAAGCAUGAUUCCAAUGUGAAAGAAGAAAAUCAAACACACAUUCAUCAGUACAUUACAAAAAAUUGAUGGUUUAGCUUAUAGAGUCAUGUCUAUUAUUAUUACCUUGUAAACAAGUCAAAUGUCUCAAUAAUUUGACACCUCAAUAACUGAAACAAUUUAAACCCUUGUUUAGUAUUAAAGUUGGGCAGGUGUAGCUUAAAAGUUACAGUACCAAAGUGUUUAGUAAACACUAGCUAUUGCCGCUUAGAAAUUAAGUUGAUUUGAUCUCACACUUGUAUGACAAAACCUAUAGUGUCUUUAUUAUUUUUGUCAAAUUAUUAUUUAAUAAUUAUUUUAUUAUACAUUAUCAACUUUUAUUUAAUAGUUGCAACUUCUUUUUCUUUUUUCUUACUAUGCUAUAGCAUUUCAAUAUCAAAUAGGGCUUAAAUGAGAAACAACUUCUAAAUUAAAUGCGACGUCUCUCUUCUUAUUAUUUGCAUAAGUUUGCCUAGUGGAUUAAAUGAGCAUUGGUAACCAUAAAUUAUGUAGAAUUAUUUUAUUGAUAUAUUUUUUCUAUGAUUUUCAAAUUAUACACAAGAGCCAAAACGUUUUCAUGAUGGCAGAUUUAUUGAGAAAAAAAGUGUUCAUUCAAAUAAACCUCAUGAAUAUUCACAUGAAUUUAUGUGAUGAGAAAGGGAAAAAAAAUUCUUCCAUUCAUUCAUAUGAACAUCUUUAACUAUUUCCUAAAAUUUAGGAGGAAAAAAAUGAAUUCUUCAUUUAUUCAUAUAUCGAGUUUCAUAAUCACUCGUACUAGGUUCCUGGGUGUAAAUGACUGAGAUUUACGAUUUGAGGACAAUUUUGAUAUUUCAAUAGACUACAAAUGCAUGUUGCGUUCAUUUCACACCAUCUGAUACGAAAAAAAAAAUUGAUGUUUUGGCUUCUAGAAUCAUGUCAAUUAUUGCCAUAUAAAUAGGUCAAUUGUCUCAAUAUCAGACCUUUUAAGAAGCCAAACAAAUUAAAAAUCAGUUUAAUAGUGCUGUAGUUUUUAAAAUAAUUACUGUUAGCAGUACUGUAAAAAUAAUUAGUUGUAAAAAGAAUCAGUUAAAUAUUUGAUAAAAUUUCUUUUUAAAAUUACUGCAAAUUUUAAAAGUAGUCGUUUGUGUUUAGUAAAUUUUACUAUUAAACUGCUGUAAAAAUAUAAAUAAAUCAAUUGAACACAAUAUUGAAUAAAAUUUAUUUACGCAUUUAUAAACAUGUAUGAAAUUUUUUUUAUUGUGUAUAUAUGAUAAUUGAUAACUAAAAUAAAUAUUUUAAAUUAUUGAUUUUAUUUUUUUAUUUGGUUAUCUUAAUAUAAUUGGUAAUAAUAAUCUCUUUAAAUUAAUGAUUUUAUUUCCUAAUUAAUAAGGAUAAUUGUAGAUUUUUAUAAUAUAAUUGAAUAUAUAUAUAUGAAAUUGUACUAACUGUAAAACUGAUUUUCAAAAUCCGAUUAUGAAAAGAUACUCCUUCCACGCUUUUCAAAACCUGCUAUAGGACGGGGUGAUUUAGCUAAAAGUAAUUUUAAAAAAAAAUUGUCAAACACCAAAAUUGACAUUUAGUUUUUUAAAAUUACUUUUGGGAACUCCCAAAAGCAAUUUCAAACGGGCUUCAAGGUCUUAUUUGAUACUAAAGUUGGGCAGUUAUAUCUUAAAAGUUACAGCUAUUUAGUAUAUAAUAGUUGUUGUGAUAUUGAAAAUACAAAUUGAAGGACUCUUUUUGUCCCAAAACUGAUAUUGAAAUCCGAAAAGUUACAGAAAUGGUGUGUCCACGUAUAAAAGUGAAGAGACAUAUUUGAUUUUAGGUUUAAAACUCAGGGUCCACGUACUGAAACUUCCGUAAUAAACAUAGGGCGAUUUUAUUGCAAUGGUCACCUACACUGGCCUACUUAUUUAUUUGAGUUGGCACCGAGCUUGAAAACUGCGGGAAAGCAAACUGACUGACAAUGACAAUACGAAGCUUGGCCUUUGGCCGGAACCACAUUUCACCACACAUUAUGAUAUUAGAUCUUUCAUUAUUGAUCACAUAUUCACAUUAUCUAACUUCAACGGAAAAUUACCUUCUAGAAAGUGCUCGUAUAAUUGUUUAUAUAUAAGCAGUCUCCAAACUUAUCAUCAAUUUUCCAGAUUCACCGAAAAAUGAGCUGGCGCUGGGCAGGUAGUAUUGGCGCUGCUAAGGUAAAGAUCAACCCUCUAAUUAAGUCUCUUCACUUGAAAAGCUUAUAGAUACACGUAACAUGCUGAUAUUUAAAAUAAUGUUUGUUUAAUUUUCGCUGUACAGAACAAAUUGGAAGAAGAUGCGCGACUUCAAGACUACCAGAACGUGGGACUUGUAGUAGGCGUGACAGGAAUUGUAGGCAACAGCCUAGCUGAGAUUUUGCCCCGAUCAGAUACCCCCGGUGGCCCGUGGAAGAUCUACGGGGUGGCGCGACGUCCCAGGCCUAACUGGAACGCCAAGUACCCUAUUGAUUACAUCCAAUGCGACGUUUCCGACCCAGACGAUACGCAAGCCAAGCUCUCAAAACUCGCUGACGUCACCCACAUAUUCUAUGUGACGUGGGCCAGCCGUCCCACUGAAGCCGAGAAUUGUCAGAUCAACGGCGCCAUGUUUCGUAACGUGCUCCGUUCUGUAAUCCCGAAUGCGCCUAAUCUCCGCCACAUCUGUCUCCAAACGGGAGGCAAACAUUACGUCGGUCCAUUCGAGUGUAUUGGCAAGAUACCGUCUCACGAUCCGCCUUUUACUGAGGAUUUGCCAAGACUAAACGUAUCACUUUUUUACUAUAAUCAGGAAGAUAUAUUGUUUGAAGAAGUUGACAAAAGACGGGGUUUGACUUGGUCCAUACACCGACCUUCCGGAAUAUUUGGGUUUUCACCUCAUAGUUUGAUGAAUAUUAUAGGCACUCUCUGCGUGUACGCAGCUAUUUGUAAACACGAAGGUGCUCCUCUUGUAUUUCAUGGGACUAGAGAUGCUUGGGAAGGUUUCCAAGAAUUUUCAGACGCAGAGUUGGUUGCGGAGCAGGAAAUUUGGGGGGCAGUGGAUCCUAAUGCAAGAAACGAAGCUUUCAAUUGCACCAAUGGAGAUGUUUUUAAGUGGAAGCAUUUAUGGAAAGUGUUGGCUGAGCAGUUUGAGAUUGAGAAUUAUGGGUUUGGAGAAGAAAUGGGUAGUGAGAGGGUGAGAUUGGAGGAAGUUAUGAAAGGUAAAGAAAGUGCGUGGGAGGAGAUUGUGAGAGAGAAUCAGCUGCAGCCAACAAAAUUGAAUGAGGUUGCUGUUUGGUCAUAUGCAGAUGUGGUGUUGAAUAUUGGUGCGGGUUAUUUUGUUAGCAUGAACAAGAGUAAGGAGCACGGGUUCUUGGGUUUCAGGAACUCUAAGAAUUCGUUUAUCACAUGGAUUAAUAGGUUGAAAAGUCACAGGAUUGUGCCUUAAGUAUUUUUUUUUUUUUUUCACUUUUUGAUUUGGUGCCUCGAGUAAUUGAAAAGCCACGAAAAAUUAAUAGUUCAACCCGUGAUUGGUUUGGCUGGAAAUUGUACCCUUUUGUUAGAUCCUUGUUUUGUUAAUCAAAGAAUUUUACCUCAGGUAGAAAAAAAAAAAAAAAGAUGCCUUUGUUGUUGCUAAAGAGUUAAUAAAUAAAUACAGUACUGAAUUAUCAACCUUAGAAAACCUCCAUUAUACAUUUCUGAAUCACGUACCUUCAAGUUAUAACGACCCAAUGUUCAAGUAAUGCCUAAUCCUAGUAGUCUAAAGCUUCUUUAAAUGGUUCGUGUGUCGAAAGCACUCUCUUUCGAACCAACCGAUUCACUAGACCAGGAAAAAAAAAAGAUUGACUGUGAAAAUAUUAAAAAUUAAAAAUGAAGUCUUUCGAAAUUUUUUAACCGGACAGCAUUUGUUAGAAAGGGGAGAGAGAGAGCAAAGGGUAAGAAAAGAAAAUUAAAAUAAAGUUUAUGGACAUUUAUCAUUUUACAUUAAUUAUUCGUUAUAAUUAAAGGAUGAAAUUAUAAUUUUAUUUGGUCAAAUUGGUCAACACUUUCAUUUAAUAGAAAAUCUAAAAGACCAAGCCUAUUCUCAGGCAUUCUUGGGGAAGAAUAAACUAUUUAUGUCUAUUUUAAAACUUUGAUGGUAGAUCUAUACUAAACUAAAAAUUGUUACGGGAGAUUCUUGUACCACUACGUAGCUCGAAAGAGGAAGACUGAAGUGGUACUAAAUUUGCUAUGAAAUGAGUUUAACGACCGCAUGCAAACGAACAAUUAUAAGAAAAGUUUAGUUGAGGAGCGAGCAAAGAUAUGCUGACCAAUACAAUAUUUGAAAAAUAUAAACAUAUGUUUUUAAACUAUUAUUAUUAGGCUAAUGCUAAGUUACAUGCAUGUGACUUAUAACCCUCUCACAUAAAUAGUGAAUAAUGUUGGUCCACUCACUAUUAAUGUGAGAUGGUUGUAAGUUACAUGCAUGUAACUUAGGGAGAUCUUAUUAUUAUCAUCAUCAUCAUCAAAUAAAUAUAGUGCAAACAUGUCUAAAAACAGGCGGGAGCCGGGUUUGAUUUAUGUUGUAUACUUGUGUAGGCCGCUGUUCAGAUAUAGUCCAGCCCAAUGGAAGCAAUAUGUAAGCCCAACACGGGUCUUCAUCGAUUUAUGCAAUGCAGUAAAAAAACAUAUCUAAUGGAAACAUCUACUGAAUUUGAAUCAGUUACUGCAAUUAAAGUUACCAACCUUGUAUGAUUGAACGAAAAUAUUAAUAUUAAGUAUACAUUAUUGGUAGAAGAAAAAUGACAUUUUUUGGAGAAAUUCUAUAAUGCAUUAGAAGUAUUAUAACAGUUAUAUAACAAGUAAAUGAUACUGUGAUAUUUAUGUAUUUAUUGUGAAAGAUCAUUAUGUAAAAUAAUGGUUACAUUAAAUUUAAUUAUACAUGUCAUGCAUACAUCAAUCGAUUAUAUUACUACUAAUGAAUUAUAAAAUUUCUCAAUUCGCUGAUAUUAUGUUUAAUAUUAAAUAAAAAAAUAUCAGUAUUUGAUGACUUACGUAGUUUUUAACAUUUUUAACGUACCAGCAUCAACAGUUAUUGAUAUUAUAGGAUCAUAAACCUUCACUCAUGCGAAGAUUUUAUAUUUUAUUUUAUUUUGAAAUUUAUUAUUUCAUUUAUUCUUAACGAUGUCGUUUUGGACAUAAAAUUUAGAUAAAUUAUUAAGUCUUCAUCUUCUCUUUCUUCACAAAAUCGUUUCCCUCUCUUUCCUGACACAGUAUCUCAACAAAACAAAAUACCAAAAUAAAACAAAGGCCAAAACCAAAAGCAGAAACAGAUCAAGCAGCUCAACCUCUCUAGCCUCUUAAUGAAUAAUGAUAGAUCGAACCAGAAGCAAAACAGUUGAGUUGAAGAUCGAAGCUCUAGGUCAAAACACACUCUCUCUUUCUCAAUUUUUGUAGUUUUUUCUUUCGACUUCAUCAAAGUCUAAACCCUAAAUGCUCGCCUUCUCAAGCACAACAACUUCAAAAGGAUUUAUCAUUUUCUUGGAGAUCUUAUAGAGUCGUAUUCUUAGCAUCAUCAAAGUCAGCCGCGUCGAGCCGUCAUGGUCUGUGUGACAAGCUAAAAGGUCACAUUGACUUGAGCAAAAGAAUAGUUAAGCUUGUAAAUAGAGGCAGAACAAUUAGCAAGCUCGUUCACUCUAUCGUGCGACCCGUGCCUGAGACUCUUGGAAUCGAAUUAGAGGUAUUGAUUUUGAUUUGAUUGUCGACAUAUUUUUGUUUUUAGAUUUUUUUUUUUUUUAUAUUUUAUAGUGUUUAAUUAGCAAUAAAUUUGAAUUUCUAGAGUAAUUUAGGUGUACUGGCGAAUUAAAUGUUGAUUUUAUGUAUUUACUUUUUGAUUUGAAAUCCGCUUUCUCUUAAGUGUUAUUCGUUUGUGUUUCGAAUGCAGGUUUAGUGCUUGAUGAAUUGCCUCAUUCGGGUCUACUUUUUAUGAUGCAGAAAACUUAUUGUUUUUUUUUUCUAUCUAAAUUUGGUUGUUAUUAAUUAAUAAAAGUAGAGAGAUUCAGUUGUUAUUCUUGGUUCUUUAUGCAGAUGGUGCUCUUGCUUUUCUUCUGUGUUCUAUUCUUUUUGUUCAAGAUAUUUAUAGUUGUCGAUCCAAUAUUUAUUUAUUCAUUAGUUUUUACUGAAAGCAUAAAUACUCUUCCACUCGCCAAAAAUUAUUUUAUUCCAGUAGUUUUUCAAUUGUAAUGCCAGCUAGGUCCUACCAAUGCUAUUAUUUUAUGCCAGUAGUUUGAGUUCAGGUUCCCAGUGGUUUUCUUCAUUUUAAACGUGGUUAGGCAAUUGGAGUAUUGAUAACAUUCAAGCCGUUUUUAGUUCAACGCCGCAACUAGAGAAAGAUCCUUUUAAUUUUCAAGCCAAUUAAGUUUUCGGAAUGCUUCAACCAAGUUAUUUCUUUGGGGUUCCACAUCAGUUUUUGGGGUAGCCAUAAACUUAUGAUGAUGAUGAUGAUGAUGAUGCUCUCGCCAAUUGAUUAUUGCUAAUUUUCUUUGUACCUAUUAGCUGUUCCAGGCUAUCUUAUUGCCAUUUUUACAAUGUUACUAAAAUUUGUUGGUAUAGCAGUGCCCUUUCAUUAUAGUUGGCCUCUUAUGAGUGUAAUUAAUCUCAAAUAUCAACAUUAUAAAUUAUGAGUGUAAUUGAUUGGGUAAAUACUCGUUUAAUCCCUAAAUUUUGAUAUAAGUGUCCGUUUAAUCUCCAAAUUUUAAAAAGUGCGUAAAAACACUCUUAUUGUUCAAUAUGUUACAUUCUUAUCAUUGUUUGUUUCUUUUCUUUUACAAUAAUAAUAUUGCAACAAUAUUCUUGACAUUAAUUAAUUUAUUUAUAAAAAAAUUAAUUAGCAAAUUAACCAAUAAAUAUAAGUGUGAAAGAACUAAUAUUUUUUGUAUCUGUUAAACAAUCUUACUAAUAAUUUUUUAUAAAUAAAUUAAUAUUAGCCUACUUAAAGUAAUGUCUAAUAUUUUUACAAUAAUUUUACUAAUAAUUAUCACGUCGGUAACGUCGAUUUUUACCGACGAAUCAUAGGUUUCGAAAAUAUAGUGCCUUUUGAUAAAUCGAGAGAGUGGGGACAAGCACCUUCUCGGAUGUCUGGAGCUGAAGUGAAAAAGCAGUUGAAUAAUAUCCUUACUGAGUUUAAGAUUGAAGACUUGAAAAGUGGAGAAUGAAUAAAAUGAGAGAAAUGACAAGAUUACUUGGAAGAAGAAAAGCAUAUUUUAUGAACUACCGUGUUGGGAGUUCAAUUUGAUUCAUCAUAAAAUGUGAGACAUGAGGGAGAGACAAAAGCUCAGGCUUGUCUGCAACCAUGUGGGCCCUCAUAAGCAAUUCGUGUACACAACUUGGUUCACCAAGCCCAACAACUUGAAGCAGGCAAAAUCCGGGAACGAUCCUUCUCCUUCGCAACCCUGGCAGCCUUAACCUUGUAUUUCUGAUAUUUAGUUAAAGAGUAAGAAGAUUGCUCCUCUGUCAAUUACCUUCGAGAGAGACUUUCUUUUUCAUUAAUCGAUGCUUGCUUGUGAAAGCAAGGGUUUUAGUUACACUUUCAACGCUGUCAAUGUAGUGAAGUAAAGCAUUCGUAGAAUAAUGAAGAUGGAAGCCCCACAGCAUGAAAACUUUUAAACAGUAACACAGCUCUUAUUCCAGAGGCUGCACGCGAGUGACCUGAAUCUUCUUCAGAACUUUCAAAUUUUAUCAAGCAAAGCUUUCAAAAUUUCUCAACAAAUUGAUUAUUUGGUGUGGUUGCCACAUUUUGAGUAACUGCUAUUUGUUCUCAAGUACAAAAUCCUUGCCCUCCUAAGUUAGGAAAUAUAGAUGUGAAGCAAACCAAAUGAAAUAAAUGGGUAAACAGAACAAACAGUGCAAAAAUUAAAAAUGAUGGCAAUUAACAAAUUAACUUGUAUUUCUGAUAUUUAGUUAAAGAGUAAGAAGAUUGCUCCUCUGUCAAUUACCUUCGAGAGAGACUUUCUUUUUCAUUCACCAAAAUAAAAUAAAUUUAGAAUUUCAAACAGUACUAGUAGUAAAAAAAUGACGACAACAACAAAAAUAGAAAAUUACAAGACUGCUGAUAAAAUUUCACUUGCAGGCAUUUCUCACAAAAUUUCUGUGAUUUAAUGUGCUUUCAUGCACGCAAGUCCUAACGUUUCUGUGAUCACAAAUGAAACUGAAGAUAAAACAGAACAACUACCAAACCUUUCAAGCGUGACGAAGCCAUGAGAAUUGAUAGCUCAAUGUCAUGGGAUGAGUGUUUUGUCACUAAAACAGAACAAUAAUUUUGAACACACCAUGUGGCAUUUAGACCAUUUGAUAGUUUGUUUCAAACAUAUUUGUUUAUAAAAUACUUUUCUUCAUGGUUUUGGUCCCAUAAUUUUCUAUGUAUGUACAGGUUUUAUCGAUACCGCUUUUGACAAGUUACACUUACAUAGCAAUGCCCUUUUUGAUAAACUGUGCUUCUGUGAUGAAGAAUGUUUUAGCUGUAAGUGGAUAUCCUAAUCAUUGAUCCAUAUACUUAGGUUAUAUUAUCCAUCAGCAAGUAUGUAUAAAAUUAUUUUGUGUCUUUUUUUAUUAGAAAUGUUGUAAUUCUAUUUUACUCUUCCUGAAUUAUAACAUCAGGUGUCUAUAAUAACUAGGUUAUUCCUUCUGCAAAACAGAGCAGUGGUAAAUAUUUUUUUUCUUUUGUUUGUUUAGUACAUUUACAUGCUUUCAGCUUUUUCAAAUUUUGUAUGUGUCAAAGUUUAAAUUUAAUUUGUUGGUUUAUGCCACAACAAAAGGAACAGCAUCAAAGAGGAGCUGCUAAUGGACUUGCUAUGACUGUAGUGUCGCUUACCAAAACUGCCGGUCCAGCUGUAGGAGGUGCUCUGUGAGUGUCCUGUUGAUUUUGUAAAACUAUAUGUAAAUGAAGUUAUAAUUUUUUUUUUCAUUAAUUGGGGUUCUGGCAGAUUUUCUUGAUCACAAAAGCAUCAAGAUGCUGGUUUCCUCCCAGGUAUGAUGAUCUACUAAUGAAAUUUCUCACGAGUUGGUGAAUUACUUUGUGCUAAUUAGCUUAGUUAGCUGCUUAAACUAAAGUGCAGGUAACCAGAUGAUUUUUUUCAUUUUGAAUUUGGUCGAGGCACUAGGAGUAAUAUUGACAUUCAAACCAUUUCUAACUCAACGUGCCCCGUGAGUAGAGAAAAGAUGCAUCUGUUGAAAUAUUCAAAUAUAUGUCGAGCAAAUUAAAGCUUUCAAAAUCUAUCAACAAUUUGAUUAUUUGAUGUGGUUUGCCACUUGCCGUAUUUUGUUUUGCUGUUCUAAAGGCUUAAAUAUGAAAAUGGUGGUUGGCGCUCACACCAAUCGAUUGCUGUUAACAUUAAUUGUUCAGUACUUUUCUCUGUCGACAUUUAUACUUGUUCAUUGUCAGAACUACGACAAUUUAUCUUUACAAUGAUGCAAGCUAGAAAGAAUUUUUCAUGUUAAGUAAAAUAUUGAAGCCACAAAGAGUCUGAAUUAAGUACUAAGUUUUCUGCCAUGCUUUCAACGGUAACACAUUUGUAGCUCUUAUUCCAGGGGCUUCACAGUAGAGAGACCUGAUUUCGACCUUCUUCAGAACUUGGGGAUUCCGUAAUAACAGAGGACAACAGUUAUAUAAGAAUAUUAUUUUGUACAAUUUUCGUAUAACCUGACCAAUGCAAGUAUAAUUUGAUGAUCUUAACUCAGAUCAAAAGACCUUCAAUGAUGUAAAAUUUGAACAUAAAGAUGAGAACCAAACAUUAGAACUUAUGAUGAAACGGAAACAAAAACAUUGAGAUUGAAAAGAUAGAGAAACACAAGCUUUUUAAAAGGAAUAAAUAUUCAUUUAGUCUCUAUAUUUUGACUUAAGAGCGCAUUUAGUUCUUAUAUUUUAAAAAGUGCCUCAACCUCAAGACACCCCUACUGUGUUGGAAUAAUAUUUUUGGGAAUAUCAAUGAAAAGAAACGAAUGGUAAUUCAUCUAGCCAGCCUUAAACAAAAUAAAUAUUAAUAAAAACUUUUAUGUUAUUAUUUUAGUUUUAGGACUAAUUUCGUAAAUUAAUUUUUUUAUGCAUUUAUUAGUAAGAUUGCUUUAAGAAUAUUAAACAUUACUUUAAGAUGGCUGCUAUUGAUUUAUUUAUAAAGAAUUAUUGGCAAGAUUGUUGUAAAAGUACAAAAAAAUACUGGUUAUUUCAUAUUGAUAUUUAUUGAUUAAUUUUCCAAUUAAAUUUUUUAUAAAUAAAUGAAAUUAAUUUAAGAAUAUUAUUGCCAAGAUAUUAUUGUAAAAGUAAAUAAAAUUUAAGGAAAAAUGUAACGUAUUUAAUAUCAAGGUAUAUUGAGGUAUUUUUUAAAAUAUAAUAACUAAACGAGCAUUGAAGUUAAAAUAUAGGUACCAGACGAACAUUUUCUCUUUUAGAAAGUUUUAUAUUUUAUUAAUGAAAGUCUGAAUAACAAAAUUAAGGUUUUGGACUUCUUUUAAACUAAACUUAAAUAUAACAAAUUUACCAAAAUAACUAAACCUAACAUAUUACUACAUAAUAACAUUCUCCUAAUUGAAAUAAGAUAAAUGUUACUCAAAUUCUAUAUCUAGAAAAAAAAAAGAUAAAAAUCCUAAAAACAAUAGGAAAAUAGAUCUUAAACUUGUAAAAUAAUAUGAAAUAAAUAUAAUUUUCAAUCGAACCACGAGACUAAUGCGGCGCUACAGUAUUAGAUUAGUUUCCCCUCGUCGCGAACUUCGAAAUGUAUAUUAUACACCCUAAAUAGAUACUUAUAGCUCAAGUUGUUACCCUAGAGAGAUACUCCACUCAUCCUACGCAACCUAGAGAGAUACUCCACUCAUCCUACGCAACCAUCCGCUGCAUCAAAUUCGUUCCAAAAUUAAGAAUAAACCAGCUGAUGCAUUCCAAAUAAUUUAGAUGAAACGAUAAAAUAAACCUAGAGAUCAAAUAACAUGAAAUGAAAAAGAUAAUUACCUUGGACUGAAGCUCAUACAAAUUCAUUAUUUGACACCUGCGGCAAUUGUUGAAAUAAUAGUUAAUGAAAUAUAAAAUAAGACAAGUACAUAUUAAUGAAACACCACUGUGAAUCGAUAGCUAAGGACGGAGUAAAAUUUAAUUGUAAAUUAGGACAGUAGAGCAAGCAUCCAUAAACAUAACAUGAACGUAAUACAUCAAUUGAAAUAUCAUAGGAUAAAUUGGGACAUCAGAGAAAGAAAUAAGUAAAUAAAUCAGCAAAGGAAACAUGCAUAAACAAAUAAAAAAACAAAGACAAAAUAAGGAAGAGUUUGUGAUAAUUUUCUUCUAUGGUCAUUGAAGUCCAAAAACUAAUAAGGAUCGAGCAAUUGAACGGUUGCAAACUCAAUGGAAAUACAAUGGAACCUUAAAAAUGAACAGUGAAGGAAAAUGAAGAAAUCUGCAGGAAAUAAGACGAGUGAGAGUGAAGAAUUAAUUACCACUGAGUAAAUGCGAAUGAAGAAUGGAGACAGAUCCUUCUUCGCCCCAUUGAGAAGUGAGAUUCAUAGAUUGCAUUGAAAUUGAGAGUUGAGAUCAAGAAGCGAUUCUUCUUCUCCGUAAUUUCCUUUUUCUUUUAAUGUUGUUAUUAUUAUUAUUUUUUUUUUUUUUCAAUUUCAUGAUAUCUUUUUUGUUUUAAACAGUAUUGGCAUAUUACAUUUAUUUAUGUUAAUUUUACAAUACCUCCCUUCAGAUUGCACAAAUUACAUUAAAAAAAAAAGUGCUUUAUGUAUAAAACUUUCAAACAAAUUGGGCCAAAAUCUAACUUUACCAAGUUUAGAGUAAUUUUGGGCUCGACAUUCCAUUUCCGACAAACGAUUUUUCUUGGCGUUUGAUUUUUCUUUAUACUUUUCAUAUUUAUCCAACGGCUCGUCAAUGACAAUACCUUUGUAAAAAGUACUUAUUUUGAAUAUUAUAUUGUGGAAAUGUCUGGUCGGUAAUACAACUAUUUCUUAUAGUGUAAAACUGAUACACUAGCGUUCACAUUUUGAUGAGUAAAUUAAGGAUUUCAAGAUGAAGUACAUAAUUAGAUUAAUGCUAAGAAACUGAAGUUUGAUCGAUUGAAAAUGAAAAUAAUAAUGAAGGUAAUUAAGAAAAUGAACAAUAUAUGCAGAAGCGGUCCUAUUAGGACUUCUAGAUUUUCUCUUGGGCUUUCCUUAUUAUUGUUAAAAAAUGACACGAAGAACUUUGAGUUUAAAAAUCUGGCCCUGAUGCCUGGUAGCCCUCCAUGAAGCACCAGAUGUUUUGAUGAGAAAUGACAAGACCAUUUAUCAAAUUUCUUGUGGAUAUAAAUACAUACACAUAGACGAGACCAACCUCCUCAAAUGAGAAUCAGAGUGAUUAAAAGACCUUGCAAUGAGACAAUGAUACACCAUCAAAUGUCAAAAUACAAUAGAAAUUCACGACAUAUAUAUAAUAAAAGACCUCUCAUUGAGUCAUAUAUAUUGAGAAUAAAAAUGUUAUAAUACAUACACAGAGCUUAGCUAGAAUAAAAUGUCUUUGAACUUGCGAUGAUCAAACAAAGGAAACAGACAGGUUGUAACUCACACUAUCACAAGAAGAUCACGAAGAUGAAAAUGGGAACCCAUCAGAAUGGAAACUUUGAAUAGAUGAAAAAAGAAAAACGACCUUAUUCACAGAAGAAGAGUGACUUAAAUCUUCAUCAGUAUCCAGACAUUUUGCAAUCAUAGAGUAGAGAAAUUUUAACAGGAACAGCAGAGAAAAUAUUAUGAAUAUGCUAUAGACCAAUAUACUUGUUCAUAGCUAACGUUUGAUGGUUUAAGGAUUUGUUCUAGGAAUAAUGGGCUGAUUACUUUCUUUUUAUUUUAAUUUUUUUUUAAUCCAAUGAAUGAUAUUCAGCUGUUAAUUAUGUGUUCAUAGGGAAGAACAUUUUCUAAGUACUUUCCUUGCCUUCUAACUUUCCGAAAAGCAAACCCAAUGAGCAAACAGAGCACAAACUAAAAUAAAAGAACAGCAAUGAUAACAAUAAAUAAUUGGCAAAGAAAAAAAGGAAAAAGUAUGCACGUUUUCAAGGAAUUAUAAAAUAUGAAGGCUUUUAAUGAAACUUUAUCAUACAAAGUAUGCAAGGAAUUAUAAAAUUUUAGAAAACAAGGGGAGCUCUCAAAAAAAAAUGAAAAACUCAAAUUAAACUAGACUAAAAGACAUUCAAUUUUGCAAAAUCUGUCCAUAAAAGUCUGAAAGGAUCAUUAAAAUUGCAUUGCAAAUUUAACAGUAAACCGAGGGACCCAUUCUAAAUAAUUCAGAUGAAAUUGCGAAACAAGACAUGGGAUUAAAUAAAUGAAACAAUCUAAUAAAAAAAAAAUAAAUGAAACAAAAAUUAAUUACCAGUUGAGACUUUCUUCUAAAAAUUCGCAACUCCAAGUCACAAGAAGCCUAUGAAAUUAGUCGUACUGCGUAGAGUAUGACGACGACACCGCCAACAGCCGACGACACCGCCAACAGCUGAAAGUAAAAUUCUUAUUCAUCAAAUAUCUUAUCAAUAUUGUAUUUAAGAAAGCAAAUUUUGUAAAAAUUUAUCAUGGGAGAUAAGAGUAAUAUGUAUAUACGUACCUUCUCAGCAUGUAAUGUUGUAUGGUUGUGUUUAGAUAAUUAUUAGCCCAGCGCCGUUGAUCCGCUGUCUCUCCAUACCAGACAUUUACUCUUGGAGGCGUGAUUGCUUCUCCUGUAGUGAAAAUCUUCAUCUUGGGACAACCAAUCACCCACAACUCUUGCAAAGAUGGGAAUUGGAAGGUGUAAUUGGCAGAGCAGAAACUUGUGAGGCUAUCUAAAUCACGCAGUUCCAACGUCUUCAAUUUGCGGAAAACAAUCUCUUCUUUUUCAACUCCAUCUUUGUCAUUUAUUACCACCUCUGUCAUUGCUCUGCAUCCAUAUAUUUCUAUUGCUACGAGUCGCACCAGAGUUUUUGCUGUGGAGGAUGUUACCAUGUGUAACAAUUUCUUGCAACCGAAAGCCACCAGAGCUGUUAGGUUCUGAAAAGAUACCGAUGAUGAUGGCAAUAGAAUUAACAGACUUUGACAACGAUAUGCUUUUAGAAUUUCAAGAUACUGAAAAGUGGGGCCAAGUUUGGAGUCUUGUUUGCACAGCUGCUUCAGAUGAUAGUGCCAGCGCAGCUCUAAUGUUUUUAUCAUUGCCAACUUCCCCGCAUGUUUCUCUAAGCUUCCUUCCUCCGAAAAUACCUCUUCGUGGAAUGAAAAUUGAAACAGUGAGAGUAUUUCAAGAUUGUGAAAUCUCUCAAGUACAUUCCAGAUUGGAAAACAAGCUGAGUUAUCUUCGGCAAUCUCUAGUUGUUUAAGACUGCCAAAAAGGUGUUGUGGGAAAUCGGCCUGCAAAAUCAUCUUCACGUCUUUUCCAUUCAAUGAUAGGUCCUUCAAGUUGGGUAAGAUCUGAUCAUCAUAAAUCAUAAUAACUAAUGAGGUCAAUUGAUGUUCUCUCAAAUGAUUUUGAGUAAUCCAAUUACAAGCAGUGACUUUAUUGUAUCUGUUUUAUAUUAAUUUUACCCCCAAAAAAAAUUGAAUUAGUGAUAAAAUUCAUUAUAUGAUUUUUUAUAUGUUAAUUUUAGAGGUAAAAAAGAAAUUAGGGAAAAAUGGUUGAUUUAUAUUUGCAUGAAAAUAUUUUAUUUCACAACAAUAAAUUAUUAAUUUAUAUUGUAAGUCCUUGUAUAAAGAAAAACUAAGGAUUCUUUACCUAAAAAAGUUCAUAUAAUUAUUAAUCUCCCACAUUGAUCCCUUAGUCAAGACUAGCAAAGAUUAUUAUGUAAUAAAAAUUUUUAAUUUAUUAAGUAUUAAUUUAUCAGUGUUUUGUUACAUUUUUCAAAGUCAAAAGUCGUCAAUGAGCUAUUGAAAAAAAUAUCUAGAAAAUGACUUCAUACCUUUUCGAACGGCAAUAAGGGCUGUUGUGCAGGAAUAUCAAGUUGAUUAUUCUCUUUAUUCUGCGAUAAAUCUUCAGCAAAUAUUUUUAAUUUGUCACAACGACACACUGCAAAAUUUUCUAGUGCUGGCCAUUCCGAAGUAUGCAUUCCUGGGUAUAAACAUCUAAGUUUUGGUAGACCUUGGAGUAUCAGAACGGUGGGUUGUGGAAAGACAAAAUAAGGGAUCACUUCAUCUGCUCUGUUUUCAAAACGAUCUCCUGUAAAUCCUUACAGUCUCAUAUAUCUAAGUGCUGGAGCUGCUUGAGGUUUCCGAUCAUAGACGCUGAAAAUAUGUAUUUCAGUUUGUCACAGUACCACACAACUAAUCGUGUUAAACUUUGAAAGUGAGGAAACACGGCCGCCAGAAUUUGAUUGUAAUGCCAAAUCUUGUCGACAUUAAUUGCAGAUAUCUCCAAAGCCACCAAGUUAGGCAACGCAACCUAAAAAAAUAAGAAUUUCUCGUUAGAUCCAAUAUCCAUAUAGGAAGCACUUGUUGAAAUUUUCUUCUUUGAUUACAAAUUGUUGAAAGUCAGAAUCAAUUUCCAACUGACAGCUGAGUUUGAUGCAUUCUAAUUCAUACUACUUGUUAAGAGCUCAAUUAGUGAGCGUGUUGUUAAGAGCUCAAUUAGUGAGCGUGUGAGAUUCUUUUUAUCCUUUUUUCCAUUUUCUUUCAAUUCUUAAAUGAUUUAAUUAUUUUCCACGUAUGACGUCAAAAGAGAACGCAUGAUAGAAUAAAAUCUGUUAUAUAUAUAUAUAUAUAUAUGAAGAAAAUGUUAGCCUACUAUCACGGGAUGAGUAUUUUGCGCAGCUAACCCGUGCGGUACUUAGACAACUUUGCCGAAUGUUGCUAAGUAAGCCUAGAGCUUCUCGAACUAGAGAAGAGAGCAAUUGAGCCGAAUAAGAGACAUUGUAUUGCACAAAGAGAGAUUACAAUGCUUGUUGUUGUGUUUGUUGGAUACAAAUGCCUAAUGCCAUCCCAUAUUUAUAGGGGAGGCUUGCCAAGCUAGAGGCUCUAGAGAUUCUAGAGAAUUCUACCAUUUCCUAGCUAUUUACAUGUGCUGGAAUUGUAAGGAGAAUUCUAGAGUAUUUGCAAGCUCACAUGUGCUAGAAUUGCCAAGAACUUUCCGGAAUUGGGCCAAGCUAGCACUCUUGGCCUUGUGUUGGCUCUCUAGCCCGAAAUUGUUGGCAAUUGGGCUAGCGAAUUGGGCGGUCCGCAACAUCCUCCCCCACCUAAGCUCGCGGCGUCCUCGUCGCGCUCUCGUGCUUGAAAUUCUAGAUGUGCUCAGCGAAUUGCCAUAAGUCAUCUUCACGUUCCCAAGUGGCUUCGCUCUCGGGGAGGUUUUUCCACUUCACCAAGUACUUGCUAUGUGCUGGCACGCCCCUCCUCGAAACCGUGCGGUCCGCAAUGAUGUAGUCCACAUCUUUGUCGAAUGCGGUGACAAGCAGUUGGCACGCGCCUCGAUUCUCCGCGACUUGGUUCUCCCAUGUCUUCGUGAUAUGGCUUGAGAAGGCUCACAUGGAAGACCGGAUGGAUCUUGAGUCUUGGCGGAAGUUGGAGUUGAUAUGAGACGUUGCCCACACGUCGAACAACUCGGAAGGGUCCCUCAUAGCGCCUCACUAACCCCUUGUGGACUUUCCGCAAUGUCUUGAAUUGUUGGGGUAGGAGCUUGAUCAUGACUUGAUCUCAUUCAUUGUACUCAACAUGCCGUCUCCUUGUAUCCGCCCAUUUCUUCAUUUUCCUCGCGGCUUUGUCGAGGUAGGCUCGCGUGAUGUCCGCUUCCUCAUGCCAUUCGCGGGCGAACUUGUGUGCCGCGGGGCUUUUCCCGCCGUAAGUCGAGGCUAUGGCGUUGGGGGUCAUGGGCUGGAAUCCCAUGAUGAUCUCGAACGGACUCUUGCCCGUAGCCUCACUUCGCUGCAAGUUAUAAGAAAAUUGGACGAUGUCGAGUAGCUUCGCCCAAUCCCACUGAUGAGCGCUCACAUAAUGCCUCAAGUACAUUUCGAGGAGGCCAUUGAUGCACUCGGUCUGCCCAUCCGUUUGUGGGUGGAAGCUUGUCGAGAACUUGAGAUCGGUCCCCAACAUCUUGAAGAGCUCCGUCCAAAAACGCCCAGUGAACCGAGGGUCUCACAAUGCUCCUUGGAACUCCCCAAAGCUUCACAAUGUGCUUGAUGAAUAGGCAGGCUGCCUCAUCCGCUUUACAAUCGAUUGGUGCGGCAAUGAAUGUGGCGUACUUGCUGUAUCGGUCGACAACGACCAUGAUGCUUCCGCAACCUUCGGAUUUGGGCAGCGAAGUAAUGAAGUCCAUGGAGACAUUUUCCCAUGGCCUUGUUGCUAGUGGUAGCGGCUCCAAUAAUCCCGCUGGAAGUUGAUGAUCCACCUUGUCUUGUUGGCACACAAGACAAGUUCGCACAUCUGCUUCGAUGUCGUCCCUCAUGUACGGCCAAAAAUACGAGGCUUGAACUAGUGCGGUGGUGCGCUCGAUUCCUGGGUGACCAGCCCACUUAGAGUCGUGGCACUCCUUGAUUACCUCCUUCCGUAAGUUUCCCCACCUUGGCACGAACAGCCGAUCUCCCUUGGUGUGGAGGAUGCCUUCCUCUUGCCAAAAUCGCCUUGUCUUGCCUUCGAGCACCUUCUCCAGCAAAUCCUUUGCUAGCGGAUCUUGUUGGAGGCCUUCCUUGAUGCGUGAGACAAGGUCGGACUUUGGUUGGCUCAUGCUAAUUGUUGCCAAUUCGGCCUUACGGCUUAGAGCGUCUGCAACGACAUUGGCUUUCCUCGGUUUGUACUCGAGCCAAUAGUCGAAUUCCGUAAGGAAAUCUUGCCACCGUGCUUGCUUCGGGCUCAACUUUUUUUGUGUUUGAAAGUAGCUCGUCGCUACGUUGUCCAUCAUAGUCAUGAAGUGAGAGCCUAGCAAGUAAUGUCGCCACACCCGCAAGCAAUGUAUGAUUGCGGUCAUCUCCUUCUCUUGCACCGUGUAGCGGCGUUCCGUAUCGUUUAGCUUUCGACUCUCGAACGCUAUGGGAUGGCCUUCUUGCAUAAGGACUCCACCUAUGGCGAAAUCCGAGGCAUCCGUUUGAACUUCGAAGGGUUUAGUGUGGUCCAGAAGAGCGUGGACGGGUUCCUCCGAAAUUGCCUUCUUCAACUGCUCGAAUGCGCGUUGGCACUCUUCGGACCAAUGCCACGUUCUGUUUUUCUUGAGCAUAUCCGUCAAGGGUGCUGCCUUGGCUGAGUAGCCCUCGAUGAAGCGGCGGUAGCAGUUCACCAACCCAAGGAAUGAGCGAAGCUCGGGUACUUUCGAGGGAGGUUCCCAUUCGAGGAUGGCCUUUACUUUGGCAUUCUCCAUCAUGAUCUUUCCGCCCGCAACCUUGUGGCUAAGGAACUCCACUUCUUGUUGGGCAAACGAGCACUUCUCCAACUUGAGGAAGAGCUCGUUGUCUCGGAGUACUUGGAGGACUUGUCGUAAGUGUUGGGCAUAAUCCUCGAGUGUGGUGCUAUACACCACUAUGUCGUCCAAGUACACGACCACGAAGCGGUCGAGGAAUGGUUGGAGUAUCUUGUUCAUGAGCGUGCAAAAUGUAACAGGUGCAUUAGUAAGGCCAAAAGGCAUCACAAGGAAUUCGAAAGACCCAUACCUUGUAGUGCACGCUGUCUUCGGUUCGUCUCCCUUGGCGAUGCGCACUUGAUAGUACCCGGAGCGCAAGUCAAGUUUGGUGAAGUACCGCACUUUGCCAAGUUGGUCGAACAAGUCCGCGAUCAAGGGAAUCAGAUACUUGUUCUUGAUGGUGAUCUUGUUGAGCGAUCUAUAGUCGAUGCACAUCCGCAGCGAUCCAUCCUUUUUCUUUUGGAAGAGGACCGGUGCACCGAAUAGGGCCUUUGAGGGGUGAAUGUAGCCUGCGUCCAGCAAGUCUUUGAGUUGUCUCCGCAACUCCUCUAAUUCGGGUGGCGCCAUGCGGUAGGGCGCCAAGGCUGGUGGCUUCGCGCCUUGUUCCAGCUCGAUCGCAUGAUCUACCUCUCGCCGAGGUGGGAGCUUCUUCGGAAGUUCCAGAGGCAUCACGUCCUUGUAUUCAUUGAGAACGGCUUGAAUUCGCGAAGGGACUUGGCUUGGCGACGUUCUGCUCUUUCCUUCCUUGUUUAGUUCCCGGAUGGAGACCAAGAAGCUUGGGUCCUUCUUGAAAGCCCUUUUGAAUUGCAUGGCGGAGAGUGUCUUCUCCUCGGACUUGCCUCGCUCCGUGGGUACCAUGCAUGCUUUGCUCCCGUCGAGGAUGCUUAGGGAGUUUGUAGCGGGCAGUGGGAAGGCAUGGACUUGGUCGAAAAAUUCCAUGCCGAGGACUAUCUUGAAGUCAUCCAUGGGGAUGAUGGAGAAAUCAAGCUUUCCGCUCCACGUACCGAGUGUUAAGUGCACGCCUUGUGCAAUUCCCGCAAUUGGCUUGGCGGGUGAGUUUACUGCCUUCAUUGUGCUUCGUGAGCUAACUUGCGUGCGUGCAAACCUUAGCUCCGAUACCACUUGUCACGGGAUGAGUAUUUUGCGCAGCUAACCCGUGCGGCACUUAGACAACUUUGCCGAAUGUUGCUAAGUAAGCCUAGAGCUUCUCGAACUAGAGAAGAGAGCAAUUGAGCCGAAUAAGAGAAAUUGUAUUGCACAAAGAGAGAUUACAAUGCUUGUUGUUGUGUUUGUUGGAUACAAAUGCCUAAUGCCAUCCCAUAUUUAUAGGGGAGGCUUGCCAAGCUCUAGAGAUUCUAGAGAAUUCUACCAUUUCCUAGCUAUUUACAUGUGCUGGAAUUGUAAGGAGAAUUCUAGAGUAUUUGCAAGCUCACAUGUGCUAGAAUUGCCUAGAACUUUCCGGAAUUGGGCCAAGCUAGCACUCUUGGCCUUGUGUUGGCUCUCUAGCCCGAAAUUGUGGGCAAUUGGGCUAGCGAAUUGGGCGGUCCGCAACAUCCUCCCCCACCUAAGCUCGCGGCGUCCUCGUCGCGCUCUCGUGCUUGAAAUUCUGGAUGUGCUCAGCGAAUUGCCAUAAGUCAUCUUCACGUUCCCAAGUGGCUUCGCUCUCGGGGAGGUUUUUCCACUUCACCAAGUACUUGCUAUGUGCUGGCACGCCCCUCCUCGAAACCGUGCGGUCCGCAAUGAUGUAGUCCACAUCUUUGUCGAAUGCGGUGACAAGCAGUUGGCACGCGCCUCGAUUCUCCGCGACUUGGUUCUCCCAUGUCUUCGUGAUAUGGCUUGAGAAGGCUCACAUGGAAGACCGGAUGGAUCUUGAGUCUUGGCGGAAGUUGGAGUUGAUAUGAGACGUUGCCCACACGUCGAACAACUCGGAAGGGUCCCUCGUAGCGCCUCACUAACCCCUUGUGGACUUUCCGCAACGUCUUGAAUUGUUGGGGUAGGAGCUUGAUCAUGACUUGAUCUCAUUCCUUGUAUUCAACAUGCCGUCUCCUUGUAUCUGCCCAUUUCUUCAUUUUCCUCGCGGCAUUGUCGAGGUAGGCUCGCGUGAUGUCCGCUUCCUCAUGCCAUUCGCGGGCGAGCUUGUGUGUGACGAUGGUCUGUUUGGUGAUGCUGAAGGAGUCUUUACUUCACGGCAGAAAUUUGUAACCUCUGGAAGAUUCCCCAGACUCAAAGAUCUUAAUUGAGCAAACUCUAUCUUCUCAAUUGCAUUAUCAACUUCUUCCCCAAUUGCAAAAAUCUCUUUCAUCUUGCUGCAAUCAACAACUGCAAUUCUCUCAAGUCUUGGAAGGCAUUUUGUAGUAGAGAGCCAAAAGAUAUUACUCAAUUUAUCACAAUUAUAUGCUUGUAUGAUUUUGGGUUCGUUCAAAGACUCUACUUUGAGCUGAUCAAUACAUAUCCUCUCCAUGUUGAUCAAAUUGUGAAGGAUAAGUGACUCCAAAAGAGGAAAGGCUUCACAAGCUACCAUCUCCAUUGAGUCCACGAUACACAGGAAGUUAGGAUUAUUUUGAACAUGGAGAUGCUUCAAUUGUGAAAAACCUUCUGUGUCCAAAUCAAAAAGAACAUUCUUGACACCUUGCAGCUUGUCCAACCAUAGGUAUUCAACGUUAUUGAUGCCCUGCAAUUUCAUGGAGAAAAUGUCCAUAAAAUCAAGCUUGAGCUUCAAUUCUCUUAAACUCUCACGAUUACUGUUGAUCAAAAAGUGCGGCCGGCUUUGAAACCAUUCUCUUGUAACACUCUUGGGAGGCAUGAAUGACUCAUUUCCAAUGGAUAUUUUGAACCUUUCGAGCUUUCUGGCCAAAAAGCCUUCCGGUAAAAUACUGUCAUUUUUAACAUCAAUUUCUAGAGUGGUUGGCCAAGGUAAAAGCAUCAAUUCAUCAAGGCUAGCAUUACUUCUUUCACUGUUGGCUCUUUCAACCUCCCAUUCAACGGAGCAAUUACCCAUAUACAAUUCUUCUAAUCGGAUUAAGCUCGAUAAGACAUUUGGGGCAAUAACUUUUAGAUGGAAACAGUCUCUUAAAUCUAACAGCCUUAGCUUAGUCAGUUGCCCUAGUGCUUUAGGUAACUGUACAAUAUCAGACCGCACAAAGCCAAGGAUUUCUAGAUUUUCCAACUUUCCAAUAAUGGCUGUGUCCAUGUCUCCCAAAUGCUUUGAUUAAGACAAAGUGUCCGAAGAUUUACUAGAAGAUCAAUUGAAGAUGGCAAUGACAAUAACCGCAUUCUAGUCAAAUCCAAAACCCGAAGCUUUUUCGUCCUUUUGAAGAAGUUCUCAGGAACAUUGGGCCCAACAAAAGAGUUCUUGGGUGACAUGAAUAAAAAUUCAAGUUGUGUAGAUUCCAACACUUCAGGAAUGUCAUUAAUAAUACUAUCUUUUAAACAAAUUGCAAAAUAUUUUUUUAGUGCAUCUGCAUCUGGCCAGUUCCACACAUCCUCAUUUCUCACCGCAAAUGCAAUUUUGUCACGACGUGCUAUUGAAAUGGCAACAUCGCGAACAACAUCAUGCAUGGAAAAGAAUUUACUGCCACCAUCCUCAAGCAACAAACAAGAGUCUCUUAGUUGAUGGACCCAUGCAUGUAAUUUGUUAUGUGCAUCUUCUAUCUUAUGGACACUUUCAAAUGCACCCAAGCCUAUGCUAUAUUUGAACAAGUCCAUAAUUGAAGUUGGUGUAAUUAGACUACACAGUAAAAAAGUUUUCUUUAGUUGCUCACCUCUUAAAUACUUGUAACUUAGCUCAAUUGUUGAGUAUGCCUCUACUGGUACUCCUUCAUCGAAGCUUGCCUCUGAAGGCGUUUGGAGUUCUUGCAAGGCGUUCUUCCACACAGGCAGCUCUUUGUUUCUCAGUGCCUUUGCUACUGUGGUUAGAGCAAUAGGCAAACCUCCACAUGCCUUGGCUACAUUUGUUGCUGUAGAUUUUAACUCACGAUUUUCAACAAAAUUACCAGCCAUUAUCUUGAACAACCUCCAAGCUUCAUGCUCAUUUAGAAUGCCAAUCAAGAAGUUAUUUUCAGAUCCCAUACUUAACAAGACAUUACGAUCCCUUGCUGUUAAUAAUAAUUUGCAUCCUCUAUGAUCAUCGUCAAAAGGAAUUCCAACAGUCUCUAAAUCAAGAUAUUUCCAGAUGUUAUCCAGAAUCACAAGGAUCAUCUUCUCUUUCUUCAAUCGUUCAUAAAGUCUACUAGCUCUUCUAGAUUCAGCCUCCUCGGACAACUCCAGACCUAGUUUCUCUGCAAUUUCCCCUUGAAUCUUUUUUAUGUCUGGAGUUUGGGAAACCUCUGAAAAAACCACCUGAUCAAAGAGUUUCUCUUCACUGGCUUGCGUUGCAAACUCCUUCACCAGUGUUGUCUUUCCAAUGCCGCCCAUGCCGUAUACCCCAACGAUGCUGACAUUGACAUCAGUCAAUGCAUCUUGUCUAGACUUCAGAGUAGAAAGUCUUGAUUUAAAGGCCUCGUAACCUUUGUUAGACUUUAGCCAUACCUCCUCCGCAAUGGUACGGUAGAAAAUUCUAUCAUCAAAUCUCCUAGCUUCUUCUUUGAGUUCAACAAGGGCCUUCACCUCUGUUUCUGCUUUCUUGCUAAGCUGAUAGCGGGUCUUGAAAUUAGGACACAAGCCCUUGAAACAUCGCUUACUUGUUGUCUCCCCAUCUUCAAUGAAUUUGGCUGCCUGCUCAAUGGUGUUGUUCGCACUAACCAGCCAGUUCUCAACCUUCUCUUCAAUCUUUUCUCCUUUUCUUUCAGCCUCAGAAACUCUGUGCUGAAUGCUCUUACUUUCAUCCUUGAGCUUGUCUAUUUCUGCCUUGAGAUUCUCAAAGUUGGCUUUAUAGUUACGCAAAUAACAAAGUUGGCGUUCUGUUGGAGGAGCGAAGCAUUUCACAACUUCUAACAGAACAGUAACAAUGCUUUCCACCAUCUUCGAUCCUCUUUUUUUCAAAGUUCCGAAAUGAAAAUAAACGACGAGCGAAACACAAAGAGAAAGAGAGGCAAAAAAAAAAAAAAAGAAAAACGAAAAAAAGAAAAUGAAACAACAAAGAUGACAAGUGUAUCUGGUUGUGGAAGCGGAGAAAUCAAAGAAAGCUUAAAAACUGUUGUGAAUCUGGUGAGAAGAUGGAAACAAGGAAAAGGUUUCUAGUUCAAAAGUGAUUGAAUUGAUAUAAGGAAUGAUUUAGAUAAUAGAGGAAAAGUGAAUCAGUCAAAAUAACUUAUGUAUUGACCAGAAGAAAGAUGCAAACAAUAUUAGAGACAACAACCGCGCUGUUGAUGCCCAAAUCUGAUCUAGUCUAUCAGCGACUUAAUGUCAGAUUUCUACACCAGUAUUAGAUUUAUUUGGUAGAGAAUCGAUUGGUCAAUCGUCAAGAUGUCCUGCAACCACUAGCGAUUAACCUAGGAAUACCUGAAAUCAUAGAAGAAGGUUAGAGGCGCCGGAAGUUUUUCCGGCGUGAACCCUCCGACACUCAAGUUAGUUUCUAGGCCUUUCGGAAAAACUUGUGCCACCACUCAUGUGGCUUAAUAAACAUUGCCUUAAAACCCAAGGCUUUUCGAGUAAUUUACAGAAAGUAAAGCAGAGUGUCAAAGAAAGAAUUUUCCAUGAGAGGAAGAGAGCCCAAAAAGCCCCCCUAGCUAACUCCCCACUCCCCUCUUUCCCCCCUUGUUCUCUCCCACUUUCGGAAGUUAAGGAUGAGAUAAAAGUAAUGCCCCCACUCUCCUUUUUUUCCUCCUUUUUCCGUUACCAAACACGCGCUAUUGACUGGUAAAAGAGAUGGAGAAAAAGAUAUAUCUUCACACGGUGGAAGUACAAAGGGUAGAUAUGGAACCAAACAGAGACAACAACAUGCCACAACUAGAUUGGGAAUGGAGAGAAACAAAUUAACAAAGACUGGAGAUUACAACAGAACAGAUGCCAAGAGAAAAGGGUUUCUUCAUCCAGUGAAAUUCAAGUGAGUUGACAGCAAAAGGGAGCAUAUGUGUUUCUUGAUUGAGAACGAGUGCAAAGGAUGACUUUUUAAUGAGGUUCUGAAGCUGACGGAUAACGAUUUGCUAAAAUUUUGAGAAAGUUAUAUAUUUCGUAACUUCAACAAGUGAAGAAUAAAAGAAUAAUAGUUCGUCAUCUUCACAAUGAAGAUCAUGGCCGAGAUUAAAAGCUAAAACUAGUCCAUUUGAAAAGCCAAAGUUCAAGUUCCUUGGCUAAGUUCAGAAGUGAAGCAAAGAAUAAAUAAAUAAAGAUCAAGGGAUGGGAAUAAAGUCACCCCCAGACAGUUGCAGAAAGAUUAUUAUUUGGUAAGCGUAGUUGAUUAUUAGUACAAAACAGAGUAGGUGAAACACAUCCUUUCUAUUUAGACUGAUCAGCAUCUAAAAUUUUAUGAAUUAUAAGUUGCAUUUUACUUUGUACAUUAUGUUAACACAUUUUAAUUUAGCCAAUUUUUCAAUAAAUGUUAUUGAUGUAUUAAAUUGCAACAACAAAACACAAUUAUUGGUUUUAAAGAAUGAAAAAAAAAAUACAAAAAUAGAAAAUGAAUUGAAUUCCACUCAUCGUCAUCUUGGCAAAUCAAGUCAAAAAAUAAAAAUCCAUAUGCUUUUGUUAAAGUUAAAAGCUACAUAAAUAAUAUCACAGAAGCUUCUGCUAAGGUUCAUGUGAAGUCACAGCUUUGAUACUUGUAAUACAAGGAGCACGGAGAAACCAUAAACUUCAGUUUAGGUAUAUACAUUGCUUGUCUUUCAAACUUGAAUUGAUAAGGGGGAAAAAAAUAAUACUAAAGCAAACAGAAGGAUCAUUUAGUUGACAAAAUUAUUAUUAUUUUUAAAUUCGGGUCAUUCAGUUACUUUCAUUUCAGUUUCACUACUGAUUCAAUUUAACCAGUUAACGUUGACAAAAAUAAAAUGCAAAUAUAAGGCUAAGGCUGCUAAUUUGAUGAACUAAUUAUCUCAGGAACCAAAGCAUCUAUAAGCAUGCAUGGGUGGCAACACCAUAAUUACUCAAGACUGGAGGAGUAAAAAGAUUGGAGAUGAUAAACAUUAAAUUUCAGGAAAAUCAUUCACAAAUAUGCUUUUAUAAAAGUUUUGCUGGUAAAGUUCGAGAAAUGCAUACAUGUCAAAUUUCCAUUUCUUGUGAGCAUUUCACCAAAUAGCUGAUAUGCAUUAAUAACUCCUAUCCUAUACUAUUGGCCAGUAGGUUGUUGCUGCUUCCCCAUUUUUAAUGAUGCGAACGUCUCAUACUUAGAAAUAAGGGCGGAGCCUGGAGAUUGAUUUAUAAGAUAAUCUUUUGAAUAAAAAUAAAAACAAUUACAGAUUUCAAAUGUGAGAAAAAUAAAAUUGCGUUAUAAAAUUAAUCCCACUAAGAAAGUCGUCUACGAAAUUGCCACAUUAAAAGAAAAUUUUUCCAUAAAUUAAAAUAAAAUUAAAUGAAAACUAUUUUUCAGUAAAGUCAAUUGCCCACGCUAGGCUAAGGCGUUUGUUUAUUUGUUUGUUUGUUUUUAUAAUCUGAAUAGGUAUAAAUUUUUCGUAAGCAUGAAUGAGCUGAGUACAAAUAUAUGAAUGAUAUAUUUAUUUUUCUUUUUCUUAAUACCCAAAUAUAAGUGACAUCUUAUUUAUCUUAAAUAUGGUUAUUUGAUAUUUAUAUUUUUACAAAUAAAAACAAAAAAAAGUAGUUAGAUUUUAUAGUUUAAGAAAUAAAUAUAUUUUAUAAAAAUAUUUUUAGAAUAUAUAUUUAAUUCUUAUUUAGACUUUUUCCUAUUCAAUAAAAGUCACAAAAGUUACUUUUUCUAUUCAAAUGUAAAUGCUUAAAAAUCAGAUAUAAGUCACAAAAAAAAUAAAUUUUAGAAAAAGUCAUAAAUUAAUAAAAUUUCAUAUAUUUAACUCCCAAUGCAGAUCCGCCCCUAUCAGUGUUAGGAAAUUGACUGGUGAAGUAGGUUCACAGCUAAAAUGAAAUUGGAAGAAAAUGAAGAACAAGCACAUAGAGGACACCAAAAAUUACAUGGUUCGACUUUUAGCCUACGUCUACGGGUAAAGACAAAAGGAUAAAACUUUACUGGUGAAAUGAGGAUUACUAGUAUUAUAAUAUUUUGUUUCACUUCCUAGAACCCCAAUCCACUCAAUCUCUUAAAACACUAAUCACUCAAGAGCAUUAAAACUCUUAGUCUCUCACUCUAGAAUUGAAGAAGAAAAGAAUGAAAUGCAGGGGUGAACCCCUCAUUUAUAGUUAAAAAUUUGGGCACUAUUUAUAUUUUUAUAUAUUUUUUUUAAAUUAAAAGUUUGAACUUGACAUUCAAACUUUGAAUAUCAAAAGGUAUUGGUCACUCUUCUAGAAAAGUGACAUUGACUUUGACAUUCUCCCACUUAGAAAUUUGAUUGAGAAUCAAUCAAUCUCCACACCAUCCUUUCUGCUUCGUCGCUAUCAUGUUGCUUAUGUCUCUACUAGGCCAUAAAAUGAUCUACUCCAAACAAAUUUAUCAGCAUUGAUAGGCUUGGGCAAAACAUUUGUUAAGUUCUCCUUGGUAUCCACUCUUGUAUCUUUCACUACUUCACGAAGAAGUGAUAUUGUACUCCUAUAUUCUUUGUCCUGAAAUAAAAGGUUGGAUUCCUUGCAUUCUAACUAUCACAAACCAUAAAAAUUUUUAUGCCCAAGCUCUUUCAGUAACCUUUGUAUCCAAAUAGCCCUUCCAAGCUUGUGUAGCUGCUAUGUAAUCUGCUUCUGUUGUUGAUAAAGCCACAAUGGUCUGCAAUUUUGAAAUCCAACUAACAAUUUCGCCUUCUGGUGUAAAUACUUAGCCAGUAGUGGGUUUCCUUUUAUUAAGAUUUUCUGCAAAAUCUGAAUGCACAAAGCCCUUGACAGUAAAUUCUAAUCCUUCGCAGCAUAAUGCAACAUCUGAUGUUCCUCUGAUAUUUCUCAGAAUCCUCUUAAUAGUCUUCCAAUGUUCUUUGCAAGGAUUCGCUAUGUAUCGACUAACUGCUCCCACUACUUGUACAAAUCAUAGCAAACCUUAAAUUUUCCACUGCUGAUGCAUACAGUACUCAAGACAUCUCUUCUUCUCUACUUCAUUACUAGAUGAAUACUUAAGAAUAACUUGAAAUUAAUAAGAAGCGGGGUAGAAAGCCAAAUCUUCUUGCUAUUACUAUCUCGGUGAAUUUGCAUCCCUAAAAUCUUGUUUGCUGGUUCUAAGUCUUUUAUUUCAAACUCCCUAGUUAACUGUGCCUUCAGUUCUUGGACUCGAUCUUUGUUGGGGCUUGCUACCAAUAUGUCAUCCACAUACCACAGUAGAAUGAUGAAAUCAUUAUUAUAAAACUUGUUGUAAUAUGUACAACAGUAUGAAAUGAUUCUAUUGUAUCCAAGGUUUAUGAUGAAAUGAUCAAUUCUCUUAUAUCAACAUCUCGGUGCAUGUUUGAGAUCGUAUAGAGAUUUGUUCAACUUGCAAACCAAGUGUCCCUUUUUAGUAAAACCUUCUAGUUAGAGCAUAUAAAUCUUUCCUUCAAGUUCUCCAUGAAGAAAUGAAAAUUUCACAUCUAACUGCUCCAAAUAUAGGUCAAAUGUAGCACACAUCGACAAGACCACUCUGACUGUCCUGGGUCAAAUCACUGGAGAAAAUAUCUCAUUGACGUUAAUACAUUCUUUCACCACCAAUCUUUCACGAUAUCGCUCCACUAGGUUAUUACCAUCACGUUUGAUCUUGUGAACCCAUUUGCAACCAAUGGUUUUUUUUUAUAUGGUAGUAGUACGAGUUCCUAUGUCAUAAUCUUGUGUAGAGCCUUAAUUUCUUCCUGCAUUGCUAUCAUUCACAAAGUAACAUCUGAGCUGUUUAAAAUUUCAUAGAAAGUUGAUGGCUUUCCAUUCUCUAUUAAAAGACAGUAUGCAAAAUUGAUAUCUGUGACAUAAUCCAAAUGCCACACAUACAUUUAUCUAUCACGAGUUGACCAACAAACUUUUGGGGCCUCAGACUUGAUUGGUUCUUGUUCUCAUACUUUGGUGCUGCUUCAAAAAAAUCUGAAUCUUCAUUUUCCAGAUUAUUUUCAACAUAUAUUAGCACAAUCUCUAAAUUUUAAUAGUGCUAUCAUCCAUAUCUCUCUUUUGCAUUUGAUCUUCUACAAAGACAAUAUCUCUGCUAAUAACGAUCUUGUGGGCAUUGAGGUCCCACAGAUAAUACCCUUUCACUCCAUCAAUAGAUUCUAAGAAGAUACAUCUCUUGGAUUUUGGAUCCAUCUUUAAUCUCACUUGGGUAUCGUAUAUCACGUAAAAGGACAUCAAAAUGCCUGAGAUGAGAGUAAUCAGUUGGCUUUCCUGUCCAUUUUUCCAUUGGAAUCUUCAACCCGAUUGCCUUGAAUGAUGACCCACUUACCACAUAAUAAGUAGUUUUUGCUACUUCCGCCUAGAAUGAGUUGGUAGACCAGCAGUUCUCAACAUAACUCUUAUUUUUUCUAUAAGAGUCAUGUUCUUUCACUCUACUACUCUAUUUUAUUGAGGAGUGUAUGCCACUGUAAAUUAUCUCUAGAUACUUUCUUACUUACAUAUGCAAGAAACAUGCUAUCUGUAUACUCUCCACCAUUGUCUGUCCUCAGGCACUUGAUCCCUUGCCCUGAUUUAAGUUCAAUCUACGCUUUGAAUUCUUUGAACAAUAGAAAUACAUUUGACCUUUUCUUGACUGGAUACACCAAAUAUCUCCUAGAAUAAUCAUCAAUAAAAGUCACCAAAUACUUUGCACCUCCCAUAGAUAUAUCAAUUGAUUCCCAAACAUUAGAAUGAAUCAAGUCUAAAAUACAUUUACUUUUGAAAGUGGAUCUGCUAAACUUUCAUCUAUGUUGCUUUCUUGUUUCGACAUGUGGCCAAGUUUAAGAUGCCACAUCAUCGCUGAAUUUUCUCUAUUUGAUGUGACACACACAAAAGUUUUCUGUAGUGUUUCCAUUUAAGCAUGAAUAGAUUAGCACCGAUCUUUUCCACCUUCAUUAAUGCAAGUGUGCCUUUGACUAUCUUUAUGAUCCCAUUUUCUACAUGAGUUUUGUGCACAAGGCUAUCUAUUUGUCCUAAAGACAAGAGAUAUUUUUCAAGUCUUUGACAUGUCUUACCUUCUCAAUUGUGCGAACCAUACCAUUAAACAUAUUUAUUUUGACAGUACCAAUAUCAAUGAUCUCAAAGGCAUGAUUAUCACCUAUGUAUACAGAUUCUCUUGAAAUAGGUUCAUAUUUGUGAAAUCAUUCUCUUGGAGAGAUCAUGUGCCAAACAACUAUUAAGUCUAUAAGCCAGACGUCAUAUAGUGGUUUUCUGCCUUUUGAAGCAGUUGUUGCCUUACUGUAGAGAAUUUUUCCAUUAUACGAGGUACUUACUACAUACCCUUGAGCAUUUGAUGACUCAGGAUCUUUACCCUCUCUUCUCUUCUAGUUGUUCCAAUACUCUUCCUUGACAUGCUCUUUCUUGCCACAGUUGUUGCAUUUAACAUUCUUCUUACUUCUUGAUUUCGAUCUACUGUGAUUGUGGCUCUCACUAGGGCCACGUUCCAUGGAUCUUCCUUUCAUCAUCAAUAGCGCUUCUACUUGCUGCGAACUUGUCUGUCUAUCUUUUUUAUUUUUUGCUACUCUCCUCAUUUAAUACGGAGGCUGCCAUAUUGUCAAAGACUAACUUGUUUGCUCGAUUGUUAUUAGUUAGAUUAAUGACGAAUUAAUCAUACGAAUCUGGUAAACCUUGAAGUAAAAGCUCUACAUGAUCAUUUUCCUCUAUUUUAUGACCCAACGUUGUAAGUUAUGAAAAUAAAGUCUUUAAAGUGUUGAUAUGGUCGAUCACUGAUGUAGAUUCCGUCAUUCGAAGAGUAUAAAGCCUCCUCUUUAAAAAGAUUUUAUUUUGUAGUGAUUUGACCUCGUAUAGUCUUGUGAGAGUAAACCAUAUUUCCUUUGCUCUCUUUUACUCUACCACAUUGAAUAAUACCUUAUUUGAAAGUGGUAUGUGUAGAUUUGCAAUGGCAUUAUUGUCUAUCUCAUUCCACUUGUCAUCAUCAGUUAUCUUUGUGAGCCUCUCUUCAAUUGUUGCCAAGCAAUUACUCUUCCUCAAUACAACUUUCAUCUUCAUUUUUCAUGACGAAAAAUUAUUUUUGUUGAACUUCUCAAUUUUGUAUUUUUCCGCCAUCAUUGUUCACCACGAGCUACCUUUGCUAAGAUCGAUUCCUACCAUUUCAUAUGAGCAGUAACUGUAUAUAUGAAUAAAGUGUUGUAUACAGAAACAAUAUCAUAUACAUGAACAGUACAAUAUAUGUAAACAGUAUCUUGACCCCAAAAAAUACAACCCGACUCUGAUACCACUAUUAGAAAAUUAAUUUGUGAAGUAGGGCCGCGACUAAAAUGAAAUUGGAAGAAAAUGAAGAGCAAGCACACUGAGGACACCAUAAAUUAUUUGGUUCGACUUUUAACUUAUGCCCAUAGGUAAGGACAAAAGGAUAAAACUUUACUAGUGAAAUGAGGAUUAUAAGUAUUUUAGUAUUUUGUUUCACUUCUCAAAACCUUAAUACACCCAAUCUCUCCAAACACUAGUCACUCAAGAGUAUAAAACUCUUAAUCUCUCAUUAUAGAACUAAAGAAGAAAAGAAUAGAAUGAAUGAAAUGAGGGGGUGAACCCCUCUAUUUAUAGCUAAAAAUUUGGGCACUUUUUAUAUUUAUUAUUAUUAUUAUUUCAAAAUUUAAAGUUUGAACUUGAUAUUCAAACUUUGAAUAUCAAAAGAUACGGGUUGUUCUUCUAGAAGAACGGCACCAACCUUGACUCUUAGGCAGACCUUUAGAGCUUUAAAUAAAGAAAAAGCUUUUAAAAAUGCCAUGUGUACUUGAUUAUACAAUAAUCUCCACCACAUAGAAUGAUUUGAUAAAAGAAAUUUUUUAUUUUUAAUUUUACUUUUAUCAGGCACGGUGCAUUUCCCCUUGGGCUCAUAUGUAAGGAUGUCAAUAAGAUGCGAAGGAGAGGGGAUUGAUUUCCCCAUACUCAUCUUUAAUACUCUGUCUAUCUCUUUGUACUCUAGACAUUUCCUUCAAAAUUACUUGAAACGAGGGGUUGGAUGUUUCUAAAUAAUACAAAGGGAUCUCUUAUGGCAUCCGAUCUCUGAUUAUUUAAUUUCUUUUUUUUCUUAAUUUAAUCAUCUUAAAGUAAAAAUAUAAAAUCAUAUUAACACAAAAAAUAUCAAAUUAACUAAAGUGAUUAAAAUCAUUUCCAUCAAAUUAAGUCAAUGUCAUCAAAUGAGAAGAUAAUCUUUGAACUAAUUAAGCAAAAGUAAAUCUUCAAAGUUGAACUCAUCCAUAAAUGUCAUAUAGUAUAAACCAUCAAUUAAAUUAUCUUUGUCAAUUUUAAAGUGUUUAUAUUUACUUUAUAUUGGCUGUUAUUUAUAUUAUUUUUAUAAAUGUAUUAUGAUAUUUUUUAUUUACAUCACACUAUUACAAUUGAAAUUUUAAAUGUAUUUACUAUAAAUUUGAAAAAAAAAAGAAUUAAAAAUAGAAACUAAAGAUGGAAAUAGAAAAAUGUGGAGCCAAAUAAAAUAUUAGGGCAAACACUAAAUUAUACACCCACACAUAUUAAUUUAUCAGAUUCUUGUCUCCACAUAGAAAAAUUAGAUCUAAAAUUAUCAAACUCCCGAAUGAGGAAGAUCCCUCGGGGCCAUCGUCCCUGUGGAAAUUUCUGCAUCCCUGCAGUCUACAACGCCUAAUAAUGAAUUGAACGGUUGAAAUCCCUCUAAAUUUUUGAUAAUUUCUAAUCGCCCCUCCAUAUUUGAUUGAACAUCAAAACUAUUGAGUCCAAAUUUAUAACUUUGAUUUAUCUUCCAUUCCAUAGUUUUCAAGUUCUCUCUCUCUCUCUCUUUUAAUCCUUUUUACUGCAACCACCAUCAAAGCCUAGUAGUUAAUAUGUAUGCUGCUUUGCUUUCAAAAUCGGACACUACUGGUAUUUAUGGUUUUUAUUCUUUAUUUGACACAAAAUUUGGCGAUAUCUCCGCGGAAAAACACUACUGGUGUAUUCAAUUUUAUCCGGUAAUGAUUAAAUUGAUUAUUACAUGAACCGUAACUUCGCCAAGCCCAAAAUACAUAUUAAGUUAUAAAGCGUGGCACUCAUUAUUUUUCGCAAAAAGUUUCGCCCAAAAUACAUAUAUUUUUUUAAUUUUUUCUGUGAAAAAAACUACUGUUAUAUUCAAUUUUAUCAUUAAAAACUACUGUUNNNNNNNNNNNNNNNNNNNNNNNNNNNNNNNNNNNNNNNNNNNNNNNNNNNNNNNNNNNNNNNNNNNNNNNNNNNNNNNNNNNNNNNNNNNNNNNNNNNNNNNNNNNNNNNNNNNNNNNNNNNNNNNNNNNNNNNNNNNNNNNNNNNNNNNNNNNNNNNNNNNNNNNNNNNNNNNNNNNNNNNNNNNNNNNNNNNNNNNNNNNNNNNNNNNNNNNNNNNNNNNNNNNNNNNNNNNNNNNNNNNNNNNNNNNNNNNNNNNNNNNNNNNNNNNNNNNNNNNNNNNNNNNNNNNNNNNNNNNNNNNNNNNNNNNNNNNNNNNNNNNNNNNNNNNNNNNNNNNNNNNNNNNNNNNNNNNNNNNNNNNNNNNNNNNNNNNNNNNNNNNNNNNNNNNNNNNNNNNNNNNNNNNNNNNNNNNNNNNNNNNNNNNNNNNNNNNNNNNNNNNNNNNNNNNNNNNNNNNNNNNNNNNNNNNNNNNNNNNNNNNNNNNNNNNNNNNNNNNNNNNNNNNNNNNNNNNNNNNNNNNNNNNNNNNNNNNNNNNNNNNNNNNNNNNNNNNNNNNNNNNNNNNNNNNNNNNNNNNNNNNNNNNNNNNNNNNNNNNNNNNNNNNNNNUCUAAGUUUUGAAAGAAAGGUUGAAAUAAACAGAGAAACAGGACAAACAGAAGAAGACUGAAUUAACAGAUCAACAAAGAUGGCAACUAACAAAUGGAAAAGUUCUCUUGUAAUCAAACUAUAGCAAACAGAUGACACCAUUACCAUAUAUCUUAAUGAGUAGAUUGAUUCUAAACAUAUAUGUUAGGAUACAUUUGGUUGUUUAAUAGUUUGAAAUAAGGAGGAUGAGAUGGUUUCCACAUAAAAGUGCUGGCCCUUUCAAUGACAUUUUCAAGGAAUUAUAAAAUUCAAAAUUAAAAAAAAAUAGCACAUUAUAAAGCCACACCGUCAAAUAAAUAAAUAAAUAAGUGAAGACCAAACUAAGUCACUAAGACCUUUAAUGAUAUAAAAUAAGCAUAUAAAUCUCAGAACAAAACAUUAAAACUCAUUCUAAAAGUAAAAAUAAACUAGUGGUGUAUUCCAAACAAUUUAGAUGAAGCGAUAAAACAAGCCAAGAAAUCAAAUAAAAUGAAAUGAAAUUGAAUUACCUGGGACUUUGUUUUUCAAAUUCACAACUCGAUUGUAAUUAAAGUAAAAUGCCAUUGCCAUUAGGACAUACACAUCAUUGAAUAAGAUGAGGACCCCUCCAACAGCUGAAAGUAAAAUUUUCAUUCAUUAGUUUCAAUUAAAAGUAAAGCACACAGAUUUGCAGGGAAGCAAGAGAUUUAAUAAAUUUAACAACAGCAAUUUAAUUUGACAGGACUUCCAUACAGUAAUGAAGCUAAAACUUAAUGAUUAACGAAUUUUUGUAAUUGAAUGAAUAAGAUUCUCUGAUUUUGGAUAAUUGAAUGAAUAUGAUUCUCUAACUCUUGUGAAAAUAUCAAUUUUAAAUAGGGUAGAGUUUCAAGAAUUAAGCACAUAUGUAUCCCAAGGCUGUUGAUCAUCUCUCUCUCCAUAGUAGAAGUUUACUCUCAGAGGCGCGUUUAAUUCUCCUUUAGUGAAAAUCUUCAUCUUGGGACAACCAAUUAUAGAUAAAUCUUCCAAAGAUGGGAAUUUGAAGGUGUAAUUGGCAGAGCAGAAACUUCUGAGACUAUCAGCAGAAACUUGUGAGACUAUCCAAAUCAUACAGAUACAAAAUCUUCAAUUUGGUGAAAACAAUCUCUUCUUCAAAAUUUGCUGCUCCAUCUUCUUCAUUUAUCACCACCUCUCUCAUUGCUCUGCAUCCAUAUACCAACAUUGAUAAGAGUCUCUGUAGAGUUUGGAGUGACAGAUUCGAUAAUGAUAAACUCCAAAUACUCGCCAAGAUCGCAAAUCAAACAACCAAGAUGCAAAAAGAAUCAAUCCAGAACAAAUCACAGAGACACUUAAGAACCUAAAAGAAUUAAAGAAUUAGCGGCAAAGACAAAAGAAUUAACGUGGUUCAGCUAGCUUUCACUAGCUUACAUCCACAGGAAAAACCAGGAUCAAGUUUAUUGAUUUUCAGAAGAUGAUUACAGAGAGUUUUAAGAGCUAAUAACAGAGUAUUUCUUGAAGCCUUCUCACGAAUCUUCUAAUCACUCAAUAGCUCUCACGCACAUGCCUCCUGUUGCACCAGAAGAAGCUGUUUAUAACAGCUUCUUCAACAAACCAAAAUGAACCCAGAAACUCACGUGAUUGGCAUGCGUUAUAACAGACUCAUAACGACCUUGAGCAGCUUCUUCGAGCACGUGUUUCUCUCGUGCUUUACUUAAAUUCCAGAGACAAAACAAAUUGCUCUUCAAAACGCAAUCAGCAAUUGUCGUAUUGUAGUUUACUUAAGCUGCAAAACGCAAGUCCAACUUGUCGUUUCAAAUAUCUUGAUUUGCUUCACAACACAACAGUCGCUCUAGACUUUUUGCUGUGGAGGAGGUUGCUAAGCUCAUCAAAUUCCUUGCAACGAAGAACUAGAAGUUCUUUUAGGUUCCCAAAAGAUACCGAUGAUGAUGGCCAUAGAUAUAACAGAUUUUGACAAUAAUGUACAUUUAGAAUUUCAAGGCAUUGAACAAAGGAGUCCAAUUUGGAGUCUUGUUUCCACAAUUGCUUCAGAUGAUUAAAUUUGUGCAGAUGUAAAUGUUUUAUCAUUGUAAACUUCCUCGCAUGUUUCUUCAAGUAUCCUCCAUUCGAAAAUACCUCUUCGCAUGAACAACGACGCCGUAUGAGAGUUUCCAGAUUAUGAAAUCUCUCAAGUAAAUCAAGUGGAAAACAAGUUGAGUCAUCAUCCAUUGUUUGUGGCAGUUUAAGACUGCCAAAAAGGUGUCGUGGGAAAUCGCUUUGCAAAGUCAUCCUCGGGUCUUUUCCACUUAAUGCCCGUUCCUCCAAGUUGGGUAAGCUCUGAUCAUUAUCAAUCACGCAAUAACUUAUUAAGUCAAUUCAUAUUCUCUCAAAUAACUUUUAAUGGCUAACACUAAGUUACGUUUAACGUAACAUACAUUCAGAUAACGAAAAUAUCUGUUAGCACCCCUAAACUUAAUGGAAACUACAUUAAUAGAGUUAAAAGAAAUACUUUUAAAUCUUAAAGAGGAAAUAAAAGAAAUUAAACAGGAAAUAGGAAAAAUAAAAAUAGAAAUGACUGUAAUACAAAUGAAUCAAAAGAAAAAUAAAAAAUUAGAAAGGUUUGAAAUAAUAAAAUCAAGAAUAAUUGGAACAAGUUUUAAGAAGCCCACACAAAAACCACAAGCAGGUAGUUAUGAUGCAUGGUUUAUGGACACCCAGUAUCCUAAAAUACUAAGAGCAUCACCAAAAAACUCUUCAAAUAAGAUUUUAUUACUUAUUUGAAGAGCUACAUCAACAUUUAAGGCUCCAAAAGACACUCCAAUUAAGAUUCUUGAAAUAAGAAAUGAUCAUCUCUCUUCAAAUUUGAAGAGUUACUUUCUCCCUCUUCAAUUUAUAUUUUAUUACUUUUUGUUGAAGAAAAAGAGAAAUGUGUUUUAAUUACUAUUGACUUUUCCUUUAAAAAAAUAGUUAUUUAUUUAAAAUAAUAUUAACUCAUUUCUAUUUGAAGAGUCUUUUGGAGAACAAUAUCUUUUUUCACUCAUCUAUUUGCCACAUAGGUAAGCAAAUGAAUAUUUGAAGAGUAAAAUUUAUAGAGCCUUUUGGAGAUGCUCUAAAAGAAACAGAAGAAUUAAGAGCAGAAUUAAAAAAUAAAGAAAAAGGAAAAGAAAAACUAGAAAUAAAAGAAACAACUCCUAGUGAUUCAGAUUAAUGGAAAACACAUUAGAAGAAUUAACUGAAAAAUUCAGUGAAAUAAACCUUAGUGAUUUAGAAGACUUUGAAAAAGAAUAUCAUAUAAAAAUGAAUACUUCUGGAGGACCAGAAUUGAAACCUGACAUAGGAGAACCAAGUCAUAGAUAUGCAACAAACAAAAAGAAAAAUAGACCAUUUUUUGAGUAUAUACCACCCGUUAAAAAUACUCCUUGGAAAAAAGAAUAUCAACCUAACAAUGAUAAUUUAACACCAAUAAGUAAUGCAGGAACAUUUUUAAAUCUAGACUGCAAAAUAAACCCCCAUAAGGUUUUAAUUGAAUGGGGAAUGCAAAUGUGAUUAUUUUUUCUAUAUAAUGGCUCUAAAGUCGAUUGGAAUGUAGAAACAGAAGAAGAAAAAAUAAAUUUAUUCGCUGACAUCCUCAUAGCCAGUUUUACAGGUAAUGUAUUUAACUGGUGGAAAGGAUUAAGUGAAGACACUCAAAGACUAAUAAAAGAUUCAACUAAAAUAGCUUUAGCCAGAAGUAGAGGAUUAGGAAUUGAAAGAAUAAUCGAAUAUAUUGCUAAUGAAUUCUUAGGAGAAAACUGGUUAGAAAAUACAGAAAGAGAAACAAAAAAUGAAAAAUUAGAGGCAAGGAUGAAAUUAAUAAACUUAACAAUUUGUAACAUGUGUUUCGUGAAAGAAUAUACCUGUGAAUUUAGUAAAUAUUAUUAUACACAAUUCUAUAGCCAAGAAGAUCAAAAUAUUUAUAAAAAUUUAUAUUAUUCCAAAUUACCAUAUCCCUGGAAUGGAUAUUUUAUAAAUGAGUAUGAGAAAAAUAGUACUGCUAAUAGAUCUCCAGACACAUUAGGAUCUAGAAUAAGGUUUUUGAAUACAAGAUUAAGUGAAAUAUGCAUUCAAAGAAAUUUAAUGAAAAAGAGUAAAAAUAUAGGAGAUACAUGUUGUGGAAAAACAGAAAUGCCAACCCAAUGGGGUUGUUAUACACCAUAUAAACGAAAAAGAAAGUUAUAUAAGAAAGAGAAAAAAUAUAAAAAAUACAAUAACUUUAAAAGAAAAUAUAGAAAACUGGAAAGAAAAUACUAUAAAAGAAAAUAUAAAAACCAAAAAAGAAAAUUAGAUAAAUCUAAAUGUAAAUGCUGGAAUUGUGGAGAAAUAGAACAUAUUAGCACAGAUUGUACAAAAAAGAAAGUAAGACUCUUAGAAGAAGAUUUUGAAAAUAUAAAAAAUGACUUAGAAGAAAUAAGUGAUAUAUCAGACUAUGAAGGAAAAGAAGUUUACAUGGUGAAAGAAUUAGAUGAUGAGUCAGAAUAAAGACGAAAUUAUAGAAAAUGAAAGAAUAGAAGAAAUAGAAGAAAUAGAAAAAGAAGAAAAUAAAAGUGGAUAUAGUCUUGUUGCCACUUUUAAUAAUGAAAAAUAUAAUAAACUUUUGAAAAUAAAUAUGGAAAAACCAGAAUAUGGAAUAAUACAUAAACUUAGAGAUAUGUUUAAAAGAAAAAGAAUAGUAUUACAUGAAUAUUAUGAACAAGAAAAAGUUGUUACAAUUACACAAGCUGAAGGAAAUAUCAGAUUCAGUUUAAUAAAUAAAAGAUCUAUAGAUUUAGCAUUAAGAAAGAUAAAAAAUGAAUCAACAAAAGAAAAAAUUCAAUAUGUAUAUCUAGCAGAAAUUCAAAUCUUAAUAAAAUCUCUUUUCAAAGAAGGCAUAGAUAGUCCCAUAGUAUUGUCACUACAUGAUCAAAGAUUUAAUGACCCUAGUACAGGACAUUUAGGAACAAUAGAAGGAAACUUAUGUUAUACUAAGUUAUUAUUCACAUGUCAUCCUAGAUAUUGUGUACAUAUAAAAGAUAAAAAUAUAGAUGAAACGCUAAGCUUACAUUUUAAACUACUAAAAAGAAACUUAAUGAAAGAAGGGAAUAGAAUAAUGACAAUACAUUAUUCUGCACUAUAUAGUUUUUGCAAUUCAAAUUACGGAGAAGUAUAUGGGAAUAAGCCUUACAUCGAAAUAAAUAAAGAAUGUGAAGAUAUAGCAACAUUCAUAGAACCAACAAUCCAGGAAUAUAAAAUUCCUAUAAACUAUGAGCUAAACAUAGAUGACAAAAAACAAUUUUUAGAUAUUGCUAACGAAAACUCCAUAAUCCCCAUAAGCUUUGCAGGAAGAACCUUAGUAAGAGGAGGUUCAUCUAGAAGGUUAAGUACUGAUAAACAAAUAACUAGAUCUAUAGUAACUAAUAACGUAAUAAAAAUAUUUGGACAAUAUUUUAAUGGAAUAGAUUAUACAACAAAAAUACCUAUAUUGGUAGAUACAGGUACAAGUCAUAAUUAUAUGAAUCACACAAAAAAUAAAGGACUCUUAAUAAAAGAAAAAGAAAUCCCGUAUCAAUAUACUGAUUUUAAUGGUAAUAAACAUAUUUGUAAACAAGAAGUUAAAGUCCCUAUAAUUAUAGAAGGAUUUAGAAUAAUAGUAUCUUGCUAUAUAGAUUCGUUCAUGACCACAGACCCAGAAAAACAUAUAGUACUAGGAAAUAGUUUUUUAAAUGAUUUAGAAUACUACAAAAUUGAAAAACAUAAAGUAACUCUACAAAUAGAAGGUAAAAAGAUAGUAUGUGAAACAUGUUAAAACAAGCUUAUAUAAAAUACCCUAUGUCCGUAUAUAUACAAAUAAACAUAACAGAAAAAGAUAUAGAUACAUGUGCCUUAAUAGACGGCAGUGAAAUAACGAUUAUGAAAUCCUUUCUAUCAAACCAAUGGAAACCAAACGAGAAAUUAAAAAUCAUUGGAAUAACAGGCGAUAAACAACAAGUAAACCAAUCUUUAAUAAACUUUGAAAUACUCUUAGGUAGUAAGAUAGUAUGUAUCAACCAAAUAUAUCAAUAUGAUGGUAUGGAUUGCGAUAUACUCCUAGGAAAUGACUUUAUACAAUAAUUCCAAUAUUAUCAACAAACUACCUAUAUGGUCACUUUAAAAACCCAUUGUAAUCAUAUUCUUCGCAUUCCUCGUGAAUUUAAACCUUAUCGAGUUCGGCCAGCCCAGCGUGGUGAUACAUUUAUUUAUGAAAAACAUUAUCUAAUACAAAAAUGACAGAGUUACAAUAUACAACUAGAAACAAUAAAAUCACAGCUUGAACAAGUCUAUAAAGAAAAUCCAUUAGCAUUAUGGAAACCAGAACAUCCUAGAGCAAAGAUAGAAUUAAUCGAAAAUAGAAUAAUAAGACUCAAACCUAUGAUGCACACAGAGGAAGAUAGAGAAGAAUUUAAAAUUCAAAUAAAAGAAUUAUUAAAUUUAAAGUUAAUUAGAACUAGCAACAGCCCACAUAAUAGCCCAGCCUUUAUGGUUAGGAAAAGAUCAGAACAGGUAAGAGGAAAAGCAAGAAUGGUAAUAAAUUAUAAAGAGUUAAAUAAAUACACAAAAUUUGACGGAUAUUUCCUCUCAAAUAAAGAAGUAUUAAUAAAUCUUGUAAAAAAUAAAACAUACUACUCAAAAUUUGAUUGUAAAUCAGGAUUUUGGCAAAUAAUAACAGGCGAUAAACAACAAGUAAACCAAUCUUUAAUAAACUUUGAAAUACUCUUAGGUAGUAAGAUAGUACGUAUCAACCAAAUAUAUCAAUAUGAUGGUAUGGAUUGCGAUAUACUCCUAGGAAAUGACUUUAUAUAAUAAUUCCAAUAUUAUCAACAAACUACCUAUAUGGUCACUUUAAAAACCCCUUGUAAUCAUAUUCUUCGCAUUCCUCGUGAAUUUAAACCUUAUCGAGUUCGGCCAGCCCAGCGUGGUGAUACAUUUAUUUAUGAAAAACAUUAUCUAAUACAAAAAGGACAGAGUUACAAUAUACAACUAGAAACAAUAAAAUCAUAGCUUGAACAAGUUUAUAAAGAAAAUCCAUUAGCAUUAUGGAAACCAGAACAUCCUAGAGCAAAGAUAGAAUUAAUCGAAAAUAGAAUAAUAAGACUCAAACCUAUGAUGCACACAGAGGAAGAUAGAGAAGAAUUUAAAAUUCAAAUAAAAGAAUUAUUAAAUUUAAAGUUAAUUAGAACUAGCAACAGCCCACAUAAUAGCCCAGCCUUUAUGGUUAGGAAAAGAUCAGAACAGGUAAGAGGAAAAGCAAGAAUGGUAAUAAAUUAUAAAGAGUUAAAUAAAUACACAAAAUUUGACGGGUAUUUCCUCCCAAAUAAAGAAGUAUUAAUAAAUCUUGUAAAAAAUAAAACAUACUACUCAAAAUUUGAUUGUAAAUCAGGAUUUUGGCAAAUAAAAAUGGAAGAAAACAGUAUCCCUUAUACAGCAUUUAGCACUCCACAAGGACAUUACGAAUGGAUAGUAAUGCCUUUUGGACUAAAAAAUGCCCCUCAAAUAUUUCAAAGUCGAAUGGAUAAAAUAUUUAGAGAUUAUAGCUAUAUCAUAGUCUAUGUUGAUGACAUAUUAAUAGCAUCAGAAACAUUAGAAGACCAUAGAACCCAUUUAAAAGAAUUCGUUAACGUAUGUAUUAGAGAAGGUAUAGUAUUAUCAGAAAGAAAAGCAGUCAUAGAACAUAAAAAAUAAAAUUUUUAGGAAUGAUUCUUGAUAAAAAAGGAAUAAGACUCCAAAGCCAUAUAGGAAAAAAGAUUACAGAAUUCCCAAAUAAAUUGGAAAAUAAACAACAAAUACAAAAAUUCUUAGGUUGUUUAAACUAUGCAGAAGGAUUCAUAAAAGACUUAGCAAAAAAGAGAAAUAUACUCCAGAAACUACUUAGAAAAAAUAAUACUAAAGGAUGGAACGAAGAACAUACGGAAACUGUAAUAAAUCUAAAAGAAGAAUGUAAAAACCUCCCAGCAUUAAGGUUACCAGAAGAAAAUGAUAAGUUAGUAAUACAAACUGAUGCAUCUGAUUUAUAUUGGGGAGCAAUACUUAAAACUGAUAUAAAUGAAAUUUGCUGAUAUACUAGUGGAACAUUUAAUCAAGCACAAGUUAAUUACCCAGUUCAUGAAAAAGAACUCCUUGCAAUAUAUAAAUGAAUAAAAAAGUUCUCGUUAUUUUUACUCCAGAAAUAAUUUAUUGUAGAAACAGAUAAUUCUCAGGUAAGUUCACUUAUUAGUAGAAUUUUGCCAAAUGAACCCCAAUACAGGCGACUGCAUAGAUGGCAAGCUUAUUUAUCUUAUUAUAAUUUCAAAAUCAUACAUAUAAAAGGAACUAACAAUUUUCUUGCAGAUUUCCUAAGCAGGAACAUAGAAUUCAGAGAAUGAAUGCAGAAGUAAAUAAAAUCAUUUCUGUAAUAAACACAGAAAUACAAAGGCUCAAAGCUGAAGCAUCAGACAUGCUUGAUGCCAUAAAUUACAUAAAAGAAGCCACAGAGGCUCAUGAGAAGGGAAUACAUUUGUUAGAGUCAUACAUAAACGACCUAACAAAAGGGCUUUCAAUAAACACUAGCCCAAUAGAGAUAGGAAGUAGUAGUGGACCACUCCCACAACAAGAACCAGUCUCUGACCCAUCAUCCAGCCGAACCAUAUCCAUAAGUGUUGAAUCACCUAAAGCAACUUCUUCAAAAAAGUUUAUCAAAAUAAACAACACUCCCUCAGAAGAAGAAGAAAAACCUUCUCCACUAAAUCCAAGAGAAGAAGAGUAUAAACAGUUCUCCACAUGGGUAUACUCUACAUGUACCCACAACAACACCAUUUUCAAAGCCCCUGGCAAAAAUAUAUAUCCCAGAAUGAUAGCCAUAAAAGGAGCAGAUCCUCUCCUUAUUGGAAAAAUAGCAAAAUACGGAUAUCUAGAUUUAAUAUAUCCAGAUACAGACCUAAGAGAAAUAGCCAGUUUAGAUGAGCUAUUAGUCAAAGAAGUCUCAAAAUUUGCCCAAAAAAGGCCCAUAUACUUAAAAUUUUACACUAUUAGCCCAGAAUACCACCAAAAUGUCGAAUACCAAGCAUUUUACAUGAUCUCUGUAGGCCACCUCACAAAAAAUUUUCAGAUAGAAGUAGGAACUGAAUAUACAAAUGUUCCUCAAAUAACCAAAGCAUGGAUCAGAACCCGUAGAGCCCGAGGAAUAAAAGCAAUAUGGAGUAUUGCAAAAGACCUUUAUAAAAGAAACUUUAGAACAAUCAUCCGAUUCCAAAAUUAUAUCCUCGUAACUUCUGAAGAUAGCCAUACACCAUCAAAUAUCUUCUUGGAACUCAUGAACGAAAUCAGCACCAUGAGAUUCCCCAGCAGUAGUGAGACCAUGCAGCAAGCUUAUCAGCUUAUGGAGAUGAAGAUGCCCGACAAAUAAAGUUGUUCGUGGCAGACAAAGAAGAUAUGUGGCAGACAAGAAGAUAAAAAGAAGAUAAAAAAGUUGUACGUGGCAGACAAGAAGAUGCUCGUGAUAAAAAACAGAGAAAAAGAAGAUGCUCGUAAAAAGCAAGAAGACAAGAAGACAAGAAUUCAAGAACCUCUUGUAAUGAUAGAGUGAUGAUGUAAGCAGUGUGAUCAGAAAGCAAUAAUGUAAAUCAAUAAUGGGAUCAUCUUUUCUAAUAUAAAUAGAAAGAGAAGGAGAAAGCAGAAAAAGCUUUCGAAGACAUUCGAUAACUCUCGAUCCAAAAAAUUCUCUGAAAAAGAAUGAAGCUCUAAACACUCUCUUGCUCGAAAUCCAAAAUCAGUACAUCAUAAACCAAAAACAAAAACCAUUAGAGAAAGAGACGAGAAACCUAACUUCACUCAAUACCUCUUUAACAAGAAGAUCGAAAUCUAUACAGUAAAGCCAUCUGAGUCCACAGAUCCCGCUGAGGCAGGAGGCCGUUAAGGGAACAGGACAACCAGGCUGCAGGUCACUGGAAGGAGAUCAGAAAUCAAAGAAGUAACAGUGAGCUAGGUAAUAAUACUCAACUCUUAUCUCUUGGUGGUGGUUGUUGAUGGUGGUUGAUGGAAUGAUUUUUGGAGAAAGAGCAGAUUCUUAAACUGAAGCAGAUCUGUAAUUAAUUUUAUGACAUGAAUCACAGAAUUUACUUAGGAGAAUCUAAAGAAUACAUGAUAAACCCAACUACUAAAAUAACUUAUAAUGAGUACAUGAUGAUAAUAGACUUCGAUUUAGGUUCAUUUAAACAAAGUUCUUAUCUAUUCAGUAAACAAGAACUUGUUAGAACAGAAGACCUAUUAGCCAUAGACCUUCUUAAGUUACCCCAAGAAAUAAAAAGAAAAAUUAUAAAUAACAUUGAAACAGAUAACCUAAAACAUAAUAUAAUUAUGUUGACAAUAGAAGAAGGAAUAGAUGUAGCAAAAGCCUAUUUAGAGCAAAAAACUUAUGAAUCUGGACCUUCAUAUAUCUAUGAUUCAGAUAACGAAGAAUUUGAAAUAUAACUGUGAAAGGUAUAUAGGCUGGGAACCUCUUCGGGUUGCGGACUACUAGUCCAAAGGGCGACCUGGAUCGCUGUACCUAGAGGUAAAACAACGCCACGUACUUUUCUAAUAAAAAUUUAGGACAGAUAAAGAUAGAUAAACAUCAAUUUGAUAAUUAUAAUCAAUAAUAAUCCUGAAUGGUUGAUUUUGUUUUACUGCUCUUGUAAUUUUAUUUUGAAUAUAUUUGUCUAGUCUUGUCAUAUUUUUAUAAUUCUGUUUGUACUUUUGUAUUUGUAAUUUUGUAAUUUUAUUUGUAUUUUUGUAAUUUGUAUUUUUGUUUGAAUUUGUAAUUUCGUAUUUUUGUUUUAAAUACACACCUGAAAAUGGUAUCAGAGCCAGCAGAAUCAUAAGACAUGGACCCUAUACAAGCAAUAGUAGAUAGCUUAUAUACAUUAAAGGUAUAUAAUAAAGAAGAAAUAAAAAAUUUAAUAAAGGCCAUCAAAACUGACAAAAAUAAUAUAAGAAAUAUAGAACUUGAGUUAACUCAGGAGCUUAGAGAAAGAUUUAUAGAAACAACAGGAGGAGAAAUUUUAAUAGAAAAGAAAAUGAAAUUUAUAGAUAAAUUUAUAAAGUUUUUAAUAUAUUGGUGUAAAACAGAAACAUUAUGAAUCAACAGGCUGUUAAUGUAAUACAGGGAUUGGCAAGCUGCAUAGAUCACCUACUCUUAGGAUGGGAAAAUACAGUAAAUGCAUAUAUAAAUCUAAUAAACCAAAAAAUAGAUUUAUUAGAACAAGAAAGGAUAGGACUGGUAAAUUUAGGACCAGAGGUCUAUUAUGAAUUUGUAGAUUUAUAUGAAUUUGAUAACCAUAUAUUGCUGUUUAAAGAAAUAAAAUAAAGUUCUCGAAAGAUUAAAAAAUAGAUGUGCAGGGAUGGAAGAAGACAAAUACAUCCAGGAUUAUAAAAAUUGGAAAUAGAAAGAAUUAUAAGAAUCCUUAUGAAAUUAACCAGGAGAAUAAGACAAAAUUAUAAGAUACAAUCAACGUAAGUUAGAGGCCCCCACUUUUAAUAAUCCAAUCAUAUACAGUGACUUUAAUAUAAAUGCAUAAUAUUUUACCAAAAAAAAGGGAAAAAAUCGAAUUAGAGGUAAAAGUUAUUCUACGAUUUUAUUUUUUGUAUAUAUCUUGCAUGCUAUUCCCAAAAGCAAUCAUAAACGGCCCUUAAAACAAUUUUACAAAAGCGGCUGUUACUUAUAUCACCAACUUUGUUAGGGAUGACAAUGGGGAGGGGAGAGGAGGAGACCAAUCUUGUAGUAUCUAUCCCUGAUAUUUUGCGUAUAUUCUCGUUCUCUCUCCAUCCCCGACAAAAUUACUUUAGGGAAUCACCUCCUCUCCCUGAAUAAUAAUAUGGGAUCUCCGUGGGUCAUUGAUCCCUGAAUAACUGAUAUGUUUUUAGUUUUUUAUUUUAAUUUAAUCAUAUUAAAAUAAAAAUUUAAAUAAAAAUAAAGUUUGAUGAUAUAUCUCACAUUAGCAUUAAUCCAUUACAAAAGUCACAUUACAAAGUAUAAAUCACCACAAUAAUUAUCUUCGUCAAUUUUCAAAAUCCUACAAUAAAAAAAAAAGAAAUUACUUUUAUAUCAACAAUGAAAUAAAUAAAAUAAAUAUAAAUAAAUACUUAAUCAAUAUUUCUAAUAAAAGUAUUUACCUCUUGCGUCUCUUGCUCCUCUUGUUCUUCCUCGAUGAAUGUGGCAAAUUGAAAGAUAGCCUCAGAUUUCAAAUUUAAAACAAUAAAAAUAAUAGAAGUAAUGUAACUUAUAAGCGAAAAUAUUAAUUAUUAUAUAAUAUAAUUACAAUGUAAAAUAAACUCAUACUGCCAUUUUAAGCUUGUAGCUUAUUUUGACAACACAUUAAAUCCUCCAAUGUGCUUGAAUGAAGCGUGUUACGAUACUCUACUAAUGGUGUUAAAAGUUGAUUCAGAAGCAACAGUUGUAAUUGGAAUUGUCAAAAUAUCUCUAGCAAUUCGUGCCAAUAUAUGAUACCUAUGGACAUUUGUUUUUAACCAACUCAAAAUAUUAAAAUCUUUCAUCUGUAGCAUAACUUUCUCAUCCAAAUAUUAAUGCAGUCAAUUAGGCCUAAAAGUUUAAUAAUAUAAUUAUUUUGAUAUUUUUUAUUUAUACUAAUAUUUAAUAUUUUAUAAUUUACAUUUUAUUAUUUAUUUACAAAUAAUUUAUAAAAUUAAAAUUAAAAUUAAAAUCAAUAAAUUAGGAGGGGAUGAGGAUUCUACUGUAUCCUCAUCCCUUUCUCGAAUAAGAAAUUGGGUAAAAAAUUAUUCUCGUCCCUUCCUUGAAUAAGAAAUUGGAUAAAAAAUUAUCUCUUUACCCUCUCCGAAUGGAGAAAAAUUCCGAGAAUCCCUAUCCCUGCGGGGAUUUCUGCCACCCCUAAACUUUGCAACAGCCAGUUGCUUUUGUGACCAUUUAUGUGACGGAUAGACUGCUCUCACUUAUGUUACUAAUAAGCUUGGCAAAAUCAGGGUCCGGUCCGGGCUUCUAAGCCCGCAUGUGAUAACUUUAAUUUUUUUCUUCAAUUUUUUCUUUCAUUUCUCUAACAAUGCAAAUUUUAAAAAAGAAAAUAGUCAAAUAAAUUCAUUCAAUCUCAAGCUUUAGAAAAGAAAAUAGUCAAAUAUAAAUAUAUAACAUACUAACAAUGCAAAUUUUACACAAAUAAUAAAUAAAAAUUGUUUCAAUCUACUUUAUAAUACCUAAAUUCAUCUAAUUUCUAACCUAAACUCAUUCAAUCUAUAUAAAAAUAAAAUAAAUUCAACAACACAAUAGUCACACAAUAAAUCUAAAUAACAUCCAACAUAUCAUAAAAUUCAUAAUUAUAUAUUUAUAUAUAAUAUAUUUAUAUAUUUUUUUUAAUUUAUUAAGAAAUCGGGUCUGAGUCUAGCUUCCUGGUUUUUGGUGUUGAGAAUUUCAAAUCCGGGUCUGGUUUUUUGUGUAUGCGGUCCGGGUUUUACCCGACUGGAUUGCCUGGGUUCGGUUCGGACGAGCUUUUUUGACGCCCUUACUAACGGGCUUUUUUGACGCCCUUACUAACCACGUGACGGUAGAGAGCCAAUUGGCAUGCUAUUAGUUUAGAGUUAUAAAUUGGAAAAUGAGACUCUUAGAGCAUCACCAAAAGGCUCUUCAAAUAAGAUUUUAUUACUUAUUUGAAGGGCCACAUUAAUAUUUAAAGCUCCAAAAGACACUUCAAUUAAAAUUCUUCAAAUAAGAAUUGAUUCUCUCUCUUCAAAUUUGGAGAGUUAAUUUCUCCCUCUUCAAUUUGUAUUUUAUUACUUUUUAUUGAAGAAAAAGAGAGAAAUACUUUAAUUGUUAUUGACUUUUCCUUUAAAAAAAUAAUUAUUUGAUUAAAAUAAUAUUAAUUUAUUUUCAUUUGAAGAGUUUUUUGGAGAAUAUUAUAUUUUUUUACCCUUCUAUUUACCACAUAAGUAAGUAAAUAGAUAUUUAAAGAGUAAAAUUUAGAGAGACUUUCGGAGAUGCUCUUACAACAUUAAGCACAACACAUAGCACCGAACGGUGCGUUUAAAGGCAACUAUAAAAGGUCACAGUAAUCGACAAUUGCAACACACACGUUCUCAACUACAGCACACGCUCUCUCCCUCACAUUCUUCCUCACGCUCUCUCUGUUCUCCCUCACAACACACGGCUCUCUCUCUCCCCCCUCCAAAUCCAACAGCCGUGGGUUACUCUCGCUCUUCGCCCUCCAAAUCCAAGACCUAUGGAUGCAUAAUAGAGUAAAUAGCAAUUCCCAUCCACUCUAGUAACAGAAAAUGACAGCUUCUGUGAUUGUGGUGAAAAGUUUCCCCUAGUAAUGCUAAGUACAGCGAGGAAACCAGCAAGGAAACCAUCAAUUCUGUACACAUAUAGAUGCCAAAAACAAGCAGUGAAUUGCAUCAGAUAUUAGUGAAGAAUAAUUACCAGCCGUAAACUCAGCUCCUUCGGUUGCUAGUGUACAAUAGAGCAAUAGGUUGUGUUUGGGGAUGUUAGAUGUCGAAAUAAUUGAGGCAAAAUUCUUUUAUGCAAUAGUUGGCUUGUGUCGACUUUUGAAAGGAAACUUAUUUUUGUGCUGUCAAUGUUACUUAUUUGUUAGUUUAUUUCUUAGGUUUUGUUGUUCGGGAUAUUAUGUAUUGGAUUUCAUUUCCUUUUGCCUCUGGUAUGGCCCCUAAUAGAACUUGACGUAAUUCUUUUUGGGAUAUGUUUUUCUGAACUAGAGAUGACAUCACUAGCAUCUGGUCUUUCUCUUUGAGACAGCCGAGAGAGUGAGGUGCCGUGAGAGAUGCAAUCGAUGGGGGGUGGAGAGAGGUAGCCGACAGUGAGAAUGGUAAGGAAGAACGGAGCGUAGUGAGAUUAGUGGAUUGGUGAGGAAGAGCGUGAGGGAGAGAAUGAGAGAGCAUGUGUUGUGGUUGAGAAUGUUGCAAUUGAGAAUUUACUGUGACCUUUUAUGCUUGCCUCAAAACUCACCGUUUUGUGCUAACUGUUGUACUCAAUGUUGUAAGAAUAUCGGAACUGUUAUAAAUUUGUUUCUAAAUAGAAAACUCUUUUGUGGAGUCAAUAUUUUGAAAACCAAAGUCUCGAGUUCUUUCUCGUGCGUGCCUGGCCAGCAUCCUAAACCUUACUGGUAGCCGGAGAAUGGCGUAAAACGGCGGCGAUCUUCUUCUUCAUCUUAUUCUCUCUGUCAUCGUUUCAGGUAACCUUGUGAUUAUGAGUUUCUUCUCUUUCUUAGCUUGCAAAAAUAGGUUUUGAUUUCUUUAAUUCGUAUUGUAGCCAUUAAUAUCAAAUUUUGUCCUGCCGGCAAUAUUUUUUUGUUCCUAGAGGUUGAAGCCCUUCUGUUCUUGUUCCAUUGGUGACUUUGCUCACUCAAAUUAAUUUUGUUCUGCAGAAUUUACAAAGUUCAAAUGGAUUCGUUUGGAUUACUAUUGAAUUUAGCUUUCAUUUCAACAUUCAUUCUAAUGUUUUACAAUUAUGUAUUUAGAUUUACUUUAAUUUUAUGUUUAAAGCUUCUGCAAUGAAUAGCUGAGCUUGGGUCUUAGUUUCAUUUUCUAAUUAACUUGUUUUAGUUUAUCUUAUAUGCUCACCAAGUGCUUGUUAUAUUGUCUGAUAGGUUAUAUAACAUAGCUGAUUAUAUAAUAAUAAUGUCAUGUUCCAUUUUCAGAAAUUAUAAUAUAAAAGUUUUUACAAUGGGGUGCAUCUACAAACUGAAUUGACUUGUAGAGUAAGAGCUUGGAGUAGUGUGCAUUCUUGAAUAAAUGAAAGUUCAUAUUGUGUAAGAGCAUGUAGAUGUAAAGCAUCAUUACCAUUUCUACCAAGUGCUUUCAUUCUGUUCAGAUGCUCCUCUUGAACUUUGGAAGGUGCCUCAUUCAAGUCCUAGCUAUAACUAAUUGCUCUGAUUAAUUAAGUUCAUAUGCUAGCUGAAACAGAUUUAAUUAAUUAAUUAAUUAAUUGUGUAUGUACUAAUUAUAUUGAAAGUAUAUGAAGAAAUUGUUUAACAUGAAUGACUUCUAAAUGACUUAAAAGCCUAGAGGAUAUGUGAAAUAAUGCUCAUUUCACUUGAACGAGCCUAUUAAUACUUGUAUGUCUAUGAUUGUCAAUAUUGCUUAAGUGUUUCAGUUAAGUGGUUUACCUAGCAGGGAAAAAAAUUUAAUGGAAAACCUUAGAGUUUUAAUAGAAAUAUAGUUGACUAUGCAGAUAUAGUUAUUUUACGGUAUAUAAAUCAUGUUGUCCUAUUCUCAAUGUCCUACAACCUAUUUUAUUUUAUAUAGUCAUUCAUUUUACGAUGGUUUUUUGUGUUUAUGAGUAUGGAAAUAGUGGGAUUUGGUGUACCUUAGCAUCUUUCGAAAAUUCUCUUUAAAUGCGGCAAACAGAAAUAUACAUAUAAUCAAGUUUCUUAAUCAUGUAUAUUAGGUUUGGGUGUGAAUGUUUUCCUAUUCUAGUUCUAGGCAAAGUUUCUUCAUUUUGGUCUUCAGAUUUCCAGUAGGUUAAGCUAAUCAACUAUCAUAACUGGCUAGCUAGUUAUUGCCUGCCUUGUCGCCAUUACCGACGCCAUUACAUUGCAUGGCAUAGGGAAUAGUAACUAUGUGAUUAUUGGUGAUUUGUUGAGCUUAUUAUUGACCAAACAAACAUAUUCGCCUUUACCCACAACUUGGUUUGAUUAGUUACUGGACAAUAAAGAGCCUUAAUCUAUGCAUUGGCUUUCUUAUUUUUAUUUGGUUUUUCUUUCAACAAUAUUGUUGAUUUCUUAUAUCAUUGGCUAUUUAAUGAAGCUAAUUAAAACUAAGGCUUCGGAUCACUUUCUUCUAACAACAAACAAAUGAGGAUAACCUAUCUCCUCUAAGCAAAUUUUUCUAAUAUCCUUGAUUUGUUAGGACCUGGAGGCCUGAAAUCCUCUAGAUUUUUUUAGCACUGCCAAUGUUCCUUUUAUUCUGAAAAGGAAAAAAAGGUUAUAUCGUUUAUACCCUAACAGUAAAAUGGCCUUUGACUUAACAUGCCUUCCUGAGGAUUUGCAAGAUUCACAAGCAGCCUAGCCACCCCCCAACGCAAAAAAAAUAAAAAAAAUAAAAAACUAAUAAAAAUAAAAAAUAAAACAACCCAAAUAGGAAGACUUUGCAACAUUCACAACGUGGUUACAUUUAAGUUAUUAAUUGUGUGUGUGUGUACUAGUUAUAUGUUGAUAGUAUAGGAAGAAGUAUUUUAACAUGGAUGACUUAAAACUUAUUGCUCAGUAAACAUAGUCUGCAUCAGUGCUAGAAAAUGUAUUUAUUGUUUGUAUUUUUUAUGGUUUUGAUUAAGAAAUGAAAUGUGAAAAAAUGCUACAUUGUAUUAGGAAUAAAUUGAAGAGAUUUAUGAUAUUUAUGUGUUAUUCAAGUUUCAGAUUCAAUUUUAAACUUUUGAUACAUGCAUUGAAAGCUUAAACUCCUUUAAGAAGUUAUUGAUAGACACAUGUUUUAUUAGUGUCAUCUUUGGAUGAUAGUGAGGAUCUUAUGUCUAUUAAUAAUUCUUGAAUUAUCCAGGCUCGGACAUUUUGGUAAUGCAUAGUUUUCUAUGGUAGCUAGUACCUGAAAUUUUUUUCCCACUAAAAAUGGGCUUUUCAGUAGCUGCUCCUCAUAUUCUGGGUGCAUACUAGACGAAUGGGUGUCGUUUUGUUUUGGGAUAACACAUAAACACUCAUAUAUCUAUGUCAUGUACUUGAAGAACUAUAGGGAGAUGCUUCCGAAAUUUCUAUAAACGUAGAGGAAAACUUUAGAUACUUAAGAUUGAAGAAACUUAUGCAUUCUUGAGUGGGAUAUAGAGGACCACUUACCUUUUGUAAUAUGAAGGGAAUGUUGGAUAUAUUGAUGGGAGUGGAGGAGCUGAGUGGGAUGAAUGUAAUCGGUUAUGAUUUUGCUGAGUUGACUUGGUUUUGAGUCUUGUAAUUUUGUUUAUAAAUGGAGUACUAUCUCCAAUGUUGGUUUAUAAAUAUUGUUUCAGCUGGCUGACCUAAUUUUUUAUUUCUAGGUAACAGGCUUUAUAUAUUCGUAAUUGAUAGCCAAGUGAAGUUCUCAGCAGUGGGUGAGGAUAUUUCUUUACAGAAGGUAUUGGAAACUGUUUUUCACAUUAAUUAGUAUUGUAUACAUACUUUAAUUUCACAUCUUUUUCUCUGAUUCUUGUGGCUUUGCUUGCUUUCAUAUAUAUAAACAUUCUAAUGAGAUUAACAUAAAAUUGUAUAAUGAUUUUUUUUAAUUAUAAAUUGCGCGCACACGAAAAUAUCUUGUUUAGUAGUAGAAAUGAAGAACUAAAAUGAUUUAUUUAACUAAUUUUUCUAGUGCAUUAAAAGGAGAUAGUCAUGGACAAGAGUUGGGUUGGUUUGCCAAAUAGAUAUCCAAGUCAUAUACUGAUGGGGUUGAAAAAUUUAUAGAUUUUGCAUUUGAGAAUGUUGUUGGUGAUAAAAGAAUUUAUUGUCCUUGUAAGAAGUGUCGUAAUAUCGAUAUUUCAUUAUAAGGGAAGUGGCAAGAGACCAUAUCAUUACAAAUGGCUUUUGGUUAAAGUAUUGAAACUGGAUAUUGCAGGGUGAGCCAUCUUCAUCUUUGAAAUCUAACUAAGAAACAGGUUAGUCAUGACUCGGGUGCUGAUGAUAGUAUGGUUGGAGUGAUACACGAUGCAUCACAUAAUCAAGUGUUCAAGUUACACACAGCAUUGUUAUGUUAUGGACUAUCAGUGACUUUCUAACAUAUGCCAACUUGUUUGGGUAGAGUAUUAAAGGUAAAUAAGCAUUUCUUGUUUGCCAACAAAACACUAGAUCUAAUUGGUUGAUACAUAAUAGAAAAUUUUGUUACUGGGUUACGGUCGAUUCUUACCAACGAAUCAUAGGUUUCGAAAAUAUAGUGUCUUUUGAUAAAACUAGGGGGUAGGGAUAAGCGCCUUCUCGGUUGUCUUGAACUGACGUGAAAAAGCAGGUGAAUAAUAUAUUUACUAAGUAUAAGAUUGAAGACUUGAAAAGAGGAGAAUGAAUAAAAUGAAAGAAAUGAUAAGAUUACUUGGAAGAAGAAAAGCAUUUUUUAUGAACUAACGUAUUGGGAGUUCAACUUGAUUCAUCAUAAUCUUGAUGUCAUGCAUAUGAUCUACUUUCUUUCAUUUUCUCACCUCCCAAACAUCCAUUAUACAAUAAAGUUUUUUUAGAUUUUAUUGUUUCAUAGAAUUAUAUUUUGCAUAUGAUGAAAUAACUUAACAUUUUAGUAUUCAUUUGCAUAUAAUAAUUAUAAGUAAGAAAAAAUAUUUGUUUACAAUCACUACUAGUUUUAUUGUCGUGAUUACAAAUAAAUUGCUCAAAUUUUCUGCUUCAGCUAUCAAACCUUUUAGCUGCUUCCAGACAUGAAGAAAUUAAACCCAUAAUUUCUAGGUACAAUUGCAUUCGUAUAUGCCAUGAUACAUAUGAUAUGAUUAGAACCAAAAGGAGAAAUAAAUUUUUGGGACUUAUUGUGAUGGUGAUUAAUCUUUUUCUACCUUAACUUUGAUAAGGUUAUAAUUAAAUUUUAUAUGAUUAAAGUGGUCAAUGGUUAAAUAAAUAAAUAAAUAAAACAGAUGAGGAUGGACUAAUGAAAUGACCCACCCCGAACUCCACAAGGUGAGUCUAUGUAAUAUCGUCUUACUUGACUGAUAAUAAUCUAAUUAGUAAGGAUUUUGCCGAAAAUUUGAUAGAGUCUCCACUUUGAAUAUAACAUUUCCAACCUGCAAAUGUGUAAAACAAGCACUCUCAAAUAAAUCAGUAUACAACCAACUUCAUUGAUCAACCUCCUCAACUAUAUUACUGAAUAUUACCCAAAAUAUCUACAAAGUAUCAAAAGAUUAUAUUAUACCUACUGUUGACAUAUAUUAAACUAUUUUUAAUCACAAAAAAUAUUAAAAAAUUAUAUAAUCCAAAAAAUAAGAAAUCAAAAUGCCCUGACAAUAUAAUCUAUAUCUCCUAGUACCAUCACAUGGCCAAAUUUCAAAAUACUAUAGUUGCUAAGUCAACUGGUGUCUUGCAACCUCCUGAGGGGUGGGAGCGAAUUAUAACAAAACGGGUGAGUAUAAAACUCAGUGAGCUCGGUGAGUGGAUAAUAGUUUUUGAAAAUAACUUACCAUAAAUAAUUAUACCACUUUUAUAUAUGAUUUUAUCAAACUAUAUGUAAGAAACAUGAAUAAAUUAUUUAACCUUUGAAUCAAGUAAUUGACAUUGAAAAGAAUACAUUAAGAGGUGCAUAAUAAUCAUGGAAAUUGUAUCACAAUAUAAAAUACAUGAUUAUGAAAUUAUCACAAAACAAGUACCUAAGGGAAUAAUCUUGUCGUACCUAGAGCUCAUACGGGCAAUGCAAUGACAUAUUCUCUAGGUACUGUCAUCCUCGGAGCUAGCACCGGUAGAUCAAUGAAGUGUCAUCUUAUAUAUCUUAUCAUAUCUUUGCAUGCAUAAACUAGUCCCCAAAAGACAAAGGUGUCCAAGCACAUAAUCCAAGGCCUCUAUGAGCCCCAAAGGCCCCUAUUUCAUUUGUAUCUUAGUAACUGAAUCUUUGUUAUCAUCAUAUUUCAUGCAUAAGCGCCCAAAAGGCAAAAGUGCCUAAAUAGACGGCCCAAAGCCUCCCUGUGUGUUCAGACGGGCCCCAAAGUCCUCUCAUCUCAUCUGUAUAAUUGUAAUUGGAGGGGAAGGGCAUUGUUCAACGAGUUUGAGAACAAACUUAUAUAUAUACACACAUAAACAUUUUAAUCAUACUUUAAACUCUUAUUUCCUUUUCAUUACAUACUUUAAAUUUGAUUUUCUUUUCUUUAUAUUACUCUCAUGUAUAUACUCAAAAUCGAUAAUAAAACCAAUAAUCAUACUUUUUAAUAAUAAAUAUCAAUACUUAAAUAAAACCUAUUUCUAGAAAAUCAUUAGAUCGGAGCAUUAAACACUUAUUUCCCAAACCUGCUUUACUAUACUUUAAAAUCAUAAUAAAAUAUGAAAAAUAGGUUUUGCUUAUUUCACUCACCGUGACGAUACUCAAACUCGGCUAUCAUUAAUGUCUGCAGGAUGGGUCUCACUCACUAUUCCUCCUAAAUCAAGGAUACGACAUAAUUACUUUCCAUAAAUGUGAAAUACAACUAACUGUAUGUAAUAUACUCGAAACGAACAUCUAUCCACAAUAUGCUACUCCUAUGUCUGUAACGUUACCAAAAAUACCCCCAAAAUCAUAAAUUGUCAAACAACCCUCAAAAUCAUAAAUUACCAAACUAUCCUCUAUAAAAUAUUAUUAAAAUAUCCACAAAGUCAGAAAUUAAAAAAUUACCAUCAAAAUAUAAAUUUAUCAAAAUGCCUUUGUUGGUCAAUGGUGAUCGGGAGUCAAGUGAUGGUGGUUGGAAUGGUCAAGAUAAAUGCUUUGGACCACGCUGAAUUUAAUGGUGGCAAAUUGACCAUUUCUGGUGACAUGGGUGAUUAAAAAUUGUAGAGGGUGUCGUGAGGGAGAAAACUAAGCAGUAGUGUGCCACAAGUUCGACGAAAUCCCAUCGAAUCGAGGUGGUAGUACCAAAGCUCUUCACAUUCUUGAUUGGUGGUCUUUUAGCAGUUAUUUAGUGACCAUGAUGGUUGGGGAAUGACUAGCAUUGGUUAAGGAUUCGAUCGAUACCUUCUGUUGUCGAUAGAGUGGCCGAAAAUAGUAGUUAGCGGCGGGUGGGGUUUCAAGUCUAUCAGUUAGGUUGAUAGCUCUUCCUCUCUUUGUUUUUCUCUUCCCCUCGAUUCCGUGUCAUAACAAGUUUAAACUAGUCCAAACUCGAACCAUUUAACAAGCGUGUCAAAUUUAACAACCCACACAUUUAUUCAUGUUGAGUAAUUGAGUCGUGUCAAAUCUGCCAAUAACAAUUAUAAUAAUGACUUUUAAAACUUCAAGUCAAAGAGGAGGAUAAAAUAAUGCAUUUGAUUAAACAUAAAAUGCAUAUGUUACAACUAAUCACUAUUCAAAAUAUUAAGAGUGGAGUAGCAAAUGUCAAUUUAUUUGGUUGCAGUCAAAUUUAUCCUAUGAUAAAUAGUGAUUAUUAAAUAAUAUAUAGAUCUAUUAUAUAGUCAAUUAAUAAUAUAUAUUAAUGAAAAUUUAAAAAUAAAUUAUUUAAAAAAGUCAAACUAGGUAAUGGACUUAAAUGUGAAAAUUUAAAAUAAUUUGGAGUUAUGUGUUAAAAUAUUGAAACUUUGUCAUUUUUUAAUGUGCAAGCAAAUAAUAGGGACUAUAGACUUAAUAAACUAUUAAAUCCAUCUAAGCCACUAAGCUACGUUUAUGUUAAAUCUAAUGGUUAGUAAUAGCUAAUAAGAAAAGGACAAAAAUUGGGGUAUGAUGUCACAGGGACACCAUAGUCGGACCCAUUAUUAAUGUUUAGUACAAGUAUUUUCUGAAAUAACAACUACAUAAUUAUUAUCUUAUGUAUCUAAUGAGAUUAUUAAUUUAGUAUAUUAGCCCAAGUUAGGAACGUAAGAUUUUGUUAUUUAAUCAAGUAUAUUAAUUUAUAAAACAUUCAUUUAUUGAGAUUUUAUUGUAUAUUACAUUUGCACACUUUCUUUUUAAUGUGAAGUAAAAACUAAUGUUACACAUGAACUUAUUGCUGACAACAUUAGUACAUAAUUGCUGUCAUAAGAAAAUUUAUCAAUCCAGGAAUUUUGGAUUUUAUAAAGUCUUUACAAGUGAAAAGAGUAGUUUAUAACAUUGUAAAUGUGACCUCGACCUGGAAGCGAACUCGGCUGUCAUAAAUUGAUCAAAGCCACACUUAACUUCUACUACUACUUGCAUUGUUACCACCGUCUUCAGCCUUCUGCUUUGCCCAUUCAAAAAAAAAAAAAAAUUAUAUAACUUUUGUCAGCCAACAAUUAUAAUAAACUAAAAACAUGUCCAAAGAUUCAAAAAAAAAUUUUUCCCUUUUUUUGGUUUUAGCUCCUCUGACAUAUCAAAUCCUAUUGCCGUGAAAAGUUUCCCUUGCAGCGCAUAAUUUUGCCACAGCAUCUCUCAUCUCCAUUCGCUCAGUUGGAGACUCCAUUGAGCAGGAAACCCCAAUUCCAAUUACAGCAGACAAGCAUUGCUCAGUCCUGACUCUUAUCUCUCCAUCAGUAUUUCUUGCAAUUUCCUCAGUUAGAAGUGAAGGCUCAACAAUAUUCACCACUUCUUCUGGCAAAGCCCUUUUGGCAAAUUCAUGGAGAGUUAAGCCAUCAUUGAACAUACUGUCCGUGGGCCGCUUUCCUGUGAACAUUUCUAGCAAAAGAAUUCCGAAGCUGUACACAUCACCUCGCAUGGAGACUUCGCCACCCGUACCGUACUCUGAAAAAAACAUGUUAGAUAUAUUACUCAGUUAGUUGCCACAUAUACGAGUUCUAACAAACAGCAGAUUAAUUCAAAAAAUGUAAAAUUACAAUAUCAAAAUAUCUAUCUAAAGAGGAAUAUAUAUAAUUACCUGGAGCUACAUAACCGACUGUUCCUUUUAUCCCAAUUGAGCUUGAUUGAGAUUGAGGAGCAGUCACCCACAUGGGCAACCAUGUCAUGAUCAAAAAGAAUAUUGCUGGGCUUUAGAUCACCAUGAAUUAUUGGUGGUUGACUGUGGUGGUGGAGAUACUCGAUUGCAGAAGCUACAUCAAUGGCUAUGUCCAGUCUUUGAAUGAGACUUACAUUGCACGCUUCUAGGUGAUCAUUCCUCUGAUGCAACCACUCCUCUAGACUUCCGUUUUCCAUGUAUUCGUAAACGAGAGCCUUGAAAUCAGCUCCUUUAGAAUCAAUGCUUGAGCAAAUAGUGAUGAUUUUAAUGAGAUUCCGGUGGCGAAUAUUUCUCAAAGCUUCACAUUCUGCUACAAAACUCCUGAAACCCCCUUUCUGAUUAAGAUUGAUCACCUUCACAGCAACUACCAUUCCAUUUUCACUAAAAAUUCCCUUGUAAACAAUGCCAAAGCUUCCUUGACCAAUCAUGUUUGAUGUUGAAAAUUCAUUAGUUGCCUUCCUUAGCGCCGCGUACGAGACAAAUGGGAACUUUUGUUCUAUUAGCAACGAAUUAGAAUCUUUGUGUGCUGAUCUCCUUCUUCGAGCAUAAACAACAAGAAAGCAUGCUGAUAAGAUUAAACAUGACAUAAUGACUGGAAAUAUCACUUUGACUAGGAAAGUAACUUUUGAUUUUCUUGAUCCUUUCAAAGGACAUGAUGGUAAAUGCAAUUCAUCCAACCCUCCACAAAGAUUCUCAUUCCCAACCAGUGAAAUGCUUGUCUUAUUGUGAAAAACUCCUUUUGCUGGUACCUGGCCCUCAAAAUGAUUGUAAGAAAGAUCCAAAUAUUGCAAGAAUGGUAGAUUCUCAAGAUAUUCUGGAAUCUUGCCGGACAAAUUGUUACGGGAUAGAUCUAACACUUUCAAGCUUUUCAAGGAAAUCAGAGAAAGAGGAAUCCUUCCUCCAAAGGAAUUGCCUUGCAUAUAAAGAUAUUCUAAGCUUGUACAAGCACUUAGAGUCGCAGGAAUCUCACCAAAAAAAUGGUUCAUGGAAAUAUCUAAUCGAGCGAGAUUCUUCAAGUUUCCCACCCGAAAAGGAAGAUAGCCACUGAGAAGGUUAUUAGACAAAUCUAGUUGAAAUGAAAGGGUCCUUAUUUCAAGAAUUUGUUGUGGCAAAGUUCCAUUAAGCUUAUUGUGAGAGACAAUCAAUUCCAUCAAAUUCUGACAACUUCCGAGGGAUGAGGGGAUAUUUCCUUGCAAGUUGUUGAAGUCCAGUGCAAGCUUUGUUAGUAGUGUUAGAUUACCUAGAGAGGAGGGUAUGUUCCCUUCUAAAGAGUUUCCAUACAGAUAUAGUAAUUGUAAGUUUUAAGACUACCGAUAACAUGAGGAAUAGUGCCAAUUAAUUGGUUUAAAUGUAAAGAAAAUAAAUUUAGAUUGACAAGAUUUCCUAUCCCAAGAGGUAUGGUUCCAGAUAAUUUAUUCUCCCCCAUGUCGAUUAUGGUCAUUGUUUUUGAGAGAUUGGCUAUAAAAUGCGGCAGGUUUCCUCCAAAUUGAUUCUUACGUAACUCAAGCCAUUCCAAUUUGCUACAGUUUGUCAGGGAGAAUACAAAAUCAAGGUCAUUGCUAGCCUCAGCUCCUAAAUUAUUAGCCUCAAAACUUAGCCAAGCUAGAUCCGAAAGACCGUUAAAAUCUAUGCUCACUUUUCCUGUGAAAUGAUUUUGUCCAAGGUUAAGCUCUAUGAGAUUUGAAGCAUUGGACAAUGAAUGUGGGAUAGGUCCUGUCAGAUUGUUUUGAGCUACAAUAAGAGAUUUCAGGUUUGGAAGAUUGAAACCUAUAUUAAGGGGAAGAAUACCUUCGAGUCUGUUUGACGGUAGAAAAAUCAUCUCAAGCGAUGAGAUGUUGUAAAUUGAAACAGGAACCAUACCGGAGAAAUUAUUUUCUUCUACGUUAAGAAACUUUAAGCUUCUUAAUUGACCAAGACUUUCAGGAAUUCUCCCGUGCAGUGUAUUCUCUCCAACAUCAAAUGCCUGCAGAGCAGAAAGAUUCCCAAUGGAAGCAGGGAGCUGUCCUCUCAAAUGAUUGACAGCAAUGGACAGUUUCUCAAGCUUCGACCAGCUGCUGUAACCGAUAUCAGCUGGAAUUUCUCCCACGAGGUUGUUUUUAUGGGAUAAAAAGUUGAUGAGGUUGGAGCAACGGGACAAAUUUGUUGGUAUUUUCCCUGAAAAAGAAUUAUUUGCCACGACUAGAGUUUCAAGUCUGGAAAGACGACCAACCUCAUCCGGAAUUUCGCCAUCGAAAUUGUUGUCUCCCAGGUGGAUUAACUUGAGGAAGCUAAGAUUGCCAACAUAAGGAGACAAGGUACCUCCUAGACUUUGGUUCCUCAGAUACAACUCGGUUACCCUUUGAUGCCGACGACCACAAGUCACUCCUGUCCACUGGCAUAAGUUUACAGAAGUGUCCCACGAACUUGUUACUUCUAGUGGAUCAUGGAACUGUGACUUUAUAGCAAGUAAUGCUAGACGAUCUGUCUCGUUUGUGUGGACAGAAAAGCUGUGUGAACUAAGCAACAAACUGAAGCACCAUAUAAGAGUUGCAAGGCUGGUAGUGGUAGUAAAAAUGGAGCUAAACAUGUUUAGCGGCUGCAGGGUAUAAGAUAAUAAGACUAAUGAAAAGCGUGGCGUGAUCGUUGAAGUUCAUGUGAAGGGUUUUUAAAGUCGAAAAAUGAGUGUACGGUAAAAUCUCUUUAUAGUUAUAAUAUGAAGAGUAAAUUAUUUUUAUGAGAAGGUUAUAAUUUAAUUAAGGUUUAGUUAAAAAAACUUAUUAUUUUGGUAUAGUUAACCUUAGUGCAAGUGACAUAGAGAUAAAGUAUGCUUUAUAUUAAUAGUCAACUGCUAGAACACGUCAAAUUGAAUAUAUAAACAUUGACAAAAGAGAUAGACAUAAUUUCAAAAAGCUAUCAUAAAUUUUUUACAAUAUAAAGGUAGUUAUUAUUAUUUUAUGGAGGCAAGUUCAUGAAGAGGAAUUUAAAAAAAUUUAGACUGUUACAAUAUAAAAUUUAGGGCUUGUUUGGGAUUGUUUUUGGGAGACUCAAAAGAUAUUUUGAAAAGUUAAAAAUUAAUUUUAAUAUUUGAUAUAUUUUUUAAGAAUUAGUUUUGAAAAAAUUACUCUAUCGUACAAUAGAUUUUAAAAAGUAAAGAAUAGUUUUUUAAAAGAUGAUUUUGAAAAUCAUUCUUAUAUUGAAUACAAGUUUAUAUAUAUUCUCAUUUAUAUUAUAAAAAUUCAAAAUUAUCCUUUUUAAUUAAGAAGUAGAAUCAUUAAAUUUUAAAAGAUAUUAUUACUACCACUUAUAUUGAGAUAACUAAAUUAAAAUUAAAAUUAAUAAUAUAAAACAUUUAUUUUAGCUAUCAAUUAUUAUAUGUUAUAAAAAAAUUUUAUACACAUAUUUAUAAAUGUUUAAAUAAAUUUUAACUAACAUUAUAUCUAAUUGAGUCAUUUACAUGAUUACAACAAUUUAACGUCAAGAUUUAUCAAACUAAUUGUUUUUAAAAAUCACAAUACUUUUAAAAAUUUAUUUUACUAAAUGUUUAACUGAUUUCGUCGUAGCUGAUUAUUUCUAUAUUACAAUCAAUAAUAAUUAUUUUAAAAAUUAUAGUAUUACCAAACUAACCCAUAUUCUUAUUUAUAACCGAUCAAAUUGUUACCGAGAUUUUUAAAAUUAUGUGAAAAUGACUUUUAUGGAAUAUCAUUGUAAAAGAAUUUUAUCAAUACAUAUAUUUUUUUCAACUGCGGCUGCGGGAUUAGGCAAGGCUAAUGAAAGCUUUUGUUAAAAAUGUGUGGGUGGUCGUUAAAAGUCACGGGCACUCCAGUUCCUUGAUUAGAUUGAUUCUCGUCGUUGUUCUGAGUGCAAGUUGCCUUAGCACUUUCGUGAGUGAAUGAGAUUUUUCCUUUGUUGCUUUGGCAAGAGGUCGCUUUGGUGUGAUGUCAACUUGUGAAAUAGUCAAGGGUCUUUGGCUCUUUGCUACCUUUACAUCGCAUGCAAAGAUUUGACAAGUGAGCAAUUAGAAUUUCUCUACCUUUACGAUAGAGAAAAGCGAAAACAGUUCCCGUCCGGUCACACAACUGGCUUCAAGAGUUCCUCGCUGGUUGCAAAAAUUAAUUUCUUUUUAAUCUUUGUAAUUUGUUACAUAAAUAAAAAACAAUUUUUGAAAUAAAAAUGAUAAAUAUAGUUGAACCUCAAUGAAUUGAUUACCAGGAUUAAAUAAUAGUUUUUAUUGGUCUCAAAUUGGGUCAACAUAUUAAAUUAAUAAUUUGAUAAAUUUAUUAAUAAUAAAAAUAAAUAUUUUAUAUUUACUAAAAUAUUAAGACUGAUCUACUAUAUAAAUUAAUAAUUUAUUAACUUGAAACUAAGGUACUGUUCAUUUUUUAACUUAAUGAAUUAAUUGAUUAAUUUUAAUUAAACCAUUGAAUCUUUUCAUUUUUUUCAACCUAAUGAAAUUUUAAUGUAAAUUGUGCAAAUUCUUGUAGUAUUAAGGGAAAAAGAUAUCUACACCCAAAGGUUUAGAGAAAAAGUCAAGUAAAUCCUUAAGUUUUCAAUAAGGAAUAUCAAAACUCCCUUUAAUUGUAAUAUCUUUUGUAAAUAGUAAUUAAAAAUUUUACUUCAAAAUUUUUUAAUAAACACAAAUAUAAUUUAAACAGUUUAAUUUGUCAAGUAGACUAAUAAUAUUAGGAUAUUUUUAAUAUAUAAUAUAAUUUUUAAAGUGUAAAUUAGUGUAUUUAUUUUAAUAAUAUAUGUUAUUUAUUAUAAAAUUUUAAUUAAAUGUUUCGGUUAAAUUGAUUUUAUAGUUAAUAAAAUAUAUCUCAUGUAUUCAUAAUAUCUAAAUUAUUUUAUAUAAUAUUCAAAAUAAUGUAAAUUUUUAAAAAAUUUGUUAUAAAAUUUAGUUUAAUAUAAUAUAAGAUUGUAAAGUAUUAAAAUAUUUUUUAAAUAUUAAAAUUACCUUAAAAUGUUUAUAUUAUUAUAUUUAUUUUAAUAUUAUAUUUCUAUUUAAUAUAAAACAUUAGAGUUAAUUUUUUUUGAAUUAAUAGAACCAAAAGUUAUUAUAGUCAAAAGAGAAUUUUAAUAUCUUUUAUUAAGAACUUGAAAUUUAUAUGAUUAUUUUUCUAAAUUUUGAAGGUAUAAAUAUCAUUUCUCAUAUUAUUAAUGUCGCUUUAAAAUAGAGUACCCAAUAUUUCUAGUUCACCAAUUAUUGAAAAACAUUUUGACUCAUUACAGCCUGUUAUUAGUUUUGGUCAUAUUAUUUUCCAUCACUCGGUUAUUGAUUUUCAAAUCUACCGAUUAGUAACUAUUCUUAGGCCAUAAAUAAUAUUGAGGUACUAUAACUUUUAAGUUAUAGUUAUUAUAAAAAAAGUAUAAUAAUGAAAUAAUAAUUUAUAAUUUAUAAUAAAUAUAAUUUUUAAAUAAUAAUUUUAAUAAAAAUACAAUAAAAUUAUUAAAUUUUUUCAUGUAAGUAUAAAAUUAAAUUAAUUUAAUUUUUAAACUAUAAUAAUUAGUAUAUUUUAUAGAUGUCCAAUCUCAAUUUUAAUCACAGCCUUAAUAAUAUAAGUUAGCCAUGGCCAAAAAAUCAAAUAUCAAUUGUCAAACCUGCUGUGUACGCUAUGUUGCCGUGUACGCUAUGUUUAAGUCUAGCUGUGUGGAAUUUGUUUGUCCAUGUAUUUUAUAGACUUCAUUGAUCCAAUUCCAAUCUUUUUUCCUGUGGAAAACCCUCUUUUUCCGCAAAUCAAUUAAAUCAAUCAUGGAAUUAAAUACUAUACGGGAUAUUGGUGUAAAUAUUUGAAGAUGAAGCCACGUUUGGAAGACAUGUUCGCAUGUUCAAUAAAUGCAAAAACAGCCAGUUCUGUGCAUGGCUUUAAUGCAUGCAUCGAGAGUAGUAACUUCCACGUGAUGGCAAGUUGACGAUUGGCAAUUGGUGCUCCUUUUGUCAAGAUUUGCUUGAGAUAGCGGCUGUUUCACUAGAUUUUUUACCGUAAAGUUUGAUUUCUCAAUCCAUCCUGAUACUAUAAAUAGAGCUUAAUAUAUUCUCGAGAGUAAAUCAUCCCGUUUGCGAGGGAUAAAAGUUUAUUUAGUCCCUAUAUUUUAAGAUUAGUGUCUAUUUAGUUUUUAUAUUUUUAAAAAUAUUUUGAAACAUCUCUACUGUUAAAGUAUUGAUACCCCUAUUGUUACUUUUUAUUUUUUAUUUACUUUUACAAUAUUAUCUUUUUAUAAUAAUGUUUUUGUUUAGACAUUAAUUAAAAAAUAAUUAAAUUAUCAAUUUAAUUCUAAAAAAUAAAAAUAAAAAAUUACAUUAAUUUUUAAUUGUCAAAAAUUAAAUUAUCAAAAAAGUCAAAAAUUAUAUACAAACUACCAAGCGUGCAAAUAGUACUUGCAAAAAAAUUAAUAAAUUUUUUAUUUUUAUUUUUUAGGAUUAAAUUGAUAAUUUAAUUAUUUUUUUUAUUAAUAUCCAAAUAAAAAAAUUAUUAUAAAAAGAUAAUAUUGUAAAAGUAAGCCAAAAGAAAUAAAAAAUAACGGCAGAGAUAUUAAUACUUUAACGGUAUGAAUGUUUCGAGGUAUUUUUAAAAAUACAAGAAUUAAAUAAAUACUAAUUAUAAAAUAUAGAGACUAAAUGAACUUUUACCCGUUUGCGAGAGUUGCGAGCAUUUAAAUAUUGAUGGGCAAACAGAUCAGCUGUCAACAACUCAUUCCUAUAAUCCCAUGUGAGUAAUUCACAUUGAGUACUGCACGUGACGCCUGUUUCUCUACUUUUCAUGUUAACAUUAUUUUCAGUAGCAGCCGGUUAUGUAGGCAACAUUUCAAAAUUAAUUAAAAAAUAAAAAUUAGUUCAGCUGACUAAAUUUGAGAGAAUGAAUUUACUGUUGGUUAAAAAUUAUUUUGCAGCAAAAUUUUUGAAUCGUAACUCUUUUACAAUAUAUAGAAUUAUCAUAAUUUAUAAAUUACAUCUUUGCUUUUUUUGUGAUAGUAAUUCAGAUUCUCAAGUUACGAUUUAAACUGAAAAAAUAAAACUAUGAGUAAGAAUUGUUUUAUGAGAAUUAAAAUAAUUGAUAAAUAACUGAGAGGGAUAAUUUUGAAAGAUUUAAAUUCUAAUAUGAUAACAAUUUUAAUUUUUCACCCUCUGGUAAGGAAUCGAAAAUCACAAUUUAUUAGAUUAGCACAUAAAAUAAUUGAGUAUUCAGAAUAAUUUUUGAAGUACAAAUAAUUGGACCCUAAUAUUUUUAAUAUAUGAAAAUCUUACUAAUAUGUUGAUGAGAAUUAAAUUAAUAAUUAAGGGAGACAUUAAGACAUUUAGAAUAGUUGAGAUGAGACCGGAUUUUACGUUAUCCGAAAUUGAUCCUAAUUUUGAUCACAAAUGUAUUAAAAAGACGAGUUUCGGUCCAUAAUUAUGUGCCAUUUGAGUAAUUAAAAUGGGAAUGUGAUUGUCGAAUUCCAAACUUUCCCGAACCAUUGCCAUCUUUACCCAAAACACUAAAAAUAUCUAAAGAAAAGUCUGCACCUAUUCCAUUUUUUUUUAUCAAAUAGGAAAGAGCCCUCACGUGGCGUGAACUGGUAUCCUAAAUAAUUUUAAGAGUAUCAGCCCAUGAUUGGGUUUGUGACAAAUAAAUUACAUAUUUGAGGUACAUAGUUAUUGGUGUCCUAGUUUAGGUGGCACCUACCAUUUAUUGCACAUAUAAGGUAUUAAUUGACUUAAUUAAUAUACAAAGUUUAAAAUCUAAUUAAUUAGCGACACAAAUGCCAAGUACAGUAUAUGUAAAUCAUAUUUGUCGAUUAUCACAAAACGAGCUCUUGAAAAUAAGUAAGAAAGCUUAAUUUGUUGAAAUGAACUCAAACUCGUCAAUCGAUUUGUCGUCUAAAGGUUGGAAAAAUGAGUGAUAUGUCAUUUCAAGCUGAUCAUGGAUCCAGAACCGACGACUUGGUGCUGUUGUUCAAGGUCGUUAAACUCUCACGUGAAUAACAUACGCCUGUCUUAAGUCUAAAACGGCACGCCUUGUCGUCGUUUUAGGAAGGGUUUAAGUUUCACGUGAAAGGCUCUUGAUCAAGCAGUUAAGUUUGUCGGUUUUGGAGGGAAUCAUCUGGAUCUGUAACACCAACAGCAGCUGAUAUAUAUGUUGGUUCUGGUUUCAUCUAGAUCGAUUGAAGAGAGAGUGAUAAGGAAGCAUUAGAGAGAGUGAAACUUUUCUGGGUGUUCUCUGUAUUGUGUUUGUCACCUUUGUAACCAUUGAAGCUUAAUAAAAUUACUCCCUGAGUUGUUUUCUCCAGUGCACGUAGGCACUGUUAAAGGUGCUGAACCACUUAAGUCUUUGUGUGUUCUUGAUUCUUUGUGUUGAUUUUUCUUUGAUCUGGUGAUUGUUACGACUUGCUUAGACUUGGUUCUUAAAUCUUAGAGUCUUAAUUAGAUCUUGGGGUGAGAUAAAUCUGGUGUAAAGAGGGUUUGUUUCACAACAAUUGGUAUCAGAGCUUUAAUUCUGAUUCCAAGGUUCAAGAAUGGCUUCAAAGGUGGAUCUUGAGAAGUUUACAGGGCAAAAUGACUUUAAUAUGUGGAAGAUCAAGAUGGAGGCUUUGUUGAUCACUCAGGGUCUGGGAGAUGCCAUAGAGCUAGUCUCUAAACUUGAAGGAAAUGAAGCUUCAUCAUCCAAGACUCCAGAACAAGCAGUAGAGAUAGACAAGAAUGCUAGAAGCACAAUUAUUAUGAGUAUGGGUGACUCUGUAAUCAGAAAAGUGGCAAAAGAAAAGAUUGUUGCUGGUUUAUGGGCCAAGUUGGAGAAUUUGUAUUUGACAAAGUCUUUAGCUAAUAGGCUUUACAUCAAGAAGAAGAUGUUCUCACUAAAGAUGAUUGAAGGAGCAUUACUUGAUGAGCAUAUAGAUGAGUUCAAUAAGGUUUGUGAUGAAUUGGAAACCAUUGAUGAAAACUGAGUGAUGAGAGCAAGGCUCUGCUGUUAAUUAGUUCUUUACCAGAGUCAUACGAGCACUUUGUGGAUGCCUUGUUAUAUGGGAGACAAACACUCUCUCUGGAAGAGGUUAAAUCUACUCUUGGCACCAAGAAGUUGAAAGACAAGCAAGAUAAUCCAGAAAGUGAAUCAAGUGAGGGGUUGAUGGUUAGAGGCAGAUCUGAAAAAAAGGGAAAACAAGGGAAAUAAACAAGGCAGAUCAAAGUCCAAAUAGAAGCAUUUGAAGUGUUUUCAUUGCCAUAAAGAAUGGCAUUUAAAAAGAGAUUGCCCUGAAAGAAAGAACAAAAAUAAAGAAACCAAGGAAAAGACAAGAAAUGCAGCCAUAACCACAAAAGUUCCAAGCUUUGAAACAACUGGAGUGCUCAUUGCCUCAAAUGAAAAAUUUCAAGGUCACUGGGUUCUUGACUCAGGUUGUACCUUCCAUGUGUCCAAAUAGAAGCUAUAUUACUACAUAUCAGUUGUGUGAUGGGGUAUGAUUUUAAUGGGUAAUAACUAAAUGUGUAAAGUGGUUGGUAUUGGGAUUGUUAGCCUUAAAAAGUUUGAUGGUGUGGUGAAGGAAUUAACACAUGUUAGGUUUGUUCCUGACUUGAAAAGAAACUUGAUCUCAAUUGGCAUGCUAGAUCCAAUAGGUUGUGUCAUUAGGGCUAAAAAAUAAGUGUUGAGGAUAAUUAAAGGCUCAAUGGUGAUUAUGAAAUGUAUAAAAGAAAAUAGCUUGUAUGUGUUGGAUGGACAUACUGCUGUUGGAGAGGCAAGUGUAACUGAUAGUGGUGGGAACAAAUUAGUGUUGUGGCAUUUUAGGCUGGGGCAUAUGAGUGAGAGAGGCUUAAAAGAACUACAAUGGAACAUUGAGGAUAGAUAAUGGCUUGAAGGUGAAAACAUUGAGGACAGAUAAUGGCUUGGAGUACUGUAAUAAGUUGUUUGAAGGAGUACUGUGAGAAGAAAGGGAUUUAGAGGCACAAAACUAUCACCUAUACUCCUCAACCAAAUGGCCUUGCUAAGAGGAUGAACAGAACCUUGGUGGAGAAAGUAAGGUGCAUGUUGAUCUACUCUAAACUUCCAAAAACUCUAUGGGUAGAAACUUUAAACAUUGUAUGCUAUCUAGUCAAUAGGAGCCCAUCAACUGCCAUAAGAUGUAAAAAACCAAUGGAACUGUGGUUAGGAAGAAUAGCUGACUAUUCAAAACUCAAAAUCUUUGGCUGCAUAGCAUAUGCUCAUGUAAAGUAAGGUAAGCUGGAACCAAGAGCAUUAAAGUGUAGGUUUCUAGGGUAUCCAGAAGGUGUCAAAGGCUAUAGAUUGUUGUGUGUUGAUUCCAAGCCACCUCAGUGUCUAAUAAAUAGAGAUGUAACUUUCCAUGAAGAUGAGAUCUUGAAUCAAUCAAGGAGUCUUGUCAACGGCUCUGAAUUAGGUGAUGAGUCUAAUAAAGUGAAGUUUCAAGUGGAGCCUCAUACCUUGAAAAAGCUUGAUCUAGAAAUUAAGAGUGCUAAAAAAGAACUUGAAGCUGGUGUUGAGCAUGAAUCAGUAGAAAGUGAAGAGGACACCUAUCAAUUGGUAAGAGACAGAAAAAGAAAGAUUAUUAGACCACCUAAGAGAUAUGCAAUGGCUGAUUUAAUUGCAUAUGAUUUGACUGUUACUCAAAAGUUGAAUGUUGAUGAACUAGGACUUAUCAAGAAGCUAUCACAAGCAAAAGCAAGAUGGAAUGGAGGAAGGCAAUGGAUGAGGAGAUGGCAUCUCUAAUGAAGAAUAAAACUUGGGAAAUGAUUAUAAAACCAUAAAAGAGGAAGAUAGUAAGCUAUAAAUAAAUCUUCAAGAUAAAAAAAAAAGGGAUAUCUGGUGCUGAGCCUAGAAUAUGUAAAGCUAAACUGGUGGCAAGGGGUUUCACACAAAAGGAAGGUAUUGACUUCACUGAAGUUUUAUCCCCAGUGGUGAGACAUGCUUCCAUCAAAAUUAUUCUUGCACUUGUUGUUGUUCAGGACAUGUAUCUUGAGCAAAUGGAUGUCAAAACAACUUUUUUGCAUGGUAAGUUACAAGAAUAGAUUAUAAUGCAGCAGCCAAAGCGUAUGUGGUUUUUGGUAAAGAAGAUCAUGUUUGUUAUUUAAGAAGUCUCUAUAUGGUUUGAAGCAAUCACCUAGACAAUGGUAUUUGAGGUUUGACAACUUCAUGAUAACACAUGCCUUUAAUAAAUGCAGUUAUAAUUGUUGUGUGUAUUUCAAGAAGAUAAGUGGAGGAAGGAUGAUAUAUCUCUUAGUGCAUGCAGAUGAUAUGCUGAUUGCAUGUCAUGACAAGAAAGAAAAUGAUCAUCUGAAGAAACUCUUAAGCAGGGAAUUUGAAAUGAAGGAACUUGGGGAACCUAAGAGGAUUUUAGGGAUGGAUAUUAUCAGGGAUAGGAGCAAGAAGGUUUUGUUUUUAACUCAACAGAGCUACAUUAAAAGGGUUCUAGUGAGGUUUGGAAUAAAUGAUGCGAAGCAAGUGCAGACACCAUUGGCAAACCAUUUCAAGUUGUCUGCUGCACAAUGCCCCCAAACUGAUGCAGAACAAUAGAAAAUGGCUUGUAUACCCUACUCAAGUGUUGUGGGUAGCCUCAUGUACGCCAUGGUACUCACCAGGCCUAAUAUCUCACAUGCUGUGAGUAUGGUAAGUAGGUUUAUGGCAAAUCUAGGCUAGGAACAUUGGAAAGUUGUUCAGUGGAUUAUGAGAUACCUCAAAGGGACUUUGGAGGUUACUUUGAUUUAUGGUGGAAAGGAUAGCAAUGGACACACAUUGAUUGGUUAUGUAGAUGUUGACUUUGCUGGUGACCUUGAUAAAAAGAAGUCACAAACAGGGUAUAUGUUUACUCUGGGGGGAUGCACAGUUAGCUGGAAAGCAACAUUACAGAACAUAGUGGCUUUGUCCACUACAGAGGCAGAGUAUACUGCAGCAGCUGAAGCCUUUAAAGAAGCCAUUUUGCUGAAAGGCAUGAUAACUGAGCUAGGAGCUGAGCAAGGGACUAUAACAGUAUACAGUGAUAGCAAGAGUGCCAUACAUCUUAGUAAAAAUCAAACUCAUCACGAGAAGACAAAACAUAUAGAUGUUAAGUUACACUUUGUGAGACUUGAAGUGUCAAGGGGGGCUGUUAAGUUGCUGAAAAUUCAUACUGAAGAAAAUCUAGCUGACAUGUUAACCAAGGUUGUUCCCACUACCAAGUUCAUCCUUUGCAUGUAUUUAGCAGGAAUCUGCAGGUUUUAAGAAGCUGCAGAUGAGGAGAAAACAAACAAAGAAGAGGGAGCUAUGAGUGUUGGGUUCAAGGUGGAGAUUGUUAAAAUAAACUCCAAUGAACUCAAACUCGUCAAUUGAUUUGUCGUUUAAAGGUUGGAAAAACGAGUGACAUGUCAUUUCAAGCUUAUCAUGGAUCCAGAACCGACAACUUGGUGCUAUCGUCCAAGGUCAUUAAACUCUCACGUGAGUAACAGAUGCAUGUCUUAAGUCUAAACGGCACGCCUUGUCGUCGUUUUCGGAAGGGCUUAAGUUUCACGUGAAAGGCUCUUGAUCAAGCAGUUAAGUUUGUUGGUUUUGGAGGGAAUCAUCUGGAUCUGUAAUGCCAGCAGCAGCUGAUAUAUAUGCUGGUUCUGGUUUCAUCUAGAUCGAUUGAAGAGAGAGUGAUAAGGAAGCAUUAGAGAGAGUGAAACUUUUCUGAGUGUUCCAUGUAUUGUGUUUGUCACCUCUGUAACCAUUGAAGCUUAAUAAAAUUACUCCAUGAGUUGUGUUCUCCAAUGGAUGUAGGCAUUGUUAAAAGUGCUGAACCACUUAAGUCUUUGUGUUCUUGAUUCUUUGUGUUGCUUUUUCUUUGAUCUGGCGAUUGUUACGACUUGCUUAGAGUUGGUUCUUAAAUCUUAGAGUCUUAAUUAGAUCUUGGGGUGAAAUAAAUCUAGUGUAAAGAGGGUUUGUUUCACAACAUAAUUAAUAACUUAAAAUUAAAGGAAUUAGAUUGAGAAUAGUCUUUUUUUUAGGAUGGAGGCUCCUAAAUCUUCAAGAAUCAUUAUGUGCUUAUUAAAAUUUCAAAAUCAUUUGGAUUAUGACAUAGCAAAAAUUUGAUAGUACACAUGUUGGAAUACACCAAUUCAUAGAUGCAUUUGAUUAUUGUUUUCAUAAAUUUUAACUAGGAAGGAUGACAUGAUAAAAUUUGAUUUUAUUGUAUGGUUGAUUUCAUAUUUCAUGUGCUCAUUUCUUAAUAUAAUCAAAUUUGAUCUAGCAUAUUUUGCAACUGUAUAAAUAUCAAUUAUGAUCAAUCAAAAUGAUUUCAACACCUUUCAACCAGACAUAUUUAUAAUACAAUAUUGUCAAACUUACACCAGAAAUUUAGUUUAUUACAUAUUAUUAUCCAAUGAGCACACAAAAAUGAAUUUGUACAAAUUUAGUUUUGGAAUGCUGUAGCUCUUAAAAUAAUUGUUGUUAGUUGUGCUAUAGAAAUAAUUUACUGUGAAAAGAAUCAGUUAAUUGUUGGGUAAAUUUUAUUUUCAGAAAUACUGUGAGUUUUGAAAACAGUUACGGAAAUUUGGUAAAUUUUACUGUUAAAUUGCUGAAAGAAAACAAAUGAUUAAAAUGUAUAUAAUGUAGAAUAAAAUUUACUUAUACAUAUAAAAAUAUGUACAUAUAAUAUUUUUAAUUAUAUAUUAUAAUAAUUUUUACUAAAAAUAAAAUUUAUAAUAUAUUGAUUUUUUUUUAUAUUUUUACCUUAAAAUAAUUGUUAAUUAAAUUUGUAAUAUAGUGAAACAAGUUUAAUAAUAAUUCGACCAACAAAUUGAUAUUAAUAAAUUUAUAUUGAUGAAUUACAAUAAAAAUUUAUUAAAAUAUUAUUUUUUUCAAUUUCAAUAAGGAUAAUUUUGGAUUUACAUAAUAAUUUUGAAGAUAUUUAUAAAAUUAUAUUAAAAGAUAAAAUUAAUUCUCAAAAUCAGAAUCUAAAAAAUACUCCAUCCCUACUUUUCAAAAUCAACUAUAGAAGAAGUUGAUUUUGACAAAAAUAAUUUAAAUUUUUUUACUAAAUACUAAAAUUAACUUUUAAUUUUUUAAAAUUAAUUUUAAACCACAAAUUCAGACGACCCUUAAACCAAUUUUGCAAAAGCAGCCGUUACAUGUAUCACCAACUUUUUAACAGUCAGCUGCUUUUGUGACCGUUAUGCGACGGCUAGACUGCUGUCACUUAUGUUACUAUCACGUGACGGUUAAGAGCCAAUUGGCAUACUAUUUUUUUAAAGUUUUAAAUUUGUUUCUAAAUAGAAAACUAUUCGCUGGUGUCAAUAUUUUGAAAACCAAAGUCCCAAAUUCUCUCUUGUGCGUGCCGGGCCAGCAUCCUAAACCUUACUGGUUGCCGGAGAAUGGCGUAAAACGGCGGUGAUCUUCUUCUUCAUCUUAUUCUCUCUCAUCGUUUCAGGUAAGCUUGUGAUAAUGAGUUUCUUGUCUUUCUUAGCUUGUAAUUAUAGAUUUUGAUUUUUUAAUUCGUAUUGUAGCCGUUAAUGUAAAUUUUUGUCCCGCUGGCAAAUUUUUUUGUUCCUACAAGUUGAAGCCCUUCUGUUCUUGUUCCAUUGGUGACUUUGCUCACUCAAAUUAAUUUCGUUCGGCGGAAUUUACAAAGUUCAAAUGGAUUCAUUUGGAUUACUAUUGAAUUUAGCUUUCAUUUCUACAUUCAUUCUAAUGUUUUACAAUUAUGUAUUUAGAUUUACUUUGAUUUUAUGUUUAAAGCUUCUACAUUGAAUAGCUGAGCUUGGGUCUUAGUUUCAUUUUCUAAUUAACUUGUUUUGGUUUAUCUUAUAUGCUCACCAAGGGCUUGUUAUAUUGUCAGAUAAGUUAUAUAACAUUGCUGAUUCUAUAUUAAUAACGUCAUGUUUUAUUUUCAGAAAUUAUAAUAUAAAAGUUUUUACAAUGGCAAGCAUCUACAAACUGAAUUGAUUUGUAGAAUAAGAGCUUCGAGUAGUGUUAUGAUCUUGAAUAAAUGAAAGUUCAUAUUGUGUAAGAGCAUGUAGAUGUAAAGCAUCAUUACCAUUUCUGCAAAGUGCUUUCAUUCUGUUCAGAUGCUUCUCUUGAACUUUGAAAUGUGCCUCGUUGAAGUCCUAGCUAUAACUACUAGCUUUGAUUAAUUAAGUUCCUAUACUAGCUGAAACAGAUUUAUUUAAUUAAUUAAUUGUGUAUGUACUAAUUAUAUUGAAAGUAUUUGAAAACUUUUUUAUCAUGAAUGACUUCUAAAUGACUUAAAAACCUAAAGGAUAUGUGAAAUAAUGCUCAUUUCACUUGAACGAGCCUAUUAAUACUUGUAUGUCUAUGAUUGUUAAUAUUGGCUUAAGCGUUUCAGUUAAAUGGUUUACAUAACAAGGAAAAUAAUUUAAUGGAAAACUUUCGAGUUCUAACAGAAAUAUAAUUGACUAUGCAGAUAUAGUUAUUUUAUGGUAAUACAAAUCAUGUUGCCUUAAUCUCAAUGUCCUAUGACCUAUUUUAUUUUAUAGAGUCAUUCAUUUUUGCCAUGGCUUUUUGUGUUUAUAAGUAUGGAAAUAGUGGGAUUUGGUGUAUCUUAGCAUCUUUGGAAAAUUCUCUUUAAAUGUGGCAAACAAAAAUAUACAUAUAAUCAAGUUUGUUAAUCAACUAUCAUAACUGGCUAGCUAGUUCUUGCCUGCCUUGCUGCCAUUACCCAGGCCAUUACAUUGCAUAGCAUAAGGAAUAGUGAUUAGGUGAUUAUUAGUGACUCGUUGAGCUUAUUAUUGACCAAACAAACAUAUUCCCCUUUACCCACAACUUAGUUUGAUUAGUUAUUAGACCAUAAAGAGCGUUAAUCUGUUCAUUGGCUUUGUUAUUUUUAUUAGGUUUUUCUGUCAACAAAACUGUUGAUUUCUUAUAAAAAUAUUCAUUGAUUUUUAAACACCUAAUCAUUGGCUAUAAUGAAGCUAAUUGAAACUGAGGCUUUGGAUCAAUUUCUUCUAGCAAGAUACAAAUGAGCAGAACCUAUAUCCUCUAAGUAAAUUUUUCUAAUAUCCUUGAUUUGGUAGUAUCUGGCGGCCUGAAAUCCUCUAGAUUUUUUUAACACUGUCAAUGUUCUUUUUACUCUUAAAAGGGAAAAAAAAGGUUAUAUCUUUCAUACCCUAAUAGUAAGUUGGCCUUGACUUAACAUGCCUUCCUGAGGAUUUCCAAGAUUCACAAGCAGCCCCCCCCCAAAAAAAAAAAACAAAUAUGAUUUUGCAAGAUUCACAACCAGGCUAUAUUUAAUUUAUUGAUUGUGUGCACGUACUAGUUAUAUGUUGAAAGAAUAGGAAAAAGUAUUUUAACAUGAAUGACUUAAAACUUAUUGCUCAGUAAACAAAAUCUGCAUCAGUGCUAGAAAAUGUAUUUAUUGUUUGUAUUUUUUAUGGAUUUGCUUAAGAAAUGAUACGCGAAAUAAUGCUACAUUGUAUUAGGAAUAAAUUGAAGAGAUUUAUGUGUUAUUUAAAUUUCAGAUUGAAUUUUAAACUUUCAAUACAUGCAUUGAAAGCUUAGAUUGUUUAAGAAAUUAUUAAUAGACACAUGUUUUAUUAGUGUCAUCUAUGGAUGAUAGUGAGGAUCAUAUGUCUAUUAAUAAUUCUUGAAUUGUCUAGGCUUGAACUGUUUGGGAAUGCAUAGUUUUCUAUGGUAGCUAGUAGCUGAAGUUUUUUUCCCACGUAAAAAUGGGUUUUUCGCUGGCUGCUUCUCAUCUUCUGUGGGUGCAUACUAGAUAACACAUAAACACUCAUAUAUCUAUGUCGUGUGCUUGGAGAACUAUAGGGAGAUGCUGCCGAAAUUUCUAUAAACGUAGAAAUCCCAUUGGACCACUUACCUUUUGUAAAUAUGAAGGGAGUGUUGGACAUAUUGAUGGGAGUGAAGGAGCUGAGUUGGAUGGAUGUAAUCGGUUAUGGUUUUGCUGAGUUAACUUGGCUUUGAGCUUGUAAUUUUGUUUAUAAAUGGAGUACUAUCUCCAAUGUUGGUUUAUAAAUAUGUUUCAGCUGGCUGACCUAAUUUUUUGUUUCUAGGUAACAGGCUUUAUAUCUGUAAUUGAUAGCCAACUGAAGUUCUCAACUGUGGGUGAGAAUAUUUCUUUACAGAAGGUAUUGGAAACUGUUUUUUACGUUAAUUAUUGUUGUAUAUAUACUUUAAUUUUCACAUCUUUUUCUCUGAUUCUUGUCGCUUUGCUUGCUUUCAUAUGUAUAACUAAAAUGAUUUAUCUAACUAAUUUUUGUAGUGCAUUAAACGGAGAUGGUAAUGGAGAAGAGUUGGGUUGGUUUGGCAAAUUGAUAUCCAAGUUAUAUACUGAUGGGGUUGAAAAAUUUAUAGAUUUUGCAUUUGAGAAUGUUGUUGGUGAGGCAAGAAUUUAUUAUCCUUGUAAGAACUGUCGAAUCUUUCGUUUUAAGGGAAGUUGCAAGAGACCAUAUCAUUAUAAAUGGUUUUUGGUUAAAGUAUUAAAACUGGAUAUUGCAUGGUGAGCCAUCUUCAUCUUUGGAAUCUAACCAAGAAACAGGUUAGUCAUGACUCGGGUGCUGAUGAUGAUAUGGUUGGAAUGAUACAUGAUACAUCACGUAAUCAAAUAUUCAAUUCACACACAGCAUUGUUAUGGACUAUCAGUGACUUUCUAGCACAUGCCAACUUGUCUGAGUGGAGUAUUAAAGGUAAAUAAGCAUUCUUGUUUGCCAACAAAACACUAGAUCUAAUUGGUUGAUACAUAGUAGAAAAUUUUGUCACGUCGGUAACGUCGAUUUUUACCGACGAAUUAUAGGUUUCGAAAAUAUAGUGCCUUUUGAUAAAUCUAGAGAGUGGGGACAAGCACCUUCUCGGAUGUCUGGAGCUGAAGUGAAAAAGCAGUUGAAUAAUAUCCUUACUGAGUUUAAGAUUGAAGACUUGAAAAGUGGAGAAUGAAAAAAAUGAGAGAAAUGACAAGAUUACUUGGAAGAAGAAAAUCAUAUUUUAUGAACUACCGUGUUGGGAGUUCAAUUUGAUUCAUCAUAAAAUGUGAGACAUGAGGGAGAGACAAAAGCUCAGGCUUGUCUGCAACCAUGUGGGCCCUCAUAAGCAAUUCGUGUACACAACUUGGUUCACCAAGCCCAACAACUUGAAGCAGGCAAAAUCCGGGAACGAUCCUUCUCCUUCGCAACCCUAGCUGCCUUAACCUUGUAUUUCUGAUAUUUAGUUAAAGAGUAAGAAGAUUGCUCCUCUGUCAAUUACCUUCGAGAGAGACUUUCUUUUUCAUUCACCGAUGCUUGCUUGUGAAAGCAAGGGUUUUAGUUACGCUUUCAACGCUGUCAAUGUAGUGAAGUUAAGCAUUCGUAGAAUAGUGAAGUUAAGCAUUCGUAGAAUAGUGAAGUAAAGCAUUCGUAGAAUAAUGAAGAUGGAAGCCCCACAGCAUGAAAACUUUUAAACAGUAACACAGCUCUUAUUCCAGAGGCUGCACGCGAGUGACCUGAAUCUUCUUCAGAACUUUCAAAUUUUAUCAAGCGAAGCUUUCAAAAUUUCUCAACAAAUUGAUUAUUUGGUGUGGUUGCCACAUUUUGAGUAACCGCUAUUUGUUCUCAAGUACAAAAUCCUUGCCUUCCUAAGUUAGGAAAUAUAAAUGUGAAGCAAACCAAAUGAAAUAAAUGGGUAAACAGAACAAGCAGGGCAAAAAUUAAAAAUGAUGGCAAUUAACAAAUUAAUAGCAAUGUUACAUUUGACUCUUUAGCCCUUUGUUCCUUCUCUUAGCAUUCUUCAAAGGUUUUGAAAAUAGGACGUGAAGCAAACAAAAUAAAAUAAAUUUAGACAACACAUGCCCUGUAUUCAGCAUCAUAUAUAUCUCGCAUAUCUAAUAUAAUAAAUUUCACAUCUAAAAUACUAGAAUUUCAAACAGAAUAUCUAAUAAUAGUAAAAAAAUGACGACAACAACAAAAAUAGAAAAUUACAAGACUGCUGAUAAAAUUUCAUUUGCAUGCAUGUCUGACAAAAUUUCCGUGGUUUAAUGUGCUUUCAUGAACGCAAGUCCUAACGUUUCUGUGAUCACAAAAUAAAACUGAAGAUAAAACAGAACAACUACCAAACCUUUCAAGCUUGACGAAGCCAUGAGAAUUGAUAGCUCAGGCACUGAUACCAAGUUAAAGUUUCUAAUCUGUUUGGUAAGUAAGAAAAUGUGAGAAAAUGAAAGAAAGAACAGAGAUCAUCUAAGAGCUGGAUUUGAUAAGUAAAUAUGAAUCAUCCAUUCAUUAGUUGAUUGCAAAUGUAUUUAUACGAGGUUCCUGAACAUUUCAGAUUCUAUAUGCUCGAGCUAAGCACCUGAGAGUUGAGCAGUGUGCACUAACAAACUGCUAACAAAAUAACUAACUUAUGCCAGCUCAGCUAACACGUCAGUAACUCUUAACUAUCUUGCUUAACAAACUGAAACAAUAACUAACCAUUUUAACUAUCUUAACAAUCCCAAUAAUUUUUCCAUUUGUGUAUUUUUUUGAAUCAUAAUCAAAUGCGUAAAUGUUGCAACUAUUUUUUUUAGAUAUUUUCACUUUGGGCUGUCAGCCCGAGGAAGUACGGGGGUCUGAGUUAUUCAACUGAAAAUGUCGGCCAAGUUCUUGUGUUAGUUUUAGUAUAUUGUGUAAAAAUGAUACACUAACUUGAAUUUAUAUGCUUUUAUGACUAUUUGAUAAUCAAAUGGGUAAAUGACACGAAGAACUUUGAGUUUAAAAAUCUGGCCCUGAUGCCUGGUAGCCCUCCAACCUAUGAAGCACUAGAUGUUUUAAUGAGAAAACGACAAGACCAUUUAUCAAAUUUCUUGUGGAUAUAACUACAUACACAAAGACGAGACCAACCUCCUCAAAUGAGAAUUAGAGUGAUUCAAAUCUCAAAAUACAAUAGAAAUUCAUGACAUAUAUAUAAUAAAAGACCUCUCAUUGAGUCAUAUAUAUUGAGAAUAAAUUUUUUUUAAUACAUACAAAGAGCUUAGCUACAAUGAAAUGUCUUUGGACUUGCAAUGAUCAAACAAAGGAAACAGACAGGUUGCAACUCACACUAUCACAAAUGUAGCGACACGAUGCAGUGAAUCACAAGAAGAUCACGAAGAUGGAAACGGGAACCCCUCAGAAUGUAAACUUUGAAUAGAGGAAAAAAGAAAAACGACCUUAUUUCAAAUUGCGCACAGAAGAAGAGUGACUUAAAUCGUCAUCAGUAUCCAGACAUUCUGCAAUCAUAGAGUAGAGAAAUUUUAACAGGAACAGUGGAGAAAAUAUUAUGUAUAUGCUAGACCAAAUUAGUCCCUUUUUUGGUUUGUGAAAACUUGAUUUUUUAUGAAAUAUUUUCAAACAAUAUUUCCACAAUACACUUGUUGAUAGCCAACAUUUGAUGGUUUAAGGAUUUUUUAUGGGAACAAUGCACUGAUUACGUUUUUUUUUUUUAAUUUUUUUAAUGCGAUGAAUGAUAUUCAGCUGUUCUUUAAUUAUGUGUUCAUAGGGAAGAACAUUUUAUAAGUACUUUCCUUGCCUUCUAACUUUCCAAGGAAAUAUAGGUGUGAAGAAAAGCAAACCCAAUGAACAAACAGAACACAAACUAAAAUAAAAGAACAGCAAUGAUGAGAAUAAAUAAUUGGCAAAGAAAGAAUGGAAAAAGUAUGCACGUUUUCAAGGAAUUAUAAAAUACGAAGGCUUUUAAUGAAAUUUUAUCAUAAAAACGUACGCAAGGAGUUAUAAAAAUUUUAGAAGACGAAGGGAGCUCCCAAAAAAAAAAAAAAAGAAGAAAAAGACUCAAAUUAAACUAGACUAAAAAGACAUUCAAUUAUGCAAAAUCUGUCCAUAAAAGUCUGAAAGGAUCAUUAAAAUUGCAUUGCAAAUUUAACAGUAAACAGAGGGACCCAUUCUAAAUAAUUCAGAUGAAAUUGCGAAACAAGCCAUGGGAUUAAAUAAAUGAAAUAAAAAUUAAUUACCAGUUGAGACUUUCUUCUAAAAAUUCGCAACUCCAAGUCAUAAGAAGCCUAUGAAAUUAGUCGUACUGCGUAGAGUAUAUCGACGACCCCGCCAACAGCUGAAAAUAAAAUUCUUAUUCAUCAAUUUAAACUUUUACUUUAUAACAAACAUUUUAUUUAAAAAGAAAAAGCAAAUUUUGUAAAAAUUUAUCAUGGGAGAUAGAGAGUAAUAUGUAUAUCCGUACCUUCUCAGCAUGUAAUUGUUGUAUGGUUGUGUUUAGAUCAUUAUUAGCCCAACGCCGUUGAUUCAAUGUCUCUCCAUACUGGACGUUUACUCUCGGAGGCGUGAUUGAUUCUCCUGUAGUGAAAAUCUUCAUCUUGGGACAACCAGUCACUCCCAGAUAUUCCAAAGAUGGGAAUCUGAAGGUGUAAUUGGCAUAGCAGAAACUUGUGAGGCUAUCUAAAUCACGCAGAGCCAACGUCUUCAAUUUGCGGAAAACAAUCUCUUCUUUUUCAACUCCAUCUUUGUCAUUUGUUACCACCUCUGUCAUUGCUCUGCAUCCAUAUACUUGCACUUUGACGAGUUGCACUAGAGUUUUUGCUGUGGAAAAUGUUACCAUGUGUAACAAUUUCUUGCAACCGAAAGCUACAAGUUUUGUUAGGUUCCGAAAAGAUACCGAUGAUGAUGGCAAUAGAAUUAACAGACGUUGACAAUGAUAUACUCCUAGAAUUUCAAGAUACUGAAAAAUGGGGUCAAGUUUGGAGUCUUGUUUCCACAGCUGCUUCAGAUGAUAGUGCCGGUGCAGCUCUAAUGUUUUUAUCAUUGCCAACUUCCCCACAUGUUUCUCUAAGCUUCCUUCCUCCGAAAAUACCUCUUUGUUGAAUGCAAAAAAAGACAGUAUGAGUUUUUCAAGAUUGUGAAAUCUCUCAAGUACGUUCCAGAUUGGAAAACAAGCUGAGUUAUCUGAACCAAUCUCUAGUUCUCUAAGACUGCCAAAAAGGUGUUGUGGGAAAUCGGCCCGCAAAAUCAUCUCCACAUCUUUUCCACUUAGUGAUAGUUCCUUCAAGUUGGGUACGAUCUGAUCAUCAUCAAUCAUAAUAACUAAUGAGGUCAAUUGAUGUUCUUUCAAAUGAUUUUGAGUAAUCCAAUCACAAGCAGUGACUUUAUAGUAUUUAUUUUAUAUUAAUUUUACCCCUAAAAAAAAUGAAUUAGUGAUAAAAUUCAUUAUAUGAUUUUUUUUAUAUGUUAGUUUUAGAGGUAAUAAAGAAAUUAGGGAAAAAAACGAAAUUAUUUUAUUGCAUGAUAGUAAAUUACUAAUUUAUUUUGUAAGUUUUUCUGUAUGGAAAGACUAAGGAUUCUUUUAUAAAUGCUAUACCUAAAAAAGAUUAUUGUAUAACAAAAGUUUUCAAUUUAUUGAGCAUUAAUUUAUCGAUACUUUGUCAUAUUUUUCAAAGUUAAAAAUAAGCUAUAGAUAAAAAAUCUAGAAAAUGGCUUCAUACCUUUUCCAAUGGCAAUAGGGGCUGUUGUGCAGGAAUACCAAGUUGAAAAUCUGCAGCGAAUAUCUUUAAUUUGUCACAACCAUGCACUAAAAGAAUUUCUAGUGCGGGCCAUUCCGAAGUAUGCAUUCCAGGGUACAAACAUCUAAGUUUUGGUAGAUCUUGGAGUUUCAGAGUGGUGAGCUGUGGAAAGACAAAAUAAGGGAUCACUUGAUCUGCUCUGUUUUCAGAAAUGAUCUCCUGUAAAUCCUCACAGAAGCGUAUAUCUAGGUGUUGGAGCUGCUUAAGGCUUUCGAUCAUAGACGCUGAAAAUAUGUAUUUUAAUUUAUGACAACGCUGCACAGUCAAUCGUGUUAAAUUUUGAAAGCGAGGAAACAUGACCGGAAGAUGAUUGUAGUGCCAAAUCUUGUCGACAUUAAUUUCAGAUAUCUCCAAAGCCUCCAAGUUAGGCAACGCAACCUAAAAAAAAGAAGAAUUUCUCGUUAGAUCCAAUAUCCAUAUGGGAAGCACUUGUUGAAAUUUUCUUCUUUGAUUACAAAUUAAUGCAAAGUCAGAAUCAAUUUCCAACUGACAGCUGAGUAUGCAUUCUAAUUCAUACUACUUGUUAAGAGCUCAAUUAGUGAGCGCGUGAGAUUCUUUUUAUCCUUUUUUCCAUUUUCUUUCAAUUCUUUAAAUGAUUUAAUUAUUUUCCACGUAUGACAUCAAAACAAAACGCAUGAUAGAAUAAAGUCUGUUAUAUAUACAUAUAUAAAGAAAAUGUUAGCCUACGCACCUUCUCGUUGAAAAGCAGAGUUGAAAUGUCCAAAGUGAUUUCGCUGGUGCAAUACAUAGUCGUCGAUUCCUCUUGUGACGCUUGCCUGUUCGGUGAUGCUGAAGGAGUCUUCACCUCACGGCAAAAACUUGUAACCUCUGGAAGAUUCCCCAGACUCAAAGAUCUUAAUUGAGCAAACUCUAUCUUCUCAAUUGCAUUAUCAACUUCUUCCCCAAUUGCAAAAAUCUCUUUCAUCUUGCUGCAAUUAACAACUGCAAUUCUCUCAAGUCUUGGAAGGCAUUUUGUAGUAGAGAGCCAAAAGAUGUUACUCAACUUAUCACAAUUAUAUGCUUCUAUGUUUUUGAGUUGGUUGAAAGACUCUACUUUGAGCCGAUCAAUACAUAUCCUCUCCAUGUUGAUCAAAUUGUGAAGGAUAACUGACUCCAAAAGAGGAAAGGCAUCACAAGCGACCAUCUCCCUUGAAUCGACGAUACAAAAGAAGUCAGGAUUAUUUUGAACCCAGAGAAUCUUCAAUUGUGAAAAGCCCUCCGUGUCCAAAUUGAAAAGAACAUUCUCGAUGCCUUGCAGCUUGUCCAACCAUAAGCAUUCAACGUUAUUGAUGCCCUGCAAUUUCAUGGAGCAAAUGUCCAUAAAAUCAAGCUUGAGCUUCACUGCUCUUGAAAUCUUACGAUCUCUGUCGAUCAAAAAGUGCUGCCGACUUUUAAACCAAUUUUGUCCAGCAAUCAUGGGAUGUGUGAAUAACCCAUUUCCAAUAUGUAUUUUGAACCUUUCGAGCUUUCUGGCCAAAAAGCCUUCUGGUAACAUACUCUCAUUUUUAACAUCAAUUUCUAGAGUGGUUAGCCGAGGUAAAUGCAUCAAUUCAUCAAGGCUAGCAUUACUUCUUUUGCUGUUGGCUCUUUCAACCUCCCAUUCAAUGGAGCAAUUACACAUAUACAAUUCUUCUAAUCGGAUUAGGCUUGAUAUGACAUUUGGAACAAUAACUUUUAGAUGGAAACAGUCUGUCAAAUCUAACAGCCUUAGCUUUGUCAGUUGACCUAGUGCUUUAGGCAACUCUACAAUAUCAGACCGCACGAAGCUGAGGAUUUCUAGAUUUUCCAACUUUCCAAUAAUGGCUAUGUCUAUGCCUCCGAAAAUGCUUUGAUCAAGACAAAGUGUCUGAAGAUUUACUAGAAGACCAAUUGAAGAUGGCAAUGACAAUAACCGCAUUCCAUUAAAAUCCAAAACCCGAAGCUUUUUCGUCCUUUUGAAGAAGUUCUCAGGAAUAUUAGGCACAGCAAAAGAGUUCUUGGGAGACAUGAGUAGAAGUUCAAGUUGUAGAGAUUCGGACCCAUCAGGAAUGUCAUUAAUAAUACUAUCUUUUAAAGAAAUUGCAAGAUAUUUUUUUAAUUCAUCUGCAUUUGGCCAUUUCCAAUCAUCCUCAUUUCUCACCACAAAUCCAAUUUUGUCACGACAUGCAAUUGAAAUGGCAACAUCGCGAACAACGUCGUGCAUAGAAAAGUAUUUACUGCCACCAUCCUCAAGCAACAAACAAGAGUCUCUUAGUUGAUGGACCCAUGCAUCUAAUUUGUUAUGUGCAUCUUCUAGCUUAUGGACACUUUUAAAUACACCCAAGCCCAUGCUAUAUUUGAACAAGUCCAUAAUUGGUGCUGGCGUAAUAAGACUACACAGUAAAAAAGUUUUCUUGAGUUGCUCACCUCUUAAGUACUUGUAACUCAGCUCAAUUGUUGAGUAUGCCUCUGCUGGUACUCCUUCGUCGAAGCUUGCCUCUGAAGGCGUUUGGAGUUCUUGCAAGGCAUUCUUCCACACAGGCAGCUCUUUUUUUCUCAGUGCCUUUGCUACUGUGGUUAGGGCAAUAGGCAAACCUCCGCAUGCCUUGGCUACACUUGUUGCUGUAGAUUCUAAUUCACGAUUUUCCACAUAAUCACCUGCCAUUAUCUUGAACAAUCUCCAGGCUUCUUGUUCAUUUAAAAUGCCAAUCGAGAAGUUUUUUUCAGAUUCCAUCCUUAACAGCACAUCGAGAUCUCUUGUUGUGAAUAAUAAUUUGCAUCCUCUGUGCUCAACUCCAAAAGGAAUUCCAAUAGUCCCCAAAUCAAGAGGUUUCCAGAUGUUAUCCAGAAUCACAAGGAUCUUCUUCUCAUUCUUCAAUCUUUCAUAUAGUCUACUAGCUCUUCUAGACUCAGCUUCCUCGGACAACUGUAGGCCUAACGUUUCCGCAAUUUCCUCUUGGAUCUUUUUUAUGUCUGGACUUUGGGUAACCUCCGAAAAAGCCACCAUAUCGUAAAGCUUGUCUUCAAUGGCUCGCCUUGCAAACUCCUUCACCAGUGUCGUCUUUCCAAUGCCGCCCAUGCCGUAGACCCCAAUGAUGCUGACAUCAACAUCGAUCAAUGCAUUUUGAAUGGCCUUCAAAGUAGAAAGUCUUGAUUCGAAGGCCUCGCAGCCUUUGUGAGACUUGAGCCAUAUAUCCUCCGGAAUGGUACGGUAGGAAAUUCUAUCAUCAAAUUUCCCAGCUUCUUCUUUGAGUUCAACAAUGGCCUUCACCUUUGUUUCUGCUUCCUUGCUAAGCUGAUAGCCGGACUUCAAAUUAGGACACAAGCCCAUGAGACAUCGUUUAUUUGUUGUCACCUCAUCGUCAAUGAAUUUGGCUGACUGCUCAAUGGUGUUGUUCGCACGAACCAGCCACUUCUCAACCUUCUCUUCAAUCUUUUCCCCUUUUCUUUCAGCCUCAGAAACCCUGUGCUGAAUGCUUCUCCUUUCAUCCUUGAGCUUGUCUAUUUCUGCCUUGAGAUUCUCAACGUUGGCUUUAUAGUUACGCAAAUAACCAAAUCGGCGUUCUGUAGGAGGAGCCAAGCAUUUCACAAAUUCUAAAACAACAGUAACAAUGCUUUCCACCAUCCUGGAUCCCUUUUUUUUUUUUUUUUUUCAAAGUUCUGACAAGAAAAUAAACAACGAGCGAAACAUAGAGAGAGUGAAAAAAAAAAAAAAAAAAGCGAAACAACGAAGAUGGACAGUUUAUCCUGUUGUGGAAGCGGAGAAAUGAAAGAAAGAGUAAAAGCUGUUAUGGAUCUGGUGAGAAGAUGGAAACAAGGAAAAGGUUUCUAGUUCGAGAACUGAUUGAAUUAAUAUAAGGAAUGAUUUAGAUAAUAGAGGCGUAGGGAACCAAUCAGAAUAACUGAAGUAUUGACCAGAAGAAAGACGGAAAAAAUAUUGACUGGUAAUAGAGAUGGAAAAAAUGAAGAUAUCUUGACACGGUAGAAGUACAAAGGGUAGAUAUGGAACCAAACAGAGACAACAGCAGACCACAACAAGAUUGGGAAUGGACAGAAACUAAUUAACAAAGACUGGAGAUUACAACAAAACAGAUGCCAAGAGAAAACUUGAUCCAGUGAAAUUCAAGAGAGCUGACAACAAAAACUGAUACUACUUGAUUGGGAAUUGAAGGCAAAGAGUAGGAGCUGAUGAAUACGGGGAUCAAGAGGGAAAAACUGCUUGCUCGUAAAACUACUUUCAAGCGAAUCUGAUAAAAUUAUUUCAGUACUCGUGGGCGACUCCUUUUUAAACUGCAGAAGGAGAAAAAAGAAAUGUUCUGAAUUUCAAUGUAUUAAUUUUUAUCCUAAUUUAUGUUGAGACUCGUAAUCUCGUCUCAAUGAUUAAUUAGUAGAUAAUCUUUUUAACAAGUAUGUGAUGAAUAGAUAUAUUUCUUGACUAUUAGUAGGUUAGAUAUAUUUUAGCAUAGGAAUGAAAGUACAAGUUGUGUCAUAUUAGAAUACAAAUUUGACCUAAAAAUAUUGUUCUAUGACCUUUUAAUUAUUUGUCAGCUAAUAAUUAAGUCAUAUAAAAAAAAUAAUAAUCUGAAUUAGUCUUUAAGUAUUAUAAAUAUUUCUUGAUUUUUAAUUAUAAUAUCAUUAUUUAAAAAUAAUUGCUUGACUUACAUAGUAAGUCAAUAAAAUAUCUAACAAUAGUGGUCAUAAAACAUGUGAUCCUCAAUCAAUGAAAUAUCUAACAAUAUCAUCACCUAAAGUUUGAGAUAUGUUAUCCUUAUUCCACUGCGUCAAUUACACUCCAGUCAAAUGCUGCCAUCAUUAUUGAACAGUCGACAUCCACCAGUUCUAAUUGCCAAAACUUAGAACUAAACAGUAGCUCGGUCAGAAAAUCAAACGCCAGUACCGGUCAAAUGACCGAUAAAAAUAUAAAGAAAUAAAAAUUUUAAAGUUUUACUUUAUUGCUUUUUUAAUCUUAUUACUAUUUCGGGUAAUUUUUACUUUCCUCCCCUCAGCUUUGGACUUUUUGCACUUAGAUGGUCAAGAUACAUUUAUUAGUAAAGACCUCCCUACCGUCAGUUAAUUUGUAGUUGACUGUUAGUUGAAUUCAAAAAGACUGAAAUACCCCCAAUUGGAUUUUCAAGACUGAACAUGCUAUACAUUUGGCGCGAAAACUAUAACAACCAUAAUAUUACCAUUAUACCCCUUCAAAUUGGGUUAUUUACAAUUGCAUUCAACAAAUAAAAUGAUAAUUCUAUUUGGGUAAUUAUCACUGUUGCAAUUUGACCGUUGGAUCCGAAUGGUCACAUUGCCACAGAUUUGCCUAUUUAAAGGCUUAAAUACAGAGCUUUGUUCACAAGCAUCUCUACCUCUUCUUAACACUUUGCAAACUCAACUACAUUUCUCUCAAUCUUUCAAUCUCAACAACAUGGAUUCAGAGGGCUCAAGUGCAGUAACUAACAAGAAGAAUAGAUAUAAUAAAGGCAGUAUGAAAUGGAGGAGUCAAGUUAAUGGAAAUCUGAUCAAGUUUAGGAACUUGAAAUGUGAUUGCAGAGUACGUGCUGCUGUUCGAAUUUCAGAGACUGAAGAUAAUCCAAACAAGCUAUUCUACAACUGUCCUUAUGAUGCCUGUGACUUUUUCCAGUGGUGUUGUCCAGAACCAAGUGAUUUCGACAAUGGUGCAUUCUUUGAAGGUCAUAGAAGUUUUACAGUAGCACAACAACAAGUGCAGGUAGAACUUGAAGAAAUACUAAGUGCCCUGAAUGAAGUGAAGAUUAUACUGAAAAAAACUUAUCAAACUCAAAAUGUUUGUGACCAAGACUUAAGUGAUGUGCAUAAACUCACUUCAAAGAAAACCGAACAAGGUGGGGUGAUAUGUGGGCUGCUGAAGGCUGUGCUCUGUUUGAAUGCCUUUUUUUUUUACUGAGUGUUCUUGUGGUUAUUUUCCUGAAGUGAUUAACCUAAAUUACUAGCAUGAAUUUUGUAAUAAGUUGUACUCUAACUACUGGAAUGAGUAAUGAUAAGAUGAAAAUUUAAUGAACUUGUAAUGCUCUAUUUUUAGAAUGCUUAUCUUUGCUAACUAAGUGUAUAUAAUGUGAAGUAUCCUGUUUGAUUUGAGCAUAUGGCCUAGUCUUCAAUACUGCAUUUCCUAUGUAAUAACUUAACAUAAGCAUUCUGUACAUAUAGCUAAAAAUUAAAGGGAUUACAAUACUUUAGUUAUAAUAAUAUCUAUUAACAGUAGCAAAAUUAACUUGUGAGUUAAACUUUAACAGCAACAAGCAAACCAAUCCAGAACGAGUGAGAAGAGAAUCUAUUAAUUGCAUUCCAGCAUUAAAAUUCUUAAGCAGUAUCAUACAUAGUUACAUUCAAGCAGCUGUCACAAAGCAUGAAGCAGUUGAAUAUAAAUAGCUUCUGGUAAACUCAUGUAUAAUUUCCAGGUAUUAACCAAGCAAGCUUAUCAUAUUACUUGUCUUUGGCAUCACAAUAAUAUCAUGUACAAAAAACAAACUAACAAAAGGCUCAAACCUAUAGUCAGUCUGAGUAAAAGAUGAUACACCAGCUCCAUUCUUCUGCCCAUGACAAGAUGUUGUAUCAUCUGAUCCCUUCAAAAAAUUAGUUAGUGGGAAUAGUCUUGAUCUGCUUCUCAUGCUGGAUGCUAUCACUUUAAUGGUUUCAUUCUUGAGUAACAUGUCCUGGCAUGAAUAAAACAAACACUUACAUAUGAAAAUUAAAAAAAAUAGAUGUUGAUUACUAAAAUUAUUUAAAGAAUCGUGAAUAAAACUCACCAUUGUCAUGGACAGUAGGCUGAGAUAGUGCACUGCAAGCAACCCUUUGAGUUAUAGGCUGAUUAGAAUUAGAAGUGCCUUCACCAUUCACAACCUAUGCCACACCCAUUACAUCAUAAGCAAUUAAAUUAAUUAAAUUUAACUACUAAAUGAAAGAGAGAUGAUAAUUAACCUGUUUGCUAGAUACUUUAGUUCUUUUGCAGGUUCUCUUGUUAUGACCCCAAUGCUCACACUUAGAACAUUUGACACUUGAACUCCUCUUGAAUGUAGCUGGUUCAUCAGCUUCUUUCCUCCUCUUGAUCUGUGGCCGGCCAACAGACUUGAUAAUUAUAGGUGGCUGCAAAUUAUCAUGUAGAACCAGUGGCCACAUCUUCUCAUCAGGUAAAGGAAAGUAUUGAUACUUGUAGGUGUUGAUAAAAGCUGGACAUUUCAGAUAAUUAUGGAUAUAAUCUUCAAUGUUGAGCCUUUUUGCAUCAAUGGAACAAACACUAUGCUUACAAGGUAAGCCGGAUAUCUGCCAUUCCCUACAAUUACAAGUUUUUUUACCUAAAUCUACUACGAAUACUUUACAGAGAUCUUCCAUCACUUCGAAGGUGUUUUCAUGACCAAAUAUUACUGUUAAACCUCUCGCUGCAGCUCUUGCUUCCACAAUCUUUCUCCUAACAAGAGGUGGUAGAUGUCCAUUCCAUUUCUUUGCAUCCUCAUUCCUUUUAUGAAUAAGUUUCAUGAUCUUUCUCCUUAUCUCUUCGAGCAUCCUAACAAUAGGCAUGCCUCUAAAACUGUUAAUCCAGUUAUUGAACGAUUCAGUCAUGUUAUUGGUCACAUGAUUGCACUUGGUGUGGUUAGGAAAAGUGUGUUUAGCCCAAUAUACAGUUGGAAUGUUCAUGAGCCACCGGUGAGCUGCAUCGCUGAUUUUCUUCAAUUCCUCAAUGCUUUCACUGAAUUCUGAGUAGUUUGGACUUCUACAUGCCUUCCAAAAGACCUUUUUCAACAAAGUGCCAGGAAACUUUUGCUUGAAAUUGGCAUAAAUAUGCCUACAACAGUAUCUUUUGAUUGCAUUAGGAAACACUCUAUCAAUUGCAUUGAUCACUCCUUUUUGUCGAUCACUCAUGAAACAUAGGCCUUCUCCACCAUUACAACCAAUCUGGUCAUAUAGCUUUUCCAUGAAAAACUCCCAAGAGUAAGUGUUUUCACUCUCUACUACACAUAAGGCUAGUGGAUAUAUACCAUAAUUAGCAUCAAUCCCAACUGCAGUCAAUAAAACUCCUUUAUAUGGCCCUUUUAGAUGGCAGCCAUCAACCCCUACAAACUGCCUACAGCCUUCAAAAAAACCUCUCCUACUUGCAUCAAGCAUCAUGAAAAAUCUUUUAAAUACUGGGUGAGCUGUAUCUCCAUUCAAUUCCCUCUCAAUAGCUACUGUGGAUCCAGGGUUAUACUUUAUCAAAGCUUGUUGGUAUCUACUCAGUUUGCUGUAACUUUUCUUGUGAUCUUGGCCAAGUAAUUCAAGUGCUUUUUGUUUUGCUCUGUAUAACCUAUGCACACUGCACUCAAUGCCAUACUUUUUCAAAAGCUCAGCUGCUAUUAACUUGACACUGACUUCGGGAGUUGACUUGAAGAUAUGAAGAUAAGUGGCUGCAAUCCAGGUUGAAGUAGCUUCUCCGUUAUCAUCAUCAAUCCCACCACAUGUAUGAACAUCACAUAGGGUCUUAAUUUGAAAUGAGUUGCUGUUCCAGUUUGGACUAGCAUGAAUUCUCCAUGUACAUCCUGACUUAGCACAUCUAGCUGUCACUCUGGCUUUUUCAUUUUUAAGUCUAUACAAUCUGAAGCCAUUUCUGAUGGCAUAUACCCUCAACACCUUCCUAAACUCAUAAACAUCUACAAACAACUGACCAGGCCGUAGAACAAGGUUAUCUCCAUCUUGUGUGAACUCAAAUCCACCUGAAUUGGUGUCAUAUCUCACACAAGCAGCAAUUUCCUCAUCAGACGAAUCAAAUUCAUCACCAGUCUCAUCACCUGACUGAUAAUCAUCAAGAACAUAGUCACUUUCUUCACCAUCUGAUCUUGCAUUCUCUUCAUCACUUUCUUCACCAUCUGAUUUAGAAGUAUAAAUUGUGUCAGUUGAACCUUUGCCAUUUUUCCCAGAAUUCUCAGAGCUAAAGUGUACUGUCAUAUCAUCUUCGAGUAAAUAACCACUCCGAAUACUGAAUUGCGUCAUAUUAUUCUCAUUGUUAAUUUCUUCAACAUCAUCUAGUUCAUUCCAAUUAAUUUCAGGAUCGACAUUGAGGUUGACAGAAAACUGAUUUUCAGGAGUUAUCUCAGUCACCUUGCCAUCAACUACUGCUUCAACAUCAUAAUGCACAACACUGUAAUGCAAUAAAACAACAUAAAUAAAUGCUAUUAAUGUUAAAGAAAAAGCUAAAAUUUAGUAAAUAGAAAAUGCAAAGUGUAGUUGACUGGUAGUAGCACACAAAUGCAGCAUAUCAUCUAUUUCAAGCUUAUUAAAACCCACUUUAAAAAUUACAUCAUGAAUAUUACCAUAUGCUUGCAAAUGCAUAAUCAACCGUAACAUAAGCUAAAACCAUAUGCUUGCAAAAUACCCAAAAUGGUGUUGGAAAAUUUAUUCUCGAUUUUAUGUUUCACAGUUCCAUAAACAUUAUCAAAGAUGUGUCAAUGAACAAAUAAUGAAGCAUAAACUUGACAUUUACAAACAACUCACCAUAAUAUCAAUACGCUCUAAAUGGAGCAAAAAAAAAAAAAGCUUGAUUCAAAACUAACCUAUAAUUAAUUUCAACAUACCGAUUCAAAUCUUUCGAGCAUCGGUGAAAUUCAGAGCGGGACAUGAUGCAGAUUUAGUGUUUCUUCUUCACUUCACCCAAAUAAUAGAUACUGCUUUGCUAGAAAUUAAAAAAAAAAUUUCCUUCUCAACAGAGCUUUCGUCGUCUGAGCUUCAUGAAACUCAGCUUCAUGAAAGAGAAACGUGCAGUUUCAGAGAAAAGAGAAAAAGUUUUAAGCUUUGAUUCUUUUACAGUUUUUUAUUUAUAUCAAUUAUCACAAGGCACGAUUUUUUUCACAAUGAUUUGACAAUUCACUGGGCUCAUGUCAACUAAAAUGUGUAAAAGUUAGCUUGUCAAAUUAAAUUACUAAAUUGCCCAUAACUAACCAUAUGAGAUUUACCGUUUGCAUUCCGUAAGGGGGUUUUUACUAAUAAAUGAAUCUUGGCCAUCUAAGUGCAAAAGACCCAAAGCUCAAGGGAGGAAAGUAAAAAUUACCCUUACUAUUUCUCGUUGCACUUAUAAAGAAACCAAAGCUUUAAGAGAAAUCGGCCAAAUCAUGAAGAUUGAAGAGUAAAUCUAUGGUUUUAUAUUUAUAUUUUUAUUUUUAGAUAAUAGAUAUUAUUUUGAUGAAUUUUUAAUAUUAGAAUAAUGUUAGGAAUUUCGAUAGUAGAAUUCUAACUUGAGACCCAAUUGUUAUGUGUCAUUUUUUUAUUAGAUAAUAAAUUUCAUAAUUAGUAAAAUUAAUAUUUCAAUCAUCUAAUAAAUGACUAUCAUAUCAGUUGAGACUUAAUUAUUGGGAUCCUUAACAUUGCUCUUAGUAUUAAAUUGGACAUCUUAGCUAAAUCAGAUUAAAAAUCAAAUUAGAUUUUUGGCUUUUAUCCAACAUUUGUUUUUUGGUCUCUUUGUAGUGAACGAAAUAAAAAUACAACAGGUUCAACGACUGGGCAAUUGAUAGUCAAGUAGAAGCAAAUCAAGGCUAAAUGGGAAAGAAAAAUGAUAUGUGUACAAAACAAGGAGAAAAUCCGUGUAACUGAAGAGAAUCAAAGUGCUUUUGAGAUUAGAAAUUGAAGCAAGAAAAGGGUCGCUUGAUCCAUUGAAAAUGCUAAGAGCCAAUGGCAAAAGAGAACAAUGUUAAAUAAGAAAACAGCUAGCGCUAGCAGCGACCACAAUAGACAGAAAAGUUGAGAUGGAUUUACAAUAUUUCUGCCUUUCUUCAUGCUUUAACAAAUAUUGCUCUAUAAAAAAAAAUAUUGAGCGUUUUUAUUAUUGGAGUCACAAAAGACCUACACAAUAUAGCAAGUGCUAGGAAUAAAUAAGAAUAUAUAACUCUCUCUCUAAUUCUCACUCUAGCUUUUAAUUGUCAUUCAAAACCCAAAAUUCAUCCUUAAAGUGUAAGCAAAUCAAAGAUGACAGCGUCUGGUUGUCAUACGUGCCUUUUAGUUUUCGGAUGACAUGGCGUACACUUCUUCUGUAAACCGAACAUGACAUGUCGUACUCUUUGUUUUGAGAUCAUAUUUCAAACUCUUCAUGCUAUGAAUGUAAGAUAAACUACAAUCAUCAAAAUAUUUAGUGUUUAUUUGGUAAUGUAACGUCAUAGUUGUUGUGAAUUGAAAUUAUUUCUGUGAGAUAAAAGGAUUUGGGUCAUUGUUUGUUAUUCUCUGGCAAUAUUGUCUGGCCGUGACUAUUUGUUAAAUAUUAAAAAAAUAAAAUUAUAUUUAUUAAGUAUAAAAAAUAAAUAAACAAACAAAAAUAAAAGGAAAAGUUUAUACAUUACAUAAAAUAAUAAGAACAUUAUCAAUAUUUCACACUCUAUAAUUGAGUGAUGUGUUGUCCAACUGCCAUACAUUGGUCUCAAAUGGAGACUUAAAUAUUAAAGUCCAAAGUUAUUGUGAUGAUGACUUAUAAUCGCCAAACUUGACAUACNNNNNNNNNNNNNNNNNNNNNNNNNNNNNNNNNNNNNNNNNNNNNNNNNNNNNNNNNNNNNNNNNNNNNNNNNNNNNNNNNNNNNNNNNNNNNNNNNNNNNNNNNNNNNNNNNNNNNNNNNNNNNNNNNNNNNNNNNNNNNNNNNNNNNNCUGGAAGUUGCCAUUUGCCAAUGCUACUAACAUUUUUAAACUUAGAAAACCUUCAAUCAAUCAUUUAGUGGUAGGCUCUGGUAGCUUGCUUUGAUUAUGACAUAUGAUUAUUUGAUAAUAAAGUUAGAGGAUGUAUUAAUAUAAAAUUUGUUUAUUGGUGUUGAAGUUAAUUAUCUCAUUAAUAAUAGUAUAAAAAGUUAAUCACUAAGAAACACAUAGCAAUAUUCUGGGAUAUAAUUUUAUAUCAUAACUUUGUAAGUGUAUAAUUACUCAUUAAAUUAACAAAAUUAUUUUAAAAUAUUUAGUUAAAAAAAUAAAUUAUAUUCUUUUUAUUUCAAAUAAUCUAUAAGUUAACACAAAACAUAAUCAAGAUGAGAAUUAAAAUAAUGCUACUGUAUGAGAGGAUUUUUAUUUUUUCCCGAAGUUUCACUAGGAAAUUAUUGAUAUAUAGCUUUAUUCGGAUCAUCUCAGAUCAAACGACAAAUAAUUGAAAGACUAAACUAAAUAGACCAGCCAACAACUUUGUACAGCAGAGUUCAAAAAUUAAGGUCAUGGUAUUGAGGUGUUCUAUCUUCAAAAGUACGGUAUAGUGAUAAAAUAAAAACUAUUAGUCUUUGGUAAGAUAUGACUUUUAAAUAAUAAUUUUCACAAAAAUACAAAGAAUAUUUAUAAAGUACUUCUAUAGUGAGGAGACCCUCGCUUUGUUAAAGUGAAAAUAUCAAUAAUAUACAAGAAACAUAUAUUUUAACACAUUAAGAAUUGUAUCUUUUUAAUCUAUUGGUGUAUUGAAAUAUGUGUUAUUUAGUUUGUUAGUGAUAUCAUCACUUUGUUAAAAUAAGGAUGUCAGAACCAUUAUAUAUAAGAAAGCAAAUAUAUUUUGUACGGUAUAAUAGUGUAAUAACAUCACCCGAGUAUAUCAUAUAGAGUAAUAGUUUUUGGAACUUUAAUAAAGUUCAAGAUUAUAGAAUGAAUGAUUUAUAUAUAUUUUAAAUUUUUUAUCAUAAAGUGGAGGACAAAAGUAACAUAUUUUUCAAAUUAUAAUAAGUAUUUAUCAAAUAAUUUAACAUCGUAAUUUCUCCUAACUAGUGUAGUAAAUACGACCUAGGAGGUACAUUCAAAGCAUUUCAUAAGUUAAUUGUUAAUAAUAAAUGAUACAUGCAGCUCCAAUCAUCAUUGUACGGUGAGUAAUUUCCAGUUAUAAAUAGAUAUUACUCCCUUCCCAGCAAUUUUUGAUGGCUUAAUUUAGUGGGAUCAAAAUCAACAUUGAAUGUCAAAAUAUUAAUGGCCAUGAUGCUUAUUCCAAUGUGAGUAGAUCACAGUGGGUACUGCACAUGAUGCUUGUUUCUCCUUUUGCAUCUAUUUUUGUUGUUAACAUUAAUUUCAAUACCAGCUCGUUAUGUAUGCAACAUUUCAAAAUUAAUCCAAAAGAACAAAAAUUAGUUCAGCUGACUAAAUUUGAAAGCAUGUAUUUGCUGUCGAUUAAAAAUCGUUUUGUAGGGAAAAUUUUUGGAUUGCAAUUCUCAUACAAUACGUAAAAUUAUCAUAAUCUAUAAAUUGUAUUUUUGAUUUUCUGUGGUAGUAAGUUAGACUCCUUAGUGACGAUUUAAAUUGAAAAAAUAAAAUCAUAAAUAAGAAUUAUUUGACAAGAAUUAAAAUAAUUGAUAAAUAUUUGAGAGGAGCAAUUUUGGAAGAUUCGAUUUCUAAUCGGAGGGGAAUUUGAAUUUUACAGCCUUCGGUGAGGAAUCCAAAAUGCACAAUUUGAUGAAAAUUAAAUUUCAAUAGAAAUUGAAUUCCCUUUAUUAGUGAAAACCAAACAACAGAAAAGUGAAAGGAAUUUGAAUUCAUUUCCUUCCUCUCUUCUCCCUCCAACUAAAUACCAUCGAAAUCCAAAGGUAUGGGAUUGGGAUUCCAUACUGAUCAGAAUGGGAUUUGUUCAUAUUAUUAGGACCAAUUUUAAAAGCAGUCGGAGUUUCGGAGUUUAAGAUUGAAAUUAAUCCCAAUUGUUGAUUUGGGACUCGAUAAGAAUUUAUCUUGGAACUCCAAUUCUCCCAAUUAUUUUAGUUGACAAUAUGUUUAACAUUAUUUUUUAAACAUUAUUAAUUGCAUAUUAUUUAAUUAUCAGUAUAUAAUAUUCUUUAAUUUUCUAAUUUUAUAGGAUUAGACACAAAAUUGAUUAUGCCUUUUGAAAUUUAAGUGUUAUGUCAAUUGAAUAGAAAACUUGGAGUAAAACUUUUGGAUGCUUUUGUUGAUUAUCAAUUUAUGCAUGAAUUUUUGUACGUUUAUUUUGGUUUCUUAUUAUUACUUUUAAACAUUUUUAUUGGUUUGAUUUAGGGUUAGUUUGGUAAUCCUGUAUCUUUAAAAUUAAUUACAGUUAGCUAUGCUGUAGAAAUUGAUAAAUCGUGAAAAGAAUCAACCGAACAUUUAGGUGGCGUUUGUUUUUUUGUCUGAAAUCUGAAUAGACCUGAAUUAGUCUGAAUUCUGAAUAGGUCUGAAUGUCUGAAUCUGAAUAAUAUGUUUGUUUUUUCGUCUGAAUCUCGGAAAAUAAGUAUUAAGUUGUUUUUUUUUUCAACUUAAAAAGCUGAAAAUAUGUACUUUUACAUUUGUAUCCUUAUUAAAUUUGAAUGUCAAAUAAAUAAUAUAUUAAAUACCAUAAUAUUUUAACAUUUAUAAGUAAAACUAUAUUCAAGUGAAUACAUAAUUAUUUUGGAAUUUUAAUAUAUAAAAUACCAUAAAUUUCAAAUUUUAUUGUAUAUAAUAUAAGAAAGAAAAAAUAGGGAUAUUUUUAUGUGAGGUAAAUAUCUAUGGGUGAGUUUUGGGAUAGACAUGAAAAAUAAAUUAUAAAACAGGGAUAUUUUUUACAUUAGCAAGCAAUUGACUUAAUUCAUAUUUCUCCAUUAAGUAAAAAGCCAAAAAAAUUAGCUUAUUUUAUUAAGUCAAAAUUAUCUAAAAAGUCUCAUUAAGUUAUAAAAACAAACACGUCUAAUUAACUUAAUUAAUUAAGUUAAGUCACUUUAAGUCAUUAAGUUAAAAAACAAACACCACCUUAGUAAAUUUUAUUUUAAAAAGUACAUUUAGUUUUAAAAUCAGUCGUAUGUGUUUCAUAAAUCUUAUUGUUAAAUCAGUGCAAGAAUGUAAAUGACUGAAUCAGACAUAAUGCUAAAUAAAAUUUAUUUAGACAUUUACAAACACGUAUAUAAAAUAUUUUUAUUACGUACAUAUAAUUAUUGAUAACUAAAAUAAAUAUUUUAUAUUAUUAAAUUUUAUUCUCUAUUUUGUUAUGUCCAUAUAAUUGGUAAUAAUAAUAAUUUCUUUAAAGUUUUGUAGGGAAAAUUUUUAGAUUGCAAUUCUCAUACAAUACAUGGAAUUAUCAUAAUCUAUAAAUUGUAUUUUUGCUUUUCUGUGGUAGUAAGUCAGGCUCCUUAGUGACAAUUUAAAUUGAAAAAAUAAAAUCAUAAAUAAGAAUUAUUUGAUAAGAAUUAAAAUAAUUGAUAAAUAUUUGAGAGGAGCAAUUUUGGAAGAUUCGAUUUCUAAUAGGAGGGGAAUUUGAAUUUUACAGCCUUCGGUGGGGAAUCCAAAAUGCACAAUUUGAUGAAAAUUAAAUUUAAAUAGAAAUUAAAUUCCCAUAUAUUAGUGAAAACCAAACAACAGAAAAGUGAAAGGAGUUUGAAUUUCAGGGUCCAACUACAAUACCUGCGGGGUUUGGUACCCUAUUUUUUGUCUUUUUCAAACCUACCGUUGGAUUUAAUGUAAGAAUUGCGUAAUGGCUGAGAUGUGAUUAUUGGGUUAUUAACAUCAAAGACCCUUAUUGUUCAUGCAAAAUAAACAAAAUCAAAAGUUUUGAAAUUUGACAUAUAAGUCCAUAAUAUUCUCUCUUUUUUUUUUAACUCCAUUGAAAUAGGUUUCCAAUUAAAUGACUUAUUCUUACAUUUAUUAAUAUCUAUUUAAAUUAAUUAAUUAAUUAAUUAAUUAAUUAACUACUUUGUUAUAUAGUUAAACAAUGCAUGUAUAUUAUUUACUAACCAUAAUUAGUGAUAAGUAUAAAUAUGAUCUUUUUUUUUUAAUUUAACAUAAUGGCAACCAAUUAUCUCUCACCUAUGUGAACAAGGUUCAAAACCCAUAAUUUUGUUUUUCAACACAAGAGAUUUUAUUAUCUCAAGUAGAUGAAAUAUACAAAAUACAAAAAUAAACUUAAUUUCAUAUUCUAUGUAGUUAAUUUUUUUUGUAACAUAAUAUUUAUUAAACAUACUAUCAACUAUUUAAUUAUAUAGUAAAAAUAUGUUAAUUUACUAAUAAUAAUAAAAUGUUAGUUUAUUAACUUGUAAAAUCUUUUUGUUAACAAUGAGUUUUUGUCCUUAAAUAAAUAAAAAUAAUUUAAUUGCACGCUUAAAUAAAUUGGUAUUUGUUACUCCACCCCAACUAUUUAAAUAGUCAUUAACUUAUCGGAGAGAAGGGUAAAAAAAUUCUAAACAAUUACUCUAUUUGAAAAUAAUUUAAAUAUUUCUUUAAAAAAAACUAAAAAUAAGUAUUUUCUAUUCUUUCUUCUUUCUUGCUAACAUCACAGAUGGAUAACAAUAGAGAUGGCAAUUCAACACAUAUCUAUCAAUUAAAAUAGAAGUCAAUUAAUAUAAUUAAGUGAAUAAUUAAUUGUGUCAUGAAUGAAUUAUCAUAUUAGGAGUUUUAAAACCAAACCCAAUAGAAUUAUUAAUCAAGUUAACAGCUAGAAAGAGCAAACAAAUCCAUUCAAGUUGGAUGUCUAAGUAUCUGAUCUGAAUAGAUUGGAUAGUAUCCAUAUAAAAUACUCUGAAUUUGAUUUAUUCAAUAUCCAUCCAUGAACUUGAAUAUUAGUAAUAUUUAAGUGUAUGAGACUAAAAUUAAGUAUUAUAUUUAAUAUUUAAGUUUNNNNNNNNNNNNNNNNNNNNNNNNNNNNNNNNNNNNNNNNNNNNNNNNNNNNNNNNNNNNNNNNNNNNNNNNNNNNNNNNNNNNNNNNNNNNNNNNNNNNNNNNNNNNNNNNNNNNNNNNNNNNNNNNNNNNNNNNNNNNNNNNNNNNNNNNNNNNNNNNNNNNNNNNNNNNNNNNNNNNNNNNNNNNNNNNNNNNNNNNNNNNNNNNNNNNNNNNNNNNNNNNNNNNNNNNNNNNNNNNNNNNNNNNNNNNNNNNNNNNNNNNNNNNNNNNNNNNNNNNNNNNNNNNNNNNNNNNNNNNNNNNNNNNNNNNNNNNNNNNNNNNNNNNNNNNNNNNNNNNNNNNNNNNNNNNNNNNNNNNNNNNNNNNNNNNNNNNNNNNNNNNNNNNNNNNNNNNNNNNNNNNNNNNNNNNNNNNNNNNNNNNNNNNNNNNNNNNNNNNNNNNNNNNNNNNNNNNNNNNNNNNNNNNNNNNNNNNNNNNNNNNNNNNNNNNNNNNNNNNNNNNNNNNNNNNNNNNNNNNNNNNNNNNNNNNNNNNNNNNNNNNNNNNNNNNNNNNNNNNNNNNNNNNNNNNNNNNNNNNNNNNNNNNNNNNNNNNNNNNNNNNNNNNNNNNNNNNNNNNNNNNNNNNNNNNNNNNNNNNNNNNNNNNNNNNNNNNNNNNNNNNNNNNNNNNNNNNNNNNNNNNNNNNNNNNNNNNNNNNNNNNNNNNNNNNNNNNNNNNNNNNNNNNNNNNNNNNNNNNNNNNNNNNNNNNNNNNNNNNNNNNNNNNNNNNNNNNNNNNNNNNNNNNNNNNNNNNNNNNNNNNNNNNNNNNNNNNNNNNNNNNNNNNNNNNNNNNNNNNNNNNNNNNNNNNNNNNNNNNNNNNNNNNNNNNNNNNNNNNNNNNNNNNNNNNNNNNNNNNNNNNNNNNNNNNNNNNNNNNNNNNNNNNNNNNNNNNNNNNNNNNNNNNNNNNNNNNNNNNNNNNNNNNNNNNNNNNNNNNNNNNNNNNNNNNNNNNNNNNNNNNNNNNNNNNNNNNNNNNNNNNNNNNNNNNNNNNNNNNNNNNNNNNNNNNNNNNNNNNNNNNNNNNNNNNNNNNNNNNNNNNNNNNNNNNNNNNNNNNNNNNNNNNNNNNNNNNNNNNNNNNNNNNNNNNNNNNNNNNNNNNNNNNNNNNNNNNNNNNNNNNNNNNNNNNNNNNNNNNNNNNNNNNNNNNNNNNNNNNNNNNNNNNNNNNNNNNNNNNNNNNNNNNNNNNNNNNNNNNNNNNNNNNNNNNNNNNNNNNNNNNNNNNNNNNNNNNNNNNNNNNNNNNNNNNNNNNNNNNNNNNNNNNNNNNNNNNNNNNNNNNNNNNNNNNNNNNNNNNNNNNNNNNNNNNNNNNNNNNNNNNNNNNNNNNNNNNNNNNNNNNNNNNNNNNNNNNNNNNNNNNNNNNNNNNNNNNNNNNNNNNNNNNNNNNNNNNNNNNNNNNNNNNNNNNNNNNNNNNNNNNNNNNNNNNNNNNNNNNNNNNNNNNNNNNNNNNNNNNNNNNNNNNNNNNNNNNNNNNNNNNNNNNNNNNNNNNNNNNNNNNNNNNNNNNNNNNNNNNNNNNNNNNNNNNNNNNNNNNNNNNNNNNNNNNNNNNNNNNNNNNNNNNNNNNNNNNNNNNNNNNNNNNNNNNNNNNNNNNNNNNNNNNNNNNNNNNNNNNNNNNNNNNNNNNNNNNNNNNNNNNNNNNNNNNNNNNNNNNNNNNNNNNNNNNNNNNNNNNNNNNNNNNNNNNNNNNNNNNNNNNNNNNNNNNNNNNNNNNNNNNNNNNNNNNNNNNNNNNNNNNNNNNNNNNNNNNNNNNNNNNNNNNNNNNNNNNNNNNNNNNNNNNNNNNNNNNNNNNNNNNNNNNNNNNNNNNNNNNNNNNNNNNNNNNNNNNNNNNNNNNNNNNNNNNNNNNNNNNNNNNNNNNNNNNNNNNNNNNNNNNNNNNNNNNNNNNNNNNNNNNNNNNNNNNNNNNNNNNNNNNNNNNNNNNNNNNNNNNNNNNNNNNNNNNNNNNNNNNNNNNNNNNNNNNNNNNNNNNNNNNNNNNNNNNNNNNNNNNNNNNNNNNNNNNNNNNNNNNNNNNNNNNNNNNNNNNNNNNNNNNNNNNNNNNNNNNNNNNNNNNNNNNNNNNNNNNNNNNNNNNNNNNNNNNNNNNNNNNNNNNNNNNNNNNNNNNNNNNNNNNNNNNNNNNNNNNNNNNNNNNNNNNNNNNNNNNNNNNNNNNNNNNNNNNNNNNNNNNNNNNNNNNNNNNNNNNNNNNNNNNNNNNNNNNNNNNNNNNNNNNNNNNNNNNNNNNNNNNNNNNNNNNNNNNNNNNNNNNNNNNNNNNNNNNNNNNNNNNNNNNNNNNNNNNNNNNNNNNNNNNNNNNNNNNNNNNNNNNNNNNNNNNNNNNNNNNNNNNNNNNNNNNNNNNNNNNNNNNNNNNNNNNNNNNNNNNNNNNNNNNNNNNNNNNNNNNNNNNNNNNNNNNNNNNNNNNNNNNNNNNNNNNNNNNNNNNNNNNNNNNNNNNNNNNNNNNNNNNNNNNNNNNNNNNNNNNNNNNNNNNNNNNNNNNNNNNNNNNNNNNNNNNNNNNNNNNNNNNNNNNNNNNNNNNNNNNNNNNNNNNNNNNNNNNNNNNNNNNNNNNNNNNNNNNNNNNNNNNNNNNNNNNNNNNNNNNNNNNNNNNNNNNNNNNNNNNNNNNNNNNNNNNNNNNNNNNNNNNNNNNNNNNNNNNNNNNNNNNNNNNNNNNNNNNNNNNNNNNNNNNNNNNNNNNNNNNNNNNNNNNNNNNNNNNNNNNNNNNNNNNNNNNNNNNNNNNNNNNNNNNNNNNNNNNNNNNNNNNNNNNNNNNNNNNNNNNNNNNNNNNNNNNNNNNNNNNNNNNNNNNNNNNNNNNNNNNNNNNNNNNNNNNNNNNNNNNNNNNNNNNNNNNNNNNNNNNNNNNNNNNNNNNNNNNNNNNNNNNNNNNNNNNNNNNNNNNNNNNNNNNNNNNNNNNNNNNNNNNNNNNNNNNNNNNNNNNNNNNNNNNNNNNNNNNNNNNNNNNNNNNNNNNNNNNNNNNNNNNNNNNNNNNNNNNNNNNNNNNNNNNNNNNNNNNNNNNNNNNNNNNNNNNNNNNNNNNNNNNNNNNNNNNNNNNNNNNNNNNNNNNNNNNNNNNNNNNNNNNNNNNNNNNNNNNNNNNNNNNNNNNNNNNNNNNNNNNNNNNNNNNNNNNNNNNNNNNNNNNNNNNNNNNNNNNNNNNNNNNNNNNNNNNNNNNNNNNNNNNNNNNNNNNNNNNNNNNNNNNNNNNNNNNNNNNNNNNNNNNNNNNNNNNNNNNNNNNNNNNNNNNNNNNNNNNNNNNNNNNNNNNNNNNNNNNNNNNNNNNNNNNNNNNNNNNNNNNNNNNNNNNNNNNNNNNNNNNNNNNNNNNNNNNNNNNNNNNNNNNNNNNNNNNNNNNNNNNNNNNNNNNNNNNNNNNNNNNNNNNNNNNNNNNNNNNNNNNNNNNNNNNNNNNNNNNNNNNNNNNNNNNNNNNNNNNNNNNNNNNNNNNNNNNNNNNNNNNNNNNNNNNNNNNNNNNNNNNNNNNNNNNNNNNNNNNNNNNNNNNNNNNNNNNNNNNNNNNNNNNNNNNNNNNNNNNNNNNNNNNNNNNNNNNNNNNNNNNNNNNNNNNNNNNNNNNNNNNNNNNNNNNNNNNNNNNNNNNNNNNNNNNNNNNNNNNNNNNNNNNNNNNNNNNNNNNNNNNNNNNNNNNNNNNNNNNNNNNNNNNNNNNNNNNNNNNNNNNNNNNNNNNNNNNNNNNNNNNNNNNNNNNNNNNNNNNNNNNNNNNNNNNNNNNNNNNNNNNNNNNNNNNNNNNNNNNNNNNNNNNNNNNNNNNNNNNNNNNNNNNNNNNNNNNNNNNNNNNNNNNNNNNNNNNNNNNNNNNNNNNNNNNNNNNNNNNNNNNNNNNNNNNNNNNNNNNNNNNNNNNNNNNNNNNNNNNNNNNNNNNNNNNNNNNNNNNNNNNNNNNNNNNNNNNNNNNNNNNNNNNNNNNNNNNNNNNNNNNNNNNNNNNNNNNNNNNNNNNNNNNNNNNNNNNNNNNNNNNNNNNNNNNNNNNNNNNNNNNNNNNNNNNNNNNNNNNNNNNNNNNNNNNNNNNNNNNNNNNNNNNNNNNNNNNNNNNNNNNNNNNNNNNNNNNNNNNNNNNNNNNNNNNNNNNNNNNNNNNNNNNNNNNNNNNNNNNNNNNNNNNNNNNNNNNNNNNNNNNNNNNNNNNNNNNNNNNNNNNNNNNNNNNNNNNNNNNNNNNNNNNNNNNNNNNNNNNNNNNNNNNNNNNNNNNNNNNNNNNNNNNNNNNNNNNNNNNNNNNNNNNNNNNNNNNNNNNNNNNNNNNNNNNNNNNNNNNNNNNNNNNNNNNNNNNNNNNNNNNNNNNNNNNNNNNNNNNNNNNNNNNNNNNNNNNNNNNNNNNNNNNNNNNNNNNNNNNNNNNNNNNNNNNNNNNNNNNNNNNNNNNNNNNNNNNNNNNNNNNNNNNNNNNNNNNNNNNNNNNNNNNNNNNNNNNNNNNNNNNNNNNNNNNNNNNNNNNNNNNNNNNNNNNNNNNNNNNNNNNNNNNNNNNNNNNNNNNNNNNNNNNNNNNNNNNNNNNNNNNNNNNNNNNNNNNNNNNNNNNNNNNNNNNNNNNNNNNNNNNNNNNNNNNNNNNNNNNNNNNNNNNNNNNNNNNNNNNNNNNNNNNNNNNNNNNNNNNNNNNNNNNNNNNNNNNNNNNNNNNNNNNNNNNNNNNNNNNNNNNNNNNNNNNNNNNNNNNNNNNNNNNNNNNNNNNNNNNNNNNNNNNNNNNNNNNNNNNNNNNNNNNNNNNNNNNNNNNNNNNNNNNNNNNNNNNNNNNNNNNNNNNNNNNNNNNNNNNNNNNNNNNNNNNNNNNNNNNNNNNNNNNNNNNNNNNNNNNNNNNNNNNNNNNNNNNNNNNNNNNNNNNNNNNNNNNNNNNNNNNNNNNNNNNNNNNNNNNNNNNNNNNNNNNNNNNNNNNNNNNNNNNNNNNNNNNNNNNNNNNNNNNNNNNNNNNNNNNNNNNNNNNNNNNNNNNNNNNNNNNNNNNNNNNNNNNNNNNNNNNNNNNNNNNNNNNNNNNNNNNNNNNNNNNNNNNNNNNNNNNNNNNNNNNNNNNNNNNNNNNNNNNNNNNNNNNNNNNNNNNNNNNNNNNNNNNNNNNNNNNNNNNNNNNNNNNNNNNNNNNNNNNNNNNNNNNNNNNNNNNNNNNNNNNNNNNNNNNNNNNNNNNNNNNNNNNNNNNNNNNNNNNNNNNNNNNNNNNNNNNNNNNNNNNNNNNNNNNNNNNNNNNNNNNNNNNNNNNNNNNNNNNNNNNNNNNNNNNNNNNNNNNNNNNNNNNNNNNNNNNNNNNNNNNNNNNNNNNNNNNNNNNNNNNNNNNNNNNNNNNNNNNNNNNNNNNNNNNNNNNNNNNNNNNNNNNNNNNNNNNNNNNNNNNNNNNNNNNNNNNNNNNNNNNNNNNNNNNNNNNNNNNNNNNNNNNNNNNNNNNNNNNNNNNNNNNNNNNNNNNNNNNNNNNNNNNNNNNNNNNNNNNNNNNNNNNNNNNNNNNNNNNNNNNNNNNNNNNNNNNNNNNNNNNNNNNNNNNNNNNNNNNNNNNNNNNNNNNNNNNNNNNNNNNNNNNNNNNNNNNNNNNNNNNNNNNNNNNNNNNNNNNNNNNNNNNNNNNNNNNNNNNNNNNNNNNNNNNNNNNNNNNNNNNNNNNNNNNNNNNNNNNNNNNNNNNNNNNNNNNNNNNNNNNNNNNNNNNNNNNNNNNNNNNNNNNNNNNNNNNNNNNNNNNNNNNNNNNNNNNNNNNNNNNNNNNNNNNNNNNNNNNNNNNNNNNNNNNNNNNNNNNNNNNNNNNNNNNNNNNNNNNNNNNNNNNNNNNNNNNNNNNNNNNNNNNNNNNNNNNNNNNNNNNNNNNNNNNNNNNNNNNNNNNNNNNNNNNNNNNNNNNNNNNNNNNNNNNNNNNNNNNNNNNNNNNNNNNNNNNNNNNNNNNNNNNNNNNNNNNNNNNNNNNNNNNNNNNNNNNNNNNNNNNNNNNNNNNNNNNNNNNNNNNNNNNNNNNNNNNNNNNNNNNNNNNNNNNNNNNNNNNNNNNNNNNNNNNNNNNNNNNNNNNNNNNNNNNNNNNNNNNNNNNNNNNNNNNNNNNNNNNNNNNNNNNNNNNNNNNNNNNNNNNNNNNNNNNNNNNNNNNNNNNNNNNNNNNNNNNNNNNNNNNNNNNNNNNNNNNNNNNNNNNNNNNNNNNNNNNNNNNNNNNNNNNNNNNNNNNNNNNNNNNNNNNNNNNNNNNNNNNNNNNNNNNNNNNNNNNNNNNNNNNNNNNNNNNNNNNNNNNNNNNNNNNNNNNNNNNNNNNNNNNNNNNNNNNNNNNNNNNNNNNNNNNNNNNNNNNNNNNNNNNNNNNNNNNNNNNNNNNNNNNNNNNNNNNNNNNNNNNNNNNNNNNNNNNNNNNNNNNNNNNNNNNNNNNNNNNNNNNNNNNNNNNNNNNNNNNNNNNNNNNNNNNNNNNNNNNNNNNNNNNNNNNNNNNNNNNNNNNNNNNNNNNNNNNNNNNNNNNNNNNNNNNNNNNNNNNNNNNNNNNNNNNNNNNNNNNNNNNNNNNNNNNNNNNNNNNNNNNNNNNNNNNNNNNNNNNNNNNNNNNNNNNNNNNNNNNNNNNNNNNNNNNNNNNNNNNNNNNNNNNNNNNNNNNNNNNNNNNNNNNNNNNNNNNNNNNNNNNNNNNNNNNNNNNNNNNNNNNNNNNNNNNNNNNNNNNNNNNNNNNNNNNNNNNNNNNNNNNNNNNNNNNNNNNNNNNNNNNNNNNNNNNNNNNNNNNNNNNNNNNNNNNNNNNNNNNNNNNNNNNNNNNNNNNNNNNNNNNNNNNNNNNNNNNNNNNNNNNNNNNNNNNNNNNNNNNNNNNNNNNNNNNNNNNNNNNNNNNNNNNNNNNNNNNNNNNNNNNNNNNNNNNNNNNNNNNNNNNNNNNNNNNNNNNNNNNNNNNNNNNNNNNNNNNNNNNNNNNNNNNNNNNNNNNNNNNNNNNNNNNNNNNNNNNNNNNNNNNNNNNNNNNNNNNNNNNNNNNNNNNNNNNNNNNNNNNNNNNNNNNNNNNNNNNNNNNNNNNNNNNNNNNNNNNNNNNNNNNNNNNNNNNNNNNNNNNNNNNNNNNNNNNNNNNNNNNNNNNNNNNNNNNNNNNNNNNNNNNNNNNNNNNNNNNNNNNNNNNNNNNNNNNNNNNNNNNNNNNNNNNNNNNNNNNNNNNNNNNNNNNNNNNNNNNNNNNNNNNNNNNNNNNNNNNNNNNNNNNNNNNNNNNNNNNNNNNNNNNNNNNNNNNNNNNNNNNNNNNNNNNNNNNNNNNNNNNNNNNNNNNNNNNNNNNNNNNNNNNNNNNNNNNNNNNNNNNNNNNNNNNNNNNNNNNNNNNNNNNNNNNNNNNNNNNNNNNNNNNNNNNNNNNNNNNNNNNNNNNNNNNNNNNNNNNNNNNNNNNNNNNNNNNNNNNNNNNNNNNNNNNNNNNNNNNNNNNNNNNNNNNNNNNNNNNNNNNNNNNNNNNNNNNNNNNNNNNNNNNNNNNNNNNNNNNNNNNNNNNNNNNNNNNNNNNNNNNNNNNNNNNNNNNNNNNNNNNNNNNNNNNNNNNNNNNNNNNNNNNNNNNNNNNNNNNNNNNNNNNNNNNNNNNNNNNNNNNNNNNNNNNNNNNNNNNNNNNNNNNNNNNNNNNNNNNNNNNNNNNNNNNNNNNNNNNNNNNNNNNNNNNNNNNNNNNNNNNNNNNNNNNNNNNNNNNNNNNNNNNNNNNNNNNNNNNNNNNNNNNNNNNNNNNNNNNNNNNNNNNNNNNNNNNNNNNNNNNNNNNNNNNNNNNNNNNNNNNNNNNNNNNNNNNNNNNNNNNNNNNNNNNNNNNNNNNNNNNNNNNNNNNNNNNNNNNNNNNNNNNNNNNNNNNNNNNNNNNNNNNNNNNNNNNNNNNNNNNNNNNNNNNNNNNNNNNNNNNNNNNNNNNNNNNNNNNNNNNNNNNNNNNNNNNNNNNNNNNNNNNNNNNNNNNNNNNNNNNNNNNNNCUAGUUCUUGCCUGCCUUGCUGCCAUUACCCAGGCCAUUACAUUGCAUAGCAUAAGGAAUAGUGAUUAGGUGCUUAUUAGUGAUUCGUUGAGCUUAUUAUUGACAAACCAACAUAUUCGCCUUUACCCACAACUUAGUUUGAUUAGUUAUUGUUGUGUAAUAGACCAAGUUCGUAACCCAACUGAAGCAAUUAAUCAGAUUUACAAAACAAGCAAGAACCCAGAAAACGAACCAGGGGAUACAGUCAAGUAACCAAGAACAAGAAAGAAAACUUAAUCAAGAGAUACAAAACAGAGGUUAACGUGGUUCAGUACCAUGAGUACUUACAUCCACGAUCAGGAACAGUAGAGCUAAAGCUUUAUUAGGAGAUAUCAAGAUUACAAUGGAAUCCACUCAGAGCAAGAAACUAAACUCACACAGAGAAUCUUUCUCAACUCACAAACUAUCUCACUUGACUAACUGAUCAGCUCUCUCUCUCACUGAAGCUAUAAAGCUAGCAGUUUACAGCUGGUUAUAACGACUAACUAAAACCACCUGGGGACCCACCCAUGCUGACUCAGCUUUCCAGCUCAGCUAAUAUAUAUAACCGAAUGUAACUAACUUGAUUCCACAAAUCUCCACCUUAGUUAACUCGGUUAUGGCUUUACUCAUCACUGCUCCAUCACCAGUUAACUUGUCUCACAAGUUAAUAACCCCAAUCAAGUCCAAGGAGUUCCUGAACUUAACUGUUGGCAAAGGUUUUGUUAGCAUGUCUGCUGGAUUUACUUCAGUAGGAAUUUUAAUGACAUUGAUUACACCAUUUCGAAUUUCUUCCCUGAUAAAGUGCAUCCUCACAUCCACAUGUUUUGUUCUUUCAUGGUACUUGGGGUUUUUGCUCAACUGUAUAGCACUUGAGCUAUCACAAUUGACAGUGACUGAUUCUUGUUCCAAACCCAGUUUUGUAACUAACCCCUUCAACCAUAAUGCUUCUUUCACAGCCUCUGUUAAAGCAAUAUACUCUACCUCUGUUGUUGAGAGAGCAAUUACUGAUUGUAAUGUUGACUUCCAGCUCACAGCUCCACCACAGAGAGUAAACACAAGACCAGUGACUGACCUUCUCCUAUCUAAAUCUCCUGCAAAGUCAGAAUCAACAGAUCCCACAACUUGGCUAGAUGCAUUACUAACUUGUCCAANNNNNNNNNNNNNNNNNNNNNNNNNNNNNNNNNNNNNNNNNNNNNNNNNNNNNNNNNNNNNNNNNNNNNNNNNNNNNNNNNNNNNNNNNNNNNNNNNNNNNNNNNNNNNNNNNNNNNNNNNNNNNNNNNNNNNNNNNNNNNNNNNNNNNNNNNNNNNNNNNNNNNNNNNNNNNNNNNNNNNNNNNNNNNNNNNNNNNNNNNNNNNNNNNNNNNNNNNNNNNNNNNNNNNNNNNNNNNNNNNNNNNNNNNNNNNNNNNNNNNNNNNNNNNNNNNNNNNNNNNNNNNNNNNNNNNNNNNNNNNNNNNNNNNNNNNNNNNNNNNNNNNNNNNNNNNNNNNNNNNNNNNNNNNNNNNNNNNNNNNNNNNNNNNNNNNNNNNNNNNNNNNNNNNNNNNNNNNNNNNNNNNNNNNNNNNNNNNNNNNNNNNNNNNNNNNNNNNNNNNNNNNNNNNNNNNNNNNNNNNNNNNNNNNNNNNNNNNNNNNNNNNNNNNNNNNNNNNNNNNNNNNNNNNNNNNNNNNNNNNNNNNNNNNNNNNNNNNNNNNNNNNNNNNNNNNNNNNNNNNNNNNNNNNNNNNNNNNNNNNNNNNNNNNNNNNNNNNNNNNNNNNACUGCUUCAAUCCAUACAAGCUUUUCUUGAGUAAGCAAACCAUGUCUUCAGUUCCUUCUCAAUAAAGCCUUCUGGCUGAGCCAUCAGGAUUUCUUCUUCUAAGUUUCCAUGUAAAAAAGCAGUCUUCACAUCCAUCUGGUCCAAUUCUAAAUCAAAGUAGGCUGUGAUGGCUAAUAGAACCCUUAUAGAGGAAUGUUUCACAACAGGUGAGAAGACUUCAUUGAAGUCUAUCCCUUCCUUUUGUGUGAACCCCUUUGCCACAAGCCUGGCUUUAUACCUCACUGAUUUACUUCCAGCAACUCCCUCCUUGAGUUUAAAGAUCCAUUUGCAGCCCACCAAUCUUCUUCCAGCAGGCCUCUGAACUAGCACCCAAGUGUUAUUGUCUUUCAGUGAUGCCAUUUCUUCUUUCAUAGCACUAAGCCAUUUUAGCUUAUCUCUGCUAUUCAUAGCCUGCUUGUAGCUUUUAGGUUCUUCUCCAGUCAUCUCAUUAGCAACCAUUAGUGCAUAGGAUAUUAAGUCAGCAAUCCCAUAUCUUUUGGGCAGUUUAACUACCCUCCUUUCUCUAUCCCUCGCAAGCUGAUAGUUAUCAAGUUCUGAUGUUGUAGUACUUUCUUGAUGGUGCUCAGUCAUCUCUUUACUUACUUCCAAAUUGUCUCUGGACUCCACCUUCAACUUAGAUCUCUUUUGAGGUUCAGAUAUUUCAACUUCUGUUCCAACCUUCUGCUGCAACAUAGCUUCCUCAUUAAACACUACAUCUCUACUAAUCAAGGUUCUGGAUGGCUUGCCAUCAAUGCACCAGAUUUUGUACCCCUUUAUGCCUUCAGGAUACCCAAUGAAGUAUCCUUUCACAGCCCUUGGUUCUAGCUUGCCCUGACUUAUAUGAGCAUAAGCUGGGCAGCCAAACACCCUGAGAUUACCAAGAUUUGGUGGCUUCCCUGACCAUGCUUCUUGUGGUGUUUUGAAAUCUAAAGCUGAUGAAGGGCUCCUAUUUAUUAGAUAUGCAGCUGUAUUAACUGCCUCAGCCCAAAAAUGCUUUGACAGAUUUGCAUUAAACAACAUGCAUCUGACCUUUUCAAUUAAGGUUCUAUUCAUCCUUUCAGCCAAGCCAUUUUGCUGGGGAGUGUGUCUCACUGUCCUAUGUCUUGCAAUGCCCUUUGAUUUACAAAAAUUUUCAAAGUCACUGCUGCAGAAUUCCAGGCCAUUAUCAGUCCUCAGCCUUUUAAGCUUCUUUUCUGUUUGGGUUUCCAUAAGUGCAGUCCACUCUUUAAACCUUUCAAAUGCUUCACUCUUAUGCUUCAGCACAUAGACCCACACUCUUCUAGAGUAAUCAUCUAUGAAUGUGAUGAAGUACCUAGCUCCACCAUGAGAGGGAACUUGGGAUGGUCCCCAAAGGUCUGAGUGAACAUAGUCUAAGGUCUGUUUUGUUUCCUGUCUACCAGAGUUGAACUUUUGCCUUGUGGCUUUACCGAACACACAUUUUUCACAAAAUUGUAGUGAGGUGAUUUGAUCAUUUCCUAGCAGCCCUUGCUUACUUAAUUCUCUCAACCCCCUUUCACUCAUGUGUGCUAGCCUCAUGUGCCAAAGUUUGGUUUUAUCACUGCUUACACUAGCUGUGAUUGCUGGCAUAGUUGUUGAGCCAGCAAGUACAUAUAAACCAUUCCUCCUUAUGCCUUUCAUUAUAAUCAGGCCUUUAUCUUCAAUUUGAAGAUUUCCAUUUUCUGCUUUUAUACUACAGCCCCUCUGAUCCAUAACUCCUAAAGAUAUUAGAUUUCUUUUUAAUUCUGGAACAUAUCUGACCUGAUUUGGAUCCCUUUCAAUGCCAUCAAACAUCCUAAUGCUAAUGGUGCCAAUUCCAGCUACCUUACAGGCAAGAUUGUUCCCAAGCAAGACUUUUCCACCAUCAAUGCUUUCAAAAGUCUUAAAGAAAUCUACAUUUGGACACAUAUGGAAGGAGCAACCUGAGUCAAGAAUCCACUCACCUGAAGAUUGCUUUUCUGCAGCAAUGAGGACAUCUGCAUCAUCUGACAUCCCUUCAUCUUCAGAGGCUACAGCAGCUUUUCCAUUAGAUUCCUUUUGUAAUUUCUCAAGCUUCUUCUUCUCAAAACAAUCCUUGAUGUAAUGACCUUCCUUUUGACAAAAGUAACAUUUUCUCUUCUUUUUCUUCUUGUCUGGUUUAUCUUUCUGGUUGCUGUUCUUCUUGUCUUUGUAGAAUUUCUUAUCUGGUUUUGCUUUUGCAACUAAGCUUUCUGCAGGGUUUUGAUCCUUCCCAUCUAUUCUUCUCUUCAAGUCCUUUGAUUCCAGGGCAUUCUUUACAUCCUUUAAUGUAAGUGUUUGUCUUCCAUAAAGCAAUGUAUCAACAAAAUGUUCGUAAGAGUCUGGGAGUGAGCUUAAUAGGAUUAGGGCCCUAUCUUCAUCUUCAAGAACUAUAUUCACAUUUUCAAGGUCUAGGAUCAGCUUAUUAAAUUCAUCCACAUGAUCCUUCAAGGCUGUUCCAUCCUUCAUUGAAAAUGUGUAUAGCUUUCUUUUCAUAUACAGUCUCUUGGCUAGGGAUUUCUUUAAAAAUAAUUCUUCCAGUUUCUCCCAUAGACCAGAAGCAGUCUUUUCUUUAGACACCUCUCUUAGCACUUCAUCCGAGAGAUGUAGGAUGAUAGUGCUAUGAGCUUUGUUGUUGAUAGUCUUCAUGUCUCUGCCAGAGCUGGAUGAUCAUUCUUCCUUCCCUUUCUUGGCCUUUGAAUCUUCAUCUUCUUCAAGAGCAGCAUCCAAUCCUUGUUGAAUCAAGAUUGCCCUCAUUUUGAGACUCCACAAAUAGAAGUCAUUGUCCCCAUUAAACUUCUCCAGAUCGAAUCUUGUAGAUGCCAUUGGAGGAUUUCAAAGAGCUUGAUAGAUGACCAAGCUCUGAUACCAGUUUGUUGUGUAAUAGACCAAGUUCGUAACCCAACUGAAGCAAUUAAUCAGAUUUACAAAACAAGCAAGAACCCAGAAAACGAACCAGGGGAUACAGUCAAGUAACCAAGAACAAGAAAGAAAACUUAAACAAGAGAUACAAACAGAGGUUAACGUGGUUCAGUACCAUGAGUACUUACAUCCACGAUCAGGAACAGUAGAGCUAAAGCUUUAUUAGGAGAUAUCAAGAUUACAAUGGAAUCCACUCAGAGCAAGAAACUAAACUCACACAGAGAAUCUUUCUCAACUCACAAACUAUCUCACUUGACUAACUGAUCAGCUCUCUCUCUCACUGAAGCUAUAAAGCUAGCAGUUUACAGCUGGUUAUAACGACUAACUAAAACCACCUGGGGACCCACCCAUGCUGACUUAGCUUUCCAGCUCAGCUAAUAUAUAUAACCGAAUGUAACUAACUUGAUUCCACAGUUAUUAGACCAUAAAGAGCGUUAAUCUGUUCAUUGGCUUUGUUAUUUUUAUUUGGUUUUUCUUCCAACAAUACUGUUGAUUUCUUAUAAAAAUACUCAUUGGUUUUUAGUUAUUAGACCAUAAAGAGCAUUAGUCUGUUCAUUGGCUUUGUUAUUUUUAUUUGGUUUUUCUUCCGACAAUACGGUUGAUUUCUUAUAAAAAUAUUCAUUGGUUUUUAAACACCUAAUCAUUGGCUAUAAUGAAGCUAAUUGAAACUGAGGCUUAUCAAUUUCUUCCUGCAAGAUACAAUUGAGCAUAAACUAUAUCCUCAGUAAAUUUUUCUAAUAUCCUUGAUUUGUUAGGAUAUGGGCCUGAAAUCCUCUAGAUUUUUUUAACACUGUCAAUGUUCUUUUUACUCUGAAAAGGGAAAAAAAAGGUUAUAUCUUUCAUACCCUAAUAGUAAGUUGGCCUUGACUUAACAUGCCUUCCCGAGAUUUGCAAGAUUCACAAGCAGCUCACACCCCCCCCCAACCAAAAAAAAAAAAAGAAAAAUAAAUAGGAAGAUUUUUGCGAGAUUCACAACCAGGUUAUAUUUAAUUUAUUAAUUGUGUGCACGUACUAGUUAUAUGUUGAAAGAAUAGGAAAAAGUAUUUUAACAUGAAUGACUUAAAACUUAUUGCUUAGUAAACAUAAUCUGCAUCAGUGCUAGAAAAUGUAUUUAUUGUUUGUAUUUUUUAUGGAUUUGCUUAAGAAAUGAUGCGCGUAACAAUGCUACAUUGUAUUAGGAACAAAUUGAAGAGAUUUAUGAUAUUUCUGUGUUAUUCAAAUUUCAGAUUGAAUUUUAAACUUUCAAUACAUGUGUUGUAAUUAAGAAUGAGAAACCUUAAUUCUUUUACCCAAGAAAUCACCACACACUGAUCUUGUUAAGGAAAGAAUGAAGGAUCGAUAUAGAAAUCAGAUUAAGAAUAAGGGUAUUUUAAUCAGAGACAGGAAUUAAGAAAGAAUCAAGCAAAACGAAAUGCAAAGGGGAUUAUAGAGGUUUGGCUUUGCAGCCUACAUCCUCUUGAGAAACAGAAGCCAUAGCUUUUCUUUAUGCUUUAACAGAUUACAAGUAUUAGAGUAAUUGCUACAAGGAACGAUUCCUCCCAAGUAUAGCCCUCAAGGCUAUAUAUACAACUCGGAAGAGAUCCAGAUAUGUGAGCUGUACAACAGCUCUCAUUCUGGGUUUGUUUCAACAGACCCAGCAAACUCCCGCCAAUCCUAACUGUAUGUAACAGCUCUUCAAAUUGAAACGGCAUCAGCAGCUGCCGUUUAACUUAAGCUUGAUCGUGCAAGUCACGUGCGUUACUUAAGCCUUUCGUAUGAUAGUUGCUGGUUGUCAUACGGCAGUGUUAUCUGUAUGUUUGCUUUGUCGUUUCUCAUUCAAUUCUGGAAACGACAAAGUCGUCUCCUUCAGAAGGUUCUGAUUCAGGUUCACAUUUAACAACAUGCAUUGAAAGCUUAGAUCGUUUAAGAAAUUAUUAAUAGACACAUGUUUUAUUAGUGUCAUCUUUGGAUGAUAGUGAGGAUCAUAUGCCUAUUAAUAAUUCUUGAAUUGUCUAGGCUUGAACUGUUUGGGAAUGCAUAGUUUUCUAUGGUAGCUAGUAGCUGAAGUUUUUUUCCCACGUAAAAAUGAGUUUUUCGCAAUCUGCUUCUCAUCUUCUUUGGGUGCAUACUAGAUAACACAUAAACACUCAUAUAUCUAUGUCGUUGCUUGGAGAACUAAAGGGAGAUGCUGCCGAAAUUUCUAUAAACGUAGAAGAAAACUUUAAAGUACUUGAGAUUGAAGAAACUUAUGCAUUCUUGAGAGGGAUAUACGGGACCACUUACCUUUUGUAAAUAUGAAGGGAGUGUUGGACAUAUUGAUGGGAGUGGAGGAGCUGAGUUGGAUGGACGUAAUCGGUUAUAGUUUUGCUGAGUUAACUUGGUUUUGAGCUUGUAAUUUUGUUUAUAAAUGGAGUACUAUCUCCAAUGUUGGUUUAUAAAUAUGUUUCAGCUGGCUGACCUUUUUUUUUGUUUCUAGGUAACAUGCUUUGUAUCUGUAAUUGAUAACCAACUGAAGUUCUCAGCUGUGGGUGAGGAUAUUUCUUUACAGAAGGUAUUGGAAACUGUUUUUUACAUUAAUUAUUGUUGUAUAUAUACUUUAAUUUUCACGUCUUUUUCUCUGAUUCUUGUCGCUUUACUUGCUUUCAUAUAUAUAAAUUCUAAUGAAAUUAACCAUAAAAUUGUAUAAUGAUUUUUUAAUUAUAUUGCAAAACUGUGCACACACGAAAAUAUCUUGGUCAGUAGUAGAAAUGAAAAACUAAAAUGAUUUAUCUAACUAAUUUUUGUAGUGCAUUAAAAGGAGAUGGUAAUGGAGAAGAGUUGGGUUGGUUUGGCAAAUAGAUAUCUAAGUUAUAGAUUUUGCAUUUGAGAAUGUUGUUGGUGAUGCAAGAAUUUAUUAUCCUUGUAAGAAGUGUCGAAUAUUUCGUUUUAAGGGAAGUAGCAAGAGACCAUAUCAUUAUAAAUGGUUUUUGGUUAAAGUAUUAAAACUGGAUAUUGCAUGAUGAGCCAUCUUCAUCUUUGGAAUCUAACCAAGAAACAGGUUAGUCAUGACUCGGGUGCUGAUGAUGAUAUGGUUGGAAUGAUACAUGAUACAUCACGUAAUCAAAUAUUCAAUUCACACACAGCAUUGUUAUGGACUAUCAGUGACUUUCUAGCACAUGCCAACUUGUCUGAGUGGAGUAUUAAAGGUAAAUAAGCAUUUCUUGUUUGCCAACAAAACACUAGAUCUAAUUGGUUGAUACAUAGUAGAAAAUUUUGUCACGUCGGUAACGUCGAUUUUUACUGACGAAUCAUAGGUUUCGAAAAUAUAGUGCCUUUUGAUAAAUCUAGAGAGUGGGGACAAGCACCUUCUCGGAUGUCUGGAGCUGAAGUGAAAAAGCAGUUGAAUAAUAUACUUACUGAGUUUAAGAUUGAAGACUUGAAAAGUGGAGAAUGAAUAAAAUGAGAGAAAUGAUAAGAUUACUUGGACGAAGAAAAGCAUAUUUUAUGAACUACCGUGUUGGGAGUUCAAUUUGAUUCAUCAUAAAAUGUGAGACAUGAGGGAGAGACAAAAGCUCAGGCUUGUCUGCAACCAUGUGGGCCCUCAUAAGCAAUUCGUGUACACAACUUGGUUCACCAAGCCCAACAACUUGAAGCAGGCAAAAUCCGGGAACGAUCCUUCUCCUUCGCAACCCUAGCUGCCUUAACCUUGUAUUUCUGAUAUUUAGUUAAAGAGUAAGAAGAUUGCUCCUCUGUCAAUUACCUUCGAGAGAGACUUUCUUUUUCAUUCACCGAUGCUUGCUUGUGAAAGCAAGGGUUUUAGUUACACUUUCAACGCUGUCAAUGUAGUGAAGUAAAGCAUUAGUAGAAUAAUGAAGUUGGAGCCCCACACAUGAAAACUUAAAGNNNNNNNNNNNNNNNNNNNNNNNNNNNNNNNNNNNNNNNNNNNNNNNNNNNNNNNNNNNNNNNNNNNNNNNNNNNNNNNNNNNNNNNNNNNNNNNNNNNNNNNNNNNNNNNNNNNNNNNNNNNNNNNNNNNNNNNNNNNNNNNNNNNNNNNNNNNNNNNNNNNNNNNNNNNNNNNNNNNNNNNNNNNNNNNNNNNNNNNNNNNNNNNNNNNNNNNNNNNNNNNNNNNNNNNNNNNNNNNNNNNNNNNNNNNNNNNNNNNNNNNNNNNNNNNNNNNNNNNNNNNNNNNNNNNNNNNNNNNNNNNNNNNNNNNNNNNNNNNNNNNNNNNNNNNNNNNNNNNNNNNNNNNNNNNNNNNNNNNNNNNNNNNNNNNNNNNNNNNNNNNNNNNNNNNNNNNNNNNNNNNNNNNNNNNNNNNNNNNNNNNNNNNNNNNNNNNNNNNNNNNNNNNNNNNNNNNNNNNNNNNNNNNNNNNNNNNNNNNNNNNNNNNNNNNNNNNNNNNNNNNNNNNNNNNNNNNNNNNNNNNNNNNNNNNNNNNNNNNNNNNNNNAAUAGAAAAUUACAAGACUGCUGAUAAAAUUUUAUUUGCAUGCAUGUCUGUCAAAAUUUCCGUGAUUUAAUGUGCUUUCAUGCACGCAAGUUCUAACGUUUCUGUGAUCACAAAAUAAAACUGAAGAUAAAACAGAACAACUACCAAACCUUUCAAGCUUGACGAAGCCAUGAGAAUUGAUAGCUCAGGCUCUGAUACCAAGUUAAAGUUUCUAAUCUAUUUGAUAAGUAAGAAAAUGAGAGAAAAUGAAAGAAAGAACAGAGAUCAUCUAAGAGCUGGAUUUGAUGAAUAAAUCUGAAUCAUCCAUUCUUUAGCUGAUUACAAAUGUAUUUAUACAAGUUUUCUAAGCACCUGAGAGUUGAAUAACUUAUGCCAGCUCAGCUAACACGUCAGUAACUCUACCUAUCUUGCUUAACAAACUGAAACAAUAACUAACAAUUUUAACUAUCUUAACAAUCCCAAUAAUUUCUCCGUUUGUGUAUUUUUUUGAAUCAUAAUCAAAUGGGUAAAUGUUGCAACUAUUUUUUUAGACAUUUUCACUUUGGGAUGUCAGCCCGAGGAAGUUCGGGGGUCUGAGUUAUUCAACUGAAAAUGUCGGCCAAGUUCUCGCCAUCUCAGGUUCAAAACUGAUAAUCUUGCUCGUUGCUCCCCAUUUAUACUUAUUACGAAACUGAAAAAGUUACUCGUUCCUCUUAACUUGUUUUCUCAUGCAUCAACCCCACAAAACUGCUUAUUGCAGGGGGAAAAAUUUUGAACACAUCAUGUGGAAUUUGGACNNNNNNNNNNNNNNNNNNNNNNNNNNNNNNNNNNNNNNNNNNNNNNNNNNNNNNNNNNNNNNNNNNNNNNNNNNNNNNNNNNNNNNNNNNNNNNNNNNNNACCUCUUUUGACAAGUUACACUUACAUAGCAAUGCUAUCUGGGUUCAGCCUUACCUUUUUGAUAAACUGUGCUUCUGUGAUGAAGAAUGUUUUAGCUGUAAGUGGAUAUCCUAAUCAUUGAUCCAUAUACUUAGGUUAUAUUAUCCAUCAGCAAGUAUGUAUAAAAUUAUUUUAUGUCUUUUUUUAUUAGAAAUGUUGUAAUUCUAUUUUACUCUUCCUGAAUUAUAACAUCAGGUGUCUAUAAUAACUAGAUUAUUCCUUCUGCAAAACAGAGCAGUGGUAAAUAUUUUUUUUCUUUUGUUUGUUUAGUACAUUUACAUGCUUUCAGCUUUUUCAAAUUUUGUAUGUGUCAAAGUUUAAAUUUAAUUUGUUGGUUUAUGCCACAACAAAAGGAACAGCAUCAAAGAGGAGCUGCUAAUGGACUUGCUAUGACUGUAGUGUCGCUUACCAAAACUGCCGGUCCAGCUGUAGGAGGUGCUCUGUGAGUGUCCUGUUGAUUUUGUAAAACUACAUGUAAAUGAUGUUAUAAUUUUUUUUUCAUUAAUUGGGGUUCUGGCAGAUUUUCUUGAUCACAAAAGCGUCAAGAUGCUGGUUUCCUCCCAGGAUGAUGAUCUACUAAUGAAAUUUCUCGCGAGUUUGUGUACUAUUUCGUGCUAAUUCUUCAUUAGCUGCUUAAACAAAAGUGCAGGUAACCAGAUGGUUUUUUUUCAUUCUGAAUUUGGUUGAGGCACUUGGAGUAAUAUUGACAUCCAAACCGUUUCUAACUCAGCGUGCCCCAUGAGUAGCGAAAAGAUCAUCUGUUGAAAUAUUUAAAUAUAUAUCAAGCAAAUUAAAGCUUUCAAAAUCUAUCAACAAUUUGAUUAUUUGAUGUGGUUGCCACUUGCCAUAUUUUGUGUUACUGUUCAAAAGGCUUAAAUAUGAAAAUGGUGGUUGGCGCUCACAGCAACCGAUUGCUGGUAACAUUAGUUGUUCAAUACUUAUCUCUGUCGACAUUUAUACUUGUUCAUUGUCAGAACUACGACAAUUUAUCUUCACAAUGAUGCAAGCUAGAAAGAAUUUUUCAUGUUAAGUAAAACAUUGAAGCCAUAAAGAGUCUUAAUUGAGUACUAAGUUUUCUACCAUGCUUUCAACGGUAACACAUUUGGAGCUCUUAUUCCAGGGGCUUCACAGUAGAGAGACCUGAUUUCGAUCUUCUUCAGAACUUGGGGAUUCCGUAAUAACAGAGGACAACAGUUAUAUAAGAAUAUUAUUUUGUACAAUUUUCGUAUAACCUGACCAAUGCAAGUAUAAUUUUAUGAUCUUAACUCAGAUCAAAAGACCUUCAAUGAUGUAAAAUUUGCACAUAAAGUUGAGAACCAAACAUUAGAACUUAUGAUGAAACGGAAACAAAAACGUUGAGAUUAAAAGAUAGAGAAACACAAGCUUUUUAAAAGGGAUAAAUGCUCAUUUAAUUUCUAUAUUUUGAUUUAAGAGUGCAUUUAAUUCUUAUAUUUUAAAAAGUUCCUCAACCUUAAGACACCCCCUACUAUAAAAUAUAUUUCAUUCCUACCCUUAUUUUUUUUCUUUUUACAAUAAUACUCUUGGAAUAAUAUUUUUGGGAAUAUUAAUUAAAAUAAAAAAUGGUAAUUCAUCCAGCUAGCCUUAAACAAAAUAAAUAUUAAUAAAAAUUUUUAUGUUAUUAUUUUAGUUUUAGGACUAAUUUCGUAAAUUAAUUUUUUUAUGCAUUUAUUAGUAAGAUUGCUUUAAGAAUAUUAAACAUUACUUUAAGUUGGUUGAUAUUAAUUAAUUUAUAAAUAAUUAUUAGCAAGAUUGUUGUAAAAGUACAAAAAUAUUUUCAUAUUGAUAUUUAUUGAUUAAUUUGUCAAUUAAUUUUUUUAUAAAUAAAUUAAUUAAUUUAAGAAUAUUAUUGCCAGGAUAUCAUUGUAAAAGUAAAUAAAUUUUAAGGAAAAAAAUGUAAUGUAUUUAAUAUCAAAGUAUAUUGAGAUAUUUUUCAAAAUAUAAAGACUAAACGUGCAUUGAAGUUAAAAUACAGGUACCAGACGAGCAUUUUCUCUUUUAGAAAGUUUUAUAUUUUAUAAAUGAAAGUUUGAAUAACAAAAUUAGGGUUUUGGACUCCUUUUAAACUAAACCUAAAAUAUUACUACAUAAUAAUAUUCUCCUAACUGAAAUAAGAUAAAUGCUACUUAAAUUCUAUAUCUAAAAAAAAAGAUAAAAAUCCAGAAAACAAUAGGAAAAUGGAUAUUAAACUUGUAAAAUAAUAUGAAAUAUAUAUAAUUUUCAACCGAACCACGAGGCUAAUGCGGCGCUAUAGUAUUAGAUUAGAUUCCCCUCAUCCCAAACUUCAAAAGGUAUAUUAUACACCGUAAAUAGAUACUUAUAGCUCAAGUUGUUACCCUAGAGAGAUAAUCUACUCAUCCUAUGCAACCAUCCGCUGCAUCAAAUUCGUUCCAAAAUUAAGAAUAAACCAGCUGAUGCAUUCCAAACAAUUUAGAUGAACCGAUAAAAUAAACCUAGAGAUCAAAUAAAAUCAAAUGAGAAUGAUAAUUACCUCGGACUGAAGCUCAUACAAAUUCAUUAUUUGACACCUCCAGCAAUUGUUGAAAUAAUUGUUAAUUAAAUAUAAAAUAAGACAGGUACAUAUUAAUGACACACCACUGUGAAUCGAUAGCUAAGGACGGAGUAAAAUUUAAUUGUAAAUUAGGACAGUAGAGCAAGCAUCCAUAAACAUAACAUGAACGUAAUACAUCAAUUGAAAUAUCAUACGAUAAAUUAGUCAGAGAAAGAAAUAAGUAAAUAAAUCAGCAAAGGAAACAUGCAUGAACAAAUAAAAAAAAAAACAAAGACAAAAGUAGGAAGAGUUGUCUGUGAGAAUCUUCUUCUAUGGUCAUUGAAGUCCCAAACUCAAUGGAAAUUCAAUGGAACCUUAAAAACGAACAGUGAAGGAAAAUGAAGAAAUCUGCAGGAAAUAAGGCGAGUGAGAGUGAAGAAUUAAUUACCACCGAGUAAAUGCGAAUGAAGAAUGGAGACAGAUCGAGAAGUGAGAUUCAGAGAUUGUAUUGAAAUUGAGAGUUGUGAUCCAGAAGCGAUUCUUCUUCUCCGUAAUUCCCUUUUUCUUUUAAUGUUGUUGUUAUUAUUAUUAUAUAUAUAUUUUCAAUUUCAUGAUAUCUUUUUUGUUUUAAACGGUAUUGGCAUAUUACAUUUAUUUAUGUUAAUUUUACAAUACCUCCCUUCAGAUUGCACAAAUUACAUAAAAAAAAAAAAAGUGCUUUAUGUAUAAAACUUUCAAACAAAUUGGGCCAAAAUCUAACUUUACCAAGUUUAGAGUAAUUUUGGGCUCGACAUUCCGUUUCCGACAAACGAAUUUUCUUUAUCACCAAGGUAUGAUACUUUUCAUAUUUAUCCAACGGCUCGUCAAUGACAAUACCUUUGUAAAAAGUACUUAUUUUGAAUAGUAUAUUGUGGAAAUGUCUGGUCGGUAAUACAACUAUUUCUUAUAGUGUAAAAAUGAUACACUAAGCGUUCACAUUUUGAUGAGUAAAUUAAGGAUUUCAAGAUGAAGUGCAUAAUUAGAUUAAUGCUAAGAAACUGAAGUUUGAUCGAUUGAAAACGAAAAUAAUAAUGAAGGUAAUUAAGAAAAUGAACAAUAUAUGCGGAAGCGGUCCUUAUUAGUACUUCUAGAUUUUCUCUUGGGCUUUCCUUAUUAUUGUUAAAAAAUGACCCGAAGAACUUUGAGUUUAAAAAUCUGGCCCUGAUGCCUGGUAGCCCUUCAACAUAUGAAGCACCAAAUGUUUUGAUGAGAAAAUGACAAGACCAUUUAUCAAAUUUCUUGUGGAUAUAAAUACAUACACAUAGACGAGGCCAACCUCCUCAAAUGAGAAUCAGAGUGAUUACAAGACCUUGCAAUGAGACAAUGAUACACCAUCAAAUGUCAAAAUACAAUAGAAAUUCACGACAUAUAUAUAAUAAAAGACCUCUCAUUGAGUCAUAUAUAUUGAGAAUAAAAAUGUUAUAAUACAUACACAUAGCUUAGUUAGAAUAAAAUGUCUUUGAACUUGCGAUGAUCAAACAAAGGAAACAGACAGGUUGUAACUCACAUUAUCACAAGAAGAUCACGAAGAUGGAAAUGGGAACCCCUCAGAAUGGAAACUUUGAAUAGAGGAAAAAAGAAAAACGACCUUAUUCACAGAAGAAGAGUGACUUAAAUCUUCAUCAGUAUCCAGACAUUUUGCAAUCAUAGAGUAGAGAAAUUUUAACAGGAACAGCAGAGAAAAUAUUAUGAAUAUGCUAUAGACCAAUAUACUUGUUCAUAGCUAACGUUUGAUGGUUUAAGGAUUUGUUCUAGGAAUAAUGGGCUGAUUACUUUCUUUUUAUUUUAAAUUUUUUUUAAUCCAAUGAAUGAUAUUCAGCUGUUAAUUAUGUGUUCAUAGGGAAGAAUAUUUUCUAAGUACUUUCCUUGCCUUCUAACUUUCCGAAAAGCAAACCCAAUGAACAAAUAGAGCACAAACUAAAAUAAAAGAACAGCAAUGAUGACAAUAAAUAAUUGGCAAAGAAAAAAAGGAAAAAGUAUGCACGUUUUCAAGGAAUUAUAAAAUAUGAAGGCUUUUAAUGAAACUUUAUCAUAAAAAGUAUGCAAGGAAUUAUAAAAUUUUAGAAAACAAGGGGAGCUCUCAAAAAAAAUGAAAAACUCAAAUUAAACUAGACUAAAAGACAUUCAAUUUUGCAAAAUCUGUCCAUAAAUGUCUGAAAGGAUCAUUAAAAUUGCAUUGCAAAUUUAACAGUAAACCGAGGGACCCAUUCUAAAUAAUUCAGAUGAAAUUGUGAAACAAGACAUGGGAUUAAAUAAAUGAAAUAAAAAUUAAUUACCAGUUGAGACUUUCUUCUAAAAAUUCGCAACUCCAAGUCAUAAGAAGCCUAUGAAAUUAGUCGUACUGCGUAGAGUAUGACGACGACACCGCCAACAGCUGAAAGUAAAAUUCUUAUUCAUCAAUUUAAACUUACUUUAUAACAAAUAUCUUAUCUAUAUUGUAUUUAAGAAAGCAAAUUUUGUAAAAAUUUAUCAUGGGAGAUAGAGAGUAAUAUGUAUAUACGUACCUUCUCAGCAUGUAAUUGUUGUAUGGUUGUGUUUAGAUCAUUAUUAGCCCAGCGCCGUUGAUCCGCUGUCUCUCCAUAGCAGACGUUUACUCUUAGAGGCGUGAUUGAUUCUCCUGUAGUGAAAAUCUUCAUCUUGGGACAACCAAUCACAUCCAGAUAUUCCAAAGAUGGGAAUUUGAAGGUGUAAUUGGCAGAACAGAAACUUGUGAGGCUAUCUAAAUCAAACAGUCCCAACGUCUUCAAUUUGCUAAAAACAAUCUCUUCUUUUUCAACUCCAUCUUUGUCAUUUAUUACCACCUCUGUCAUUGCUCUGCAUCCAUAUAUUUCUAUUGCUAUGAGUCGCACCAGAGUUUUUGCUGUGGAGGAUGUUACCAAGUGUAUCAAUUCCUUGCAACCGAAAGCUACAAGUUUUGUUAGGUUCCCAAAAGAUACCGAUGAUGAUGGCAAUAGAAUUAACAGACUUUGACAAUGAUAUACUUUUAGAAUUUCAAGAUACUGAAAAAUGGGGCCAAGUUUGGAGUCUUGCUUGCACAGCUGCUCCAGAUGAUAGUGCCA